rnacentral:lncRNA from 1 species
GUGGGACGUUGAGGCAUGGAAUUUGUUGAAAAAAUCACUGCCGAAUGAUGCCAAUGGAAGCAGAAUUCUCUUCACCAGCAGAUGCCAGGAUUUAUCUUUGCAUUUCGAACCUAAUAGCGAGCCUCACCAUCUCCGUCAUCUUACUGACGAAGAGAGUUGGACAUUGCUGCAGAGAAAGCUAUUUGGCACGGAAGAUUGUCCUGCAGCACUAAGUGAAGUUGGAUCUCAAAUAGCAAAACUUUGUCGGGGCUUACCCCUUGCAGUUGUCCUUGUUGCUGGAAUUCUUGCUACUACUGCAAAAGAUAGGUGGGAAGAAGUUGCAAAAAGUCUAAGUUCUAUUGUCCUUGGGGAUGAAUACUGCAUGAAGACACUUGAGCUGAGUUAUAGUCAUUUACCAGAUUAUUUGAAGCCAUGCCUUCUGUACUUUGCUGCAUUUAAAGAAGAUGAGGUUAUUAAUGUGCGAAGGUUGUUACGGCUUUGGAUCUCUGAAAGAUUCGUGCAACAGGCUGAAGGAAAGAGAGUAGAGGAAGCAGCUCAUGACUACUUUGUGGCUCUAGUUAAUAGAAGUUUAGUUAAGGGUGUCGGACAAAGAACUGUGGGUGGUGCCAAAGCCUGUCUACUUCAUGAUUUGGUACACGAGUUUUGUGUGAAAAAAGCCAAAGAAGAAAGUUUUCUAUAUGAUGUUCAUACUUGGAACCCUCUUGGGCUUACUGGACCAAGCAACCCCCACCGAGUUUGUGUCCGCAAUACCAGAGAAUUGAAGAUUUGGGAGUUAACGCUUAUAUUUCCCAAUUUACGCUCUUUGAUCUUGUUUAGACAAGAUUAUUUUAAACAUGAAGAGGAGGAUUUGGGUAUUUUGUUACCUAAACUUCUCAGAGUGUUGGAUUUUCGGAGUUUGCACUUUCGUUACAAUUCUUUCCCAAUCGAAGUAGUAUUGCUUGUUCACUUGAGGUACCUGGCGCUCAAAGGAGUAACAUACAUCCCAUCUGCGAUAGCCAACCUCUUAAGGUUAGAAACUCUUAUCGUAGAUUAUCCGAGUUUGGGUAUUGAGCUGCCAAGUACUAUUUGGAACAUUAAGACAUUGAGUCAUCUACUUGUUAUAAAUUAUCAUGGAGUAUGGCGAAGGGGUUUUAUUUUUCCAGUUGAAAAUCUUGAAGUAUCCCCAGAUUUAGAUCGUUUGGACACUUUAAACCUUGCAGUUGAUCCCUCUCCUCAAAGCUUGCAAAAGAUACUGAGAAAGUUACCAAGCAUUCGCAGGUUAAAAUGUAUGGAACACCGGGGCGGAUCAAGAGAAGCUACCAGAAAUUGCAACGAGAUUCUUGAGUUUGACAGUUUGAGUCAACUGGAAUCACUUUAUUUGUAUGGUUUUCACGGAUGUGGAUUCAAAUUCCCAUUGAAUUUGAAAAAGUUGACUCUCUCAUAUAAUGCUCAGCCAUGGAGUGAAAUUUCAACAAUUGGAAAGUUGCCCAAUCUUGAAGUGCUUAAAUUACUUGAUCACAGCUUUCCCUAACCUCCGAGUCUUAAAAUUGUCAAGGUUGAAAUUUCGCAACUGGACUGCAUUUUCUGAUAAUUUUUCCCGCCUUGUGAAAUUGGUCUUGCACCGAUGUAAGGAGCUGGAAAAGGUCCCUUCCUGUUUAGGGGAGUGUGAGACUCUUGAAAUGAUUGUGGUGGAAAAUUGUCCUGAGUCUGUUGUAGAUUCUGUAAAGCAAAUUCAACAAGAGCAGAUGGACAUGGGAAAUGAGGUUCUAAAGAUCGAAAUUCAUUCCAUUCCUUAGAAGAAGAGUCUAAAGAAGCAGAGUCAAUUCCCUCAGAAGCAGAGGAGGUUUCUUCAGAAAGAGAGUCUGUAUCCUCUCAUCACGCAGUUGGCAAUUGUGAGAGUGAAUGUACAGUGGGAUUCCACUCAUCAGGUCAGAUAAAACUAUAUUUGCAUAUGUUGAAUCAGUUCAAUUAUAUAAUGAUUCAUGCUUCUCUUAACAGUUUACGACGGCAAACCAUUCAUGUCUCUUUUUCAUUUGUUUAUAUGUUGAAUCAGUCCAAUGAUGUGUUAAUUCAUGUGUAUUUUGAAGCAAUUUCUGCUGCAUAACUUUCUGAUAAAUUUCUGAUUGAUGCACAAUCUGUUUCUAAAAUCUGCUUCUUGUCAUUUUCUCGUUCAGUGUUGAGUAAUUUUUAUGUCCCAAUUUCCGAAAUCUUCUUCCUUGUUGCUACAUAACCAGAUACACUUAUCUGUUCCCAAUUUGUGCAUGUAAAUAAGAGUAAUACAGAAAAGUGUGACUUACUUCUAGUUUUCCUCAAUAAAAACCAUAAUUCAAUUGACUGAUAUGUUGAAACCUACAAUCACAGUUUUGCAACAAAUAUUAAGUGGAGACCAAAACCCAAAAAAAAAAAACAACAAACUAUGGUUGUGUUACUUUUCAACAGAGGAAGGGCAUAGGACUUAAUAUGUGUUUUUCUUCACUACAACAUGCUGAAAUACAAACAUUUUCAUUCUUUAAUAGGCAAUAUUUUCGGAAAUAAAAAAGGAAGCAAUUUUUUCUUAAACUUUUUUUGUGUGUGGUUUCAUGUUUUAUUUUGCUAUUUUAAGUGGUUAAUUGCUCAAACUUAUCAAAAUGACAAUCAAAGAAACCAGAUGACCUAUUUUGUCGGGUAAUCUGUAUACCUCUUCAUUCAACUGAUGUACUGCAAUUUUUCCUUCUUCCAGAGCAGGUUUCCUCAGAAGGUGAAGACUGAAACAUUUAUGUCUCUCCUUGAUUUGGUGUGGUCAUUCCUUCCACUCAUCAGGUUAGAUAUAAUUGUAUGUGUAUGUUAAUUCAGUUCAAUGACAUAUAAUUACUGAUCAUGUCCCUUCUUCAUCUGUACCAAAUUAUUUGGUUUGAACUUUGAUGCAGCUGCAUUACUUUGUCAUUGCAGGGGCAAGCACAGUCAUGCAUUCUAUCAAGCCAACAUUAUCCAUCAUAAUCUGUUUGUAAAAUGUUCUCCAUGUUCUUUUCUGGUUUGAUGUUUAAUAGUGUUUAUGAUCCAUCACAAUCUUGUUUGUAAAAUAUUCUCCAAGUUCUUUUCUGAUUUGAUGUUUAAUAGUGUUCUUGAUCCCAAUUCUUCAAACAUUCUCAUUGCUAUAUAGUAGCCACUCGCAUUUCUUUGCAUUCUUCAACUUAGCAAAAGUCUAAAGGGUGUAACUUUACUUAAACUUUUUCUAUGCUAUUUCAUCUUUUAUUUUCUGAUCACUGUGAUUAAUUGUUCAAUGUUCAACCUGGUAAAAUUGACAAAUUAAAGAAGCUGAAUGACAUUUUUGCUGAACAAUCUAUGUACUUCUUCAUUUAACUUGACAUCUAAUUGUGAUAUUCUAUACCAUGUAACUUAUUUAAUACAAGAAUAUUUAAAAAAUAGAGAAAACCAUUACAUUGACGAUCAUUUAAGACCAAUAUUAACGUUGAUGAGAAACCAUUACAUGAAAAAAAAAAAUAUAUUUUUUUUGGUUGCUAUGACUUAUGAGGCUAAAAAGUACAGAAUGCUGACUUUAACUUUCUUCUAUCCAAAUGAUUGUAAUCCAAAAUUCCAAAUAUCAUUUCCUCCGCUUUAUUUUUCAACUUUCUUUCUUUCUUUGGGCCUUUGUUUCAUUUUUGUUUUUCGGAAUUUGGGCUGUAGCUUACUGGGUAUAUAUAUUAUUUCUUCUGGUUUAUUUUUUUUCCUUAUUUUUCUUUUUUCCCCUUUCUUGGGUUCCCUAAAAGAAACCUACAUAACUAACAACCAUUGUAUUAAAAAACUAAAUUUAUUAAUUUACAUACACAUGUAUAGAUGCAGUUUACAAACUCACGGAGUCCUCAUGGAUGGACCGCUACUGAAGCAUCACAAAACAUAAUUAGUUCUUUUAAUACCCAUUUAAUUACUCUAUCAAAUCUCGUCCCAAUGAUCAAGAAAGGGUUCUUAGAUUCUUUUUCAUACCAAGUUCAAGGUUUGAAUUAUGUACCUGACAAUUGGAGUUAAAAAGCAGUUCGAAUUAUGUACUUGACAGUAGAGAGUAAAAUGCAUAUGAGAAGGGAUGGGAGGAUUACAAAAAAAAAAUGGAAGAGUCUCCUCUUGUCUAUAUACAAUAGUGUCCCUCUAUGUGGCUUGUAUAAUUGACUAGACAGCAAAGGCAAGACUUCUAAUGAUCAAAUCACUCUACGUUAACCUAGGUUUAUUCCACUUGCACCUUUAAAGUUCUUUCUAUUUUCACUUUGCUUAAUAUUAGUUACAAAACUUUACAUCUUAUCUUUCAAAACAAAUUCUAAAUCUUACAAAGGGCUUAAAAUUGAAUGAAAAACCUUAUAUUCACCUUUUUUUUUUUGUCAAAUAUUCACCUAGUUAAUACUGCUCUAAGUUGAACUAGGGCAUGAGAGCACAAUCUACUAUUGUUAAUGCCAUGCAUCCAAGGGGUGCUGAGCGGGGCUGUGUUUUGAAAGUUUUAAUUCACAGUGUGUAAAUAUGGGUGUGAAACAGAGUUAGCCCCCUAAUUGAUUGAAUUGAUGGUUCAGAUGUUUGAACUGAUAAAGUCAAUACCAAUCACUCAUUUUGUUCAUCACUGGUCCACCUUUCAAAAUAUUUUUAACUGCUAAAGUUGUUCAAAAAGUUGAAUACUUUGAAAAAAAAAAAAAUCCUAUCUGAAGUUUCUAGUAAUAUCAUUUACCACCCCUAUUGUUCUAAAAGUAUCACUUACCUUCCCUACAAGUGAUGUGGCAAAAAUUCACUAUCGCAGCAUGCAAAGUGAAAGUAUUACCCUCACAACUUAAGAUUAUUUGUUCUAAAAGAUUUUGAAGGAAAAAUAAAUAAAUUGAUAAAUUAGAAUAUCUAUCUUAACAAUUUUUGGCACUUAAACCUUCAUACUUUUUUAGUCCUUCUAUGCCACCCAUAUAUUACAUUGUCCUCAAUAUUCUAAUAAUAAUUUAGACAAAAAAUGUAAAAAAAAAAACUUAGAUCAAUAAAGAUAAUUCCCAUUUAGGAGUUAAUUUUGCACUUAAACCCCCUUCCAACACUCCAAUUUUUUUUUAAAGUCCUUCUAUACCAACUUUAUAUUAGAAUACCCUCCCUACUCUAACAAUUAUUCGAAAAAAUUUUAGUAGACUAAGUACCAAAAUUUUAUACAACUAAAAAUUUGAUAUUCUAAAAAUUAUAUUUCACUUAAACACCCCUUUGAUCCACUUUGAAUACUCUAAUGACAAUCGUAUAUUAAAUAGCCCUUGCUAUUCUAACAACUUUUGAGGCAAAAAAGUUUAGAAGGGAAAAAAAACCAAAAUCCAUCAAAGAACGGUCAUCUUAACAAUUAUUUUUUACUUAAACUAUCCCUUCCCCCAACUUUUAGUUCUCCUGUGCCAACUUUAUAUUAACUGAACUCUCCUAUUCUAACAAUUGUUUGUGCAAAAAGAAUCAAAUGCACUUGAGCAUCUUCUGAAUUAAAUGCAAAUCCAGGAAUUCGAUCACCUAAAAUACAAACUAUAUAAUAAAGACUUUAAGGUAAUAUUACACACCCUAAUAGAAUGACAUGUAUCAUUAUUAGUAGUGCAUUUAAUCCAGAAGCUGCUCAAGAGCACUCUUCUUGCCUCCCAUUUCCCAUGGUACCUUCACUCCAGUGGAUCUAAUCCCCUAGCUUGCAUUUAAUUUAAAAAGUGCUCAACUAUACUUUUUUUGGCCACACCUUACUUCACAUAGUGUUGGAUUAGGAUUAGAGUAGAUUAGCAAAUAUUGUAUCAACAAAAUAAAAAAAAAAGGAAAAAAGACAAGGUAGUAUACGACUAGCAGUAGAGUGCACUUUUUUAAUAACUCCUUUUCCAUAAUAUAGGUACAGAUUAACCAAUAUCAUAUUUGGUAAAAAACAAAAAAAAAAAGACAAAGACAACCCUGAGAUACAUCUAUCCCACAGUGUAAGAGUAAGCAUAGGAGUAAAUUAGCAAACAUAGUACUGAUUGAAAAAAAAAAAAAAAACACAUUCAUUUAACCAUCACCCCAUGUCAUGUCAAACGUUUAUGACUAUCCAUUUUUUGUUUUUUUCUAGAAUUUUAAAUUCUUAGAACCUGAUGUUCCUAAAAUGGUCUUUGAUUGCUGUAAAGGGUUUACUACACUUGCCCACCUUAAAAUUCCUUUUAGUUUCAUUUUGCUCAUUAAAUAUUUAGCUGGAAAACUUUACAGGAUUUUCUUUUUAAAGUUGGCUUACAAAAGGAAAAGAAAAGAAGGGAAGGUUAGAAAGUUGAAUUAAAAACCUUAUGAUUUUUAUUAAUGUCUUCCAAUUGGAUCGAAGGCUUGAGAUUCCAAUCUAUUAAUGUUCACAUUGUAAGGCUUUUUCUAUAUAAAAAUGGACAGUGGAUCCACCCCUGCAUUACAAUACUAUCGAAGAAGAAAUUUAUUAAACCCUUUUCUCAAGAGUUAUCUAACUUAUAAAAAAAAUAUUGGACACAUAAACCUAAGGUCUCUAAUUUCUAGAGCCUUAAACUUAUCCAUUAAACUAAGGUUUCUAGGCAAAACUUGGCAAUACUUGAAUACUUCUAAACUAGAAAUAGAAAACAUCAACUAUUAGGAAGUUAGGUUUAAUUAUAUCAACAUUGCCUCUUUAAAUUAAACUUUUCACGAAUAUAGCUCUAUACUAUUGCCAACCAAAAAAAAAAAUCUUCUAAGAUAUUUUUUCAUUAUGAAUCAAUUCUUGCCAAUCACUUCACUUUCAAUUUAUUAGCCUCACUAGCUGAUUGCUGAUAUCAAGAUUCUCAAUUUUGCAAGUCCGUCACGAAAAAAAAAAAGUUGACAAGAAUUUUUUUCAACUCUUUCACAUUACCAAAUUAAAUAUCAACAACUAUAGUAGAAUCUUUUUCUCUAAUCACUGUCUAACACAAAUAACACGAUACGAUGCUUCUUCUCACAUGUCUAUCCAAUUAGGAUCAAUUUUUUCCUAAUUGUCAAGUAACUCGAGUACCCCCAAGAUCAAUUUAGUGGCCCAAUUUUUUCUAAUGUUCGAGUACUCUGACUCAUAAAAAAAUUCACAUUUCAAAAUCUAUGAACAUAAACCUAGUAAUCUUAAGUUUACAAACAUCCCAAGAUCAAAAGGCAGGGUUCUAAUACCACUUUAGUGUAUAAAAGAUGCGUACAAGAGGAUAUUGGCACAUGUAAAAAUAUGUAGAAGAAAAGGAGUUUAAUAGCCAUAAAUACACAAAGCACAUCUGAUUCACAUAUUGAGAUUGGCACAAAUUCUAGGCAGAAUUGCUUUCACAACAACCGCAACUCUCUUUAAUUUUUUUUCUCGCCCUUUUCAACUCAGUAUACUGCUAAAAUACCCCAUAUAGAGUUAACAUAACUGAGUAAUUAAGAAACUACUGCAACAAGAAACUACCACAUAAUUACUCCGUACCCUAAACAACUAAAUUACUGAAACUUGGCUAUACUUGAAUACGUCUAACCUAGAAAUAGGAAACAUCAACUAUUAGGAAGUUUGGUUUAAUUAUGCCAAUAAAAAGGCAUAUUCUUCUGACCAUCACACUAUGUCAAAACGUGCAUGGGUUUCGUUGAUUUUAGCAAUGAUAACUGUUCCACAUAAAGCAACGGCAACAUGCAUGGAUUUAGGAUAAUUUCAUAAGCUAAUUUUGUAUAUAAUGAUAGUGCAUAUAGUAACAACAAUGAAUGAAUGCCACCUAAACUUGAUAUAAUGGUAGUGUAUAAUUUGAAUUUUGUUUCUUGAUAUAAUGGUAGCUUGCAAUAUUAUGGAAUAAUUUCAGAAAUCCCACUAAGGUUAUUGACAAUUUCACUUAUCUCUCCUCAACUUUAGGAAAUCUCACAUACUCUAGCAGACAAUUGGGACCUGUUGAUGUCGAAAGGCGCAGCAAAAUACUUAUAUCUUUAGUCUUUGGUGAUAUUAACUAAACGAUUUCUCACCUUCAAAGGUAAUUUGCAAAAAAUCAAGUCAAGUCUUAUUUCCACAACCUUGUAAUACGAUGCAAAAAGAAAAUAUUAAACAAACAAAAAUUAUUCUCACCCUUGAUUCCACUGCACCUUUCACAAGGAAAAAAAAGCUGUUCUCUAAUUUUUUAUGGUUACUUUCUCUUAUAAGCUUUAAUUGACGCUCAUCAAGCCUUAUAUAUUUUAGUAUAAACUUCCAAGCUUUUAAUAAGAAACUUGUAACAUCACCAAUUUCUCAUAAUCAAUAGCACAUAAAUUUCAAAAAAGCUCUCAUAAUCACCAUUUUAUUCUUGCUUUUCUGGAUAAGAUUGACAUUAAUUCAAUAAUCGAGUUCUAGGAAUCCCUCAUACUUAUUACUCAUUUUUUUGUUUAACCUUCAACUUAUCAAUCACAAAGAAUGACGAAAAUAUUUAAAAGAAAAAUUAAACAAAAAAAGACCAAGUCUAAUAAACAAGUCAUACUUGUUGCAAUUCUAGUGACUAGUUUCUUUCUCCAAUUUUAAACAUAAGAAGGACAUUGGGAGGAUGAAGGAAGUGUACUGGCCUAUGUUAUUUCAACAAGUGGUUUACUGGGCGUGGUCUGCACGAAAUGAAGUUAUGCACUAGGGUGUGCUAAGAAAGGUCAGAGUUCGGAUUGAGACUCUUUUACAGCAAUCAUUGAUAGUACAGGUGUGACGGCCCCACCUCCCCCUAAGGCGAACCAGAGGGUUCGGCGGGUCGCCUGCCCAACUCUCGCCGGGACUCAGUCGUUCACUACAAUCCUCAAAUGAAUUACAAUAUAAAUCUCAAAUGUACAUCACAUGGUCCACAAACAUACAUCUAAGUCUCCAAUAAUUACAUGUCAUAAGCGAAGCGGAAACGAUUCUCAACUAUACAUAAAAUGAUUCCAAAUCCAAAUUAUACAAGAUAUAUGCCAUCCAGUCACGUGAACAAGUACUACAAGUCCUUCCUUCGCCACGAGCCCUGUGGAGGGGAAUAAAAUAUUUUUGGGGUGAGCUAGAAGCUGAGCGAGUAACCAUUAAAAUCAGUAAUCAAAGCGGUUUCACAAUAGUUCAUUUCAAUGAUGUCAUAAAUCAAUGAUGUCAAGAAUCAAAUGAUAAGUCCAGAAACAAUUACAACAUUUACAAUACAUUAAAAUGGAGUAUCAAUAAUUCAAGGAACAUUUACAAUGGAAAGCGAUAGUAAUAUUCAUUAAAAGGAUACGGGCUCACAUGGAGCUAUUCGUUUGUUCGUUCGUUCCCCUGACAUUUUCCCUUAUUCCUCCAAUCGUUUGAAAAUACAUUUUUUUUGUAAGUAGAAUCCCUCGUUCAUCCUUUUGUUCGUUCAUCCCCUUUUCCGGACGUUGACCGGACUCCACCCAUCCGACCAUUGGCCGGACUCCACCCAUCCGGACGUAGCCGGACUACAAGGUAAUACUCGAAUAUACCAAAUUCACCCAGGGUCACCAUAUCGCCCGACCGAGUCCGCUUCUGGCUCGAGUCGAUCGGCAACAAAGGGCAGUGGCCAAUUCAGCCAAACGGCUUACAUUCAUGCGCAACUAGCAUUUCAAUAAUUAAAUCCUUGAAAAUUGCACAGUUAUUUAAGUCGAGUGCGAUAAAGUACACACUCGCCUAGAAAGCUCGUUUUGGAAAUCAUUCAAAGCACUUAACACGUUAUCAAUUAAUAAUACAAGUCAUGAAGUCAAGAAAAUAUAGCAAAUAAGGAACACUCACAUGCAAGCACGCACGAUAUGCAAUAAAACAGUUCAAAAGUAAUUUUGGAAACAGUUUAAAGGUAAAUAAUGCAAGAAAACGGUACAAAAGUAACUUUGGAAACAGCUCAAAAGUAAAUAAUGCAGGAAACGGUUCAUAAAUAACUUCAGAAAUAGUUUGAGGUCACUCACCUCCAUGGCUCAGAAAUCAUCCAUCAUAUAACAUUGCCUUGCUCAAAUCCAAGUCUUAGAUCACAAACUCAAUGCAAACAAGUCCCUUCAAAGUUCGGACAGCACUUCCCCUGAAUUUGCUAACUUUUCCAGCCAUCAUGGCUUCAUUAUUUCCUCAGCCAGUCCCAAAAGUACACACACAACAACAAGUUCAUCCAAUAGCCAUUCAGUAAGCUCCAAGUAGUACUAGUACAAGUCAAGCUAGGUAAAAGUUCGGAAAUGAAAGUUAAGCUCAAAACCGGAAAAAUAGCUUUUGACAUUCUUUUGCGGUAAUGGCACCAAAGGCACUACGAUUAUCGGAUGAGGGUGCAAGACCCACCAUCUCGAAACUAAAAGACAGGGCUACAACAUCAUAGAAGGUCACUCAACCCAGUUUUGAGUGCAAACAGGUCAAAAAUGCAAGAUACUACAUCAAAAACGUAAAACCGAUUCACCAAAACGCAUUCUAGCAGAAACAUCAUAACUCAGGCUCUACAAGUCCAAAUCCAGAAAUUCCAAAACCAGCUGAAAGCUAAGAAACAGGGUUACAAUUCAUCAGAAGACCUCAACAACCAAUUCGGAAGCAUUCCUGACCAUAACAACCAAUUACAGAAGCAAUUCCCAAAUUCGGGUAAAACCAGAAUAGAAAUAGUAAUUUCGACUUAUCUCAUUCUACACUACUCCGAUUGACCUGAAAUUUUGUAGGCACCUAUAAAAUAUCAUUCCCUACAAUUUUAAUGUUUUAAGUCAAGGCCAAUUCGGCCUCUAUCUAGGACCUAAAAUUUCGGACAGAAUGCUCCCUCAAGAACCCUAGUUUUCUGAAAUUUCUUCCAAACCAGAAAUUGGUUGCAAUUAAUCACUUUUCCCACCUCCUAGAGUCCUUAAACAUUAUUUCCAAUCAUCAUAGAUGACCACAUACUCAUAUUCAUAUGAAAAUAGAAAAAUCCCCAAUAAUUAUAAAACUUCACCAAUUCAACCAAAAUCAAGAUAUCUUUCACCCAAUCACACAUUUAAUCAACACAACUCAUUACUUUGACAUUAUCAAGACCAAAGGAAGCAUUCACUAGUUACUCACCUUGAAACCAAAGAAAAGAGACCACUUAGCACCAUAAGUUUCCAAACAACUUCAGCAAUCACCUCAAGACCACUUAGCAAAGAGAUUUUAUGGAAUUGAUUUGGAGUUUUAUUGGUUGGAUUUGAAGAUUGAGCAAGAAAUAGAAGGAAGAAAUUGAUAGCUUUUCUUUCUUUUCCUUUGAGAGAGAGAGCCGGCUAUGAAGCUUUAGAAAUAAGGAUGAUUUUUGGCAAUUUUUUGAUUUAUUUGGUAAAGUAGGGAAUAGUGUAGUCAAAGUCCAAGACUUAAUCUUAUGGUGACACUUGUCACCUUUUGGUUCAAAACUUAUCUUUUGUCUCUCCAAUACAAAUAUCUUAACACUUUGUAAAAUAAUAUCACUUAAUACAAAAUUCCAACAAGUUGUCAAAAAUAUAAUGCAUUUACGGCACUUGCGGGUCCCACGUUCAAAAUACGCUCUUAAUUUCUCAAAAACUAACCGAUACUAGAAAAAUCAUUUUAAAACUAUCUUUGCUCAUAAACUUUAUCUGGGGAAUUUUUCUAAUCAAGAAAAUGUAGAAAAGGCGGGCGAUUAAAAAAAAUAAACCCUAGAAAAUUAGAAAAUUUCCGGGUUCUCAAACACAUUUUUGUUUUUCGGGGCGUCACAACAGGAGUUACAUGCUAGCCGCAAAUUGGUGGGUGGACGACAAAUGAAGUUCAUCAAUUGGAGAAAACCGCCACUGGGAUGGGUUAAACUCAAUGUAGAUGGCGCAGCCACGAGAAACCCAGGUGAAUCAAGUGCCGGAGGUCUUAUAAGGAAUGAUCAAGGAUGUUGGCUCAAGUGGUUUAGUGCAAAUUUGGGGUGCUCAAGUAAUGUAGCAGCCGAGCUCUGGGCGAUUCUGUUGGGACUGAGACUAGCUUGGGAGCAAGGGUAUAGGAGGGUGGUUAUUGAGUCAGACGCGCAGGUGGCAUUGAUAUUGAUUAACAAUGCAUCUGAAGAGAGUCCAUAUUGGAACAUGGUAGCGGGAAUCCGAGAGUUGUUAGGCUAUGAUUGGGAAUGCUGUUUGGAACAUUCGUGGCGAGAAGGAAACUGUUGUGCAGAUUACUUAGCAAAGCUAGGAAAGAGUCUAGCUCCGGGGAUGACUGUUUUCUAGGAUCCUCCACAAGCAUUACGAACACUUCUGGACCGUGAUGUUUGUGGAGUGACAAUAUCUCGUCUAAUUAAUAUGUAACGGGCUUACAUCCUCCUUUGUACCGAAAAAAAAAGCUGAGAUUUCUAGGCAAAACUUGGCUAUACUUGAAUACUUCUAAACUAGAAAUAGAAAACAUCAACUAUUAGGAAGUUCGGUUUAAUUAUGUCAACAUUGCCUCCUUUAAACCAAACUUUUCACGAAUAUAGCUCUAUACUAUUGCCAACCCAAAAAAAAACUUGUAAUAAGAAACUUAGUAUUAGCUUCCAAGCUUUUAAUAAGAAACUUGUAACAUCACCGUUUUCUCAUAAUCAAUAGCACAUAAAUUUCAAAAAAGUCUUCAACUUUGCUGGCAUUUUAUUCUUGCUUUUCUGGAUAAGAUUGACAUUAAUUCAAUAAUUGAAUUCUAGGAAUCCCUCAUACUUAUUACUAAUUUUUUUUAACCUUCAACUUAUCAAUUACAAAGAAUGACGAAAAUCUUUAAAAGAAAAAUUAAACAAAAAAACACCAAGUCUAAUAAACAAGUCAUACUUAUUGCAAUUCUAAUGACUAGUUUCCUUCUCCAAUUUUAAACAUAAGAAUUAGUUCUUCCGAAUAUAUAGCAAUUGAUUAAAUCAAGUUUGUCAAUUCCUAUACUUAAUUUGGUCUUUUCAUCAAUUAGCAAAUGAUUGCGUUACUCUAGUUUUUAUAAUUCUAGGAGAGAACUCUUUGAUAAUACACUCUAGUUAUGGUAACUAUGGUAUUAGAAAAAAACCAAUGUACUAGUAAUAUCAUUUUUGCAAAAAUGAAAUUUGUAUUUAAAACUUGAAACAUCUUAAAUUUAUAUAACUAAAUAAAUGUUAAAAAAAAUACAGGGUGUCACAUCUAGUCUUUUGCUUUUGGUCUCCAACUUUUAAUCCAAUUAAAAAUUUCUUAUUUAUUGGCUUGGAUUGAGGGAUUUGAAGAAAAAUUUGAAAUCUUCUCAAACACUUCUAAAUAUUUUGGAUUACUUAGGUUGUAUAUGAUUUUGGAAUUCACUACUCAUUGAAUGCAUUCAAGCACUAAAAUAAAUGGUGGAUUUUAAAACAAAAGGCCUCCGAAGUAAUUCAAAUGACCUAGAAGAAUUUGAGAGGAUAUCAAAUUUUCAUCAAAUCUCUCAAAUCCAUCAUAAAACAAAUUGUUGCAACACAAAAGGGCAUUAUGGUACAAAAUUCUAUUCUCUCUCUUGAAAUUGUUUAUCCUUUAUUGAUUUGGGUUGACAUGGCGUACAAAAAUGCCAGAUAAUGGAUGCAUGUGAAACUUUCAAAAGUUUAGGGGAGGUAAGCGAACUUCUUAUUGUCCCACUCCGGUUAGGGGAACCUAGCUACCACAAAGAGCAGUCAAUAAUUAAUCCUAGGUACUGGAGCAGGGACUCUAGUAGUGCAAUGGGUUACUUGAUUCACCCUGUUCCCGAAGAGUUUGUUUAAUCCGAUAUACCAGAAUUAAUUAAUUGACAAAAAUUACUAAAUAGUAGACAGUGGCAAGUAGGGUCGUCUCCUCAGGGACUGGAGAUAUUUGUCUCUUUUUAAAGUCCAAUUGAUAAGGGGAGAUUUUACCGGAAUGAAACUAAAAAUAAUCAGACAAUUUAAUUAAAAAUGAAUAAAUCACUAGCACAAAUAUAGCAGGAAUUUAAUCAGGAAUAAAUAAAUUCUAGCCAAAGAUACAACUACUCAAGCACAGUCCAUUUAUCUGAUCAUUGAUGCAGCAGAGGUUCACUUAAUUUAUUAAUAGGCUAGUUAUAGUCCGACGACCAAUUUUUCCUUAAAUUAUUGAUAACCAAGGUACGACCGUUGAUUACCCCUAAUCAGCAAAUACUCCUAGGUACGACCAUAGGAAUUAAUUUUCCAAUUGCAUUAAUAACUAGAAAAACCUAGCCCUAAUCAAUAACACGCUACGAGGGUUAUUUAAAUUAGAUCGCACGUUCCCCUAAUGUGUAAACACACCAGUUGCCACUAAUAUUAAUCAAUCAAACAAUUACGGAUUUAAUUGACUAAAUUGGCACGAGAUUAAUAUAUCACAUUGAACAUCGGGCCCUGGACAUCCAAUUAAUAAAAUAAUCCCAUGAAAAUAAAAUCAGACAACAUGCAAAUAUUAAUAGAUAAAGGAACACGUGAAAACUAAUUAGAUCUCACAGAUUUUCGGGACUGCGCCGUCGAGUUGACCCUUGACUAGAUGGAAGACUUAGCCACGCCGCAUAAUUAAAUCACCACACGAGUUAAUAAAUUGCGAAGGCAUUGUUUUGUACUAAAAAGUAAGGAAUGAAGGAUGUUUUCCCCGUUGGGGAAUAUUGUCAAACACCUGGCGUGUGUCAGAGGCCAGUCCCAGGAAAAAGGAAGAAAAAAACUAAAAACUGAACUAAAGCAAGGAAACUAAAAGCUGGCCGUCCGUCUUCUGUACGUUAGCUCCCUAUUUAAAGCCAAAGGAAAGAUAUCCAGUGGUCCCCACCAAUUGGCCACAAGCUGCCCCAUUUCUUCUUAGUUUCCUUAGGCUUUGUAUGUUGCUUUUUCUUUAAGAACCAAAGGACCAAAGCCCUUUUCCUUUCCUCCGUGGUCCCCACCGAAGUCAAAGGCCCAAGCCUUCAAGUUCUCUCUGCCAAAGUCUCCGGUUGUAAUCCUCUUGGUCAACAAGAAUAAAGGGAUGGGAGUCCAGUUCUUUUCAGCACUGUGGCCCUGGCCUGUGACUCGCUUGAAGACUCAAUUUUCUCCAGGAAAUCCCUCAUGUUUGGUAGUUUUCCGUUCUAUCCCUGAAAUAAAGGCCACAAACCAAAUAUAAGUAGAUAUCUGCAAUUAACACAAUAUUUAUCAGGGAUGAAAGGGGAAAUUAAUAAUAAAAUUACUAACAAAUUAUACCCUAAAAUUCUGUGCUAUGCCGGCGACAUUGGCGUCAACGUUGACCUUCCGAGCCUGCAUAGUCUGAACCUGCUCCCGGAGUUGCUGCCAUUCAGUAGUCCCAUGCGGUGGAGGUGGCGCAGAAGAAGAUGGCCCAACUGUGUCCUCGGCUGAUCCAGGAAAGGAGGAGGGCCCUGCCCGGGACGAAUGAUGCGCACCCGGAGCUCUAGGUGGUCCAGGAGGAAUGAACUGGUAGGAACCAUCAGGCAGGCGCUCGAUGACUCCCAUCCUCUCCAAGCAGUCUACGUCCAAGAGCUCCAUCUCGCAUGCCAAAUGUAAGUCGUGGUCCUCCAGGUCAAGAACCCCCAACUGGAUCGCCAAGUGAGUGAUAUAGGACCCAAGGAUAAGGGGCUUGUUCUUUUUGGCCAAGACGGUCUUGAACUGUGCGGCCAACCAACACCCCAAGUUAACCUUGAUAUUGUUCUUCAUACACCAGAGGAAGAAGAACUCAGGACGAGAGAGUAUGCCAGAGCUGUCCUUGCGCCCCGAGUAGCUAUAGGCUAAGAACCGCUGAACAUAGCGGGCACUAGGGUCCUUAAGAAAGGAGCUCCUAGACCGGGAAGGAUCGUAGCGCUGCUGAUCGACGGACAUGUCCUCCCAUACAUCAUGGUAGUGGGAGAGGAACGGCUCUAUGUAGUCACAGGCACUCUCUGCAUACGCCCUAAACCCAGCAUACUCUCUAGUGAUAAACCCAAAUGCCCGAUUGAAUUGGGUAAUGGAGAAAUUGAACUCUCGACCCAUGAGCCGGAAAUGAAUGACCUGUGGUGUGUCAACGGUGUAUCUCGUAGGUAACUCGAACUCAAAGGUGGAGUAAAACUCCCGAGUCAGCUCGACAAAGGCGGGGCAUAAGAUAUCGAGAUAUGAGCGCCACCCGAUGGCUGUAAACAUCUGCUCGACCUCCUCUCGUAUGCCUAGACUCAUGACGGUUAAUUUUUCCCAAGUCUUGCUUGGUGUAAUACGCCGCUCGCAGACCUUAGCAUAUCUCUGCUGAUCGGCGGGUCUAGUGAAGGUUAGGUGCCCCCCAAAGUGAGUAGGGGUAUCUACCUGAGCACCCCGACCCCUACCCAAACGGGUUCGCACAUUAGAAGAAGAGGGGAGGUUGGUAGGUGAGUUGACAGGAAUAGAUGCUUGUGGAGGGGGUUGAGACUGAGAGGCCCUAGACCUAGAGGAUGAUUUCGGCCUCACCAUGAUUUGGAGUAAUCAGCUUAACCAACAAAAGUCCCAACAAAUAUGACAACUCGCCAAUGCCAACAAGAAAUAAAGGAAUGCCAACAAACCAAAGGCCCAGCAAUUGCAACCCAGCAAUAUCAGUUCAGAAACUACGCCAAGCAACACAAUCACAAGUCCUCGGCAGUUGAAUAAUUAUCCAACCAACCAGAGUGAACAAGUUCCUGAUAAAACACUGCAAUAAUAGCACCUACAGACGCAACAAAUGGCUCCAGGUGGCCAGGUAACGCACACUUGCAAGACCAGCAAAUGCAACGACGACAACUGAGAACUUUGGCAAGAAUAAAACAGCCAACCAACUAGCAGUAACAAAUUUAAUUAGAAAUAUGUUCACCAGUAAGAACUGCAUGUGGAAAUGCCCCCUUGUUCGCUCCCCUUUUUUUUUCAAUGUCCAAUCUCUCAGGUCCCAAUUAAUCAGCCAAUAGAGAGAACGAAUCUAUAGCAGCAAGAAGAAAAUGACGCCCAACAGGUAUACCACACAAGUGAAGAAGUGAACUCCAACAGCCGACAAAACCAAAUUUUUAAAACCCCAAACAAUUGAACUCAAAGCCAAUAAAAAACACAAUCAAUAAUUCCAAGAAUAUGGCCGACCCGUGAUCAAAAUCAAGACAAAUAGCACACCCAGCACCACUGGCUUAUCCCCAACUGGAGAAACAACCCCCACGGCCAACAAUUUCCACAGUUGACGAACCCAGAUAGUACCAAUUUAUUUGGAGAAAUUUGGGAGCAGGAUUCAAAUACCUCCACUGGUGCUGCGGAGUGGCGUCGGCUCGGCCUGGUGAAGCUCGCGGAAAGGCCGUUUGAAGUGGAGGUGCAGCGGCGGCGUGAGCAGGAGAGGCGGCCGUGGACUGGAGAUAUGGGUUGCGGCUGGCGUGCGUCCGUGGCUUUGGCAGGCAGCGGCGGCGCGAGCAGGAGAGGCGGCCGUGGACUGCCGCGAGCUUCGGGCAGCAGCGGCGGACGGCGCGCCUGUGGCUUCUGGCCGCUGCGGAGGUAGCGGCGUGGUAAGGCUGCCGCGCCUCUCUGAUGAGGCUCCAGCCGCGGAACAGAUCUGGUGGCUUUGCGCAGGGCAGCGGCGGCGGGUGGCGCGGUUUGAGCGCAGGCGACGGCGGGCGCAGCGCACGACGGCUGAGCAGCGUCUGCGGCAGGCCGGGCGCGCGCGCAAGAGGAGUGGAUGAGGGCGGCGCGUGGUGGAGUUGGAGAUGGCGGUGAGCACGGGCGGCGAGCAGAGCAAAACAGCGGGGAAGAAAGAAAGAAAGAAAAGAGAAAGAAGAAGAAAGAAAGAAAAGAAAAAGAAAGAAAAGAAAGAAAUUUUUUUUUCUUUUUCUUUGUAUUCAAAACCUUGUUUCUUCUUUUCUCCGAAUUUAUAUUUCGACAUUCUGAAAUUUUUUCUUUUUUUUUCUUUUUUUUUCAAUAAUCCGUUCUUCUUCUUUGAAUGAAAGGCAUAAUAAUAAUAAUAAUAAUAAAAGAAUUUUUUCAAAUCCUUACCUUUCCCGUGAACGUGACGCGGGCACGUCAAGAGGUCAAGAGAGCUCCCAGAAGUUUCAGAAUUUCCUGAUCGUGAGCGUCCUGCACAUCACCACGCGGGCACGUCAUGAGGGCAGGAGAGCUCCCAGAAGUUUCAGAAUUUCCUGAUCGUGAGCGUCCUGCACAUCACCACGCGGGCACGUCAUGACUGAAGGUCGCCUACAAACCAGCAAAAACGAAAACGAACACCUAAAAUCAGUCAAAUUUAAGGAAAACAGAUUCAAACAAUGACAGGAAACCAAUAAACAAUUAAAAUGAAUAAUUGGAUUGCCUCCCAAUGAGCGCCUUUCUUUAAUGUCUUCGGCUAGACAUCGUCCAAAAAUUUGCUUAAACUAAGCAAGUAGGGUCCUCCAAGUGCAUCACCUCCACCCGUUCAGUUGGAACCCCUUCAUAAUACGGCUUGAGACGAUGACCAUUCACUACAAAUUUCUUCUCAGCUUUCAAACUUUGGAUCUCGACUGCACCAUAAUGGAAGACAUUAGUCACAACAAAAGGGCCAAUCCAACGAGAACGUAAUUUACUUGGAAAUAACUGCAAUUUGGAGUGGUAUAGCAGAACUUUUUGCCCACACUCGAAUGUCUUCCUUGAGAUCUGUUGGUCAUGAAAAAUUUUAUUUUUCUCCUUAUAAAUUACCGCAUUCUCAUAAGCUUCAUUGCGUAUCUCCUCCAACUCCUGUAAUUGUAACUUCCUUUGGAUUCCGCCCUCCUCAAUAUCCAUAUUGCAUUGCUUAACCGCCCAAAAUGCUUUAUGCUCGAACUCUACUGGAAGAUGACACGGCUUACCAAAUACCAACCUAUAGGGAGACAUCCCUAUAGGUGUCUUGUAUGCCGUCCGAUAGGCCCAGAGUGCAUCUUCCAACCGUUGACUCCAAUCUUUUCUAUCGGGGCGCACCAUUUUCUCCAAGAUGGACUUUAUCUCCCGAUUCGACACCUCCGCUUGACCAUUGGUCUGAGGGUGGUAUGACGUUGAGACCCUGUGGAGUACACCAUACUUGCGGAACAACGCAGCUAUGGUUUUGUUGCAAAAGUGCGUUCCCCUAUCACUGACAAUAGCUCUAGGCAUUCCAAAUCGCACAAAAAUAUUAGACCUGAUAAAAUCUGUAACUACUUUCGAGUCAUUAGUUCGAGUGGCCUUAGCCUCCACCCAUUUAGACACAUAAUCAACUGCCAGCAAAAUAUAUAAAAAACCAAAUGAAGUAGGAAAAGGCCCCAUAAAAUCUAUACCUCAGACAUCAAAAAUUUCAACAAAAAUCAACGGGACUUGGGGCAUUUGAUCUCUACGGGCUAUAUUACCUACCCUUUGACAGCGAUCACAUGACUUGCAAAACACAUAGGCAUCCUUAAACAAUGAAGGCCAAUAAAAUCCACUUUCUAAAACCUUAUGAGCCGUUCUCUUGGGUCCAAAAUGGCCUCCACAGGCAAAAGUAUGACAAAAAGCUAAAAUUGAUUGAAAUUCCACUUCACUUACACAUCUCCGCAUCACUUGAUCUGCACACCUCUUCCACAGGUACGGGUCAUCCCAGAUAAAAUACUUGGCAUCGCUCUUCAAUUUAUCCCUCUUCGAUUUCGGCCAACCUGCAGGAAAAUUACCAGUUACCAAAUAAUUGACCAAAUCAGCAUACCAAGGCAACUGAGAAUUUAAGGAAAAUAAAUGCUCUUCAGGGAAUGCAUCCUUCAAUGGCUCGCUAUCCUCUUCAACUAGUAUGCGACUCAAAUGGUCCGCUACUAGAUUUUCUGAGCUUUUUUUGUCCCUUAUCUCCAAGUCAAAUUCCUGUAGGAGCAGUAUCCACCGUAUGAGCCUCGGUUUUGCAUCUUUCUUGGUCAUCAGGUACCUCAAUGCUGCAUGAUCAGAAAAUACGAUCACUUUAGCACCUAACAAGUACGACCUAAAUUUUUCCAAAGCAAAAAUAACUGCAAGAAACUCAUUCUCAGUGGUGGAAUAAUUCAACUGGGCUCCAUUCAAGGCCCGAGAUGCGUAAUAGAUGACAUGAGCCGCCUUUCCUACUCUUUGCCCCAGUACAGCCCCAACAGCAUGAUCACUGGCAUCGCACAUGAUCUCAAAUGGCAAGUUCCAAUCGGGGGGUUGGAUGAUUGGGGGUGAAGUCAACAAUUCCUUCAGCUUGUUAAAGGCUCUCUCACACUUAUCAUCAAACUCGAAGGCUAUAUCUUUUUGUAGGAGUUGGAACAACGGGGCUCCAAUUUUUGAGAAAUUCCUGAUGAACCUUCGAUAAAAACCUGCAUGUCCAAGAAAAGAGCGCACCUCCCGCACACUCGCGGGGUAAGGUAAUGCAGAAAUAAUGUCUAUUUUAGCCUUGUCAACUUCUAUGCCCUUAGACGAUACAAUAUGACCCAGGACUAUCCCGUACUCAACCAUAAAAUGACAUUUUUCCCAAUUAAGCACAAGAUUAGUCUCUAUACACCUUAUCAGGAUUAAUUUCAGGUUAUCUAGACACGUAUCAAAACUAUCACCAUACACACUGAAAUCAUCCAUGAAAACUUCUAUUAUUUUCUCAACAUACUCAGAAAAGAUGCUCACCAUACAUCUUUGGAAAGUCGCAGGUGCAUUGCACAACCCAAAUGGCAUUCGUCUGUAGGCAAAGGUCCCGAACGGGCACGUGAAGGUUGUCUUCUCUUGAUCCUCCGGGGCAAUUGCUAUCUGAAAGUAUCCUGAAAAUCCAUCCAAAAAAUAAUAAUAAGCCCUACAAGCUAAACGUUCAACCAUUUGGUCAAUGAAAGGGAGAGGGAAAUGGUCCUUUUUGGUGACGGCGUUUAGCCUACGGUAGUCUAUACAUUGCCUCCAUCCAGUGGGCUUACGCACUGGCACAAGUUCACCCGUUUGGUUGGCCUCUACCGUCACUCCUACCUUCUUUGGGACUACCUGGACCGGACUCACCCAAGGGCUAUCAGAUAUUGCAAAGAUGAUCCCUACAUCUAACAAUUUUAAAAUCUCUUUCUUUACAACUUCCAUCAUGAGGGGAUUGAGCCUCCUUUGAGCCUGCCGUACAGGUUUGGCAUCCUCUUCUAGUCUAAUCCGAUGCAUACAGACGGCCGGGCUGAUUCCCUUAAUGUCUGCAAUUGUCCAACCUAUCGCCUCUUUAUGCUCUCUAAGGACCCGGAUCAAUUUCUCCUCCUGGAUUUUUGACAGUGCCGAUGAGAUAAUCACCGGGAGUGUCUCAUUAUCACCUAGAUAUGCAUAUUUCAGGUGCUCUGGUAGAGGUUUCAACUCCAGUACAGGUGCCUGCACCACAGAUGGCAAUACCCUCUGGUGAGGCUCGGGAGUAAAAAUAGGUAAGACUUCAUACCUUUUCGUGGUGGUCUGCAACGAGUGUAAUGCCCCUAUUGUGCAUUUUAAAUGCUCACUCCACUCCACCUGAGGAGUUGUCUCCAACUCGAGGUGCUUGGUUAAAGCCACCUCCAGCUCAUCCCUGCCAUCAGUUUCAAACACUUCCUGCACUACAGGAUCAAUAGCACUCACAGAGAAAAUUGAGCUAAAGUUGGAGUUUGAGGGAUAUUUCAUAGUAUCAAAGAUAUUGAAAUGCACAAUUUCCCCAUCAAACUCCAUGGACAGAAUACCCUUACUAACAUCAAUUUUCGUCUGUGCUGUGCUCAUAAAAGGUCUACCCAAUAACAGAGGUGAGGGAUCAGGGGAGUGAUCAUCAUCCAUAUCAAGUACAUAAAAAUCAGCUGGAAACACCAAAUCAUUAACUUUUACCAACACAUCUUCAACCAACCCAUCAGGAUAUACAUUAGUUCGGUCAGCUAAUUGAAUGAUUAUUCCAGUUUCUUUUAAUGGACCUAAUUUUAGAGAAGCAUAGAUAGAUUUAGGCAUGACAUUUAUUGAUGCUCCCAGAUCCAACAUGGCCCUUCUGAUCACAGUAUUACCUAUCUUACAGGGAAUAGUAAACAUACCUGGGUCCCCGCACUUUGGUGGGAGCUUCCUCUGCAGGACCGCAGACACAUUUUCCCCAACUAUGACCCGUUCAUCUCCCCUCAAUCGCCUUCGGUUGACACACAAGUCCCUUAGGAACUUGGCAUAUUUUGGUACUUGUUUGAUGGCGUCUAAGAGGGGGAUAUUUAUCUCAACCUUGCGAAAAACCUCCAAAAUCUCCUUCUCCUUCUCCUUAUCCUGUUUCUUUGAUUUUUCCAACCUGCUAGGAAAAGGAGGCGGGUUAGUUUUAACUGUAAUUAUUGGGUCAGGAAGUACCUUUUGAUCUGCACCAUUGCUGUCCUCCCUUUCGAGCUCAUUUUCGAUCUUCUCUUCAUCCUUAUCCUUGGGAAUCACAGGUUCAGGCCCCUGAAUUUCUUUCCCACUCCUUAGGGUCAUUGCGCUCACGUUCUUCGGAUUCAACUCCGGUUGAGAUGGCAGCUUCCCUUGGUUCUGGGACUCCAAACGGUUGAUUCUGGUGGGCAUUUGACCUAUCUGAUUCUUUAUGUCCUGCAUUUAGGAGUCCGUCUUUUGCUGAUUUUGCAUAAUAGCUGCCUCCGUCCUUUGCUGAUUUUGCGCCAUGGUUGUCAUCAUUUGUUUCAGCAUCUCCUCCGUAGAUGAACCAGAUUGAGGGGGCGGAGGUGGUCGGGGUUGGUAUUGCUGCUGGUACCCUGGUGGCUUAUUUGGCACAAAGUUAGACUGCCUGUUCGGCGUGAAGUUGGGUUGCCUAUUCCCACCAUAACUGAGGUUGGGAUGAUCUCUCCACCCGGGGUUGUAGGUGCUUGAGUCAGGGUCGUACUGCUUCCUUGGCGCGGGCGCGUGGUCAGCCAUGUUCACCUGUUCUGCAGUUUCUUCCUGAAUCAUUGGGCACAUGUCUGCAGAGUGACCUAUACCAGUGCAAAUCCCGCAUACCCUGGCUUGUGAUGCAUUUCUCACAGCCUGUUGCCUAACAAACGCAGUCAACUCAUUUAACUGCUGCUGUAUAAAGGGUGUCUCUACCUCAUUCACCCUACGUAUUGGGACAUCCUCUCUUGUACUGAAUUGCUGUGAAUUCUCUGCCAUCCCUUCUAUUAACUCCCGUGCUUCCUGAGGGGUUUUGUUCACCAGUGCCCCUCCACUUGCAGCAUCAAUGAUGCUCCUGUCUCUAAAAUGAGCCCCUCAUAAAAAUAUUGUAUGAUCAACUGCUCACUUAUUUGGUGUUGGGGCCACCUGCGCAACAAGUUCUUAUAUCGUUCCCAAUACUCGUAAAGUGAUUCCCCUGGAUGCUGUUUGAUCCCACAAAUUUCCUACCUUAGACUUGCAGCCCUGGACGCAGGAAAAUAUUUAUCCAGAAAUUUUUUCUUCAAUUGGCCCCACGUGGUGAUGCUACCUGGUGACAGGUAGUACAGCCAGUCCUUCGCAGAAUCUUUCAAGGAGAAGGGGAAUGCCCUCAUUUUUAUCUGCUCUUCUGUGAUUCCCGGGGGUUUCAUACUAUUGCACACGACAUCAAACUCCUACAGAUGCUUAUACGGCUCUUCACCUGGUAAACCAUGAAAAGAAGGUAAAAGCUGAAUCAGACCAGAUUUUAGUUCAAAUGGAAUGUUGUCAUUUAAAGCGGGGAAAGUAAUGCACAAAGGCUGUUGAGUUAAAUCAGGAGCAGCCAACUCCCUUAUUGUUUGUGCAUUAGCCAUGGUGAACUCCUCCUGGUCAGAGUCACUCGAAGUGUUACCAAACGAAUCUGUUGGUUCAACUUCUGACUCGGGUUUUUGAGAUAUAGCACUACAGUGCUCUUCUCUGAGCUGUCUGGUUUCCUUUCUCGUUCUACGCGCGGUCUUCUCUACCUCAGGGUCAAAAACCAAAUCACCUGUGCGAGAAGAUCGAGGCAUACACUAGAAGAAAACCAGAAAAUUAGGACAAAAAUUGAAUCUAAAAAGAAACAAAUAAUAACGCCAGUCCCCGGCAACGGCGCCAAAAAUUGACAGGUCGUCAACCUGUGCAAUAAUAAUAAUAAAUAUAGAACCUAGCUACCACUAAGCAGUCAAUAAUUAAUCCCUAGGUGGGAGCAGGGACUGUGGGUUACUUUUUUCCCGAAGAGUUUGCUUAAUCCGAUAUACCAGAAUUAAAAAUAGUAGAAGUCUCCUCAGGGGGGAGAUAUUUUGUCUCUUUUGUUUGAUAAGGGGGGAUUUUACCGGAAUGAAACUAAAAAAAUCAGACAAUUUAAUUAAAAAUGAAUAAAUCACUAGCACAAAUAUAGCAGAAAUUUAAUUAGGAAUAAAUAAAUUCUAGCCAAGGAUACAACUACUCAAGCACAGUCCAUUUAUCUGAUCAUUGAUGCAGCAGAGGUUCACUUAAUUUAUUAAUAGGCUAGUUAUAGUCCGACGACCAAUUUUUCCUUAAAUUAUUGAUAACCAAGGUACGACCGUUCAUUACCCCUAAUCAGCAAAUACUCCUAGGUACGACCAUAGGAAUUAAUUUUCCAAUUGCAUUAAUAACUAGAAAAAUCUAGCCCUAAUCAAUAACACGCUACGAGGGUUAUUUAAAUUAGAUCGUACGUUCCCCUAACGUUUAAACACACCAGUUGCCACUAAUAUUAAUCAAUCAAACAAUUACGGAUUUAAUUGACUAAAUUGGCACGAGAUUAAUAUAUCACACUGAACAUCGGGCCCUGAACAUCCAAUUAAUAAAAUAAUCCCAUGAAAAUUAAAUCAGACAACAUGCAAAUAUUAAUAGAUAAAGGAACACGUGAAAACUAAUUAGAUCUCACAGAUUUUCGGGACUGCGCCGUCGAGUUGACCCUUGACUAGAUGGAAGACUUAGCCACGCCGCAUAAUUAAAUCACCACACGAGUUAAUAAAUUGCGAAGGCAUUGUUUUGUACUAAAAAGUAAGGAAUGAAGGAUGUUUUCCCCGUUGGGGAAUAUUGUCAAACACCUGGCGUGUGUCAGAGGCCAGUCCCAGGAAAAAGGAAGAAAAAAACUAAAAAUUGAACUAAAGCAAGGAAACUAAAAGCUGGCCGUCCGUCUUCUGUACGUUAGCUCCCUAUUUAAAGCCAAAGGAAAGAUAUCCAGUGGUCCCCACCAAUUGGCCGCAAGCUGCCCCAUUUCUUCUUAGUUUCCUUAGGCUUUGUACGUUGCUUUUUCUUUAAGAACCAAAGGACCAAAGCCCUUUUCCUUUCCUCGUGGUCCCCACCGAAGUCAAAGGCCCAAGCCUUCAAGUUCUCUCUGCCAAAGUCUCCGGUUGUAAUCCUCUUGGUCAACAAGAAUAAAGGGAUGGGAGUCCAGUUCUUUUCAGCACUGUGGCCCUGGCCUGUGACUCGCUUGAAGACUCAAUUUUCUCCAGGAAAUCCCUCAUGUUUGGUAGUUUUCCGUUCUAUCCCUGAAAUAAAGGCCACAAACAAAAUAUAAGUAGAUAUCUGCAAUUAACACAAUAUUUAUCAGGGAUGAAAGGGGAAAUUAAUAAUAAAAUAACUAACAAAUUAUACCCUAUCAAUUCCCCCCACACCUGAAUCAUGCUUGCCCUCAAGCAUGGGGAAAGUAUACAGACACCAAAAUUUGAUAAUGGUCAUUGCUCUAUCUACCAAAUUGCCAAGAUACCAAGAAAAAUAAUAAUCAAGCAUCAAUGGUCAAGAUCCAAGAAACAUCACUCCGGUUAGCUUCUAAACCACAAACUCCUCCAAUUUCAGGUUAACUAAUCUAAGAAAAAGGAAUGACGCAUAACAUUUAUCAGCAAAUGGUCCAACUAUUAACCAAAAUCUCAACAUUAAAUCCAUAAUUCGGCAAGCUGACUUUUAUUACACACUAACACAACCUUCACUUUUUUUUCACACAUUUUUUUUCUACUUUUCUCUCUUUCUUUUUUUUUCUUUUUUUUUUUUGAAUCUUCUUUCUUCAAUAGUAACAAAAGACUUAGUCGCUGGCCAUUUGAGCCUUUUGACGCGAACUCCAACAUUGGCCAGAUGAAGGAGCCCGGUUACUCAGCUUCUAUCGUCACGUGACCACGUACUCAUAGCAAUUACUACUUUUUGACGCGAGAAUCGACACUUUUAGGUGCAGAUCCCCGGUUACUCAGUAGUAACUAAUAGCGGAGUACAUUCAAGUUUAUUUAUAGUUAAAAAUCACAAAAACUCAAUAUAACACAAUAACCAAAAAGAAAACUAGUAUCAGCUAGCCUCAUUUUCAAACAUGGAGAACUAAAGUUAAUAACCGGACCAAUUCACAUGAAAAUGCCAAUAAUCAUUGCCUAUGCCUAGAAAUGUUAACCAAAAAUUAUAAGAGUAAAACAAUCAUCGAUAUUCACCAAAGAGAUAUUUUUGGAUUCAACCACAUUAACUUGAUAUCCUUUUAUUAUUAAAAUUGGCAAUAGUAGAAAUAGAGGCAAUUAUCCAACAUCAAACCUUGGCAUGCACUUACGAGCUAAUCACUAAAAAGAAGAAAAAAAAAUGAACGAAAACACCAAAAACCAUAACUGCUCCCCCCACACCUAAAUCCUACAUUGUCCUCAAUGGAGGUAAUAAAGUAAUGAAAGCGAAGAGAACAAUGAAAUUUCCCUGUUGAACAGCUAAGGGAUAGGAGGGAACAAUGGAGGGGAGCCGAGUUCUGAGACAUCCUUGCCACUUGACGGGUGAUGUUCGUCAUUCGCUCUUCUACGUUGUGAACCUGUGCUUGUAAGUGGCGCCACUCACCAUUGUCGCCAAUUAUCACCCCAAACAACAAAAGACAGAAUAUCCAACAAAGAUAGCAACCAACAAAUGCAAAUCCAUAGUCACUGGUGUUCCCCAACUCAAUAGUCAAAUGCAAAAGCAAACAUGGGCGCCCAAGCCCAAAUAUGGUCAACAAAGCAACAGUUUCACUCCAAAACCAACAAUCAGAAACUAUUAUCAACAACUGGAAACUAGCAAAGAUACGUCAAUAAGCACAGGGACUACCCAAUUCAGUCAGGCGGCUGGUGGAUGGCGGCUAGUCAGCAGCUGCCGCAGGCUGGAGAUGGCGAUGGAGCUGCUGGAGUGGAGGCGAGCUGGCGGUGCGCUGGUCUCGGUCGAAGAAGAAAAGAAAAGAAGAAGAAGAAGGAAGCGGGGAAGAAGAGGAAGAAAAGGGAAAGAAAGGAAAGAAAGAAAAGAAAAAGAAAGAAAGAAAAAACAAAGAAAGAAAGAAAGAAAAAGAAAAAGAAGAAAAAGAAAAGAGAAAAGGGGAAUUGUUUUUUUUUUUUUUUUGUAAAAACUUACGCUAAUGUAAAUCGUCCCAAUUGGAAAUUGCUGAAUUUUUUUUUUGUAAUAAUAAAAUUUUUAAAAUUUUUUUUUAGAGGGACUCCUGUCUUAGGCGUGGGCACGCUCAACUGCUAUAGAGUCCGCAGAUCCUGAACGAGAAUUUCUUUCCCUCAGGCGUGACCACCUGGUGUGGGCACGUCUAAUUGCUAUAGAGUCCGCAGAUCCUGAACGAGAAUUUCUUUCCCUCAGGCGUGACCACCUGGCGAGGGCACGUCUAACUGUCAGCUUCCUACCACAAAAGCAACAAAUCACUAAAUGCAACUAACACUUAACAAAAAUUCCAAAAAGCAUAAGAAAACUAAAAUAAAGAGCCUUGGGUUGCCUCCCAAGCAGCGCCUUUCUUUAAUGUUUUUGGCUAGACAUUGCCAUAUUUAUUCAUGGAGGAUAAAAUCGUGUAACUCGCUUCAGUGCUUCAUCUUCUAUGUAAUCCUGAUAGCCCUCGUAAAUAGAGUAAUUCUUGAGCACACGAGUUACGGUCUUCCAUGGGCUAGUAGAUGGCACCAAACAAACAAGUGAUGAUCUUAAAUCUUCACUCACUCCUCCAUCAAGAGCACUUAUUGGUUCGAGAUAUUUUGCCAUCAUAACUCUUAAUUUAUUCCUGGCAUGAAAUUCAAAAUCGUCUGGUAUAAUAAAAUCAAUCUCACUAACAGGAAUUAAAGAAUAAGAGUCAGGAAAAUAUUGAUCAAGGAAUGGAGAAGAUGUCACCGCAUUUGGAGAUUGUUCACUGGAUUCAUUCACUUGAACCAUUUGAUGUUGGGGUCUCAAUUCUUGCUCUUCAACUUUCUUUUCAACUACAUCUUUAGAUUCUUCUUCUUGAAACUCUUGCAGUACCAUGUUAUUUGUCAGAAUAAUUGCACUCUCAUCUUCCUCAUGGUCAAUAAUAGUCGGUGAAGGCAAUUCUUCAUAAACUGGAGAAAUCAAUUUGCUCAUUUUAGAUGCCCAUUCACGCCUUCCUUCUUUCAUCUCUUCACUCAUCUUUUGUGUCUCCUGCUGAAGUUGAUGUACCUCCUGUUGAAUUUGAUAUGUGUUAAUAGCUAUUAAUUCAACUAUUUCUUCAAGAGACAUACCUGACAUGGAUGACGGUUCUUGAGACUCAUAUUGCUGAAAAUUCAUUGGCUGCUGAAAAUUCAUUGGCCCUGUCGUAUAAUUAUAACUGGAGUUAUCCCACCAUCCUUGAUCAUACCCGUUUGGAUUAGGGUUAUGCCACGUUUGAGACCAUGGUGAAAAAUCUCCAUAAUUAUCGAGUAGGACACUCAGAUUAUCUCGAUAUUCGGGGCACAUACCGGUCGAAUGAUCCCUGGCAUAACAAAUUUUACAAGUUGCAGCAGCCAUUCUUUCUCUAAUAGAGUUUAGUGCCUCUAAAUAUGCAAAUUUAGCAAAACAACUAGUCUCAUCGCCUUCCCCGGAAACAAAAUCCAUUAUAUCACCAAAAUACGGAGUGUUAGAAGCCAUAAGUUAUAUAAAAAAAGAAAAUAAGAGAAAAAUAAAUUAAAAAUGAAAACAAGGUGAACUCAAAAAGAAACAAAUUAAUCUGACACCAGUCCCCGGCAACGGCGCCAAAAGUUGACAGGUGCCGAGCCUGUGCAAUAAUAAAUACCUACUCGAGAAAAAUACAGAUUUUGUAUAUAGCGGUGAGCAGGGUCGAAUCCACAGGGACUGGGGAUAAUUCGUUUCUUCUAGAGUCCAAGGUAUGGGGGGUUUUGGAUUAAAUGCUAACUAAAUAAAUUAACUGCAGAAAAUAAUUGAUUAAGAGAAAUAAUUAAGGGAAAACUCUAGCCAAGGGUACACUUCAGAAAUGGUUCAGGCACUGAACAUUGAUUCACAGAUAAUUCCACAUUUAUUAAUAGACCAGUUAUAGUUGUCAUGCACGCGAUAAACAGCCAACCUUUCCUUAAUUUCUCGAUAGUUAAGGUACGACCGUUAACUAUUUCUCUAACCCAAAAACAACCUUAGGUACGACCGUAGGAUUUAAUUUCUAGAUUGCAUUAAUAAUUAGAAAGACCCAAUCUUAACUAACAAACACGCUACGAGGGUUUGUUUAAAUUAGAUCGUAUGCUCCCCUGACAUAAACCCAAUUACGCCAGUUGCUACUGAGAUAAAGAUAACGAACAAUUACGGAUUCAAUUAUCCCUAUUUAGCAAAAUAGCCUAUGUGAAUAAUUAAAUAUUGCGUAUCUAUUCAAUCACUCACACGAGCUAUAGCAAUUAAAAGUAGGAAACAUAUAAAUACCAAUAAAUUAAGGAAGCAAUUAAAAUAAAUUAGAUCUCACAGUAAUUGUUGAACCAAAUCUUCAGUUGUCCCCUUGACUUGAAUUAAGAGGUUAGUUCUCCAUUAAUGGAGAACAAACAUGCGAAAGAGCUAAGAAAAGAAAACUAAAACUAUGCUAAAAGUCUAAACUAAAACUAUUGAUUGAUAAACCUCUCGUACGUUUCUCCAUUUUUAAAGCCAAAAGGAAGUCUAAUGCUAUCUCUAGUGGUCCCCACACCAAAUUCAAAGUCUUGUACGUUUCUUUUCCUAGAGUCCAAAUGACUCAUGCUUCUUAUCCGUGGUCCCCGCAUAUGUGGACAAAACCUCCAAAGUACUUGUUGUUCCAAGUCUCUCUACGUUGCUUUCUUUGAAAAGCCCAAAUGACUAAAUGCCUUGCACUAGCUUGUGGUCCCCACCAAUUCAAGGACCUAAAGGUUGAAGCCCUUAGAAGUCUGCAUUUUUCCAUACAAAUCCCUCUUUUUUGGUAAUUUUCUGCUUCACUCCUGAAAUUGAUUCCAAAUACCAAAUAUGAGUAAAUAUCAGCAAUUAACACAAUAUUUGUCAGGAAUAGAAGGGGAAAACAAUAAUAAAUUUACUAACAAAUUAUACCCUAUCAAUGUGAGACUUUCAAAAGUUUAGGGGAGGUAAGCGAACUUCUUAUUGUCCCCAGUGUUAUUGAAGUUAUUCAAAUUUGGAAGCAGGCAGGACUUUAAGAUUCAAAUAAUGAAGUGUCCAAAGUAAAAAGUCUACAUUUAAAGUGUCAUAUUACAAAAUGAGACAUGAUGGUGCAACAUUAAUUUCGUACUAAUGCUGAAUUUCUAAUGCAUAUCAAAUGUAAUUCCAAUUUCCAAACCUUUCUUUCUUGAUGGAACUGCUAGCCAUUUUUUAUAUCUUUGUUUUUUUUGAGGUAAUAGUUAACAGCCAAAAAGGGCACAAAAAUAUCAAAAAGGGCCUUGGGAGGAGGGGGAACAUAAAACGUGAAAUCCUUGGAAAACCACAGGUUUAGCAUCUUUACGGUAUAUCGCUUUGCAAUCACAGCUUUCCUCCUCUUAAAGCACUUUGAUCUUCACCCUGUUCUCAAGGUUUUCAAAUCCGGAUCAGAUCGAUCGGUUCAAUCGAUCGAAUCGCGAAUCGAUCAUGUGUUCGAUCCGGUUCAUAGCUUGUGUUGAUUUGAUUAAAAAAUCGGUCAAAUUCUAAAAAAAUCGUUCAAAUCGUUAAAUUUGGAUCGAACCGUGAACGGCAUUUUUUUUUCCGGAAAAAUUUGACUGAAUUUUGAGUCUUUGACCGAAAAGGACUAAACGCCUAAACCGAACGUCAUCUAAUUUCUAAACCUAAUCAGCUAAUCUUCAGUCUACUCUUCACAGUUCAGUGAGUUCACUCCACUACUCCAGUAUUUGGCUCUUCGCCUCCUCGCCGUCUUCAGUCUUCCUGCUUGGCUGCUGCCGCUGCUUUUGCCGACUGCUCGGCUUCCUGCUUUUGCCGACUCCUUGGCUUCUCAGUCAACUACUCCAGUCUUUGGCGUCUUCGGUCUUCCUGCUUGGCUGCUCUUGCGGACUUGCCGAUUUGCCGUCGGUGCUCAGCACGAAGUUUUAUCUUAACAAGUAAACUUGAUCCCUUCGGCCCUCUGUUUAUAUGUAUCAUCAAUUUCUUUUUCGGCCCUCUGUAUAUCUGUCUCAUCAAUUUCUUUUUUUUUUUAAUUUUGUUAGUAUAUUUCUGAUCUUGCUGUACUUAUUUUUUUGGGUUUUUUGAAAUUUUUAAAUACUACCCAAAAAAUAAGUUGCCAGAUUAUCUUGACGGGAAAAUGUUGGAAUUUAUGGAGGAAAAUAGCGGUGGAAUUUUUAUUAGUUGGGUAGUUUUGUUCUCUGUUUCAGUUUACUAGAAUAAUCUCGAGACUAGCUAUUCAGUUUUGUUCUUUGUUCUCUGUUUCAGUACACAGGUUAUGUCAUUGGAUGAUUGCACGCAUGAUUACUUAUUUGUUGACCAUGAUCAGGGUUUAUCUUGCAUGAUCAUGAGGAUGUGACAAAUUUUAUUCAAAUAAGAAGUCGAUCUUGAUGGGGGCCUAGUAAGGUUGCUGAUUUACUGAUCUUGUUGAGCUAAGUUAAUCAUCUAAAGCAAAUGAUUAGGUACAGAACAUUCUAAAAAAUAAGACUUGAUACCACCAAAGAUUAAUCUAGCCAUAAAUUACUUAGGCACUAUAGCGUGGAUAUGAUUAAUGUGCAUGAACCACAUUUAAUUGGCUGCCAUCUACUGCUGAUAAUAUGCUAAGACCUGGGAAUUUCCUUCGUAUACAUAUGUCUGUACGAGAGAAAUCAGUGGGAUAUCUUACAUAUUGUGAUGUAAUGGUGGAAUCUUAAACUCCAAACUUUGUAUAAUUUCCCUGAAAUUACCGCUCAACUUUCCCCCCACCUCCUUCCUCUAUCUCCACGACUAUCAAGGUGCUGGAAAGCAACGUUUUGAGAUUCUUGAUUCAUGCAAGUUAUCUUUGUUCUUUUUCUGACUCUUAUAUUUUUUUUCCCUCGUUUAUCUGAUCUUUAAUAUUGCCUCAUGGCAGAUGUUUUAGUAGCACAAUCUAAGGGGACUUUUAAAAAAAUGGUGGAUUAUGUAAUAUACGCAAUGAAUUAAGGGGACUCUUAUCAACGAAUUAAGGAUGUGAAUUUGAGCUGAGUAACCUUUUAUAUAGUCUCGUUCAUUUUUUUUUUGAUAUGCAGAUGGUUAGUUGAUUUUGUAGUAUGUUUUACAAUUUUUAGUUUCCCUCUAGUGAUCAUGGACUGGUUUUUGCACUAUGAAUUGGUUUACGGUAUUAGUAUGAAUUUUAUACUUUUAUCACUUGCCAGUGAUUCAUAUAAUGGUCUUGGAUGGUGGUAACGACUUGUCAAGGUGGCUUUUUUUAAAGCUUUGUUGUCCUAGAAUGACGAAGAAGAUUAUAGAAGCCUCAGAAAUUGAACUUGUUUGGACCUUUUGAGUGUUUUUUAGACUUAUAUUUUUUUUGUUAAUUCUAAUAUUUAGACAAUUGGACAUGUAAGUUGGAUAACUACAAUAUUGCUGUUAUGUUAAUUAUGAUAUAACAUUUAUAUUUUAUUCUGUGCACAGGUAUGUAUGUAUGUAUGAGUGUGUGUGUGUAUAUAUAUAUAUAUAGUUAUUUAUUUAUUUAUUUAUUGAACCACAGUUGAACCGGUCCGAUCGGUUGAACCUCGACCCUUUCACUUCACCGGUUCAAUUAACGGUCCGAGUUUUAAAACAUUUGCCUGUUCUCAGGGAUUUCCGAUACUAAUUCCAUUGAUGGCUUAAAAAAUCAUUCUAUAGAAUAUACAUCAAUAACGCUGUUAAAUAAGUGUUUGUAAUUAUCAUGCGUUAAAGUAAUACUUGUCAUAUAUCAUCUCAAUUCUGAAAUCUUCUCCAAUACUUGUCAUAUAUAAAACACUUGUUAUGCAGUAAAUACCAUGUAGAGACAGACUUAGGAAAAGAAUUUAAAAGCAUCAUACCGGUCCAAGUAAGUUGCACAAACGUCAAAUGUCAAACACAACAGUUUUAUAUGUUGCAUGAAGGUUGUUAUAUUGAGUCCCUGUUUCAUUUGAAAGAGACACCUUGAAAUAGCUGCCGAAAGAAACAAUCUGAAAACCUGUCAAAAUAUUUUUAUGUUCAUCUUUCUUGUUUCGCAGUAAGUACAAACAGGGGCGGACAGAAGGGGGGGGCCAGGGGGGGCAACCGCCCCCCCUCCAAUUGUUAAAAAAAAAUUUCUAAGUAAAAAUUUUUUUAUUAUUAUGUUUUACCCCUCAAAAAUUGAUCAAAAAAUUCACUUUGUCCCCCCAAGGGCCCAAACAAUAAUGUUUGAAAGUUAUUUGGACUUGGUCCAAAUAAUAGAGAAUUGCCAUUUUUCUUAACGGACUUCAUACAAGUGCAAAGAAAAGAUAGCCAGUUAACCUGGCAAUUGACUCUGCUACAGUUCUUCUUCCUAGAAAGUAGAAACAUCAAAAUCUUCUCACCUUGUUCCGCAGAGAUUUAUUAAAUCUGCUCAAACGAUACAUCAUUAAUUACUGGAAUUGAUCCUUGUGAGCUCACAAAGUCAUGGCUUCUCAUAAUCUCAUCGAGUAGAGACCAUUAAAGGCUUGAAGAACUUUCUCCUGUGAAGACCUUCCCCCGCACAUGGCUAAGGAUUGUACCAUUGCAUUUUGCAUGGUCUAGGUAAUUUUUCUUUUAGCAUUUGCUGAACGUGUCUUUUUUUUUUUUUCAGGAAGUAAAGGGGUUGUUUCAUAUUAUUGUAUCAUCAGAGCAGGCUAAUAAAUUAGACAUUGGUUGCUUAAAUUGACCUGUAAGUUGCAAUGCCAGAUAAACUAACACUGAUCAUCAAUACCAUUUCAGACUAUUGUAGCUAUUACCAUUUACCAGGUUAGUUUGACAUUGCAUUUAUUUAGUGAAAUGUGGGUGUAAAAAGUUCGCCCGCCAGUUAUUUGAUGAAUUGCUCGAGGGGGACUUCUAUAGUUUUUCGUACUUGACCUUUUGAAUUUGGGUGAUAAGCAUUUAUUUUAGUUGAUUCUGAGACUGGUUUCCUUUUCCAAUUUUCAUACUAAUUUUCAUACUCAAUUAGAGCUUUUCCAGAUUCAGUUUUCCUGUAAUUCUCAGGUUCAAAAUUUGUCAUCACUUCAGGAGUUGUGCCAAGUGUUAGCAAAGACAAGAAAGUGAAUGUGCUAUACUCUUGUUGAUAGAUUGAUUCGUCUUAUUUUGACUCUUCCUGUUUCAACAGCUACAACAGAGCAUGCAUUUUCUGCUAUGAAAAUCAUCAAGACUUGUUUGCGUUCUAGGAUGGAGGAAGACUUUCUUGCCAACUCUAUGAUAAUGUAUAUUGAGAAAGAAAUUGCUAGAACUUUUGAUAUAAAUUCAAUCAUUGAUGACUUUGAUAAAAUUAAAAGUCGUCGUGCACAAUUUCAUAUGUCCCACACAAUCAAAUGGAUUUGUAAAUAUGAUGAUAUUUUUGUAUAUGUGAAGUGUAUAAGUAAUUUUCAUUUUCUAUAAGGUUGUUUCUAAUCUUGUGAUAUAUAUGUUCACAUUAUUUUUUUUGUAAAUAUAUUUACUUUCAUUGCUAUGGACUGCCCCCCCCCCCAAAGUUAAUUCCUAGCUCUGCCACUGAGUACAAACUUUUCAUUCUUCAACUUAGCAAUAUUUUUGGAAGUCCAACAAAAGUAAUUUUCCCUAAACAUUUUUCUUUGCUGUUUACUCUUUUCUUCUCCAGCUUUAGUGAAUAACUGUCCCAAGCUAAUGAAAAUUACAAAUGAAAGAAACUGCAUGUAUAGUUUUGUUAAGCAAUCCAACUUUCCGUCCUCUAGAGAGAUUAAUUACAAACAAAUUAAAAAUCUCAGGAAAAAGACACAAAAUUCUUGAUUGAGUGCUUAUUCUCUGUCCACGGACACUUGCAGCUGCUAGACAAACUAGGGGACGAAAGAGUGGUAGAUGCUCCAAGUUAACUAAAAAGAAACCCAUGAGGGCCAAAAGCAGGGUCUGUUUCUUAAUCUAAUUACUAUGAGCUUGGUGAUUCACCACACUCUUUUACAAAUUGAAAUUAAAAUCAUGAAAAGCUUAAUAAAUAUCACAUUGAAUAUAUAUAUGUUUUUCAUUCUGAAUAAUUCCUAUUAAUGUUCAAACAUCAACUGAUAUUUUCUGAUGAAAUAUUUUUAACUAACACGAAUUCUUAUGAAAACUAAAACAUUUAUUUAAUAAAAGUAAUUUAUCUAAUUUCAAUUAUUACAACUAAAUUUAUGUCAUUAUCUUUUACACACUACAAUGCUCUUCAAUAGAAACUUCAGAGCAACUUGUGAGUUAGAAACUUAUUUCAUCAUAUAACUGAGGACAUGAAUGUCUUUUAGACCUUUCAUACAUAUAAAUGCCAACUCAUAUGUUUGACCAUUUUGUUUGUGGGGGGUAAUUUGUGAGUUUUCAAAUUAUAGAUAUAAUCUGCUACUCACUUCUUAUUAUAGGGGCAACUUGUAAUUAAGCCAAAUAUUGCACUUAAAUGUUGUUAGAAUGGAUAGCCCUCAGAGCGAUAAUCUUCUUGCCAGAGCAAUUAAAUUUGUAUUUACUCUCAAAUAUUUAAUUUUUGUUAAAUACAAAAUCUACCAGUUUCUCUUCCGUAAAAAUAUUAAUUAAUGUAACACUUUUUCAAUUUUAGUACAAAUAUUUAUGUAUUUAACAUAAAUUAAAUGAUUCAAAAUAAAAUGCCCAUAAAGAGCCAAUACUUUACUCAUAUAAUGGAUGAAAGCCAUAAAGAAUUAAUACUUUAUGGGUCAUUUCUUUUUUUAGAAAUGUUUAAUUUAUAUUAAAUAGAUAACCUAGCGAUUUCUUUUUUGUAAAAAUAUUACUGUAACACUUUUUGAAUUUUACUUACAAACAUUGAUAUAUUUAUCAUAAAUUAAAUGUUUGAGAGUAAAAUGCCCAUAAAGAACCGAUACUUUAAAUAGGUAAUGCGUAUUUGCCCAUAAACUACACCCCUUAAAGUUUAUUAAUUGUUAAUUGAUUUGUAGUACUGUGUCAUUCAUUUGCUAAUACUACUUGACAUGUAGCACAAAGAGCAAAUCUAGUACAAGCUUCUCAUUUCACUCCCUAAAACAAUAUUUUAAUCGUUUGAACUGAAUUUGCAAAGAAUUAGUAAGGUUAGGGGAGGUCAGUGCAAUUUUUCAAAUCACAGGGGAGGUCAGUGCAAGUGUCAGAAUCCUCAAGAGAGGUUUCUGCAAUUUUCCCUACAUUAAAAUGAUUGAAUUGAUGGUUCAGAUGUUUGAACUGAUAAAGUCAAAACCAAUCAGUCAUUUUGUUCAUCACUAGUCUGCGUUUCAAAAUAUUUUUAACUGUUAAAGUUGUUCAAAAUGUGGAAUACAUUAAAAAAAAAAAUCCUCCCUGAAUUUCUGGUAAUAUCAUUUAGCGUCCCUAUAGUUCUAAAAGUAUCACUUACCUUCCCCCCGCAAGUGAAAUGCAACAAAAAUUCACGAAUACAAUAAUCUUGUUUCAUCUUCUCCACAAAACCGUCAAUGGACUUUUUCUCAAUUCCCUGUAGCAUUAAAUUAACUCCAGCAAGGACUAAAAAUAGCCUCCAUCUUGAGUUGUCAUCUGGAAAAUUGAUGAAAGAGUUUUUGGCAACUUCAACAUACAAUAAUAAAGCGAAAAUAAAUAUAACAUACAAGAAUCUUGUUGUUUGGCCAAUUGACGUAUGCCACAAGUGAAAGAGCGGCAAGUUGACCGUAAAGAAGAGAGUACAAAAUUAUAAGUUUUAAAGUACUAAAUACUAAAAAUACAAAAAAAAAGUUUAGAUAUAGCAAAAGGCCCAACAACCUAAAAGAGGUCCAAAUAAGCUUCUCUAGCUCUUUCGGUUGGGAGUUCUCAAAAAUCUGUCUCUUAAAUUGGGGCCUCCCGAAUCUCUCUUGAUAUACUAACGGUCCAAGCUUGCUAUUAGUCUCUUUUCACAAGAAAGUCCAACAAAGAGUUUGGCACGACCUUUUCUAACCUUUUCUAUCUUAUCAGGUCUUCCAUUUGCAACGAGUUCUCUUUAUUACACCCCAUGACCAAAUGGGUGAGAAUCCUAUGUUUGACAAAUUUUUAUCAGAAGUGGUCAUGAAGUUAGCAACACCAGGAUGAUCUAUACUUUUCUUUGUUCCUUUGAUAAAGUAACAUCCAUUGUCUUGGUGGUAAGCGUAGAUAUCCUACAUUUAUAUCAACAGGAAAAAUAUAAAACUAAAAAAAAAAAGAAUUUAACCAAACCGAUUGACUAAUAAUUUUUUAUAUAUACAUAUAAAUUGUUUGCUCUAUAUUUUCUUAGCUUUCUUGUGUUUAUUAAUACUAUUCUCAGUUAGAUGCUAGAUGCUUAUAUAACCAUUAAGCAUACUCAGAGAUGUGGCAAAAGAAAAACUUCUAUCACGGUUGAAACUCCUUUAGAUUUUCACUUAGAAUGAGCCAAAUUAAAUGAACAUCCCAACACAGCAAAUUUGGCAAUUGAAAUACAUAUUUACUUCAAUUUACUCAUAAAACAAGUGACCAAAUUGGUACACGCAUGGCCACCAACAAAGCAGCUGUCUUUUCUUUAUUUUUUUUCUUUGCAGAAUCGAAUUUUCUGUCUCCUUCUUUCCUAUCUCUUUUUCUUUUCUUAGUAUUAAUAAGUGUGAAAAAAUUUGAGAAAAUCCUUUUAUUUUAUAUUUUUGAUCUCUUAAAGUGAAUAAUCAUUCUAACUUUUUUAUUUUUAAUUAUAUUUGCAAAAGGAUAAAUAUAUUUAAAUUUUUUUGACCAUAUAAGUUAGAUUAAUGAUGAAGUAAAAUGCCUAAAAAAUAAUGUUAGAAAUUAAAUCAAUUAUAUCACUAUAAUUUACAGGUAUAAAGUAAUAAUAACAAUGUAGUAAUACUAUCUAAUAAAAAGGUAUUUUUGUCCAAAAUUUCUUAACAUGUUGAGUUAAAUUACUUAUGGGGGUGAAGUGACUAAAAGAUAACGUUAAGGGGUAAACUGAUAGUGAUGAUAUAGUUUAAGGGGGUAAAGUGAUAAUAACCUUAUAUAUAUAUAUAUAUAUAUAUAUGAUUGAAACUCAUGAAAAUUGUCAAUCUUCUUUUUUUUUUUUUGGGCCUUGACGAAGUCCAAUCUAGACUUUCUGUAACACUUCAUCGUUGGGGUUGUCCAUUGCAUGGUUAGUAAAUGCACAUAUUAUAUCCAUAAAAUAUACGUUCCUACGUAUCAUUCAAAAAAAAUCAUAUUUCAUGUAUUUUAAAAAUAUUCUAAAAAAUACUCGUACUUUUCAAUUAAUCGCAUAAUAGUAUGUAAUAAACUUUUAACACUUUAUACUUCACAAAUUAUAGUUCAAUUUUUUAAAAAACUUGAGUAAGGAUAAUGACAUACUUUUUGAGUUAUAUGCAAAAUAAGAGCGAUGUAUAUGAUAACAACUAUAGAUUUAUACAUAUUAAAUAACAAAGUGAUAAAAUUUUAAUAGAUUUAACGUCUCAUACAUGAAAAUAAGUCUAAAAUUGGAAUAAGCAUAGCAUAGCCUGCAAAAAAUAUAGUAAUUUUAUCCAUACUUUUAGUUCCAUAACUUUCAAAGACGUUCAUAGUAUUCAAGUACAAAUUUAUGUGCGUAACACGUAUUUUCAUGCAGAACUUUUAAUCGUAUUUUUAAAAAAUUUCAUAUAAUAUGCAUACAUAUAAUGUCUUAUAUUAUACCGAUAACGUAUUUUACAAACUAUGGCCCAACGUAGACUUUGGGGCUGAAGUCGUCGUUCUUUGAACCAAAGUCAUUCCGGUUAUUUUGGUUUUUUUUUUAAACUAAAGUCGUUCCAGUUAUUUUGGUUUUUAUUUUGGUUAUUUAGUUCUUCUACCUACAUAGUAAAAGCGCGAAUGGAAUUGUUAAGAAUGGUGGUUGUUGUGCUGAUGUGGCUGUGUUUUAUUGGUUGAAGGGUGGUCGUCAUUCACGUGGGAGUCGCGUGCUUUCGGUGGGAGAAUAAGUGUGUGAUUUUUUGUUGUUGUUGUCCGAGAAUGAGGACCUUUGGUUUUGAUUGAAUUUGUUUCCAACAAGCACCGUUUCUCUGGUCAGCAAAUGACCAGCUGAGUAAGCUAAUGACGGUUGGUGAUGGUUUGAUUGAUGACAAAUGUUGGGUGGCUCUAGGGGUGCAGAGAAUUCGAGUAGCUUGAAUCGAGAUCGCGAGUAGCUUGGUUAGCUACUCGAAUCGAGCUCGAGCAAAUUCGAGCUCGAGUUGAUUUCAAGCUACUUGCUACAGUAAAACGAGUCGAGUUCGAGUAAUUCAUGGCAAGAAAUUUUAGCUCGUUGAGUAGCUCGAGCUUGGUGGCCUAUUUGUAUAUUUUAUAUAUCAAUUUACUCUUUUAGGUUUGUUAGUUAGAAUAUUUACGGGCUUAACCAGUUAUGUUGUAAUAAUAAUGAAGGGUGAAUAAGUAAUUUUGGCUUGUAAACUAAAAACGAUGAAAUGCAUUGCAAACUCUGUCCUUCAUUCGCCUUCUUCGUUCCUCUUCAGUCUUCAGUUCACUCUUCAGAGUUCAGCCUUCACUCUCAAAUCCCAAUCUCAGUCUUUGGCUCAUCUUCUCAAAUCUCAACUGUCACAACCCAUAAGGCAGUCGAGACAGCAGAAGUUUUAAAAACUUCCGCAGUUGAAGAAGGCUUGAAGCUACUCUUUCUUCUUCCUUCUCCGUAGCAGUAGGUCGCACCGUAGCAGUAGCAGCGUGAGCAGCCCACCAAUUUCAACAGCUGCAUUUGACAAAUUGAGGUACUUAUUGUGCAUUUGUGUAGUAAAUAUGUGCAUUAUGUGGUUAAAUUUUAUAACUCUAAUAUUAAUUUUUAAUCUCCAAACCCUAACCAAAAAAAUUGGGGGCUGCAGCCUGUGAUUCAAUAUAUUCCAUUUGCGUAUCCCAUUCCCUCUCCAUUGCUAUACUGGACCUUUGAGGAAAUAAAGGACAGCUCGAUUCCUUCAACAAGUGAUUCGGUAGUUGGUGCGACAGCUUCAAGAAUUGGUAAGUUUCUUGACAUUGGCUCUAAACAUCGAAAGGAGGAAAAAAAAAUUGUAUUGGAACGAAUUUCUGGGGUUAUAACAUGUUCUUGAAUCUUGAUUAAGAAUUCCAUCACUAUUAACGUGGGCCAAUUCGAUUAGUAUUUGACAGUCCCUUUUUUAUUUUUAUUUGUGUAUGUGCAAACUCAAUCAUGUUUAUACUUGAACUGCGCCAUUUUCUCAUUUUAAACUCAUUUUUUGGUUUCAUUGAACGUAAGCAUCGUAUCCAGUUUCUGUAUUUUCCCUUUUCUUUUGCUGCUGCUGUUGCCAUAAUUCACUGAGUUCCUUGAAUCUCAUUUGAUUGAGAAGUACCUAAUUAGCAGUUAGUUCAUGUGAAAAACUUAAGAUAUAAUUUGCAGUACCACAAUUCUAUGAAGGCUUCUGCUCUCCUUGCCCAUUCCUCUAUGGGCUAAGAUAUAAUUCACUGAAUUUUCUAUGAACUUUAGCCCUGAUAUGAAUGUUUUUUGGGAGCUGUUUUCAACUUUUGGGUACUUGUGUCAUUUUCAAUUUCUUGUAAUGUCUGUUUGGUUUGAAUUUAAUGUUCCGUGUGAAAUAUUUGAAGUGGAACUCAUUUUAUCAUUAAAAUGUUUGUUUUUCUAUUAAAGGCAUGUCUAUUAGUCCUCCCGAGGUUUCUUCAAUACCACAUGUGUCUGGGGCUGAUUCAUCCACACCAGUCAUGAUUGACAGCCCAGUAUUUCAUCAUCGUGAUAGCUGUGAUCCCACACAGGAGGAUGGUGACACACAACAAGAGGGAACUGAAGACACCAAUAGGCAGCAAGGAGACGCAACUGAAGAUGAUGGUAAAUUCCGAGUACCUAAAAGGAAUAAAACAUCUGAGGCAUGGGAAGAUUUCGACGAUUUGGAAGAAAAUGGCAUAUAUUAUGCCAUUUAUAAACAUUGUGGCAAGAAACUAAAUCGGGGAAAAACUAAACAAACCAGCAGCAUGUGGAGGCAUCGAGAAAACUGUUCUGUUAGAAAAACCAAGCUUAGAAAGGCUGAGCAACAAACAAAGAUAAACUUUCAGCUGGCAGAUGAGCGUUUUUCAACUGUACCACCAUUGCACACGGGCAAAUUCGAUAUGGAAGCAAUGAGAGAGGCUGCUGCACAUUGGAUCUUGAUGCACGAGCAUCCUUUCACAAUUUUGGAGGAAGAGGGUUUCAACAUAAUGAUGAAACGCGGCUGAUCGGAGUGGCAGAAGAUCUCACGCAUGACAAUAAAAAAGGAUUGUACACAGGUGUACGAGAUAGAGAAAAAGAAGUUGAAGAACUUGCUGAGGCAUGUACAGAAAGUCAGCUUGACCACCGAUAUGUGGAAAUCAAAGAAUAAAAAAUUUGAAUACAUGGUGGUGACGGGGCAUUGGAUUGAUGGAAAUUGGAAGCUUCAGAAGAGGGUGUUAAAUUUUGUUCAUAUUCGACCACCACGUCGAGGAGUUGAGAUUUCAGAUGCAGUUUUCAAGUGUGCAAAGGAAUGGGGAAUUGAGGGAAAAAUUCACACUAUUUCCGUAGACAAUGCCUCAAACAAUGAUGUGGCCGUGAGAUUAUUGAAAGAUGAUUUUGGCAGAUGCAAGAAGCUAUUAGGUGGGGGAAAGCUAUUUCAUGUUCGUUGUUGUGCCCAUGUCUUGAACCUUAUGGUUCAAGAUGGCUUGAAGGAGAUAGUGGAUAUUUGUGAAAAUAUCCGAGAUAGUGUGGAUUUUGUGAACAAGUCUGACGGUAGGGCAUUACUAUUUACAGAAAUUGCUCAACACCUGCAAAUUCCUGGAAAAAAAUUGCUCAAUGAUUGUAGGACGAGAUGGAAUUCAACAUAUGAAAUGUUGAGUUGUGCUAUAAAAUAUAAGGAGGUUUUUCCUCGUUUUCAAGUUCGAGAGCCCUUUUAUGAGUCUUGUCCAUCUUCAGAGGAUUGGGAGAAGGUUGAGAAAGUUUGCAGGAUUUUAGAGAAAUUCUACACAGCCACACACAUAAUUUCGGGGAGUGAGUAUCCAACUGGCAACCUAUUCCUCCCUGAGGUUCUAAAGGUGAAGAAACUCUUGGAUGCACGAGUGGAUGAUGAAGAUGACUUUGUUCGGAGUAUGAUCACAAGAAUGACGCUCAAGUUUGACAAAUACUGGAAAGAGUGCAAUUUAUUGAUGUCCAUUGCAACUAUCUUGGAUCCAAGACAAAAUGCGAGCAAUAGAAUUCGCCUUCCCUAAGAUGUAUUCCACAUAUGAAGCUCAAGAAAAUAUCACCUAUGUUCGAAAAGCCAUCUUUGAGCUUUAUGACGAGUAUGUUGCUAUGGGUACAAGUGGAAGUGCAGGAACGGAUAGUUCAUUAAAUGCUACAUCUGAAAUAGUGUGUGCACCUCGAGCAAGUGCUGACUAUUGGGAUGAUUUGGAUGAGUGUUGUGGUGAACUUGAAUCUGAUGAACCCCACAAGAGCGAGUUGGUGGAUUACCUAGACAAGCCUCGCCAGCCUACUGGACAAAAUCCAAAGGAUUUCAACUGUUUAGAUUGGUGAAAAAUCAACCGGUCAGCAUACCCGAUACUCUCGCAGCUAGCAACUGAUGUAUUGGCCAUUCCUAUCACUACCGUCGCAUUUGAGGCCACAUUUAGUGCUGGAACUAGGGUGAUUGAUUCUUAUCGUGCUUCACUUGCUCUAGAGACAGUCCAAACAUUAAUGUGUGCGGGCGAUUGGUGUAGAAAUUUACACGGGGUCAAAAAGAAAUUAAAAGUAAGUUAUACCUAUAUAAAUUUGUUAUUGCAGAGAUAAAUUAGUAUUUAUUAGUUUGUUUGUUGAUUUUAAAGUAUUAUGUUUAUUUGCAUUUCUACCACCUAAAUGUAGCCACAGAAAGCUCUCAAAGAAUUUGAGCUGCCCAAUGUUUGAAGUUGCACAAGGAGCAAAUAAUUUGCUGGAAAUCAGGUCCAUCUUUUAUGUGAAUUUUGAGUUUCUUGUUCUUAAUUUGCUUUAAGUUGUGUUCAAAUUUUAGAUUUAAAUUGCAUAUAAAUUGGUUGAUUUGUCAUUUGUGUAUGGCUAGGUGUUGUAGACUGUACACCAAAGUUUGAAGAUGCAUAAGGAGCAAACAAGCUAUUGGAUUUACCAGACGUUAAUGGCUGUACUUUUGUUUUUCCAGACGUUAAUGGUUACAUUCUUGUUUUCCCUAAAUUUUUCCUUUCAAUUGGCUUCACUCUUGUUUCUAUUUUUGUAAAAUUCUGUUGAGAAGACCUAAAAACUAGCUAGUUAUUGGUUGGAAUCUGUUGAGAAGGCCUAAACACUAGUUAUCGCUGUAUCGCAUGCCUUUGUUUCUGGUUAUUGAUCAUGGCCAUGAGGUGCUUGUCCUUCAAAGUUCAAAGAAGCAAUGGUAUGUUAAGAUGAAAUUGAAGUUUAGGCGUUUGAUUGAUUUCUUCAUCCACGGAAUGGUUUUCUUGCUUUCUGAUUCUUUGUCAGAUAUUAUGAUGUGGUAUUUCUCGUUGGAAAUUUGAUACAACUGAGGCAGGAUUUUAAGCUCCUGUCUUCGUGUUGGAGGGAUUUUCAUUGAUAAUUGAUUGUUCUUUCUUGAUUCUGUCUAUCGGUUUUGACUGAAUUUAGUUUUAAACUUUUAUUCUAAUGUGCAACUAGGUGGGUUGAAAUUCUCUUUUUCUAGAGAAGAUAUUACCUGUAUAAUUUUCAUGGAAUUUUGUUUAUUUAUGAGGGUGGUAUGCUUUCAGUUCAGACUCUAUCAUUCAUGUUUAUUGCACAAACCUUUGGGAGUUGCUUAUCUUUUGGUUUUUAUUGAAUGAAUAUACAUCUUCAGGUAUAUGAUUUUGUCCAUUCAGUGGCUUUCAGUUUUUAUUUUUGGAAAUCUGCAUAGAAGUACAUGUUUUCCAAUGCAUUCAAGAAUUUGCUUAUGUGACUGAGAGUCCUAUGUAAAGGUUUUAAUUGGUUCUUGGCUGAGGGACGGAAAUGUGUUGCCUUUCCCAAAUAUUGUUCAAUAAGACAUAGUUAUCCCAAUGGCCAUUUCUGUGAUGCUUGACUGCAUGAAUUGCUUUUAUGUUGGCAUCUUAAUAUAAGUGGGCAAAUGCACCCAAAUUCAAGGUCCAAGACUUUAAUUGGCUACUAAGUUUUCUUUCUUUGCAUUGCAAUUAAUCUUGUUCAAUUGAUAUUAAUGUACUUUAAUUCGAUUGAGUGCAUGCUCUUGCAUGGACACAGGCAUGUCUGAGGUUCUUAAUCACACGUUUAGGACGUUUUGACUGAUUGCUAUGGCUGCUAGCUUUAGUUUUUGUUCUGAUUCUGAUAAGAGUUUGUUCUUGUUUUGCUUGUUGUUGUUGUUGCUUUGAUCAGAAACAACAACAAGCAUUUGUUGUUGCUGUUGUUGUUGCUUUAAUCAGAAACAAUAGCCAGCUACUGUUGCUGCUGCAAUACUUGUAAUGGUUUCUGAGCUCUUGAGUCUUGACUUAGAGGAAGCUGAUGUUGUUGUUGUUGCUGUUCUUGUUCUGAUUCUGCCCGAGAGUUUGUUCUUGUUCUGCUUGCUGUUGUUGUUGCUUUGAUCAGAAACAAUAGCAAGCAUUUGUUGUUGCUGUUGUUGUUGCUUUGAUCACAAAUUGCAUGCCUUUCAAUAAUUGCAUGCUGUUGCUACUGAUGAUAAUUGCAUGCCUUUCGAAGGACUGCUGGUGGGAUUCAGGAGGCCUAUUUUUGGACUUGCAUUGAGUUGUUUCUUUCAUGAAAGGGGGCGAACAAACAGGCUGACAAAUUACAGGAUCAUUGAGCUCGAGUACUCGAGCACAGUACUGUGCUCAAGCUCAAUCGGAUGCAUGUCAAGUUUGAGUACUCGACUUGAGCUCGAUAUGCAUUUGUGACGGCCCCACCUCUCCCUAGGUCACACCCCAGGGUUCGGCAGGUCGCCUGCCCAACUCUCGCUGGGACUCAGUCGUUCACUACAGUUCUCAAUUAAAAAUCGGAAUAAAUCACAGGAAUAAAUAGGGCAACGAUCCAAAACUUAAAGCGAAACUUAUAUACAUUUCUAUCUCAAAAGAAAGUACAAACAUCAAAUGUACAAAGGUUCUCACUUUACCAUACAACCAGCCCGUGCCAAGCACUAGGGCGAAAACCCUUACAAAAACAAAGAGCUAGACCAAACUAGUCUAUACCAAGCUCUCAUCCUGCUCGUCGUCCCCUGUUAAGGAAAACAAAACUAAAGGGGUGAGUUAAAAGCUCAGUAAGGUCCUGAACACAUAAUCAAACAAUCAAUUCAAUACAUUAAACAUGAAGUAUCAAUAAUUCAAGAAACAUUUACAAUGGAAAGCGAUAGUAACACAUUCAUUAAAAGGAUACGGGCUCACAUAGAGCUAUUCGUUCGUUCGUUCGUUCUCCUGAUAUUUUCCCUUAUUCCUCCAAUCGUUUGAAAAUGUAUUUUUGUAAAUAAAAUCCCUCGUUCGUUCUUUCGUUCGUUCAUUCACCCCCUUCCUGGACAAUAGUCAGGCUCCACCAACCUACAAGGUAAUACUCGAGUAUACCAAACGUUCACACCCAGGAUCACCAUAUCGCCCGACCGAGUCCGCUUCUGGCUCGAGUCGAUCGAUAACGAAGGGCAGGGCCCAGUUCAGCCAAAAGGCUUACAUCAUGCGCAACUAACGUUUCCAUCAUUAAAUCAUUGAAAAGUUCAUACGUAUUUAGGUCGAGUGCGAUAAAGCACACACUCGCCCAGAAAACUCGUUUUGAAAAUCAUUGAAAGCACUUAACACGUUAUCAAACAAUAACACAAGUCAUGGAGUCAAGAAUAAUAUAGCAAACAAGGAACACUCACCUAUGUACGCAAAAUAACGUCCAAAAUUUCCUUCCGGAUACACCCUCAAUCACCAAGGUAUCCUAAUAUAAUCAAAUGAACAUAUUAUGCUUCAACCAUCAAAGAUUUAAGUGAGUCAAGUACAAGUCGAAUACGUACUAGUACAAAGUAUAAAUAUGAUUUUGGUAGUGAAAAGAGUACAUUGAAACCAAAGGACAUGAGUAAAAUAUUUGUAAACUUAGACUCACUUGUAAAACUUUAAAAUCGCUAGUUGAGUCAAAGUGGCAAAGAAAACAUAAACAACCUAGAUGGUUCGCGUGGUAUUCGCUCUCAAGUCUUACUCAAGUCGCAAGUAUAUCAACCUAGUUCUCGAGCGUAAAUUUGGGCAGCAUGCCCUUUGUAUUUACCUAUUUUCUAGCCAUUUAUGGCUUCAUUCUUCUCCUCAAUAAAUCCCAAAGUCAUACACAAAAUAAUUUCUGUGGCGGCCCCACCUCCCCCUAAGGCGAACCAGAGGGUUCGGCGAGUCGCCUACCCAAUUCUCGCCGGGACUCACUCACUCAAUCAUCUAACAUCAUCAAAUAUAAUUCGUAAAUAAACUUUACUUCUCGCAUAAGCCAAGUACUUAAACAAACCGUUCCAUUCAACUUUCUGUGUCCAAAAGUACAAUUUCAAGCAUCAAAGAAAAUGUCGAACUUAAAAUACUUAAAUUCAACUUAAUUUACAAUUUAAAAUUCCUAAUUCAGGGUACAGAAGCACCACAGGAUUCACAUUUUUCCCAAAGACACAAAGUCAUCCAAAAGAUACUAAAGUUUUCCCAAAGUACAAAUACAAAAGUGGGCAUUCAAAAUAUAACAUUUCUUUUCUAGUUCUCCAAGACUUCAUGCAAUUCAGAACCUGUCAAGGAAAACAAAUUGGAAGGGAUGAGCCAAUAGCUCAGUGGUGCCUCGAAACAUGCAAUUCACAUAGAGCAAUUUAACAAGUACAAAUGGACAAGUAAACAAUUAACAAUUUAGGAAAACGAAAUAACAUGACAAGAAAAGGAUACGGGGCUCUCAGGAGCCAAAGUCCUCGCGUCUGAUCAGGUAAUUUAUAGUAGUUGAUACUCCGUCAACUUUCACUACCUAAUCUCCAUGUAGACAUUUUCCCUAAUCUACACGUCUCCUAGCAACGACUUCCCCCUUAUUUUCGGGCCCAACUCCAACACGAAUUUUGCAAGCACUUUUACAAAGACGGCAGAGAGGUACCUCCCACUCUAAUAGAGCGUGGUACGUGCAUCCGUUUGGUUUAUUUAGUCGACGAGACCACGCUCCAAUCGACAUUGCAACACUUGUACUUGUGGCAUUUCACGCAAUCACAUAGCAUAUAAUAUUUCAUGAUAUCUCUAGCAAGUACUUUUAACAAGUAGUUCAACUAGCAGUUAAACACGAUUCAUGCAAGAGACACUCACCUCAAGUGAAGUGUCUAGAAUUCCAAACUUUGAUCGAGAUUGUGCUCUUCACCAACUCCUAAAAUCAUACAAAUAAUUCACAUAAAUUUCCACUUUUGAGUUGGCGAAUUUAACUCGAGUCAACUAGCAUUUAAUUUCACUCAAAAAAAAAAUUCCAAACUAGCAUUAAUCGUUCUCUCAAAGUGAAAUUCACAAAUUUCGAGUGAAAUUAAAUUUUGAGGUUUCUUUAAAACCAAAAACUUGAUAAAUUCGUCAAAUAUUCCAAUAACCAAGUUCUAGAGUCAUAUAAGCAAUUAACACCACUUUGGUAUCACAAGUUGAGAAAAAUCACAUUUAACCAUUUAGAGGAAUUUUCCCUUCUAAUUUUUCCCAAAAAUAUCUUGGGAAAUUCCUUUAAGAGGAAAUCAUCUAAACCAAGUAAAACUAGUCGUUGGAAUUUCUAUAAAAUAGAAACUCCUUAAGUUUGCCAAAUUCCAUUGACCAACUUGGUUCAAGGAUUUUCAUGAAGGCAAAAACUUGAGUUUUCAAGAAAAUUUCCAAAUUUGGCAUAUUUCUCGAAAUAGGGCAUUUGGUCUAAUAAAAUUCAAGGUUAUUGACUCAAAGUGGAUCUAGUAACAAAGGUUAAUGCUAGAAAACAUUUUUGGAACAAAUUUAGUCCACAUUUAACCAAAACGAAAUCCAAACGUCAAAAUCAUUUCCAAUUUCAAACAAAAUUUCUGUUUUGGGUAGCCUCGUGAAGAAUAAAAUUUUGGUCCACUUUUUGGAAGUAAACUCUACUAGAUUUUUGUCCCAAAUAGAGCUAUACACACCCCUUAACUAAACACAAGUCAAAUUGGGUUCAUGUUAACGUGAAAAUCAUUCAACAUGUCUCAUGCAAAGCAGGAAAAAUUUUCAAGUGCAUUCGGUACAAGCAGUCCAUUUUCUCUUCAAUUUGUCCAAAAAUUUUCACCUACUCAAAGGCUACAUUUUUACCCAAACAAUACUUCACAUAUAGGUUAACAUGUUUACAGCUCAAAUGGUUCAAAAACGUGUCAAAACCAAACCCCAUAUUCGCCCAAAAAUCUGGGAAUUUCCAGAAUUUUUCGGACAGCUCAAGGGCAUUUUUCUCUUUGAUUUUUCAAUGAAAUAUCCCAUUGUACCAAAGCUGCAUUUUCACCAAAACUGCUCUACACAUAUAGGUGAACAUAUACACGAUUUAAAUAGCUCAAUAACUUCACAAAAUCCAGCUCAAAAUUUCGGGUAAAAAUGGAAGAAAAACAGGCCUGCUGGUUCGGUUUAGCAGAGCAGAAUUUUCUCCUCUUUUUGCUCAACCAUCUUCAACUUAUAACUCAUAAUUUAAGUCCAUAACAAUCACAACUAAUUAGUCUAACCUCCCAACAAGCAAUCCAGUUCAUUACCUAAGCAAAAAUUGCAAAACAACAACCGGUAACAAAGUUGGAAAAUUGCUCCCUCAUCCGGCCAGCACCCCAUUUUCAUUCUUAAAAUUUUCCCAACAUUUAACCACCACAAAACACAUAUAUAAUCACAUAAAAUACCUCUAGCUUCAUCAAUCAUUAGCUUAGAGGAUCACCAACCCAACAAGUUUCACCAACGCAAGCUAACAUUUCAAGAACCAAAAGCUGCAAAAAUCUGAAAUUUUUGGCUAAGGUGCUAAGCUGGAGUUUGUUACCUUCAAGUGGGUUGUUUAGUAGCUAAAGGUAUUGUUUAGUUCCUCAAGUUGCUCCUAGAACCACAGAGGGUCAGCUGGCUCCCUUGCUCUCUGUUUCUCUCUCGGUCUGACCACCCACAGCAGCAACACAGUAGCAAACGUUAAGGUGAAGAGAAGCUUGGGUCUGGGGUUUUUGAGUCAGCUUGGAAGGUUCUGUGGUUGGAGGAAAGAAAAAUGGCAACUGGUUUCUCCUUCUCCCCUGGUCCGACGCAACGCCGGCAGUAGCAGCAGCGAUCUUCCUCCUCCUUGCUCGGUCGAGACAGCAGCCAAGAAUGGAGGUGGAAGCUGGAAAUGGAAGCUUGAAGAUUGGGGUGUGAAUGGCUGAGGAUGGAAGGCUGUUAGAAGCUUGGAAUGGCAGCGGCUUCUGCUUCUUCUUGCACCAGAGGAUCGAGAGCUUGGAGGGAAAGAGAAGGGUUGAUAGCUGGUGACAAGAUGGGAAGAAAAUUGGGGUAAUCUAGUGAGUAGGCUAGUUGACUUUUUGGGCAUGCCAUUAAUGGUGGGAAAAUUUUGAAUUGAAUCGCGUUUACGCGCGAGAAUUUUAUCUAUUGGUAGGAAUUCCCCAUUUAACAUUUCCUCAACUUAGUUGUACAUUUUUAUAAUCUCUACAUACCCUACAUUUCAACUUAGGGUUACAUUGCGCGUCAGUGCACAAAAAUUCACCCUAAAGCUUAGUCGAACGCGAACCGUCAGAUAAAUUUAUAAAAAUUCAUGUAAAUUAAAAUAGGAUAUUUAUACAAGUGAAAACAUCAUUAAUAAUAAAAAUACACAUUAUUAAAUAUAAAUACAUAUUAUUUAAUAAUUUCAACAUUUAAAUAAUAUUUUGAUUUUAAUUUUCAGAAAUUAAUGCAUCCUCACAAUUUCAUCAUAAUAGCCGUGCAAUAGGCUCCAUCAGAACGUAUAAGUACUAAAGUAAGCUAGGGAAAGUCCAGAAAUGAAAGUUAAGCCCUAAAACCCAAAGAUACGUUUGACAUCAUUUAGCGUAUUGGACACAACUAGUGCUACGAUUAUCGCAUUGGGGUGUAAUCUAUACCGUUGCGAAGCUAAGAUAGAGGGCUACAACUUUGAUGAAGGGUACUCAGUCCAGUUUACAAUGUUUCUAGGUCAAAUGUACUAAAACAACCCCAGAUUUUCCAAUUCGAAGUUUACUGUGGCAGUCCUGAUUCAUUCAGCCAUAUCUCAGCAUAUACAACUCCAAUUCAAGUGAUUCCAAAGCCAUUUGAAAGCUAAGAUACAAGGCUAUAAGUCUUUAGAAGACAUCGAAAACCAAAUCAGUAGUAUUCCUAGUCAAAACAACCAAUUAUAGAAGCUGAUUAGCAUGUUCGGAUAGAAAAAGGGCAGUAGGGGUAUUUCAGUCUUUUCACAGGCCACAUUGCUCCAAUUGAGCUGAAAUUUUUCAGGCUACUAUAAAACAUCAUUCUCUACAAUGUUCAUGUUUUAACCCAAGACUAAUUCAGCGUCUUACUAGGGGAAACAAUACCGGGCAGAAGGGGGAAAAAUGGAAACCCUAAUCUGGAAAUUUUUGCUUCAAACCAGAAAUUUUCCACUAAUCCUUACAAUUAUCAUACCAAAGCUUCAUUCUAACCCAUACUAGACCAUCAUACAUGGCCAAACAAUAUUAAUCAUAUUAAAACAGAAAAAUCAUGAAUAAAUAUAAAACUUCACCAAGUUCAACCAAAAAUCAUGAAGCAACACCUAAAAUCAUCACUUCAUCUCACAUAAGCCACUAAUUAAGCAUUAUUGAGAAGAAAGAGAGGUCCCUUAGCUACUCACCUUAACAAACCAAGAAAAGAAGCAACUUGGCACCUUAAUCUUCCAAACCACUUGACAACCAACCUUAAUACCACUAAACUAAGAGGUUUUAGGGAAUAAUUUGAAGUUUUAUCGGUUAAAUUGUGAGAUUGAGCAAGAUUGAGUAGAAGAAAUUUGAUAGCUUUCUUUCGUUUGCUCUCCAAGAAAUUCGGCCAAGAGAGGGCAAGAAUGAAGAAGAUUUGGGUCAAUUUUGAUUUUGGUAAAGUUAAAUAAGAGUUGGUCAAGUCCAACUUCCAAUGGAUUCGCGACACGUGGCACCUUAGAUGUCUCAAGCUUAUUUUCUUUCUCCCAAUGGUUAAUAUAUCUAGUUAACCUCUAAUAAUCUCUUAGCACCUUGUAAAAUAAUAGUCCUUAACACAAACUUCAACUAGGGGUCAAAAUGUUAUCACACUAACCGCACUAGCGGGUCCCACAUCCAAGACACACUACUAAUGUCACAUAAACUAACUUACACUAGAAAAAUUAUUUUAAAACUAUACUUACUUAUAAAAUCUCUGGAAAAAUUAAUAUAAUAGGUAUAAUGAAGAAAAUGCAUGUGAAAGAAUAAAAUAAAAUAAUAUAAAAUAUGAAAAAUUUACGGGUCCUCACACUCUCUCCCCCUUAAGAAAUUUCGUCCUCGAAAUUUUACCUUCAGUUGCCUCAGACGAGUCCGGAAAUUGUCGGUUGUCUAAAGCAUAAACCUUUGCCGGUACACUGGUUCGUUUCCCUCUUUCAUUCGCUUGUGAUUUAGCUCCAUCCAGUUGCAGAGUAUUGCUUUCACGUGACUGUCUCCUCGGACAGUUGCUAACUUGAUGAUCGCCACUUCCGCAGAUUAAACAUUUCCGCCCUUUUCUCCAACAAUCGCUUUCGGCAUGAUUUGCCUUUCCAUAGUAUCCACAGACCACGUGAGAAGCCAUCUUUUGGCUUUCUUGAAAACUUUUUCCAGGUCUGAUUUGGCUUCCUUUUGUAGAUCGUUCAUCUACCGCCCCUAAUGUCCAUGGUGGGCGGAGUAACGGGUUCACUUUCUGCACUUUAGGAGCUGCUAUCGUUUCACUUAAUUCCUCCACUACACUACCCGAUGCACUCCUUUUCCGGUUCUGGGAGGCUUUUACCUGUGCCUUUGCAGUCUCGAUUCUUUGAGCUUUCUCAAAGGCCUCCGUAAACGAAUUGACUUAUACCGCCGCUAAUGCUUCUUGGAUUUCCAAAUUUAAUCCCUGUAUGAACCGUCUUACUCUUCGCCGCUCUGUGGCCACCAAUUCAGAAGUAAACGUGGAUAGUUUCGUAAAUUUCGUUUCAUAUUCGGCCACACUUAGCGUUCCCUGGCGUAGCCCAAUAAACUCCUCCUCUCUCCUCUCUUGAACUAAAGGAGGGAGGUAUUUCUCGUUAAAUUUUCUUAUGAAAUUCGCUCAUAUCCGUACGGUCUGUUCUCUUUUCCAUUUUGCUUUAAUAACGUUCCACCACGCUCAGGCUGGUCCUUCAAAUUGGAACACCGCAAAGUUUCCUUGUCUUUGCUCGGUGUAGUUCAAGACUGUGAAAAUAUUAACCAUGGCGUCUAACCAUUGUUCGGCUAUAUUCGGAUCAGAUCCUCCAAGGAAUUUUGGAGGAGUAAACUUCUGAAACCUCUCAAGAGCCUUAUCUUCUCCGAUUUCAGGGUUCUGGGGUUGAGUCAUGGCCAUUUGGCCUUGUUGAUCCACCAGUCUUGCCAAGAUGUCUGUCAUUUGUUGCAUUACCGUCGCCAUUUGGUCUCCAGUCACAACUCUCGGUCCCUGCUCUUAUUCAGCUCUUAUUUCCCUCUCUUCUCUUGGCUCCUGGUCUCGUUUAUUCCCACGGCCACGUCCACGUCCACGAAUACGUCUCCCGUCCAUAUAUAUGUUUUCCCUCUCUCUUUUCUUUUCUUUUCUCCCAAAAAGGUAAUUUAGUGAAUAAACACAAUAAGGUGACUAAAGUAACUAAAAUUGAGGGCACCAAAUACCCAAAUAAACAUAUACCCACAUAACACACCACAUAAACAUAUCAAGGAAACAAAUAAUCUAAUACACAAAUACGUCUCAAGUCAGGCAGAUAUUCAUAUACACAAAUACACAACUGACGGCAUGUAGUCACAAUAUACGGGUGAAUCAAAAGAAAAGGGAUAUAUCGUCCCACACCCAACUAGAAUAACCCCGUCCGGUCUCUCACGUCACUUUCUAUCCGACUCGAUGGCCAUUGACCUCUUGUACUCAUUCUAACCGGACAAAGCCUGUUCAUGUUUCCAAAAUGAAAUUUUCAAGUACUUAAAGCCGCCUCAACUUUAGAGUACUCGGGCACGAAAAUUCGAAAUAAGAUAAUUCACAUCUCGAGCGGGCCAGUCCCAAGAGUAAACUAUCUACAAUCGAAAUUCCUAUCCGACGUACCUAUCUAUGAUCCUUAGAUACCACAGAAAAGAUUUAAGGCCUAUAACAUUUGCAAUUCAUAACUUACGCUCGAACGAGCACUUAAUCCUUCAUACCUAUUCACCACUCAAUCCAGGCUCACUCCGCGCCGAGACCACGUGAAGAGACCACGCGAAGCAACUAUAGGUUAUAUCUCUCAAUUGCUUAACUUUCAAAUCAAAUCGAAUCCCAUAGUCCGGUAUCCUAAAAUUUAUCUUAGGAUACACUACAAAGAUCUGAAACCUUAGCUCUGAUACCACCUGUGACGGCCCCACCUCCCCCUAGGUCGCACCCCAGUGUUCGGCGGGUCGCCUGCCCAACUUUCGCCGGGACUCAGUCGUUCACUACAGUCCUCAAUUAAAAAUUGGAAUAAAUCACAGGUACAAUGAAGAAAAACGAUCCAAAACUUAAAGUGAAACUUAUAUACAUUUCUAUCUCAAAAGGAAGUACAAACAUCAAAUGUACAAAGAUUCUCAAUUCACCAUACAACUAGCCCGUGCCAAGCACUAGGGCGAGAACCCUUAUAAAAACAAAGAGUUAGACCAAGCUAGUCUAUACCAAGCUCUCAUCCUGCACGCCGUCCCCUGUUAAGGAAAACAAAACUAAAGGGGUGAGCUAAAAGCUCAGUGAGGUCCCGAACACGUAAUCAAACAAUCAAUUCAAUACAUUAAACAUGAAGUAUCAAUAAUUCAAGAAACAUUUACGAUGGAAAGCGAUAGUAACACAUUCAUUAAAAGGAUACGGGCUCACAUGGAUCUAUUCGUUCAUUCGUUCGUUCUCCUGACAUUUCCCCUUAUUCCUCCAAUCGUUUGAAAAUGCAUUUUUGUAAGUAAAAUCCCUCGUUCGUUCUUUCGUUCGUCCAUUCACCCCCUUCUUGGACGUUGGUCAGGCUCCACCAACUUACAAGAUAAUAUUCGAGUAUACCAAACGUUCACACCCAAUGUCACCAUAUCGCCCGACAGAGUCCUCUUCUGGUUCGAGUCGAUCGGUAACGAAGGGCAGGGCCCAGUUCAGCCAAAAGGCUUACAUCAUGCGCACCUAAUGUUUCCAUCAUUAAGUCAUUGAAAAGUUCAUACGUAUUUAGGUCGAGUGCAAUAAAGUACACACUCGCCCAGAAAACUCAUUUUGAAAAUCAUUGAAAGCACUUAACACGUUAUCAAACAAUAACACAAGUCAUGGAGUCAAGAAUAAUAUAGCAAACAAGGAACACUCACCUAUGUACGCAAAAUAACGUCCAAAGUUUCCUUCCGGAUACACCCUCAAUUACCAAGGUAUCCUAAUAUAAUCAAAUGAACACAUUAUGCUUCAACCAUCAAAGAUGUAAGUGAAUCAAGUACAAGUCGAUUACGUACUAGUACAAAGUAUAAAUAUGAUUUUGGUAGUGAAAAGAGUACAUUGAAACCAAAUGACAUAAGUAAAAUAUUUGUAAACUUAGACUCACUUGUAAAACUUUAAAAUCGCUAUUUGAGUCGAAGUGGCAAAGAAAACAUAAACAACCUAGAUGGUUCGCGUGGUAUUCGCUCUCAAGCCUUACUCAAGUCGCAAGUAUAUCGACCUAGUUCUCGAGCGUAAAUUUGGGCAGCAUGCCCUUUGUAUUUACCUAUUUUUCAGCCAUUUAUGGCUUCAUUCUUCUCCUCAAUCAAUCCCAAAAUCAUACACAAAAUAAUCUCAUCAUAAUAGCCGUUCAAUAGGCUCCAUCAAAACGUAUAAGUACUAAAGUAAGCAAGGGAAAGUCCGGAAAUGAAAAUUAAGCCCUAAAACCCAAAGACAGAUUUGACAUCAUUUAGCGUAUUGGACACAACCAGUACUACGAUUAUCGGAUUGGGGUGUAAUCUAUACCAUUGCGAAGCUAAGAUAGAGGGCUACAACUUUGACGAAGGGUACUCAGUCCAGUUUACAAUGUUUCUAGGUCAAAUGUACUAAAACAACCCCAAAUUUUCCAAUUCGAAGUUUACUGUGGCAGUCCUGAUUCAUUCAGCCAUAUCUCAGCAUAUACAACUCCAAUUCAAGUGAUUCUAAAGCCAUUUGAAAGCUAAGAUACAAGUCUAUAUGUCUUCAGAAGAUAUUGACAACUAAGUCAGUAGUAUUCCUAGUCAAAACAACCAAUUACAGAAGCUGAUUAGCAUGUUCAGAUAGAAACAGGGCAGCAGGGGUAUUUCAGUCUUUUCACAGGACACAUUGCUCUGAUUGAACUGAAAUUUUGCAGGCUAUUAUAAAAUAUCAUUCUCUACAGCUUUCAUGUUUUAAUCCAAGGCUAAUUCUGUCUCUAACUAGGGGAAACAGUACCGGACAGAAGGGGGAAAAAUGGAAACCCUAAUCUGGAAAUUUUUGCUUCAAACCAGAAAUUUUCCACUAAUCCUUACAAUUAUCAUACCAAAGCUUCAUUCUAACCCAUACUAGACCAUCAUACAUGGCAAACAAUAUUAAUCAUAUUAAAACAGAAAAAUCAUGAAUAAAUAUAAAACUUCACCAAGUUCAACGAAAAAUCAUGAAACAACACCUAAAAUCAUCACUUCAUCUCACAUAAGUCACUAAUUAAACAUUAUUGAGAAGAAAGAGAGGUGCCUUAGCUACUCACCUUAACAAACCAAGAAAAGAAGCAACUUGGCACUUUAAUCUUCCAAACCACUUGACAACAAACCUUAAUACCACUAAACUGAGAGGUUUUAGGGAAUAAUUUGAAGUUUUAUCGGUUAAGUUGUGAGAUUGAGCAAGAUUGAGUAGAAGAAAUUUGAUAGCUUUCUUUCUUUUGCUCUCCAAGAAAUUCGGCCAAGAGAGGGCAAGAAUGAAGAAGAUUUGGGUCAAUUUUGAUUUUGGUAAAGUUAAAUAAGAGUUGGUCAAGUCCAACUUCCAAUGGAUUCGCGACACGUGGCACCUUAGAUGUCUCAAGCUUAUCUUCUUUCUCCCAAUGGUUAAUAUAUCUAGUUAACCUCUAAUAAUCUCUUAGCACAUUCUAAAAUAAUAUCCCUUAACACAAACUUCAACUAGGGGUCAAAAUUUUAUCGCACUAACCGCACUAGCGGGUCCCACGUCCAAGAUACACUACUAAUGUCACAUAAACUAACUUACACUAGAAAAAUUAUUUUAAAACUAUACUUACUUAUAAAAUCUCUGGAAAAAUUAAUAUAAUAGGUAUAAUGAAGAAAAUGCAUGUGAAAGAAUAAAAUAAAAUAAUAUAAAAUACGAAAAAUUUACGGGUCCUCACACUCUCUCCCCCUUAAGAAAUUUCGUCCUCGAUAUUUUACCUUCAGUUGCCUCAGACGAGUCCGGAACUUGUCGGUUGUCUAAAGCAUAAACCUUUGCCAGUACACUGGUUCGUUUCCCUCUUUCAUUCGCUUGUGAUUUAGCUCCAUCCAGUUGCAGAGUAUUGCUUUCACGUGACUGUCUCCUCGGACAGUUGCUAACUUGAUGAUCGCCACUUCCACAGAUUAAACAUUUCCGCCCUUUUUUCCAACAAUCGCUUUCGGCAUGAUUUGCCUUUCCACAGUAUCCACAGACCACGUGAGAAGCCAUCUUUUGGCUUUCUUGAAAACUUUUCCCAGGUCUGAUUUGGCUUCCUUUUGUAGAUCGUUCAUCUACCGCCCCUAAUGUCCAUGGUGGGCGGAGUAACGGGUUCACUUUCUGCACUUUAGGAACUGCUAUCGUUUCACUUAAUUCCUCCACUACACUACCCGAUGCAUUCCUUUUCCGGUUCUGGGAGGCUUUUAUUUGUGCCUUUGCAGUCUCGAUUCUUUGAGCUUUCUCAAGGGUCAACGUAAACGUAUUCACUUGUACCGCCGUUAAUGCUUCUUGGAUUUUCAAAUUUAAUCCCUGUAUGAACCGUCUUACUCUUCGCCGCUCUGUGGCCACCAAUUCAGAAGCAAAUUUGGAUAGUUUCAUAAAUUUCAUUUUUUAUUCGGCCACACUUAGCGUUCCCUGGCGUAGCCCAAUAAACUCCUCCUCUCUCCUCUCUUGGACUAAAGGAGAGAGGUAUUUUUCGUUAAAUUCCCUGAUGAAAUUCGCCCAUGUCCAUACGAUCUGUUCUCUUUCCCAUUUUGCUUUAAUAACGUUCCACCACGCUCGGGCUGGUCCUUCAAAUUGGAACACCGCAAAGUUUACUUGUCUUUGCUCGGUGUAGUUCAAGACUGUGAAAAUAUUAACCAUGGCCUCUAACCAUUGUUCGAUUAUAUCCGGAUCAGAUCCUCCAAGGAAUUUCGGAGGAGUAAACUUCUGAAACCUCUCAAGAGCCUUAUCUUCUCCGAUUUCAGGGUUCUGGGGUUGAUUUACGGCCAUUUUGCCUUGUUGAUCCACUAGUCUUGACAAGAUAUCCGUCAUUUGUUGCAUUACCGUCGCCAUUUGGUCUCCAGUCACAACUCUCGGUCCCUGCUCUUGUUCAGCUCUUAUUUCCCUCUCUUCUCUUGGCUCCUGGCCUCGUUUAUUCCCACGGCCACGGCUACGUCUCCCAUCCAUAUAUAUGUUUUCCCUCUCUCUUUUCUUUUCUUUUCCCCCAUAAAGGUAAUUUAGUGAAUAAAUACAAUAAGGUGACUAAAGUAAUUAAAAUUGAGGGCACCAAAUACCCAAAUAAACAUAUACCCACAUAACACACCACAUAAACAUAUCAAGGAAACAAAUAAUCUAAUACACAAAUACGUCUCAAGUCAGGCAGAUAUUCAUAUACACAAAUACACAACUGACGGCAUGUAGUGACAAUAUACGGGUGAAUCAAAAGAAAAGGGAUAUAUCGUCCCACACCCAGCUAGAAUAACCCCGUCCGGUCUCUCACGUCACUUUCUAUCCGACUCGAUAUCCAUUGACUUUUUGUACUCAUUCUAGCCAGACAAAGCCUGUUCAUGUUUCCAAAAUGAAAUUUCCAAGUACUUAACGCCGCCUCAACUUUAGAGUACUCGGGUACGAGAAUCCAAAAUAAGAUAAUUCAUAUCUCGAGCUGGCCAGUCCCAAGAGAAAACUAUCUACAAUCGAAAUUCCUACCCGACGUACCUAUCUAUGAUCCUCAGAUACCACGGAAAAGAUUUAAGGCCUAUAACAUUUGCAAUUCAUAACUUACGCUCGAACGAGCACUUAAUCCUUCAUACCUAUUCACCACUCAAUCCAGACUCACUCCGCACAGAGACUACGGGAAAAGACCACACGAAUCAACUAUAGGUUAUAUCUCUCAAUUGCUUAACUUUCAAAUCAAAUCGAAUCCCACAGUCCAGUAUCCUAAACUUUAGCCUAGAAUACACUACAAAGAUCUGAAACCUAAGCUCUGAUACCACUUGUGACGGCCCCACCUCCCCCUAGGUCGCACCUCAGGGUUCGGCGGGUCGCCUGCCCAACUCUCGCCGGGACUCAGUCGUUCACUACAGUCCUUAAUUAAAAUUCGAAAUAAAUCACAGGAAUAAAUAGGGCAACGAUCCAAAACUUAAAGCGAAACUUAUAUACAUUUUUAUCUCAAAAGGAAGUAGAAACAUCAAAUGUACAAAGGUCAUCAAUUCACCAUACAACUAGCCCGUGCCAAGCACUAGGGCGAGAACCCUUACAAAAACAAAGAGCUAGACCAAACUAGCCUAUACCAAGUUCUCAUCCUGCUCGCCGUCCCCUGUUAAGGAUAACAAAACUAAAGGGGUGAGUUAAAAGCUCAGUGAGGUCCCGAACAUGUAAUCAAACAAUCAAUUCAAUACAUUAAACAUGAAGUAUCAAUAAUUCAAGAAACAUUUACAAUGGAAAGCGAUAGUAACACAUUCAUUAAAAGGAUACGGGCUCACAUGGAUCUAUUCGUUCAUUCGUUCGUUCUCCUGACAUUUCCCCUUAUUCCUCCAAUCGUUUGAAAAUGCAUUUUUGUAAGUAAAAUCCCUCGUUCGUUCUUUCGUUCGUCCAUUCACCCCCUUCUUGGACGUUGGUCAGGCUCCACCAACCUACAAGGUAAUACUCGAGUAUACCAAACGUUCACACCCAGGGUCACUAUAUCGCCCGACCAAGUUCGCUUCUGAUUCGAGUCGAUCGGUAACGAAGGGCAGGGCCCAAUUCAGUCAAGAGGUUAACAUCAUGCGCAACUAACGUUUCCAUCAUUAAAUCAUUGAAAAGUUCAUACGUAUUUAGGUCGAGUGCGAUAAAGUACACACUCGCCCAGAAAACUCGUUUUGAAAAUCAUUGAAAGCACUUAACACGUUAUCAAACAAUAACACAAGUCAUGGAGUCAAGAAUAAUAUAGCAAACAAGGAACACUCACCUAUGUACGCAAAAUAACGUCCAAAGUUUCCUUCCGGAUAAACCCUCAAUUACCAAGGUAUCCUAAUAUAAUCAAAUGAACACAUUAUGCUUCAACCAUCAAAGAUGUAAGUGAGUCAAGUACAAGUCGAAUACGUACUAGUACAAAGUAUAAAUAUGGUUUUGGUAGUGAAAAUAGUACAUUGAAACCAGAGGACAUAAGUAAAAUAUUUGUAAAUUUAGACUCACUUGUAAAACUUUAAAAUCGCUAUUUGAGUCGAAGUGGCAAAGAAAACAUAAACAACCUAGAUGGUUCGCGUGGUAUUCGCUCUCAAGCCUUACUCAAGUCGCAAGUAUAUUGACCUAGUUCUCGAGCGUAAAUUUGGGCAGCAUGCCCUUUGUAUUUACCUAUUUUUCAGCCAUUUAUGGCUUCAUUCUUCUCCUCAAUCAAUCCCAAAGUCAUACACAAAAUAAUCUCAUCAUAAUAGCCGUUCAAUAGACUCCAUCAAAACGUAUAAGUACUAAAGUAAGCUAGGGAAAGUCCGAAAAUGAAAGUUAAGCCCUAAAACCCAAAGACAGAUUUGGCAUCAUUUAGUGUAUUGGACACAACCAGUACUACGAUUAUCGGAUUGGGGUGUAAUCUAUACCGUUGCGAAGCUAAGAUAGAGGGCUACAACUUUGAAGAAGGGUACUCAGUCUAGUUUACAAUGUUUCUAGGUCAAAUGUACUAAAACAACCCCAGAUUUUCCAAUUCGAAGUUUACUGUGGCAGUCCUGAUUCAUUCAGCCAUAUCUCAGCAUAUACAACUCCAAUUCAAGUGAUUCUAAAGCCAUUUGAAAGCUAAGAUACAAGUCUAUAUGUCUUCAGAAGAUAUCGACAACUAAAUCAGUUGUAUUCCUAGUCAAAACAACCAAUUACAGAAGCUGAUUAGCAUGUUCAGAUAGAAACAGGGCAGCAGGGGUAUUUCAGUCUUUUCACAGGACACAUUGCUCUGAUUGAACUGAAAUUUUGCAGGCUAUUAUAAAAUAUCAUUCUCUACAGCUUUCAUGUUUUAAUCCAAGGCUAAUUCUAUCUCUAACUAGGGGAAACAGUACCGGGCAGAAGGGGGAAAAAUGGAAACCCUAAUCUGGAAAUUUUUGCUUCAAACCAGAAAUUUUCCACUAAUCCUUACAAUUAUCAUACCAAAGCUUCAUUCUAACCCAUACUAGACCAUCAUACAUGGCCAAACAAUAUUAAUCAUAUUAAAACAGAAAAAUCAUGAAUAAAUAUAAAACUUCACCAAGUUCAACCAAAAAUCAUGAAACAACACCUAAAAUCAUCACUUCAUCUCACAUAAGUCACUAAUUAAACAUUAUUGAGAAGAAAGAGAGGUUCCUUAGCUACUCACCUUAACAACCCAAGAAAAGAAGCAACUUGGCACUUUAAUCUUCCAAACCACUUGACAACAAACCUUAAUACCACUAAACUGAGAGGUUUUAGGGAAUAAUUUGAAGUUUUAUCGGUUAAGUUGUGAGAUUGAGCAAGAUUGAGUAGAAGAAAUUUGAUAGCUUUCUUUCUUUUAAAACUAUACUUACUUAUAAAAUCUCUGGAAAAAUUAAUAUAAUAGGUAUAAUGAAGAAAAUGCAUGUGAAAGAAUAAAAUAAAAUAAUAUAAAAUACGAAAAAUUUACGGGUUCUCAUAGCAUUCGAGCUCGAUCGAGUCGAGUACGAUCUUACUCGUGCUUGUCUCGAGUCAAUCCCAAUCUUCAUUGCUCGAGCUUGAUCGAGCUCCUGAUAGAUGUUGUCGUGUUCGAACUCGAGUAGGCUACUACUCAAGCUCGACUCGGCUCGAUUUCACCCCUAGGUGGCUCAAUAUGGGUUGGCCUUAUUUUACGAUAUUGCCCUUCUUUAACAAAUAUGUGCUAAGCGGUGGUGUGCCAAAACAUUGGCCAUUUUGCUGAUGUGUCACUCUUCUAUUGGAUGAAUGGUAGUCUGGUCAUGAGCAUUGCACGUGCUUUUGCUUAAAAAACAUGGCUGUUAUCUUUGUGUUCAGUAGCCCUUAGGUCCUUCCUCAAUCUGUAGCUUUCUUUGUACGUGUGGGUCCAGAUCUUUUUCUUCUCAGAAGGUGAUGGGAUUUGAUAAGAAGGUGAUGGGAUUUGGUGAGGGGCUAAAGGCGAAAGGUGCUCGUAAUCUUCUCCUUUCUUGGUUUCUCCUCUCAUUUUUCUCUUUUUCCUCGAUCUCUAUUUUCCCUCUUUCCUCUCUUGAGUGAUAAUAUGGUUAAUUUCUUCUGUUUUUCAGCCUGUUUUUCCUGUUCUUUUUUUUCCUUGCUAAAAGCAACAAAUCAUUUUCUCCUCUCCUCUGCGUCUCUAUUUGUUAUGCUAUCAGAUUUUUUGCUAUUAAGAAAACUUCAUUUUUUUUGGCUUUGUAAUCACUGAAUCUCCAUUAUAGUUAAUUUUCUGAUAUGAUUUAUUUUUUUAUUCUUUAAGGAUUCACCUUGCAUGUUUCAUCAAUAAAUAUUUUCAUCAUUUUAAUCUGGACUCGGAGUGAUGGCUACUUCUUUUUGGUCCAUUUUUUUCCUUUUGUUAGGUGGGAAAGGAUGAUGGAGAUUGAAGAUGAACUGAUGAUGAUUUUGAUGGAGGUUUCGACAUUCUUCCAUGGUUCCAGAUGUUUUACUGGAAACAUUAACCUUUACCCACCAUGUAUGUGUGUGUUUUAUUUUUUUUAUGGUUUCCUUUUUCUUUUCUAAAACUCACUUUCUUCUUGGUGUGAUUGCAGGUGUAAAGAGUUGGCAUUUUUGCCAAUUGGCAUAUUUUUCAAAGGUAAGGCUUUAAUAUUUUGCCAAUUAAUUAUGCAAGGAAAUUUGUGUUAGGUUGACCAGAGUAGUUGUCGGAUCCGUAGAUUAAAAAAAUUGUAGGGACUUUAUGUUAUGGUAGUUGGAAUUCUAUUUCUCUUUCAUAGUUUUUUGUACUAGAAUUUAUUCUUGACUUUUUGGUGAAAGAAUUGCUUUUGAUGGUUUACUCUGAAGAAGGUAGGAGUAAUUGAAAUUGAUAUUGUAAAUCUGAGGAGUGGAUGAAGCCAUAGAGUUGGCACUGCAACCAGAGAAACUUAUAACAUGCUAUUGUGGCUUCCACUUGAAAUCUAGAAGUGGAAGAACUAAAAUUGGACUGCAAAUAACAAAAUUCAAGGUUGGACGGCCACACCUUGUGUAAGUAUGGAACAUAAAAUUGGAGGUACAUAAGUGACACCAAAUUUUGAUGGUUUACACAAUGACUUGGUUAUUACUUUACUUGAUAAUUAGGAUAUUUUGUUACAGUAUGUUGCGAUCCAACAAGUUGUGCUGACAUAUUUCUUGCUCAAUUAGACUUCAUCCUCUAUUUAAGGUUUUCUUACCUUAAAUCAUUAAAGAUAGGGCAUAUUUUGUUCAUAAAUAACUCUGGUAUACUUUACUUUUGUUGUUGUUGCAAGAGGAACCAUGGAAAUGACUGAGAGUUUCUCUUUGGCAGCCUGAUAUCUCUGAUUUUUUAUAGGUCUUUUUUUAGGAAUUUCAGUAUUUUUUAGAUCCUUUUUUCAUACUAAUAUGCGGAGAAUACCUCUAUUCAGUAAAAAUUUUCUUUUUAAAGUAUUUGUCAUGUAAUUAAGUAUAUGGUCUAGCUUCCUUUUUGUUUGUCAUGUUUGAGUUUGUGGCCUAAAGAAACAGAUAAAACAGAAAGUAAAAUGGUGCUUGCAUGGUAAUUUAUUGCAUAGAUUAUAUAGAAGUGGUAAUUGAAAAAAGUAAAUUUUUGGUGUUUUGGUUGAAUAGACAUUUAUGAUUGUUUCUUGUAGAGUUCUUAUCUAUGGGAUAAUGCACAAAUUCUUUGCAUGUUAAGGCUUGUCAUUGUGCUUAGUAAUUUAGCCAAUUUCUUUUCCGUUUAGAUCUUCAUAUCCCUAUCUUCUUCAUGUGAUCAAGGUAAAAUAGUCACCUACAAAAAGAUUGUAGAAAAUCUGUAAAUUUGAUUUUUCAUCUAAUUUAAACACUUUUUUUUCCGCUUUGAACACUCUUCAAAACUGAUCUGAUUUUUCCUCCUCCUGUUGGUAUCUUCAUGCAAGUGUAUGGUCAACUCAACUUGUAAAAAGGCAAUUUGUAUUGUAAAACUUGAAAUUGCCAUUUAUUAAGAUUCAUUCCUUGAUCCUUGUAUAAUUGUUGGGUUGGGGUUUAUAUAAUAAGUGGCUCAAAUCAUUAAUUUGAUAUAAUCGGAGGUUGGAUAGCCACUUUUGGUGCAGCAAUGGCUCAAGUGCAAUUAAUAUCUUUGAAGUAUCGCUAAGUUCCUUGCUAUUAUUUGCUUUUCUUCCCAAGCUAAUGAUCAAAUUCAUUGCAUCCUUUCUGACACCUGUUUUGCUUUUAGGUGACUGUAGAAAUUACUGCUAAUUAGGAAUGGUGGGUUUUAUUUAGCAUGCCAUUGUAUUGCAAAGCAGACUAUAACUUUGGUAUAUGUUAGAGCUUUUUGAUGCUUUUGUUUUUUGUAUUUUAUAACUCUUUUGUCACCUCUCAAAUAGCGAGUAUGGUUUGAAACCUUUUGUUUUUUCGAACUUAGUAAUGGGUCCUCAGAACUUUGACAAAUUGACGUGCUUACAUGUAUAAUUUUAUUGUUGCAGCAUUUCAGGCUAUGAUCAAUGGAAGAUUUGUGAGACCUACGCACAUUGUAACAGCUAUGAUCCUAUGGAUGAAAGACAUUUAUGUUUUUCGUUGGUUGCUCAUUACCCGCUAUGAUUUGUGUAAGGAUCCUUGCAUCGUAAUUGAUUUAUGCAAUAGCCCAUUGAACUACAAUAAGAAGGUUUAUUCACUAAAUAAGGUUGAAUACUCGGUGGCUGAUCAGUAAAUUACAUAGUUAAUGACCAUGAUUUUUAUUUACCUCUUUGGGAAAGAAGGAAUGAUGUAGCUAAUAGUACCUAGGGAUAAAAACCCAGAGAAGACUUUAAAUUCCUUUUUUUCUUAUUCUUUGUAAAUGCUUCUUUUUCCCCCUGUCUGCAUUAUACUUCUACAUUUGUUGAUGGGAUUAUAAGAGUCCGUGUUGUAGUUAUAAGAUGGUUGGUUUCUAUCCUAUUUGGGCUAACAAGCAUGAUUACAAUUUGGCAAAUGGUGUGCUUCUAGAAAUUGACAAACAUGGAUGCUAUUCAAGUUAUUAGCUCUGGCUUUGCAGUAUGGUGUAAACUAGACACAGUUCUUCAACUGGAUAUACUAACGAAAAGCACUGUAGACUUUUAUUCUCCUUUCUUUUUCUUCUUAGUGUCUUUUUGUUCCUGCAUAUACAUGAUUUAAGCCGAUUGUAAAUUGUUAAAUGGUGGUUAAGUUUUUGAAUUCUUGUUGUAUUUAAGAUCUGAUCUUUUGUCUAAGAUACUCUACAAUCUCCUUCAAAAUUUAGCUUUGAAGAGAGAGUUUUUGGGAAAAAAUUGUAGAGUGGAUUCUAAGAAAUUACUUUUCCUUUUUGGUUAUUUCUUUUCCUUUUACUUGACCUUUAAUUUUUUUUAUACUUCUUUUAUAUGUUUAUCCCUACUUUUAUUGAUUUAUUUGUUCUAUUUUGAUAAUCUAGAAAUAUAUUUUUGUCAGACUUUCUUAAGACAAUCUAUCAAAGAAAGAGGGGAUUACCUUCAAAAAGUCUGUUUAGAAAACUUUGUAAGUGGAGUUGGCUUUGUUUAUAUUUUGUAUUCUUUUCUUUGAGUAUUAGAUUAAUGCUUUUCGUGGGUGUUUUAUUAAUUGUUAUUAAUGUUGGUAUUUUGGUUGUGGAUUAUCUCAAAAAAAGAAUUUGAUAUUGUCACUAGGCUUCUGCACUAGAGGAAAUGUUGGAUACGCCACUGUACCAGAGCAUUGCUCAAUGAAUAAUGGUGUGCUGCCUAUGAUGUUAACAAGAUUGUCAUACUGACACUUUGUUCUGGAAAAGAUAUGUACACAAGGCUAUUAAUUUCUAACAUACUCAAAGAUUUGAGUGAUCGAGAAUGCAAAUAUUAGAGUCUUAGAAGCUGAUUUAGUUCCGAUCUGGACAUUUAAUUUUUUUUCUUCUUUUUAUGUGUUUAGCAAAUCGGAUUGUGUACUUAUGAAUGUAAUUUAUAUUCUAUAAUAUGUUUCUUAAUUCAUGACAUGUGAUAAGCAUUUAGGAAGAUCAUCUUAAUUGUUGUACUAACUACUAUUACCCCUUACUUCCAAGUUCUCGAACUAGAAAAUACACAAUAUCUUACUCAAACAUUGUACAAUUUAUUUUCGCGUACAACUGACAUCGUUACUAAACAAUGCUGGGCACAAAGAAAUCUCAGGCAUUAACUCCACACCGCGCCUCCUAGUUGAACUAAAGUCGUCUUUCUAUGAAGUCGUCGUUCCCUAGUACUUUUUGUUGGGUAUGAAGUCGUCGCUCUUUUGCUUUUUUUUUUAUGAAAUAUUUUAUUAAUAAGGAAUCAUGAGUACACCAGGUGCCCUAUCAUACAUAGCCCACCAUCCGUCUACGGAUCGAGGGAAUUCCCAACUGAUCCAACCUAAUCGCCCCCCGAAUCCAUUGAGGUAAAUCUAGCAUCGACUGAAACAGUUGUGUGCCAUUUAGAUCUGCCCCUAAAUUCGUCAACCGAUCCGUAGGAACAUUCGCCUCUCUGUAGCAGUGAGCUACUAUCUGAAAGUGCUGCUUGAACUGAAGCAAGCCAUCCAAUUCCCCCUGCAUCUCCCAAGGGAAAUCACUCUUCCCUCUAACCAUCCGAAUCAGUGAAAGUGAGUCUGAUUCCAAGUGUAUCGCCAGGAAUCCCCGGGCAAUACAAUGCUUAAUCCCCACUAGUAGAGCACGCAAUUCAGCCCGAAGGUUGGUUAGAUAACCAAAACACUCUGAGAAACCGAAAACAAAGUCCCCAUGGUAGUCCCUCACCAAUCCAACCCCUCCACUCAAACCCGGAUUCCCCCGAGAACAUCCAUCCGCAUUCAACUUCUACCCACCCUGCGGCAUUACCCAAUGCACCGUCCGGAUAAUCCAUCUUUCUUGCCGACAAGUCAUCUCCCGCACUAAUCCUUCCCACGAAGCAUCCGCACACCUCAGCAUUGGGAAGCGUGCCUGACAGAUCUCUACUAGCACCUGGACGACUCGGUUCACCAUAUUCCGACCUCGAAUCCGCUGUCCUUCAAACAUCCCCUGAUUCCUCGCCUUCCAUAACUCCCAGCAAAUUACCGACGGUAUUAUGCGAAACACGAACCGCAAAAACUCAUUGCUCCCUCUCCUUAGCCACCAUAGUCCAGCCAUGUGUCGGAGUGUAUGCACCCCUGCCAUUUCUCCCGAGUGGAUCUCAAAGUACCGCCAAAGUGUCCGCGCCCCUUCUCCAGAACAAAACACAUGUUCCAGACUCUCCUCCUGUGGCUCCUGACAACACCAGCAUCGGGACGGUCCACAGAGGCCGAACCUCGCCAGCUUAUCCAUGGUAGGAACCCUGCCCUGCAUUAGCCUCAGCAUGAAGAAAGAAAUUUUAACCGGGAGACCUUGCUGCCAGACCGAGGCAUAGAUCCAAGAACGAUUAUCAACAUGGCGGACGAGGGAAUAGGCUGAGGAUGUGGAAAAAACACCAGCCGUUGUGGGUCUCCAAAUCAUACGAUCCGGUCCCCGGAAGGAAGGCGGGCCACCUGCAGAACCUGGCCCACUAGCCCAGCAUCUAAGUACUGACGAAGCAUAUUGACAUUCCAUGCCCCCCCGUCCACAAAAUUCGCAACCGAAUGAGCGAAGAAAACCUCAAACUUACCACAAAGCGCUCCAGUCCCCAGCCAAUUGUCAUGCCAAAAGUCUAUUGAACCCUGGCGUACUACCCAGCCGAUGUUAUCCUCCGCGACCUGCUGAACUGACACCAUCCGUUUCCAUGUAGAAGAACACAGCGGGCCAUCAUCCGCUAGACACAGGUGCAGACCCACGCAAUACUUCCUAGUCAUGAACUCCGCCCAGAGCGAUUGCUGCUGCCUGAAGAGUUUAACCGAUAGCGAAUCAUGCACACCCUUCAGGGUUCGCAACCCAACCCCUCCCUCCUCCCAAGGGCGACAAAUGUCUUUCCACCCAAUCCAAUGGAGCUUUGAACCACCAUCGGAUGGCCCCCACAAGAAAUCAGCGAACAAUCUCUCCACGGCUCCCAUCACCCCUUGAGGAGGGGACGCAGCCACAAGUAAAUGUAUCGGCAUUGAUGCUAAAACACUUUGAACCAACACAAUACGGCCUCCUACAGAUAAUAGCUGGUUCUUCCACGAUAGAAUACGAGCUGCCACCGCAUUGUACAUAUCCGCAAAAUAGAUCUUUUUCCUCCUGCCCACAUAUAACGGGCAACCAAGAUACCGUAUCGGAAAUGCUCGUCUCUGGAAACCCAGAAUCUGACCUGCCGCUGCUGCCUGCCUUGGCGGAAAACCCGAGUGGGUCAAAAAAUAGCUUUUCUGGUAGUUGAUCCGCUGCCCCGAAGCCCUGCUAUACUCAUCUAACACCUGCUUAAGCCGAGCUAGCGAGGCUCUCCCUCCACUGGAGAAGAUGAUCACGUCGUCGGCAUAUGCCAAGUGCGUGAUAGCCGGGCACCUGGGGGGGAACUUUGAACGGAAUGAAUUGUUCUUGAGUAACCAGCGCAUUUAGGGCACGCGAUAAUACUUCAGCACCAAUAACAAAGAGAGCCGGAGAAAUGGGAUCCCUCUGCCGAAGACCCCUAGUCGACUUAAAAAACCCGUACGGAGCCCCAUUUACAAGAAUGGAGAACCAUACAUUAGAGAUUAACCGCCACAUCAUGUCUAUCCAAGUUUCGGAGAAACCAAAGCGACGGAGCACCUGCAACAGGAAAGGCCACGAAACCCUAUCAUAGGCCUUCAUCAUGUCUAACUUGAUAACUACGUUCCCACCUCGAUUCGGUUUCCUGAUACCAGUCAAUAGCUCCUGGGCUAGCAAAAAGUUAUCCGCAAUCUGUCUGCCCUUCACAAACCCGCUCUGCUGCGGGGAAAUGAGUCGUGGUAGGACCUGCACCAAUCGCUCUGCUAAUAACUUCGAAAUGAUCUUCUUGGCAAAGUUACAUAGGCUGAUGGGCCGAAACUGCGUAAAAUCCUGAGGGCUAUCCACCUUCGGUAGCAAAACAACCGAGGUAGCCGUGAUACUCCUUGGCAUGUCCGCCCCACAGAAAAAACUCACCACUGCCCGAUACACAUCCUCCGUAAUCACUUCCCAGGCGACCAUGAAAAACUUCCCUGUGAAAUCAUCCGGGCCCGCCGCACUCUCCGCAUCCAUGCUAAACACUAUACCCUUCACUUCCUCCAAAGUAGGUAUCCCAGAGAGUAUUUCGUUGUCUUGGGCAGUGACUAACCCCGGAAUGAGGUCCUUGAUCUGGUGGGGCGACUGACUACCGUCUGCUGAGAAUAAACCCUGGAAAAAAUUCACAGCCACCUCUCCUAUUUGUGCCUCCUCCUCAACCCACUCCCCAUCUAUCCCUCUCACCCGAUGGAUCACAGCCCGCUGUCUUCUCUCAGUGACCACCGAGUGGAAAAACUUGGUAUUCUUGUCUCCCUCCCGAAGCCACUUCACCCGUGCCUUCUGCCGCCAAAAACCUUCCUCUACAUUCAGAGCGUACCUCAACCGUGUCUGUGCAUGAUGUAACUCACUCCUUAGCAAACCCGUCGGAUCCAGGUCAUACCUCCUCUCCGCCUCCAUUACCUCCCGCUCGGCGCCCCGUACCGCUACAAAGAUGUCCCCGAAAGUUUGCCUCGACCACUGCCUCAGAGCCUGUUUAGCUCCCCAUAACUUCAGUGCCAAUAUCUGCAUGGGAGGCCCACUAACCGGCAGCGUCCAGCAAUCUCUAAUUACCUCCAAGAAACCCUUGUGCAUGGUCCAGAAAUUCUGGAAUCGAAAAGGCCUAGGUUUGUCAUCCAGUCGCGUAACCACCGACAAUAGCAAUGGCGAGUGAUCCGACGGAUCACAUCCCAAAUGUUGGACAGUGACCUGGUGCCGCAGAUGCAGAGCUGCCCCAUUCACCAACAACCUAUCCAGCCGUUUCCAAAUUCGUGCUGUGUCCGGGCGAUUGUUACACCAAGUAAAUCGCGAGCCCGAGAAACUAACAUCGCUUACCCCCGCCUCUGCCAUGAACUGCAAGAAAUCCAAGCCCUCUCGAGUUCUGAAAGGUAAACCGCCCCUUUUCUCCCUCUCACUAAUAAUCACAUUGAAAUCCCCCACCAGAAACUAUGGUGCCGAGGCCGGCUUAUCUCUUAAUAGGUCAGCCCAUAGAACUUGCCUUUCCUGCUCUGUGCACUUGGCAUGAAUACCAGAGAAAGUCACAGGAGAAGGAAACAACUGGGACUGAAUCUGAACCGUUAAAUGCUGGGGGGACUCCCCUAUGCAAGCACAAUUAAACACAAAGCGAUAAAACAACCAAACAGUCCCCCAUUGAUUAGCCAUGCCCCAAUCCAUCCCCAAUUUCAUUCUUAUGGUCGUGAUGUUUUGGAUACUUGUCUUAGGUUCAACAACAACAACCAGCUGUAUGGAAUGCAUCUUAAUAAUCUUUGUCAAACGUUUUAAAUUAGGAGGACGAGCCAUCCCAUGAAUAUUCCAAAAUAAAAAUUUAAUCAUGGGAUAAAGCAGAGAAAGCAUUUUUGGAAACAUUUACCCUAGGGCGCAAGGUUCUGUCAGAGGGAAUUCCAGCCCGGAGGCCGCGAGUACGUACCUUCGAAGGACUACCGUGUCUUGCACCCACCUGAGUUCUGUCAUGAGUAAGCCCCACUGGGUCCAAAUUCAAUGCCUCCAUCUGCGACACCUCCUCCUGCGCUCGUAAUCUGGGACUACCACUCCUGGGAGACAGGUUUCCUACCCUCCGCUGGACCUCCAGGAGCUCUACCUCCGCCCGCGAGGGCCAUUCCUACCACGGCUCAGAGGGCACCACUCCAUCCCGUUCGUGUUGCUCAUCAACCAACCCGCCACUACCCAAGGCAUCGCAUCCCUUCUCGCAUGGAACUUCCGCCAUGACCCCUGCGCCUUGCUUCCCUGUCACCUCAGCUUGCAGCGUAGCAGCCCGACAGUACACUUGAGUGUUGGACUGCCCUCCCAAAUCUGUGAUCGUGCAACCUGUCACCUGCUCCUGCUUUUGCUGUGCCAAAGCUGCCCCUUGCGGCUGGAGUAACCCAGCGUCCUCCACCACGCGGUCCAUUCGGCGGCCCUUCUCCUCCGAGUGACCCUCCUGUCUCACCAAUGGGCCCUCAGGCUGCGCGACCAGUGGAGGCACUUGCUCAACCACCCCCAUAGUUUCUUCUCCCCCAGCACUCCCAGCUGCCACAGACGGAACCAACACCCCUUGCCCAGCCUCUAUCGUGCCCGCACAAUCACCACUUGUAUCUUCUCCUCCCACAUCUGUAGCCAACACCUUCACCCGCUGCUGAAACGUCUGCUUCACCUUAAGCCUAGGUGGGUCUACUUUCAAACCAGGGUUCUUAACUCUACACUCCACCUCCCCAUGGCCCUGAUGAAAGCAAUGCCCGCAAUAUCUGGGGAGAUGUUCAGCUACCAACGGCUGCCAGAAGCCAACUCUAUCACCGAACACUAUCCACACCCGAGUGGGGAGUUCUCUCAGAAGAUCAACUUCCACGCAUACCCGUGCAGCAUUAGGCCUUGUUCCCUGCGCCGUCGCAGCAUCCACGCAUAGAGGCUGUCCCAAGCAAGACACUAUGGGGAACAAGCACUCCUUUUGGAACAGAUGCACCGGCAAUUUCGGCAACGAAAACCAGACUGGAACGAUCGACGUCUCUCGAUCCACAUGGAAAUCGAUGGACCAUUUAAACACUCUCAUGGGCAAUGCCCUGAUAUACCAGAUUCCCCUUCCCCAAACUCUGUAGUAAUCUGCUUCAUCCGAUAAACGAAUUAAAACAUGUCUCCUCUCCAGCAACCCAAUAGAAAAUUGAGCCGUCAAAUCCAUCGCCUGGAAGAAUCUGCGCAACUCCUCUAGCAGUGGUCGCCCUCUGGAAAAUUUUCCCACUAGAGCAUAUUGGAAGGGAAGGGCAACGCGCUCUAUGUCCACCAUGUCAAAAGACACUGCCGGUUCCCCGCGGUGAGUAGCCACCACCGGGUUCACCUUCGGACCUCCUGAAUUGGAAGAAAUAGACGAGAAAGAUUUGGCAUUGAAGCCCACCGCUUUGGACGCCACAACCUCAGCAAACGACCGCCCUACACCAGUCGGAGCCGUGGUCAGGCGGCCCCCUCCCCCGAAGAGGAGGAGAUGGCGGCCAUGGCGGCCAAGUCUGACAAAAACCCUAAUAUACUAAAAAUAGAAACCUCGCCUCAUGCACGGAACAUGGUAGCUUACCGAAUGUGAUAUUUAUGUUAUUCUAACUCCAGAAAAAGCAAAUGAUCGUUCUUUUGCUUUUGUUUGGUAAGAAGUCGUUGUUCUUUUGUGCGUGUCAAUGCCUUUUCCUUUAAGAAAUGAAACGCUUAAUAACAAAAACGCGUGCACUUGCACGUGCUGUUUAUGUUUGCUUUUUUUUAAAAAAAAUAUAAUUGAAGCUCAUGAAAAUUGUCUAAUAGCUAUGGAAUGGGGAUUGUAUGUUAAAUUUUCUUAACUGAUAUGUCUAUUUGUAUCUCUUGUAUCUAGUAUAGGUUUUCUUAUGUACUUGAGAGCUUUUUUUGUUCCGUUUGGAUUGGGGAUUUUUUGAAAAAACAAAAUUUUCAACUACAAUGUUACAUUAAUAUACAAAUAAAAAUAACUUCAAAAAUACCAAAAAUAAUUUCAAAAAUACCAAAAAACAAAAAAAAUCUCAAAAAUAUAAAAAAACAACUUCAAAAACACAUAAAAAACAACAUUAAAAAACACAAAAAAUACAAUGAAAACCUAAAAAAUAACCUUAUCUACAGUAAAAGUUUUUAAACUAUAUUGCUAUAGUAAAAUAUUUCACAAAUACCGCCCAAAAACAGCUAAUCCAAACGGAGUGCAUAAACAAGAAAAAAAAAACUUAUAAUAGCAAAUUUAAUAUUUGUAAAUUGAGGAUUAUCAUAUUUUCCUUUCUUAAUCUGUUUAGCAACCAUUUGUCUCCAAAUCUUUUUCUUUAUAAUUCUUGAGAUUUUUUCAUGAAUAUUUUGUUUCUUCUAGCUGUUGAUUUCUUAUUCUGAUGGUUGGCUAUUAUUUUAUUUGUUCUGCCAGAGUGAUUUUCUCAAAAUGCCCAAGUUAGCCUUCGCUAAUCAAUCCCUUUUAACAUUUCAACUAACUUUUUGUUCUGCCAGAGUCAAACUUGCAAGGCUGUUUCGGCUAACCAUAGUCGGACAAUCGAGUGGUCACGUAGAAAUUCAGAAUGCUAAAUUUAAUGAACACGAAUACAAGUAGAACUUUUUAGAUGUAAAGUUUGAAACAAAAGCUACAAAAAGGAUUUCUUUUUUUGAAUUAGACCAAGUUAUGAUUUUUAUAGAUAAAUUUCUGCGCUGCUAUGGAUUCUGUGAUCACCGACACUACCAUCAAAUAAACCGCAAACAAGGUAACUUUCAUAUUCUUCCUGCAGUUUAAUAAGUGAAUAAGGAAGAAAAGAAUUUGUCAAAAAAACAAAGAAUUAAUUUUUACCAUUUUUAUUUAGAUAUUCAAUAACCUCAAGAAAUCUGUGAAUACAUGAAUACCAAAGGUGAGAUAUAUCAUAUAAGAGGAACUUGCGACAUGGAGGAUGGAGGAAAAGUAAAACGAUGGAGGUGACAGAGUACUAAUAAGUAAAUUCACCGUCAAUAUUUUUCAAUACUAAAUAACAUGCAUUCUUUUUGGGUUAAUAUUUAUUUUUAGGGAAAUUCUAUAGUACCUUUUAGAUCCUAUAUUGAUGAAAUUAAAUUUAUUAUUGAAUGAGAGUUAGGAAUUGUUAGAUUAUUUCAAUAAUUUGAAUCAUCUGAUGAUGUGGCAAAAAUGUAAUUGGAUUAAAAUCAUGAUACAAUGUUCAAUAUUUUUAGCAUUUUCAAGGAUCCGCCGUCAAUAGCUUUUUUUUUUCAAUCCUAUAGUAGUACGAAUUCUUACUUAGGUUUCAAGGAAACAUGGUAAGUUUUCUUUGGUUUCUCCUUUUUUUUAUCUUUGUUCCUCUAAAUUCCCUCUAUUGUCUACAUCUUACUAACCUUAUAAAUAAUCGUAUGCACUUUAUCUCAGAGAAAAUAUUCUUUGCAAUUACACUCUGUGUUGGUAAUUUUCACAAGAGAAAUCCAACAAGGCACUUAUAUGUUAUCAAAGAAUAUUCUCGAGCAGAAAAAAAAUUUUUUAUUCCAACUUACAACUUACAUGUGUGAUGCACAGUUUGUUGAGACUUCUAAAAUAGCAUGGAAAAUAAUAGAAUAUCCAAGAACAUUAGAGCACGGAAAAUUAGAAAUUAUUUUCUCAAGAAAAUAAUUGCAAACAUAUGUUUCAAAAAGAAGCUAAAACAUACUUUCUUUUCGACGAAAACAUUCCAUUUGGUUUUUCCACAGUUUUGUACAUGUUUAAGGGUCUUAAUUGGUCAGGGACUUUAGUGGAAUAAUUGAUGUUUGUGAAGGCAUUUUUGUACACGGAAUUCGUAAGCAAAAGUCAAUUAUCUAUAGAGAUUUUCGAGUGACAUGUAGUUUGUCGAAUUAUAGCAAUGGUGACGUACCUGACCACUCCAAUUAAACAACUAUGGAUUUCUUUAAAUAAUUGUAUUAAAUAGGAUUUGAUUAAACUAUUAAUUCUUUGAAUCUAAGAUUAGAUUGAAACCAUAGUUAUUAAACCCGAUCCGAAAAGGAACUCGGCGAGCAUGAUGGGUCAACGGGUCACUGAUUCAACUAAUGGAUCAUUAAAUAUAUUUAAAUAUUGUGUUUCAUAAUUUUUGAUAAAGAGUAUAUGAUAUAAAGUAUAAUAAACAAUGUCAUAGCAAAUGCUCAUUUAAUUUAAUUCGCUACAAAAUAAUUAAUUCAUAUAAGAAUCAACAAAACAUAAAUUUAAUUAGUAAUCCAUGAAACUUCAAGUAUAAAAUUUUAUCUAUAUUUAGUGUAAUUAGCAAGGUUAUUUUAUGAAUUUUUAAGUGCAAAAAAUUUUUAAAAAUAAUAUUUGUCUUUAAAAUAAAUUAUGUAAUAUGUUAUUUUUGAAAUCCAAUUUAUAACUUAUAGAAUUUGGGGGGUCAUAAGUUUUUAUUAAAAGAUUCCAAAUAAAUUUGUUUUAGAGAAAUAAAAAAAAUAAAGAUAAAAUUUACAAAAUAUUCAUAUAGCAUAAGAAGGCCAAUUAACUAGCAUAUGACAAAGUGGUCUAGUGGUAAGCAUAUCGUAGAUACAUGCUUAAAGUCUCGCAUUCGAAUCUUAGCAAGAGUUUGGUUAAAUAUUUCCCAUAAAAUCGGGUGGGUUCUUAGUUUAAUCCGAUUGAACCGUUGAGUCCUGUUACUCUUGAUUUUGAUGAUCACAAAAGCACUUUGAAAUGUUUAUCUAAUUUUCUUCAAAUAUAAAAAUUUUGCUUUUUAGAGAAUCAGGUACAAAGGAAUCAAGGAAAGAAAAUCAACCAAAAGAAGAAGUAAAAACAGGGUACUCAUACCGAACGUCCAAAAGGAAUCUGUCGGACGUCCGAAAGGAUGAAGAACAUCAAGAAAGAAACUCCAUCGGACGCUCGUGAGGAAGCAUCGGAAUCGGACGCAUGUUUCGGACGCACAUCGAUCGCAUCGGACGUCCGAAAAAUUUAGCAAAACCUUGAUAACUCUCUGACGACGUUCGGACGCAGAAGCAGACGGGCGAUGAUAUCCCAUCGGACGUCCGAACGAUAACCUGGCUGAUUUUCGGACGAUGGGAUCAGACGAUGAUUAUGCUGUCGGACGUCCGACAGUCCCAACGGCUAGUUGACUCUUCAUCUACCUUCUAUCCGUUGGAUGUAUUGAUGAAACCCAUUUUUGGUCCCCUUUAAAUACAAAUGAUUCUGAACCUGAGAGGGACUUUUGCACACUUUGUUUACAAGAUUUCAAGAGAUAUUUUAGUUAGAAAAUAGUCUCCUAAGCAAGAUUUGUUCUCCAAGUGGUGUUAAUUUCUUGUUAGUUCUUCUCUUGUGUUUGAAAUUGUCAAUAGUGUAGCUUUGUUGAGGGUUAUCUGAGUGAUAGUAAAACUUCCUAACUUGACUAAGUGAGACUUGGGGCAAGGAGGAAGUGAUCCCUCCAUUGUACAUUGAGUUGAUUUUGUUCAUCAAAGAGAAGGUGCUCAUCAUUGUGAUUGGUCUUCAAGUUUGAGGAAAACUUGGUAGACAAUCGGUUUGAUACUCUAUCUUAGUCUUUUUGUUUAAUAAAAUUCCCAUUGCUUAUAUACUCUCUUAUUUCUGAUCAACAUUGUUAUUUUCUUUAAAUUUACUUGGUUGAUCAUUACUUGAAAAGAAGGUAAAUUUUUAUUAAAGAAAAAGUGCAUAAACUCAAUUAAGUUUUUAAUCAACCUAAUUCACCCCCCUCUUAGGUUGUCUUUGGGCCUUACAAUUGGUAUCAGAACUUGGUCUCCUUGAGGCUAAGCUCAAUCGGUUUGGAGUAAAGAUGACAACCAAUCAUGCCAUGUUUGUUGAGGAGCAAUCUGUCACUAGGCCUCCCAUGUUUAAUGGUUCCAAUUAUGUUAGUUGGAAAGAAAGAAUGAUUAUUUUUUUGUAAUCCAUUGAUAUUGAGCUAUGGUUUAUUGUGAAUGAAGGACCGCAUGAUGCUAACAUUCUUGAUGCAGAUGCAGGUUUGUUUCGGCCAAAAACAAGAGUUGAAUUGAAUGCUUAAGAUAGAACAAAUCUCACAUUGAAUGCCAAAGUCAUGAAUGUUCUUUAUAGUGCCUUAGACUCAAAUGAAUCAAUUAGAGUAAAAGGAUGUAAAUCUACCAAGAAAAUGUGGGAUACGCUAAGAGAAAUUCAUGAGCAUAAUGACAACGUGAGAGAACAGAAAAAGUCUAUCUUGGUCACAAAGUAUGAAUCAUUUAGAAUAGAACCUCUUGAGGACAUUGACAAAAUGUAUUGCAGGUUCAAUGACUUGAUCAAAGAUCUCGAGGUGUUGGGCAAAGAGUACACCUUGGGUGGGAAAAACAGGAAAAUUCUCAAUACGUUGGGCAAAGAAUGGGAAAGUAAAGUGACUGCAAUAGAGGAGGCUAAGGAUUUGAAUUCUGUACCUAUUGAAUUCCUCAUUAAUUCUCUAACAUCCUAUGAGUUGAAAUUGAAAACUAAAGUGCAGGAGAAAGAGGACGCGAGGGCAAAGAGAAACAUAGCUCUAAAGAUAGUUCAAGGUGAAGAUGAUCCAACUCUGUUGGAUGAUGAAGACUCGGAUGGUGAUGACAACGAUCUUUCUCUCAUCACAAAAAGUUUCAAGAGAAUCUUGAAUAAAAGAAAGUUUAGAAAGGGAGGACCUAGCAAUCAAUUCCAGAAUCUGCCUUCAAAUGCAAGGAACAAAGGAAAAUAAAAAUUCAACAAGAAACUACUGGACAAAUGCUACGAAUGUGGACAGCCUGAACACUACACAAAUGAAUGCUCCCUGAAGAAAAAGAAAGAUGGAAAAGCUGAUCGAAAACCAAGGUUCAACAACUUCCAGAUUACAUGGAAUGAAUGUAACUCUGAAGGCGAAGUUGAAGAAGAGGAAGAAUCAGCUCAAAUGGCCUUUAUGGCUAUUGGUGAUAAUGAGGUAAGUUCCAUGCACUCUCAAUCUGAAAGUGAUGAUAAUCUUGAAUCCUUUGUUGAAAAACUGUAUAAUGCCUUGAAGGAAUCUUAUGAUAAAAACAAGCAGCUAAAACAGAAAAUUAUUUUUCUCAUUCAAGAAAAUGCAAGUCUUUUUCAGCAAAAUAAAUAACUAAAGGCUGACAAUGAGUGCCUUAUGAGAGCCGGAUUUGAUGUUCAAAAUGAACUUGACAGAAAGACUAGUCUUUGUAAAAUGCUAAAGGAAAGGCAUGGUGAUUUGAAGAAAAGAAUGGACAAUUUGGAUGAGACCUUAAAGGCUAGAAAACAAGAUUAUCUCAAUAAGAACAUGUCAACCACCUUUCUUACUGCUCAUGAAAGAACAUUGGCACACAACAAAUAUGCAUAUGGUUUCACAACAUAUAGAAGGAGUGGAGUGAGAUAUAUCAAACCAUUACUUGUUAAAAACUCUUUCACUAUAUGUAGUUUUUGUUGUCAAAAAGGACAUUUGAAAGGAGAUUGUUAUGUGAAAAGAAAUCUGAACAAAGGAAUGAGAUGCAUGUGGUUAGUUAGACACAAUGCUAACUAUUGUGGACCCAAAAGUUAAAGGGUACCAAACACUCUCUCUUUUCAGGAAAAAAGCUCAAACAAGUCCAAAUGGUUCAUUGACAGUGGCUGUUCAAGGCAUAUGACCGGUAAUCCCUCUUUGUUCAUAAAGCUAAAAUCAAAAUCAAGUGGAAAGGUGACAUUUGGUGAUGACGUGAAAGCUAAGACAAUUGGAAUAGGUGAUGUUGGUAAGGAUGGUGAAACUUUUGUUCAUAAUGUGCUCUUAGUUGAUAACUUAGGUUAUAAUUUGCUUAGUGUUAAUCAAUUAUGUGAUAAAAACUUGAAUGUGCUGUUCAAAAAGCAUGAAUGCAUUGUGUUUGAUUCUAAAUAUAAUGUUGUGUUCAAAGGUAAGAGGUUUAACGAUAUUUAUAUUGUUGUUUUUGAUAAACUUGAUUCAUCUAACUUCCAAUGUGUUAAAGCUUCAAAUGAAAUUCCUUGGUUGUGGCAUAGGAGACUUUGUCAUUUUAACAUAGAAUUACUAAAGGAAAUUUCGAAAAAGGAGUUGGUUAGAGGCUUGCCAAAAAUCAGUUUUGAAAAGGACAAAAUUUGUGAUGCAUGUCAAUUUGGGAAGCAAACAAAAGUUUCUUUUAAACCAAAGAAGUGUGUAUCAACUUCUAAACUUUUGGAACUCUUGCAUCUUGAUUUAUUUGGUCCUACUCAAAUUACUAGCUUGGGAGGUAAGAGAUAUUGUUUUGUGAUUGUUGAUGAUUAUUCUAGAUAUACUUGGGUAAUAUUUCUUGCUCAUAAAGAUGAUGCCUUCAAGAAUUUUACUUCAUUGUUUGCUAAAGUGCAAAAUCUGCUUGGUUUAAAAAUUAUUAGGAUUAGAAGUGAUAAUGGGACGGAAUUCAAGUUUUGUGAUUUUCCAGAAUUUUGUGAUUAUAAUGGCAUAAUACAUGAGUUUUCUAUUGCAAGGACUCCACAGCAAAAUGGUGUUGUAGAAAGGAAAAACAGGACACUCCAAGAGACUGCUAGAACUAUGUUGAGUGAAUGUAGUUUGCCAAAAUAUCUUUGGGCUGAAGCGGUAAACACCGCAUGUUAUGUGAUGAAUAGAAUCCUUUUGAAACCUAUUUUGAAUAAAACAUCUUAUGAACUAAUUUUUGAUAAGAAAUGUUGGAUAUUUCAAAGUUUUUUGUUGUAAAUGUUUUAUUUUGAAUUUAAAGGAUCAUCUUGGUAAGUUUAAGAAAAAAUCUGAUGAAGGAAUAUUUUUGGGGUAUUGUGAGAACAAAAGAGGAUAUAGAGUCUUUAAUAGAAGAACUCUUGUGAUUGAAGAAGCUAUACACAUAACAUUUGAUGAAACCAAUGAUGAUAAUUCCAAAAAUUCGUGUGAGGAUGAUGAUGUAGGUGUUCGUGAAAGAAUGAAAAAGCUUACAAUUGGAAAUGAAGGAAACUCAACAUUGGAAGCAAAGGAAAUGGAGGAUGAAGCUUAUGAAGAUCAAGAAAAGGAAGAUGAAGACAAGAAUGAUGAUUCAUUCAAAGACCUUCCCAUAGCUUGGAAAUUUAGCCAAAAUCAUCCAAAAGAGCUUAUAAUUGGUGAUCCAUCCGACAAGGUAAAGACUCGUUCCUCAUCUAGGAAAUUGAUAGACAAUUUUGCUUUAGUUUCUCUCUUUGAACCUAAAAAUAUCAAUGAUACUUUAAAGGAUGAAAACUGGAUUUUGGCAAUGCAAGAGGAACUUAAUCAAUUUGAGAGAAAUAUGGUUUGGACAUUAGUUGAUAGACCUCAAAAUCAACCUAUCAUUGGCACAAAGUGGAUAUUUAGAAAUAAAUUGGAUGAUAAAGGUGUAGUUGUAAGAAAUAAGCUAGAUUAGUUGCUAAAGGAUAUACACAAGAAGAAGGAAUUGAUUUUGAUGAAACAUUUGCUCCUGUAGCUAGAUUAGAAUCAAUUAGAAUGUUUCUUGCUUUUGCUUGCUUCAAAGGUUUCAAAUUGUUUCAAAUGGAUGUUAAAAGUGUUUUCUUAAAUGGUUUUAUUGAUCAAGAAGUACAUGUGGAUCAACCCCCCGAUUUUGAAAAUGCAAAAUUUUCAAAUCAUGUUUUUAAACUCUCAAAAGCUUUAUAUGAAUUAAAACAAGCUCCAAGAGCUUGGUAUGAAAGAUUGAGUGGUUUCUUGAUUGAAAAUGGUUUCAAAAAAGGUGUUGUGGACACCACUCUUUUUACUAAACAAGUGUUAAAUGAUCUUCUUAUUGUGCAAAUAUAUGUUGAUGAUAUUAUUUUUGGUGCUACUAAUGAGUAUCUAUGCAAGGAUUUUUCCACCAUUAUGCAAAGUGAAUUUGAAAUGAGCAUGAUGGGAGAGUUAAAUUUCUUCCUUGGACUUCAAAUACAUCAAGGCCUAGAGGGAAUUUUUAUAAAUCAAGCAAAAUAUACCAAAGAGUUGCUAAAAAAAAUUUGGCAUGGAGGACUCAAAGCAAGUUGGAACUCCAAUGUGCACUUCUACAAAAUUUGACAAAGAUGAAGAAGGUAAACAUGUGGAUGAAAAGCACUAUAGAGGUAUGAUUGGAAGCCUACUCUAUUUAACCGCAAGUAGACCCAAUAUUAUGUUUGCUGUUUGCUUGUGUGCUAGAUUUCAAUUUUGUCCAAAAGAAUCACAUUUGAACGCAGUUAAAAGGAUUUUUAGGUAUUUGAAAGGUUCAUUAGACUAUGGUCUUUGGUAUGCUAGAUCUUGUGAAUUUUCUCUAUAUGGUUAUUUGGAUGCUGAUUUUGGUGGUUGUCGUGUGGACAGAAAAAGUACUAGUGGAACUUGUCACUUUCUUGGUAAUUGCUUAGUUUCUUGGUUCAGCAAAAAAUAAAAUGCAAUCUCUUUAUCUGCAACCGAAGCGGAAUAUAUUACCGCUAGUGCAUGAUGUGCUCAACUUUUAUGGAUGAAGCAUAGUUUGAAUGAUUUUGGAUUGUUACAUGACUGCAUGCCUAUAUUCUGUGAUAAUACUAGUGCUAUCAAUUUGACCAAAAAUCCAAUUCAGCAUUCUAGGACAAAACAUAUUGAUAUAAAACACCAUUUUAUUCGCGAUCUUGUUCAAAAAGGUGAAGUUUGUGUGAAUUAUGUUUGCUCUAAAGAUCAAAUUGCUGAUAUUUUUACAAAAGCUUUGCCAUUGGAUUAAUUCAUUCAUCUAAGAUCAAAAUUAGGGAUAAUCGAAAAAUCAUCUUAAAAAUUUUCUGUUCAAAGCUCUCGGACGUCCUAAAGCAGAUGAACGGACGUCCGAUGAUGUUCUUCAGAUAUUUUCCAGAAAACAUCUGUUCGGACGAAACCGUCGGACGUAUGACUACGUUCGGCCGUCCGACAGUGCAACGGUACACUUUUUAAAGUGACUUUCAUCCUCAUUUGCUUCAGAACUCUUCUCUUCUCUUCUCACUCGGACGGAAACCUCUUUUCUUCUCACACUCAAUUCGUGCUUUUCUGAAACACUCAUUCCAAAAUUGACUAAACCAAAAACUUCUCCUGAUCAUUGCGAGUUCGAUUUUCGGAUCUUUUCACCAAAUCUCAUCACAUUUCGAAAGUUUCCAAAUUUCCCUCAAAACCUUACUUUCACAUAACUGCUCUACUCAAUCAUUUUCAAGGCUUCUUUAACCCAAAAUUCUUGUGUGAUUCACUCCCAUACCACUGUGUGUAUCAUUCGCAUCAUACAUUUCACACUUUUCAUACAAUGGUGAAUCUAAGAGAAGGAAAAGUCCCUGUCGGACGCAAGCACACACUCAGGGAUGAAAAUGUGGAUUCUCUUAGGGUCAUAAGAUCAUCCAAACGCUUCAAAAGGGGAGCAGUAAAGACUCAAACUUCCCGGCCUUCCGCUCAGCCUGAAUCCAGACAAGGAACUCCAUCUCAACAGCCUUCCCAAUCAACCACCGUCUCCCCAUUCUUUGAUGCUGCUGCUAAUGAAAAACAUUCCUAGAUAAUCCAGAAAGGUUUCAUUCCUCAACGAACCAUAAAUCUUUCUGAAUUUCGCAAGAUUGGUUUAGAGUCAAUUCUUAAUCUCUUUGAAUUCCAGAAAUGGUCACAUAUCAUUUCCAUGCCUAAUGUUUAUUACCCUGAAAUGCUGUAUCAAUUCUUUGCCAAUCUUAGGAAAGGCACCGACCACACUGAAAUUAUGUCCAGAGUGAAUGGGGUAGACAUAUUGUUUGAUCCUGAUAUUGUGAAUGCUGUUUUAAAUACUGCUAUUGAACGUGGAUGCAAAAGUAAAAUUACAAAUUUCUUUUCUUAUGAAGAGCAUCCCACUGCUGAUAAUCAUUUUGAUGGUGCUAAGAUGUUGUUUUAUUUUAAAAGAAAGUUUUCUGCGCCUUCUGAUGCUAAACUAAAUGACCUUACUCCUGUGAAUCUUAUUGCUUUCACAAUCAUUUCAAACUUGCUUGUGCCUACCGAUGGUCAUAGGACUGAUGCCAAUAAGAUGGAGCUGUAUCUGUUUUACUGUUUUCGAGAAAAAAUUCGCGCUGACUUUGACUUUAUCAUGUGUAAGUUUUUACUUCGCUAUGCUACUGAUUCUCGUAGAAAACUGUCCUAUGACAAAUUUCUUCAGAAAAUUUUUGAGUUUUACAAAGUACCAAUUCUUGGUGUUUGUCCCAAAGAAACAUCUUCUUCUGCCUUUACUAAGGCUUACUUUGAGCGCAAAAAUCUUGUUUUUGUGGAUAAUAUGUGGGCUUAUAAGGGGGACACAUCUAAUGAACCUAGAUCUAAGGCUGUACAUGAUCCACUUCACACUCCAUCCUCUGUUGCACUGACCUCUAUUCAUCCUAGGAAGACUGCCACUAAGACAUCUUCUUCUUCAAAUUCUGAGGUGGUUAAACUCCUUCGAGACCUUAAGCAACAUGUUCUGCUUCUUGAACAUGGUCUCAUGCUCACCAUGUCAUCCAAGCAACAAGCUGACUUCCUAGAUAAAAAGAGUUUUCUUUUUCCCCUACCUGUGGUUGAGGAAAUCCCUCCUGGCAAGGAGCCACGCUCUAAUGAUCCAAGUUCUUCAGCCUCUGUUCGCUCUAUGAGUCCUGCUGCUAUCGACCUCACCUCUAUUUCCGUGGCACCACAUGAUCCUUCCACAUCUGAUAAAGGCAAGAAACCAGUUGGUGAAAAUGCUGAAGAUGAUGAAGACACUGAGGAGGAGGAUCUCUCUCAGUAUCAGCUUACUCGAAGGACGCCUGGAUCCUCUUAACUUAUUAUUUAGGAUCAUUAGUCCUAUUAGGAUCAUUUGCAUUUGACUGUUUUUAUUUGCUGAAUGUUGAUAGUUGCCUUGAACUCUUUUUAUCUAUUGAAUUCUAGUGCUUGGUGUCAUUUGGUGUUUUGUAAUGUCCAAAACUGGACAUAUGUUUAUAUUGUUUGUGAAUGGUUGAAUCUUUACAUUUUGCUUGGUUGAAUGGUUGGAAAUAAGAAUGUAAUGCUCGUAAGAUCAUUUUGCUCUGAAUAGUUGGAUAUAUGGUCGAAUCUUUGUUACUAGUUCUCCAAAUGUAUCUUUACAUUUUGAAUUUUGUGAUGACAAAAAAGGGGAGAGAUGGUGUAGAUAUGAAUACGCUUAAUAUGGAUAAUAAGUAGCUAAGUGGAGGGGAGUUCUACGAUUGAGGGGGAGCUAUUUUUUGUUGUUCUACAAUUGAGUGAGAAAGGGGGAGCCUAUUUGAAGUCAUUAAAUUUCAUUUCAAACUUUUGUUUUGUCAUCAUCAAAAAGGGGGAAAAUGUUAUUCUUGAUUUUGAUGAUCACAAAAGCACUUUGAAAUGUUUAUCUAAUUCUCUCCAAAUAUAAAAGUUUUGCUUUUUAGAGAAUCAAGUACAAAGGAAUCAAGGAAAGAAAAUCAACCAAAAGAAAAAGCAAAAACAGGGUACUCAUACCGGACGUCCAAAAGGAAUCUGUCGGACGUCCGAAAGGAUGAAGAACAUCAAGAAGGAAACUCCGUCGGACGCUCGUGAGGAAGCAUCGGACGUCCGGAAGGAUCGGACGCAUGUUUCGGACGCACAUCGAUCGCAUCGGACGUCCGAAAAAUUUCGCAAAAUCUUGAUAACUCUCUGACGACGUUCGGACGCAGAAGCAGACGGACGAUGAUAUCCCAUCGGACGUCCGAACGACAACCUGACUGAUUUUCGGACGAUGGGAUCGGACGAUGAUUAUGCUGUCGGACGUCCGACAGUCCCAACGGCUAAUUGACUCUUCAUCAACCUUCUAUCUGUUGGAUGCAUUGAUGAAACCCAUUUUUGGUCCCCUUUAAAUACAAAUGAUUCUGAACCUGAGAGGGACUUUUGCACACUUUGUUUACAAGAUCUCAAGAGAUAUUUUAGUUAGAAAAUAGUCUCCUAAGCAAGAUUUGUUCUCCAAGUGGUGUGAAUUUCUUGUUAGCUCUUCUCUUGUGUUUGAAAUUGUCAAUAGUGUAGCUUUGUUGAGGGUUAUCUGAGUGAUAGUAAAACUUCCUAACUUGACUAAGUGAGGCUUGGGGCAAGGAGGAAGUGAUCCCUCCAUUAUACAUUGAAUUGAUUUUGUUCAUCAAAGAGAAGGUGCUCAUCAUUGUGAUUGGUCUUCAAGUUUGAGGAAAGCUUGGUAGACAAUCGGUUUGAUACUCUAUCUUAGUCUUUUUGUUUAAUAAAAUUCUCAUUGCUUAUAUACUCUCUUAUUUCUGAUCAACAUUGUUAUCUUCUUUAAAUUUACUUGGUUGAUCACUACUAGAAAAGAAGAUAAAUUUUUAUUAAAGAAAAAGUGCAUAAACUCAAUUAAGUUUUUAAUCAAUCUAAUUCACCCCCCCUCUUAGAUUGUCUUUGGGCCUUACAAGUCCAUUAACCAAUCAACAGGUUUUGUGUUUAAAAGGUGUAAUUAGAGACCUAAUCUGACCAAUGGUAGGUUCACUGGUUGAUCAAUUCAACCCACUAAAUCGGGCCGGAUUUAAUAAAUAUGAUUGAAACAUAGUUGAUAGACUUUCUUUGUGUUGUCCAAUUAUACAGACACCAUUAAUCGGUAAUAACUUAUUUUUAACAGAUUUUUGAAACAUAUAGCGGAUAGUUUUUUUUAUAAAGAAAAUAAUAAUAAUAUCUCUAAAUUUAGUAUAAUCAAAUUUUGGAUGUUAGAAUUGGGUGUGUUUAUUUAUUAAAACAAGCAUCAAUAAAAUCUGUACAGACUUAACUUAAUUAUCAUGAAAUAUGUCAUAGGACAAAAUAUGUUUUUAAUUUUGUUUUAUUUGUUUGUAUUGUGUAUUUGUUUACCUUGUGGGAACUUUGAGUUUGUUUCCUUUACUUUAAGAAUAAGUUAUACAUUUAUUAAAAAAAAGGGUUAUUAUCACUUUACCCCUUUCAACUAUAUUACCAUUAUCAGUUUACCUCCUAACGUUAUCUUUUAGUCAUUUCACCCUCAUAAGUAAUUCAACUCAAUAUGUUAAGAAAUUUUGGACAAAAAUACCCUUUUAUUCUAUAGCAUUACUAUAUUGUUAUUAUUACUUUAUUCUUUUAAAUUAUAGUGAUAUAAUCACUUUAAUUUCUAAUAUUAUUUUCUAGGCAUUUUACUUCAUUGUUAGUCUAAUUAGAAUGGUAAAAUUUUUUUAAAUAUAUUGACCCUUUCAUAUAUAUAAUUAAAAAUAAAAAAGUUGGAAUGAUUAUUCUUCUUUUUUUCACUUUAAGAGAUCCAAAAAUAUAAAAUUAAAAGGGUUUUCUUAUUAAUACUAGGAAAAGAAAAAGAUAUAGGAAAGAAGGAGAUAAAAAAUUAGAUUUUGUAAAGAAAAUAAGAAAGAAAAAUAUAACAUUAUUGUAUUAAUUUAAGGUUGUUGGGAUAGAAUUGAAAUUUGAUGGUAAACAAUAAAGUAAAAUAAUUUUAAAAUAAUAAAAUUAUUUAAUUUUUUCUUAUUUGUAUUUAAAAUAAAAGAAUUGAGCUCUCUCUUUCUCUAUCUCUCUCUCCCCCUCUCCCUCCCCUCCCAAUCUUUCUAUUUGUUUUAAGGGUUAAUCACAUUUAAUCCCUUUAAGAUAUACCCUAUUUCUCAGUUUACCCUCUAAUUUUUAAUUUUGCUCACUUAACCCCUAUAGGACAAAAUUGCCCUUGCAUUAGUUUUACUUUUUAUUACCUUGUUUUCCUUUCUUUUAUUUCUUUUUCUCUUUUUUCUUUAUUUAAUUCUUCCUUUUUCCCACAAAAAUCUUCACCUUAAUGAUUGAAAUUUAAAAAAAGAGGAAUUGCAGAGAUUUAUCUUCUCCUUAAAUGAUUAAAAAAAUAUUUAAAUCACUUUCCUAAAAUACAUUCUUUUUAGCCUUUCAAUUCUUUUAAUUUUGGUUUUUCCUCUUUCCUUUCUAGUUUCCUAAAACUAAUUUUGAUUUUUUGUAUGAUGCCACAUGUCAACAGUUUACGACGACAAACCAUUCAUGUCUCUUUUUCAUUUGUUUACAUGUUGAAUCAGUCCAAUGAUAUGUUAAUUCAUGUGUAUUUUGAAGCAAUUUCUGGAGGCUUCUAAAUUCUUUAUCUGUUAAUACCUGAUGCUGCUACAUAACAUUCUGAUAAAUUUCUGAUUGCAGUAGGAAACACAUUCUUUAUCUUCUUCUUGUCAUUUUCUGGUUCAGUGUUGAGUAAUUUUCAUCCUUUAUAAUCCCAAUUUGCGAAAUCUUCUUCCAUGUUGCUACAUAUUGAUAUGAUACUCAGAACCAGCAGAGCAAUAGCAUAACUUGAUACGAUACUCAAAACCAGAUACACUUUUCUGUUCCCAAUUUGUGUAUGUAAAUAAGAGUAAUACAGAAAAGUGUAACUCAAUUGAUUGAUAUGUUUAAACAUACAAUCACAGUUUUGCAACAAAUAUUAAGUGGAGACAAAAACCCAAAAAAAAAAAACUAUGGUUGUGUUAUUUUUCAACAGAGGAAGGGCAUAGGACUUAAUAUGUGUUUUUCUUCACUACAAUAUGCUGAAAUACAAACAUUUUCGUUCUUUAAUAGGCAAUAUUUUCAGAAAUAAAAAAGGAAGCAAUUUUUUCUUAAAACUUUUUUUUGUGUGUGGUUUCAUGUUUUAUUUUGCUAUUUUAAGUGGUUAAUUGCUCAAACUGAUCAAAAUGACAAAUCAAAGAAACCAGAUGACCUAUUUUGUUGGGUAAUCUGUAUACCUCUUCAUUCAACUGAUGUAGUACUGCAAUUAUUCCUUCUUCCAGAGUAGAUUUCCUCGGAAGGAGAGUCCGUUUCUUCUCAUCAUCACAUUAGACAAACGGUGAAGACUGAAGCAUUUAUGUCUCUCCUUGAUUUGGUGCGAUCAUUCCACUCAUCAGGUUAGAUAUAAUUGUAUGUGCAUGUUAAUUCAGUUCAAUGAUAUAUAAUUGCUCCUGUAUGUGUAUUCCUUCUUCAUCUGUACCAAAUUAUUUGGUUUGAACUUUGAUGCAGUUGUAUUACUUUGUCAUUGCAGGGGCAAGCACAGUCAUGCAUUCUAUCAAGCCAACAUUAUCCAUCAUAAUCUGUUUGUAAAAUGUUCUCCAUGUUCCUUUCUGGUUUGAUGUUUAAUAAUGUACACUUUAUGAUCCAUCAUAAUCUGUUUGUAAAAUGUUCUCCAAGUUCUUUCCUGAUUUUGAUGUUUAAUACAGUGUUCAUGAUCCCAAUUUUUCAAAUAUUCUUCAAUCCCGCUACAGAUUGAUAUGAUCCUUAAAACUAGCUUUUGUAGAAUGUUCUCCAUGUUCUUUUCUGAUUUGAUGUUUAACAGUGUUUAUGAUUUUUUGAGUGGAUAAUGAAACAAAACUGCGGCUUUGGAACUACGAAACGAAAAGAUGAGGCAUUCAGGCACUUGUUCUUUGCAUGCUCUUUUUUUGUUUUUUUUUUUUUUGAGAUAGAAGUAGACCUGUCAAUUGACUUGGGCUAACCCAAGUUCAACCCGAUCAACCUCAAAUGUAGUAGGUUGUGCCUUAUGCAAUGCGGGCUGAGUUGAUGUGGACUAAACUAUUUUGCCUGAUUUAAAUGUGAACUGAAUUUUAGUUGUACUGAAUUUAUUCCACUUAAUUCUCAGUCCGAAUAAUAUGUAUUCUAGAGCUCAUAGUGGGAAUUAAGAAGAUUUAUUUCUCUAAAUCUAGACAAAUAUUAAUUUUCUGAUAAAUUGUUCUUUUUCAAUUUCUAGUUGAUAGAUUUAUGGAUGUUAUAGUAAACUAUAUUAUUUUUUGUUAUAAAAUUUAAACUUUUAGAACAUCUAUGGAUUAGUUGGCUGUUUGGUUCAAUUAGAUUUUGUGAACGUUACAAGUACAUGACAUGAAUUUGCACCUAUCCGAAUUAGGCCAAGUGCCCUACUUUUAUUUUGAGUCGAGCAUGAGUUACAAAAAUGUGAUUCUAGUUGAGUAGAAUUUGGAUUCAGAAAAAUGAUAUUUUAUGUCAACUGAGUUUAAGCAUGUUAACACCCAACUCACAUAGUCCAAUUGAUAGGAUAAGAAGGCAAAUAAUUGAAAUAGAUUCAGCCAACGAAGGAAUACUUUGUGACUAAUGAAUGGAAAUUGCGUGAAAGUUUGUUUUUUUUUUUUUUUUUUUACAAUAACUCUUUUUUUUUUUAUGUUUUAUUCGUAUUGGACUCCCACCAAAAGGCGAGUGAAAUUACAAUAGCUAGCCUAAUCUCGGAGCCUAACCAAAGCAUAAAUGAGGAGUACUACUCCCUUACAUUGGAGAUCCUAAGUGAUGGUACUUGCGUGAAAGUUUGUUGUUGUUUGAUUAAGCAACGUUGUACAUUAAAAUAUUUAGCUCUAAGUUCCGUCAUUAUGUCUUUAAUGUCAUGCAUUCUAUCAAAUUCUUUAGUUUUCAAUAUAGUUGGGUACACAUGAAAAAAAAAUUAAAGAGGGAUAUUUAAUAACUAUUGUACUAACAUUUAUGCAUAUCCACCAAAUUUUAGAUCCAUCUUAAAGAACACAAAUCCCAAUGUGGUAAUAGUUAAGAUUCCAAGAACGUAGGUGAGAAAAAAUUGAGCAAUAAAUAUCCUAUAGCUUCAAUUGUAUUUAUAAUAUCUAUACAAGAUCAAUUUCUUUAAAAUGACAGAAAUUCUAUUAGUAACAGUGAAAGAUUUUGGCUUUUGAUGAUCAGCUAUUGGGAACCAUAUGUCAUUUAAAUCUUGAGAAUAACUUUUUCUAAUGUUUUGAUAGAAUAUACUCUAUUAAUUAAGUAAUGGAAGCAAAUAUGAGUUAGAUUACUCUAUUAGUGUAAAAGAGUAUGGAUAUAAGCAUCAAAUAGUGAUUAUUUCGGUGAAACUUAGGAAAUAUUGCUUUUUAUUUUAUUAUUGGAUGUAUCGCUAAUUACUGAACUUUUGAUUGAUAUAACUUCCAAAGCUACUCUUUUUAAUGAUGUUUUCACUGUUUUGUUGGAAGUAUUAAAUUUUUUGGAUGAUUUUCUUUAUCUGGGGAGGUUUUUGCUGUCUUUUUCAAAUUCCUAUAUAAUUUCUUGUUCAAGUGAUACCAAUAAGACAGUUCAAAUUUCUGGAUUGUGAAUCACGUACUUUGCACGAAUAUUCUGGAUGACAAUGUUUCAUGCACAUUUUAAGAGUAAUUAAACAUGGUUUCAAGAAAGAUUAAAGUCCAAAAUGCAUAGCACUUCUGGUCUUCAACACUAAUGAUCUAGCUCAUUCAGUCCGACACAACAUCUCAAGAUCUUGGAAUCAAGAAUGUGUUCUUUUGAUUCUGUAGUUUUCUGAAUAGAAACGUAAACAAAUCAAGAAAUAUCUUCAAAGUUGUUGUACCCACGAAAUCAACCGCGGUAAAUCUUCUCAUAUUGGGCAGCAAUAAGAGAAAAAGAUCAUGAAUGAUUGUCGUUUUAGUGGUGAUAUGGAAGAUAUGAAUAAACGUAGUUUGUGAUUUUUCAAAAUUGGCAAUGGAUAGUGGACGAGGAAAUUCUUAUGGAAACCAAAUGGGUAGGUUUGGAGCAGAGAGAGUCAUUAUUUCUGAUAACCAACCUAGAAGUUUAAGGGAAUUAUCAGAGUCAGAAAUUCGAGAUAUGCUGAUGGGAAAGGCUAGGAUUAAAAUCCACAAGAAGUUACCGGGAUAGAAUAUGGCUGCUGUACAGAAGUCUUCAGGUAAAGAGGCAAGGGAGAAGCCAACUUCAUCACUGCUCCGACAGAAUCAGUUGGAAGUCAAUUUCUUCUAUUAUAACUUUCUCAGACACAACUGUCACCAUUAGUACCCUGAGCUAGAUCAUGCACUAGGGAGCUUGCCUUCUGCUUCAACCAAUGGUCGAAACACAGAAGCUACUGAUAUUGUCACGCCUCUAACCCGCACGUGCCAGUCACGUGACAUCCGCCGUACCCUCAAGUCUCGCUCAAGAAUACAAGACAACAUCAUAUUAUACUAAACUUUAAAAGUACUAAAUAAUAUAACUAGAUAAAGUGCGGUACAAAUCUCAUAUGAAGGAUAGUCUACGAAUAUCCAAUAAGUUCGUACAUUUAUUUUCUGAUUGAAACAGCGGAAAUAAAAGUAAAUAAAACUAACAACUAGAAGUAGCUAGCCUGCUAACUUCUGUUCACUUAAAAACUAAUAAAAGUCAUCCUCAGGGUCCUCUACGUAAAUCAAUUCAUACUCUUUAGAAUCUGCAAAGAUGGUAAAAAAUGGAAUGAGCGACAAAUUGCUCAGUAGGUAAUAUUUACCUCUUUGUUAGACCAUACACUCGUAACUUUAUAGAUACAUAUAUAGAUAUAAAUUAAAUCAUUUGCACAUAAAUCAUUUGCACAUCGUUUACAUCCAUAAUCUUGAAAGUAACGUUGUUUAUAAAACAAUCAGUAGUAACGGAUGACGAGCAAUUUAAAAGCAUUUUAUUGACAACUAUACAUGAAAAAUGACAAAGUCAUAUAUCAUUUCAUAUCCAUUCAUAAGUCUCUUCAUAUCAGUUCAUAAAUUAUUUCAUAUCAAUUCAUAAGUCUCUUCAUAUCAGUUCAUAAAUCAAUUCAUAUCAGCUCAUAACAAGUACAUGUAAUGAUCUGCUACUGAAUAUUCAGCCUAGAGAUUAAACCCCUUCUAGGUGGGCGACCAAUAGAUUUCAUGACUACCAAUUGGUCUCAUUACAUACAUGGGACAAUCGUUCGGAUUUUAUAUCAAACUACCAUGAUUUUGUCAAUCGGUCGGACUCUAUACCAAGUUACCAUGACCAUUAGACAGGACUAUAGCCCCUACCAUCUAUUCCAUGACCGUUUUGAGUUUUAGUUGUCACAAAAUCAUUUCAUAUGUCACAUACAUAGUUCAUUGAUUUCAUAAAAGAUACAGCUCGUUUGGCAUAUAAUAAUAUAUCAAAAUAUUUCAAAUAAGUCACAUGGUCCAUUUUCGUAUAGUGAAAAUAUAACGUUUAUAUAUAUCCAAGUAAAGCAUUUAAUCAAAUACAUUUCGAGUCAACACAACAAAAUAUGAUUGACACAAAAAUUGCAUUUUGCACCUUUGAAAUCUCAGAAGGGUAAGUACCACCUACCUUUGUCUGGCUGUUCGAGUGAGGCUACCUUAGGUCUUUUACACUUGUGUCGUACCUAUCAAAUACAUAAGUUUCCUAAUUAGUUGAUAUUUUCUAUAGAUGCAUAAAUAUACAAACUCUGAGCGAGUCGAAAAUUCAUGUCUAAACCAUUAUAAGACCCUAACAGCAUUUUCCUUGAUUGGACGAUUUCUAUUUUUGGAAAGUUUCCUAAAUUGAAAAGUUUCUAUUUUUUAGAAAGUUUCUUAAUUUGGAAUAUUCUCCUUUUUGUAAAGUUUCUGAAUUUAAAAGAAAAUAAUUAUUCAUAUAUUUAUUAUCUUGCCUAUUAUAUUACCAUACAUAUUUAUAAUUUAUAAUUUAUAAUUAUUCAUUAUUAUUAUUAUCGUCCUCGUCGUCGCUACUUUAUUUUAUUACCAUUUUAUAUAUUUGUUAAUUAGUUACUAUUAUCUUUCGCUUUAUUUCCACUUUGUGCAUGUGUAGGUGUUAUUAUUAUUUAUGUAUAUAUGUAUAUAUAUAUAUAUAUAUAUUGACUUAUUAUUAUAAUUAUUGUCUUAGUUUAUUCUACUUGUGUUUAUAUUUUUAUUUUCAUUUAUAUCUUUAAUUUACUUCAUCUAUAUCUAUAUUGUCAUUAUUAUUACUAUUAUUGUUAUUAUUAUUAUUACCAUUAGUGUUAUCGUUAGUAUUAUUAUUAUUAUUAUUAUUAUUAUUAUUACGAUUUUAUGCGUUCCGUUUAACAACUAGGACUUAUCUUACAUUGUAUAAAUUACUCUAAUAAAGCUAGAUUAAGACGUUUUAAAUUUCUAUUUAAGUAUCUUAGACUUAAUCAAUAAAGUAUAAACUUAAAUGACUAAAUCUUUAAACUCCAAAAAUUAUUAUUUAGAUUGGGUUUUGAAAUUUAAUUCCUAUGUUAGUCCAUAAAAUGUGGACUAAUUAUACCUAAAAUUUAACUAUUGGAGAUUCACUAAACUCAUACUAUAUUUUUGUUCCCAAAUAUAUAUACUUGUCUUUUUUUUUCAAAUUCUAUUAUUAUUUUUAUUAUUCUACUUGUGCUGGAGACCUCCUUUUUUUUUUGUUUCCCUUUGGUUGGCCGACCACUUGGUUGCUAGCGACCUUUGCUUUGCCCUUUUUUUUUUUUCCGCUUAAGCUUCAGCAAUUCACAACUACAACACCCUCUUUCUUCUUCUUCUUUUUUUUUUAAAUAACUUUCCAACAAUUUGGUAAACCCUAUUCAUCCCAUAAUUAAAAUUCAAUACCCUAAUCCUACUAAUCCAAACCUAAAUCUUCCUAAAUUUCUCAUACAGGCAUAUACAUAUAUAUAUAUAUAUAACAUAAUACAUAUAUGUAAAAUCUUUAAAAUGAUUAACGCGACUAAUAGAACUUAAAAGAGGAGUUUUCACACGAAUUUAGGACUUACGAGUUUAGGUGCCUAACUGCCUGAUUGAUCAACAGUGACGCCUUCUUCUCCCCCUCUACUUUCUGACGGCUCUUACUCUAAAGGGAGGCAGACAAUGAAAGGUAGGAAUAAUGUUAUUUUUUGCUUUAUUGUUUUGAUAAGUGUGCUAAACCCUAGUAACCACCCACCAUUUGGUGGUUUAGACAAGAGUUCUAACUGUUGUGAACUUUUACCCUAUCUUAUCUCAUUCCUAUCCCCCAAUUAACCCUUUAACCUAUCUUAUAAUUAUUUUUUUACUUUGACUCAUGGUAAAUUGCCAUUUAAUUAAUUGGACAAGGAUAAAAAAAUGAUCCCAAAAUCGUGGGUUUUACAGAUAUGUUCAUGACGAUGGAUGUGGCUGAUCCGGAUUUGACAAAGAUAGUGUGGAAGAAUCAUUUGCUGAAAACCCGGUUUGGGCUGCAUAUGACAAUGAGGUGGUGUGCCUUGCUUUUAUGCUAUUAUUCAUGAAGCCUUGCCCAGAAAGCCCUUUAAAGUUAGGAUUAGCUGGUUGAACUCCAAAAGCAACAGCGAAUUGAACUUGGUCCAUUAAAUUGGUGUGAGUUGUGGUUUUGCUAAACUUGCAAAACUAAUUGCCAUAAUGGUUGGUUCUGAUUUUACAAAAUUGAGAAUUUUGAUACCAAUUGUGAUAUAGGGAAGUUCUUUUUUUAAAAAAAAAAUUGAAGAUAAAGUCGAUGAUAAUAAUUGAAUUAUCCAAUUAAGUAUGGAAUUUUGUGGUUAAAUUCUAAUUCAGUUUGGAGUCUGGAACAGAUGAAUUUGAAACUAAAAAGUGAGAUAUCGAGCUUUCAGUUAUCCAAGGAAGCCGACUUGAAAUUUACCAAUCAUUGUUUGAUCAAUUGUCUACGGCUGUGAAAUAUUCAGGAAUAGUGAGAGCCAAAAAGAAACUGUGAUUGUUUGAGUUGGUGUUCGGUUUUGCCGAAUUUGGAAGGAAUGCAUGAGCGCUCACCCUACCAACUGCAUAGGUUGUUUUCUUAAAACUCAAUACUCCUCUCUUAGAUUUUCCGUUUUUUAUUUGAACCAAUUCAAAUCCACUUUUCUUUCUUUAUUUUUAUCCCAUAGAAGAAGGGUUCUUCUGGAAUUUAAUUGCAAAGAAGGGAUUUUAACACUGCUACCCAUUAUUCCAAUUCUUUAAGCAUCCGAGAAAACCCCUCAAGAAAAAAAUAUUUUUGGAGUGGUUGAUGAAACAAAGUUGCAGCUUUGAGGUCUACGGGUAGUAUCUACCUUGUAUAUAAGAAGGAAAGGAGGUUUAGUUCUUUGCCUCCCUUGUUGCCAUUUGAUUUUUCAAUAAUUUGACAAGUGGCAUAAGUCUAAUAUUUUUCUUGCACAUGAUUUUCUUGCCUCUUGCAUAUCCCUUUUUUCUUUUUUGCUUUUUUUUCAUGCCAAACUGAGCAAGUUUGGCUCCUUUAUUCUCCUUUUGAGCCCAACGAAUUUUUUUAACCUUAAUUAUUUGACUAAGUGAGUCUAUUGUUUAAUUCAUCACCGUUAGAUUAGUUUUAAUAAAAUAACACUACAUUACAACUCUUGGAUCAAUUUUCAUUCGUUCUUAUUGUCUACCUAUUAUAUAAGAGACAUGGGAAUUUAAUGUAGCACUUUCAUUUAUAGGGAUGGCAACGGGGCGGGGUUGGGGCGGGGGACCCCUCCCCCAUCCCCCGUCCCGCUGCCUACAAACUCCCCCCACCCCCGCCCCGUCUCCGCCCCGCCCCACUUCCCCCGCUGGGACACCCGCGGGGCUAAUAAAAAUUUGUUAUAUAAUUUUAUUAUGGUUAAAUUUUAGCAAAUAAUCAAGUACUAAAAUAUCAACACAUCAUCAAAUUAUUAUUCAUUGUAAUUUUACAAUUGCAACUUAUAAAAAUAAUCAAACAAAAAUUAUUUGAAUAUAAUCUAACAUGAUGAAAUAAAUAUAACUAAAGUAGUCAAGUUUUCACUUUUGACACAAAUAUAAUCACUAAUUCAUUAUUGUGCUUGUGCUUUUUUAAGAAAAAAAUGUUAUUGUAUUAAGUAUAAUUAGGAAUUUAUUAUAAAUGUAUUAGUAAAUUUAGUAUAACCAAUUAAUAAUUUGUAUUAGUACACAUAUAUAAUUAUUAGUAUAAUUAAUAAUAUCAAUUAUAUUAUAUAUACUAAUAGACAUUAUAUAAUACAUAUAAUUAAUAAUAUCAUUAUCAUAAGUUUGUAACUAAUUAAAUUAUAUAUUAUAUAUAUAAUUAUAUACAUAUAUAUUUUAUAUAUUUAUUUUUUUAAAGCGGGUGGCAGGGCAUGGGAUGGGGCGGGGGUACACUCCCCUGCCCCCCGCCCCGUUUCUAAGCGGGGGAAAAAAAUUCCCCCCUCCCCCUCCCCAUUAGCCCCCCGCGGGGCGGGUGCUGGCGGUCUCCCGCCCCCAUUGCCAUCCCUAUUCAUUUAUUGACAUGUGAUGUAACUCUCCUUUGAGGAAUUUAUGAUUUUUCUCCCAUUUUUUUAUUUCCCCUACUUCUAUCUUGAUGGAGCAAGACAAAAGAUGUACCAUACAGGAUAAGACAAAAGAUUUCAAUUGCAAGUCAUGUUGCAUAACUACAAGAACUUCUACUGUUUUUAUAUAUUGUCUAAUUUAUGACUAUAAGAUCAACUUUUAUAGAUUAAUGAAAAAUUUUUAAUCCUUGGAUAUUGAUUAAUUAUGUUUGAUUAGUAGCUAACCAACUAUUACAUUUAAACAACUCUUUUAUGUAAUCGAUUAAAGUCUCUUUUUCUAUUUCUUUAUAAAUAGUUUCUCAAUGUUGCAUAGAAAAAAUCAGAUUUCUUCCUUCCCAAUUGUAUUGAACUAUGCACUUGUUCAUUAAUCUCAAGAUUAGUGAUGGAUUUAAUAGAUGCUAUGUUUAUUGUCUCCUUGAUUUAGAAGAGUUAACUUUAUAGAUGGAAUUUCUUCUGAUGCUCAAAUUUUCUCGUGUUUUUGUCUAUUAUGUACCAACAAGUUUUACUGUUAUAUGUUCAAUCAAGUUAUUAGGGGGCCUAAGCUGUGCCUUGCACGGCCGAGGUACCUCUAGUAGUAAUAGACUUUUCGGUACUUCUUGUUGGGCUUUACUUGGUUAAGAAGGGAAACUAUACGGUGGAUUCAGCCGAGGAAUGAAAACCUUUUGCAAAAACCGGUUGUUGAAUGAUUGAGCAACAUUAAACCUUUAAAUAUGAACUCCGGAUGUAGCCAUUAUGUCGUUAAUUUCAUGACAAUCUAUGUUGAAUUUUUGUACAAAAGUUCUUUCGUGUGGCAAUAUCCUAAAUAAGAAUAAGGGUAAGUAACCUUUUACCCAUUGUGUUAGGUUCUUAAUCAUAUCAUUCUUCUCCCUCGUUCCGCCUCUCCCCCACUCUUAUGGUUUUAAAAUUUAUACAUAACCUCCUCAUAAUUUAGGUUAAACUGUCACCAUUAAUUUUCUAUUAAAAUUCGCUGUCAAUAUUAAAAAAGUCAAAAUCAAACCAAUAAAUUAAUAAAUUCACCAUUUCUUAAUUUUUUCCAAGUACAAAAGAGAAGAAAGAAAAUUAAAGAAAAAGACAUAUAAGAAUUAGAAAAUACAAAAUCUUUAAUAAUUGCAAAUAUUUUAAACCAAAUCUUUAAUGAUUGCAAAUCUUUGAUGGUAUUUUCUAUUUCUUAUUUAUAUAUAUUUACUUCCCUUUAUUUUUUUGUAUUUGGAAAAAUUAAGAUUUAGUAUGCCAAUGUACAAUUAUUUCUAAAUCAUAUCUUCUUUUCCCAAAGGGAAAAAAGAAAAGACAAAAAAGGGGAAAAAAAGAAAAAAGUUAGUGAAAAGCUAUAUUUGUCAAUCCAUUAGUUUUGGAUUUGACUUUUUGAUAUUAAUUGUUAGUUUUAACCAAAAAACUAACAGUUAUGUUUUAACAAAAACUACAGAGGUUUUAUGUGGUAAAACAACAAACUACAUAAGGGGUAAAGGAUAAUUUACCCUUAAAAUAAUUAUUUUCAAUUGGUUCAAUAAUUUACUAUACGAAACAGUGGUAGAGCCACAUUCUGUUGAAGGGGAUGUGCAAUUGCACCCACCCAAUUUUUUAGAAACUAUAAAAUAGCCCAUAAUUUUUUUUUUACAAAAAAUUAUAGUAUUGCCCCAUUUUUGCUGUUCUGAAUUUUGGUAGCAUUCCCUUUAACCUCAUAAUUGUCCCCCAAAAUUGUUCAAAUCUUCAAUAAUUGUCUUCUCCAUUUCCACAAUGGUAAAUCUUGAACUAUAAUAUAUUACAUGAUACUAUUUUUUCCCUUUUUAUUAAAUGUAUUUUUUGUAAGCAAAUGCUAUCUCUUUAAUAUUUAGCUUUUCUUACAUGUAUAUUUCGUACAAAUUACAAGCCAACCAAAUAUUCAUUUUACAGUUCGAUUGUGUGUAAAUUAUUUGCCAAUUGUACAUCUUAAUUAUAAUACAUAUCUUGUAUUCUUAUGCAUGAUUUUAUACCAUUGGAUGAGUUGAAAAAUAAUGAAUCCCAAGUUGCAUGUUUGCUAUAAUAAAUAUUUAGUCAUUUCAAAAAUCUACAAACCAACACGUUAUAAGUCUAAAUUAAUAUUAUUACACCCCUUGAAUAAAAUGUUUUGGCUACGCCACUGCUACAAAGCCAUGUAGCCAAACACAAGUUAUAUUAUCUCUAUUAGUAUAUAGAAAUAUGUAAAUAAAUACUAUUUUGGUGAAACUUGGAAAUCAUUAGAAUUGUGAAUAACACAAAUUAGAAAAUAAACGCAUCCAAUCUUUCAAGUAUUACGAUUAAAAUAGUUCAAGGAUACAUUUGAAAAAAGGUAAGGCUAUUAGAAGAGAUUGUGAGGUUGUUUUGUGAUUCUAUUUGAUAAGUUUAGGUACAGGAAAACUAGAGACUUGACUGUGUUGGAUGCAUAUAGUGUUUGUUACAAAGCUAGUAAAAUUUUCAGGCCCUUGUCGAUAGUAAAUUGGGCGUCGUCAUUGUAAAUCACUCUUUCGCACGAUUCGUACCUAUGGUUUUUCACAAGUUCCAGGUUUUGGAGACUUGUAGAUUUCGUUUUUUUACCUUGUUUUUUAUGGAAAACUUGUUGAACUUUUAUUAAUAAGUGCGUCAACAAUCUUUUGUUAGGACUGGUCCCAUUUUCAAGAAAUUAAUCAACUAGAAUAAUAGGACUCUUGACAAUUCAAUAAAAACAAUAACAAACAAAUAAAUCAAACAAAGAAACACCAAAAUUUAUAUAAUUUAAUCAAAUGACUUGCAUUCACGGGCGAAAGGGUGACAAAUUUAUUAUAACAGAAAGGAUACAAAACCCUAGAAAAGAGUUUGUACACCUAAAAGCACCCAAUAUCAAAAGCACAAGAAGAGAAUUCAAAAUCACAUAUAAGGUUUAACAGUCUAAAGGCCCAAAUAACUCACUAACUGGCUCUGUUAAUUCGGCGUUUAACUUAAAAACCUCUCUUAAAUUAGGCAUCACAGCUGCCACCAUUUGUACCCUUGAGCCAGAUCAUGCACUGGGGAGCUUGCCUAGUUGUCUUCUGCUUCAACCAAUGGUUCAAACAUAGAAGCAACUGAUAUUAUGAAAAUGGAUGUGCCUGAUCCGGAGUUUGACAGAGACACAGAGGAAGAAUCAUUUGCUGGCUUUCAUGACAAUGAGGAUGGCAUGCCUGGCUUUCAUGCUAUUAUUCAUGAAGCCUUGUCCAGAAAUCCCUUCAAAGUUUGGAUUAGCUGGUUGAACUCCAAAAGCAACAGCGACUUUGGUCCAUUAAAUUGGGUGGGUUGGGCUCUUGCUAAAAAAGUUUCUUUUAGGCCUCUUGGUGAUGAAAUGGUUGUUUGCUUCCAGAGGAAACUUUCAAUAUUGUCUUUCAUAAAAUCACAGUGAAUCACGUACAAUGCACGAGUCUUCGUGAUCACAAUUUUAAUGCAAUUAUUUAUUUUAAUGGAAAAAUGAAUUCCUUAAUUUAACGGAGACGGUCUUUGCAAAUUGCAAAAUUUAUACAAGUUUUAAUGCAAAUUCUACCGUUUCUUUUGGAUGUCAUACUGAUACUGAUGAUUAUAAUUCAAUAAACUCCUAUCACAUCAUUCAAUAAUUUAAACUACUAAAACUAUCUAAGGACUGAUAUCUGUCUUUAUACAUUCAAUGGUAAAUUGAUACGUGAUAUCCAAAAGUUACAAUAGAGCUCUCCGAAGAAAGUAAGGUUAUUAGAAACAUGAUGACAAAUCUCCUCUUGCUUAUGGGAGUUGGCAUUUUCAGUUCUCAUAAUCACAGUACUGCUAAAGUUUGAUGUUUCUAGAUUUUUGCAUCAUAGCAUAUUAUCUUAUAUGCAUUCUGUUCAUUGGGAUAAUUUUAAAAGUCCUUUGGGUUUCUGAUUGACGGAAUGUAUAGCAGGGAGCAUUACCUGCAGGUUGCUUCUAUCUCAAAAAAAAAAAAAACUCCUGACAAUUAAAAGUGUCAGCAUUGAAUUCGAUAUUCUAAUGUUGUACUAUACCUAUCCUGACACUUUCAAUUAUCAAGAAAAGGGAUUUUUGUUGGCAGAUGGGAUGUUAUAACAGCAUAGUUUUCCUGACAUGUUGAAUAGUAUGAGUCUAUCCCCACAUUGGAAGGGACAAUACUCGCCCUAGGUGUGAGGAUAGAUAAAGUGUCAGGUUAGAUAAUCUAUACUGACACUUUUAAAUGCCGUUAAAGGCCAUUUUUGUUGUAGUGAAAGGAUCACGAGGUUUGUUUUGUGAUUCCAUUUGAUAAGUUUAGGUACAGGACAACUAGAGACUUAACUAUGUAGAAUGCACAUGAUUAUUUUGUCACAAAACUAGUAAAAUUUUCAGGCCCUUUUCGGUAGAAUAUUGGUCUUAGUAACUGUAAAUCACGUCUUUCGCACGAUUCGUACCAAUGGAUUUUCACAAGUUCCAGGAUUUGGAGACAUUUCGAUGUCAUUUUUCUUUUUUUUUUUCAAGGAAAUCUUGUUGAACUUGUUUUAACAUGUAUGUGAACAAUCUUUUACUCUCCAAGGCAACACCAGAGUCCAGAAUCUACCACCUUCUGCAUGAAAUCUAACUUAAUAAAACCAAACAAAAAACAGAACUGCUGACUGCUAACUAUUCUUUUAGUCUAUCACAGAACACCAACUAAAGAAAGAGAUGUGGAUCAAAACAUAAACCAAAACAAAGUUCCUAUUCUCAAAAAAGAAUAAAUUUUUGGUGUUUUCUUAUAAUGCGUGUUCCAGUAAUUCUUAAUCUCGUUGUCUGUCCUCUUUGGCAGGGAUGGACACGGAUGGAAAUAGGGUGCAACCAAGGGCAGUUAGGCCACCAAAAACUUUCCGAAUAGUUAUUUAAAGGAUGAGGCUUGCUACCAAAAAUUGGUUAAUUUUAUUUUACACCUCUCCAUAAAAGUAGUAUGAUAUAGCAAAAUAAGGAAAUUAUACAAAGGGAAACAAAAGAUAAACCAAAGCAAAUUUAACUUCUACUACAACUUGUAUACACUGUCAGUAUAUAUAAGAGUUACUUAUAAAAUUUUGUCAAAUUCUAAUUUAGUUUGGAGUUUUGACCGGAUGAAUUUGUAGAUAAAAAGUGAGAUAGAGAGUUUUUAGUUAUCCAAGGAAACCGAUUUGAAAUUCAUAAAGGGAUAAUUCAGAGACCUCCUCUGAUAAAAAGUCAAAAUCAAACUAAUAAAUUGACAAAUUCACUAUUUCAUUACUUAAUUUUUCUGGAAAAGAGAAGAAGUGAAAAUUGAAAAAAAAAAGAUAAAUGAGAAAUACAAAAUGUAAAGUCUUUAAUAACUACAAAUAUCAUUAGAGGAUUAUAAACCAAAUCUUUAAUGGUAUCCUCUAUUUCUUGUUUAUCUAUUUUUAUUUUCCUUUCCUUUUUUUUGUACUUGGUAAAGAUUAAGAUUUAGCAGGCCAAAAUACAAUUUUUUUAAAAUCAUCUAAUCUCUUCCCAAGGGAAACAAGAAAAAGAGAAAGAAAAGAAAAAAGGUAAAAGAUAGUGAAAGGAUAAUUUGUUAAUUUAUUAGUUUGCUUUGACUUUUAAUAUUGAUCAUUAGUUUCAACGAUCAUGUAACUUUAACCUAAACCAUAAGAAGAUUACGUAUAGGAUUUUAAACUAUAGGGGUGUUACGUGGAAAUUCUUAUAGAAACCAAAUGGGUAGGUUUGGAGCAGAGAAAGUCUGAAAUUUAAGGGAAUUAUCAGGCUAGAAGUUUAAGGGAAUUAUCACAGUCAGAAAUUCGAGAUAUGCUGAUGGGAAAGGCUAGGAUUGAAAUGCACAAGAAGUUGCAGGAAUGGAAUAUGGCUGCUGUACAGAAGUCUUUAGGUAAAGAAGCAAGGGAAAAGCCAACUUCAAUAAUGCUCUGACAGAAUCUGUUGGAAGUCAAUUUCUUGAUGACAACUUUCUUAGACAAAACUGCCACCAUUAGUACCCCUGAGCCAGGUGCACUAGGGAGCUUGCCUUCUGCUUCAACCAAUGGCUCAAACACAGAAGUUGCUGAUCCGGAGUGGCUGAUCCGGAGUUUGACAAACACAGAGUGGAAGAAUCAUUUACUGAAAACCGGGUUUGGGAUGCAUAUGACAACGAGAAUGGUAUGCCUCGCUUUUAUGCUAUCAUUCAUGAAGUCUUGUCUAAGAAGCCCUUUAAAGAUAGGAUUAGCUGGUUGAACUCCAAAAGCAACAGCGAAUUUGGUCCAUUAAAUUGGGUGGGUUGUAGCUUUGCUAAAAAAAAUUUUCUUUUAGUCCUCUAGGUGAUGAAAUGGGUGUUUGCUUCGGGAAGAAACUUUCAAUGAUCUUCUCUUCAUAAACUAGCAGUGAAUCACGCACUACGCACGACUCUUCAUGAUCACAAGUUCUAUGCAAUUGGUUUUUUAAGAAAACUGAAUUUCCUUAAUCCAAUUCAAUGGAGUCAUAUCUCUGCAAAUUGCAGAAUUUAUACAAGUUUUAAUGCAAAUUAUACAACUAUUAGUAUUACUAAUUUGUACAUUUACUAUAUUAUUGUAAUUAUCUUUUACUUAUAAUUUCAUUUUGUAUUAUUUAUAUACACUAUUAGAAAGUUCAAAAUACACUGUGUUGCAUAAAAACUAAUAUAUGCUUGUCAUAAUAAAAAAAAAGUAUAUAUUGCUAGUAAUUUGACUAUUUGAAAAAAUAUUAGCAAACUAGAACUUUAAAUAACUUAAUAUUUAAAGCUAUAUCCCAAAAAAUAAAAUAACUAUUGUUUUAUUUACUUUUUUAUGUAAAAUUGAUUAACCACUAUGUUAUUAUGGUUUUUCAACUCAUUACUGUUGUUAUUAAAAAGUAAUUCCGUCUAAAUUCUAGACUUAUUAAUUUAAAUAAUAUGUGACAUAGUUUAUGUAUAUAGAUAACAUAUAUUUUGUUGUAGCAUAGAUUUUAUGAUAGUAUUACUUUCAGUAAAAAAGAUAGAAACAAAUGAAGAUGAUGUUUAAGAAAAUUAAAAUUAAUACAUGGAUAAUAAUAGUAAAGAGAAGAAAGUAGUUGAUCACAUGAGAAAAUGGAGAAAAGUUUAAAAAAUAUAUAAAGAAAAUGGACAGGUAGAAAAAAGGAAAAAGAAAAAGAAAAAGAAAAUAAAAUAAUAAUUAGUACAGAAGAGGCACUUGUGUCCUAAAGCAUAAAAUUGGAGGGCAAAGUGCCAAUUUAUUGAGUUGAGAGGGGUAAGGUGCAAUUGAGAAUAAAGUUCAGGGAAUUUAAUGCUUUUAACCCUAAAAUAAAACAUGGCUUCAACUUUCAACUUCCAACAAAAUUCUGAAUUUAAUUGCCAAAAUGAAACUUCUUGAAUUUAUUGCAAAGUUUUUGUAUCGCUGAUCGUGUCAAAAUCAAUCAAAUACAAACAUUGCCAAGUUUUUGUAAUCUUGCGUCUCAUCCAUAGAAGGAUGAUACAAACAUUACAACGAACUCCAAUUCUGCCUGCUUCGACACCUUGUUUCUUGGAGCAUCAAGCCGUGAUAGAGGGACAAAGUUUUGUUAGCCUUUGCGACAUUGUUCAUUUCCUCAUCAAGUAUCCACUAAUAGAGAAGCAACACAUUGACCUGAGCCUAUCCGACUUUAAUCUUUUAAUUUUGUUAAAUUUGAUUCCGUGCAAAUUACUUGUAAUAUAUAUAUAUAUAUUCUUAAGAAUCAUAACUCUAUUGCAUAUAUCAAGUCUACAAUAUCAUACAAAAUUGACGUUUGUUUAUUUUAUGCUUGCCAUUAUACAUCACGUUACUGAACAAAAUAAAUUGCAUUAUUCCUAAUUGAAUUCUUUCUGCAAUUACUUUUUUAAAAAAAUCUUUGAAGUUUUUUUCACACCCUCAAUGCUACUUGUUAAUUGUCCUUUAGAAGAAGGCCUUUUUCAGAAUUUUAAUUGCAAAGUAUAGUUUUCACCAUUGCUGCCCAUCAUUCCAACUCUUCAAGGAUCUAGAGCAAAAAACUUUACACUCGUUGAUUCAGAAUUUCACCUCCGGAAGACCAAGUACAAAAUGCACCUUCUCUGGGGUGUUUUUUAUCUUAACCACAGGUAAAAUUCUAGAGUAAAUUCCUCUAGGAAAAAGCCUUUUGGAGUGGAUUAUGAAACAAAAAUAUCGCUUUGUCUUCGCAUACCUUUUUUUUUUUUUUUUCUUUUUUGAGAUAAGAAGGGGAACUAAUUGCUAUGGAUUCAGCCAACGAGGACUAUUUGUGAUUAAUCAAUGAAAAAUGUGUGAAAGUAUGUUGUUCUUUGAUUAAACAACAUUGUACAUUAAAACUUUAGCUUUAAAUUUAGUCAUUAAGUCUUUAAUGUAAUGCAUUCCACCAAAGUUCUUUCUUUUUCAAUAUAGUUGCAUAAACAUGAAAUAAAUUUCGAUUUCACCGAAUUCAUGAAUAUAGUAAAUUGAAAAAAUUGAGAAACAAAUUUACUAUAACUUCAAAUUUACUUUAGUCUUCAAUUGUAUUUAUAAUAACUAUACAAGAUUAAUUUCUAUAAAAUGAUAGAAAUUCUACAUUAGCAUCAAUGAAAGAUUUUGGUUUUUUGUUUCUUAGCUAUCGGGAACCAUAUCUCAUUUGAAACUUGAGAAUAGUUUUUUCUAAUGAUUUGAUAGAUCAUACUUUAUUAAUUCAGUAAUGGAGGCAAAUACGAGCUAGAUCAUUCCCAUUAGCAUAAAGAAUAUAAACAUAAGCCUACAAAUAGUGACUAUUUUGGUGAAACUUAGGAAAUAUUGCUAUUUUUUUGAUUGGAUGUAUCACAAAUUUGUGAGGCCCCAGUCCGUUCUACGUUGAUAUAUUCAUUAGCUGGGCGGUAACGUUUGGUUUUAGGAGUAUUUCGAAAACCCUAUGUAGGGAUUAAGAUUUAAAGCCCUACUAUCCAAUUAUUCCAUAAUAAGUGCAAGUGAGCCUAGAAAGUAGGGUUUCACUCUUCGGUUUCAGCAUUGGAGCAAAAUUAGGGUUUUUGUGAUUUUCGCCGGAUGAAAUUUUGGUACGGAAAAAGGAUCAAAUUUGGUGAUUAAAAGUGACUUUUAAGUGAGAAAUAAUAUGUAAUUAGGAGCAAUAAGAUAAGAUUAGUGAAUAGGAAGUAAAAACCCUAGUACGUGUGUUUUAAGAAAAAAUGGCGCGAACCGGCGGGUCCCGCGCAUUACCGAUUGAACGCACCAAUUGACCACCAUUUACUUGCCAUGCAAGUUUACCACUAAUAGAGCAAAAUAUCUUCCCUCCCUCUUAGCUUCUUAUUGGCCGAAAAUUAGUGGUUCAAAAUGCAACAAGAGAGAGAAAAUUGUGUGGUUGUGAUUCAACCAAGUGUUAACCAAACUUGUGGCUAGAAUUAAUUCUUAUUUUUUUCCAACCUUCUUAUAAGACAAAUGAAGCUUAAUCUUCCUCAUUCUUUUCUCUCUCUUGGCCGAAAUUCUCUCCAAAGGAAGAAAGAAAAAUCUCUCUCAAUUCCUUGUCCUAAUCUUGCUCAAUCUCAUAAACUAACAGGUUAAUCUUGAAUUCCUUCCAUAAAACCUCUUCAUUUGGUAUUAGUAAGUUGAUUGGUGAAGUGUUUGUGGAAGCUAAGGUGACAAGCAACUCCCUCUCUCUUGUUUUACUAGGUGAGUAAUGAAUGAACUCUCUCCUUCACCUAAUGAAGCUUAAUUCAUGCUUAGUGGUGUUAAGAGAUGAAAAAUUAUGGUUUAUAUCUUGAUUUGUGGAUGAUUUAGUGAAGUUUUAUAUUUAUUGGGAUUUUUCCUGUUUUAAUAUAAGCAUGAUUGUGUGGCUAUAUAUGAUGGUUGGAAAUGGUAUGUAAUGAUGCUAGAUGGUGGAAAAAGUGGAAGAUUGCAAGUGAUUUCUGUUUUGAAUGAAAUCUGGAAAAUUGGGGUUUCUUGGUUCUUCAUUCUGUCCGAAUAUUUUGGUCCUAGAUAGAGGCCGAAUUGGCCUUGGCUUAAAACAUGAAAGUUGUAGUAAAUGACAUUUUAUAGGUGCCUGUAAAAUUUCAGGUCAAUCGGAGUAGCGUAGAGUGAGAAAAGUUGAAAAUACCCUUGCUGUUCUGGUUUUGUCCGAACGUAAGAACUGCACUUGUAAUUGGUGAUUUUGGAUAGGAUUACUUCAGAAUUGGUUGUUCUAGUCUUCUGAUGAAAUGUAGCCCUGUUUCUAAGCUUUCGUAUGCCUUUGAAAUUUCUGAAUUUGGAAUUAAGUAGGCUGAGUUAUGCUGUUUGCACCAGGUUGCGGUUUGUUCACCUGUUUUACGAUUCUGGUUUAGUAUCUUACAGUUUUGACCUAGUUACACUCGAAACUGGGUUAAGUGGCCUUCUUCAACGUUGUAGCCUUUUAAGUGCUGAAUCUACCUGUAAAAUUUUAGGUCAAACAGAUUAAUGUAUUCCGAGUUAUAGACAAAACCCUCAGACCUGUUUUAGACGUCCGUUUGUGUACGUUUUGCAUUUCAGUUUCUGCCGUGCAUUUUUCCGUUCUGAUUCCAUACGAUCUGGGUGUCGACUCCUUCAUAAGAAAUUUAGAUCUUGGUCUCAUCUUCGAAACGGUAUAAAGUACGUCGAAAACCGAGUUCCGUAGCUCCUGUUAUGAUCAAAACAAUAACGCUCGUCAGAACUGCCUUGUAUUUGGACAGUUCUGACGGGUACGUUGACACUCGAUUUUCGUUCUGUUCUGAGUGGAUUCAGGUCUUGGCCAAAACAUCAAAGUUUUAGCCUUAUGUCUCAGCUUUCUAACGCCUUUGGAAUUUCUUGAUUUCGAUUUCUGAACCGUGAGUUACGGCCUUGCAAACAGGGCAUGUUUGGUAACUUGCCGUGAAACAGCUGGCACUAUCUCGUGCCUUUUUGACCUAUACCUAUUGAGAUCUGGGUUGAGAUGUCUUCAUGAGAAUUGUAUCCCUUCCUCUUAGCUUCGAAACAGUAUCUCGCUCACCUUGAUCCGACACUCCUAGCCUAACUUUCGACCAAAACGGUUUAAGAUGGCCGAUUUGGCCGUCCCGUUUGCCGUUCCGCGCGCGCGCGUGUGCCCCUUUUUGCCGUUUUCGCACUUGCGCGUGCCAAUUUUGCCGUUUUGCUUGUUUUACGUGUGUGAGUAGCUGUUUGUGAUAUAUUGUGACACAAUCUUCGAUUUCAGAUGGUGGUGAACUAGGCGGAGCCGGUGGGGCCCACUACUAGCCAACCAACGAAGUGAUUUCCGCUUUUGUACUACUUUUGUAUUUGGAGUAAGUACUCAGGCCGCUUUUGUAUGUUAGUUGCUUAUGUGUUUCGAUAUGUAUGAAGAGGGUACUUAGACGAGGGUGUACUUUAUCGCACUCGCUCUAAACCCUAAUUUGCGCACAUAUUUGUACAUGGCUUAUGUAUAUGAGCAAUUUUGGAACUAAAACCUUGAGCUGGUGGCUCGGGGUGACUUUUGAAUAAUUUUGUGAAUUUUGUGAGUUUGAGGUUGAACUCAAUACCUAGAUGGACUAUUCGAGCCGGUUAGGGCUUGGUCGAAGUCAGUCCAACUUGGUUUGAGGUCACCAAGUUUGUGAACCCGGUUCGCUGAGUAUGUGAACCAAUUUUGUGACCCGAGCUUGUGACUCAAGCUCAAGUUUGUGAUUUCGUUCGCCUGGGCAAGUUUGUGAGGUGACUGGCCAGUGAGGGUGAUAAGGUGUUCGGUGGGUGUACAAGUGGAGUUCUACGGACCUUAUGUAUGGUCGACGGAGUGUCGACAGGAGGUCACGCAUGGCAACGACUUGGCUUUGGAGCCACCUGUAUCCUUAUUAUGUGAUGUUACUUUUCUGCUUUUGCUUUACUCUUAUUGAGUAACUGUGGUUACGUGACAUUUACGCUUUUGCCCCUGUUUACUUACUAAGCAUAUAGCUUACCCCGUUCCUUUUGUUUUCCUUAGCAGGGGCCGACGCGGGGACUUAUGGGCACUUACACUAGUAUUGGUUUGUCAUAGUUGGACAAUUAGGAUGUUUGUUUUUAUUGUGGUGGUUUGUAUAAGGACCCUCCUUAGGGUCUACCUUUUAGUUUUGGUUGUAAUUAUAAGGGUGUAAUAGUUUGAGCAGGUACUUUUGGAGAAUGUAAUUAUAACCUUUUUGGGAUUUGUAUAUAGUAUGUAAGGUACUCUUUUGGAUUUUCUGGUUUUUAUCGCUUUAAGGUUUGAGUCCUGGCGCGAGCUAGGCAGGCGGCCCGCCGAUACCCUUGGGUUCGCCCUUGGGAGAAGUGGGGUCGUUACAAAAUUACUGAAUUUUUUUUAUUGAUAUGACAGUGAAAGUUAUUUCGGUUUAAUGAUUGUUUUCACUAUUUUCUUGGAACUAUUAAAUUUGUUGGAUGAUUUUCUUUUCUAGGGAGGAUUUGCAGACCUUGUAAUUUCUUGGUUAUUAAAUUCCUAUAUAAUUUCUUUUUCAAUUGAUACCAAUAAGACACUUCAAAAUUACUAAAAAGGUGAGGUUAUUAGAAGAGAUCUUGUGGUUAUUUAGGCAAAGCACUACCUCAUACCCUACCACUAUAACAAGAUUAAAUAAAAAAAAAAAAGAAAGAAGAAACAGUAACCAUAUCUUGUAAAUCACGUAUUUUGCACGAUUCAACUGAUUAAGGCAAUUCCUUGCCUAUGUAUAUGUGUUCUACAGUAAUAGCAGUGAACUAGGAUGUAUGUUGCUAAUAUUCUGAAAAACGAAAGGCAAUUGCUGCCUCCCGUGAGCUCUCCAGACGGUUUUAAGGGAUGAUAGUAACAAUAAGUAUAUUGUAACAUGUGGGACCUGUUUGAUGGGCUGAAUAUAAACAUAAGGUAGGAAUAAAAUUGUGCGACUGGAAUGGCGCUAUAUAUGUUGUCUCAUGUUACUGUGUGAAUAUUGAACGGUACUAAGAGAAAAAGAUCAUGAACAAUUGCUGUUUUAAUGGCGAUAUGGAAGAUAUGAAUAAAAGUAGUUGUGAUUUUAGAAAAUUGAGAAUGAACAGUGGACGCGAAAGUUCUUAUAAAAGCCAAAUGGGUAGGUUUGGAGCAGAGCAAGUCAUUAUGUUUGAUAACCAGCCUAAAAAGUUUAAGGGAAUCAUCACAGUCAGAAAUUUGAGAUAUGUUAAUGGGAAAGGCAAGGAUAGAAAUCCACAAGAAGUUACAGGAAUGGAAUAUGGUUUCUAUGCAGAAGUCUUCAGGUAAAAAAGCAGGGAAGAAGCCAACUUCAAUAAUGCUCCGGAAGAAUCUGCUGGAAGUGGCAUGAAGAAGGCUAGGAAACACUUUGAUUAAUGGUGCCAAUACUUUCACUACACCCCAAAAAGUCAUCAGUUUCUUCUAUAAUAACUUUCUCAAACACCUACCACCAUUAGUGCCCCCGAGCCAGAUCAUGCACUGGAGAGCUUGCCUUCUGCUUCAACAGAUGGUUCAAAGUUCAAACACGGAAGCUAUGAUAUUAUUAUGACAAUGGAUGUGCCUGAUCCGGAGCUUGACAGAGACAAAGAGGUGCUCAUGACAAUGAGGAUGGCAUGCCUGGCUUUCGUGCUAUUAUUCAUGAAGUCUUGUCCAGAAAGCCCUUUAGAGUUAGGAUUUCUAGUUGAACUCCAAAAGCAACAGCAAACUUGGCCCAUUAAAUUAGGUGGGUUGUGAUUUUUAUAAAACUUGCUAUACCAAUUUGUCACAAUGGUGGGUUCUGAUUUUACAAAAUUGAGAAUUUUGAUACCAAUUGAAAUAUAGGGAAGUUUAAAAAAAAAUUGAAGAUAAAGUCGAUGAUAAUAAUUGAAUUGUAUAAUUGCGUAUGAAAUUUGUAAGGAGGCUAAAAAAUUAAAGAUAAAGUCAGCAGCAGAAAUUGAACAAAUAUUUGGAAGAUGCUAGAGAAAUUUUAAUAGGUGAAUCACGCAUGACACAUGACUCUUCAUGAUCACAAGUUCUAUGCAACUUUUUUGUUUUCAGAAAACUGAAUUUCCUUAACUCAAUUCAAUGGGGACAUAUCUCCGCAUAUUGCAGAAUUUAUACAAGUUUUAAUGCAAAUUAUACAACUAUUCAAAACAUGGAUGGCUUCGACUUAAUAUCUUUGAAUUGGUUCAAUAAUUUACGCUACGAAGCGAUGUAGCCAAAUACUCGUUAGAUUAUUUCUAUUAGUGCAUACAAACAUGUAAAUAAAUACUAAUUUGUUGAAACUUGGGAAUCAUUAGAAUUGUGAAUAACACGCAUUAAAAAAUAAAUACAUCCAUUCUUUCAAGUAAUACGAAUAAAAUAGUUCAAAGACGCAUUAAAAAAUUGUUGACAAAAAAAUUAAACCAAGCUGAUUUGUUAUUUGGUAACUAGAUUAGAAUUUGUUUUAAAAUUGAUUUAGAAAAUAUAGUUGAGUUGUGUUUAGAUAUUAGUAUUUGAAUAGAUUUAUGGUUUUAUGCGUCUAUUUAAAGACUUGAGUUCAAUUUUUGUUAUCGAGAGAGUUGUGAUAUUUGAGUGAUAGGAUGGAAUUUUAUCAUUUAUUUUAUUAUUAAUUUCCUCUAUUACCUGAUUUGAUGUAGAUUAAUUGCUAGAUUCUACUCACUUUUAGUAUUUGACAUAUAUUUCAGGGAGUAGAACGAAAAUACCAUAACAAGUGCUAAUUUGAUAGUUAUUAAAAAAGAGUUCAAGUAGCAGGCAUUCAGGGCCAUUUUUGGAAUAUCAAAACGUGACCUUUUUGGUAAUUUUACGGAAGACAGCAUAAAAGAAGAAAAGGGAACGAAGGGCUGGAGGGGAGGUCCUCUCCGCAAGGGGGCGCAGCACAGAGCCGCCGCAAGGAGGAGGCAGACUUAGAUAGGAAUUAGAGAGGACUACUUUAAGUUGCUUUUGUUGACUUUUCUUUGGUUGGCUUUUGGCUUAACCUCAAUUCUCAUAUGUCAGAGGCCAUAAGAAAACAAAGAAAUCAUUCUCUGUAGCAAUUUUUCGUUUUGACUUUAGCCUUUCAUCCUCUGUGGCUCUCUUGCCGCAUAUGCCUGGAACAAUUAGGACAAUGGCUGCUGCUUUCUUUACACUUUUGCAUGGAUUUUUCGCACCAAAUAUGAAUUAAUCUCCUCACUCUAAUCAAGGAACAACGGAGGCUUUAGAUCGCCUAAAAUUGUGAGAUCGAUUUAAUUUCAUCUUUUUCUUUUAUUUAUUGGUAUUCGCAUAUUCCUUGAUUGUAGUGCUUAUGAUUAUUUAAUUAAUUGAUUGUCUUGGAUCCGGAUAAUUAGUUAAUUUAAUAAUCUAUUGUCAAUUAGGGCAUUAAAUUCGUAAUUGUUUAAUUGCCUUGAAAUAGUGAGAACUGGCAUGAUUGGGUUUGUGUCAGGGGGAUAUGCGGGCUAAUUUGAAAUAACCCUGGUAGUGCGUUAUUUGAUUAGAAUAGAGCUUCUCUAAUACGUAAGGCAAUUGGGAAAUUAAAUCUUAUGGGCGUACCUAGGAUUAUUUCUCAAUUAGGGCAGUGAUUAACGGGCGUACCUUAAUCACCGAUACAGUAAGGAGUGGUUGACUGCCAUCGCUUGUUUGGCAGUUAUAACCUCUUUAUUAGUAAAUAAUUGGAAUUGGCUUUGCGUCGAUGAUCAAUUAGGUGAACCAUUGCUGAAGUUAUUCCUUGACUAGAUCCUUAAUUAUCACUCAUUUGAUUUUAGUAAAUUAUUAUUUAAUUUCUAGUUGGCUAUUUUAUUUUUAUUAUUUUACUUUUAGUUGAAUUGUUUAAAUUGUCACUCCUGAUAUAAAAACACCCCCUUGUCACUAUAAAUUUGAAAAGAAACAAUUACUCCCAGUCCCUGUGGAUUCGACCAUACUCACCGCUAUCUACAGAAAUUACUUUUAGUUUGAGCAGAUUUUAUUAUUGCAUAGGCCUCGACAACCUGUCAUUGAGUUACAAAAUUAUUUCCUCUCCAGCAUAAUACUUUGCCUUCCUCCAUCGAAAGAGUGAUUAGACAAUUAAGAGCACAAAACUUUGGGUUUACCAGGCAAAAAGUAUUAUACAACUCGUCAAAGUUGUUCUUAAAAGGAGUUCAAGAGAGGAUUAUUUUUCUUUUUGUCUUGACUCCUGUCAAAACCUUCCACACAAGACUCUGUUGAUCGCGAGGUGUGUGCCCUUCGUCAAGAACCACAAGACCAGGCAGUUGAAGAAAGAUUUCCCUAAGGUCGUAUUUGAAUUGCAAUUUUUUGAAGUUUUUUGUAAAAAAUAUACCUUAACGAUUUGAUAUAUGUGAGAUAUAAAAGUGAUUAAAAAAUGUGUUCAGAAAAAAUAUAAAGAUUUUUUGAUAAAAAAUUCCUUUCCACACAAGGUCGUGCUAUUAAGUCUUUUAUCACUUCCUUUUUCCUUCCGUCCACUAGCAAUCUGCUCAAAUAACUUGUAGCUGAUUCCAAGAGCACUUUUAUCCUUUGUCCAAGAGUACAGCUUUGUCAUUCGACUUCCAACUCUCCGAGGAAAUUCUGCAUCAGUUUUGAGUUCGUUUCCUGACAAGUCCUUGCUAUGAAAGUUAUGAAAAUGAAUUCUAUAUCCCCAUUUUCGGAACUCAUUUUUCCAAAUAAGCAGCAUGCUUGUAGGAGCUAUAAUCAAGAGCCGGCACAUUGGAUAUAUUUUUAACAAUGACAAAAUGAGAACAAUUGUCAGGCAAGUCUUCCCUGUGCCAGGGGCAUGUGAUAUUAUGGCUCCUCUUCCAUCAUCAGACAGUUCAGUUUUCAGCUUCUUAAUACAAUACAAAUUUCUCCUACUAUGUUUUCCCACAAGAAGACAAAUCCAUUCAGUUGAUGACUAUACAUUGACGUUCUAAUAUCAUCGAGAAUAAGAUCCAAUAUAGAACCUUCAGCAUCAAUGGAGGUGUAGUAGUUUCCAGAGGCUAACUCACCAAAAUGAAGCUCAUGAAUACCUCUGCAAAGGUUACUAGAAGAGAUCAUGAGGUUGGUUUAGCAUCCCAUUUGAUAAGUUUGGUAUAGGACAACCAGAGACUUAACUAUGCAGGAUGCACAUAUUGCUUUGUUACAAAGCCAGUAAAAUUUUCAGGCCCUUUUCGACAGCAAAUUGGGCAUAGUGAUUGUAAAUCACGUCUUUUGCACUCACAGACACCAAUCAAGACAGUUUCAUUAAUUUAACAAAUUUAGUUCCUUGAUUAUACUUAAUUGUUCAAAAACCCAAAAUAUUUUUCUCCUCCACUAGAUUCUACCGAUCAACCCCUUUUUGUUGCCUGACUGCCGAUAUCUUAUUUCUCCUUUUCCCUGAUGUAAUCCAUCUGGUCGCCCGACGUUGGCAGUGAAAACCAAUCUUUAGUUAUUAUUACAAGAAAAAUAUUCAUAUCCAAUAAGUAAUCGAAUCAACUUACAAGAAAGCCAACCCAACUCCAUUGACAAUAAAUUAUAAUAGAUGACCAAUGAGCUUUAGCAACCAUUUUACUCAUGUUCAUGAUUUAGCUUUAUAAAAAUCUAAAUCUCAAGCCAUCCACCACCAGCAAAGCAUAAUCCAUCAUCCCUUUAAUCAUCAUUGCAGUUGCAUAAACUUCUAUAUACAGUACAUGUCUAAAUAAUUGAAUAAUUUUUUCAGAAGACAGAAAAAAUAAAAAAUGGGGAGAUACAAGUUAACCAUUCAAGAGUGUAGCUCUGGUUAUGAGGGACAUAAUCACCUAGUUUUGAGUUCGUUUCCUGACAAGUCCUUGCUAUGAAAGUUAUGAAAAUGAAUUCUAUAUCCCCAUUUUCGGAACUCAUUUUUCCAAAUAAGCAGCAUGCUUGUAGGAGCUAUAAUCAAGAGCCGGCACAUUGGAUAUAUUUUUAACAAUGACAAAAUGAGAACAAUUGUCAGGCAAGUCUUCCCUGUGCCAGGGGCAUGUGAUAUUAUGGCUCCUCUUCCAUCAUCAGACAGUUCAGUUUUCAGCUUCUUAAUACAAUACAAAUUUCUCCUACUAUGUUUUCCCACAAGAAGACAAAUCCAUUCAGUUGAUGACUAUACAUUGACGUUCUAAUAUCAUCGAGAAUAAGAUCCAAUAUAGAACCUUCAGCAUCAAUGGAGGUGUAGUAGUUUCCAGAGGCUAACUCACCAAAAUGAAGCUCAUGAAUACCUCUGCAAAGGUUACUAGAAGAGAUCAUGAGGUUGGUUUAGCAUCCCAUUUGAUAAGUUUGGUAUAGGACAACCAGAGACUUAACUAUGCAGGAUGCACAUAUUGCUUUGUUACAAAGCCAGUAAAAUUUUCAGGCCCUUUUCGACAGCAAAUUGGGCAUAGUGAUUGUAAAUCACGUCUUUUGCACUCACAGACACCAAUCAAGACAGUUUCAUUAAUUUAACAAAUUUAGUUCCUUGAUUAUACUUAAUUGUUCAAAAACCCAAAAUAUUUUUCUCCUCCACUAGAUUCUACCGAUCAACCCCUUUUUGUUGCCUGACUGCCGAUAUCUUAUUUCUCCUUUUCCCUGAUGUAAUCCAUCUGGUCGCCCGACGUUGGCAGUGAAAACCAAUCUUUAGUUAUUAUUACAAGAAAAAUAUUCAUAUCCAAUAAGUAAUCGAAUCAACUUACAAGAAAGCCAACCCAACUCCAUUGACAAUAAAUUAUAAUAGAUGACCAAUGAGCUUUAGCAACCAUUUUACUCAUGUUCAUGAUUUAGCUUUAUAAAAAUCUAAAUCUCAAGCCAUCCACCACCAGCAAAGCAUAAUCCAUCAUCCCUUUAAUCAUCAUUGCAGUUGCAUAAACUUCUAUAUACAGUACAUGUCUAAAUAAUUGAAUAAUUUUUUCAGAAGACAGAAAAAAUAAAAAAUGGGGAGAUACAAGUUAACCAUUCAAGAGUGUAGCUCUGGUUAUGAGGGACAUAAUCACCUAGAGAAGAUAAUUGAUUUGGGCUUUGAGGGCAAAUUAAGGAUUGCUAGAAGAGGAGGAAAGGAAGGUGAUGACCAAAUGGUUGAGAUAGAGAUGUGGAUAAAGAGGAUUAAGGAGAAUGGAAUUGGAGCAAAGCAUAGAUGGAUAAGGCAAAGAAUUAUAGAGUUGGGAAGAUGCAAAAUGUAAAAGAGAAGGAAAAAGAAAAGAGAAUGUGAAAUAAGAUGAUUGUGUUGUUCCCGAACAAGCAAGUAGUCUAUGCACCCAAAUUGAAAUGAGUGGCUAGAAAUUGUCCGUCGCUUUGAGAGAAGUUACCCCAUUUUCCGGAGACUUUUGGGAUUUCGUUUUUCAUCUUGUACAAUGUCUACUUGAAAGCAGCAGAGAAAGAGAUUCCACAUAGGAUUGAUAGGGUGAGUGUUCACCAAGAUGGGAAUAUAAUUGUGCAACUGGAUUGGUCCUGCUGUAGUCUUAUGUUACUUUAUUAAUAUUGGACAGUAAUUAGAGGGAAAAAAAUCAUUAAUGAUUGCUGUUUUAAUGGUGAUAUGGAAGAUAUGAAUAAAAAUAGUUGUGAUUUUACAAAAUUCAGAAUGGGUAGUUGAUGCGGAAAUUCUUAUGGAUAGGUUUGGAGCGGAGAAAGUCAUUAUUUCUGAUAACUAGCCUAAAAGUUUAAGGGAAUUAUCACAGUCAGAAAUUCGAGAUGUGUUGAUGGGAAAGGCAAGAAUGGAAAUCCACAAGAAGUUUAAGGAAUGGAAUAUGGCUGCUGUACAGAAGUCUUCAGUUAAAGAAGCAGGGGAAGCCAAUGAAAGUAGCCAACUUCAUUAAUGCUACGAAAGAAUCUGUUGGAAGUGGCAUGAAGGAGGCUAGAAACAUGAAAACACAAAGAUGAAGGGUGCCAAUACUGCAGAUACACCCCAAAAAGUAGUCAAUUUCUUCUAUUAUAACUUUCUCAGACACAACUGCCACCAUUAGUACCCUGAGCUAGAUCAUGCACUAGGGAGCUUGCCUUCUGCUUCAACAAAUGGCUCAAACACAGAAGCUACUGAUAUAUUCAUGACGAUGGAUGUGGCUGAUCCGGAUUUGACAAAGACGGGGUGGAAGAAUCAUUUGCUGAAAACCAGGUUUGGGCUGCAUAUGACAAUGAGGUGGUAUGCCUCGCUUUUAUGCUAUUAUUCAUGAAGCCUUGUCCAGAAAGCCCUUUAAAGUUAGGAUUAGCUGGUUGAACUCCAAAAGCAACAGCGAAUUGAACUUGGUCCAUUAAAUUUGUGUGAGUUGUGGUUUUGCUAAACUUGCGAAAGCAAUUGCCAUAAUGGUUGGUUGUGAUUUUACAAAAUUGAGAAUUUUGAUACCAAUUGUGAUAUAGGGAAGUUUUUUUAAAAAAAAAAAAAAUUGAAGAUAAAGUUGAUGAUAAUAAUUGAAUUAUCCAAUUAAGUAUGGAAUUUUUGAGGCUAAAAAGAUAAAGAUAAAGUCAGCCGUAGAAAUUGAACAAAUAUUCGGUAGAUUGUAUAGAAAUUUUAAUACAGUUGACUGUUAGCGAAUCACGCACUACGCACGGCUCUUCAUGAUCACAAGUACUGUGCAAAUAUAUUUUUUUAAAACUGAAUGUCCUUAAUUCAAUGGAUACAUAUGUCUGCAAAUUGCAGAAUUUAUACAGGUUUUAAUGCAAAUUAUACAACGAUUCAAAACAUGGAUGGAUGGCUUCGACUUAAUUUCAAAUAACUACAUAACAAAACUUUGUCAAAUUCUAAUUCAGUUUGGAGUCUAGACCAGAUGAAUUUCCAACUAAAAAGUGAGAUAGAGAGAUUUUAGUUAUCCAAGGAAACCGACUUGAAACUCACAAGUCAUAGUUGGAUCAAUUGCCAACGAGUGUGAAAUGUUCAGAAAUAGUGAGAGUUAAAAAGAAACUGAUUGUUUGAGCUGGUGUUCAGUUUUGCUGAAUUUGGAAGGAAUGCAAGAGCUAUCACCCUAUCAACUACGUAGGUAGUUUUUUUUCUCAAGCUCAAUACUCCUCUAUUUGAUUUUCACCUCUCAAUUAUACAUCAAUUCUCACUUUGAUUUUUAAAUUAUGAAUUGGGACACUUUAGUUCUUAAACUUUAGAAAAUGUCUCACUUAAGGAUAAUUGUUAAUGAAUCCCCAAAAUUAACAGAAUACUAGUCAAGUGAGCAACAAAAAAAAUUAAACAAUAACCAAAAAAAUCCCAAAUUAGAGAGAAAAAAAGGGAGUUUAGGAAACAAUUUGAGAAUCAUAGUAUAGUUUAGCAACUAAACUGACUCAAUUUAAAGCUUAGGGACCAAAUUGGGAAUCAAUGUAUAGUUUAGGGACUAAGAUAUCCCAAUUUAGAGUUUAGGAAUCAAAAUGUAAAUCGAAAUGUAGUGGAAGGGUGUAAAAUAGAAUUAACCCACCAAAAAAAAUACUACUUUGCUCCCCUCCCCCCAACCCUACAUACUUAUCUAAAGUUAUUUAUUGUCUCUACAUAUUUAUCUUGUGACGCCUCGAAAAUUAGGGUUUUCAUUUUAUGGAUCUUUUGUUGGACGAGUGGAGUAAAACAGUUUUUCAAUUCGGAUAAGAAACGAAAAAUUUUUGGAAAAAGGAAAGGGCCAAAUCCGGCCGGAAAUCCGGCCAGAAACUGGCCGGAUAGCUGGCCGGAUUGCCUUGACGUUUUGAAAAAAAAAUGGUUUAGCUACUGCCUUGUAUCCGGCCAGGAAUCCGGCCGGAAAUCCGGCCAGAUUCUGGCCGAAUUGUGACGUGUCACAGCCGGUCAGAAGCUUUGACCGGCUGUUUCCUUCAUAAAUAUCUUGUUUUUGGCUGCUUUUGUCUUCAUUUUGUUUCUGCUCAACCGAGGCCUUGAGAGAGAGGAAGAAAACUUCAUUCUUUUAGCUUCAAAUUUCUACUUCCAUCUUGAGUUUUAACCGUUUGUUUUGCAAAUUACUCCGAUUAAUCUCUCAUCUAAGUUGAUUGCAAGCCUUUGGUGGAGUUGUUUUGGUUGGAGAGGCUUUAAGGGGCUAUCUUCUUGAACUCAUGAGGUGAGUUGCAAAGAAAGUUGCUAUUUUUGGUUUAAUAAUGGUAUAGUAGUGAUUUGUGGUGGUGAUAUAUGUUAUAUUGUGAAUGAUUUCAUGGGUUUAAGGAAUUUGUGGUGAAUUUCUGAUUUAUUGGGUAUUUUUCUGAUUUUAUAUGAAAGUUAUGAUUAAUGUGGGAUUGAUGGAUUGAAAUGAUGUUAAAUGGAGGCCUUGUACGUUAUUUGCGGUUGUUUGCAGACAAUUUACGUUUGUAGUGUGAUUGCCGGUUUCUAGGGUUUUGAUUUGGGAAUUUUCAAUGGUUGGCCUAUAAGCUUUUGAUUGGCUUUGAUUGAAGGAAAUUAUGGUUGAAUUGAAUGUAUGAUAUUGAUUAUGAACCAUAUGGGUGACUAUGGUUAAUUGUUAUGAGCAUUGGUAUUUCAAUGGUAGGUUGGAAAUGUGCAAAAUCUAGGGGUUAUGCCGUCCAAUUUUUGAGAGUGUGUUUGUUUUGAAUUUGAAUUGAUCUUGAUUCAUUUUAUGGAAAUUCUUAUGAUUUGGACUUUGGGAGGAUUAAGAGUCCAUAAUGGUGACAUUUCUAAGCUUGUUUAAGUUCAUUCAUCCUUGUUUUGGCAUGUACAUGACUAGUAUAGGCUAGUCUUAUGUUAAGUGAGGAUUUCUAGCCCUAAUUGUGGUUAGUGAUGGUUAUUUGCAAAGAUUGGCUUGGAAGUGUAAUUUCAGCUUUUGUUGUAUUAUUUCUGCCCUGUUUUCGUACUGUACAUUUGACCAUGUUAAAGACUGAUUCGGCUCUUGCUCAAAACAUGAAACUUGUAGAUAUAUGAGUUGACUACUUGCCUGCAAAAUUUCAAAUUUAUUGGAGCACUGUGGCUUGUGAAUUGACCGAAAUACCCAUGACUGCCCCGUAACCCCUGUUUUAUGACAGAUUUCGCUCUUUCUCUUAGAUUUCGAUAUUUGACCCUGAAAUUGUACAUUUUGGCGUUGGAGGUCUUCAUAAGAAAUGUUUACAAAUGUUUUAGCUUCGUAACGCCAUAAGAUUUGUUUCGAUCGGAUAGGUGUAGCUUUACUUGUGAUUAAAAUGCCAAAAGGCAAUAGAAGCUUGUGUUAAUGUUAGAAUUUUCCUUUGCUUGACUUAAUAUUCGGUUUUAGGAUUUCCACUUGAUCAAGAUGAUGAGGUUUGCCGGAUAAGCUUCGCGAGCCGUGUUUGGUGAGUGUAUCACUAAAUGGUUCAUUGUACUUGUUAUAUGACUUGGAUAGGUCGAGGGUGUACUUUACCGCUCUUGACCACUUGCUUGCACUAUUGUUACUGUUGGACUGUGAAAUUUCAUGAAUAUGUGAUUUUGAGAUUUGUUAGGGCAAUGCCCUAUUUUUACUGUGAAAUUGAGCUCAUGCCCUUAGACCGUUAUUCGAGUCGAGCCGGCAAGGGUUUGGGCGAUUCGUUAACGAGCCUUUGGGUUCUUGAUAGGCGAGUGGAGUGCUAACUCCUCGACCUUGUGGUAUACUCGAGUAUUACCUUUUGAAACUUUGAGGCGGCGGGCCCGAAUAGGGGGUGAACGGUGGAAGGAGAUGGUGAGAAGAGGUGUCUACGGUUCUUGGUUAUCUUCAAUGGUUGACGGAGUGUCAACGAAUACGAUCAAGUAUGGACAUUGGAAACGGCCCUUGAGGGCCGAAUGUAUCCUUUUAUAAAUGAAUGUUUGAAUAAAGGCACUUAUGCGUAUAUGUUAUUUGGCCGUAUCAUGUAUUUGUGCAUUUGGUACCUCACGAGCGCAAGCUCACCUCCGUUGUUUUGUUUUCCUUACAGGGACACUGUUGGACUCAAGUUUUGAAAUGAGUUGAGCUAAUUAUGUAGCUAGUUUUGAGUGGCUCCUUGAAAACUUGAAAUUUUGAUCCAAUGAAUUCAAGUACUUUUGAAGGGUACAAUUGAACCUUUCUCAUGUAUAUAUGGCAUGUAUAUAUAUGUCCUUAUCAAGUCUUGGAUAAACUGCAUUACGUGUUUGAUGUGUUUAUGCGAGUACCGGAUUCGAACAAAGGAAGAGCUGUAUUACGUUAUUUGUGUACCUGGAUGGCUUGUAAUUUGUAUAGCUUAGAUUUGGAAUCGUUUGUGUAAUUGUUGGGCUAGGGGAAUUGGAAUGGAUGGGAUUACACCUUGUACGGUUUGAAUUUGGAUCGCCUCUUGUGUAAUAGCUUGUGGAUAUGGUUUGUAAUGAAUGAUUGGACUUGAAUGGACGUACGUGUACAUUCCGCAGCGUUUGUGAUCUGUAAAUCUUGGCGAAUUUGAUGUAAAAUACGAGAUUUAUAUGGUAAUUUACUUGAGGACCGUAGUGAUUGACUGAGUCCUGGCGAGAGCUGGGCAGGCGGCCCGUUGACCCCUCUGGUUCGCCUUAGGGGAAAAUGGGGUCGUUACAUAUCUAGUUUAUUUAUCUAAAGUUAUUUCUUUUAAAGUUUCUUGCAGUAAACAAAUUUCUAGUUUAGUUUCUUUCUUGGGUCUGUCUAAUGAAUACCCACUAGGCAUUUUUUAGACAAUAUUUAAUGGGCACUUGUUAAGGUGGUGAUAUUUUCAAAAUUUUAAAAAUAUAAAUAUAAGAUAGGAUAAUAGUUGUUAAUGUACAUUCACCUCGUAAUUUAAGUUAAAUUUGUUGUCAUUUAGGUGUUUUAACAAAUCUCCAUUGGCACAUGUUCAAGAACCUUUCUUUUAUAUGCUUCCUAAAACAAACCACCAACUAGUCAAUCUCUUAUAGUCACUUUCUUUUUUGACAAAUUUUAUGAACCAAACCAACUUCUAAUCUCCAUAAAAUUAGUAUAACAUAGCAAAAUAAGGAAAUUAUAACAAGGAAACAACAGAUAAACCAAAGGAAAUCUAACUUCUACUACAAUUUGUUUGUAUUAAAUUGACUUCAAUUAACACUCAUAUAUUAGGCAAAAACAACUACCAAAGCCAUGACUUCUUCCAAAAUCUGUACUUUUAACAAUUAACCCUCCCCAAAUAACAUUCUUGUGUCUUCAAGCAUCCAUUUUCCCGCAAACUCCAUUAUUCCAAGGAAAGUUUUUUGGUUUUUUUUGUUCCACCGAACUCCAUUGUAGCAAGGCAAGUUUAUUACUCCUAUUUUCUUUUAAAAUUUUUCUGUCAUGAAAUCAUCAAGAGUCGAUAGGCAAUCAGAUAUGUGAUGAUUUUCGUGCAGAGUCAUUGAUGACAUACUUCGAGAAAGAACUAAUUUUAUUCAAUUAUAGGUGCAUUUAAUCAAAUGAAUGAGUGUCGAUCACAAUUUCGCAUGCCUAGCAUUAAUAAGGAAUAGAAUGUUAUUUUGUAUUUUACUCGCUUUGACUAUUUUAAACAUUUGAUUACUUCUUAUGGCUUUAUUAAUCUUCUUUAUGAAUUUAUUAUGCUUUGUUUGUUGUUACAAUUUUUCACCAUUAUAUGUUUGAUGUUCGCCCCCGUUAAGCCAGAAUUCCGUCUAUGUUGGCAGCUGAGUUGCUACAGCUGACCAUCCGUAUCAUUAUCAAAAAUAAAAGGGAAAAAAGUAAUUGUCAUAACUUUUUCGUACAGAUUUUGCACGAGAUGUUUGAUUUAUCCUACACUGCAAACACUUUAUUCAUAGAUGUACCCCCUGAAUUCAUGCGAUGUAGUUAUGAAAGCAAUGUAAGAUGAUAAACCAAUUAUUAUUAUCAAGGGAAUGCAUUGGGAUCCUACCAUAUACCUCAAGGAAUAAUUUGCCAAUUCAGAUGCCAACAAAAGAUGAAGAGUCAUAGCCUUUGAAGGAAGAUGGCAGUCAGGGACAGGGAGAAAAAAUGAUUCAUAUCCUGAGAAUGUGAAGUCGGGACAAGGAAACAUCAGCUGAUCAGUUGAUUACAGUUGCAUGGAUUCUUGAAUCUCUUGAUAUCCUUGGAACUAAUCCUGGGAAGGAAGUUGAGACCAUUAAGGAUCCAGCAGCUGAUAAAAUUCCUUCUGUUAGAAAAGAAUAAUCUGGUCCGUGACCAAUUAUCAUUCCAAUUGUCCUAAGGAUGGUUGAGUUUGAUCAUAUGACCUUACUGGAGGUGUGAAUAUAUAUAUGCAAUCUUCUACGGAGAAAUGCCAAAUCCAGGAGAAAACUAAGCUCGUAAGCCACUGGAAAACAGUUCGGGACUAUCUAUGUUCAUUCAAGUCGUUGGGGUUUUGACAGUUUUCAACGUAUCAGCAACAAGAAGUUGGCAAGCUAUCGGACUUUCAUGUUCAAAUGCUUCUCAGACUGAGGCCAUGAACAAGCACAAGGAUUGAGAUUUAACUGCCGAGAGAUCAAUGGUUUCACCUUUCAAAUAAUAAUUGAAGUUCUUCUCUCUUACUUGUUAACAAUGGGAAGUGACCUAUUUCUAACUUGCCUUGAAAAUUUUGGUGUUAAUGAAGAUUUGUAAUAGAAUUGAAACAUUCAAAUUCGAUAAUUUGACCAUUAAUACUAGCCAAUAUUUGUGAGAACUCGAAAAUUUUCUUAUUUUCGUCAUAUAUUACUGGUUUAUUUAAAUAGUUAUUCACUUAUUUUCUCCGAAUUAUUUAAUUCGACUACAUAAAAUCCAUUUAUAUGGAAAAACACCUCUCUUAUGUUUUUAAAGCGUUUUGUUAGAAAAUUUACUUUUCGAAAACUCGUUUAGUUCGGAACAACGAGUAUACGUUUUUCGAGACUAUAUUUGAAUCGAGAGUAUAUUAAUUUUGGAGAAGUAAGAAUGAUCAAUAGUAGAUUUAGAAAAGUUAACUUGAGAUUUGAGGAGUUAAAACUCGACUCAUGUGAGGACUCGUAAAAUUUAUUAUCUUAGAUUCCAUUUCGAGUUUAUUCAAAUAUUUAAUUGCCCAUCUACUCCGAAUAUUAUUUUCUAGUCUAUUUAGACCUAAUUACAUGAGUUUAUAGCUUCGUUAUAAUUUUAAAAUGACUCGUUUCAAAAUUUAAUUUUUGGAAACUCGCGAAGUGAAAAUAGCGAAUACGCGAUUGGAGUUAAUAAUCAAUUCGAGGAUACACUAAGUUUGGAAAAUUAGAGACUUGCAGGAUGGUCUUAAAAUAGGUAAUUUUAUGUUUAAGUACUUAAGUGAUAGUUAUUAGUACUAUCGUUAUAAGAAAUUCUUGGAAGUUUCGCUUUAUCGCGCUUAAUUUGGAGAUACGCGUUUUUACACGCGCGAUUUAAUUAAGAGACUUUAGACCCUCAUUUUGGGAUAAUUAAGAGUGGACAAUAUUUAUAUGAAUAUGAGUGCAUUAAAGGUUUAGUGCACUAGUGAAAUAAACUCGAAAGGGAUCGAGUACGAAGUGCGCGUAUACACGCACUAUCCUUAGUUGACUUUUGGAGCAUUUUAGGCCACACAUUAUUGAGCUCCUUAUGGGUGCAUCACACUAGAUCAAAACCCUUCAAUUCUUCAACUAAAGUGGCGUGCAACAUCUUUUCUUUUCCCUCCAUUUCAGCCGUGCAUCUCAAAGAGCAAGAACCAAACUUGCUUCAUCAAUUUUCUUUCAUCAUUUCUUCACCAAAUCUUCUCCAAAUCACACCAAAAUUUAACUACACUUAACUAAUCACUUGGAGAGCACUUUGAGCUAGGAAAGGAGGCUGCUCUCACGGUUUUUCUUUGGCUCAAGAAGACCGAAAAUUUCUGCCUUGAACAUCUAGUGAAGUAAGUGACGAUCCGGCUUUAAAAUCUUGAUUUAUGGAAGUUCUAUUGCCCAUAUAAGCUCAUGCAUGUAAGUGGGUAGCUUUAUUUAUGUUGGAUUUUGGUGUGUGGGCUCUAUGAACUCCCACUUUGGUUGAUGAACUGAUUUGGUGGUUGAUGAUGAUAAUUAUGUUAGUUUAGUGCUUAAAUUAGUGGUAUAAUGUUGGGUUAUUGUUAGAAACUCCAAGAUGGUGCAAUGACCAAAAGUGAUCAUUUUACCCCUGCCUUGUUCAAGCACUUUAAUGUCAAAUUUUGAGGUUCUAAUGGUUUGUUUAUGUUGUUUACAUGUUAUAUUGGUUGUGUUAAAAGUUUCAUUGAAAAAUAACAUGAUUUGAUCACCCAAAUGUCGGAAAUUCGAAAGCUUGAAAAUCUGGAAUUUGAAUCCCGUCACUGCCCCAGGCAGUCUUCUUGUUUCGGACAUAACUUGUUGCUCCGAUGUCGGAAUCGAGUGCCGUUUGUGGCAUUGGAAACUAGACAUUCCUAGCUUUCGGUUGGUAUAAAAUGCAUGUCCUGGUUCCACUUGAGCUAGCCAAACCAUUCAUUUGAAAUCCACUGUCCUGUUUCAUUGCUUCCUGGAAGGAAGCUCAUGAGCUGCAAUUUAAUGCUCACGAACGAGCUGGUUAUGGACAGAUUUUGACAAUGGUUUCUUCUGAGAAAAUGUAGCCUUAUGAGUCUAUUUUCCAACGCCACCAACCAAGCUCAAUUCCGAGUUGAAUUGAGUGAUUUAUGAUCAAAACUCGAAUCUGGUCUGGUGAAGGAAUACCUUACAUUUGGACAGAUUUGAACUAGCAAUGAUUUGGGACUUGUUAUCCGAAAUUUCUUGGUGUAAAUCACCUAUCAAAUGUACCUUGGAUAUAUUUUAGACAUUACCUACUGGAAUGAAUCAUGUUUGAGUCGUUUCUUGGCCAAAUGUUUGGAAAAUGGCAAACCGGAAGCUCAAAGGCAGCUUAGCCUUAGAACUUCUUGCGAUUUCAACGGUUUUGUUAACCGACUUCCCUUUCAUAUUUUCUAUGAAAUUUGGCAAGGGAGUGGCCCUUUUAUGGUAGUAUAUUCAUACCAAAUUUGGUGCCGUUCUGAGUCUAUUUUGCUAUCAAACUAAAGUCCCAAAGUUUGGAACUCAAAUCUGGAAACUAGCUUAACAGUUUCGUUUUUUCCUCCAACUUUGAGUGACCGUAUCUCGGUGUUCAAAACUCCGAUUCUUGAUCCACUUGUUCUGUCCUAAACUUUACUUGUAACUCUAAUUGUGUUAUAAAUUUCAGAGAUUGGUUUGCAACGUAUGAAUUUUACCGAAUUUCCAAAGUUAGCGAAAAACCAACCCCAGCACAAUUCUGAGCACCCUGAAACAGUAAGUUUAAGCCCAUUUUUGAAUACCUUCCACUUAAAUUCAUGGAAAAGUAUCUUCUAAGAACUUUUAGUACUUUCAAAGAGGUUUCCAAUGGUGUCAAGUUUUCCAAUUUUGGACUUGUAAAGAAUGAGAUGCGAUUUUUCAAAGUAUAGGUGACAAAUCUGAAAUUUCCGAACUUAAAGGAAAUUGAGGGUUGCGAACUCUCUAUUUUCCUUCGAUAUUGUUAAGCCGUUUUACACUUGAUUUCAAAGAUGAAAAUCAGAUUUCGCUUGUGUUUUAAAACCCCAUUUUUGAGCCUUGAUUUACUAGUAAUUAAGGCUCAUUUUCAUGAAAUUUUCUUAGAUUAUACAAGUGUGCAAUCUUCCUCGAUAAUUAGGGGUUUUAAGCGAUAGUGUGUAAUAGACAAUUACCAUUUGCUCAGGUGCUCAAGGAAACCUUCAAGGGGAUCUUGAGAGGGAACACCUAAAGGCUCGUUUACGCACUUACUCCCUUAUUUCGAUUGGUGAGUGUCAAGUGCAUGAACUUGAUGUUAAGUGGUUAUCUGUUUCUUAUCCAUUAUGAAAAUUUGAAAUUUUGAGACGAGGGUGUACUUUACCGCACUCGUGCUCUUUCAAAUGAAAUUAUAUUCGAAUUUUGCUAUGUGAAUUCAUAUCCGACUUGUACAUGGUAAUGUGGAUAUGAUUCGUAUUUGUUUUGAUUUGUAUAUGUGAUCCGUAUUUGUGAUUCCUAUUUGGAAUCGUCGAUUUGAGAGUUGCUCGUCGACUUAUAUUCGUAUUCGUAUUCGUAUUCGUAUUCGGGGGACGCCCAAACUCGUUGGUUAACUUUGCGAAUCGAGCCAGCAUGGGCUUGGUCGAUAAGCUUAGCCAACCAUGAGAUAUUCGUAGAGCAUAAUCUAUUGGAGAGAUCUUGCUCGGCAUUACUCGUGCAGUAUUGCCAUGAUAUACUCGAGUAUUACCAAAAACUUUGAUGAGCGGGCCCGGUAAGGGGGUGUAAUGGUGACGGGAUUCGAAGCAAAGUGGUGUAUCUACGGAUUUGAUACUUAUGUGGUUGACGGAGUGUCAACGUGAGAUGUGAUCAAGACUUCAACUCGACUACGUGGAAUUUAGCUCCUGAGAGCUACAGUAUCCUUGAAUUGUUUCUGUUUAGUUUUUUCCUAUUCGAAAUGUGAAUUAUUCGAACUUUAUAACUUUACUUACCAUGUAAUUUGUGACUAUUUGGAUUAUGUGUUUGCAUGUGUGUUUCUUGGCCUCACUGAGUAUUGGCUCAUCCCAUUAGUUUGUUUUCCUUAACAGGUUGGAUUGGAAGAUUUUGGAAAAGCCGACUAGAUUAUACUUUUGAUUGAAAUUUGAACUGUAAAUGUGUAGUCGACUUUUAAUGGUUGUAUUUUGGGACUUGAUAUAUCUUUUGUGAACAUGAAGUAAGAUUUGAAUAUUUAGUUAAGGAAGCGACUUUUCUUUAUUUUGACUUGUAGUAUUUGGUAUGUAUUGUUAAGUUCGAUUUGAAUUGUCUUGAGUCCUGGCGAGAGCUGGGCAGGCGUCCCGCGGAUACCCUUGGGUUCGCCCUUGGGAGAAGUGGGGGCGUCACAAUAUUACAUGUAUUUGCUUUUUUUUUUGGGCCCUAAUAUUAUAGUACAUGUAUUUCAGAUAAAAGAAUUAAAAUCUCACCAAGCCUACUAAGAAAAAACAUAAAACUUCUUCGCUUGUAAACUUCUGCUUGGAUUAAUUCAUCCUUCUUACAUUCUCGUAUACCCAUAUGACUAUUGCAUGUACUAAAUGGUCUAUAAAUGAAGCGUUAGAUCAAGCCUACACAAGUUUCUAUGGUAGAGUUUUGAUAAAAAAAAAUACUUAUUUGGUGGAAUCUUUCAUAAAUAUAUUCCUAAAAAAAUGCCAGAUAGGAUUUUUUACCUAUGGUUUUAUCCCACCAAUAUGAUUGGAAAAAAUAUAUAGGCAGUAGCCUACGAAGGUAAUUGCCAAUUACCCACUGAGCAAGAUUUAAUAUUACUGUAUAUACUGCCUAUGUAUACCAAUGUGCAAAUCAAGUGCAAUUAACAUUCAAAAUUUAAUAUCUGAGCAUUUAUUGGGUGAAAGUGAAAAAAAUGAAAAGAUUAGUACUAAAGGUUAGAAACAAAGUUGCGGUCUGAGUUUAUUGCCAAAAUAACACUCUUGUUAAAAAAUAUUCCCAAUAUGAUUGACUUUCAAAAUUUAUUCCCAUAAUGAUGUUAUUGUUGCCAUCUAGUUAUCCUGAUUACCAUGCACGAUAACAAGAAAAGAAAGUUCAAAUCUAAUUUAAAGUAUCCAACAUGAACUAAAAAUUAAAAAAAAAUUUUAUUACAGAGGCACAAGAAGAUUGCAUAACUUUUAUAAUUUCUUUAUAAUUAUUUAAAAUAAAUUCUACCAUUAUUGACCUUGCUAUUAUUGGGCUCUAAUUUUUAAAAAAUGUGUCAAACCUAUUGCAUAUAUAUUUUUCAAAAAAUAAAUUUUAAAAAUACAAAAGUUGCAACAAAAAUUGUAAGCAAUUAAAAAACUUCAAGACUAUCAUAUUUAUUUAUGUUAUCAUUCCUACUCCUUAAAAAGAUACGAGAAUAAUUUUCAUUUGCCUUGAGAUUAUCAACUCGAGAAGCAUAUUUUUUAGAUACUGUUAAUAUAAAUAUUAAUUUCUUAGAAUUACGAGUGUGUUUGGAUUAAAGAUUAUUUCACUUUAUUUACACCUUAUUUACACACACUGACUUGCUUAUAUCAUCAACACAUUUUCUAAUCACCUUUUUAUCUCACAUACAUCAUAUCAAAAAAAGUGUUACAGUAAAAAUAUUUCAAAUAUACGUUUGACAAGGGAAAGAUAAUGAAACAAAACAAUGCGGGAAGAUUUAGAAAGAAAAUUGGAGAAGAUAUUAGAUGGAAAAGAGAAAUGGAACGUGCUUUUAUCUCCAUCCUGACACAUAUGCUGCCUAAGUGGCAAAAAAAGGAUUAUAAAGGUAAUAAAUUAUAAAAAUAGAUUACUUUGGGUAUAUGUUUUGAAAGAAGAGUUAUUUUGACAAUAAACUCACAGGUGCUUGUCUAAAUUAAAAUAUAUAACAAUUUUUGAAAGUAAAAUGGGGACUGCAUAGUUCCUACUUUGACCCUGGACCCAGUCCAGCGGUUCCGUUCUUCGGAAUUUUGCAGGCCCACUUCCUGCGUUAAAAAUUCCUCGCCGGAGAAUUUUGGGGCCAUUGGCUAAUUUAUCUGUUUUUGGUAACAUGGGGCAGACUAGGUCAGGAGGGCCCAAGUAGUUAACGGGUAAAUAUUGGUUUUUAUUCAACGUAGAACUUAUUUCUUGUUGACUUUUUCCAAGAUACGUUAUGCCUCGUAUUGGUGUUCAUUUCAGAUACUUUGGUCUGAAUAUGUUCUCGCAAUUGAUCAUAUUUGUAGCAAUUAAAUUAUUUAAAUGUUGGACAGCAUAAUCUCAAGCCUAAGUAAAAUUUAACUCUUAAGUCCUUGAGAAUUUACAAUAGCUUGCCUCUUGAGAAUUUAAACUUUGCUAUUUGUAAUCAAAUUUUCAUAUGUUAAGUAAAAAUUAAAAAAAAAAGGCCAUAAAAAGUGGAAAAAGUUUUGAACAUUUUAUCUCUAGUAGCUUUUGGAUGCUCCAAUUUUUGAGUCAUUGCAUAUAAUAGAAAUAUAUGUACCUUCAACCGCAUGGACUUGAUUAUUUCACCAAGGUUUUAACCUUUCCGAUGAGCUCACAAUUUGCACUGCAACAUCUGUCGCAAUUAUUCCAGUUUCUUUCUUGAUUUAAUAAGGGAUAAUUUCAGAAACCUCUCUAGAAAUUUCUGACAAUUUCACCUAAUUUCCCUUUCAUUUGAAAAGUUACAUUUACCUCCAUUCUCAAGGACAAAAAAAAAGCUAUAAUAACUUUCUUAAAAGAAUGACACUCAUCCUAAGCAAAAUUUGAAGCCAAAGUUAUUAUUGCCGUUAUUUAAAAGGAAAAAAAAAAGGUAACAAUAAAGUCAAAUGGCUAUCAAACAUUUAAAAAAUUGCUACUAAGUCUAACACGGUGGGUUUUGCCCUAUCAUUACCAUUACAAGGGAGGUUAGUGAAAUUAUCCCUUGAUUUUAACAUUAUUGUUGAUAUUUGAUUAAAAAAACGUUCUUGUUUAUACUUCUUUUUAUUCAGGGCAAUCUCUCCUUUUUCUGAUAUUUAAUACACCGAUAAAAUUCAGCUGUCUUUGGAAGUGCGUACGUGCGUAGAAUUCAUCUCGUUCCACUGUCAAUCUACUACUUUUAACCAUCGGGACAUAUUUUCUUGGUCACAAAUUAAUCCUACUCUUUUUGUACUAGUACCUUUUCUUUUUUACUAAUGCCACGUCAAGCGCACGAGCUAUAAAAUGGAUAUGUGCAAAUGGGUAAUUCUUUGGUUUUAAUUUCGGUAAAAAGACAUUUUAUCCGUUUUUCCCAUCAUUGAAUGAUGGAAGAAGCUAUAUGUGAUGAUGUGAGAAAAUUCCCAAUUAAAAAAAAAAUAUGAGUACACUAUGUGAUCGCUUUAUUUGCCUUUUCCCUCAUUCAAUAAAAAAACUAUGAAUAAAUUUAUACCUUGGCUUUUAAGACAAGUCACCUGUUAAUUUUCUCAAAAGCCCACAAAUGUUUUUUUUUUAAAAAAAAAAGUAAAAACCACAGACUAUAUAUGCAUUGACAUAAGCUUAUACGGAAAUUUAGAAAAAAAAAAUAAAAUUUAAGCUUAUAGGGUGUACAGACUGCAACUUCCGAAUUUGCUCGAUUUAUUUGAACCAAAAAAAAAAAGAUGCUAUUUAUAUGUGCAAACAUUUUAUUUAAUUAUUUAUCUAUUUUAUGCGUACGAGUAUACAUUACAUGACCAUGCAAUUGGCUUUGCGUAUCCCUGGAUCAUAUUUUGAUUUACGACUGAACAUGUGAUAUUUAGACAACCAUCACUAAUGCUCAAUAAUUAAUCUCAAGUGUCUAACUUCAAAAUAUUGAUGAAUAAGUAAAAAACCAGAGGACAACUACUAAUUUAAAGAUUGAAAAUUUCGAAAUUCAGCGACUAAGUCGUGACACAAAAAUUAGCGUGCAAAGUAUCAAAAAAGGAAAAAAUAGUAUACCAUAGUGCAAAUUGGUAGUAAGUUGAAUUGAUUCAAAGUAUCCCCUAAUCCAUAUUUUAUACAUCAUCUUCGGGGACUAAUCUGCCAACCAAAUAAGGAUAGUUAAAAUUAUUAAAGGAAAACUUUAAGUGCUUAUUUUUAAGUGUUUGAACUAGCCGAUGCUUUCAAACCCGACGGGAGACCAAGUCAAUCUCUUUAGUUGUUUUGACUUGCUUCUUUACCAAAACUUGAUCCGACCAAAAAGCUUAGAAUGCUCCUUUGAAGUAAUUUUUCUUUUCUGCACUAGUCUACAUGUAAAGACAGAUCUCCUUGGCAAAUGUCCUAACCUAUCAUAUUUUUAAGCUUUUAAGUGCGAAAAAUGUUCCAAGUAUAUUAGUUGCGCACGAAGUUUGAGGAAGUAUUACUUCAACUACUGUUCCGUCAUAUGCUUAGAGGCCCUGGAUAUGGUAUAAUGAUAAUCCGACCAAAACAUCUCUACUCCUGUCCCUCUCACGUGUGAUUCGAUUUUAACUGAGCGUUGUUCUUAAGCUUUCUGUGUCAAAUCAUAUUUGGAUAUGCGGUUUGUACUUUAAUUAUGCUGAAAGGUAGUUAUUGGCUUGGUUUUAUGGAGUAAUUUUUUUAAUUGCUUAAGAGUUGAAGUGAAUGUUAUGCCGCUUUCUUAGGGGCAUUUGCAUUUACGGUCACUAAUUAAGUUUUGCUUUACUGGUGAAAGAUGAGGGCUUUUUUGGAUGGUCACAUCAGGAAAUUAAUCUUAAGGUUACCUUUUGGGCUGAAUGUUAUUACUCAAGAUUGGGAUUUAUUUUUGUCCUACAGAUUAGGACAUUGUGUGGUGUUGAACAUGAUGAUUUGAAGAGGCUGUUUUUUGUGUCAAAAUCGAUAAGAGAAGCGGUAAGCUUUUAUACAUCUCUAUGAAUUAAAUUAAUUUAAAAUUUGAGUGCUUUCUUCAACAUGUCUUGAGCAUUGGUUGAUUUUGAUUUGGAUUUCUUAAACAAAAAUGCAGACUUUGAUUGCAAAGCGAUGGCAUUUUGCAGAUAGCACCCCCAAGAAGACACUCGGAUUUCCAAAUGCUAUUGAUUUUGAAAAUGUGGAUGAGUUAAUGAUUGAACAAGCUCCAAGGCAAGUGAGAAUUCCGAGGGCUCGAUUGAGCAGCAAGAAGUUGGCUGACAUUUCCGUGACCUUAUAUACUUCUGCUGGCGAACAGAAUUGGCUGCGAAGAGAGCUAUUUGUGGCAAUGGAUGCAGAAAUAUGAGUUGAAUGAUUUAUGAAGAUCCAGAACGGUCUUCUUCUUGUUGUACAAUUUGGUAACUUCUUGGUUAAGCGAAAUAGAUAGAAGACAGAAAGAAAAUCUGACGUGCGUAUCAUAUUUUUUGAUAGUUUGUACAUGACAAAACAAAUCCAUGCAGGCCCAUUUUCGUCAAUUCUUUCAUUGAAGAUAGGAUUGGCUUGUUUAUACUUUGUUUGUACAUGUAGAAGAAAUGGUUUAGGGAUUUCAUUUAAGGAGCUGUAGUGGCCCUUUUUGUUCUCAUAAGCGUGUAUAUACGAGCCUCCAAGCUCUUUGGUGGUACUUAUUCGAAUGGGUUGGAUGAAUACAUCUCUGCCAAGCUGAUUUUGCAAUUUGAUUGUUGUUCUGUUUUCCCUACACACAAUGCUGUUCUUCUUCCUCAAAAGUGAUUGCUACGGUGCAGUAGAACUAUGUAAGAGAUUAUUCUUGGCCAAUUCGAGACGUCAGCUGAGAUUCUUGUUUCAUUUAGGAUAUGUACUAGAUUUUUUUCGCCCUUUUAUGUUCUGCAUUAAUGCAUCUGUGUCUGAACUCUGUUGAUUCUAUUUGGUCGAUACCUUUUCAGCAAUCAGGUGAUGGGGCUACCUGUUGAUUUCUUGUUGAAAUUAUCAGUAUUAAAUCCUUUUGUUUUCGCGGGCGGUUAUCACCAAGAUUGUCAGGCAGCGAUUAGUACACUAUGAAAAGGAAAAUGGAGGAGCUACCAUUAUGUUUAUUUCCAUUCCCUACUUGUUUUGGCGAGCGGCGUCUUCAGAGAACAUGGACUUUGCGCUUUCUGCAUUAAUAAUAAGAUAAGAUGUUAAUUUCCUAUUCUGGUACCUAGGAUUUCAUUGAGGAUCUGGCUGUAUCGGAGGUAAUGGUUUGAGGGAAGCUAGCUGGAAUCCUUGAAACCUUAAUUACAGGAUGAAAAUUUGCGCCAAAAUGAUCUGUUUAGUGGAUGUUGUUGCAGCUAUGAAGGAAAUCAAGUAAUUGGUGAAUGGAUAAGUAGUUCAAAGUUUGGGAGAAAGGAAGUUGACUUAUUCAGUCGGAUAGAUAAUUCAAAUAUGGUUUUAAAAUUCAACAAUAUACUUAUUCUCCAUAAAAGAUAUCUGUUAGUACAUGGGUGUCAGGGAUUGUUAACAAAGAUAGAAGAAUGAUAUUUGGAUAUAUUUUUCUUCUCUUUUGCUUGUGAAUAAAAACGAAAACAAGAAGGUUAAAUUUUUUUCUCGCCAUUUUUAAUCUCCUAAUAUGGGGAGUUCCAAUCAUCAAUGGUUGUAUGUCCUGUUAUUGCAGAGUAAAGCACCAACACAGCGUCUAGUUGGAUUUGCAAUUCUCCACCAGGCGUAUUCUUCCCAGCAGCCUAGUUCUAACCCGUUCAGUUUUGUGCUUGUGAAUGUAAGCAUGCAUAUGUCUUCUCCUCAUUGCAUUUGUUGUUCUCAGGAUUUUGUUUGUGCUCUAUUAAUGGUCAAUUUUAAAUAAUCAUGCACUGUGUAAGAUUGUUCAUCUAUGCAGUAUGCACAUCAAGUGCAUUUUUGACUUGUUUAUUCAGUGAUAGUAGAAAGCUGACAGUAUUUUCAGUUAACUUUUAUACGGAGUGCUAAGAAUUAUUGGACUGUCUGCUGUAUGAAAUACUGAGUGUAGUGAAUUUAGAUAACCACAUGAACCUGGUGUGGAGGCCUAUUCAUUACUGUGGGAAAGACUUCUUUUCAGAGCCUAUUUUUGCUUCUAGAAUAAGAAAUCGUUGACAAAUUAAUAGUAACAAAUCCUUUUUUUUACUAUUACGUAUAUCACUGUGGGCUGACACCAAGAAAGCUGCCAGUAUGUUAUUUUAUAGGCAUAUCGAUGUGUUCUAUGUGUUAAUUUCCUGAAUGUGAGUGUUCUUUUGUUUGGUUAUCAGGAACUUGGGGAGAAUAAUCCUGUCAUAGCAGUUGAAGUUCUCAUUAAGCCUGCAAAUUCACCUGAAAUUGAAGAGUAUGUUCAUCUUUUUACGUUAUACUAUAAGAAACUUAAUCUUAUUAGUGUUCCGACAACAAAUUUUUUUUAUGAAAUGCAGGUAUUUUACUGUUCUUGUCAGUAUGGAUAUGAGCCUUCAUUCAAUGGAAGUGGUUAACAGGCUUACUACAGCUGUCGAACUACCAACUGAAUUUAUUCACUUGUAUAUAACGAACUGUAUAUCUUCGUGUGAGAACACCAAGGUUCUUAGUCCUCUCUACUCUUUGAUGUACUUCCCCAUUUUUCAGUAAAGCCUCAUCUGCAAUACCUGCAAUGGUGGACAAUUCGAGACCUAGGAUGUCCAGUCAUCAAUCUGUUGUGCAGAAUGAAAGUUCAGCAUAUAUUUUGUUUAUGUGAGGAAAGUCGCAGGCAUAUAAGCAUUUUCAGUAAACCGCGAUAAUGAACACUCAAAGAAAGAGGGGACUAAGCUGUGCAUGUCAUGGAUGAUUCAUGUACAAGUUGAUUCACGAAUGCUAAUGAAAAUCAUGAAUGGUUGGUUCACACAAGCUGUUUAGGAGAAUCGAUGAAAUUAUCUGCCAAAUUAAGAGGCAGAUUACAGAACAUAGAUUCACCUUCAGCUGUGUCUGUAGAGAAUGCAAUCUACUUGCAGAGUUUUUGGCCAAUUUAGGCCGUGACUCACAAUGCAAUUAGGCUAAAGAUUAACUUUAUUCCAAAAUUUCAAAUUUGCUGAAUCUUAGAUUGGAUAGAUUGCAUAUCGGCUAUGUUAUUCUUUCUUCUUGAUGUACUCAAAUGUCUAUAAUAAAAUGAAAGAUCUAUUUCUGAACCCCCAACCUACUCUUGGUGGUUUGUUAAAAAAGAGAGAGAACCUGCAGUCAUGAAUACGUUGGACUUGUUUCCUUUUAAAUAAAAAAAAUGUAUGAUUUGGGAAGUUAAAAUGUUUGCAGAAGGUUUCUGAAGGGUAAUGUGUUUCAAGUCUUGCUUCUAUCUCGUAUUAUGUAUACCUCUCAAGCUUACGUAUAAAAAGAAAUGAGCGAGGAGAAAUAUGGAAUGUGUAAUGCCUUUUGCCUUUUCAAUAUAGAGCUAGUGAGCCUCUAGCAAUGAUCUAUAUAUUCCUAGAAAUGCAUGCUUGAGGGAUUGGGUUGAGAUUGGCUUCUGAUUGUCUUAGCUUUGAUAUUUGAACUGCUAGGCAUACUUGUGAAAAAUUUGAUAACAUAACUGAUGUUUCUUCUUGGUUUUGGUUUUCUUCUUUUUGUUGGCAUUUCUUGUCCAUCUUUUUAGCACAUCUGUGUCUUUGAGUGUGUGUGUUCUUUGCCUUCAAGGAUUGGCUAGUGACUUGGUGUGUUCAGUUGGGGGGUGCAUUGGUUGCUGCUAUUUGUUUUGAUUUAAGUUCUCUUGGGUUUUGAUUCAAAUUUUAUGCACCUUGAUCUGUUUUAAAUAUAAAGUGCAUAUGGCAGCUUCCAUCUCUCAAACCUUGAUUUAUUCUCAUUGAUCUAAUUUUACUAAAUGCUGUCGAACCUUUGCAAUGCAGUUCAGGAUCUAUUUAUUGAAGUCCAAGCCUUUUGUAUAGAGUUUUCAAGGAUGAGAGAAGCAGCUACGUUGUUUAGGCUCCUUAAAAGCUUAGAAUAAGAUAGUCUAGUUUAAUUUUACUUAGUUCUCUCUGUGUAAGAUGAUCCUGCCCUGUUGCUAUGACGUUCUAUUUUGAGGAUAGCAUCAUGGCUUGUAAUGUGAGGGGUAAAAGAUAAAGCACUGCUGCGUAUACUGAGGAUUUUGCAUCCAUCUGGCGCUAUCCCAGAUAAUGGGCAUAUCUUUUUAUUUCAAAAUGCAAAAAUGGCAGCAAGAAAGGAAUCAACAUGCAAUUUGAAACACCUUGGAAGGUUUCAUUUUUGAAACACCUUUACUUCAUUAAGCGACAGACGGGGAGAUAAAAAGUGUCAUUACAAUGCUCUAUUUGACUUGGUGGCGGAUUCAAGGAAAGGGCACUGGGAUCCUUAAAUUCCUAUAGUACCCAUAAAAUUUUGAUAUAAUUUCAAGUGUGUCCUUGAAGUUUUCUUAUGAAGGAUGUGAAAGAAUUACGUGGUUCUUUAAAUUAGUUAAUGAACUAAAAUUCUGAAAGGAUAUGUGGAACACAAAGUUUCAUUUAAAGUAAACUAGAAAAAGCCUUUUCGUCUCAACUUAGUGGUGAAUAUUUUUUGGCUUAAAAUACUAGAAAAAAAUUAGGUAAAAAAUUUUAGUGUUAUUUUUAUCCCAAUUGAGAAUUUUUUCUGGAUCCGCCACUGAUUUGACUUGCAUGUAUUCAAUGACCAGAGCUUGAAAUGAGCUUCAGCAUGUAGCAAGAAACAUGCUGAUGCUACUUAGCUGUCAUAUUUUAAUAGCUGUUACAACUUGAUUUUUUUGGUUCUCUCAUUUGUCACCAGAUGUUAGCUGUCUAGGAAAUUUUUCCAUACAUCAUUUUUAUGCUACUGCUGAGGUUCACUUUUGAUUUUAUUUUAUACACAUCAACAAAUGGACAUAGUGAAGAACAAGACAAUGAGCAGCAACUCUGAGGCUCAAACCUCUAAGACACCAAAGCUAUUUGAGUUACUUUGGCUAGUUGUAGGAUCUAUUUAACAGGAUCUCACAAAUUUUUACUUGCAUAAAACUGUGUGCCUUUCAAGCAUAAUUGGAAUUGUGUAGUUAGCCUCUUUCUUUCUUCAAUCAUUUUUAUCUCCUUCAAUCAUUGUAUUUUACUCACAAAUUUGUCUUCUUUUUCUUAUGCUAAUCACAUACUUGUGACAUAGCAUUAACAAGUGAAAUAUCCGAAUCAAAGUAUACCAUUAAGAUGUGAUUUCUCCUCCACUCACAAAAAUAGGAGGGAGAAUACGUGAAAGAUACAAAGGGCUAAUAUUUUUAAGAGUCAGAUGAGCAGGACAUAUGGUUCAGGGCAAUCUCUCUUCACCUUCUUAAAGAUCCAAAAUUUGCCUUUGGAUGACUAAAGCAGCUGAAUUCCACUGAAAUCAAAUUAAGCAAACAUUGCGUUUAUUUUCAGGGAUUGUUCAGCUGUUUUAGAUCGUUUUUUGGGUAAUAAACUAUCCAACAAGAUCCAAAAUUAUCUUACCCUUGUAAUUUUUGGAUGAGUUAAUAAUACGAACCGUUAUUCAUGAGAAGAAACUGAGUGGAGAAAAUCUUUGCCAUAAAUUGUUCAUCAUGGCAAAAUAUAUAAUCACUUGAAAAAUUUAGAUGCACAGCCAACAUUUAUGCCAAAUACAUUGUCACUAAAUGAGAGUUGAUGAGGCUUUGAUUGACCCCACGCUAAUGGAUUACACGAAACUUUAUAUAAAAACAAACUAAUUUGAGAUAGCAUAUGAUUAGAAGCAAAAGUUCACAACCAUCAGCAAGAAAAAUCACAUAGUUUUUAAACAUAUUGACUAGCAAAUAAAAAUGCUAACGACAAUAGAUAAGCAAAAAACUUUAUUUGGAUAGUCACUAGUUAUGCAAUCUAGGCAUUGAUAGCAACUAGUUAAUAUUAUUAUAUCAAUUGAAUUAUGUUUCAUGGACCGGAAUACCGAUUAUUUAGGAUUUUUGAUUCACAAGUGGCCCUAAUGGUGGUGGCGGCGGUGGAUUCUUUGGCGGACUGAUGGAGGGACAGGCACCCCUCUUGAAAGCCUAGGAAAUACGCUAUCCUGGGGUAAAGCAUGUGGCCCAUGUGGCUCUAUCAGUGGAGGUAGUGGAGGAUACUUUGUAGGACCUGAUGGAGGGAUCGGCUCCCUUUUAAAAGCUUGGGGAACCAAUGUUUUGAAAACCGGAUCGGCCUGUCAAUUCGACUAAUCAGACUGCAAAUCGGCCAAGUCUUUGAUCCAAUUCAUUAUUAGUAUUGACUUUUUGUAAAAAUCGCAAAAAAUCAACCAUAUCGUUCAACUCAAAUUGAACUGUGAACCGUGAUUUUUUUAUUUUUUCCAUCUUUUUUUUAAAAUUGAACCUAAUGUUUUAACAUAAUAAAACUUAUUAGUAGAAUCUUUUGUUCCUGAAGAGGUGAUUUUUGGCGGGUAAUUAGUCCAACCGAAAUCAGCUCUCUUGUUAAUGUGGUGAGGUGAGCUCGAUUAUCUCACCUCGGGUGGAAUGAGGUGAGGUUGCACGGUCGAAGUGGAAGGCGGGGCUUUUCCCCUGCGAUCACUCCGACGAUCAAGUUAGUAUGAGAACGAGAAUAAUUAGAGUAUGAAUGAGUGAACAGUAUGCUUACUUGUGGGAGGUAUGCGAGGGGUAUUUAUAGGUCAGGAGGGAAUGCUAGGACGGAGUGCUCAUGCUGGUGGGACCCGCAUCCUGGCAUUACGGCUCUGUUUCCUGUCAGGAGGUCUGACUCUGACACUGUAGCCGCCUGAAUAUGAUGACGGAGAGUAUGGUGCAGGUGCCAUUAAGUGCCUCCAGUGCUUCUCAGAUAAAGCACUGGUCUGGUUCCGGGUGAUGUCAGGUGGCUUGACAUCAUCAGCGUGCAGCUGGGGUGGAGGUGCCGAGGUCACCUACACGGUAGACUAGGGAUCCGGCCGAGCUCAGGGGUUAUGCUCAAGACACGGACGAGCUCUGAUGAGAGACGAGGUGGGUUCACCUCGGACAUGCAGGGUGGUCGAGGUGAGCAUCCUCAAUAAGCCCCCCAAGCCUCGGGAGCUCCGAGCCAGGGAGGUACCGAGGCUUCCUGGUGCCGAAGUCGUAAAGAGUCGGGGUCCCGAAACUGCUCCGGAAGAUGCGGGGACGUGACACGUGGGCGAGUCAGUUGACAGGACGUGGCCGCUGGUAGCCGUCGCGUCGUGAAGUAGUGGGACGUUUCGUGCAGAGGGUGUCAGUCGAAAGGACGGGGCAUUAAUGAGGAGAGAGGGAGGCACGGCGUUUUGAAUUCGAACGUGGCCGUCUUUUCGCAUUCUUGCCGCCUCUUCGGAUUCCCCCCAAACCCUUAUAAAUAGGGGGUCCUUUUCACCGUAUGGCCCAUCACUUUCUUUCUUUGCCUGCGACUUGCAAAAUUUACGAGUGUUGCCGAGAUCAAUCCUGCCAGCCGAGAUCCCAGCCGAAGUCAUCAUCUUUGUUCGAUACCGUAGUCAACAGUAAGUAUCUUUCUUUCCAUCUCGUCUUACACACAUGGCCAAAAUAGCUAGGACCCAUAAAGAAAUCGUGACACCGAGCUACCAGACAGAGGUGAGGCCGGAUCCUGAAGAAGUGACGACGUCCAGCUCUGAGGGGUCGACGCCAAGUUCUGAGGAAGGAUCAACCGAGGUGAGAGCCGGCGAGACAGCCUCGGAGUUGGAGUCGUCCGAGAUGAGCGGGGGUGGUUCCGAGGUGGUCUAUAACGAGGAGUUCGGCGUCGAGAUACCACACGACGAGGACGUACUGGAGCCCGUCGCUCCUAGGGACGCAGCCAACAUCGACUUCGGCAAGAUGCCGAAGUUUAGAAGUCACAUAGGAAGAGAUAGGGCCGAGAAGGUGAUAAACAAGUAUCCCUUCCGGCCGGGGUACGAAAUUACACCGCCCGGGGUGGAUGACUCAGCCGAGAAACCCCCCUUUGGCACGGUGGCCAUCUAUGUCCAACAGUUGGAGGCCGGGCUGAGGAUGCCCACGUCGAGGUUCUUCAGGGACUUGCUUCAUCACUUCUGCGUGAGGAUUACCCAGCUCACCCCGAACGCGGUCCGCAUCAUCGUAGGGUUCGAGAUGCUGUGCCGACAUCAGGAGGUGACUCCCUCUGUCGACCUCUUCCGCCGAUGCUAUACCCUCAAGGCGCACGGGACGGAUAAGGGAUGGUUUUAUGUUUGCAAUCGGAACAAUGCCAUCCCGAAAUUGGUGAUUGGUGCUCCCAACUCGAUCAAGAAUUGGAAGCGCGACUUCUUCUUUGUAUCCGGAUUGGACUUCCCUAGGGGUUUUUGGUGGAGGCCAAUUAAGGCGAAGGCCGACCCUUCUGCGGGGGAUGCCGAGGAGGAGGCCUUCCAAAAGCUGAUGGGGUCAGGACUUCGGAUAUACAGUUGGGACUACCCCGAAACCGUGCCGGUUGACGGGGGAAUUAGCCGAGCUUUACUCAGUCCUGACAAGACUCCCUUCACUUCCACUAAACUUAAGAUACCUUGUAAUUUUCUUUCAUAGCUUUGAUUCCACUUCGGCUAAGGCAUAUGAUAAUAUUUGUUUCUUGUGCAGUGACUAAACUGUCCGACAUUGUCGUAUCGGGCUCGUCCGAAGUGGCCAAGAGGUCGAAGAGGAAGAGCUCUGACGAGACAUCGGCACCUCCGCCGAAGAAGAAGUCACAAGGACAGGCUGCCAAGACUUCGGUGGCCAAGAGCACUCCCACCCCGGGAGGCCAAAGCAGCUCGGCUGGCGCGGCUACUGGGUCCACCGCGUCUGUGCCAGAGGGAGUGCCCCUUAGAGUCGUCACGGUACUCCCGCCUCCUCAUGGCCGAGGCAAGCAGCUGAAACCCCCGGUCAAUCAGGUCUCGGCGUUUCCAUAGCUCCCCGGUGUUUUCCGGGAAGGAGAAGACGCACCCUGGCGAGCAUUGGUGUCCGGAAUGGAAACUUACUAUUAACGAUAGGUGCAGUCAUCCUCGGGUUGCACAAGAGCUGGUGAUGCACUCUACCUUGCCGAGGGAGUUGGAAUUUAUGAAGAAAUUGACUCCGGCCGAGAUGGUUCAAAACCUUAUGGUGACCACAGCCUCCAACUCAGCCUUUGUGGCCGAGAUGACACACCGGUACUGUGCUCUACUCGAGGAGCAGGACUCCGGCAAGUUACAAAAUCAGAUCUCCAAGUUGGAGAAAAAAUUGGCAGUGUCCGAGUCUGAGAAGGCCGAGCUUCAAAGACAGCUUAAAGAGGCCGAGACGAAAGAUGAGGAGGCCGUGGCUACAAUCAACAGCCUCAGAUCGGCCCUCGAGGAAGAGCAGAAGAGGGGGGACGAGGUGAAGAAGUCUCACGAACAAGAUCUCGAGAGUGCUGGGGCCUCGGCCGUGGACGCAUUUCGGAACUCCGAGGGCUUCACCCGGGAUCUCGGCCAACUGCUUGCGCCGAGCUUCAUGUUCGGCUUCACGUCAGCCGUGGAGGAGGCCGCAGCUCACCUCUCCUCUGAAGCCUUGGAGUCUCUGAAAGACAAUGCCAACUACAAUGAGGACUCCAAGGAGUUAUGCGAUCGGAUGGCCGAGGGCCUCCAAUCCGGAAGGAACUUGUCCGAAGUCCGGGACGAGUUCAACAAGUGGCUGUCCGAGCUCGACGAAGUGUUCGAGGAGGGCCAAGGAGAAGAAGCUGGAGGAGAAGAAGCCGGGGGAAACAUCGGUGAAGAGCAGGGAGGAGGAGAGCUUCACCCCGGCGGGGAGGAGACAGGAGAGAAGGCUACCCAGGAGGGAGCCGAGACGGGGGAGGGAGCCGAGACGAGAGUCUAGGCUCAUAGAUAUUUAAUUAGGAUUCCGAGGUGGGAGAUGCUUAGAGGCACUUCCGAUCUCGGUCUUGUAUUCUGUUCUGUAUUGUCCUUUCAUUAAAUGAAACGUCUAUUUUUCUCAUCUCGGCACUUUAAUUUCUUGUCUUGACUUCGUCCCUUGCUUGUCCCCCUUAUUUUUGAAUAGCGUAAUAUCGAUGUUGAAAAAUAACAUAACACCCGAAGUCAUUACUUGAUUAAAAAUUCAAGUAUAAUACAUUUUGAGAUUCUCGGCGUGCCAAGACCUCGGCACUAGGGAGCCAUCUCGGUAGCUCAGUUUACAAUAUCCCUUAAGGUCAGAUUCCACAACUCGGUAAGGGCCUUCCCAUUUCGGGCACAAUUUCCCUUGCGGUUCAGCUCGGCUGGUCGAGUUUUUUCUGAGAACCAAGUCUUCAGGCUGGAAUCUACGGUGUCUGACACGGGCAUUGUAAUAGUGUGCCAGUGUGUUCUUGUAGGAAGCUAUCCGGGUUGAGGCGAGGUCCCUUCGUUCCUCGACGAGGUCGAGAUCCAGCUGUCUCUGUUCGUCAUUCACCUCGGCAGCAUAGGCUGCCAGCCGAGAGCUGGGGGUAAGGAUCUCGGCCGAGAUGACAGCCUCGGCGCCGUAGGUCAAGGAGAAGGGGGUCUCUUGCGUUGCUGACCUCGACGUGGUCCGGUACGACCACAGGACACUGGGGAGUUUCUCGACCCAAAAUGACCCAACUCGGUGUAGUCGAGUCUUGAGACCAUGCAGGAGAGUUCGGUUGAAAUUUUCUGCUUGACCGUUGGCCUGGGGGUGGCCCACCGAAGUGAAAUGUUGUUUGAUGCCAAGGUUUGUGCACCAAGUUUUAAAGGGGUUCUCGGCAAAUUGCCUUCCAUUAUCCGAGAUGAUGACCUGAGGUAUGCCGAAGCGGUAGACGAUGCAUUUCCAAAAGAAUUUUUGAAUUGCCAGUCGGGUGAUGGUCCUCAGAGGCUCGGCCUCAACACACUUGGUGAAAUAAUCCACAGCGGUUAUCAGGAAAGUAUAACCCCCGACGGCUCUGGGGAAAGGACCUAUGAUGUCUGUCCCCCAUUGCUCAAAUGGCCAAGGUGAAGUGAUGGGAACCAUGAAGUUUGCGGGCUGGUGAUGCUCGGGUACGUGGACUUGGCAGGAAGGGCAGCCGAGAACGAGAUCAUGGGCGUCUUGCCGAACAGAGGGCCAGAAAUAUCCAAGAAGCAAAGCCUUCUUGGCUAGCAUUUUGUGGCCGACGUGAGCUCCACACAGGCUUUCGUGGAUCUCGUGGAAGACGUGGCGUCCUGCCUCGGGGGUGACACACCUCAGCCACGGGCCGAGGUAGGAGCGCUUAUAUAGUUCUUCAUCGCGGAGAACAUACCGAGCAGCCUUGCGUUGUAUCUUCCUCGCCUGGGCUCGGUAUUCGGGAAGGGCUCCCUGACCCAAGAAAAGGAUGAACGGGGUCAUCCAGGUAUCUUCAGAGUGCACGGGGCAGGCCACCUCUUCCACGUAUCCCGGUUCACUCAGGACUUCCACUAAAACUGUUUUGUUGAGAUCAGAGAAUGAUGUGGAAGCCAGCCGGGAUAAGGCGUCGGCUCGCUUAUUCUGGGACCGGGAUAUUCUUUGGAUUUCGAAAGACUCGAAGUACGCGAUGAGUUGGUGAACUUUGGAGAGGUACCGUUGCAUGGUCUCAUCCUUGGCCUCGUAUUCACCAAGAACUUGCCGUACAACGAAUUGGGAGUCACUGCGGACGUGGAUUUGCUGGGCGCCGAGCCUGCGAGCCAGUUGGAGUCCAGCAAUUAAGGUCUCGUACUCGGCUUCAUUAUUGGUGGCUGGGAAGCCAAAGCGGAGGGCGUACGAGCACAUUUCUCCUUGGGGGCCCUCCAGGAGCAACCCAGCUCCGCUGCCCUCUCCAUUAGAGGAUCCAUCUACAUACAAUGUCCACAGGGAUGGGGUGGACACCUCGGCAAAGGCGGAGGUGGAUUCUGGACCUUCCGUGAAGGUGAGUUCGGCAAGGAAAUCGGCUAAGGCUUGUACUUUUAUGGCGGUGCGGGGCUCAUAUGACAAGUCAUACUCUCCCAAUUCGAUGGCCCACUUGGUAAGGCGCCCGGAUGCCUCGGGUCGCACCAGUAUCUGCCGUAUAGGUUGGUCUGUUCUGACGGAGAUGGGGUGAGCCAGGAAGUAGGGUUUCAGCCGCCGAGCUGCGUGGACUAGUCCCAAUACGAGCUUUUCCACCUGGAUGUACCGAGUCUCCGGCCCACGGAGGGCUCGGCUGAUAUAGUAGACCGGCACUUGGGUGCCCUCAUCUCGGAUGAACACAGCACUGACAGCCUCAUCGGCUGCGGAUAGAUAUAGGUACAGCUUCUCCUCGGGCCGAGGUGAAGCGAGAGUGGGUAGUGGUGCAGGUACUGUUUCAGCUGGUCGAAGGCAGCCUGACACUCCUCAGUCCAGGCGAAUUGGUCAGCCUUCUUCAACACCUUAAAGAAGGGCAGAGCUUUCUUAGCAGAUUGGGACAGGAAGCGGUUCAGCGCGGCCAGGCGUCCAUUUAGUCUUUGGACUUCUCGGAGGUUCCGAGGUGGGGACAUGUCCUGAAUGGUCUUGACCUUGUCGGGGUUGGCCUCGAUUCUCCGGCGGGAAACCAGAUAUCCCAAGAAUUUUCCGGAGGUGACGCCGAAGACGCACUUCUUGGGAUUCAAUUUCAUCCUCGAGUCCCGCAGGACGCCGAAGACCUCUCUCACAUCGGACAAAAAAGCCGAAGUAGUUAGGCUCUUGACGAGAAUGUCGUCCGAGUAGGCCUCCACAUUGCGGCCGAUCUGGUUUUUGAAGAGGCGGUUGAUCAGCCUCUGGUAGGUCGCCCCGGCGUUCUUUAGCCCAAAUGGCAUGGUAGUGUAGCAAUAAACACCUUGGUCGGUGUAGAACGCCGUCUUCUCUUGGUCCUCUUCACUCAUUCCUAUUUGAUGAUACCCUUUGAAGGCAUCCAGUAAACAAAGGAUCUCGUAACCCAUCGCCGAGUCGACGAGGGUGUCUAUUCUUGGGAGAGGAUAGCAGUCUUUGGGGCAGGCCUUGUUGAGAUCGGUGAAAUCCACACACAUUCUCCAACCACCGAUGUCCUUUUUGACCAUGACUGGGUUGGACAGUCAGGUGGGAUAUUGAACCUCGUGGAUCAUCUUGGCCGACAAGAGCUUGUCGACCUCAUCCGAUAUAGCACGUUCGGGGCCGAAGUGCCUUCGUUUCUGCCUUACAGGGCGGGCCUGCGGAUUAACGUUGAGCUGGUGAAUCAUGAGCUCAGGUGGCACUCCGACCACUUCAUCAGCGGAUCAUGCGAAGACGUCUCGGUGGUCCUUGAUCAGGGAGAUCAUUUCUUCUUUCAGGGGUGAGAGGAGUCCGGCCCCUACUUGCACCACUUGGUCAGGUUUCGCUUCAUCCAAGACCACUCGUUCCAUCUCAUCCCCGGGCUCAAGCCUGUUGGGCUCUCCUGCCUUCCGAGGGUCGAUGCAGUUUAUGGAGAGGACCGCUUAUCACUAUCUACAGAAAUUAUAUUUUAUUUAAGCAGGUUUUUAUUAUUGCACAGGUUCGGCACCUGUCAAUUUUUGGCGCCGUUGCCGGGGAACUGGUGUCAGUUUAAUUUGUUUCUUUUUGAGUUCACCUUGUUUUCAUUUUUAAUUUAUUUCUCUUAUUUUUUUAUUAUAUAGUUUAUGGCUUCUAACACUCCGUAUUUUGGUGAUUUACUGGAUUUUGUUUCCGAGGAAGGCAAUGAGACUGAUUUUUUUUCUAAGUUUCCAUAUUUAGAGGCACUAAACUCUAUUAGAGAAAGAAUGGCUGCUGCAACCUGUGAAAUUUGUUAUGCCAGGGAUCAUUCGACCGGUAUGUGCCCCGAAUAUCAAGAUAAUCUGAAUGUCCCACUCAAUAAUUAUGGAGAUUUUUCACCAUGGUCUCAAACGUGGUAUAACCCUAAUCCAAACGGGUAUGAUCAAGGAUGGUGGGAUAACUCCAGUUAUAAUUAUACAACAGGGCCAAUGAAUUUUCAGCAGUAUGAGUCUCAAGAACCGUCAUCCAUGUCAGAUAUGUCUCUUGAAGAAAUAGUUGAAUUAAUAGCUACUAACACAUAUCAAAUUCAACAGGAGGUACAUCAACUUCAACAGGAGACACAAAGGAUGAGCAAAGAGAUGAAAGAAGCAAGGCUUGAAUGUGCAUUUAAAACGAGCAAAUUGAUUUCUCCAGUUUAUGAAGAAUUGCCCUCACCAACUAUUAUAGACCAUGAGGAAGAUGAGAGUGCAAUUAUUCUGACAAAUGACAUGGUACUGCAAGAGUCUCAAGAAGAAGAAUCUAAAGAUGUAGUUGAAAAGAAAGUUGAGGAGCAAGAAUUGAGACCCCAACAUCAAAUGGUUCAAGUGAAUGAAUCCAGUGAACAAUCUCCAAAUGCGGUGACAUCUCCUCCAUUCCUUGAUCAAUAUUUUCCUGACUCUUAUUCUUUAAUUCCUGUUAGUGAGAUUGAUUUUAUUAUACCAGACAAUUUUGAAUUUCAUGCCAGGAAUAAAUUAAGAGUCAUGAUGGCAAAAUAUCUCGAACCAAUAAGUGCUCUUGAUGGAGGAGUGAGUGAAGAUUUAAGAUCAUCACUUGUUUGUUUGGUGCCAUUUACUAGUCCAUGGAAGCCCGUAGCUCGUGUGCCCAAGAAUCACUCUAUUUACGAGGGCUAUCAGGAUUACAUAGAAGAUGAAGUACUGAAACGAGCCACAAGAUUUUAUCCUCCAUGAAUACACAUGAAAAUGUCUAGUCAAAGACAUUAAAGAAAGGCGCUACUUGGGAGGCAACCCAAGACUAUUUGUUUCAGUUUUCAUGCAUUUUUGAAGUUUUAGUUAAGUGUUAGUGUCAAUUAAUAGUUUGAUGUUUGGUGGCAGGAAAUUAGCAGUUAGACGUGCCCACGCCAGGUGGUCACGCCUGAGGGGAAGAACUUUUCGUUCAAGAUCUGCGGACUCUAUAGCAGUUAGACGUGCCCACGCCAGGUGGUCACGCCUGAGGGGAAGGACUUUUCGUUCAGGAUCUGCGGACUCUAUAGCAGUUGAGUGUGCCCACGCCUAAGACUGGAUUUCUCGUAAAAAAAAAAAUUUGAAAUGAAAAAGACACGGAACCCUACUCUUUUCUUCUUCUUCUUUCUUUUCUUUUUCUUUCUUUCUUCUUUCUUCUUCCUUUUCUUUCUUUUUCUCCUUCUUCUUCUUCCUUUUUCUUGCUGUCUGCCGCCGCCCCACACCAGAGCCAAGGACUGCCGCCGCCCAUCGCGCCGCUGCCCGCCGCGACCACGCCCCCAGCAACCAGCCGCCCUCCUCCGUUUUAAGGGAAGUGUCUUUGCCCCAAUAUCUCUAUUUUGCUCUUUCUUUGCUUACAUUGAGGGCAAUGCAAGAUUUAGGUGUGGGGGGAGUAGUAUAUUGGCAUUUUAUUGAAAAAGUGCAAGUGUAGGCAUUUUUGUUGGAAUUUUUGUUUGACUUUGUCGAAUUUUGUCCAAUUUUUGCCUAUCUUUGUGCUUAUUUGUGAUUAUUCCUGAUAAACGAUGGUUAGAUGUCUCAAAAUUUUCUAUUGCUAAGAUUUUUCACUUUAAGGUGUCGAGUAUGACAUUGUUGAGUUUAAGGGUAUCUCUUUGGUGAAUAUUUGAGAUUUUGUGACUUUUGCACUUUUUGGUUAACUUUUCUAAGUAUUGUAAAUAUUUGUCUUGCUUUUUUUUUGUGCAAAUUGGUUCAACUAUUAAUCUUAGUUCUCCAUGUUUAAGAAAUGAAGCGGGUUUGUGUGGUAUUUAAUUUUAUUUUUAGUGCUUAUUUAUGAAUAGUAUUCAGCUAUACUCCGCUAGUAUCGUUGUCUAGUAACCGGGAGUUCUCACCACAAAUGUCGACUUUCGCGUCAAAAAGCGACGAUAGCUAUGAGUAUGUGGUUUUUAAGCGAUGAUGGCUGAGUAACCGGGCUCCUUCAUAUGGUCAAUGUCGGAGUUCGCGUCAAAACGCUUGAAUGGCUAAAAACUAAACGUUCCCCCUAAAAAAAAAUAAAAAAAAUAUCAUCAUUCAUGUGUGGGGAUAUUCUAGAAAAAAAAUAUGUGCUAAUAGUGAAAAAUAUGGAAGUGUUUGAAUGAAUUGUUAACCCGCUGAUCCCUGAAUUUUAAUGUUGAGAUUUUGCUUAAUAGUUGAACCAUUUGCUUAUGGAUGCUGGUUGAAUAUUUUAUAUUCUUAGAUUAGUUAGUCAUAAAUUGAAAGAAUCAUUGAUCUUGAAAGCUAGUUGGAGAGAUAUUUCUUGAAAAUUGCCACUAAUACUUAACAUGUGUUUUAAUUGUCUUUUGGCAAUAGAAGAUUCGAAUAAUACCAUUGUUUGAAUUUGAUUAUUUGAUUUGUUGUUCUCAUGCUUGAGGACAAGCAUGGUUUACGUGUGGGGGAAAUUGAUAGGUCAUUAUUUGUCGCUAAAUCUAUAAUUAUUCUUCCCUUGAUUUCAGCCAAAUAUUGCGUUAAUUGAUGGAUUCUACUUAUAUUUGGUUAAUGAUGCUAAAUUGUAUGAAAAAGAGCAAAACGUGACAAAAAUGGGCAAUCUUCUAAUUAAUUUGAUGGUGGCACGUUCGGGAUCGAUUUCCAAAUUCGAUUCAAACUCUGGGCAGCUUUAGAGGAAGAUUUGGAAGACUUGAAUUCUAAUUACUAGUCUUAUUGUUGAAUUAGGAAACUUGAAAUACUUUCUUUUGUGGUUUAUUUUGCUAUUUAGGAAACUAGUUCUUUUUGGGUAGUAUUUUUCCAUUAGGAAACUAAGGAGAAAAAGAAAGUCAGGUUCCGUGUGAUUAGGAGGAAGCCACCAACGCAUUUGGGGACUUCUUAUUAUGUUUGCGGGGUCGGCCGCAAAGUACAAUUUGGCAGAGCCUUUUGGCCUUUUGGCCAAUCUUUUGUUCUCUGCAGUUUUUCUCUUAUCAAACUCGAAGGCGGCUAUUAUUUUUAUUCUUGGAUGGCUGGUUCUCCAUUAAUGGAGAACUAGCUUCUCAAUUCUAGUCAAGGGGACAACUGAAGAUUUGGUUCAACAAUUACUGUGAGAUCUAAUUUAUUUUAAUUGCUUCCUUCAUUUAUUGGUAUUCAUAUGUUUCCUGCUUUUAACCGUUAUAGCUCGUGUGGAUGAUUGAUUAGUGCGCAAUAAUUAAUUAUUCAUAUAGGCUAUUUUGCUAAAUAGGGGUAAUUGAAUCCGUAAUUGUUCGUUAUCCCUAUCUCAGUAGCAACUGGCGUAAUUGGGUUUAUGUCAGGGGAACAUACGAUCUAAUUUAAACAAACCCUCGUAGCGUGUUUGUUAUUUGGGAUUGGGCCUUUCUAAUUCUUAAUGCAAGCUAGAAAUUAAAUCCUACGGUCGUACCUAGGGUUGUUUUUGGGUUAAAGAAAUAGUUAACGGUCGUACCUUAACUAUCGAGAAAUUAAGGAAGGGUUGGUUGUUUAGUGCGUGCGAGACAACUAUAACCAAUCUAUUAAAUAAAUGUUGGAAUUAUCUCUGAAUCGAUGAUCAGUACAUGAACCAUUUCUGAAGUGUACCCUUGGCUAGAGUUUCUCCAAUAAUUAUUUCUUUUAUUUAUUUUCUGCAUUUAAUUUAUUUAGUUAGCAUUUAAUCCAAAAAUCCCCCCAUACUUUGAACUCUAGAAGAAACUAAUUAUCCCCAAUCCCUGUGGAUUCGACCCUACUUAUCACUAUCUACAGAAAUUAUAUUUUAUUUAAGCAGGUUUUUAUUAUUGCACAGGUUCGGCACCUGUCAAUUUUUGGCGCCGUUGCCGGGGAACUGGUGUCAGUUUAAUUUGUUUCUUUUUGAGUUCACCUUGUUUUCAUUUUUAAUUUAUUUCUCUUAUUUUUUUAUUAUAUAGUUUAUGGCUUCUAACACUCCGUAUUUUGGUGAUUUACUGGAUUUUGUUUCCGAGGAAGGCAAUGAGACUGAUUUUUUUUCUAAGUUUCCAUAUUUAGAGGCACUAAACUCUAUUAGAGAAAGAAUGGCUGCUGCAACCUGUGAAAUUUGUUAUGCCAGGGAUCAUUCGACCGGUAUGUGCCCCGAAUAUCAAGAUAAUCUGAGUGUCUCACUCAAUAAUUAUGGAGAUUUUUCACCAUGGUCUCAAACGUGGUAUAACCCUAAUCCAAACGGGUAUGAUCAAGGAUGGUGGGAUAACUCCAGUUAUAAUUAUACAACAGGGCCAAUGAAUUUUCAGCAGUAUGAGUCUCAAGAACCGUCAUCCAUGUCAGAUAUGUCUCUUGAAGAAAUAGUUGAAUUAAUAGCUACUAACACAUAUCAAAUUCAACAGGAGGUACAUCAACUUCAACAGGAGACACAAAGGAUGAGCAAAGAGAUGAAAGAAGCAAGGCUUGAAUGUGCAUUUAAAACGAGCAAAUUGAUUUCUCCAGUUUAUGAAGAAUUGCCCUCACCAACUAUUAUAGACCAUGAGGAAGAUGAGAGUGCAAUUAUUCUGACAAAUGACAUGGUACUGCAAGAGUCUCAAGAAGAAGAAUCUAAAGAUGUAGUUGAAAAGAAAGUUGAGGAGCAAGAAUUGAGACCCCAACAUCAAAUGGUUCAAGUGAAUGAAUCCAGUGAACAAUCUCCAAAUGCGGUGACAUCUCCUCCAUUCCUUGAUCAAUAUUUUCCUGACUCUUAUUCUUUAAUUCCUGUUAGUGAGAUUGAUUUUAUUAUACCAGACAAUUUUGAAUUUCAUGCCAGGAAUAAAUUAAGAGUCAUGAUGGCAAAAUAUCUCGAACCAAUAAGUGCUCUUGAUGGAGGAGUGAGUGAAGAUUUAAGAUCAUCACUUGUUUGUUUGGUGCCAUUUACUAGUCCAUGGAAGCCCGUAGCUCGUGUGCCCAAGAAUCACUCUAUUUACGAGGGCUAUCAGGAUUACAUAGAAGAUGAAGUACUGAAACGAGCCACAAGAUUUUAUCCUCCAUGAAUACACAUGAAAAUGUCUAGUCAAAGACAUUAAAGAAAGGCGCUACUUGGGAGGCAACCCAAGACUAUUUGUUUCAGUUUUCAUGCAUUUUUGAAGUUUUAGUUAAGUGUUAGUGUCAAUUAAUAGUUUGAUGUUUGGUGGCAGGAAAUUAGCAGUUAGACGUGCCCACGCCAGGUGGUCACGCCUGAGGGGAAGAACUUUUCGUUCAAGAUCUGCGGACUCUAUAGCAGUUAGACGUGCCCACGCCAGGUGGUCACGCCUGAGGGGAAGGACUUUUCGUUCAGGAUCUGCGGACUCUAUAGCAGUUGAGUGUGCCCACGCCUAAGACUGGAUUUCUCGUAAAAAAAAAAAUUUGAAAUGAAAAAGACACGGAACCCUACUCUUUUCUUCUUCUUCUUUCUUUUCUUUUUCUUUCUUUCUUCUUUCUUCUUCCUUUUCUUUCUUUUUCUCCUUCUUCUUCUUCCUUUUUCUUGCUGUCUGCCGCCGCCCCACACCAGAGCCAAGGACUGCCGCCGCCCAUCGCGCCGCUGCCCGCCGCGACCACGCCCCCAGCAACCAGCCGCCCUCCUCCGUUUUAAGGGAAGUGUCUUUGCCCCAAUAUCUCUAUUUUGCUCUUUCUUUGCUUACAUUGAGGGCAAUGCAAGAUUUAGGUGUGGGGGGAGUAGUAUAUUGGCAUUUUAUUGAAAAAGUGCAAGUGUAGGCAUUUUUGUUGGAAUUUUUGUUUGACUUUGUCGAAUUUUGUCCAAUUUUUGCCUAUCUUUGUGCUUAUUUGUGAUUAUUCCUGAUAAACGAUGGUUAGAUGUCUCAAAAUUUUCUAUUGCUAAGAUUUUUCACUUUAAGGUGUCGAGUAUGACAUUGUUGAGUUUAAGGGUAUCUCUUUGGUGAAUAUUUGAGAUUUUGUGACUUUUGCACUUUUUGGUUAACUUUUCUAAGUAUUGUAAAUAUUUGUCUUGCUUUUUUUUUGUGCAAAUUGGUUCAACUAUUAAUCUUAGUUCUCCAUGUUUAAGAAAUGAAGCGGGUUUGUGUGGUAUUUAAUUUUAUUUUUAGUGCUUAUUUAUGAAUAGUAUUCAGCUAUACUCCGCUAGUAUCGUUGUCUAGUAACCGGGAGUUCUCACCACAAAUGUCGACUUUCGCGUCAAAAAGCGACGAUAGCUAUGAGUAUGUGGUUUUUAAGCGAUGAUGGCUGAGUAACCGGGCUCCUUCAUAUGGUCAAUGUCGGAGUUCGCGUCAAAACGCUUGAAUGGCUAAAAACUAAACGUUCCCCCUAAAAAAAAAUAAAAAAAAUAUCAUCAUUCAUGUGUGGGGAUAUUCUAGAAAAAAAAUAUGUGCUAAUAGUGAAAAAUAUGGAAGUGUUUGAAUGAAUUGUUAACCCGCUGAUCCCUGAAUUUUAAUGUUGAGAUUUUGCUUAAUAGUUGAACCAUUUGCUUAUGGAUGCUGGUUGAAUAUUUUAUAUUUUUCGAUUAGUUAGUCAUAAAUUGAAAGAAUCAUUGAUCUUGAAAGCUAGUUUGAGAGAUAUUUCUUGAAAAUUGCCACUAAUACUUAACAUGUGUUUUAAUUGUCUUUUGGCAAUAGAAGAUUCGAAUAAUACCAUUGUUUGAAUUUGAUUAUUUGAUUUGUUGUUCUCAUGCUUGAGGACAAGCAUGGUUUAGGUGUGGGGGAAAUUGAUAGAUCAUUAUUUGUCGCUAAAUCUAUAAUUAUUCUUCCCUUGAUUUUAGCCAAAUAUUGCGUUAAUUGAUGGAUUCUACUUAUAUUUGGUUAAUGAUGCUAAAUUGUAGGAAAAAGAGCAAAACGUGACAAAAAUGGGCAAUCUUCUAAUUAAUUUGAUGGUGGCACGUUCGGGAUCGAUUUCCAAAUUCGAUUCAAACUCUGGCAGCUUUAGAGGAAGAUUUGGAAGACUUGAAUUCUAAUUACUAGUCUUAUUGUUGAAUUAGGAAACUUGAAAUACUUUCUUUUGUGGUUUAUUUUGCUAUUUAGGAAACUAGUUCUUUUUGGGUAGUAUUUUUCCAUUAGGAAACUAAGGAGAAAAAGAAAGUCAGGUUCCGUGUGAUUAGGAGGAAGCCACCAACGCAUUUGGGGACUUCUUAUUAUGUUUGCGGGGUCGGCCGCAAAGUACAAUUUGGCAGAGCCUUUUGGCCUUUUGGCCAAUCUUUUGUUCUCUGCAGUUUUUCUCUUAUCAAACUCGAAGGCGGCUAUUAUUUUUAUUCUUGGAUGGCUGGUUCUCCAUUAAUGGAGAACUAGCUUCUCAAUUCUAGUCAAGGGGACAACUGAAGAUUUGGUUCAACAAUUACUGUGAGAUCUAAUUUAUUUUAAUUGCUUCCUUCAUUUAUUGGUAUUCAUAUGUUUCCUGCUUUUAACCGUUAUAGCUCGUGUGGAUGAUUGAUUAGUGCGCAAUAAUUAAUUAUUCAUAUAGGCUAUUUUGCUAAAUAGGGGUAAUUGAAUCCGUAAUUGUUCGUUAUCCCUAUCUCAGUAGCAACUGGCAUAAUUGGGUUUAUGUCAGGGGAACAUACGAUCUAAUUUAAAAAACCCUCGUAGCGUGUUUGUUAGUUGGGAUUGGGUCUUUCUAAUUCUUAAUGCAAGUUAGAAAUUAAAUCCUACGGUCGUACCUAGGGUUGUUUUUGGGUUAGAAAAAUAGUUAACGGUCGUACCUUAACUAUCGAGAAAUUAAGGAAGGGUUGGUUGUUUAGCGCGUGCGAGACAACUAUAACCAAUCUAUUAAAUAAAUGUUGGAAUUAUCUCUGAAUCGAUGAUCAGUACAUGAACCAUUUCUGAAGUGUACCCUUGGCUAGAGUUUCUCUAAUAAUUAUUUCUUUUAUUUAUUUUCUGCAUUUAAUUUAUUUAGUUAGCAUUUAAUCCAAAAAUCCCCCCAUACUUUGAACUCUAGAAGAAACUAAUUAUCCCCACUCCCUGUGGAUUCGACCCUGCUUAUCACUAUCUACAGAAAUUAUAUUUUAUUUAAGCAGGUUUUUAUUAUUGCACAGGUUCGGCACCUGUCAAUAAGUAUUGAUCCAAAUCCUGUGCUGCAGGCUCCAAAUAAGCAGGAGCUAAUAUGUUCAGCAAACUUGAGAAGCGAAAAGAAAAAACUAUUGAAGAUAAAAAGCUGACAUUGAAGACUAAUAGUAUUUGGAUUUAUUUCGAAUCCAAAUGUGUUGUAUGAUGGUACCAAUAGGAGCAAUUUGAUUGAUUGGAUUGGAAUUAAUUUGAAAGGCAAAUCUCUUGCUAAAACAAGGAAGAGUUUUUGUUGGCAGCUGCUAUUUAGUGCAUUUGGAAAGAAAGGAAUGCAACACAAUUUAGGAAUGAAGGUAGGGAUACAAAAGUUAUUCAACAAGAGAUCCUUGAGGUAAUUAGAUGUAGAUUGUCCUCUUUCAAGAAAGUCAAGAAGACGGAUACUAAUAGAUGAUUUGUUUUCACUUGCAAGAGUAGUUAGGGAUUCCAUAAUUUUAGACACAUUUUUAUUGUUAUUUUGCUACUUUUAUUACAUGUUAGUAGAGUAAAUUUAAGUGCUUUAUUUGUGAUCAACUAAACAAUAGAGGAGUUCGAAAACUAUUAGUAAUUGACAAUCUUUUCUGUAGGAUUGACACCUAAUAUCCUAUACUCAAUAAAUCAUCUGACAUUCAAGUCGGGGGUUAGAGUAAACUUGUCAACCGAUUAUUAUCGAUUUAUUUGAGUUUGAAUUAUCAAAAAGUUGAAGACACGUGGCAGUUGUAUAAAGAAGGGACAGAGGGGAUAGAGACUAAUUUAGGGAUAGAAGAUUCGAAGCCAAAAGUAGGAUACUUUAGUUUAUAUAUUAAAAUAACACUUGAGUGAGAUAUACCCUAAAAUACAUUAUAUUUUCAUCCUAAAAUAAAAAAGUUCUCAAAAAUAUCAUUGAGAUUUUGUAAGAUCUUGGCAAGCUAACUUCGUUACUGUGUCAGAAAGACUUAGUUACUUACUUAGCAAUUAGUUGGAGUUAAUUGAAUGCUGACUCCGCAAGACAAGUUAGCUACUUUGUUGUAAGUUAGUUACAAUUAGUUACUGUUAAUUGUUGACAGCCAGGUAGAGUAGUAAGUUACAAUUGGUUUGAAACGGGGGUUGGACGAAUAAAUGAUGCAUCAAUACUGGGGUUACUGAGUGAGGAAGUGGGUCUAAAUUGCUGUUACAAUUUCUCAAGUUCUUCUUGCGCAAUUUUCUCUCAGUUCACUAUCUUUUCCUCUGGUGUCUGAAUUGUAUUGUCCAUUUCAAUUUACAAAGUCAAGAGCUAAAGUAGUUUCUGUAAGGCCUGGUCCAAGGAAAUUGAUGAAAACGUUUUUUGACAAUUCCGAAAGACAAUAAUAAAGCAAAAAUAAAUAUAGAAGAGAGACAUAAGAAUUACGUGGCUCGGCCAACAAACCUACAUUCGCAGGCAAAAGAGUAGCAAAUUCACAAUAAAAAAGAGAGUACAAAAGAAAGAGUACAAAACUCUAGAAAAGAAAUCCUAGGUCUAAAAGCACUAAAUUCUAGAAACACAAGAGAAUCUAAAUAUAACAAAAGACUCAACAACCUAAGAGGUCCAAAUAGUCCACUGACUAGCUCUCUUUGUUUGGUACCUUUCAAAAACUUCUCUCUUGAAUUGGGGCUUAGGGUCCUUGACUGGUGCUUUGAUGCAUUUGACCUCAUUUAAACCCAUCAUAUUUAUAACCACUAAAAGGAGAGAUAUCUUUGUAAAAUUUUCGAUAUGUUUUACAAAAACAAACACAACAAAUCUCUACCUUAUAUAUCCAACAUCGACAAGUAGCAACCGUGCUUCACCUUCUGCACGAAAGUUUCAACGGAUCCUAAUAGACCAAGAUCAUAAAAGCCACAACGAAUUCUAAUGGGUCAAAGCCACAAAAGCCCCAACAAAUUCCAAUCAGCCAAAAUCACAAAAGUCUCAGCAGAUCUCAACAAGUUGAAAUCACGAAUAUAGUAAUCUUGUUUCAUAUUUUCCACAAAACCCUCAAUGGACUUUUUCUAAAUUCCCUGUAGCACUAAAUUAACUCCAGCAUGAACUAAAAAUAGCCCCCAUCUUGAGUUGUCAUCCGGAAAAUGGAUGGAAGUGUUUUUGGCAAUUUCAAAAUACAAUAAUAAAGCAAAAAUAAAUAUAACAGACAAGAAUUAUGUUGUUUGGACAAUUGAACUAUGUCACAAGUGAAAGAGCAGCAAAUUCACUAUAAAGAAGAGAGCACAAAAUCAUAAGUUUUAGAGUACCAAAUACUAAAACACAAAAAAGCUUAAAUAAAACAAAAGGCUCAACAACCUAAAAGGUCCAAAUAAGCUACUAACUAGCUGUUUUGGGUGGCACUUCUCAAAAAUCUCUCUUAAAUUGGGGCCUAGGGCCUCCUGAAUCUCUGUUGAUAUACUAAGGCCCAGCUGUUCGAUAAUUUAAUUUAGUACUUAAAUUUAAUGGAUUCAAAUUUUAACAUAUUUAGAUGCGUUUGAUAGCUAAAAAUUGAACAUCUGAAUUAAUUAAGUAGCACUGAAUUUUCUAGACAAAACUUGUUCCAAAAAAUAAGCGGUAAGUUAUUCACUUUUCACUGAUUGUGAUAUACACUCAAAUAUAUUAAAUUUAAUAUUUAAUAAUUUAAUAGAUUCAAACUUCAGAUUUCAAAUUUCAGACUUCAAUUUUAUCAAACGCAACCUAACUAAUUGUCCAAGCUUGCUAUUAGUAUCUUUUCACAAGAAAGUCCAACAAAGAGUUUGGUUAGUGGAGACUUGCUAGCAAUAAUAUCUUUUCUUUUGCAUUUUUAGAUCAUCUUAAGCUGGACGUUCAGUCCCAGUAGAGUUUGGAUUUGGUUUGGUCAAUUAGCUGUAUUUUCUUGUUGAGGGCAGAAGACUAGAAGAGUUGUCCAAAUUAGCUAGAGGAUUUGGUUUAUUUUGUUGUGUUGCCUCGCUAAGCCGAGAAAAAACACAAUUGGAGAAAGAAAACAAAUCACAAAAAGUUUUCCAAUAUGACACAAAUAAACAUCUAAACUACCUUUUCUUGCCUUUUCUAUCUUAUCAUGUCUUCCAUUUGCAACAAGUUCACUUUAUUACAACCCAUGAAUCCUCCUGUUUCCUGAUUUCAACCCAUUUCUUUUGUUUUGGUACUCUGGUAGAAUGCAAACUUAGGUGGCGUUUGGUAAAAGGGUUUCGGAAUGGGGAAUUGGAAUAAACUCCAUGAAUUAUGUUUGGUUCACUACUAUCGGAAUUGAAAUUUUGGAAUGAUGUCUAAAAAUUUAGCAUUCCACCAUUUCUUAGUAAGUUGGUGGGUUCUGUCCAAAACCCAAGUGUGAUUCCCAAAUCUUAUAAUUGCAUAAUAUUCAGUAUAAUUAAUAUUUAUAUUUAUAUUUAUAUUUAUAUUAUAAUAUAUACAUAUAUAAUAUGUUAUAAUUAUAAUAUUAGUAUAUUAUAUAAAUAUAUAUUUUAACUAUUUAGUUAAACAUAAUUAUAUUUAAAUAAUAUAUAUUAUAAAUUUAUUAAUAUUAUAUAAUAAUAUAUUUAUAAUAUAUAUGUAUAUUUAUAAAUGUAUAUUAUAUGUGCAUAUAAUUAUAAUAUAUACAUGUACAUAAUAUUAAUAAAUUAUAUAAUUAUAUUUAUAUUUAUUAUUUUAAAUAUAAUAAUAUAUAAUAAUAACUAUAUUUAAUAUGUAAUAUACAUUAUAUUUAUAUAAAAUAUUAGUACAAUUAAUAUUUAUAUAUUAUAUAUUUAUAUUAUAAAUUUUGUAUAAUUAUAAUUAAUUAUACAUAUAAUAUUUAAUUUAAUUAGUUACAAACUUAUAAUAAUGAUAUUAUUAUAUUAUAUAAUUAUAUAUUAUAAUUAUUUAGUUAAAUAUAAUUAUAUUUAUAUAAUAUAUAUUAUAAACUUAUUAAUAUUAUAUAAUAAUAUAUUUAUGAUAUAUAUGUAUAUUUAUAAAUGAAUAUUAUAUGUGCAUAUAAUUAUAAUAUAUACAUGUAUAUAAAUAUAUAAUAUUAAUAAAUUAUAUAAUUAUAAUAAUUAUUAUUAUUUCAAAUAUAAUAAUAUAUAAUAAUAACUAUAUUUAAUAUGUAAUAUAUAUUAUAUUUAUAUAAAAUAUUAGUAUAAUUAAUAUUAGUAUAUAUUAUAUAAUUAUAAUUAUAUAUUUAUAUUAUAACAUUUGUAUAUUUAUAUUUAAUUAUAUAUAUAAUAUUUAAUUUAAUUAGUUACAAACUUACAAUAAUAAUAUUAUUAGUUAUAUGUAUUAUAUAAUAUAUAUUAAUCUAUGUAAUAUAAUUGAUAUUAUUAAUUAUACAUUUUCACUAAUAGAAAUUAUUACUUAGUUAUACUAAAUUUCUUAUAUCCCAUUUACAAAGAGCCAACGAACCAAACAUCAACUAUAGUAAUGAUAUACAUUAUUGGCACUGAACCAAACAAAUGUAUUAUAAUGAUUGAUUCCAUUCCAAAUCCAGAAUAAACGAUUCCGAAUCCGAAUUUGAUUCCAACAUGUGAAUCAAACGCCACCUUAAAUGUAUGCAGCAAGAUGUAUUAUUGCUUUUUGAUAUAUAUUAUAGGAAAAAGGGGAAAAGAAAGUGGAACGAAGAGAUGAAGAAAUAGGAUAGAGGACUCAAAUUUAUGACCAAAUGGGUGAGAAUCCAAAGUUUGACAAAUUUUUAUCAGAUGUGGUCAUAAAGUUAACAACACCAGGAUGAUCUAUACCUUUCUUUGUUCCUUUGAUAAAGUAACAUCCAUUGUCUUGGUUGCUGGAAACUGUGUUCUAACUUAUUUAGCCUUUUUGUUUUUUUUUUGCCCAAAGCACUACUGCACUUUAUCUUUUGUGGAAAGAGAACAAGAUAGCCUAUAAACAAGAUGACAACUUGAAUUUUCUUGUUCUUUUCCUCUAUUCCAAAAGGAGUAUUCAAAUAUGCCAAUAUAGCUGAGCGUGAACUAGUUGAUUUGGUGGUUACUGCUCAUGGGAAUAUUAUAUCUAACCCGAAAAAAAAUAAGGUAAAAGGAAAAAAAACCUGUGUAACAAGUAGGCAUAACCUUGUUGAUUCUCAGCUAGAACAAUCCUAUUAUUUCUAAGAUUGGAUAAUCUCUCUGUUUGCCUACAAAUUUUUAAGUAUUUUAAAAACAAUACAGUUUUUACAAAAAAGGAGCAAAUGGACGGUUAAAACUUCUAUCACGGUUGAAACUCCUUUAGAUUUUCACUUAGAAUGAGCCAAAUUAAAUGAACAUCCUAACACAGCAAAUUUGGUAAUUGAAAUACAUAUUUUCUUUUUUUUUAAAAUUUUAACUUCACAAAUAAAUGAAAGAGAUAAUAGGAAAGAAAAGGUCACAUUGAGUGCCUAAAUCUCUGAAAAAUGUAAGGACGUAUUUAGUAUUGGAUUUCCUUUAACAAAAAAUAAAUAAAAGAAUGAAAACUUUUGUUACAAAUAGCUAUAUAGAUAAAAAUACCAAUGUUUUGCUCGAAAUCAAUUGCUUUUCUAUAAAGAAAUUUAUGUCAACAACAUUCUAUUACUAAAUAUAACCUCAAGGUUAAUUUUUUCGCUAUCUGUUGUUUAGUUCUACAAAGUUUAAGCAAUUAGAAAAUUGAGCUCUUCCUAAAGGCAUGAGUUUAAUUUCUUUAUUAUGCCUUCACAGUAUGGGGCUCCAGGAAUCACAUUACUUGGUGUAAUUGGGUUCCAAGGUAGGCAAUUGAUUUUGAGUUCUCACGUUGAUCUAGCAUGGCAAGAAAUUUUCUUCCAAAUGUAGCUUCAGUAAACUUCUAAAAUCCAUCCACAAGAACUCAUUUUUGAUAAAUGACAAUUAUGCAAAAUUCGAAUUUGAAAUUCAAUUUUUGCACAUGUAUCAUAGAUCUAACAAUGAUAGGUUAUACACUGUCAGUAUAUAUAAGAUUUACUUUUUUGUAUAAUAUUUAAUUUUAAUCCCUUUCCCCAAGUAUUUCCUUCAUUCAUAAUUUUAUUCAUUACAAGUUUUUAGAUAUUCUCCUUUAGUUUCCAAAAGUUUCUCCAGGAGAGUUUUCUUAUCGCAACAAUUAAUCAUGUUGAACAAGAAAUUGAUACGCUAAUCUUCUUUAGUUUCUAAAAAUAUUGUCAAAGAAAUUUGUUAAACUUCUUUCCGAACAAUUUCUUUUUACACUAUUGCUCAAGAAAAUUCAGGAAAUCUGCUUACAUGCUCUAAAAUUAAUUGAUUGCCAAAAGAAAUUUCUAAAACUUCUUUACAAACAAUUUCUUUCCAACUAUUGCUCAAGAAAGUUAACAAAAUCUGAGUUCAAUAUAUUUUAUAUUUCUAAAGUAAAAACCCAUUCUUGCUGUUACAUUGAAUUACAUAAAUAGCCACAAUUAUCAUAAAUAAUGCAAAGCUAAAAAAACAACAUUGCAUACCGCUAAUUUAAACUCUUGCUCAUAAUAUAUUAUAGAUAAGCUGCACCUCUAUAAGCAUUUAAUUAGAGCUACACGCUAGCCACAAUAUUGUAGCAGGAAUACUUGAAAACUUGAAAGCCAUAAGCCAGCUAUUGUUUAAGAACGAUAUUAAAAUUAAUGCAGAAACCAUUACAUGAAUGUUGUAAUCUAAUUGCUGAUGUGACUGCAAAUUUGAGCUCGAAAUGGGAGGAAUCUUACUUCAAUUUGCUCAUAAAACAAGGGACCAAAUUGGGACACGCAUGGCCACCAAUAAAGCACCAGAUUCGGGAAUCUUUGUUUGGCGCUACACUGAAGUUGCUGGGAAAGUAUGGUCGAACUUAUUCAACUUUUUAUUACUUCUGCAGUUCUGAGAAAGUUUUGGAUCCUGAACUGAUUUUAUUGAGCAGCUGCUAAACCAGAUAAAAAUCUAAUAUCAGAGUGAAAAGAAGAUAUUAUAAUGGAGAUCCCCUCAGCAGUAACGCCAACUGCUUUGAUUUUGCUUUAUAUGAUUAUCUGCACUCGCAUCACAUCUCCUCCAGCACUAGCACUAGUUGCUUUGAUCUUGCUUUGGAUUUUCUAACCAAGCUUGAAAAUGGGCUCCUAUUUGGCUGCGACUUCAAGGACCUGAAGAAGCGGGUAAGAUUAAUGAAAACCUGUUUUCUGUAUGUCAAAAAGUGUAGGAGGAGGAGGAACCACGAAGCGCUUUUGGAGCAUGAUCGCGAGGACAGGUGUAAUACUAUGUCUGAAAGUUUGAGACGUAGAAUUAUUUGCUUCAGAAUUCAAGAUGUGGCUAUCAGGAUGAUUCAAGAACUUCAGCCUGUUUAUUUUAAUUUUUAUUCAAUCUGGUUAUCACUUAGAUUUUGACAUCAUUCGAAGUGCGGUUACCAGAUCCGGGGAAAAGAUCAAACCGUUUCUUGAGACAGAUCUCAAGAAAUCAUGCACCGCCAUCUUCAUCGACUAUUACCCACCAGGAGAUCCACGACUAGUUAUGGAUCUUAUUAUGUGCGUUUUAGGGAAUAUCAUUUGGGUUUGCCGUGCUUGGGAGCUAAGGGAGACAAUUAAAUAUAGGCUAAAACUCUUAAGGAAUCUCAUUGGCUUUGUUACAAUGCAAGGUCUUGAAUGUUCGCAACUGACAGAUCUCUUGACUUACACUGUAGUUGCAGCUGGACGCCUGAUUUCUAUAUGUAUGUUUGACUAUGAUGAACAAGUGGCCAAUCGAAUGGAAUCUGAAAUUUAUCAGCUGAUGCACGAGAAGAUCAAUCUUCUUGAUCUCCAAGUCCGAGAAACUUUUGUCCAUGUCCUGACAGCUUCAAAGAAACAACCGAGACCAUCAUAUGCUUUAGCCCUUCAGAAGAAUGAGGAUCGUGUGGUAGGCCAGUUUGUUGGUUCUCUCCGUGAUUAUCUUAUGGAUCUACUAGGAUCUUAUGCCAGUUUUCAGGUUCCAGUCAAGGAUCAAAUACUAAGACUCCAUGAGGAAAUAAGAUGCCUGGGUAUCCUUCUUAAACAGGAGGAGAAACUAGGAGAUGAAAUGAAGGAUCUUAUUGGAGCUGUGGUCUCUGAUGCAGCAAUUUUGACCUUCUCCCUUUCUGUCAAUGAAAUCAAAGAAGGCUUGCCUAAGGAAAUAGAUCUUGCGGUGUUGCAUUUGCACAAAGUUCUCAAAUAUAUGGUGGCAGAGGUUGCACACAAUUAUCCACUAAAAUCACCAUAUUCAUCAUUUAAUUAUCCUAGACCCAAUGAGUUGGGCUGUAUGGAUUCUUUCCUAGAAAAUCUCAAGGAACUAGCAAGGUGUGAUGAGGCUGAUGAUUCAAUUGGUUUUCAACAUCAUAGAAUCCAAGUGAUCCAAAACGAUCUCGUAUUCUUAAGAUCUUUCCUGGAAAAUAUCAAGGAGCAGCGCUAUCAGAAUGGAAAACUUCAAGCUUUCUGGAGUCAUGUUAUGGAGGCUGCAUACAAGGCAGAGUUACUGAUUGACUUGGCCCUUGUUGGUGAUAAAUGUGAAGAUUCUUUGGAUGCUGUUUCUAGAGAUAUCAAUCUUUUGAAGAUUGAGGCCCCUGAGAUCCAUAAUGCUCAAACCCAAAGAGUUAACAAGACUUCCCUUCACAUACCGUCACAACUUGCUGCCGCCAUGCACGACGAAGAUCUGGUAGGUCUUGACGACGAGGUGGAAACUAUAACUCAUCGGCUUACGAGAGGAUCAAAGCAAUUGGAUGUUGUUCCCAUUGUGGGUAUGCCAGGCCUUGGCAAGACCACAUUAGCCAAUAAAGUUUAUAAUGCUCCUUCAGUUAGGUCAUAUUUCCAUGUUCGUCGUUGGUGUCGUGUUUCUCAAACAUAUAACAUACGCAGUUUGUUAGUUGAGCUUUUGUGUAGUAGUUCUUCUGAGAGUUCUGAUGAAUAUCAUAAAAUGGAUGAAAAUGAUUUGGUCAUGAAACUAAGGCAGGUUUUGCUGAGAAGUAGGUAUCUCCUUUUUUUGGAUGACUUGUGGGACGUUGAGGCAUGGAAUUUGUUGGAAAAAUCACUACCGAAUGAUGCCAAUGGAAGCAGGAUUCUCUUCACCAGUAGAUACCAGAAUUUAUCUUUGCAUUUCAAACCUAAUAGCGAGCCUCACCAUCUCCGCCAUCUUACUGACGAAGAGAGUUGGACAUUGCUGCAGAGAAAGCUAUUUGGCACGAAAGAUUGUCCUCCAGCACUAAGUGAAGUUGGAUCUCAAAUAGCAAAACUUUGUCAGGGUUUACCCCUCGCAGUUGUCCUUGUUGCUGGAAUUCUUGCUACUACUGCACAAGAUAGUUGGGAAGAAGUUGUAAAAAGUCUAAGUUCUAUUGUCCUUGAGGAUGAAUACUGCAUGAAGUCACUUGAGCUGAGUUAUAGUCAUCUACCAGAUUAUUUGAAGCCAUGUCUUCUGUACUUUGCUACAUUUCAAGAAGACAAGGUUAUUAAUGUGCGAAGGUUGUUACGGCUUUGGAUCUCUGAAAGAUUCGUGCAACAGGCUGAAGGAAAGAGAGUAGAGGAAGCAGCUUAUGACUACUUUAUGGCUCUAGUUAAUAGAAGUUUAGUUAAGGGUGUCGGACAAAGAACUGUGGGUGGUGCCAAAGCCUGUCUACUUCAUGAUUUGGUACACGAGUUUUGUGUGAAAAAAGCCAUAGAAGAAAGUUUUCUAUAUGAUGUUCAUACUUGGAACCCUCUUGGGAUUACUGGACCAAGCAACCCCCACCGAGUUUGUGUCCGCAAUACCAGAGAAUUGAAGAUUUGGGAGUUAACGAUUAUUUUUCCCAAUUUACGCUCUUUGAUCUUGUUUGGACAUGGUCAUAUUGAACAUGAAGAGGAGGAUUUGGAUAUUUUGUUACCUAAACUUCUCAGAGUGUUGGAUUUUCGGAGUUUGCCCUUUCGUUACAAUUCUUUCCCAAUCGAAGUAGUAUUGCUUGUUCACUUGAGAUACCUGGCGCUCAAAGGAGUAGCAUACAUCCCAUCUGCGAUAGCCAACCUCUCAAGGUUAGAAACUCUUAUCGUAGAUGAUCCGGUUUUUGGUAUUGAGCUGCCAAGUACUAUUUGGAACAUUAAGACAUUGAGUCAUCUGCGUGCUUUAAAUUAUCAUGGAGUAUGGCCAAUGGGUUUUAUUUUUCCAGUUGAAAAUCUGGAAGUAUCCCCAGAUUUAGAUUGUUUAGACACUUUAGACCUUGCAAUUGAUCCCUCCUCUCAAAGCUUGCAAAAGAUACUGAGAAAGUUACCAAGCAUUCGCAGGUUAAAAUGUAUGGAACAACCGGGCGGAACAAGAGAAGCUACCAGAAAUUGCAACGAGAUUCUUGAGUUUGACAGUUUGAGUCAACUGGAAUCACUUCAUUUGUUUGGUUUUCACGGAUGUGGAUUUAAAUUCCCGUUGAAUUUGAAAAAGUUGGCUCUCACAUAUAAUUGUCAGCCAUGGAGUGAAAUUUCAACAAUUGGAAAGCUGCUCAAUCUUGAAGUGCUUAAAUUACUUGAUCGCUGCUUUGUUGGGGAAGAAUGGAUAAUGAAAGAAGGGGAGUUCCCUAACCUCCGAGUCUUAAAAUUGUCAAGGUUGAAAUUUCGCAACUGGACUGCAUUUUCUGAUAAUUUUUCCCGCCUUGAGAAAUUGGUCUUGCACCGAUGUAAGGAGCUGGAAAAGGUCCCUUCCUGUUUAGGGGAGUGUGAGACUCUUGAAAUGAUUGUGGUGAAAAAUUGUCCUGAGUCUGUUGGAGAUUCUGUAAAGCAAAUUGAACAAGAACAGAUGGAUAUGGGCAAUGUGGCUCUAAAGAUCGAAAUUGAUAAUUAUGAUGAUACAAUCUUUUCCCCAGAAGCAGAGUCAACUCCCUCAGAAGCAGAGGAGAUUUCUUUAGAAAGAGAGUCUAUAUCCUCUCAUCACGCAGUUGACAAUUGUGAGAGUGAAUGUACAGUGGGAUUCCACUCAUCAGGUCAGAUAAAACUAUAUUUGCAUAUGUUGAAUCAGUUCAAUUAUAUAAUGCUUCAUGCUUCUCUUAACAGUUUACGACGGCAAACCAUUCAUGUCUCUUUUCAUUUGUUUAUAUGUUGAAUCAGUCCAAUGAUGUGUUAAUUCAUGUGUAUUUUGAAGCAAUUUCUGCUGCAUAACUUUCUGAUAAAUUUCUGAUUGCAGUAGGAAACACAUUGAUGCACAAUCUGUUUCUAAAAUCUUCUUCUUGUCAUUUUCUGGUUCAGUGUUGAGUAAUUUUUAUGUCCCAAUUUCCGAAAUCUUCUUCCUUGUUGCUACAUGAUACGAACUCGACCCAACAAGAACCUGUCUUGAAGAACCGAAUCGAUCAGGCAGCGGAAGGAUCUAUCUUGACCAGGUUAUGGAUACAAAGAUGGAAAGACCUUACGACCCCUCUAAUCCCCGUGACUACGAACUUGUUGAUAUUAUCUCAACCCGUAACCAAACGAAUUAGUGAACCUCAGGCAAGUGUAGAAGGCGCCACAAUUCAACAUGGUCUUGAAUUGAUAAGCCGAAACUUGAACAAAGGAGAUACAACUCACUUUGUAUCAAGGAACGCUCCCAAAGGAACAAGAAAGAGAAAACUCUCAAUUUUUUAUUCAUCUCAUAAUUGUGUUUUUCAAUAGUUAAAUAAAGUUGGCUAUUUAUAGCCUUGCAAGACUCAAAACCCUAAUCUAAAUUGGAAACAAUACAAGUUUCCUUAUUUGACUUGACUUCUAAACUUGACAUAACUUCCUAAACAAAUUUGGAAGCAAUUAACUGCUUUCCUAAAACUCUAAUUCAACUAGAAUAGGAAACUAACUAAUUCAAAUUGGCUUAACUAUGGUCAACAUGACUUUAGCCUUUAUUCCCUAAUUCAAACAACUUACUUAACUCUCAAUUUGGAAAUCAAUCAAGAUAUCAAUCAAGAUACCAAUCAAGAUUUGGAAGCCAAUUAAAAUUUGGAAAAUUUGGAUCUUCAAUGAUUCUCGAGCCCGAUUGCACCAUCAACCAUCAUUAGAAUGUGCAGACUUGUAAAAUGAAAGGAAUCCAUGCAAAUCUUCAUGUUCUCAUCAUUCCCCUCCUCUUGAAAGACGAUUUGUCCUCAAAUCGAGGGCUUGUUUACAAAGGAGUAACUCGGAGAAUGUUAUAUGUAAUCCAAGAACUUCAAGAAAUUAUCAAGCCAACUACAAGAAGCAAGAACAACAAGAAACAACCACAAGGUAUGGGGAAAAAAGAGGAAAAAAAAUAAUAAUUUUCGGAUGAAUAGUACUGCUACAGUACGAUAAACAGUACUGCUACAGUGCGACGAUGAACAGUACUGCUACAGUGUGAACAGUUCCGAUGAACAGUACCGCUGUGAACAGUAUUUUUUUUUUUUUUUUUUUUUUUUUUUUUUUGCUUUUGACGACUCGAUGCAAGGUUAGGACUUCACUUGGAAGAAAUUUAAUGGGAGUUAAACCCUUGAAAAAUCUGUUUUCAAGAACGUAAUCACACCAAGAAAUUCCAACCUCGUUCAAUCAAGGGGGUAGGUUAGACUCAAGUGAUAAAAUAAUAAAAAAAAAACAAGAAAAAAAUUUUUUUUCUUUUAAAAUUGAAAGGCGGCUAGGGUUUCGAUAGAAAAAAAAAAUAGACAAAUAAGAAAAGAAAAAGGAUAUUAACCUGAAUCAAGAGCCGAAGCUCUGAUACCAGAUGAUACGAACUCGACCCAACAAGAACCUGUCUUGAAGAACGAAUCGAUCAGGCAGCGGAAGGAUCUAUCUUGACCAGGUUAUGGAUACAAAGAUGGAAAGACCUUACGACCCCUCUAAUCCCCGUGACUACGAACUUGUUGAUAUUAUCUCAACCCGUAACCAAACGAAUUAGUGAACCUCAGGCAAGUGUAGAAGGCGCCACAAUUCAACAUGGUCUUGAAUUGAUAAGCCGAAACUUGAACAAAGGAGAUACAACUCACUUUGUAUCAAGGAACGCUCCCAAAGGAACAAGAAAGAGAAAACUCUCAAUUUUUAUUCAUCUCAUAAUUGUGUUUUUCAAUAGUUAAAUAAAGUUGGCUAUUUAUAGCCUUGCAAGACUCAAAACCCUAAUCUAAAUUGGAAACAAUACAAGUUUCCUUAUUUGACUUGACUUCUAAACUUGACAUAACUUCCUAAACAAAUUUGGAAGCAAUUAACUGCUUUCCUAAAACUCUAAUUCAACUAGAAUAGGAAACUAACUAAUUCAAAUUGGCUUAACUAUGGUCAACAUGACUUUAGCCUUUAUUCCCUAAUUCAAACAACUUACUUAACUCUCAAUUUGGAAAUCAAUCAAGAUAUCAAUCAAGAUACCAAUCAAGAUUUGGAAGCCAAUUAAAAUUUGGAAAAUUUGGAUCUUCAAUGAUUCUCGAGCCCGAUUGCACCAUCAACCAUCAUUAGAAUGUGCAGACUUGUAAAAUGAAAGGAAUCCAUGCAAAUCUUCAUGUUCUCAUCAUUCCCCUCCUCUUGAAAGACGAUUUGUCCUCAAAUCGAGGGCUUGUUUACAAAGGAGUAACUCGGAGAAUGUUAUAUGUAAUCCAAGAACUUCAAGAAAUUAUCAAGCCAACUACAAGAAGCAAGAACAACAAGAAACAACCACAAGGUAUGGGGAAAAAAGAGGAAAAAAAAUAAUAAUUUUCGGAUGAAUAGUACUGCUACAGUACGAUAAACAGUACUGCUACAGUGCGACGAUGAACAGUACUGCUACAGUGUGAACAGUUCCGAUGAACAGUACCGCUGUGAACAGUAUUUUUUUUUUUUUUUUUUUUUUUUUUUUUUGCUUUUGACGACUCGAUGCAAGGUUAGGACUUCACUUGGAAGAAAUUUAAUGGGAGUUAAACCCUUGAAAAACCUGUUUUCAAGAACGUAAUCACACCAAGAAAUUCCAACCUCGUUCAAUCAAGGGGGUAGGUUAGACUCAAGUGAUAAAAUAAUAAAAAAAAAACAAGAACCAAAAAUUUUUUUUUUCUUUUAAAAUUGAAAGGCGGCUAGGGUUUCGAUAGAAAAAAAAAAUAGACAAAUAAGAAAAGAAAAAGGAUAUUAACCUGAAUCAAGAGCCGAAGCUCUGAUACCAGAUGAUACGAACUCGACCCAACAAGAACCUGUCUUGAAGAACCGAAUCGAUCAGGCAGCGGAAGGAUCUAUCUUGACCAGGUUAUGGAUACAAAGAUGGAAAGACCUUACGACCCCUCUAAUCCCCGUGACUACGAACUUGUUGAUAUUAUCUCAACCCGUAACCAAACGAAUUAGUGAACCUCAGGCAAGUGUAGAAGGCGCCACAAUUCAACAUGGUCUUGAAUUGAUAAGCCGAAACUUGAACAAAGGAGAUACAACUCACUUUGUAUCAAGGAACGCUCCCAAAGGAACAAGAAAGAGAAAACUCUCAAUUUUUUAUUCAUCUCAUAAUUGUGUUUUUCAAUAGUUAAAUAAAGUUGGCUAUUUAUAGCCUUGCAAGACUCAAAACCCUAAUCUAAAUUGGAAACAAUACAAGUUUCCUUAUUUGACUUGACUUCUAAACUUGACAUAACUUCCUAAACAAAUUUGGAAGCAAUUAACUGCUUUCCUAAAACUCUAAUUCAACUAGAAUAGGAAACUAACUAAUUCAAAUUGGCUUAACUAUGGUCAACAUGACUUUAGCCUUUAUUCCCUAAUUCAAACAACUUACUUAACUCUCAAUUUGGAAAUCAAUCAAGAUAUCAAUCAAGAUACCAAUCAAGAUUUGGAAGCCAAUUAAAAUUUGGAAAAUUUGGAUCUUCAAUGAUUCUCGAGCCCGAUUGCACCAUCAACCAUCAUUAGAAUGUGCAGACUUGUAAAAUGAAAGGAAUCCAUGCAAAUCUUCAUGUUCUCAUCACUACAUAACUUGAUAUGAUAUGAUGCUCAAACCAGAUACACUUAUAUGUUCCCAAUUUGUGCAUGUAAAUAAGAGUAAUACAGAAAAGUGUGACUUACUUCUAUUUUUCCUCAAUAAAAACCAUAAUUCAAUUGACUGAUAUGUUGAAACCUACAAUCACAGUUUUGCAUACAAAUAUUAAGUGGAGACAAAAACCCAAAAAGAAAAACAAAAAAAAACAAACUAUGGUUGUGUUACUUUUCAACAGAGGAAGGGCAUAGGACUUAAUAUGUGUUUUUCUUCACUACAACAUGCUGAAAUACAAACAUUUUCAUUCUUUAAUAGGCAAUAUUUUCGGAAAUAAAAAAGGAAGCAAUUUUUUGUGUGUGGUUUCAUGUUUUAUUUUGCUAUUUUAAGUGGUUAAUUGCUCAAACUGAUCAAAAUGACAAAUCAAAGAAACCAGAUGACCUAUUUUGUUGGGUAAUCUGUAUACCUCUUCAUUCAACUCAUGUAGUACUGCAAUUUUUCCUUCUUCCAGAGCAGGUUUCCUCAGAAGGAGAGUCCAUUUCUUCUCAUCUUCCAGAGUGGACUGAAACAUUUUUGUCUCUCCUUGAUUUGGUGUGAUCAUUCCACUCACCAGGUUAGAUAUAAUUGUAUGUGUAUGUUAAUUCAGUUCAAUGACGUAUAAUUACUGAUCAUGUCCCUUCUUCAUCUGUGCCAAAUUAUUUGGUUUGAACCUUAUGCAGCUGUAUUACUUUGUCAUUGCAGGGGCAAGCACAAUCAUGCAUUCUGACAGGUUGUCGAAGCCUGUGCAAUAAUAAAACCUGCUCAAACUAAAAGUAAUUUCUGUAGACAGCGGUGAGCAGGGUCGAAUCCACAGGGACUGGGAGUAAUUGUUCCUUUUCAAAUUCACAGUGACAAUGGGGUGUUUUUAUCUCAGAGGUGACAAUUUAAGCAAUCUAACUAAGAGUAAAAUAAUAAAAAUAAAAUAGCCAACUAGAAAUUAAAAUAACAAUUUACCAAAAUCAAAGGAUCUAGCCAAGGAAUAACUUUAGCAAUGGUUCACCUAAUUGAUCAUCGAUAAGCAAAGGCAAUUUCAAUUAUUUACUAAUAAAUAGGUUAUAACUACCAAACAAGCGAUGACAGUCAACCCCUCCUUACUGUGUCGGUGAUCAAGGUGCGCCCGUUAAUCACUGCUCUAAUUGAGAAAUAAUCCUAGGUACGCCCGUAGAAUUUAAUUCCCCAAUUGCCUUACGUAUUAGAGGAGCCCUAUUCUAAUCAAAUAACGCACUACCAGGGUUAUUUUAGAUUAGCCCGCGUAUCCCCCUGACACGAAUCUAAUCGUGCCAGUUGUCACUAUUUUGAGGUAAUUAAACAAUUACGGAUUUAACACCUCAAUUGACAAUAGAUUAUCCAAUCAACUAAUUAUCUGGAUCCAAGACAAUCAAUUAAUUAAAUAACCAUAAACAUAGCAACCAAGAAAUAUGCGGAUACCAAUAAAUAAAAGAAAACGAUUAAAUUAAAUCGAUCUCACAGUUUUAGGCGACCCAAAGCAUCCGUUGUCCCUUGACUAGAGUGAGGAGAUUAGUUCAUAAUUAAUGAACAAAAUCCACACCAAAUUAAAACAAAAGCUGCGGCCAUUGUGCCCGAGAAUCAGGAAAACUCAAUUCGUUCUAUUCAAGGCGAAAGCAAAUUACAAGAAGCAAUAGAUUGUUUCAAUGCGUCUGACAUACGAAGAAGGGAGAAACUAUUCAAGGACCAUGCGGAAAAGUCAAAGGAGAAGCUCCAAUUCCUCCUGCCAUCCGUGGAGAAUAACUACCCAAAAGCUAAGAAGAAAAAGUGAAAAACAAGCUAAGCUAAAAGACGAAAAACUAAGGAAGCCACAUAGCCCCUCUGGCCUCUGCGCGGCGGCUCCCUCCAGGGGAAGAAGAAGACCCCCUUUACUUCAGCCGUGCGUUCCUCCUUUUAAUGCUUUUGUCUUCGGCAAUUACUAAAAUGGGCACAAGUUUGCCUUUUUCAACAAUGCCUCUGGGAUAAACUCUGUGCCUUAGACUCUUUUUCUGUUAAAUUGGCACUUGUUAUCAUAUUUUCGUUCUACUCCCUGAAAUAAAUGCAAAAUAUCAAAAGUGAGUAGAAUCUAGCAAUUAAUCCACAAUAUGUCAGAUAAUAGGGAAAAUUAAUAAUAAAAUAAAUGAUAAAAUUGCAACCUAUCACAUUCUAUCAAGCCAACAUUAUCCAUCAUAAUCUGUUUGUAAAAUGUUCUCCAUGUUCUUUUCUGGUCUGAUGUUUAAUAGUGUUUAUGAUCCAUCACAAUCUGUUUGUAAAAUGUUCUCCAUGUUCAAUCCUGCUGUUUGUAGGAUGUUCUUUUCUGAUUUGAUGUUUAUUAGUGUUCAUUGCUACUACGGAUUGAAAUUAAUGAUCAAAUGAUCCUUAAAACCAGCGGACAACAAGCAUACAUGUUUCUGUUUCAGUAAUACAAAAGAUUUUGACUUGUUUCUGUUUUUUCCUCAAUAAAACUCUCAUGCAACAAAUACUUAGUAUAGACCAAAAAAGGGAAAAAAAAAAGGGAUCUAAAUUGUGUUACUUUUCAAUAGAGAAAGUGCAUAGGAACAAAUUGGUAAAUUUCGCAUCAACACGAUUAUAUUUUCAUGUAUAACAAUAUUUGGCUAACGAAUGCAAUAAAAGGAGGCUGUUUGGUAGCCACUUGCAUUUCUUUGCAUUCUUCAACGUAGCAAAAGUCUAAAGGGUGUAACUUUACUUAAACUUUUUUCUAUGCUAUUUCAUCUUUUAUUUUCUAAUCACUGUGAUUAAUUGUUCAAUGUUCAACCUGGUAAAAAUGACAAAUUAAAGAAGCUGGAUGAUAUUUUUGCUGAACAAUAGAUAUUCUUCUUCAUUUAACUUGACAUCUAAUUGUGAUAUUCUAUAACAUGUAACAUAUUUAAUACAAGGAUAUUUAGAAAAUAGACAAAACCAUUAGCUGCCAAUCAUUUAAGACCAAUAUUAACGUUGACGAGGAAGCCAUUACAUGAAAAAAAAAAAAUGACUGUUGCUAAGAAGUACAGAAUGCCAGGUGAAAGCUGACUUUAACUUUCUUCUAUCCAAAUGAUUGUAAUCCAAAAUUCCAAAUAUGUGUUUCCUCUGCUUUGUUUUUCGACCUUCUUUCUUUGUUUGGGCCUUUGUUUCAUUUUUAUGCUUUUCUGAUUUUGGGCUUUGGCUUGCCGGGUUUGUUAUUUCUUCCGGUUUCUUUUUGAUGUUUAAGUUUUUUUUUUUUGUAUUCUCUAUAUUUUUGUUUCUGUGAUUUAUUUUUUCCUUAUUUUUCUUUUUCCCCCUUUCUAUGGUUCCAUAAAAGAAACCUACAAAUUGACAAAAUAGAACAUUAUAUAUAUAAAAAAAACUUAUUAAUUUACAUACGCAUGUAUAGACGCAGUUUACAAACUCACGGAGUCUUCAUGGAUGGACUACUACUGAAGCAUCACAAAACUUAAUUAGUUCAUUUAAUUACUUUAUCAAAUCUCGUUACAGUGGUCAAGCAAGGGUUCUUAGAAUCUUUUCCAUUAUCAAACUCAAGAUUCAAAUCAUUUAUAUGGCAAUUGGAAUUAAAAAGACGUACAUGAUAUACCUGACAGUAUGGGAUAAAAAAGAGUGUGAGAAGGGAUGAGAGGAUAACAAAUUUUUUUUUUUUUAAUAAAAAGAGUCUUCUCUUGUCUCUAUAGAAUAGUGUUCCUCUCUAUAGCUUGUAUGAUUGACUAGACGUGAAGAGUAACACUUUUAAUGAUCAGAUCACUCUACGUUAACCUUUUAGGCUCCAUUUGGUUUAUGAACUAGAUGAGAUGGGAUGGCUCAUUCUCAGAUUAUUAAUCUUGGAUUGAGUCAUCACUGGAUAAAUAAUCCAAGUUGUCUAGUAUUUGGUUGGUUCUUGGUUAGAUAGGAUAUGUUGGAAAAUAAUCCUAUCUUAUGUUUGGUUGGAGAUCGGAUGAGGAAGGAUUACUAUUUUAAUAACCAAAGCAUCCCUUAAUUUGUAGAUUUUUUUUAAUAAAAUAAUUUAAUAUUUUAUAAAAUAUUAAUAAAAUAAUCUAAUAAAUAAUUUAAUAUUUAUAAAUUUUAUUAAAAUAGAGUAGUUUAAAACUUUAUAAUUAUAAAGUAAAUCAAGGGUUUUGAUAUAUAAAAAUUGGUAUUCAUUCAAACUUAGCCCAUUCGGGCCCUUAAAAAUAGAUUUUGUCCAAGCUUUUGAACCUAAAUUUGAAAUUCAAUUAAAUAAUGGGCCAAGUUUUGACUAAAUUAAGGUUAAAUCAAUUAAAACCGAAUUCAUUUAAGAGCUUUCAAUGAGCCGAACUCAGGCUAAUAUAGAAGAUUUUUCUUUGGAUCGAGUUUGAACUUAUUGAAAUCCUCAUUCACAAAGUCAAAAAUUUUAAAAUAAUGAAUUGGGGCAAAUUAGUCAAAAAUUUUAAUAGAAUUAGUAGGGGCUAAUUGGUCUGUUUAUUAUGAUAUUAUUAUGUGAGAGUAUGGUUAUAUAAUAGCUAAUUUGAAUUUAAAUCAUUCAUAAGGAUAAAUUAGUCCAAAUAUUGUUAUAUUGGUAGUAGGGGCAAAUUAAUCAAAAACGUUAAAAUUAAAUAGUAGGGGCAAAUUAGUCCAUUCAUAGUAUAUUAUCAUGUGAGAGUAGGAUUAUAUAUAUAAUUAUAAGAGUAUAAAUUUGUAUUUUUUGUAAGGAUAAAUUAGUUUAAAAUUUUAUUAUCCUACCUGUUAGUGAUCCCGGGAUGACUAAUCCCAUCUCUCCCAUGGGAUUAUUUUAUCCCAUGAAUAGGGGAUUCAUUCGGUUAGGUGUGUCAUCUCCUGUAUAAAAUGCAAUUAAACAUAGAAUGACACAUGAUGAUUAAUCCAAUCCUGUGUUAUCCCAUCAACCAAACGGACCCUUAGGAUUUAUUCCACUUUGCACCUUUAAAGUUCUUUCUAUUUUCAUUUUGCUUCUCAAAAUCUUAGGCCUUGUUUGGUAAGCUAAUUCAACACUUAAAUUUAAUGGAUUCAAAUUUUAAUAUAUUCAAGUGCAUUUGAUAAUAAAAAAUUGAACAUUUGAAUUAAUUAAGUGACACUAAAUUUUCUAGGCAAAAUUUGCUCCAAAAAAUAAGUAAUAAAUUAUUCACUUAUCACUGAAUGUGAUAUACACUCAAAUGUAUUAGAUUUAAUAUUGGGAGAACUACACAAAUAGUCCCUCACAUAUUGCAAAUGUGAAAAUUUAGUCCCUCAGAUCGAAAAAGAUCAAUUUUAGUCCUUAGCAAAUAAAAAAGGAUCAAUUUUAGUCCCUUUUCACUUUUCCGACUGAUUUUUGCCCAGAAUAUCUCACGUGCACACCACGUGGCCAACUUUUCAAGGGUAAAAAUGCCAAACCACUUAUCUGUUGACCAAAAUCAAAAUGUAAAGGACGAAUACUUCCCAAAAUUCUUCUUCUUCUUCAUUUCAACCAAACCCAAAAGCUGAGCUUCAUCUCCAUGGCAGAACCACCACACGGCAGUUCUUAACUUUCCGGUAGAGGUAGUUUACGAGUCGUUGAAGCAGAUGCAGUAUGGUUUUGAAGAGGGUUACUCUCCGGUUUUGGUGAUGAAGAAACGAAACUCCAUGAACAGGAGAAAUGCACUAAGCAAAAAAGAGAAGUCAAGAUUUGAUGGGCUUGGAUGAUAAUAAUAAUAAUAAUAAUGUAUUGGUUUUGGAAGAUUUAGGCACUGACUAUUUGGAGGAGCUCCUUGGCGCAUCCGAAAGUACAUCUUCUUCUUGUCCUUGGCGUCAUCAGUGAAUAUGGUUAGACAGGGACUGAACUUUUUUUAAGUAUGAUUUAAAUAUUCAUUCCCGCUUCUUUUAGCGUUGGAUUAAAUCUUCUUUAGAUGUUUUAUCUUAUCUAAAUAGAAGAAGAUGGUACUCAAGUGGCCAUUGGAACACCCAUUUGAACCUUCGCACAUUCAUGUUACCUAAAAUAUAAAAUUGGCAAUUCUUAACAUGAACUGGCCGGCCACUACUCAAAUUUCGGAAGUUGGUGGGUAUGAUGAACUCCACCACUAAAUCCGAGAGUGCUUCAAAAACGACGUUGGCAUCCUUGUCUGACUUGGAAAUUAGCAAAAUAGUUCUUUAACUCCAUUUUCCUCCUAACCUUUCUCCUUAUCUGCUAUUUAUUGGCUCUGGUAGCCACAGACACCACUCCCUUCUCCCAGAACCAUCACAAACGCAAGGAAUUGAUGCAUCAAGAAGUAGAACCAUCUGAUGAGGUAGGGUCGUCUCGUGGAAUAGGAUGAUUAAUCUUGGUUAGUAGUUGGCUAAAUAAGCAGCUACAUUUCUGUGUUUGUUAUUAGUAACUAAUUGUGCUGACGUGGCAAAAACAGUUACCAAUUGGACAACUACCAAGAAGGAAUCGUGAAUAGGAAACUAGUCAGUUUUUGACUUGUUGACUCUUUCACAGUUUUCCUGUAUUCUCUCUAAUUCAUUUCGAUACAAUUCACCAUUCUACCUCGAGAAUUGAUCUCCAUUAUUCAUCAAUUCUCUGGGGUUUAGUUCAGAGAUCUUCACUUUCUUCUUGCAUCAGGAAUUUACAUAAUAAAAAAAGUACUGGAAAUCUAUAAAUGAACACGAGAUAUGGGGGCAAAGGGAGCUAUACCGACUCUAAAGUAUCUAAAAUGGUAUGCUCUACUUUUGUUCGUUUUCUUGUACACGUCAUAAUAGAAGCUCUAAGUUCUUGGAUUUUUCUCUGUAUCUUGGUAUUUUGGCAUAUCAGCUUAGCGUUUUAUUCUUGGCAUGGAUAGUGCGCUUCUUUGGGUUAUGGUUGUGGUGGUGUUCUUUUUAUCUGUUCAUUGGUUGUUGUUUUGGUGUAGUUUCUUGGUUAUUUGCUGUUUGGGGAGGAGCAGAGUUCUUGUAUUUGGGUAGCGGGAGAGUUCUUGCAUGAAGGAGACAACUCUGUUGAUUUCAGAGUCUUCGGGUAGGGAGAAUGAAAGCCAGGGGAAUUUAGGCAGGGGUUAGGAGCUACCCAAAUGGUUCUUGGACGAACGAUGCAAGCCAAAGUUCCACUGCAGGAAGCCAUGUUCUGCCGCAGUCGCUAUGCGUGGAAUAUUGCACGAACCAGGGGACGCUUGGCCCUGUUUGUUCCUGGUAUGGAGAAUCCUUAGUCAUUUAUACACCGGACAGUUACGAAGAUGGUGGCGUUAGCUCCUGGACCAGGCAUGCCAUCCCCUAUCCCGCAGGUUUUGAUGGUUCAUCUAUAUUUGGUAUCCUCCCUGUGGGCAACUUGCAGAUUGGCCACUUGCUAUUUAUCAACACUGAAUUGUCACAGCAGGAUUCCAGUUGCUCUAUAAAAGUUUAUUCUUAUGAUCAUCACAGCGAAAAGUUCCAGAAUAAAUCCACGUUCUGGUACACCGCAAUUACAAGUUGGGGGUUCUGCCAUGGAGACGAAGCUCAGCUUUUGGGUUUGGUUGAAAUGAAGAAGAAGAAGAAUUUUGGGAAGUAUUCGUCCUUUACAUUUUAGUUUUGGUCAACAGAUAAGUGGUUUGGCAUUUUUACCCUUGAAAAGUUGACCACGUGGUGUGCUCGUGAGAUAUUCCGGGCAAAAAUCAGUCGAAAAAGUGAAAAGGAACUCAAAUUGAUCCUUUUUUAUUUGCUAAGGACUAAAAUUGAUCAUUUUCGAUCUGAGGGACUAAAUUUUCACAUUUGCAAUAUGUGAGGGACUAUUUGUGCAGUUCUCCCUUUAAUAUUUAACAUUUCAAUAGCUUAAUGAAUUUAGAUUUCAAAUUUUAGAUUUCAGUUUUCGAUUUUCAGACUUCAGUUUUAUGAAAUGCACCUUCAAUUACAAAACUUUACAUCUUAUUUUUCAAAGCAAAUUCUAAAUCUUAUAGAGGGCAUGAGGGCAUUGAAUCAAAAACUUUAUAAUCACAUUGUUAAUACUGCUCUUAGCUGAAGGGCAUGAGGGCACAAUCUGCUAUUGUUAGUGCCAUGCAUCCUAUUUUGGCAUUGUCCCUCUCCCUGGAAUAAAAGAUGAGAUACGUUCACAAAAGAGAGCAAGUUGGAGAAGAUGAGAUUACCACAAUAACAAGCAGUAGAGCCAAUCCUCGUCUUGUACACCAUUUGCCACGAAUCCUUCAUCAUUGUUUCUCUUUUUUACUUACUGGUAUAUUUAAAUAUUUUACUUUAAUUACACGUUUUAAACCUCGAAGCUCUUUUGGAAGUUGUGGCUGGUUUACAUUGGAUUAGACAAAUUUUUGUUUAAGUUAUAUGAAUUUUUUUUCUUCAAGGAGUCAGAAUGAACUUUUUACUCUUUUUGGACCAUUUUAUCUUUAGGAGUCCUAAACUCCAAGAGGUUUUGAUUUUUGUAAUGAUUUCCCAUACAUCAAAACUUUUGCAAGCUCAAAAUACAUUAAAAAUGAUUGAAUUGGUGAUCCAGAUGUUUGAACUAUAAAUUCAAAACCAAUCACUCAUUUUGUCCAUCACCAGUCCAAGUUUCAAAACAUUUUUAAUUGCUGAAGUUGUUCAAAAACUGGAAUAUUUAAAAAAAAAAAAAAUCCUCCCUUGAAGUUUCUUGUAAUAUCAUAUAGCACCCUUAUAGUUCUAAAAAUAUCACUUACCUCCCCCAUAAGUAGGGGUGGCAAUUUCCGACACGAUCUGAAAAUAUGAUACGAACCUAAAACGAAAUUAAUGGGUUUGGGUUGAGGUUUUGCAGGUUCAGGUCAGAAUCGGGUCAAACCCGAAAAGAAAAUGGGUCGAAUUCGGGUCAAUCUGUGGGUGAUCCGAUAUGACCCGAUAACCCAUUUACGAAUUAAAAAUAAUUUAAUAAAUAUAAAAAUUAUUUUAUCUAACUAAACUAAGUUAUUUUUUUCCAAAGGUAUUAAUCACUUAAUUCUAAAUGAAUUUAUUUACCUCGUGUGAAGUUGAAAUUAUUAUAUUUGGACAAAUAAUGUAUUAUAUUAUUUUUUACUUGUAUACUAUUUUAAUUUAUUUUAUAUUUGGUUUGGGAUAAAACACUUUUACGAUGUUUUAAUUUAUUUUAGAUUUGGUUUGGGAUUAUUUAUUUAAAAUUUUAUUACUUGAUUAUGUUAUUAGUUUUGUGCGAAAUUGAUUUUAUUAGAAAUUACAGUGGUAAAUUAAUCAAUUAAAAUUAAGUUUCAAGUCAUUUCGGGUUGACCCGCCAACCCAAAAUUUUCGGGUUUGGGUCAGGUAUCUUGACCUGUUUCGAGUUGGCGGGGCAAGUUCGGGUCAACGGGUUUUCUGUUAUACCCAAGUCUCAACCCGACACGCCAAUCCGAUUUGGACCCGAUUGCCACCCCUACCCAUAAGUGACAUAUGACAAAAAUUCACCAUCGCAGCAUUCAAAGUGAAAGUAUCAUCCUCACUACGUAACACCAUUUGUUCUAAAAGAUAUUGGAAGAAAAAAAAAUAGAAAUUGACAAAUUAGAAUGUCUAUCUUAAAAAUUUUGGGCACUUAAAACCUUCGUACAUUUUUAGUCCUUCUAUGUGACCCAUAUGUUGGUUCUGGGCUAAAAUAAUCACAUUAGUUAGAAAUAUUUCUCCAAUUAAAUUUAACAAAAAAUUAACAAAAAUCUCAUACCUCUUUUUUUUUAAAAAUAAAUGUAGUAGUAUUAUUAAUGAGAACCGAAAAUUACACUAGUGCUCGGAUCUUAGCCCAACACAAAGCCUAUACCAUCCUUAACUUCCUGACUGAAGGCAACCCUAGUCUAUCUAACCGAACUUCACCACGGGCCAACUAUGGAAUCAAGUUAAUUUGCAUUAAAAAAUGCAAAUAAUUUGAACCAUAAAAGUUAAUUUGGUGUGGGUUGAGAGGCGGACUAGAUUGCUCUUUUUAAGACGAUUUGCGCCCCUAUAGAGUAUCUUCCAAUGUAAUAGGUCUCAUCACAUUGCCUCCAAAAUACAAUAGCAGAACAUUUUCUUCACUGUAAUCUACUCCAAUCUACACUAUUGGAGUAAAACAGAAACAUUACACAACAUUGAUCUUUGCCCUUAUAAACUUUAAUAGUAGUGAGAGGAAGAAAAAGUAGAAAAUAGUCUAAAGAUGGCAAAGUAUAUAUCAGAUUUGGCUGAUAGACGCCUCUAUUUAUAGGCUAAGAAAUUAGGAGUAUUAAAAUACCAACAUUAAGACGAAUUAACAACUCAUAUUUUAGCUACAAAUUGAAAAGUUUAGAUUCAUUGUAUAAUGGUAAAAAAUUCACUAAAUGAAUUCAUAAACCUAAUCAUUACAUAGGUUACACAAUUCAAGACAUAAAUCUCAUUUCAAAAACAUAAGUUACACUUUUGAAUGGUUUUAUUUGUAGGUGAAUAAUAAUUUAGACCAAAAAAUCUAAUUAAAAAAACUUAGAUCAAUAAAGAUAAUUGCUAUUUAGGAGUUAAUUUUGCACUUAAACCCCCUUUCCUACACCCCAGUUUUUUUUAAAGUCCUUGUAUACCAACAUUAUAUUAAAAUACCCUCACUACUCUAACAAUUAUUAGGAAAAAAUUUAGAAGAUUAAAUACCAAAAUUUAUAAAAUUAAAAAUUUGAUUUUCUAAAAAUUAUAUUUUCACUUAAACACCCCUUUGAUCCACUCUAAAUGCUCUAAUGCCAAUCUUAUAUUAAAUCACCUUGCUAUUCUAAAAUUUUUUGGCAAAAAAGUUUAGAAAGAAAAAAUCCAAAAUCUAUCAAAGAAUGGUAAUCCUAAUGAUUAUUUUUCACUUAAACUGUCCGUUCUCCCAACUUUUAGUUCUCCUGUGCCAACUUUAUAUCAACUAGCCUCUCCCAUUCUAACAAUUGUUCGUGCAAAAAGAAUUAAAUGCACUUGAGCAUCUUCUGGAUUAAAUGCACUACUAAUGAUACAUGUCAUCCUAUUAGAUUGUGUAAUUGUACCUUUAAAUUCUUUAUUUGUUUGUACAUUAGGUGAUGGAAUCCUUGGUUUGCAUUUAAUACAGAAGAGGCUCAAUACAGUCUGGGAGAUCUAAUCCCCUAUCUUGCAUUUAAUUUAAAAGGUGUUCAAAUAUACUUUUUUGGCCACCCCUAACUUCCCAUAGUGUUGGGUUAGGAUUAGAGUAGAUUAGCAAAUAUUGUAUCAACAAAAUAAAAAAAAAAUAGGAAAAAAGACAAGGAUAACCUAGAUCCUUUGGAUCCACCAGUCCAGGUAGUAUACGACUAGCAGUAGAGUGCACUUUUUUAAUAACUCCUUUUCCAUAAUAUAGGUACAGAUUAACCAAUAUCAUAUUUGGUAAAAAAACAAAAAAGACAGAGACAACCUAGACCCCUGAGAUCCAUCUAUUCCACAGUGUAAGAGUAAGCAUAGGAGUAAAUUAGCAAACAUAGUACUGAUUAUUAAAAAAAAAAAAAAGCACAUUCUUUUAACCAUCACACCAUGUCAAAUGUUUAUGACUGUCCAUUUUUUGUUUUUUUUUCUAGCAUUUUAAAUUCUUAGAAUCUGAUGUUCCUAAAAAAUGGUCUUUGAUUGCUGUAAAGGGUUUACUACACUUGGCCACCUUAAAGUUCCUUUUAUUUUCAUUUUUCUCUUUAAAUAUUUAGCUAGAAAACUUUACAGGAUUUUCUUUUUAAAGUUGGCUUUUCAACCCUUACAAAAGGGAAAGAAAAGAAGGGAAGGUUUGAAAGUUGAAUUAAAAACCUUAUGAUUUUUUAUUAAUGUCUUCCAAUUGGAUCGAAGCUUGAGAUUCUAUUCUAUUAAUGUUCACAUUAAAAGGCUUUUUCUAUAUAAUGUCGUAGGGCCGUACAAUAAACAAACUAAAAAUGGACGGGUGGAUCCACCCCUGUAUUACAAUACUAUCGAAGAAGAAAUUUAUUGUUAUGAAAUAACAAAAAUGUGGAUGUCCCUUUGUAUUUCCAAGAGGAUUAAUUCAUGAUUUUAUGGCUACUUAUGUAUAUAAGUUACAAUUCAUAAAACCAUUCAUGUAGUGGAGAAACCGUUUCAUAAGUUUCUUCAUAUUAUUGUAGUAGUGGGUGUUUAAUAGGAUUUAUGUAUCUUUGAUCUUGUAGUACCUAUAUAUAGAGGUACAUUGACACCCUUUGGAUGGACUUUUGUAUCUUGUUGAAAUAUAAGGAUAUCAUUCUCCCUUUUCUCUACUCCUUUCUCUAAUACUUCUUCAAUUCCUAUUGUAGUAUUUCAUUUUAUUAGUUUUAUAACACGUUAUCAGCACGAAAGCUCUACUUUUGAGCAAAAGGUGAAAACGGAGGCGCUACUUUGAACAAAAGUGAAGCACAAGAUUUUGCCGAAAUUCUGCCCGUAUUUCUGCAAGUGAUUUUUGAGGUAAAUUUUUAAGUCAAAAUCUUAUUUCAAUUUCUUAUAGCUAAUCUUACAAAACAAGAGUUUGUACCUCUUGAUAUUUCUGGAAAAAAUUAUUUAUCAUGGGUAUUGGAUGUUCAAAUCCAUCUUGAGGCAAUGGGUCUUGGUAACACUAUUGUUGGAAAAAAUGAAUCCUCAAACCAAGACCGUGCCAAAGCUAUAAUUUUCCUUCGUCAUCAUUUAGAUGAAGGAUUAAAAAUAGAGUAUCUUACUGUCAAAGAUCCUCUUGUCCUUUGGCAAGAUUUGAAAGAAAGAUUCGACCACCUGAAGUUGGUCGUUCUUCCAAAAGCCCAAUAUGAUUGGCUUCACUUACGGCUGCAAGAUUUUAAAUCUGUCAAUGAAUAUAAUUCAGCUAUGUUCAGAAUCACUUCUCAAUUAUCAUUAUGUGGCGAAAAAGUCACUGAUGAAGAUAUGUUAGAGAAAACAUUUUCUACUUUUCAUGUCUCUAACAUGCUCCUGCAGCAGCAAUAUCGAGAGAAGGGAUUUAAAAAAUAUUCUGAACUUAUUGCAUGUCUUCUCUUGGCUGAACAAAACAAUGAAUUGUUGCUGAAAAAUCAUGAGUCCCGACCAACUGAUGCAAGUCCAUUCCCUGAAGCGAAUGCGACCCAAUUUCAAAAUUCUGGUCGAGGUCGUGGACGUGGCCGUGGAGGAGGCCGUAAAGGUGGCCGUGGAGGAGGCCGUGGACGUGGCUGUGGCCGUGGACGUGAUCGUAGUAAAUUUGUGCUCCGUGAAAAUUUUAAUCGUGGCAAGCAACAAAAUAUUUCCCAAAAGAGGGAAAAUAACUACGAUCAGAAAAAUGGUGAGAAGAAAGUUUAUGAAGAAAAAUGCUACCGGUGUGGUAUGGAAGGUCAUUGGUCUCGUACCUGUCGUACGGCCGAACAUCUUGUUGACCUCUAUCAAGCAUCAUUGAAAAAGAAAGACAAAGGUGUUGAGACAAAUUUCAUUGAUAAAAAAAAUGACUAUGAUGAUGCUGACAUGACAUACCUCGAUGUUGCUGAUUUUUUUGAACAUCCUGAAGAUGUCAACAAAUAUCCUAUGAUUAUUUAAAUAUUUUUAUGAUGCUUUAUCUUUUAUGUAAUUUUUCUUUCUAUUGAAUAUUUAUUUUCGCAUCUUUAUUAAUAUUUAUUUUUGUUUGAAAAAUUCUUUCUGAAGAAGAAAUGGAUGUCAAAUAUUUGAGAUUAAAUAAUAGUGAUGAUGACAUUUGUCUCAUUGAUAGUGCUACUACGCACAUCAUAUUGAAAAAUAAAAAAUAUUUUUCUUGUUUGAAAAUGGGAGAGACAAAUGUUAAUACCAUUAGUGGUAGUGCAAAAUUGAUUGAAGGCUCCGGAAGAGCCACCAUAUUUCUCCCUGAAGGGACUAAAAUUAUUGUAAAUAAUGCACUAUUCUCUCCCAAGUCUCGAAGAAACUUAUUGAGUUUUAAAGAUGUCCGCGAAAAUAGAUAUCAUAUCGAGACAAUGACUGAGACAAAUGGUGAAUUUUUAUUAAUCACAAGUAUUAUUUCUGGGCAGAAAUGCGUAUUAGAAAAAUUGCCUUCUUUUUCGUCUGGCUUAUAUUAUGCACAAAUUAAUGCAAUUGAAAUUCAUCAUCUAGUAGACCAGAAGUCUACUCAUCCCAAUGAUUUUAUGGUUUGGCAUGAUCGUUUCGGACAUCCCGGAUCUAUAAUGAUGAGACGAAUAAUUGAGAAUUCACAUGGCCACUCAUUGAAAAAUAAAAAAGUAUUAAAAGCCAAUGAAUUCUCUUGUGUUGCUUGUUCUCAAGGGAAAUUAAUUAUUAGACCAUCACAAGUUAAAGUUGGGAUUGAAUCCCCUGCAUUUCUAGAACGAAUUCAUGGUGAUAUAUGUGGGCCUGUAAAUCCACCAUGUGGACCAUUUCGAUAUUUUAUGGUGCUAAUUGAUGCAUCAACUAAAUGGUCACAUGUAUGUUUAUUAUCUACUCGCAACCUGGCGUUUGCGAAAUUGCUUGCUCAAAUAAUUAAAUUGCGAGCACAAUUUCCAGAUUAUCCAAUAAAGAAAAUUCGUCUAGAUAAUGCUGGUGAAUAUUCGUCACAUGCUUUUGACGAUUAUUGUAUGUCCAUUGGAAUAACUGUUGAACAUCCUGUAGCUUAUGUUCACACACAAAAUGGUCUAGCCGAAUCACUUAUUAAACGGCUACAAUUAAUUGCUAGACCAUUGUUGAUGAGGUCUAAACUUCCUUCAUCUGCUUGGGGACAUGCUAUUUUACAUCCGGCAACACUUGCGAGAAUUAGGCCAACAAAUUAUCACACUUAUUCUCCCCUACAAUUAACUUUUGGUUAUGAGCCAAAUAUUUCUCAUUUACGAAUAUUUGGUUGUGCGGUGUAUGUUCCAAUUGCACCGCCCCAACGUCGUAAAUUGGGCCCACAAAGAAGAUUGGGGAUAUAUGUCGGAUAUGAAUCACCUUCAAUCAUUAAGUAUAUGGAACCAUUAACAGGUGAUUUAUUUACUGCGAGAUUUGCAGAUUGUCAUUUUGACAAGGGACAUUUUCCGACAUUAUGGAGAAAUAAAAAUCAACCGAAAAAGGAAAUCACUUGGAAAAUAUCAUUGAAUUUCCUUGAUUCUCGUACUAAAGAAUGUGAAUUAGAAGUUCAAAGGAUUAUACAUUUGCAAAAAAUUGCAAAUUAAUUACCGGAUGCAUUUAAUGACUCCAAAAGAGUUACUAAAUCACAUAUUUCUGCUGAAAAUGCUCCGAUUAAAAUUGAUGUCCCUGAAGGACAAAUCACAAGUGCUAAUGAGUCUAAAGCACGCCUGAAGCGUGGGAGACCUCUUGGUUCCAAAGAUAAAAAUCCUCGAAAGAAAAGAGGAGUAGAUGAAUCAACAAUUAGUGACAAAAUUCAACCUCCUGAAGAGGUCGCUCCUAAAGAGCCAAUUCUUGAAGAGAAUGAAAUUAUAGAAAAUUCAAUAAAUUUUGUCACUUCAAGAAAAAGUUGGAACCGAAAAGAAAUAAUUAUUGAUAAUAUUUUCGCAUAUAAUGUAGCACUUGAUAUUAUGGCAGAUGACGAGGAUCAUGAGCCUAGAUCGGUUGAUGAAUGUCGAGGUAGAAAUGAUUGGCCAAAAUGGAAAGAUGCGAUCCAAUCUGAAUUGGACUCACUGGCUAAAAGAAAAGUUUUUGGACCUGUAGUCCAAACACCUGAAGGUGUAAAGCCAGUAGGAUAUAAAUGGGUAUUUGUGAGAAAAAGAAAUGAGAAAAAUGAAAUUGUGAGGUAUAAAGCAAGACUUGUAGCUCAAGGAUUUUCACAAAGGCCUGGAUUUGAUUAUAAUGAAACGUAUUCACCUGUAGUGGAUGCUAUCACAUUUAGAUAUCUUGUGAGUUUUGCAGUACAUGAAAAAUUAGAUAUGCAUCUAAUGGACGUUGUUACUGCAUAUUUAUAUGGAAAUCUUGAAAAUGACAUUUAUAUGAGAAUCUCCGAAGGAUUCAACAUGCCUGAAGCAUGCAAAUCAAAUCCUAAAAAUAUUUAUUCUAUUAAAUUACAAAGGUCUCUGUAUGGGCUCAAACAAUCUGGACGUAUGUGGUAUAACCGCCUCAAUGAAUGUCUGACAAAAGAAGGUUAUACCAAUGAUCCAAUAUGUCCAUGUGUUUUUAUCAAGAAAAAUGGAUCAAAUUUUGUGAUAAUUGCGGUAUAUGUUGAUGAUCUAAAUUUAAUUGGAACUCCUGAAGAGAUUCAAAAUAGUGUUGAAUAUUUGAAGAAAGAAUUUGAGAUCAAAGAUUUUGGAAAGACAAAAUUCUGCCUUGGUUUACAAAUUGAGCAUUUGAAAGGUAGAAUUUUUGUCCACCAAACUGCUUAUACCCGGAAGGUAUUAAAGCGAUUUUAUAUGGACAAAGCACAUACAUUGAGUACUCCAAUGGUUGUCAGAUCAUUAGAUCCUAAUAAGGAUCCUUUUAGACCACGAGAGGAAAAUGAAGAGAUACUUGGUCCUGAAGUACCAUAUCUCAAUGCAAUUGGUGCACUAAUGUAUCUUGCUAAUUGUACAAGACCUGAUAUAUCAUUUGCAGUAAAUUUAUUAGCAAGAUUUAGUUCCUCGCCCACAAGACGACAUUGGAAUGGUAUUAAACAUAUUUUUUGCUAUCUCCAAGGAACAAUAGAUCUUGGUUUAUUUUAUUCAAAUAAAUCCAAACCUGAAUUGGUUGGUUAUGCUGAUGCUGGGUAUUUAUCCGACCCGCAUAAAGCAAGGUCUCAGACUGGUUAUUUAUUUACAUAUGGAGGCACAGCCAUUUCUUGGCGAUCUACAAAGCAAUCACUAGCCGCCACUUCAUCGAAUCAUGCUGAAAUAAUAGCAAUUCAUGAAGCCAGUCGAGAAUGUGUUUGGUUAAGAUCAAUGACCCACUAUAUCCGGAAGAAUUGUGGGUUAUUCCCCGGAAAAGAAAAUCCUCCAACUAUAUUAUAUGAAGAUAAUACAGCUUGUAUAGCUCAAUUAAAAGGAGGAUAUAUUAAAGGAGAUAAGAUGAAACAUAUUUCACCAAAAUUCUUUUUUACUCAUGAUUUGCAAAAGAAUGGUGAAAUUGAUGUGCAACAAAUCCGAUCAGAUAAUAAUCUGGCCGAUUUAUUUACCAAGGCAUUACCAACUGCGACAUUUGAGAAAUUGGUGAAGAGUAUUGGAAUGCAACGAUUAAAAGAUCUCAAAUGACGUUUGCAUCAGGGGGAGAAAUUAUUACACAAGAAUAGUGUACUCUUUUUCCUUCACUAGGGUUUUUGGUCCCACUGGAUUUUUCUCUAGUAAGGUUUUAACGAGGCAUAUUCUUUGUGUAAUGGACAUCCAAGGGGGAGUGUUAUGAAAUAACAAAAAUGUGGAUGUUCCUUUGUAUUCCCAAGGGGAUUAAUUCAUGAUUUUAUGGCUACUUAUGUAUAUAAGUUACAAUUCAUAAAACCAUUCAUGUAGUGGAGAAACCGUUUCAUAAGUUUCUUCAUAUUAUUGUAGUAGUGGGUGUUUAAUAGGAUUUAUGUAUCUUUGAUCUUGUAGUACCUAUAUAUAGAGGUACAUUGACACCCUUUGGAUGGACUUUUGUAUCUUGUUGAAAUAUAAGGAUAUCAUUCUCCCUUUUCUCUACUCCUUUCUCUAAUACUUCAUCAAUUCCUAUUGUAGUAUUUCAUUUUAUUAGUUUUAUAACAAUUAAACCCAUGUUGACCCUUUUCUCAAGAGUUAUCUAACUUAUGAUAAUGCAGUUGAAAAAAUAACGGAAGCAUGUUGGACACAUAUAGAAAUAUGUGGAAGAAGAGGAGUUUAAUAACCAUAAACGUAUAAAUUCUAGCAACAACAGCUGCAACUUUCAUAUUUAGACUUGCAUAAAUUCUAGCAGAAUUGCCUUUACAACAAUUGCAACUCUCUUUAGUUUUUCUCUUAAUUUUCUCGACUAGAUACAAUAUUGAAAUAUCUUAUAUAUUCUCAACAUGACUAGAAAAUUAAAAUUAUACUAAAAUAAGAAACUACCAUAUAAUUACUUCAUUCCCCGAACAUCUAAAUUGGUAAAACUUGGCUAUACUUUUCUUUUUAAUUUUUUCCAGUAGGGAAAAGGUGGGACUUAAGAAGUGAAGAACAGGCAGAGUGAUUUAAACCUAAGGUCUCUAAUUUCUAGAGCCUUAAACUUAUCCAUUAAACGGGGGUUUCUAGGCAAAACCUGGCUAUAUUUGAAUACUUCUAAACUAGAAAUACAAAACAUCAACUAUUAGGAAAUUUGGUUUAAUUAUAUCAACAUUGCCUCCUUUCAAUUAAACUUUUCGCGAAUAUAGCUCUAUACUAUUGGCAACCAAAAAAAAAAGUCUUCUAAGAUAUUUUUUCAUUAUAAAUCAAUUCUUGCCAAUCACUUCACUUUCAAUUUAUUAGCCUCACUAGCUGAUUACUGAUAUCAAGAUUCUCAAUUUUGCAAGUCCAUCACAAAAAAAAAAAUAAGUUGACAAGAAUUUUUUCAACUCUUUCACAUUACCAAAUUAAAUAUCAACAACUAUGGUACGAUCUUUUUCUCUAAUCACUGUCUAACACAAAUAACACGAUAACGUCUAUCCAAUUAGGGUCAAUUUUUCCCUAAUUGUCAAGUAACUGGAGUACCCCAAUAUUAAUUUAGUGGCCCAAUUUUUUCUGACGUUCGAGUACUCUGACUCAUCAAAAAAUUUACAUUUCAAAAUCUAUCAACAUCAACCUUGUAAUCUUAAGUUUGCAAGCAUCCCAAGAUCAAAAGGCAGGGUUCUAAUACCACUUUAGUGUAUAAAAAAUGCGUACAAGAGGAUACUGGGAUAUGUAAAAAUAUGUAGGAGAAGAGGAGUUUAAGAGCCAUAAAUACAUAAAGCACAUCUAAUUCACAUAUUGAGAUUGACAUAAAUUCUAGGCAGAAUUGCUUUUACAACAACCGCAACUCUCUUUAAUUUUUUUUCUCGCCCUUUUCAACUCAGUAUAAUGCUAAAAUACCCUAUAUAGAGUUAACAUAACUUAGUAAUUAAGAAACUACUGCAACAAGAAACUACCACAUAAUUACUCCGUACCCUAAACAACUGAAUUACUGAAACUUUUUUUUUUUUUUAACCAAGAUGCUUGGAUUUUAUUGCCUUAGAACAGCUCUUGAGGGGGACAGGAGCCUGACCUCAACGACACAAGACAAGUACAAGACACCUACUUACUUAACUCGACGUCGCCGAAUAGAUGGGUAGGAUAGUUUAUCCAACCGAUAUUCACCCCUAGCUACACCUGGUAAGUCCCUGAAACUUGGCUAUACUUGAAUACGUCUAAACUAGAAAUAGGAAACAUCAACUAUUAGUAUUAGGAAGUUUGGUUUAAUUAUGCCAAUAAAAAGACAUAUUCUUCUGACCAUCACACUAUGUCAAAACGUGCAUGGGUUUCGUUGAUUUUAGCAAUGAUAAAUGUUCCACAUAAAGCAAUGGCAACAUGCAUGGAGUUAGGAUAAUUUCAUAAGUUAAUUGUGUAUAUAAUGAUAGUGCAUAUACUAACAACAAUGAAUGAAUGCCACCUAAACUUGAUAUAAUGGUAGUGUAUAAUUUGAGUUUUGUUUCUUGAACAUGUAGCUUGCAAUAUUAUGGGAUAAUUUCAGAAUUCUCCACUAAGGUUAUUGACAAUUUCACUUGUCUUUCCUCAACUUUUGGAAAUCUCACAUACUCCUAGCGUACAAUUGGGGCCUAUUGUUGACUAAAGGCGCAGCAAAAUACUUAUAUCUUUAGUCUUUGGUGAUAUUAACUAAACAAUUUCUCACCUUCAAAUGUAAUUUGCAAAAAAUCAAGUCAAGUCUUAUUUCCACAACCUUGUAAUACGAUGCAAAAAGAAAAUGUUAAACAAACAAAAAUUAUUCUCACCCUUGAUUCUACUGCACCUUUCACAAGGAAAGAUAAGUUGUUCUCUAAUUUUCUAUGGUUACUUUCUCUUCUAAGCUUUAAUUGACGCUUAUCAAGCCUUAUAUAUUUUAGUAUAAACUUCCAAGCUUUUAAUAAGAAACUUGUAACAUCACCAUUUUACAAAUUUAAAUUUUGAUAAAUUUGUAUUUACUCUUAAAUUUGUAUUUACUAAUUUGAUAAACUUGUAACAUCCAAGCUGUUUCUUAAAUUUGUAUUUUCUGUCAAAUAUUUAAUUUUUGUUAAAUACAAAACCUACCAGUUUCCCUUACGCAAAAAUAUUAAUGUAACACUUUUUCAAUUCUAGUUACAAACAUUUAUGUAUUUAACAUAAAUUAAAUAAUUCAGAAUAAAAUGCCCAUAAAGAGUCAAUACUUUACUCAUGUAAUGGAUAAAAGUCAUAAAGAAUUAAACUUUAUGGGCCAUUUCUUUUUGGGAAAAUCGUUCAAAACGUCCCUCACAUUUUGCAAAAUAACUUUUUUCGUCCCUUGCUUUUAAAAAUGUAAUUUUACGUCCCUUACAAAUUCACAUUGGUCAAAUUUGGUCCCUACUUAGGUUUUCGACUAGUUUUUUGUCGAAAUUCACCACGUGCCUUGCACGUGAUCAUAUUUUAAGGGCAAAUUUGUCAAAUCAAAUUUUAUAUAAUUCGAUUCAUAAUCCCUUACAUUUCAUAACAUAAAUUUUUUCGUUCCUUACAUUUCACAAAGUGAAUUUUUUCAUCCUUCACAUUUUUUAAAAUGAUUUUUCUUUUAUCUUUGAUUGCUCAUGCGUGUGAAUAAUUUUUUUAAACUCCAUGUACAUAUUUAUUUGAUUUCACCUAAACAGUACAAAUAGCAUGUGAAAUCAAAUAGAGAUAUAUUACACACUAUUCGUAUUGUUCUAGUGAAAUCAAAUAAAUAUAUACAUGCGUUUAAAAAAAUUGUUAGUUUUUCACUUAUAUUCAUUUUCUUUUACUCGAAAUUUGAAAAUAAAGAAGACAUUUAAUCCUAAAUAUUAUCAAGUGUUUAUAUCGAAUUAAAUUUGGACAGAAAAAGUAAACAAAAGAAAAGUAUGACAAAAAAAAUAAGUGAUUGGCACUUACAAAUUUUAACAAAAUCACAAGGCAAGUAAUCUAACUGUUGGUCUUCAAAGUGUCGAGUAGAAAUUUCAGAUUUAAACUGAAAUAUGUUAGCAUAAUUAUAGAAUUCGAGUUAGGACCCAUUAAUUAGAUGACCUUAUUAUACAACUUAAUAAAUAAAUUAUUACCAAAAGAGAAAUGUCACAAAUAUUGAAUAGGUUCAAAUGGUGAAAUCAUAUAAAUAUAUACAUGGGUUUCAAACAAAAUUAUUAGUUUUAAACUCAUAUAUAUAUCUAUUGAAUAGCAUGUGUAUAACUACAAUUAGCAUUUUUAGAUGAAAUCCAAUAGAGAUAAAUUACAUGUUAUUCAUACUGUUCAGGUAAAAUCAAAUAGAUAUAUACGUGGAUUUAUAGAAAAAAAGUUAUUCGUAUACAUGAUCAAUGAGAGAUGAAAAAAUUCAUUUUGAAAAAUAUUAGAAAUGGAAAAAUUCAUUUUUUCAAAUGUGAUGAACGAAAUAACUCAUUUUGUAAAAUGUUAGGGAUGAAAAAAUUCAUUUUGUGAAAUAUGAGGGACUAUGAAUCAGAUUAUGUAAAAAUUUGAUUUGACAAUUUUGCCCUUAAAAAAUGAUCACAUGCAAGUCACGUGGUGGAUUCCGGUGAAAAACUAGUCGGAAACCUAGGUAGGAACCAAAUUUGGUCAAUAUGAAUUUGUAAGGGACGUAAAAUUACACUUUUAAAAGCGAGAGACGAAAAAAGUCAUCUUGUAAAAUGUGAGGGACGUUUUGAACGAUUUUCCCUUUCUUUUUUUAAAAAUAUUUAAUUUAAAUUAAAUAGAUAACCUAUCGAUUUCCUUUUUGUAAGAAUAUUACUAUAACACUUUUACUUUCAAAUAUUGAUAUAUUUAUCAUAAAUUAAAUGUUUGAGAGUAAAAUGCCCAUAAAGAACCGGUACUUUAAAUAGGUAAUGCGUAUUUGCUCAUAAACUACACCCCUUAAAGUUUAUUAAUUGUUAAUUGAUUUGUAAUACUUUAUCAUUUAUUUGCUAAUACUGCUUGACAUGUAGCACAAAGAGCAAAUCUGGUACAAACUUCUCAUUUCACUCCCUAAAACAAUAUUUUAAUCGCUUGGAUUGAAUUUGCAAAGAAUUAGUAUGUUUAGGGGAGGUCAGUGCAAGUGUUAGAAAUCUCAAGGGAGGUUUCUACAAUUUUCCCUACAUUAAAAUGAUUGAAUUGAUGGUUCAGAUGUUUGAACUGAUAAAGUCAAAACCAAUCAUUCAUUUUGUUCAUCACUGGUCUGCGUUUCAAAAUAUUUUUAACUAUUAAAGUUGUUCAAAAUGUGGAAUACUUUGAAAAAAAAAAAUCCUCCCUGAAUUUUCUAGUAAUAUCAUUUAGCGCUUAGCGCCCUAUAGUUCUAAAAGUAUCACUUACCUUCCCCACAAGUGAAAUGUGACAAAAAUUCACUAAUACAAUAAUCUUGUUUCAUCUUCUCCACAAAACCCUCAAUGGACUUUUUCUCAAUUCCCUGUAGCAUUAAAUUAACUCCAGCAAGAACUAAAAAUAGCCUCCAUCUUGAGUUGUCAUCUGGAAAAUUGAUGAAAAAGUUUUUGGCAACUUCAAAAUACAAUAAUAAAGCAAAAAUAAAUAUAACAUACAAGAAUCAUGUUGUUUGGCCAAUUGACCUAUGCCACAAGUGAAAGAGCAGCAAGUUCACCGUAAAGAAGAGAGUAUAAAAUCACAAGUUUUAAAGUACUAAAUACUAAAAAUAAAAAAAAAUUCUAGAUAUAACAAAAGGCUCAACAACCUAAAAGAGGUCCAAAUAAGCUUCUCUAGCUCUUUCGGUUGGCACUUCUCAAAAAUCUGUCUCUUAAAUUGGGGCCUAGGGCCUCCCGAACCUCUCUUGAUACACUAACGGACUGUCCAGGCUUGCUAUCAGUACUUUUUCACAAGAAAAUCCAACAAAGAGUUUGGCACCACCUUUUCUUAUCUUUUCUAUCAUAUCAGGCCUUCCAUUUGCAACAUGUUCUCGUUAUUACACCCCAUGAAUCCUCCUCUUCCCUGGUUUCAACCCAUUUUUUUUUUAUUUUGGUACUCUGGUAUGCAGCAAGAUGUAUUAUUGCUUUUUAAUUUGUCAAAGAAGUGUGUUAAACUUCUUUACAAAAAUUUUCUUUCCAACUAUUGCUCAACAAAGUUAACAAAAUCUGAGUUUAAUAUAUUUAUACUUCUAAAGUAAAAACCCAUUCUUGCUGUCACAUUGAAUUACAUAAAUAGCCACAAUUAUCAUAAAUAAUGCAGAGCUAAAAAAACAACAUUGCAUAUCGAGGGUAUUAUCGGAAUACGAGAUCUAAUGCACUAAUCCGCUACUUUAGACUCUUGCUCUUAAUACAUUAUAGAUAAGUUGUACCUCUAUAAGCGUUUAAUUAGAGCUACACGCUAGCCACAAUAUUGUAGCAGGAAGACUAAUGCAAAGCUAUUUCUUGAUUCAAAUUAGACAAUUAGUUUGAAAACUUGAAAGCCAUCAGCCAGCAAUUGUUUAAGAACGAUAUUGAAAUUAGUGCAGAAACCAUUACAUGAAUGUUGUAAUCUAAUUACUGAUGUGACUGCAAAAAGUGUCCAAUUUGGUACACCCAUUUUGUCAUAAAAAAAAAGCCCAAAUUGGUGCACGCAUGGCCCACCAAUAAUGCAUCAGAUUGGGAGGAAUCUUUGUUUGGCGCUGCACUGAAGUUGCUGGCAAAGUUCUGAAGCACCAUAUCUUCUGUGAACAAGAUAGUACAGUGUCUUGCAAUAUUUACACAAAAAGUGGGAAAAAAAAGUCCAGCCUAUUGUUUGUUGGCUAUUGUUAGAUGAGAAAGUUUUGGAUCCUGAACUGAUUUUAUUGAGCAGCUGCUAAACCAGAUAAAUAUCUAAUAUCAGAGUGAAAACAAGAUAUUAUAAUGGAGAUCCCCUCCAGCAGUAACGCCAAUGGCUUUGAUUUUGCUUCUUAUGAUUAUCUGCAGUCGCAUCACGUCUCCUCCAGCACUAGCACUAGUUGCUUUGAUCUUGCUUUAGAUUUUCUAGCGGAGCACUGGGUCUUCAAGGACGUGGAGAAGAGGGUAAGAUUAAUGAAAACCUGUUUUCUGUAUGUCAAAAAGUGUAGGAGGAGGAGGAACCACGAAGCGCUUUUGGAGCAUGAUCGCGAGGACAGGUGUAAUAUUAUGUCUGAAAAUUUGAGACGUAGUAUUAUUUGCUUCAGAAUUCAAGAUGUGGCUAUCAGGAUGAUUCCAGAACUUCAGCCUAUUUAUUUUGAAUAUAUUUUUACUGAUUAUCUCUUAGAUUCUGACAUCUUUGAAAGGACGGCUACCAGAUCCAAGGAAAAGAUGAAAAUGCUUCUUGAGACAGAUCUCAAGAAAUCAUGCGCCGCCAUCUUCAUCGACUAUUACUCACCAGGAGAUCCACGACUAGUUAUGGAUCUUAUUAUGUGCCUUAUAGAGAAUCUGAAUCGCGUUUUAUGUGCUGGGGAGCUAAGGGAUACACUUAGAAAUAGGCUAAAACUCUUAAGGAAUCUCAUUGGCUUUGUGACAAUGCAAGGUCUUGAAUGUUCGCAACUGACAGAUCUCUUGACUUACACUGUAGUUGCAGCUGGAAGCCUGAUUUCUAUAUGUCUGUCUGACUAUGAUGAUGAACAAGCGGUCAAUCGAAUGGAAUCUGAAAUUUAUCAGCUGAUACACGAGAAGAUCAAUCUUCAUGAUCUCCAAGUUCGAGAAACUUUUGUCCAUGUCCUGACAGCUUCAAAGAAACAACCGAGAUCAUCAUAUGAUUUAGCCCUUCAGAAGAAUGAGGAUCAUGUGGUAGGCCAGUUUAUUGGUUCUCUUCGUGAUUAUCUUAUGGAUCUACUAGGAUCUUAUGCCAGUUUUCAGGUUCCAGUCAAGGAUCAAAUACUAAGACUCCAUGAGGAAAUAAGAUGCCUGGCUAUCCUUCUUAAACAGGAGGAGAAACUAGGUGAUGAAAUAAAGGAUCUUAUUAGAGUUGUGGUAUCUGAUGUAGGAAUUUUGACCUUCUCCCUUUCUGUCAAUGAAAUCAAAGAAGGCUUGCCCGAGAAAACAGAUCUUGGGUUGUUUCAUUUGCACAAAGUUCUCAAAUAUAUGGUGGCAGAGGUUGCACACAAUUUUCCACUAAAAUCACCAUAUUCAUCAUUUAAUUAUCCAAGACCCAAUGAGUUGGGCUGUAUGGAUUCUUUCCUAGAAAAUCUCAAGGAACUAGCAAGGUGUGAUGAGGCUGAUGAUUCAAUUGGUUUUCAACAGGAUAGAAGCCAAAUGAUCCAAAAGGAUCUCGUAUUCUUAAGAUCUUUCCUGGAAAAUAUCAAGGAGCAGCGCUAUCAGAAUGGAAAACUUCAAGCUUUCUGGAGUCAUGUUAUGGAGGCUGCAUACAAGGCAGAGUUACUGAUUGACUUGGCACUUGUUGGUGAUAAAUGUGAAGAUUCUUUGGAUGCUGUUUCUAGAGAUAUCAAUCUUUUGAAGAUUGAGGCCCCUGAGAUCCAUAAUGCUCAAACCCAAAGAGUUAACAAGACUUCCCUUCACAUACCGUCACAACUUGCUGCCGCCAUGCACGACGAAGAUCUGGUAGGUCUUGACGACGAGGUGGAAAUUAUUACUCAUCGGCUUACGAGAGGAUCCAAGCAAUUGGAUAUUGUUCCCAUUGUGGGUAUGCCAGGCCUUGGUAAGACCACAUUAGCCCACAAAGUUUAUAAUGCUCCUUCAGUUAGGUCACAUUUCCAUGUUCAUGGUUGGUGUCGUGUUUCUCAAACGUGUAGCAAACACAGUUUGUUAGUUCAACUUUUGUGUAGUAGUUCUUCUGAGAGUUCUAAUGAAUAUCUUAAGAUGAAUGAAAAUGAUUUGGCCUUGAAGCUAAGGCAGGUUUUGCUGAGAAGUAGGUAUCUCCUUUUUUUGGAUGACUUGUGGGACGUUGAGGCAUGGAAUUUGUUGGAAAAAUCACUACCGAAUGAUGCCAAUGGAAGCAGGAUUCUCUUCACCAGUAGAUACCAGAAUUUAUCUUUGCAUUUCAAACCUAAUAGCGAGCCUCACCAUCUCCGCCAUCUUACUGACGAAGAGAGUUGGACAUUGCUGCAGAGAAAGCUAUUUGGCAUGGAAGAUUGUCCUCCCGCGCUAAGUGAAGUUGGAUCUCAAAUAUCAAAACUUUGUCAGGGCUUACCCCUCGCAGUUGUCCUUAUUGCUGGAAUUCUUGCUACUACUGCACAAGAUAGUUGGGAAGAAGUUGCAAAAAGUCUAAGUUCUAUCGUCCUUGAGGAUGAAUACUGCAUGAAGGCACUUGAGCUGAGUUAUAGUCAUUUACCAGAUUAUUUGAAGCCAUGCCUUCUGUACUUAGCUGCAUUUCAAGAAGAUGAGGUUAUUAAUGUGCGAAGGUUGUUACGGCUUUGGAUCUCUGAAAGAUUCGUGCAACAAACUGAAGGAAAGAGCUUAAAGGAAGCAGCUUAUGACUACUUGACGACUCUAAUUAAUAGAAGUUUAGUUAUGGCUGUCAGACAAAGAAAUGUGGGUGGUGCCAAAUACUGUCUACUUCACGAUUUGGUACACGAGUUUUGUGUGAAAAAAGCCAAAGAAGAAAGUUUUCUAUAUGCUAUUCAUAGUUGGAACCCUCUUUGUCUUACUGGACCAAGCAACCCCCACCGAGUUUGUGUUUCCAAAGCCAGGGAAUUGAAGAUUUGGGAGUUAACGCUUAUUUUUCCCAAUUUACGCUCUUUGAUCUUGUUUGGACAAGAUGAUUUUAAACAUGAAGAGGAGGAUUUGGGUAUUUUGUUACCUAAACUUCUCAGAGUGUUGGAUAUUGGGAAUUUGGACUUUGGUGAUUCUUUUCUGAUGGAAGUAGUGUUGCUUGUUCACUUGAGAUACCUGGCGCUCAAACGAAUAACAUACAUCCCAUCUGCGAUAGCCAAUCUCUCAAGGUUAGAAACUCUCAUCGUAAAAUAUCCGAGGUUUGGUAUUGAGCUGCCAAGUACUAUUUGGAACAUUAAGACAUUGAGUCAUGUACGUGCUUUAAAUUAUCGUAAAGUAUACAAACGUGGUUUUAUUUUUCCACUUGAAAAUCUUGAAGUAUCCCCAGAUUUAGAUCGUUUAGACACUUUGGACCUUACAAUUGAUCCCUCCCCUCAAAGCUUGCAAAAGAUACUGAGAAAGUUACCAAGCGUUCGCAGGUUAAAAUGUAUGGAACGCUGGAACAGCUCAAGAGAAGCUACCAGAAAUUGCAACGAGAUUCUUGAAUUUGACGGUUUGAGUCAACUGGAAUCACUUCAUUUGUUUCGUUUUCAUGGAUGUGGAUUUAAAUUCCCGUUGAAUUUGAAAAAGUUGGUUCUCUCACAUAAUCGUCAGCCAUGGAGUGAAAUUUCAACAAUUGGAAAGUUGCCCAAUCUUGAAGUGCUUAAAUUACUUGAGGACUGCUUUGUUGGGGAAGAAUGGGUAAUGAAAGAAGGGGAGUUCCCUAAACUCCGAGUCUUAAAAUUGUCGGAAUUGGAAUUUCGCAACUGGACUGCAUUUUCUGAUAAUUUUUCCCGCCUUGAGAAAUUGGUCUUGCACUCGUGUGAGGAGCUGGAAAAGGUCCCUUCCUGUUUAGGGGAGUGUGAGACGCUUGAAAUGAUUGAGGUGAAAGAGUGUCCUGAGUCUGUUGUAGAUUCUGUAAAGCAAAUUCAACAAGAGCAGAUAGAUAUGGGAAAUGAGGUUCUAAAGAUCGAAAUUGAUGAGUAUGAUACAUCCAUUUCCUCAGAAGAAUAGUCUACAGAAGCAGAGUCAACUCCCUCAGAAGCAGAGGAGAUUUCUUCAGAAAGAGAAUCUAUAUCCUCUCAUCAGUCAUCACGCAGUUGACAAUUGUGAGAGUGAAUGUACAGUAGGAUUCCACUCAUCAGGUCAGAUAAAACUAUAUUUGCAUAUGUUGAAUCAGUUCAAUUAUAUAAUGAUUCAUGUUUCUCUCAACAGUUUACCACGGCAAACCAUUCAUGUCUCCUUUUCAUCUGUUUAUAUGUUGAAUCAGUCCAAUGAUAUGUUAAUUCAUGUGUAUUUUGAAGCAAUUUCUGGAGGCGUCUAAAUUCUUUAUCUGUUUAAACCUGAUGCUGCUGCAUAACUUCCUGAUACAUUUCUGAUUGCAGUAGGAAACACAUUGAUGCACAAUCUGUUUCUAAAAUCUUCUUCCAUGUUGCUACAUAUUGAUAUGAUACUCAGAACCAGCAGAGCAAAAGCAUAACUUGAUAUGAUAUACUCAAAACCAGAUACACUUUUCUAUUCCCAAUUUGUGUUUGUAAAUAAGAGUAAUACAGAAAAGUGUAACUCAACUGAUUGAUAUGUUUAAACAUACAAUAACAGUUUUGCAACAAAUAUUAAGUGGAGACAAAAGCCCAAAAAAAACCUAUGGUUGUGUUAUUUUUCAACAGAGGAAGGGCAUAGGACUUAAUAUGUGUUUUUCUUCACUACAAUAUGCUGAAAUACAAACAUUUUCAUUCUUUAAUAGGCAAUAUUUUCGGAAAUAAAAAAGGAAGCAAUUUUUUCUUAAACUUUUUUUUUGUGUGUGGUUUCAUGUUUUAUUUUGCUAUUUUAAGUGGUUUAUUGCUCAAACUGAUCAAAAUGGCAAAUCAAAGAAACCAGAUGACCUAUUUUGUUGGGUAAUCUGUAUACCUCUUCAUUCAACUGAUGUAGUACUGUAAUUAUCCCUUCUUCCAGAGUAGAUUUCCUCAGCCGGAGAGUCCAUUUCUUCUCAUCAUCACAUUAGGCAAUGGUAAAGACUGAAGCAUUUAUGUCUCUUCUUGACUUUGUGUGAUCAUUCCACUCAUCAGGUCAGAUAUAAUUGCAUGUCCAUGUUAAUUCAGUUCAAUGAUAUAACUCAUGUCCCUUCUUCAUCUGUACCAAAUUAUUUGGUUUGAACCUGAUGCAGCAGUAUUACUUGUCAUUGCAGGGGCAAGCACAGUCAUGCAUUCUAUCAAGCCAAUAUUAUCCAUCAUAAUCUGUUUGUAAAACUAGCUGUUUGUAACUCUCUGUUUAAAGCACAGUCAUGGUUUGAUGUUUAAUAGUGUUUACGAUCCAUCACAAUCUGUUUGUAAAAUAUUCUCCAAGUUCUUUCCUGAUUUUGAUGUUUAAUAGUGUUCAUGAUCCCAAUUUUUCAAAUAUUCUUCAAUCCUGCUACAGAUUGAAAUGAUCCUUAAAACUAGCUGUUUGUAGAAUGUUCUCCAUGUUCUUUUCUGAUUUGAUGUUUAUUAGUGUUUAUGAUCCCAAUUUUUGAAAUCUUACUUCAUUGCUACUAGGGAUUGAAAUGAUCAAAUGAUCCUUAAAACCAGCAGACAAUUAACAAGCUUUUGAUUUGGUUAAAACCAGCAGACAAAUGAUCCUUAAAACCAGCAGACAUUUGAUCAAAUGAUCAAAUGUAAUUCAGUAAUACAAAACUCUCACGCAACAAAUACUUAGUAUCGACCCAAAAAAAAAAAAAGAGAUCUAAAUUGUGUUACUUUUCAAUAGAGAAAGUGCAUAGGAACAAAAUGGUAAAUUUUUCAUCAACAUGAUUGUAUUUUCAUGUAUAACAAUAUUUUGCCGAACGCAUACAAUAAAAGGAGGCUAUUUCUAUGCAUUCUUCAACUUAGCAAAUGUCUAAAGAGCGUAACUUUUCUUAAACUAUUUCAUCUUUUAUUUUCUGAUCAAUGUGAUUAAUUGUUCAAUGUUCAUCCUGGUAAAAAUGACAAAUUAAAGAAGCUGAAUGACAUUUUUGCUGAACAAUCUAUGUACUUCUUCAUUUAACUUGACAUCUAAUUGUGAUAUUCUAUACCAUGUAACUUAUUUAAUUCAAGAAUAUUCAGAAAAUAGAGAAAACCAUUAGCUGGCAAUCAUCUAAGACUAAUGAUUGUUGCUAUGACUUGUGAGACUAAAAAGGACAGAAUUCCAGGUGAAAGCUGACUUUAACUUUCUUCUAUCCAAAUGAUUGUAAUCCAAAAUUCCAAAUAUCGUUUCCUCUGCUUUAUUUUUCGACUUUCUUUCUUUCUUUGGGCCUUUGUUUCAUUUUUGCUUUUCUGAAUUUGGGCUGUAGCUUACUGGGUAUAUAUAUUAUUUCUUUUGGUUUUUUAAUUUUUAAUUUUUUGUAUUCUCUAUAUAUUUGUUUCUGUGAUUUAUUUUUUUUCCUUAUUUUUCUUUUUUCCCUUUUCUUGGGUUCCCUAAAAGAAACCUACAUAACUAACAAAAUAGAACAUUGUAUUAAAAAACUAAAUUUAUUAAUUAACAUACACAUGUAUAGACGCAGUUUACAAACUCACAGAGUCCUCAUGGAUGGACCGCUACUGAAGCAUCACAAAACAUAAUUAGUUCUUUUAUUACCCAUUUAAUUACUCUAUCAAAUCUAGUCCCAAUGAUCAAGAAAGGGUUCUUAGAUUCUUUUUCAUACCAAGUUCAAGGUUCGAAUAAUGUAUCUGACAAUUGGAAUUAAAAAGCAAUUCAAAUCAUGUACUUAACAGUCGAGAGUAAAAUGCAUAUGAGAAGGGAUGGGAGGAUUAAAAAAAAAAAAAAAAAGAGUCUCUUCUUGUCUAUAUACAAUAGUGUUCCUCUAUGUGGCUUGUAUAAUUGACUAGACAGCAAAGGCAAGACUUCUAAUGAUCAAAUCACUCUACGCUAACCUUUUAAGGUUUGUUCCACCUGCACCUUUAAAGUUCUUUCUAUUUUCAUUUUGCUUAAUCUUAGUUACAAAACUUUACAUCUUAUCUUUCAAAACAAAUUCUAAAUCUUACAAACGGCAUAAAAUUGAAUGAAAAACCUUAUAUUCACCUUUUUUUGUCAAAUAUUCACCUAGUUAAUACUGCUCUAAGCUGAACUAGGGCAUGAGAGAAUAAACUACUAUUGUUAAUGCCAUGCAUCCAAGGGGUGCUGAGGGAGGCCGUGUUUUGAAAGUUUUAAUUCACAAUGUGUAAAUAUGGGUGUAAAACAAAGUUAGCCCCCUAAUUUUCAUAAUUUUAGUUUAUAUUAUGAUAUAUAUAUAUAUAUAUAUAUAUAUAUAUAUAUAUAUGAUUUAGCCACCUUUGAAUUAAUUUUUUCUUCAAAUAAGUUAUUUAUUUUUUAUUGUGCUAGUUAUUUAACUUUUAAAAAAGUAAACAUAUAAUCAAUAAUCCAUAGUAAAUUGACCCAAUUUGAUACAUUAGAAUAAAUGACCCAAUUCAUAAUCAUCAACGGGUUAAAACAAAAACAAUUACUUUUUUGGCUAAUAUAAAUAUGCAAUUGAGCCCAAUUGAUUAGACUCGUUCUUCCUCUUGCUGUAUCAACUGUAAGUAUAGAACAGAUAUUUUCAAUUAUGAAGAUAAUCAAGAUAGUUACGAAACAAGAUGGAAGUUAAUUUCUUGAAUGAUUGCCUAAUUGUGUACAUAGAAAAGAAAGUUGUUGAAAAAUUUAGCGCUGAUUCAAUCAUAGAUAAAUUUACUUCUAAAAGGAAUGUAAAACUCAAUUUACUUUUAAGAAAAGAGAUUGAAAUUUUAGUGUAUGUUAACAUAACUUUUAUCUUUUUAAAUUAAAAUAUUUAUAUAUAUUGCAUAUAUAUAUUUAUUUAUUUUGCAUAGGCGACAUAUUGGAGUAUCUUUUCAUAAUGUAUAACUUGGGUGGUUUAUGAUAUUAUAAGAUAUUUAAGAAAAGUUUAUUUUUUGUCUUACUUUUCAUUUUGACUAUGUUGCAUAUUUAUAAAAUAAACAUACCUUUAUAAUUAAAAUUAAAAUUUAAUAUUUUUAGAUGUCAUAUAUUUAAAUAGAUGAACAUUAUUUUGAACAUAGCAUAUUAAAAUAAUUUUAUUAGAAAGAUAUUUGGGCGCCUAGGAAAAAUAUCUUGGCUCUGUCACUGCAUGGGUUCCAUUUGGCGUUCUCCUUCUCCCUGGCAUAAAAGAUGAGAUUUGUUUACAAAAAGAGAGCAAGUUGGAGAAGAUGAGGUUACCAGAAUAACCAGCAGUAGAACAAAUUCUCGUCUUAUAUUACCAUUUGCCACCAAUCCUUCAUCAUUGUUCUUCUUUUUUCCAAUCUAUCCUAAUUUUACAUCCAUUUUGCUCAUUAGCAUAUUCAAAUAUUUAACUUAAUUACAGGUUUAAAACCUGAAAGCUCUGCCGGAAUUUGACGCCGGUUUACAUUGGAUUGGACAAAUUUUUGUUUGAGUUACGCUUUUUUUCUUCAAGGAGUCAAAAGGAAACCUUUUAUUCUUUUCGGACCAUUUUUUCUUUAGGAGUCUUAAACUCCAUGAAGUUUUGGUUUUCGUAAUGAUUUCGGACACAUCAGAACUUUUUCAAACUCAAAAUACAUUAAAAUGAUUGAACUGAUGGUUCAAAAUACAUCAAAACCAAUCACUCAUUCUGUUCAUCACUGGUCUGCGUUUCACAAUAUUUUUAAGGGAUAAUUUCAGAAACUUCCCCUGAGGUUUCUGACAAUUACACUUACCUCCCCUGUGGUUUGAACAAUUACACUGACCUCCCUUGAGGUUACUAAUCCUUUACAAAUUCAGUCCAAAUGAUUAAAAUAUUAUUUUAGAGAGUGAAAUUAUAAUUUUGUACCUGAUUUGUCCUUUGUGCCACAUGUCCAAUGAAUGACAAAGUAUUACAAAUUAAUUAACAAUUAAUAAACUUUAACGAGCGUAGUUUAUAGGCAAAUACGUAUUGCCUAUUUAAAGUACCAGCUCUUUACAUGAAUUUUAUUUUCAAACAUUUACUUUAUCACAAAUAUUUAUUCUCAAAUACAGAUUUGUAUUUACUCUCAAAUAUUUAAUUUUUGUUAAAUACAAAACCUACCAGUUUUUCUUCCGUAGAAAUAUUAAUAUAACAUUUUUUCAAUUUUCAGUUACAAAUAUUUAUGUAUUUAACAUAAAUUAAAUGAUUCAGAAUAAAAUACUCAUAAAGAGCUAAUACUUUACUCAUGUAAUGGAUGAAAGCCAUAAAAAAUUAACAUUUUAUAGGCCAUUUUUUUUAAAUUUUAAUUUAUAUUAAAUAGAUAACCUAUCGAUUUUCUUUUCACAAGAAUAUUAUUGUAACACCUUUUAAUUUUUAAUUACAAAUAUUGAUAUAUUUAUUGUAAAUUAAAUAUUUAAAAAUAAAAUACAUGUAAAGAGCCGGUACUUUAAAUAAGUUAUGCGUAUUUGCCUAUAAACUAUACUCCUUACUUAAAUCAAUAAACUACACUCCUUAACUUAAAUCAAUAAACUAUACUCCUUACUUUAAAUAGUGUAGUUUAUAGGUAAAUACGCAUAUCCUAUUUAAAGUAUCGACUAUUUACAGAUAUUUUAUUUUCAAAUAUUUAAUUUAUGAUAAAUAUAUUAACAUUUGUAAUUAAAAAUUAAAAACUAUUAAAGUAAUGUUCUUGCAAAAAAAAAAUCAGUAGGUUAUCUAUUUAAUAUAAAUUAAAUAUUUUUUAAAAAAUAAAUGGCCUCAUAAACUAUUAAUUUUUUAUGACUUUCAUCCAUUACAUGAGUAAAGUAUUGGCUCUUUAUGGAUAUUUUAUCCUGAAUCAUUUAAUUUAUGUUAAAUACAUAAAUAUUUAUAACUAAAAUUGAAAAAAUGUUAUAUUAAUAUUUCUACGGAAAAAAAACUGGUAGGUUUUGUGUUUAACAAAAAUUAAAUAUUUGAGAGUAAAUACAAAUAUGUAUUUGAGAAUAAAUAUUUGUGAUAAAGUAAAUGUUUGAAAAUAAAAUUCAUGUAAAGAGCUGGUACUUUAAAUAGGCAAUACGUAUUUGCCUAUAAACUACGCUCGUUAAAGUUUAUUAAUUGUUAAUUAAUUUGUAAUACUUUGUCAUUCAUUGGAUAUACGGCACAAAGGACAAAUCAGGUACAAAAUUCUAAUUUUACUCUCUAAAAUAAUAUUUUAAUCAUUUGGACUGAAUUUGUAAAGGAUUAGUAACCUCAGGGGAGGUCAGUGUAAUUGUUCAAACCACAGGGGAGGUUUCUGAAAUUAUCCCUAUUUUUAACUGCUAAAGUUGUUCAAAAAGUGGAAUACUUUGAUAAAAAAAUCCUCCCCUGAAGUUUCUAGUAAUAUCAUUUAGCACCCCUAUAGUUCUAAAAGUAUCAUCUACCUUCCCCACAAGUGAAAUGUGACAAAAAUUCAGGAAUACAAUAAUCUUGUUCUUCUCCACAAGACCCUCAACGGACUUUUUCUCAAUUCCCUGUAGCACUAAAUUAACUCCGGCAAGAACUAAAAAUAGCCUUCAUCUUGAGUUGUCAUCCGAAAAAUUGAUGAAAGAGUUUUUGGCAACUUCAAAAUACAAUAAUAAGGCAAAAAUAAAUAUAACAUACGAGAAUCAUGUUGUUUGGCCAAUUGACCUAUGCCACAAGUGAAAGAGCAGCAAGUUCACUAUAAAGAAGAGUACAAAAUCAUAAGUUUUAAAGUACUAAAUACUAAAAAUUCAAAAAAGCCUAGAUCUAACAAAAGGCUCAACAAGCCCAAAUUAGCUUCUAACUAGCUCUUUCGGUUGUCAAUUCCCAAAAAAUCUGUUUCUUAAAUUGGGGCCUAGGGCCUCCCGAGUCUCUCUUGAUACACUAACUAACGGUCCAAGCUUGCUAUUAGUAUCUUUUCACAAGAAAGUCCAACAAAGAGUUUGGUUAGUGGAGACUUGCUAGCAAUAAUAUCUUUUCUGUUGCAUUUUUAGACAUCUUAAGCUGGACGUUCAGUCCUAGUAGAGUUUGGAUUUGGUUUGGUCAAUUAGCUGUAUUUUUUUGUUGAGGGUAGAAGACUAGAAGAGUUGUCCAAAUUAGCUAGAGGAAAAAGGGCAAAAGAAAGCGAAACCAAGAGAUGAAGAAAUAGGAUAGAUGACAACUUGAAUUUUCUUGUUCUUUUCCUCUAUUCCAAAAGGAAUAUUCAAAUAUGCCAAUAUAGUUGAGGGUUAAAUAGUUAAUUUGGUGGUUACUGCUCGUGGGAGUAUUAUGUCUAACCCAAAAAAAAGGGUAAAAGGAAAAAAACCUGUGUAACAAGUAGGCAUAACCUCGUUGAUUCUCAGCUAGAACAAUCCUAUUACUUCUAAGAUUGGAUAAUCUCUCUGUUUGCCUACAAAUUUUUAAGUGUUUUUAAAAACAAUAAAGUUUUUACAAAAAAGGAGCAAAUGGACGGUUAAGUGUAGAUAUCCUACAUUUAUAUCAACAGGAAAAAUAUAAAACUAAAAAAAAAGAAUUUAACCAGACCAAUUAACUAAUAAUUUUUAUAAAUAUAUAUAAAUUGUUUGCUCUAUAUUUUCUUAGUUUUCUUGUUUUUAUUAAUACUCAUUCUCAGUUAGAUGCUAGAUGCUUAUAUAAGCAUUAAGCAUACUCAGAGAUAUGGCAAAAGAAAAACUUCCAUAAAAACUCCUUUAGAUUUUCACUUAGAAUGUGCCAAAUUAAAUGAUCAUCCCAACACAGCAAAUUUGGCAAUUGAAAUACAAAUUUUAUUUUUUUAUUUUAAAUUCACAAAUAAAUGAAAGAGAUAAUAGGAAAGAAAAGGUCACGUUGAGUGCCUAAAUCUCUGAAAAAUGUAAGGGCGUCUUUAGUUUUGGAUUUCCUUUAACAAAAAAUAAAUAAAAGAAUGAAAACUUUUUUGUACAAAAUACCAAUGUUUUGCUCGAAAUCAAUUGCUUUUCUAUAAAGAAAUUUAUGUCAACAACACUCUAUUACUAAAUAUAACCUCAAGGUUAAUGUUUUCGCUAUCUUUUGUUUAGUUCUACAAAGUUUAAGCAAUUAGAAAAUUGAGCUCUUCCUAAAGGCAUGAGUUUAAUUUCUUUAUUAUGCCUUCACAGUAUGGGGCUCCAGGAAUCACAUUACUUGGUGUAAUUGGGUUCCAAGGUAGCCAGUUGAUUUUGAGUUCUCACGUUGAUCUAGCAUGGCAAGAAAUUUCCUUCUAAAUGUAGCUUCAGUAAACUUCUUAAAUCCAUCCACAAGAACUCAUUUUUGAUAAAUGAUAAUUAUGCAAAAUUUGAAUUUGAAAUUUAACUUUUGUAUAUGUAUCAUAGAUCUAACAAUGAUAGUUUAUACACUGUCAGUAUAUAUAAGAUUUACUCUUUUGUAUAAUAUUUAAUUUUAAUCUCUUUCCUCAAGUAUUUCCUUCAUUCACAAUUUUAUUCAUUAAAAGUUUUUAGAUAUUCUUGUUUAGUUUCCAAAAGUUCCUCCAGGAUAGUUUCCUUAAUAUCACAACAAUUAAUCGUGUUGAACAAGAAAUUGAUAUGCUAAUCUUCUUUAGUUUCCAAAAGCACUGUCAAAGAAAUUUGUUAAACUUCUUUCCGAAAAUUUUUUUUUUUUUUGCACUAUUGCUCAAGGAAACUAAGGAAAUCUGCUUACUUGCUCACAAUUAAUUGAUUGCCAGAGAAAUUUCUAAAACUUCUUUACAAACAAUAAUUUCUUUCCAACUAUUGCUCAAGAAAGUUAACAAAGUCUGAGUUUAAUAUAUUUUAUAUUUCUAAAGUAAAAACCCAUUCUUGCUGUUACAUUGAAUUACAUAAAUAACCACAAUUAUCAUAAAUAAAGCAAAGCUAAAAAAACAACAUUGCAUACCGAGGGUAUUAUCGGAAUAUGAGAUCUAAUGCACUAAUCCGCUAAUUUAAACUCUUGCUCUUAAUAUCUUAUCUUACAUAUAUAUAAAAAGCUAAGACUUCUUCUCCCAGGUUCUACCACGUGGCUGGAUGAGGAGAGGGAGGAAAAUUUUCUUCCGUUUAUGCCCUGAGAAUAUUGAGUAGUUCUCCAAACAGUGUAUCACUGUUGAGGUCAUUUUUGUCUUUUCUCAUAAAAUUACUAUCUUGCCCAAAUAAAAAUAACUAGCCCCAGGUUCAACCACGUGGCUGGAUGAGGAGAGGGAGGAAAAUUUUCUUCUGUUUAUGCCCUGAGAAUAUUGAGUAGUUCUCCAAACAGUGUAUCACUGUUGAGGUCAUUUUUGUCUUUUCUCAUGAAAUUACUAUCUUGCCCAAAUAAAAAUAACUAGCCCCAAAACAGUACCUAACUAUUGAGGGUUAUUUCUGACUUUUUGCGAAUAAUCUUUUGCGUUACUUCUCAGUGUUUCCCGUCUUUUCCCCUCUUUUCCUAGACCCAAGAAAGCGGUGGUUGGCAUUAGCUCUGUUCUCCACUUCUUCUUUGUCUCCAUUAUGAAAGACAAGAAGCCAAAAAGUCAAACAACUUUAGCACCGAUGGCAGGAAAGCAAAACACUCCAUUUGCACUUCAUUUUACAACUUUAGCCCAUCAUCUUUUGUUUUAUUCUUCCUUUCUUUCUCAGUCUUUUGCUCUCUUUCUCAAUCUUUCCUAUCCCUUCUUCUCUUUAGUCUUUUCUCAGCGAAAGAAACCGGUAGUUGCUGCUUCUUUUUUGUAUCCAUUGUCAAAGACAAGAAGUAAAAAAGUCAAAUAAAAAAUGGAAGCUGACCCAUAUGGCAGCAAGACAAAACAGUCCCUUUCUACUUCCUUUUAGCCCAUCAUCUUUUGUUUUCUUCUUCCUUUCUUUCUCUCUGUUUCCCGUUUCUUUAUUUCUCCUUUCUUUUCUUGCUGGUUGAACGAAGAAAAGUACAACUUCAAUUCUUCCAUCAGUAGCCAAUUGUUUAGAAGUGUUUUUGACUUUUUCCCUAGCAUUCUUGCCCUCUCUUUCCCGUUGUUUCUGCUUCGUUUUCUUUUUGCUGCAGAAGAAGCAUGUUUGCAUAUUUCAUUUUGUUUUCAUGUUCAGUUCUACUUUUUCUCCUUCGUCCCUCCCUCUCUGUUUCCAUUCCUUUGUUUCUCUUUUGUUUUCUUCCUGGUUCGGACAAACAAAAGUACCAACAGAUCUGCUCCAACACCUGGUCAAUAAUUUUUCCCCAAAUUAUGGCUGCUCAUCCAUAUCCCAAUCGUGGUAUUGUUCCACAAAGAGUCAAUUGUGGCUGCCCAUGCAUAUCCCAACCAUGCGAUUAUUCCACAAAGAGUCAGGUAUGAGGUAUGAUUUCUACCUAUUACUAGAGAUAUAGGUUUGUCCUUUUGCCUUCCUUUUCAUUUGCCAGUUCACAAAUUAUCGAGAGUGAGAAGAAAAAUCUCUAACAACUCAUCAAUUUUGUGUUGUUAUCUAUUGUCAGUGAAAGAAAAAUUCCUAACAACUGAUAGAGUUUGUGUCUUUAUAUACAUCAGGAACACAAACACUGCUCACAAAAAAAAUCAACGGUUCUACCUCCUUUUGCUCUGCAACAUUUCCAAGUAAAGGUAACUAUUCAUAUUCUGUGCCUAAUAUUUUUCCGAACGAGUCUUGAACAGAUUGGAAAAUCUAUAUACUUUCUAUUUUGGUUGCCAAAUUUCUUCAAGGGUUUAAUUGCACUUUGAAAGAAUUGGUGCAGAAGAGCUUCUGAUUUAACGUUCACAGAUUUCAGUUCUAAGUUCGUUUGCUUUCAGUUAUUACUUGUCGACUGAAUUUUUUUCCCUUACUUUUGUUGUUAUCAGUUUUAAGUUCCCUUGCGAGUAUCAGGUCCACAGAUUGUAAGUUCUUCUAUUUUUUUCCUCCAAUUCAACGAAUGUGGUAUUUUUGAAUGGUGGAUAGGAUGGGAUAGAAGGUUGUGUAGAUGAAAUGGAUUUUGGUUGUUGAUAGAGCAGAGGAAUAGUCUGAUACUUGGUAAUUACUUGUAUGCAUGUUUUUGGGGUCUAAAGUCGUGGAUUUGCAAGUUGGACACGACAGUGAGUGAGACGGACGGAAGUUGUGGAAUAGGCGGACAUGCAUAAUCAUAUAUAUAUAUGCAAAUUGGACUUUGGCUUUCUAUGUACGUAAUAUAUAUUUGGCUUUCUAACUUCCUACACAUAAAAAAUGGUGAAAUUGCAGCAUGAAGUGACUAUACCUGUCUAAACAAAAGAGCAAACAGACCACAAAUAUGUGAGCCAAGAUUCUUUAAUAUGUAUAAAAUUUCCAUUCAAAAGUAUUGCAAUAACACUUGUAGAUAGGAAAUGGAGAGAGGUGGCAGUUGGAAUAAAUAUUGUGUCAUUUUAUGAAUUUUUAAUUUUGUCCUUAAAAAUUAAUUUUUACUCUUCUAAUCAGAUUUGCUACCAUAAUCUCCCAUAAAUAACUCCCUUAAAUAUUAUAACUACCAAAUAAACUAUAGCUGUUUUUAAAGAAAAAGUUACUAAUAAAUUGCAAAUUUUUUUUGAAGAUUUUAUAUAAAAUUUAAUUUUGUAAAAACAAAAUUAACAUAUUCAUAAACAUUAAUAAUUAUUUCUAAACUGCACGUACAUUGGGUGUGCCCUUAACAUUAGUCUAUAUAAUAUAUAUAAAGGGCGAUUUAGUGUAAACAUUAUUUGUCACUCUUUGAACUUUCGAUUUUACUCUUAUAGAACAAAACAUGUUUUACUUUAAUUAUUUACCUUAAACAUACCUAAUACUAACCAUUGUGACUAUCAAUAUAACAAUUAUUAUUUGAAAGAAAUUUAAGAGAUUAAUUAUUAUUUUGGCAAUGAAAAAUUCAUAUGAAAUUUACUUACCAUAAAUAUUAUACAUCUAUUUAUUGAACACACAUUGAGUGUGCAAAAAGCACUAAUUUUUUUUAUUGUUUUACGUUCUCUUUGUUAAAGGAAACAAGAAUCUAAUUACUGCUAAUACUUAAUAGCUUUUUGACUUUGGGUGUCUAACCUGAGUUGAUGGAUGGAUGGACCGACCGAGAAGAAGAAGAAGGAUGAUGAUAACUAAAAACACACUAAUAAAACAUUGCAAGUAGGCAAACAAAUCGAUAGGUAUACUGAUGGACACGGACGCUCUUUGAAGUUGAUUUUUCCAACUAAGAAAAGAGGCAUAGACCAAAAAAGGGAUUUUUUUUCCUUUUCUUUUGGGGGGAGGCCAUUGUGUGUACGGCAGAUUGAGUUCAUCUCUUGUUCUUGUCGUUGUUCAGGUUCUAAUAUAAUAUUGGAAAUCCUCAGAUAGAAGCUUGAGGGUAGGUGUAGGUGGGUGGUAUUUCUUAAUAUUUCAGCUGCUUUUCUCCUUAGCAGAUUGAUAUUCAUUUAAAGUGUGCCUAAUUAUAUUUUUGCCUCUUUCUAAUUUUUUCUCAUCUAAGUAUAGUUUAAACAUAUUGGAUAAUUUGUAUAGUUUUACAUUGAUACCUUUCUUGUACAUUUUAUUUUGGUUGCCAACUUUGUUCAGGGGUUUAGUUACGAUUUAAAAGAGUCGGUGCUAAAGAGGCUUUUGUUUGGGGUUGGCAGAUUCGUAUUAAGGAAUUGCUUCAAUUCAAGGUCAUUCCUUCUAUUCCUUCACUACAUCUUACAAUUUUCGUGCUUAAGUUUUGCUCUGCUUGACUACACUCUAGAGAAUAUCAUAACUGAAUCUCUAUGCUUAUACCAUUUUUCUUUCUCAGAUUUUGCCUUUUACUAUUUAAUCACUCUAAUUUGUUGAAUAUGACGCUCUUAAACAAUUAAUCUCAUGUUUGUAUCUCUUGGUCAGCUGCUUGUAUCUAACAGUUUGGAUUUCAUAUAUAUAGAAGUUAGCUUUACUCUCUUCAUUAGCUAUCAUUGUGCCUAAGUUUUGUUAUAUUUCGUCUAUUACUCAUAAUUUUUUCAGUUGUAGGUUCAUUUGGUCUCACUUAUUAACUGAACGUAUGCUUUAUAUGAUUAUGGUGAGGCUGGCUAAUCAAUAGAUUAAUAUGUAUUAGAAGCAAACGAGUAUGAUCAAGGAAGAUCACCUACUUGCUGCAAUCAAAGUUGCUGCUUCUAUCAGGGGACACAACCUAUCAGUAAGCUUUCAAGAACUACCAUGAAUUGCAUUUGAGUUCAGUUUUAUUCAACAUUCGAAUGAAGAUUCUUAUCUCAUAAAGUACGCUCCAACCAUUAGGAUUUUAUUAACAGUAUUCUGUUUAUUAAAAAAAAAAUCCACAAGUCACAAAAUUUUGACGAAAUAGAAAGACACUUCCUUGCAUGACUUAGUCCACAUCAACUCCACUCUAUAAGCAUAAGACCAAUAUUUUGCAUUCUGCAUUUUGGCAUAUAAACUUAUAGAUAUUUCUGCGAUUUUACUUUUUUUAUUCUUAUUCAUGCUCCUGGUCAUGCUACUCUACAAAUAAAGAGCUUCAUAUAAUUGAUUAUUGUGGCCAGUCAAUGAAUGCAAAAGUGAAAAAUGAAAAAUGGGCUUCACAAUGGGAAUGUUUUAGGAAUCUAGAUGUUAUACACAAUCAAUUUGGGCUUUCCAUUUAAUUUGGAAAUAGUAGCAGCAGCAACCCACCUUGCUCUUCAUUUUUCCUUUUAGGGAGUCCUCCUUGGUAAGUUUAAUUUGCCCUUUUUUUUUGAUGUUGUUAGCUUUUCUACAUGACAAUAGUAAACAAACAAAUAGAUUGGUAUACCUAUGCUCUCAUCGUAGAUAUUAAUCAUAUAGACACCAAAGCAGCGGUACAUUUUCAAUCUAAAUUGAUAACCAAAUUGUUGAUUUGUUAAUGUGUAUCUCAUCUGCCUACUUGUCAAAGAAAUCAACGGUAACCGUUAAUCGAAAGAGAGAGAUGAAAUGGAAGCUCUUGAAUGAGUUGUUCCACCCACAGUACUUUGUACAAUAACAAAUUUCAUGUUAGUUGAAACCUCCAGUCCCUUUACAGACUUGCAAUUAAAAUCAACAUAGCAGAACAGUCAAUAGAUUGUCGUCAUUGUACAAUGUUAAAAAUGUGAAAGUUAAUGAAGAAAGAGAAAAUACGGGUAAAUAUUGUCUAUCUCCUAUGUUCAGCAAACAUCCACUUUAUGAUUUUCUAACAUCUCUUCUUCACAUAUUUAGCCUUAAGGUCAACGAAAAGACUGCAGCAUGCUAGCAUUAUCUCAUCUUAGUUCACUUUACCUUAACUUUGUUGGUAAAUCCAGGGAUCAGGAAUUUGAUAAAAUGAAAUUCAAUGAAUGAAAAUUGACAUGUCCCUUUUUGUGCUAUAUAAAUUCUUAUGUUCUAAAUUAUUGAAUCUGGCAUAUACUGAUUAUCUAUGGUUUACAUUUCUAGCUGCAUGGUUUUGUAAAGAAAGAGCAAUUGGAGGAUGCCCUCACUCACAUGGACCUUCUGAUCAUUCCUGUUGGAGUUCAUAGGAAACUAGCAAUGACUAGAGAUAACCUUUUUAAUAUCAAUCCUGACAUUGUUAGGGCUCUAUGAAUGAAUUUCAAAGUGCUGUACGGAAGCUAUUGUCUGCAUGGUGCCAUUUGGGGCUGCAAUGAACGUCACAUUUGUAAAGUUAUGUACUAUUGUUCUACGAUUCAGUUAAUUUUGUUUUGGUGUUGUUUAGGUAUCUUUAUUAUCGAUAUCUGAAAAUUCAAAGUCUAACAUGCUUCAAUUAGCCCAAGAUUUGAAUUUUUUUUGGUCAUAAUUGUUGUUCGAGCUGUACAAAUUAUUGUAAAACUGUGGAAUUGUACGAGAGUGUGCAUCUUUCAGUGUGAAAGAAAUAUUGUGUGCUGUGAGUUAAUUAACUUGAGUUUAUUGUGUUCUUCAUUCAUGUUUAUUUUUCAUAUUGCAUAUGUGCUUAUUUCUCCAGACUCUUCAUGGUUUAUGUGGAGCUAUGCAUGCACUUCAUUAUGGUCCAGAAUGGCAUAAGCUUUACAUUCCUUCUUAAGGGCCUUUGUUGUCACUCAAUAUGAAAAAUGAUUGAUUGAUGUCUAAAAUAUGAGAGCAAAAAUUAAUAUGUCUUCAUGAUAGAAUUUUUAGUGAACUUUACCAUUGUGGUCUCGCCCCUUAACCACCUCAAUUACCAAUUAUUUUAAUACUUCAGUUCUACGAGUUAUUGAUAGGUUGCGAUUUUAUCAUUUAUUUUAUUAUUAAUUUCUCCUAUUACCUGACCCAAUUUGGAUUAAUUGUUAGUUUCUACUCACUUUUAGUAUUUUACAUAUAUUUCAGGGAGUAGAACGAAAAUACCAUAAUAAGUGCCGAUUUGACAGUUAUCAGGAAAGAGUUCAAGUAGCAGGCAUCCAGGGCAUUUUUGGAACAAGGAGAUACAAGUCCUUUUUGGUAAUUCGCAGAGCGCAGCAUUAAAAGGAGGAACGAAGGGCUGAAGUGGGGGUCUUCUUCUUCCUCUCCGGAAGGGGAGCCGCCGCACAUUGGAGAGCUUUUCGUCUUGUAGCUUAGCCGUAGUUGUUGACUUUUCUUCUUAGUUUUUGUUAGCUAGUUUCUUUCUUACGUAUGAAGAUUGCUGAGAAGCUUAGCUUUUGUUUUUGAUUCUGCCUAUUCAAUUUCUCUUCUCCGAAUGUCGGACAAAAGCAAACACACUCAGUGGACUCUCGUAGCUUCCUUUCUUUAUUGAAUGCCCAGCUUCCCAAUUGAUGGCCGCAGCCUUUGCUUCAAUUUCUUGUGGGUUUAGUUCAUUAAUUAUGAACUAAUUCUACAAUUCUAGUCAAGGGACAACUGACGAUUUGGUUCGACAACUACUGUGAGAUCGAAUCUGUUUUAAUUAUUUUCUUCAUCUAUUGGUAUUUGUAUGUUCCUUGAUUUUAAUUGCUAUGGCCUUGUGUAUGAUUGAUUAGUGCGCAAUAAUUAAUUAUUCAUAUAGGCUAUUUUUGCUAAAUAGGGGUAAUUGAAUCCGUAAUUGUUCGUUAUCUCUACCUCAGUAGCAACUGGCGUAAUUGGGUUUAUGUCAGGGGAGCAUAUGAUCUAAUUUAAACAAACCCUCGUAGCGUGUUUGUUGGUUAGGAUUGGGCCUUUCUAAUUAUUAAUGCAAUCUAGAAAUUAAAUCCUACGGUCGUACUUAGGGUUGUUUUUGGGUUAGAGAAAUAGCUAACGGUCGUACCUUAGCUAUCGAUAAAUUAAGGAAGGGUUGGUUGUUUAUCGCGUGCAUGACAACUAUAACCAAUCUAUUAAUAAAUGUUGGGAUUAUUUUUGCAUCAAUGAUCAGUGCAUGAACCAUUUCUGAAGUAUACCCUUGGCUAGAGUUUCUCUUAGUUAUUUCUUUUAAUUAAUUAUUUUCUGCAGUUAAUUUAUUUAGUUAGCAUUUAUUCCAAAACCCCCCAUACUUUGGACUCUAAAAGAAACAAUUACUCCCAGUCCCUGUGGAUUCGACCCUACUCAUCGCUAUCUACAGAAUUAACUUUAGUUUGAGCAGGUUUUAUUAUUGUACAGGUUCGGCACCUGUCAGUUAUGCAUUUGCAUAGACACUAAAUAUAACUUGCCAAAAAUUUACAUGUUAUUGUUUACAGAAAUGAGAAUACCAGCAAAUUUUUCAAUAUUUUUGACACUAUAUAUAUUGGGCAUUGGCUGUGCAAGGCACAACCAGAAAAUCUCUAGUAUUAUAGAUAAGUUGUACCUCUAUAAGCAUUUAAUUAGAGCUACUCGCUGGCCACAAUAUUGUAGCGGGAAGACUCUGGCUAUUUCUUGAUUGAUUUACAAUAAUAUGAUUCAAAUUAGACAAUUAGUUUGAAAACUUGAAAGCCAUAAGCCAGCAAUUGUAAUUUAAUUGCUGAUGUGACUGCAAAAAGUGACCAAUUUGGUCAUUAAAAAAGAGACUAAAUUGGCACACGCAUGGCCCACCAAUAAAGCACCAGAUUCGGAGGAAUCUUUGUUUGGCGCUACACUGAAGUUGCUGGGAAAGUUCUGAAGCACCAUAUCCUCUGUGAACAAGUUAGUGUCCUGCAAUAUUUAAACAACAAGUGGGGGGAAAAAAAGUCCAGCCUAUUCUUUGUUGGCUAUUGUUAGAUGAGAAAGUUUUGGAUCCUGAACUGAUUUUAUUGAGUAGCUGCUAAACCAGACAAAAAUCUAAUAUCAGAGUGAAAAGAAGAUAUGAUAAUGGAGAUCCCCUCCAGCAGUAACGCCGACUGCUUUGAUUUUGCUUUAUAUCAUUAUCUGCAGUCGCAUCACAUCUCCUCCAGCACUAGCACUAGUUGCUUUGAUCUUGCUUUGGAUUUUCUAGCCGAGCCCAUAUUUCGCUGGGACUCUGAUUACCUGAAGGAGAAGGUAAGAUUAAUGAAAACCUGUUUUCUGUAUGUCAAAAAGUGUAGGAGGAGGAGGAACCACGAAGCGCUUUUGGAGCAUGAUUGCGAGGACAGGCGUAAUAUUAUGUCUGAAAAUUUGAGACGUAGUAUUAUUUGCUUCAGAAUUCAAGAUGUGGCUAUCAGUAUGAUUCAUGAUCUUCAGCCUGCUUAUUUUCAAUAUAUUCAUUCUGAUUAUCACUUAGAUUUUUCCUUCAUUCAAAGUGCGAUUACCAGAUCCGAGGAAAAUAUCAAAAUGUUUCUUGAGACGGAUGUCAAUAAAUCAUGCGCCGCCAUCUUCAUCGACUAUUACUCACCAGGAGAUCCACGACUAGUUAUGGAUCUUAUUAUGUGCCUUUUAGAGACUCUGGAUUGUGUUUUACGUGCUGGGGAGCUAAGGGAUACAAUUAGAAAUAGGCUAAAACUCUUCAGGAAUCUCAUUGGCUUUGUGACAAUGCAAGGUCUUGAAUGUUCGCAACUGACAGAUCUCUUGACUUACACUGUAGUUGCAGCUGGAAGCCUGAUUUCUAUAUGUCAGUUUGACAGUGAUGAUGUACAAGUGGUCAAUCGAAUGGAAUCUGAAAUUUAUCAGCUGAUACAGGAGAAGAUCAAUCGUCUUGAUCUCCAAGCCCGAGAAACUUUUGUCCAUGUGCUGACAGCUUCAAAGAAACAACCGAGAUCAUCAUAUGAUUUAGCCCUUCAGAAGAAUGAGGAUCCAGUGGUAGGCCAGUUUGUUGGUUCUCUUCGUGAUUAUCUUAUGGAUCUACUAGGAUCUUAUUCCAGUUUUCCGGUUCCAGUGAAGGAUCAAAUACUAAGACUCCAUGAGGAAAUAAGAUGCCUGAGUAUCCUUCUUAAACAAGAGGAGAAACUAGGUGAUGAAAUAAAGGAUCUUAUUGGAGCUGUGGUAUCUGAUGCAGGAAUUUUGACCUUCUCCCUUUCUGUCAAUGAAAUCAAGGAAGGCUUGCCUGAGGAAACAGAUCUUGGGGUGUUUCAUUUGCACAAAGUUCUCAAAUAUAUGGCAGCAGAGGUUGCACACAAUUUUCCACUAAAAUCACCAUAUUCAUCAUUUAAUUAUCCUAGACCCAAUGAGUUGGGCUGUAUGGAUUUUUUCCUAGAAAAUCUCAAGGAACUAGCAAGGUGUGAUGAGGCUGAUGAUUCAAUUGGUUUUCAACAUCAUAGAAUCCAAGCGAUCCAAAACGAUCUCGUAUUCUUAAGAUCUUUCCUCGAAAAUAUCAAAGAGCAGCGCUAUCAGAAUGGAAAACUUCAAGCUUUCUGGAGUCAUGUUAUGGAUGCUGCAUACAAGGCAGAGUUACUGAUUGACUUGGCACUUGUUGGUGAUAAAUGUGAAGAUUCUUUGGAUGCCGUUUCUAGACAUAUUAAUCUUUUGAAGAUUGAGGCCCCAGAGAUCCAUAAUGGUCAAACCCAAAGAGUUAACAAGACUUCCAUUCACAUACCAUCACAAUUUACUGUCGCCAUGCAUGACGAAGAUCUGGUGGGUCUUGACGACGAGGUGGAAACUAUUACUCAUCGGCUUACGAGAGGAUCAAAGCAAUUGGAUGUUGUUCCCAUUGUGGGUAUGCCUGGCCUUGGGAAGACCACAUUAGCCCACAAAGUUUAUACUGCUCCUUCAGUUAGGUCACAUUUCCAUGUUCGUCGUUGGUGUCGUGUUUCUCAAACGUGUAGCAAACACAGUUUGUUAGUUCAACUUUUGUGUAGUAGUUCUUCUAAGAGUUCUGAUGAAUAUCUUGAGAUGGAUGAAAAUGAUUUGACUAACAAGCUAAGGCAGGUUUUGCUGAGAAGUAGGUAUCUCCUUUUUUUGGAUGACUUGUGGGACGUUGAGGCAUGGAAUUUGUUGGAAAAAUCACUGCCGAAUGAUGCCAAUGGAAGCAGGAUUCUCUUCACUAGUAGAUACCAACAUUUAUCUUUGCAUUUCAAACCUAAUAGCGAGCCUCACUAUCUCCGCCAUCUUACUGACAAAGAGAGUUGGACAUUGCUGCGGAGAAAGCUAUUUGGCACGGAAGAUUGUCCUGCAGCACUAAGUGAAGUUGGAUCUCAAAUAGCAAAACUUUGUCGAGGCUUACCCCUCGCAGUUGUCCUUGUUGCUGGAAUUCUUGCUACUACUGCAAAAGAUAGUUGGAAUGAAGUUGCAAAAAGUCUAAGUUCUAUUGUCCUUGGGGAUGAAUACUGCAUGAAGACACUUGAGCUGAGUUAUAGUCAUUUACCAGAUUAUUUGAAGCCAUGCCUUCCGUAUUUUGCUGCAUUUCAAGAAGAUGAGGUUAUUAAUGUGCGAAGGUUGUUACGGCUUUGGAUCUCUGAAAGAUUCGUGCAACAGGCAGAAGGAAAGAGCUUAGUGGAAGCAGCUUAUGACUACUUGAUGGCUCUAGUUAAUAGAAGUUUAGUUAUGGGUGUCGGACAAAGAACUCUGGGUGGUGCCAAAGCCUGUCUACUUCACGAUUUGGUACAUGAGUUUUGCGUGGAAAAAGCCAAAGAAGAAAGUUUUCUAUAUGUUAUUCAUAGUUGGAAAGCUCCUCUUAGUCUUACUGGGCCAAGCAACCCCCACCGAGUUUGUGUUUCCAAUACCGGAGAAUUGACAAUUUGGGAGUUAAUGCUUAUUUUUCCCAAUUUACGUUCUUUGAUCUUGUUUGGAAAUGUUCAUAUUGAACAUGAAGAGGAGGAUUUGGGUAUUUUGUUACCUAAACUUGUCAGAGUGUUGGAUUUUGGGAAUUUGGGCUUUGGUAAUUCUUUUCCGAUGGAAGUAGUAUUGCUUGUUCGCUUGAGAUACCUGGCGCUCAAAGGAAUAACAAACAUCCCAUCUGCGAUAGCCAACCUCUCAAGGUUAGAAACUCUUAUCGUAAAAUAUCCGGUUUUUGGUAUUGAGCUGCCAAGUACUAUUUGGAACAUUAAGACAUUGAGUCAUCUGCGUGCUUUAAAUUAUCAUGGAGUAUGGCCAAUGGGUUUUAUUUUUCCAGUUGAAAAUCUGGAAGUAUCCCUAGAUUUAGAUUGUUUAGACACUUUAGACCUUGCAAUUGAUCCCUCCUCUCAAAGCUUGCAAAAGAUACUGAGAAAGUUACCAAGCAUUCGCAGGUUAAAAUGUAUGGAACGCUGGAACAGCUCAAGAGAAGCUACCAGAAAUUGCAACGAGAUUCUUGAAUUUGACAGUUUGAGUCAACUGGAAUCACUUCAUUUGUUUCGUUUUCAUGGAUGUGGAUUUAAAUUCCCGUUGAAUUUGAAAAAGUUGUCUCUCUCAUAUAAUGGUCAGCCAUGGAGUGAAAUUUCAACAAUUGGAAAGUUGCCUAAUCUUGAAGUGCUGAAAUUACUUGAUCACUGCUUUGUUGGGGAAGAAUGGGCAAUGAAAGAAGGGGAGUUCCCUAAACUCCGAGUCUUAAAAUUGUCAGAAUUGGAAUUUCGCAACUGGACUGCAUUUUCUGAUAAUUUUUCCCGCCUUAAGAAAUUGGUCUUGAGCUGGUGUGAGGAGCUGGAAAAGGUCCCUUCCUGUUUAGGGGAGUGUGAGACUCUUGAAAUGAUUGUGGUGAAAAGGUGUCGUGAGUCUGUUGUAGAUUCUGUAAAGCAAAUUCAACAAGAACAGAUGGAUAUGGGCAAUGAGGUUCUAAAGAUCGAAAUUAAUAGUAUGAUACAUCCAUUUCCUCAGAAGAAUAAUCUACAGAAGCAGAGUCAACUCCCUCAGAAGCAGAGGAGAUUUCUUCAGAAAGAGUGAAUGUACAGUGGGAUUCCACUCAUCAGGUCAGAUAAAACUAUAUUUGCAUAUGUUGAAUCAGUUCAAUUAUAUAAUGAUUCAUGUUUCUCUCAACAGUUUACCACGGCAAACCAUUCAUGUCUCUUUUUCAUCUGUUUAUAUGUUGAAUCAGUCCAAUGAUAUGUUAAUUCGUGUGUAUUUUGAAGCAAUUUCUGGAUUAUUCUAAAUUCUUUAUUAGUUUAAACCUGAUGCUGCUACAUAACAUUCUGAUAAAUUUCUGAUUGCAGCAGGAAAAACAUUAAUGCACAAUCUGUUUCUAAAAUCUUCUUAUUGUCAUUUUCUGGGUCAGUGUUGAGUAAUUUUUAUGUAAGGAUUUAUAAUCCCAAUUUCCGAAAUCUUCUUCCUUGUUGCUACAUAUUGAUAUGAUACUCAAAAGGCAGCAGAGCAAAAGCAUAACUUGAUGUGAUACUCGAAACCAGAUACACUUAUCUGUUCCCAAAUUGUGUAUGUAAAUAAGAGUAAUACAGAAAAGUGUAACUCGAUUGAUAUGUUGAAACAUACAAUCACAGUUUUGCAUACAAAUAUUAAGUGGAGACAAAAACCCCAAAAAAGAAAAAAAAAACUAUGGUUGUGUUACUUUUCAACAGAGGAAGGGCAUAGGACUUAAUAUGAGUUUUUCUUCACUACAAUAUGUUGAAAUACAAACAUUUUCAUUCUUUACUAGGCAAUAUUUUCGGAAGUAAAAAAGGAAGUAAUUUUCCUUAAACUUUUUUUUUUGUUUGGUUUCAUGUUUUAUUUUGCUAUUUUAAGUGGUUAAUUGCUCAAACUGAUCAAAAUGACAAAUUAAAGAAACCAGAUGACCUCUUCAUGUUGGGUAAUCUGUAUACCUCUUCAUUCAACUGAUGUAGUACUGCAAUUAUUCCUUCUUCCAGAGUAGAUUUCCUCGGAAGGAGAGUCCAUUUCUUCUCAUCAUCACAUUAGACAAUGGUGAAGACUGAAGCAUUUGUGUCUCUUCUUGACUUUGUGUGAUCAUUCCACUCAUCAGGUCAGAUAUAAUUGUAUGUGUAUGUUAAUUCAGUUCAAUGAUAGAUAAUUACUGAUCAUGUCCCUUCUUUUUCAUCUAUUUACCUGUACCACAGGAGUAGAGUAUUUUGACAAACACUCAUUUUUACCGGACAUAAAAGGCUUCUUUUUCAAGUAAUGAUGAUCACUGAAUGAUAGUGCUAACAAAAAAGCUCUGGAGCCCUUUACUUUCCCUUAAUCCUUCGCCAAAAUGAUUAGGUCCUUUGACAUGCCUCCAAAUUUCUUGCCUCAAUGGGUAGAAGAAUAUUUGUUGUCAAUGUGAAGCAUGCUUGAUCAUGACCUUUUCUCAUUGCCAUUCAGAAAUAUGCAUGAAUGAUCGUGUUCAAAGUACCCCAACGUAUAAGUGAUAGUACAUCAAUUGAAUCCCGUAAUUAUGCUCUAGCCAGAAAUAAUUGAAUGAACCAGAAGAAGACAAAUAAUAGAAAAGAUAAAGAGGAAGAAAAGUACAUUGUGAUGGUCAUUCUGGUUUGAACCAAACAUUCAAGAUAUAUCAUUUAACAAUGAGUUGCUACAAUUACCUCUUCACCAAAUCUAUCUAUGGUAUUCUUAUGUACAAAAACUGUUAUUGGCCCUGUGGUGCAGCAAAUACCUGAUCUCCAGCAAUUAAGACAGCAAUAUAUGUGAUGAGAACUAGUUUAUUAACAAUUGAUCCUAUGGUAAAGGUAAUGCUUUCCACUACAGCUAUGCUCCGAAUGCUGGAGGAAAAAUACAAAGAAGAGAACCCUUCUUAACUCAUUUGCCCAAAAGCUGGCUUCUUUCACCAUCAACCAGAAAGAAAACAAAACAAAACAAAAAUGGUGUCUGACUAAGACCCUUGUUUACAUGGAGUCUCAUGUUCCCAACAGCUUGAACAUACAUUUUUCAGUUGAUCUACACUCACCGCUAUACUCCCACAAAAUCCUCCUUUUCUUCUGCCUUUUCCGACAUAAGAAUACCACCUCAUUGGUGUCCAGGGGAGUAAAUUGUUCCUAGUCACAGAGUAUAUAUACACUUGCUAAGAAUCAUCCAUGUGCCCAAAGUAACGAUUUCUGAAUUGCAGAUUCUCAUGUUUUAGAAAGAUAGCAUACAGGAGCUCAUUCCAUGCAUCUGGGACGCCAGGCAGACACCAAUGGCUGCAGUCCUGCCUGUGGGGAGGCACAGGACCAACACUAGGAUCCAAGUAAUACAAAGAUGAGUGCCCAUCUUUUCUCCUCGCGGUCAUAUGAGUUAUAUUUAGUACUUCUACUGCUUCCGCAUUUGACGAGUUCAAGUGAGCUGAAACUACAUUGCUGAAAAGGUUAUACAUUUCCCAAUUGUUCGACGGUACCAAUGAAGAACCUAGCUCUGGAAGUGUCUCCAGGUGACAGUUUCCCCCGUUUCUCCAGUCUCCUCCUCUACAAAGCCACCAUGUCAUGUCAACAGCGACAUUACGUAACAGUACGUAAGCAUAUAUGGACAUGACUGGAAAAGAUUUAUUUUAAACUCUUAAAUCUUGCAACCUGAAAGCAGACCCCCUCAACACAUAGAAAGCAUAAGCAAGAAUAAUACAAAGGAGGAGAAAAACUAAAAAUUUUGUUGGACGUUCAAUGCAAAUAGAGCAACCAAUGCAUAAAUUUGGAAUUCAUGCUAUAGAGCUCCUACUUUCCUUAGUUCUGCCAAGCAGCAAUGUGGAGUAUGAAAUACAGUACUUACAAUCUUCAAUUGGCAGCACUUUGGCUCCAGUAAAAUAAAACACCUGAUUAUGGCAUGCAACCACACCAGGACAAACAAGUCAAACAAUUUGCACAAUAGAUGGAAUUGGAGCGAUGAUUUACUGCAAUCAAUUUUGUAACUUAUAUCUGAAACUAAAUUGAUUUUUUGAUGAGGUCAAAAUGGAUACCUCAUCCAACAUUUCCCAAAUUACCACCAACUGAAAUUUGGAAUGCAGGGUUCAAAGUGCCUAGGGGAUCUUAUGCUUGAACAAAUAAGAUGACAUGCAUUAAGACAGAGAGCAACAUCCUAUUACAUGACAAAUUCUCCUUGGGCCUGGGUGAUAACUAAGAAUCUCUGUCCUCUAAAUCCAUGACGGUUUCCUGCAUGAUGGACAAUAGAAUACAGAACAAAAGAAACACGAACAGGGUCCUCAUUUGAAGGUAAUAAGCAAAGAAGGAGCUAAGCUAAAAUUCUAGAUUAAGAUAAUUUGAGAAAUCGAGGAAUGAAAACAAAGACAGGAAAGCCUCAACAAGAAAAUUACCAGAUGGUAAAACUACAAUUUACCUGAAAUGGACAGGGGCAUAUGUGCGAAAGAAGACCUGCGUUUUGCUUGUAUUUAAUUCACGAUCAACAAAAUCUAGAACUGUCUGUAAUGAUCUCUUGUAUGCAGUCUCAACUUCCAUAUCCAUCGUUAUUUCCAAACCUUCUUGAAAGUAACAUCCCCUAACAAAGAUGGUUUGAACUGAAUUACUUUGUCAUUGCAGGGGCAAGCACAGUCAUGCAUUCUAUCAAGCUAAUAUUAUCCAUCAUAAUCUGUUUGUAAAACUAGCUGUUUGUAACUCUCUGUUUAAAGCACAGUCAUGGUUUGAUGUUUAAUAGUGUUUACGAUCCAUCACAAUCUGUUUGUAAAAUAUUCUCCAAGUUCUUUCCUGAUUUUGAUGUUUAAUAGUUUUCAUGAUCCCAAUUUUUCAAAUAUUCUUCAAUCCUGCUACAGAUUGAAAUGAUCCUUAAAACUAACUGUUUGUAGAAUGUUCUCCAUGUUCUUUUCUGAUUUGAUGUUUAAUAGUGUUUAUGAUCCCAACUUUUGAAAGCUUCUUCAUUGCUACUACGGAUUGAAAUUAAUGAUCAAAUGAUCCUUAAAACCAGCAGACAAUUAACAAAGCAUGUAUGCGAGAUUCACUUUUCUCUUCCUUUCAUGUAUUUCAGUAAUACAAAAGAUUUUGAUUUGCUUCUGUUUUUCCUCAAUAAAACUCUCAUGCAACAAUUACUUAGUAUGGACCUAAAAAAAAGGGAUCUAAAUUGUGUUACUUUUCAAUAGAGAAAGUGCAUAGGAACUAAAUGGUAAAUUUUACAUCAACAUGAUUAUAUUUUCAUGUAUAACAAUAUUUUGGCGAACACAUCCAACAAAAGGAGGCUAUUUAGUAGCCACUCGCAUUUCUUUGCAUUCUUUAUCUUAGCAAAAGUCUAAAGGGUGUAACUUUUCUUAAACUUUUUUCUAUGCUAUUUCAUCUUUUAUUUUCUGAUCAAUGUGAUUCAUUGUUCAAUGUUCAACCUGCUAAAAAUGACAAAUUAAAGAAGCUGGAUGAUAUCUAAUUGUAACAUAUUUAAUACAAGAAUAUUUAGAAAAUAGAGAAAAUCAUUAGCUGGCGAUCAUUUAAGACCAAUAUUAACGUUGAUGAGGAAACCAUUACAUGAAUUUUUUUUUUUUUUUUUUUGGGGGUUGCUAUGACUUGUGAGGCUAAAAAGUACAGAAUGCCAGGUGAAAGCUGACUUUAGCUUUCUUCUAUCCAAAUGAUUGUAAUCCAAAAUUCCAAGUAUCGUUUCCUCUGCUUUAUUUUUCGACUUUCUUUCUUUGUUUGGGCCUUUGUUUCAUUUGUGCUUUUCUGAUUUUGGGCUUUGGCUUACUAGGUUUAUUAUUUCUUCUAGUUUUUUUUUUUAUGUUUAAGUUUUUUUUUGUAUUCUCUAUAUAUUUGUUUCUGUGAUUUAUUUUUUUCCUUAUUUUUCUUUUUUCCCCUUUCUUGGGUUCCCUAAAAGAAACCUACAAAAUUGACAAAAUAGAAAAUUAUAUAAAAAAAAACUUAUUAAUUUACAUACGCAUGUAUAGACACAGUUUACAAACUCAUGGAGUCCUCAUGGAUAGACCACUAUUCAAGCAUCACAAAACAUAAUUAGUUCUUUUAAUAGCCAUUUAAUUACUCGAUCAAAUCUCGUCCCAAUGAUCAAGAAAGGGUUCUUAGAUUCUUUUUCAUACCAAGUUCAAGGUUUGAAUCAUGUACCUGACAAUUGGAGUUAAAAAGCAGUUCGAAUUAUGUACUUGAUAGUAGAGAGUAAAAUGCACGUGAGAAGGGAUGGGAGGAUUAAAAAAAAAAUGGAAGAGUCUCCUCUUGUCUAUAUACAAUAGUGUCCCUCUAUGUGGCUUGUAUAAUUGACUAGACAGCAAAGGCAAGACUUCUAAUGAUCAAAUCACUCUACGUUAACCUUUUAAGGUUUAUUCCACUUGCACCUUUAAAGUUCUUUCUAUUUUCACUUUGCUUAAUCUUAGUUACAAAACUUUACAUCUUAUCUUUCAAAACAAAUUCUAAAUCUUACAAAGGGCUUAAAAUUGAAUGAAAAACCUUAUAUUCAUCUUUUUUUUUGUCAAAUAUUCACCUAGUUAAUACUGCUCUAAGCUGAACUAGGGCAUGAGAGCACAAUCUACUAUUGUUAAUGCCAUGCAUCCAAGGGGUGCUGAGCGGGGCUGUGUUUUGAAAGUUUUAAUUCACAGUGUGUAAAUAUGGGUGUAAAACAGAGUUAGCCCCCUAAUUUUCAUAAUUUUAGUUUAUAUAUAUAUAUAUAUAUGAUUUAGCCACCUUUGAAUUAUUUUUUUCUUCAAAAAAAGUUAUUUAUUAUUUAUUGUGCUAGUUAUUUAACUUUUAAAAAAGUAAACAUAUAAUCAAUAAUCCAUAGGAAAUUGACCCAAUUUGAUUACAUUAUAAUAAAUGAUCCAAUUCAUAAUUAUCAAUGGGUUAAAACAAAAGCAAUUAAUUUUUUGGCUAAUAUCCUUAUACUAUAUAAGAAUGAGUUUGCGUCAAAGAAUGGUUUUGAAUUUCAACCGUAAGAGUAGGGGCAUUUUGGGAUUGUAAGGUUGUUUUGAGUGCAGUUAUAACGUUGGGUACUACUUAAGAUAACAUGUGUAUUUUUAUAUUUACUGAAAUGUUCUUGUGAUUUGUUCAAAGGUUUGGGUAUUUUGGGAAUGUGUGAUUAUGUGGUUGUCUUUUUUACAAUGGGUAUAACCCAUGAUAGCUUCUUUAUUGGUGUAAUUACUUAAAUGUUCUUAUAGAGGCAUUGAUUGGCUUGUGUUAGUUAAAUUAUAAGUAGUAUCAAUUAUUACCAUUGCUUUACUAUUAUAACUUGAAGACAUUCAAAUGCCAUUUUCAUCUCAAUUAAAGCAUUUAUUAAGGAAUUUAUGACUAAGCAUCAGUUUCAUCUUCAUUUCUUCAAAUGUCUUCUCCUUCACAUUCUUCCGUUAUGUUCCUUUCAUCUUCCAGUAAAUACUUAUUUGUACUGCCAUUGUACUUUAGAUUUCAAUAUGGUUUUAUGUUGAAACUAUUCUUGGUGGUUUAGCUUGAGGUGAGCUUUUAUUAUUUUUUUAUGGUAUGAUUUGCUUUGUAAAAUCAUAGUUUCUAUUGUGAGCUAAAUGCUUCUAUUCUGAAAGUAGAUACUCUGUUAGCGUAAUUUAGUGUUAAUAUCAUUGCUUCCCACAAAUUUGGUUGCUGUGUACAAUUUAAACAGUGUGAUUUUGUUGGAAUAGGUUUGAAGCAACUAUGAGAAAAAAUUUUUGCAGGGAGUAUUUGAACAAGGUAAGCCAAAAAACUACUGCAAUUGAUGCAUUAUGGUGUGGUUUAUACUGGAAUUGAUUUUUCUACUGCAAUUGAAUUGUUUGAAUGGUGUGAUUUCUUAUCUAAUUGUUUGCUUUGGUAAUAAGGUGAUUCAUUUAUGCAAUUGAUUUUGGUGAUAGUUAGAUUCCGAGUCAUUUUGAAUUGGUAGUUAAUACUUUGUCCUAAUGAUUUGAGUUUGUAUCAAAGUUUAUUCUUUCAUGUAUUCGUUUGCAUAUUUGCUUAAGCUAUUCAUCAAAGUACUUGACUUGAAUGUGGGUGAUUGGAAGGUUGAAACCAAUAAAGAAUAACUACCAAUAAGAAUUGAAAUUCCAAGUAAAUCUAUCUCCAAUAAUCAAACAAGUAGUUGGCUAAAGCCCUCUCCCCCUUAGUUGCAAUUUUCGCACUGAUGAUCAAAUUCUGAACGUUGGGAUCAUGUUGUCCCGUAGACCUUUAAGUACAAUAGGAAUUCUCCUAACGUUUGGGAACUUGGUGGAGCUCCUAUUAUUUUAGAUUGUCUGUUUAAAUUGUUAAAUCAUUGCCAUGCACACAAUUGUCUCAUGAUUAUUUUUCUGUUCAGUUUUUUUUCUUAGUUUCCUGUUUGGAGAUGAAAGUUUCUAUAGAUAUUUAAACAACAAUAUAAUUUAUUCUUCUGCCUUUAUGACUUCAUAAGUGCAUUUUUUAUGUAACAUUUGUUCAGGAAAAGAGUUUCCUGAAAAUGAUAAAAUAUGAAGACUCGUGCUUUAUGUUGGUGCUAAACACGUUUUACAUAAGGUUUCAAAUUCUAGCUUCUUUAGUGUUGAACAAUGAAUUCCAAACUUUCUUUGUCGUAUUUGAUGAUUAUUUCUUUUUAAAUUGUACUAUUAUUUCUUUGUUGGUAGUAGUAGCUUGCGAGCCUUGAUUUUCGCCAGUAUGAUUUGAUUCUAUUCUUAGUAUCAUUUUGUUGUGUACAAGAAUCAGGUCAUACUAUCCAAUGUCAUCUAUUGUUAGGCACAAACACUUCUAUGUAUUAUUUCUUCCUUUUAAAAUACAUUUUUUUCCUGCCUGGAUAAUCUUAUGCUUCUCAUUUCUAAGUUAGGGAUAUUCCUCUUCUCUUUGCUCAGGGUCUCAGGAAGUUGUAAUAGUCAAGUUUCUUUGUUCAUUGUUUGAUUCAUAAUAUCUUUUGCGAAAGUGAAGGUUUUGCUCUGGGAGAAGGCAGAGAAUGAUUUGGACAAAUUAAAACUGAGAUUUUAAUGUAAUAACAUAUCUAGUAUAAAUAUACAAUUUAGCCCAAUUGAUUAGACUCAUUCUCACUCUUGCUGCAUCAACUAUAAGUAUGGAACGAAUAUUUUCAAUUAUGAAGAUAAUCAAGAUAGUUAAAAAACAAGAUGGAAGAUAAUUUUUUAAAUGAUUGCCUAAUUGUAUACAUAGAAAAGAAAGUUGUUGAAAAAUUUAACACUGAUUCAAUCAUAGAUAAAUUUACUUCUAAAAGGAAUGUAAAACUCAAUUUACUUUUAAGAAAAGCGGUUGAAAUUUUGGUGUAUGUUAACAUAACUUUUAUCUUUUUUUAAUUAAAAUAUUUAUAUUUAUUUUGCAUAUAUAUAUUUUGCAUAGGCGACAUGUUGGAGCAUCUUUUCAUAAUGUGCAACUUGGAUGGUUUGUGAUAUUAUAAGAUAUAAGAAAAGUUUAUUUUUGUCUUAUUUUUCAUUUGACUAUGUUGUAUAUUUAUAAAAUAAACAUACCUUUAUAAUUAAAGUUAAUAUUUGAUAUUUUUAGAAGUCAUAUAUUUAAAUACAUGGAAAUUAUUUUGAACAUAGCAUAUUAAAAUAAUUUUUUAGAAAACUUCUUGGGCGCCUGAGAAAAAAAUCUUGGCUCUGUCACUACAUGUAUCCCAUUUGGCGUUCUCCUUCUCCCUGGCAUAAAAGAUGAGAUUUGUUGACAAAAAGAGGGCAAGUUGGAGAAGAUGAGGUUACCAGAAUAACCAGCUUGCCUCUACUGCUGGAUGUAAAUUCUCGUCUUGUAUACCAUUUGCCACGAAUCCUUCAUAAUAGUUCCUCUUUUUUCCAAUCUAUCCUAAUUUUACAUCCAUUUUUCUCAUUAGUAUAUUCAAAUAUUUAACUUAAUUACAGGUUUAAAACCUCAAAGCUCUUCUGGAAGUUGAGGCUAGUUUAAAUUGGAUUAGACAAAUUUUUGUUUGAGUUAUGAUUUUUUUCUUCAAGGAGAACCUUUUAUUCUUUUUGGACCAUUUUUUCUUCAGGAGUCCCAAACUCCAUGAGGUUUUGGUUUUCGUAAUGAUUUCCGACACCUCAGAACUUUUUCAAACUCAAAAUACAUUAAAAUGAUUGAAUUGAUGGUUCAGAUGUUUGAACUGAGAAAGUCAAAACCAAUCACUCAUUUUGUUCAUCACUGGUCAGCCUUUCAAAAUAUUUUUAAAUGCUAAAGUUGUUCAAAAAGUCGAAUACUUUGAAAAAAAAAUCCACCCUGAAGUUUCUAGUAAUAUCAUUUAGCACUCCUAUAGUUCUAAAAGUAUCACUUACCUUCCCCACAAGUGAUGUGGCAAAAAUUCACCAUCGCAGCAUGCAAAGUGAAAGUAUUAGCCUCACAACUUAGGAUUAUUUGUUCUAAAAGAUUUUGGAAGGAAAAAAAAUAUAAAUUGACAAAUUAGAGUUUCUAUCUUAACAAUUUUUGGCACUUAAACCUUCAUACUUUUUUAGUCCUUCUAUGCCACCCAUAUAUUACAUUGUCCUCAAUAUUCUAAUAAUAAUUUAGACAAAAAAUGUAAAAAAAAAAACUUAGAUCAAUAAAGAUAAUUCCCAUUUAGGAGUUAAUUUUGCACUUAAACCCCCUUCCUACACUCCAAUUUUUUUUAAAGUCCUUCUAUACCAACUUUAUAUUAGAAUACCCUCCCUCCUCUAACAAUUAUUCGAAAAAAUUUUAGUAGACUAAGUACCAAAAUUUUAUACAACUAAAAAUUUGAUAUUCUAAAAAUUAUAUUUCACUUAAACACCCCUUUGAUCCACUUUGAAUACUCUAAUGACAAUCGUAUAUUAAAUAGCCAAAAAAGUUUUGAGGCAAAAAAGUUUAGAAGGGAAAAAAAACCAAAAUCCAUCAAAGAACGGUCAUCUUAACAAUUAUUUUUUACUUAAACUAUCCCUUCCCCUACCUUUUAGUUCUCCUGUGCCAACUUUAUAUUACUGAACUCUCUUAUUCCAACAAUUGUUUGCGCAAAAAGAAUCAAAUGCACUUAAGCAUCUUUUGAAUUAAAUACAAACUAAUAAAGAGUUUAAAGGUACUAUUACACACUCUAAUAGAAUGACAUGUAUCAUUAGCAGUGCAUCUAAUCCAGAAGCUGCUCAAGAGCACUCAUCUUGCCACCCAUUUCCCAUAGAACCUUCAGUCUGGCGGAUCUAAUCCCCUACUUUGCGCUUAAUUUAAAAGGUUGUCAACUAUGCUUUUUGGGCGACACCUUACUUCACAUAGUGUUGGGUCAGGAUUGGGAGUAGAUUAGGUAAUAUUGUAUCAACAAAAGAAAAAAAUAAGGACAAAAAAGACAAAGGCAACCUAGAUCCUUUGGAUCCACUAGUCCCGGUAGUAUACGACUAGGAGUAGAGUGCACCUUUUCAAUAACUCCUUUUCCAUAAUACAGGUACAGAUUAACCAAUAUCAUAUUUCGUUAAAAAAACAAAAAAGACAAAGACAAAGACAACCAAGACCCCUGAGAUCCAUCUAUCCCACAGUGUAAAAGUAAGCACAGGAGUAAAUUAGCAAACAUAGUGCUGAUUGAAAAAAAAAGGGAUAAUUUAAAAAAUCUCUCCUAAAAUUUCUGACAAUUUCAUUGAGCUCCCCUGAAGUUUAAAAAAUUACACAUAUCACCCUUGAUUUGAUAGUUUUAGUAACAAAAUUUUAAAAUAUUGACUUGGUCAAAUUUUUAAAUGAAUACCCAAAAAUGCCCUUGACAAUUAGGAUCAAAUUUUUCCUAUUUGUCAAGUAACUCGAGUACCCCCAAGAUUAAUUUAGUGGCCCAAUUUUUUCCGAUGAUCGAGUACUCUGACUCAUCAAAAAAUUCACAUUUCAAAAUCUAUCAACAUCAACCUUGUAAUCUCAAGUUUACAAGCAUCCCAAGAUCAAAAGGCAGGGUUCUAAUACCACUUUAGUGCAGAAAAGAUGCGUACAAGAGGAUAUUGGCACAUGUAAAAAUAUGCAGGACAAGAGGAGUUUAACAGCCAUAGAUAAAUAAAAGCACAUCUGAUUCACAUAUCGAGAUUGGCACAAAUUCUAGGCAGAAUUGCUUUUACAACAACCGCAACUCUCUUUAAAUUUUUUCUCGCCCUUGCCCCUUUGUAAUUCAGUAUAAUGCUAAAAUACCCUAUAUAGAGUUAACAUAACUUAGUAAUUAAGAAACUACUACAACAAGAAACUACCACAUAAUUACUCCGUACCCUAAACAACUAAAUUACUGAAACUUGGCUAUACUUGAAUAUGUCUAACCUAGAAAUAGGAAACAUCAACUAUUAGGAAGUUUGGUUUAAUUAUGCCAAUAAAAAGACAUAUUCUUCUGACCAUCACACUAUGUCAAAACGUGCAUGGGUUUCGUUGAUUUUAGCAAUGAUAACUGUUCCACAAAAAGCAAUGGCAAUGGCAAGGAUAAUUUCAUAUAUAAUGAUAGUGCAUAUAGUAACAACAAUGUAUGAGUGAAUGCCAUCUAAACUUGAUAUAAUGGCAGUGUAUAAUUUGAAUUUUGUUUCUUGAACAUGUAGCUUGCAAUAUUAUGGGAUAAUUUCAGAAAUCUCCACUAAGGUUAUUGACAAUUUCACUUGUCUCUCCUCAACUUUUGGAAAUCUCACAUACUCCUAGCAGACAAUUGGGACCUGUUGUUGACUAAAGGCGCAGCAAAAUACUUAUUUCUCACCUUUGGUGAUAUUAACUAAACAAUUUCUCACCUUCAAAUGUAAUUUGCAAAAAAUUAAGUCAAGUCUUAUUUCCACAACCUUGUAAUACGAUGCAAAAAGAAAAUGUUAAACAAACAAAAAUUAUUCUCACCCUUGAUUCUACUGCACCUUUCACAAGGGAAAAAAAAAAGCUGUUCUCUAAUUUUCUAUGAUUACUUUCUCUUCUAAGCUUUAAUUGACGCUCAUCAAGCCUUAUAUAUUUUAGUAUAACCUUCCAAGCUUUUAAUAAGAAACUUGUAACAUCAACAUUUUACAAAUUUAAAUUUUGAUAAACUUGUCUUGGUUGCUGGAAACUGUGGUCUAACUUUUUUAGCCUUUUUGCUUUUUUUUUUGGCCCAAAUUACUACUGCACUUUAUCUUUUGUGGAAAGAGAACAAGAUAGCCUAAAAACAAGAUGACAAUAUAGUUGAGGGUGAAAUAGUUGAUUUGGUGGUUACUGUUCGUGGGAAUAUUAUAUCGAACCAAAAAACAGGGUAAAAGGAAAAAAAUUCUCAGCUAGAACAAUCCUACUACUUUUAAGAUUGGAUAAUCUCUCUGUUCGCCUACAAAUUUUUAAGUAUUUUAAAAACAAUACAGUUUUUACAAAAAGGAGCAAAUAAACAUGAUAUUCUUUUUUGAAGCACAAAAUCAUUUUCUUGAAUUGCAUUCAACAUUUUUUAAACUAGCUUGAGAGAACAUAUUGUAUGUCUCAUUUCCUGUAACUCUUAACAGUGGUUGUUGUUUUUUAGGAAAAUUGAUAAAGUGAAUGAGCAAAAAAGUCCAAAUCUUUGUUUGAAUACAUGUAAAAGGUUCUUUUUAUUUGUUUGGACUUUUAUUCAGUUUUUUUUUAUUUUUUGUAAAUUACUUUUCAAAGCACUAUUAUUCAGCCAAAUCAUCAGCAAUGCAUUUAAUCAACUACAUUGAUAAAUAACCUAUAUUAAUGCAUUUCUUCUCAUCAUCACAUUAGGCAAUGGUGAAGACUGAAGCAUUUAUGUCUCUCCUUGAUUUGGUGCGAUCAUUCAACUCAUCAGGUUGGAUAUAAUUGCAUGUGUAUGUUAAUUCAGUUCAAUGAUAUAUAAUUACUGAUCAUGUCCCUUCUUCUUCAUCUGUACCAAAUUAUUUGGUUUGAACCUGAUGCAGCUGUAUUACUUUGUCAUUGCAGGGGCAAGCACAGUCAUGCAUUCUAUCAAGCCAACAUUAUCCAUCAUAAUCUGUUUGUAAAAUGUUCUCCAUGUUCCUUUCUGGUUUGAUGUUUAAUAAUGUACACUUUAUGAUCCAUCAUAAUCUGUUUGUAAAAUGUUCUCCAAGUUCUUUCCUGAUUUUGAUGUUUAAUACAGUGUUCACGAUCUCAAUUUUUCAAAUAUUCUUCAAUCCCGCUACAGAUUGAUAUGAUCCUUAAAACUAGCUUUUGUAGAAUGUUCUCCAUGUUCUUUUCUGAUUUGAUGUUUAACAGUGUUUAUGAUUUUUUGAGUGGAUAAUGAAACAAAACUGCGGCUUUGGAACUACGAAACGAAAAGAUGAGGCAUUCAGGCACUUGUUCUUUGCAUGCUCUUUUAUUUAUUUAUUUUUUUUGAGAUAAGAAGUAGACCUGUCAAUUGACUUGGGCUAACCCAAGUAACACCCCAUCAACCUCAAAUGUAGUAGGUUGUGCCUCAUGCAAUGCGGGCUGAGUUGAUGUGGACUAAACUAUUUUGCCUGAUUUAAAUGUGAACUGAAUUUUAGUUGUACUGAAUUUAAUCCACUUAAUUCUCAGUCCGAAUAAUAUGUAUACUAGAGCUCAUAGUGGGAAUUAAGAAGAUUUAUUUCUCUAAAUCCAGACAAAUAUUUGAAAUUUAGAUGCCUAAUUUUAUGAUAAAUUGUUCUUUUUCAAUUUCUAGUUGAUAGAUUUAUGGAUGUUAUAGUAAACUAUAUGAUUUUUUGUUAUAAAAUUUAAACUUUUAGAACAUCUAUGGAUUAGUUGGCUGUUUGGUUCAAUUAGAUUUUGUGAACGUUAAAAGUACAUGACAUGAAUUUGCGCCUAUCCGAAUUAGGCCAAGUGCCCUAUUUUUAUUUUGAGCCGAGCAUGAGUUACAAAAAUGUGAUUCUAGUUGAGUAGAAUUUGGAUUCAAAAAAAUGAUAUUUUAUGUCAACUGAGUUUAAGCAUCUUAACACCCAACUCACAUAGUCCAAUUGAUAGGAUAAGAAGGCAACUAAUUGAAAUAGAUUCAGCCAACGAAGGAAUACUUUGUGACUAAUGAAUGGAAAUUGCGUGAAAGUUUGUUGUUGCUUGAUUAAGCAACGUUGUACAUUAAAAUAUUUAGCUCUAAGUUCCGUCAUUAUGUCUUUAAUGUCAUGCAUUCUAUCAAAUUCUUUAGUUUUCAAUAUAGUUGGGUACACAUGAAAAAAAAAAAUUGAAGAGGGAUAUUUAAUAACUAUUGUACUAACAUUUAUGCAUAUCCACCAAAUUUUAGAUCCAUCUUAAAGAACACAAAUCCCAAUGUGGUAAUAGUUAAGAUUCCAAGAACGUAGGUGAGAAAAAAUUGAGCAAUAAAUAUCCUAUAGCUUCAAUUGUAUUUAUAAUAUCUAUACAAGAUCAAUUUCUUUAAAAUGACAGAAAUUCUAUUAGUAACAGUGAAAGAUUUUGGCUUUUGAUGAUCAUAUGGGGAACCAUAUGUCAUUUAAAUCUUGAGAAUAACUUUUUCUAAUGUUUUGAUAGAAUAUACUCUAUUAAUUAAGUAAUGGAAGCAAAUAUGAGUUUGAUUACUCUAUUAGUGUAAAAGAGUAUGGAUAUAAGCAUACAAAUAGUGAUUAGUUACUUAGGAAAUAUUGCUUUUUUUUUUAAUUAUUGGAUGUAUCGCUAAUUACUGAACUUUUGAUUGAUAUAACUUCCAAAGCUACUCUUUUUAAUGCUGUUUUCACUGUCUUGUUGGAAGUAUUAAAUUUUUUGGAUGAUUUUCUUUAUCUGGGGAGGUUUUUGCUAUUAUUUUCAAAUUCCUAUAUAAUUUCUUGUUCAAGUGAUACCAAUAAGACAGUUCAAAUUUCUGGAUUGUGAAUCACGUACUUUGCACGAAAAUUCUGGAUGACAAUGUUUCAUGCACAUUUUAAGAGUAAUUAAACAUGGUUUCAAGAAAGAUUAAAGUCCAAAAUGCAUAGCACUUCCGGUCUUCAACACUAAUGAUCUAGCUCAUUCAGUCCGACACAACAUCUCAAGAUCUUGGAAUCAAGAAUGUGCUCUUUUGAUUCUGUAGUUUUCUGAAUAGAAACGUAAACAAAUCAGGAAAUAUCUUCAAAGUUGUUGUACCCACGAAAUCAACCGCGGUAAAUCUUCUCAUAUUGGGCAGCAAUAAGAGGAAAAGAUCAUGAAUGAUUGUCGUUUUAGUGGUGAUAUGGAAGAUAUGAAUAAACGUAGUUUGUGAUUUUCCAAAAUUGACAAUGGAUAGUGGACGAGGAAAUUCUUAUGGAAACCAAAUGGGUAGGUUUGGAGCAGAGAGAGUCAUUAUUUCUGAUAACCAACCUAGAAGUUUAAGGGAAUUAUCAGAGUCAGAAAUUCGAGAUAUGCUGAUGGGAAAGGCUAGGAUUAAAAUCCACAAGAAGUUACAGGGAUAGAAUAUGGCUGCUGUACAAAAGUCUUCAGGUAAAGAGGCAAGGGAGAAGCCAACUUCAUCACUGCUCCGACGGAAUCAGUUGGAAGUCAAUUUCUUCUAUUAUAACUUUCUCAGACACAACUGCCACCUUUAGUACCCUGAGCUGGAUCAUGCACUAGGGAGCUUGCCUUCUGCUUCAACCAAUGGUCGAAACACAGAAGCAACUGAUAUUGUCACGCCUCGAACCCGCACGUGCCAGUCACGUGACAUCCGCCGUACCCUCAAGUCUCGCUCAAGAAUACAAGACAACAUCAUACUAUACUAAACUUUAAAAGUACUAAAUAAUAUAACUAGAUAAAGUUCGAUACAAAUCUCAUAUGAAGGAUAGUCUACGAAUAUCCAAUAAGUUCGUACAUUUAUUCUCUGAUUGAAACAACGGAAAUAAAAGUAAAUAAAACUAACAACUAGAAGUAGCUAGCCUGCUAACUUCUGUUCACUUAAAAACUAAUAAAAGUCAUCCUCAGGGUCUUCUACAUAAAUCAAUUCAUACUCUUCAGAAUCUGCAAAGAUGGUAAAAAAUGGGAUGAGCGACAAAUUGUUCAGUAGGUAAUAUUUACCUCUCUGUUGGACCAUGCACUCGUAACUUUAUAGAUACAUAUAUAGAUAUAAAUUAAAUCAUUUGCACAUCGUUUACAUUCAUAAUCUUGAAAGUAACGUUGUUUAUAAAACAUCAGUAAUAACGGAUGACGAACAAUUUAAAAGCAUCUUAUUGACAACUAUACAUGAAAAAUCACAAAGUCAUAAAUCAUUUCAUAUCAGUUCAUAAAUUACUUCAUAUCAAUUCAUAAGUCUCUUCAUAUCAGCUCAUAAAUCAAUUCAUAUCAACUCAUAACAAGUACAUGUAAUGAUCGGCUACUGAGUACUCAACCUAGAGAUUAAACCCCUUCUAGGUGGGCGACCAAUAGAUUUCAUGACUAUCGAUUGGUCUCAUUACAUACAUGGGUCAAUCGUUCUGACUUUAUAUCAAACUACCAUGAUCUUGUCAAUUGGUCGGACUCUAUACCAGGUUACCAUGACCAUUAGACAGAACUAUAACCCCUACUGUCUAUUCCAUGACCGUUUUGAGCUUUACUUGUCAUAAAAUCAUUUCAUAUGUCACAUACAUAGUUCUUUGAUUUCAUAAAAGAUGCAGCUCGUUUGGCAUAUAAUAAUAUAUAAAAAUAUUUCAAAUAAGUCACAUGGUCCAUUUUCGUAUAGUGAAAAUAUAACGUUUAUAAAUAUCCAAGUAAAGCAUUUAAUCAAAUACAUUUCGAGUCAACACAACAAAAUAUGAUUGACAACAAAAAUUGCAUUUUGCACAUUUGAAAUCUCAGAAGAGUAAAUACCACCUACCUUUGUCUGGCUGUUCGAGUGAGGCUACCUUAGGUCUUUUAAACUUAUGUCGUACCUAUCAAAUGCAUAGGUUUCCUAAUUAGUUGAUAUUUUUUAUAGAUGCAUAAAUAUACAAACUCUGAGCGAGUCGAAAAUUCAUGUCUAAACCAUUAUAUGACCCUAACAACAUUUUCUUUGAUUGGACGAUUUCUAUUUUUAGAAAGUUUUCUAAAUUGAAAAGUUUCUAUUUUUUAGAAAGUUUCUGAAUUUGGAAAGUUCUCCUUUUUGUAAAGUUUCUGAAUUUAAAAGAAAAUAAUUAUUCAUAAUCAUAUUUAUUAUCUUGCCUAUUAUCUUACUAUACAUAUUUAUAAUUUAUAAUUAUUCAUUAUUAUUAUUAUUAUCGUCCUCGUCGUCGCUACUUUAUUUUAUUACCAUUUUAUAUAUUUGUUAAUUAGUUACUAUUAUCUUUCGCUUUAUUUCCACUUUGUGUAUGUGUAGGUGUUAUUAUUAUUUAUGUAUAUAUGUAUGUAUAUAUUGACUUAUUAUUAUAACCAUUAGUGUUAUCGUUAGUAUUAUUAUUAUUAUUAUUAUUACGAUCUUAUGUGUUCCGUUUAACAACUAGGACUUAUCUUACAUUGUAUAAAUUACUCUAAUAAAGCUAGAUUAAGACGUUUUAAAUUUCUAUUUAAGUAUCUUAGACUUAAUCAAUUAAGUAUAAACUUAAAUGACUAAAUCUUUAAACUCCAAAAAUUAUUAUUUAGAUUGGGUUUUGAAAUUUAAUUCCUAUGUUAGUCCAUAAAAUGUGGACUAAUUAUACCUAAAAUUUAACUAUUGGACAUUCACUAAACUCAUACUAUAUUUUUGUUCCCAAAUAUAUAUUCUUGUCUUUUUUUUUUCAAAUUCUAUUAUUAUUUUUAUUAUUCUACUUGUGCUGGCAACCUCCUCUUUUUUUUUUUUUUCCGCUUAAGCUUCAGCAAUUCACAACUACAACACCCUCUUUCUUCUUCUUUUUUUUUUUAAAUAACUUUCCAACAAUUUGGUAAACCCUAUUCACCCCAUAAUUAAAAUUCAAUACCCUAAUCCUACUAAUCCAAACCUAAAUCUUCCUAAAUUUCUCAUACAGGCAUAUACAUAUAUAUAUAUAUAUAACAUAAUACAUAUAUGUAAAAUCUUUAAAAUGAUUAACGCAACUAAUAGAACUUAAAAGAGGAGUUUUCACACGAAUUUAGGACUUACGAGUUUAGGUGCCUAACUGCCUGAUUGAUCAACAGUGACGCCUUCUUCUCCCCCUCUACUUUCUGACGGCUCUUACUCUAAAGGGAGGCAGACAAUGAAAGGUAGGAAUAAUGUUAUUUUUUGCUUUAUUGUUUUGAUAAGUGUGCUAAACCCUAGUAACCACCCACCAUUUGGUGGUUUAGACAAGAGUUCUAACUGUUGUGAACUUUUACCCUAUCUUAUCUCAUUCCUAUCCCCCAAUUAACCCUUUAACCUAUCUUAUAAUUAUUUUUUUACUUUGACUCAUGGUAAAUUACCAUUUAAUUAAUUGGGCAAGGAUAAAAAAAUGAUCCCAAAAUCGUGGGUUUUACAGAUAUGUUCAUGACGAUGGAUGUGGCUGAUCCGGAUUUGACAAAGAUAGUGUGGAAGAAUCAUUUGCUGAAAACCCGGUUUGGGCUGCAUAUGACAAUGAGGUGGUGUGCCUUGCUUUUAUGCUAUUAUUCAUGAAGCCUUGCCCAGAAAGCCCUUUAAAGUUAGGAUUAGCUGGUUGAACUCCAAAAGCAACAGCGAAUUGAACUUGGUCCAUUAAAUUGGUGUGAGUUGUGGUUUUGCUAAACUUGCAAAACUAAUUGCCAUAAUGGUUGGUUCUGAUUUUACAAAAUUGAGAAUUUUGAUACCAAUUGUGAUAUAGGGAAAUUCUUUUUAAAAAAAAAUUGAAGAUAAAGUCGAUGAUAAUAAUUGAAUUAUCCAAUUAAGUAUGGAAUUUUGUGGUUAAAUUCUAAUUCAGUUUGGAGUCUGGAACAGAUGAAUUUGAAACUAAAAAGUGAGAUAUCGAGCUUUCAGUUAUCCAAGGAAGCCGACUUGAAAUUUACCAAUCAUUGUUUGAUCAAUUGUCUACGGGUGUGAAAUGUUCAGGAAUAGUGAGAACCAAAAGAAACUGAUUGUUUGAGUUGGUGUUCGGUUUUGCCGAAUUUGGAAGGAAUGCAUGAGCGCUCACCCUACCAACUGCAUAGGUUGUUUUCUUAAAACUCAAUACUCCUCUCUUAGAUUUUCCGUUUUUUAUUUGAACCAAUUCAAAUCCACUUUUUCUUUCUUUAUUUUUAUCCCAUAGAAGAAGGGUUCUUCUGGAAUUUAAUUGCAAAGGAGGGAUUUUAACACUGCUACCCAUUAUUCCAAUUCUUGAAGCAUCCGAGAAAACCCCUCAAGAAAAAAAUAUUUUCGGAGUGGAUGAUGAAACAAAGUUGCAGCUUUGAGGUCUACGGGUAGUAUAGUAAUAGGCUUUUCGGUACUUCUUGUUGGGCUUUACUUGGUUAAGAAGGGCAACUCUACAACGGAUUCAGCCGAGGAAUGAAAACCUUUUGCAAAAACCUGUUGUUGAAUGAUUGAGCAACAUUAAACCUUUAAAUAUGAACUCCGGAUGUAGCCAUUAUGUCGUUAAUUUCAUGACAAUCUAUGUUGAAUUUUUGUACAAAAGUUCUUUCGUGUGGCAAUAUCCUAAAUAAAAAUAAGGGUAAGUAACCUUUUACCCAUUGUGUUAGGUUCUUAAUCAUAUCAUUCUUCUCCCUCGUUCCGCCUCUCCCCCACUCUUAUGGUUUUAAAAUUUAUACACAUCCUCCUCAUAAUUUAGGUUAAACUGUCACCAUUAAUUUUCUAUUAAAAUUAGCCGUCAAUAUUAAAAAAGUCAAAAUCAAACCAAUAAAUUAAUAAAUUCACCAUUUCUUAAUUUUUUCCAAGAACAAAAGAGAAGAAAGAAAAUUAAGGAAAAAGACAAAUAAGAAUUAGAAAAUACAAAAUCUUUAAUUAUUGCAAAUAUUUUAAACCAAAUCUUUAAUGAUUACAAAUCUUUGAUGGUAUUUUCUAUUUCUUAUUUAUAUAUUUUUAUUUCCCUUUAUUUUUUUUUUGUAUUUGGAAAAAUUAGGAUUUAGUAUGCCAACGUACAAAUUAUUUCUAAAUCAUCUCUUCUUUUCCCAAAGGGAAAAAACAAAAAACAAAAAAGGGGAAAAAAAGAAAAAAGUUAGUGAAAAGCUAUAUUUGUCAAUCCAUUAGUUUUGGAUUUGACUUUUUGAUAUUAAUUGUUAGUUUUAACCAAAAAACUAACAGUUAUGUUUUAACAAAAACUACAGAGGUUUUAUGUGGUAAAACAACAAACUACAUAAGGGGUAAAGGAUAAUUUACCCUUAAAAUAAUUACUUUCAAUUGGUUCAAUAAUUUACUAUACGAAACAGUGGUAGAGCCACAUUCAGUUGAAGGGGAUAUGCAUUUGCAGCCACCCAAUUUUUUAGAAACUAUAAAAUAGCCCAUAAAUUUUUUUUUAAAAAAAAUUAUAGUAUUGCCCCAUUUUUGCUGUUCUGAAUUUUGGUAGCAUUCCCUUUAACGUCAUAAUUGUCCCCCAAAAUUGUUCAAAUCUUCAAUAAUUGUCUUCUCCAUUUCCACAAUGGUAAAUCUUGAACUAUAAUAUAUUACAUGAUACUAUUUUUCCCUUUUUAUUAAAUGUAUUUUUUUGUAAGCAAAUGCUAUUUAUUUAAUAUUUAGCUUUUCUUACAUGUAUAUUUCAUACAAAUUACAAGCCAACCAAAUAUUCAUUUUACAGUUCGAUUGUGUGUAAAUUAUUUGCCAAUUGUACAUCUUAAUUAUAAUACAUAUCUUGUAUUCUUAUGCAUAAUUUUAUACCAUUGGAUGAGUUGAAAAAUAAUGAAUCCCAAGUUGCAUGUUUGCUAUAAUAAAUAUUUAGUCAUUUCAAAAAUCUACAAACCAACACGUUAUAAGUCUAAAUUAAUAUUAUUACACCUCUUGAAUAAAAAGGUUUGGCUACGUCACUGCUACAAAGCCAUGUAGCCAAACACAAGUUAUAUUAUCUCUAUUAGUAUAUAGAAAUAUGUAAAUAAAUACUAUUUUGAUGAAACUUGGAAAUCAUUAUAAUUGUGAAUAACACAAAUUAGAAAAUAAACACAUCCAAUCUUUCAAGUAUUACGAUUAAAAUAGUUCAAGGAUACAUUUGAAAAAGGGUAAGGCUAUUAGAAGAGAUUGUGAGGUUGUUUUGUGAUUCUAUUUGAUAAGUUUAGGUACAGGAAAACUAGAGACUUGACUGUGUUGGAUGCAUAUAGUGUUUGUUACAAAGCUAGUAAAAUUUUCAGGCCCUUGUCGAUAGUAAAUUGGGCAUCGUCAUUGUAAAUCACUCUUUCGCACGAUUCGUACCUAUGGUUUUUUCACAAGUUCUAGGUUUUGGAGACUUGUAGAUUUCAUUUUUUUCCUUGUUUUUUAUGGAAAACUUGUGGAACUUUUAUUAAUAAGUGCGUCAAUAAUCUUUUGUUAGGACUGGUCCCAUUUUCAAGAAAUUAAUCAACUAGAAUAAUAAGACUCUUGACAAUUCAAUAAAAACAAUAACAAAGUAAAUCAAACAAAGAAACACCAAAAUUUAUAUAAUUUAAUAAAAUGACUUGCAUUCACGGGCGAAAGGGUGACAAAUUUAUUAUAAUAGAUAGGAUACAAAACCCUAGAAAAGAGUUUCUACACCUAAAAGCACCCAAUAUCAAAAGUACAAGAAGAGAAUUCAAAAUCACACAAAAGGUUUAACAGUCUAAAGGCCCAAAUAACUCACUAACUGGCUAUCUUAAUUUGGCAUUUAACUUAAAAACCUCUCUUAAAUUAGGCAUCACAGCUGCCACCAUUUGUACCCUUGAGCCAGAUCAUGCAUUGGGGAGCUUGCCUAGUUGUCUUUUGCUUCAACCAAUGGUUCAAACAUAGAAGCAACUGAUAUUAUGACAAUGGAUGUGCCUGAUCCGGAGUUUGACAGAGACACAGAGGAAGAAUCAUUUGCCGGCUUUCAUGCCAAUGAGGAUGGCAUGCCUGGCUUUCAUGCUAUUAUUCAUGAAGCCUUGUCCAGAAAGCCCUUCAAAGUUUGGAUUAGCUGGUUGAGCUCCAAAAGCAACAGCGACUUUGGUCCAUUAAAUUGGGUGGGUUGGGCUUUUGCUAAAAAAGUUUUCUUUUAGGCCUCUUGGUGAUGAAAUGGGUGUUUGCUUCCAGAGGAAACUUUCAAUAUUGUCUUUCAUAAAAUGGCAGUGAAUCACGUACUAUGCAUGAGUCUUGUGAUCACAAUUUUUAUGCAAUUAUUUAUUUUAAUGGAAAAAAUGAAUUUCCUUAAUUCAAUGGAGACAUUCUUUGCAAAUCACAAAAUUUAUACAAGUUUUAAUGCAAAUUCUACCGUCCCUUUUGGAUAUCAUAUUGAUACUGAUGAUUAUCAUUUAAUAAAUUCUUAUCACAUCAUUCAAUAAUUUAAACUUUUAAAACUAUCUAAGGAUUGAUAUCUGUCUUUAUACAUUCAACGGUAUAUUGAUACGUGAUAUCCAAAAGUUACAGUAGAACUCUCCGAAGAAAGUAAGGUUAUUAGAAAGGAUCACGAGGUUUGUUUUGUGAUUCCAUUUGAUAAGUUUAGCUACAGGACAACUAGAGACUUAACUAUGUAGAAUGCACAUGAUUAUUUUGUCACAAAACUAGUAAAAUUUUCACGUAGAAUAUUGGUCUUAGUAACUGUAAAUCACAUCUUUCGCACGAUUCGUACCAAUGGAUUUUCACAAGUUCCAGGAUUUGGAGACAUUUCGAUGUCAUUUUUCUUUUUUUUUUUUUCAAGGAAAUCUUGUUGAACUUGUUUUAACAUGUAUGUGAACAAUCUUUUACUCUCCAAGGCAACACCGGAGUCCAGAAUCUACCACCUUCUGCAUGGCAUCUAACUUAAUAAAACCAAACAAAAAACAGAACCGCUGACUGCUAACUAUUCUUUUAGUCUAUCACAGAACACCAAUUAAAGAAAGAUAUGUGGAUCAAAACAUAAACCAAAACAAAGUUCCUAUUCUCAAAAAAGAAUAAAUUUUUGGUGUUUUCUUAUAAUGUGUGUUCCAGUAAUUCUUAAUCUCGUUGUCUGUCCUCUUUGGCAGGGAUGGACACGGAUGGAAAUAAGGUGCAGGCAAGGGCAGUUAGGCCACCAAAAACUUUCCGAAUAGUUAUUUAAAGGAUGAGGCUUUCUACCAAAAAUUGGUUAAUUUUAUUUUGCACCUCUCCAUAAAAGUAGUAUGAUUUAGCAAAAUAAGGAAAUUAAAUAGAAGGAAACAAAAGAUAAACCAAAGCAAAUUUAACUUCUACUACAAUUUGUAUAUAUUGAGUUGACUUCAAUUAACACUCGUAUGUUAGUCAAAAACAAUUACCGAAUGCCAGGAGUUCUUCUAAAAUUCGUACUUUUGACAAUUAACCCUCCUCAGAUAGCAUUCUUGUCUUUUCAAGCAUCCAUUUUUUCACAAACUCCAUUAUUACAAGGCAAGUUUUUGUUUUUUCCUACAAACUCCAUUGUUGCAAGGCAAGUUUUUUUCCUUGAAAAUUUCUCCCAUCAUAAUUUACCGUCCAUAGUAAAAGUUGAAUGUAUAUUUUCUGCCAUGCAAAUUAUGAAGAGUCGACAGGCCAUAAGAUGAAUGAUGAUUUUCUUGAUGACAUACAUUGAGAAAGAACUAGUUCUAUUUAUUCAUUUAUUUAUUUGUACACUUAAUCAAAUAAAUGGGUGUUGAGUCAAUUUUGCAUGCCUAGCAUUAAUAGGAAAUAGAAUGAUAUUUUGUAUUUUACUCCAAAUUUGGCUUUCUGAGAAACAAUUGCCACCAUUAGUACCCCUGAACCAGAUCAUGCACUAGGGAGCUUGACAAAGACAGCGUGGAAGAGUCAUUUGCUGAAAACCAGGUUUGGGCUGCAUAUGACAAUAGGGAUGGUAUGCCGUGUUUUUAUGCUUUCAUUCAUGAAGUCCUCUCUAGGAAGUCCCUUUAAAGUUAGGAUUAGCUGGUUGAACUCCAAAAGCAACAGCGAAUUUGGUCCAUUAAAUUGGUGUGGGUUGUGGAUUUGCUAAAACUUGCUAAACCAAUUGCCAUAAUAGUUGGUUGUGAUUUUAAAAAAUUGAGAAUUUUGACACCAAUUGUGAUAUAGGGAAGUUUUAAAAAAAAGGGUAAAAAAUAAAAAAGCCCCCUGUGGUAAACCUAAUACAUAGAAAAGCCCCUUAUGGUUUCAAAAUAUACAACACGGCAUCUCAUGCUUUGAACUAAAUUGUAAAAGUGACGGAAUCCGCCAAAUUUAACGGAAAUGACUUAUUGGAACCUAAAAAAAAUGUUUAUACCUAAUUUUUAUCAAAUAUACUUAUUCUACCCCUUAACCCUCAAUUCUCUCUAUUUAGAGAAUAAAACAAAUGAUUUUUUUGAGUUGUCUUUUGCUUUAUUAUAUCAGGGCAUUUUGGUCAUUUUGUUCAUUUUCGUUAAGUUUAACGGAUUCCGUCACUUUUAUAAUUUAGUUCAAAGCAUGAGGGGUCGUGUUUUAUAUUUUGAAAUCAUAGGGGGCUUUUCUGUGUAUUAGGUUUAGCACAGGGGGCUUUUUGGUUUUUUACCCUAAAAAAAAUUGAAGAUAAAGUCUAUCAUAGAAAUUGAAUUGUUGAAUCAAGGAUGGAAUUUGUAAGGAGGCUAAAAUAUUCAAGAUAAAGUCAGCCAUAGAAAUUGAACAAAUAUUUCGCAGAUGCUAUAGAGAUUUUAAUAAAGUUGAUUCUUAGUGAAUCACGCACAACGCACGACUCUUCAUGAUCACAAGUUCUAUGCUAUUUUUCUUUUCUUUUUGGAAAACUGAAUUUCCUUAAUUCAAUAUUGGAGACAUAUCUACGCAAAUUGCAGAAUUUAUGCAAGUUUUACUGCAAAUUAUACAACUAUUCAAAACAUGGAUGGUUUCGACUUAAUCUCAAAUAAUUAAUUUUUAUACACUGUCAGUGUAUACACCAUCACCAUUGGAUGCAUACAACUCAUCUAAAUUUAAAUUUUACUCAUGUGUCAUGUAUUCAACUAUGAUAGUGUAUACACUGUUAGUGUAUAUAUGAGUUACUCAUAAAACUUUGUCAAAUUCUAAUUCAGUUUGGAGUUUUGACCAGAUGAAUUUGUAGAUAAAAAGUGAGAUAGAGAGUUUUUAGUUAUCCAAGGAAACCGGUUUGAAAUUCAUAAAGGGAUAAUUCAAAGACCUCCUCUGAUAAAAAGUCAAAAUCAAACUAAUAAAUUGACAAGUUCACUAUUUCAUUACUUAAUUUUUCUUGAAAAGAGAAGAAGUGAAAAUUAAAAAAAAAAGAUAAAUGAGAAAUACAAAAUGUAAAGUCUUUAAUAACUACAAAUAUCAUUAUAGGAUUUUAAACCAAAUCUUUAAUGGUAUCCUCUAUUUCUUGUUUAUCUAUUUUUAUUUUCCUUUCCUUUUUUUGUACUUGGUAAAGAUUAAGAUUUAGCAGGUCAAAAUACAAUUUUUUUAAAAACAUCUAAUCUCUUCCCAAGGGAAAAAAGAAAAAGAGAAAGAAAAGAAAAAAGGUAAAAGAUAGUGAAAGGAUAAUUUGUUAAUUUAUUAGUUUGCUUUGACUUUUUAAUAUUGAUCAUUAGUUUCAACGAUCAUGUAACUUUAAUUUAAACCAUAAGAAGAUUAUGUAUAGGAUUUUAAACUAUAGGGUGUUACGUGGAAAUUCUUAUAGAAACCAAAUGGGUAGGUUUGGAGCAGAGAAAGUCAAAAAUUUAAGGGAAUUAUCAGGCUAGAAGUUUAAGGGAAUUAUCACAGUCAGAAAUUCGAGAUAUGCUGAUGGGAAAGGCUAGGAUUGAAAUGCACAAGAAGUUGCAGGAAUGGAAUAUGGCUGCUGUACAAAAGUCUUUAGGUAAAGAAGCAAGGGAAAAGCCAACUUCAAUAAUGCUCUGACAGAAUCUGUUGGAAGUCAAUUUCUUGAUGACAACUUUCUUAGACAAAACUGCCACCAUUAGUACCCCUGAGCCAGGUGCACUAGGGAGCUUGCCUUCUGCUUCAACCAAUGGCUCAAACACAGAAGCUACUGAUCCGGAGUGGCUGAUCCGGAGUUUAACAAACACAGAGUGGAAGAAUCAUAUACUGAAAACCGGGUUUGGGAUGCAUAUGACAACGAGAAUGGUAUGCCUCGCUUUUAUGCUAUCAUUCAUGAAGUCUUGUCUAAGAAGCCCUUUAAAGAUAGGAUUAGCUGGUUGAACUCCAAAAGCAACAGCGAAUUUGGUCCAUUAAAUUGGGUGGGUUGUAGCUUUGCUAAAAAAAAAUUUUCUUUUAGUCCUCUAGGUGAUGAAAUGGGUGUUUGCUUCGGGAAGAAACUUUCAAUGAUCUUCUCUUCAUAAACUAGCAGUGAAUCACGCACUACGCACGACUCUUCAUGAUCACAAGUUCUAUGCAAUUUGCUUUUUAAGAAAACUGAAUUUCCUUAAUCCAAUUCAAUGGAGUCAUAUCUCUGCAAAUUGCAGAAUUUAUACAAGUUUUAAUGCAAAAUAUACAACUAUUAGUAUUACUAAUUUGUACACUUACUAUAUUAUUGUAAUUAUCUUUUACUUAUAAUUUCAUUCUUGUAUUAUUUAUAUACACUAUUAGAAAGUUCAAAAUAGAAUGUGUUGCAUAAAAAACUAAUAUAUGCUUGUCAUAAUAAAAAAAAGUAUAUAUUGCUAGCAAUUUGACUAUUUGAAAAAAUAUUAGCAAACUAGAACUUUAAAUAACUUAAUAUUUAAAGCUAUAUCCCAAAAAAUAAAAUAACUAAUUGUUUUAUUUACUUUUUUAUGUAAAAUUGAUUAACCACUAUAUUAUUAUGGUUUUUCAACUCAUUACUGUUGUUAUUAAAAUGUAAUUCAGUCUAAAUUCUAGCCUUAUUAAUUUAAAUAAUAUGUGACAUAGUUUAUGUAUAUAGAUAACAUAUAUGUUGUUGUAGCAUAGAUUUUAUGAUAAUAUUACUUUCAGUAAAAAAGAUAGAAACAAAUGAAGAUGAUGUUUAAGAAAAUUAAAAUUAAUACAUGGAUAAUACUAGUAAAGAGAAGAAAGUAGUUGAUCACAUGAGAAAAUGGAGAAAAGUUUAAAAAAUAUAUAAAGAAAAUGGACAGGUAGAAAAAAGGAAAAAGAAAAAGAAAAAGAAAAUAAAAUAAUAAUUAGUAUAGAAGAGGCACUUGUGUCCUAAAGCAUAAAAUUGGAGGGCAAAGUGCCAAUUUAUUGAGUUGAGAAGGGUAAGGUGCAAUUGAGAAUAAAGUUCAGGGAAUUUAAUGCUUUUAACCCUAAAAUAAAACAUGGCUUCAACUUUCAACUUCCAACAAAAUUCUGAAUUUAAUUGCCAAAAUGAAGCUUCUUGAAUUUAUUGCAAAUGAGGGUAUUCAACAGUACCGCUGAUCGUGUCAAAAUCAAUCAAAUACAAACAUUGCCAAGUUUUUGUAAUCUUGCAUCUCAACCAUAGAAGGAUGAUACAAACAUUACAAAGAACUCCAAUUCUGCCUGCUUUGACACCUUGUCUCUUGGAGCAUCAAGCCGUGAUAGAGGGACAAAGUUUUGUUAGCCUUUGCGACAUUGUUCAUUUCCUCAUCAAGUAUCCACUAAUAGAGAAGCUACACAUUGACCUGAGCCUAUCCGACUUUAAUCUUUUAAUUUUGUUAAAUUUGAUUCCGUGCAAAUUACUUGUAAUAUAUAUAUUCUUAAGAAUCAUAACUCUAUUGCAUAUAUUUAGUCUACAAUAUCAUACAAAAUUGACGUUUGUGUAUUUUAUGCUUGCCAUUAUACAUCACGUUACUGAACAAAUAAAAUGCAUUAUUCCUAAUUGAAUUCUUUCUGCAAUUACUUUUUGUAAAAAAUCUUUGAAGUUUUUUUCACACCCUCAAUGCUACUUGUUAAUUGUCCUUUAGAAUAAGGGCUUUUUCAGAAUUUUAAUUGCAAAGUAUAGUUUUCACCAUUGCUGCCCAUCAUUCCAACUCUUGAAGGAUCUAGAGCAAAAAACUUUACACUCGUUGAUUCAGAAUUUCACCUCCGGAAGACUAAGUACAAAAUGCACCUUCUCUGGGGUGUUUUUUUAUCUUAACCACAGGUAAAAUUCUAGAGUAAAUUCCUCUAGGAAAAAGCCUUUUGGAGUGGAUUAUGAAACAAAAAUAUCGCUUUGUCUUCGCAUACCUUUUUUUUUUCUUUUUUGAGAUAAGAAGGGGAACUAAUUGCAAUGGAUUCAGCCAACGGAGGACUAUUUGUGAUUAAGCUAUGAAAAAUGUGUGGAAGUUUGUUGUUCUUUGAUUAAGCAACAUUGUACAUUAAAACUUUAGCUUUAAAUUUAGUCAUUAUGCCUUUCAUGUAAUGCAUUCUACCAAAGUUCUUUCUUUUUCAAUAUAGUUGCAUAAACAUGAAAUAAAUUCCGAAUUCAUGAAUAUAGUAAAUUAAAAAAAUUGAGAAACAAAUUUACUAUAACUUCAAAUUUACUAUAGUCUUCAAUUGUAUUUAUAAUAGCUAUACAAGAUUAAUUUCUAUAAAAUGACAGAAAUUCUAUAUUAGCAACAAUGAAAGAUUUUGGUUUUUUGUUUCUUAGCUAUUGGGAACCAUAUCUCACUUGAAACUUGAGAAUAGUUUUUUCUAAUGAUUUGACAGAUCAUACUUUAUUAAUUAAGUAAUGGAGGCAAAUACGAGCUAGAUUAUUCCCAUUAGCAUAAAGAAUAUAAACAUAAGCCUACAAAUAGUGACUAUUUUGGUGAAACUUAGGAAAUAUUGCUAUUUUUUUUAUUGGAUGUAUCACAAAUUACUGAAUUUUUUUUAUUGAUAUGACUGUGAAAGUUAUUUCGGUUUAAUGAUUGUUUUCACUGUUUUCUUGGAACUAUUAAAUUUGUUGGAUGCUUUUCUUUUCUAGGGAGGUUUUGCAGACCUUGUAAUUUCUUUGUUAUUAAAUUCCUAUAUAAUUUCUUUUUCAAUUGAUACCAAUAAGACACUUCAAAAUUACUAAAAAGGUGAGGUUAUUAGAAGAGAUCUUGUGGUUAUUUAGGCAAAGCACUACCUCUUACCCUACCACUAUAACAAGAUUAAAUAAAAAAAAAAAGAAAGAAGAAACAGUAUCCAUAACUUGUAAAUCACGUAUUUUGCACGAUUCAACUGAUUAAGGCAAUUCCUUGCCUAUGCAUAUGUGUUCUACAGUAAUAGCAGUGAACUAGGAUGUAUGUUGCUAAUAUUCUGAAAAACAAAAGGCAAUUGCUGCCUCCCGUGAGCUCUCCAGACGGUUUUAAGGGAUGAUAGUAACAAUAAGUAUAUUGUAACAUGUAGGACUUGUUUGAUGGGCUGAAUAUAAACAUAAGGUAGGAAUAAAAUUGUGCGACUGGAAUGGCGCUAUAUAUGUUGUCUCAUGUUACUGUGUGAAUAUUGAACGGUACUAAGAGAAAAAGAUCAUGAACAAUUGCUGUUUUAAUGGCGAUAUGGAAGAUAUGAAUAAAAGUAGUUGUGAUUUUAGAAAAUUGAGAAUGGACAGUGGACGCGAAAGUUCUUAUAAAAGCCAAAUGGGUAGGUUUGGAGCAGAGCAAGUCAUUAUGUUUGAUAACCAGCCUAAAAAGUUUAAGGGAAUCAUCACAGUCAGAAAUUUGAGAUAUGUUGAUGGGAAAGGCAAGGAUAGAAAUCCACAAGAAGUUACAGGAAUGGAAUAUGGUUUCUAUACAGAAGUCUUCAGGUAAAGAAGCAGGGAAGAAGCCAACUUCAAUAAUGCUCCGAAAGAAUCUGUUGCAAGUGGCAUGAAGAAGGCUAGGAAACGCUUUGAUUUUUGGUGCCAAUACUUUCACUACACCCCAAAAAGUCAUCAGUUUCUUCUAUAAUAACUUUCUCAAACACAGCUACCACCAUUAGUGCCCCUGAGCCAGAUCAUGCACUGGAGAGCUUGCCUUCUGCUUCAACAGAUGGUUCAAAGUUCAAACAGGGAAGCUAUGAUAUUAUUAUGACAAUGGAUGUGCCUGAUUCGGAGUUUGACACAGACAAAGAGGUGCUCAUGACAAUGAGGAUGGCAUGCCUGGCUUUCAUGCUAUUAUUCAUGAAGUCUUGUCCAGAAAGCCCUUUAUAGUUAGGAUUUCUAGUUGAACUCCAAAAGCAACAGCGAACAUGGCCCAUUAAAUUAGGUGGGUUGUGAUUUUUAUAAAACUUGCUAUACCAAUUUGUCACAAUGGUUGGUUCUGAUUUUACAAAAUUGAGAAUUUUGAUACCAAUUGAAAUAUAGGGAAGUUUAAAAAAAAUUGAAGAUAAAGUCGAUGAUAAUAAUUGAAUUGUAUAAUUGCGUGUGAAAUUUGUAAGGAGGCUAAAAAAUUAAAGAUAAAGUCAACAGUAGAAAUUGAACAAAUAUUUGGAAGAUGCUAGAGAAAUUUUAAUAGGUGAAUCACGCAUGAUGCAUGACUCUUCAUGAUCACAAGUUCUAUGCAACUUUUUUGUUUUCAGAAAACUGAAUUUCCUUAACUCAAUUCAAUGGAGACAUAUCUCUGCAAAUUGCAGAAUUUGUACAAGUUUUAAUGCAAAUUAUACAACUAUUCAAAACAUGGAUGGCUUCGACUUAAUGUCUUUCAAUUGGCUCAAUAAUUUACUCUACUAAGCAAUGUAGCCAAAUACAAGUUAGAUUAUUUCUAUUAGUGCAUAAAAACAUGUAAAUAAAUACUAUUAUGUUGAAACUUGGGAAUCAUUAGAAUUGUGAAUAACACGCAUUAAAAAAAUAAAUACAUGCAUUCUUUCAAGUACUACGAAUAAAAUAGUUCAAAGACGCAUUAAAAAAUUGUUGACAAAAAAAUUAAACCAAGCUGAUUUGUUAUUUGGUAACUAGAUUAGAAUUUGCAUUAAAAUUGAUUUAGAAAAUAUAGUUGAGCUGUGUUUAGAUAGGGAUGACAACGUGGGCGGGCACCCGCGGGGGAUCAUUGGGGCGGGGGGUGGGACCGGGGGGGAGGGGGAAUUUUUUUCCCCAUUUAGAAACAGGGAAGGCCCCCGCCCCGCCACCUGUUUGAAAAAAUAUAUAUAUAUAUGAUUAUGUACAUAAUUAUAUAUAUAAUGAUAUUAUCAAUUAUACUAUUAAUUAUACAUGUCUAUUAAUAAAAAUUAUUAAUUAUUUAUACUAAAUUUAUUAAUACAUUUAUGUUAAAUUCCUAACUACACUUAAUACAAUAACACUUUUUCUAAAAAAAACACAAUAAUAAUUUAGUGAUUGUAUUUGUAUCAAAAGUGAAAACUUGAUUAUUUUAGUUAUAUUUGUUUUAUCAUAUUAGAUUGUAUUCAAAUAACCUUUGUUUAAUUAUUUUUAUGAGUUUCAAUUGUAAAAUUACAAUGAAUAAUAAUUUGGUGAUGUGUUGAUAUUUUAGUACUUGAUUAUUUGCUCAAAUUUAAUUAUAAUAAAAUUUUUUUAACCCCACGGGUACCCCCUCGGGGGAAGCGGGGCGGGGGUUGGGGGAGGUGUCCCCCGCCCCAUUGCCACGCCUAUGUUUAGAUAUUAAUAUUGGAAUAGGUGUUAUGCUAUUAUGUGUCUAUUUAAAGACUUGAGUUCAACUUUUGUUAUUGAGAGAGUUGUGAUAUUUGAGUUACAAAAUUAUUUCCUCUCCAGCAUAAUACUUUGCCUUCCUCCAUCCGUAAGAGUGAUUAGACAAUUGAGAGCAUGAAACUUUGGGUUUACCAGGCAAAAAGUAUUAUACAACUCAUCAAAGUUGUUCUGAAAAGGAGUUCAAGAGAGGAUUAUCUUUCAUUUUGUCUUGACUCCUGUCAAAACCUUCCACACAAGACUCUGUUGAUUGCGAGGUGGGUGCCCUUCGUCAAGAACCACAAGACUAGGCAGUUGAAGAAAGAUUUCCAAAGGUCGUAUUGGGAUUGAAAUUUUCUGAAGUUUUUGUAAAAAAAAUACCUUAACGAUUUGAUAUAUGUGAGAUAAAAAAGUGAUUAAAAAAUAUGUUCACGGAAAAUAUAAAGAUUUUUUGAUGAAAAAUUCCUUUCCAAACAAGGCCGUGUUAUUAAGUCUUUCAUCACUUCCUUUUUCCUUCCGUCCACUAGCAAUCUGCCCAAUUAACUGAUUCCAAGAGCACUUUUAUCCUUUGUCCAAGAGUACAGCUUUGUCAUUCGACUUCCAACUCUCCGAAGAAAUUCUGCAUCAGUUUUGAGUUCGUUUCCUGACAAGUCCUUGCUAUGAAAGUUAUGAAAAGGAAUUCUAUAUCCCCAUUUUCGGAACUCAUUUUUCCAAAUAAGCAGCAUGCUUGUAGGAGCUAUAAUCAAGAGCCAGCACAUUGGAUAUAUUUUUAACAAUGACAAAAUGAGAACAAUUGUCAGGCAAGUCUUCCCUGUGCCAGGGGCAUGUGAUAUUAUGGCUCCUCUUCCAUCAUCAGACAGUUCAGUUUUCAGCUUCUCAAUACAAUACAAAUUUCUCCUACCAUGCUUUUCCACAAGAAGACAAAUCCAUUCAGUUGAUGACUAUACAUUGACGUUCUAAUAUCAUCGAGAAUAAGAUCCAGUACAGAACCUUCAACAUGAAUGGAGGUGUAGUAGUUUCCAGAGGCUAACUGAUACGCUCCUCGAUCCACGGUCGAGACACGUAGCACGUUUGCCCAAGGAUCUAGCGGGGAUGUCCAACGGUUGGAUUGCGGAACCUAUAAUCAAACGGACAACACGACUUGAUUGAAGGUGGUAGACGACACUCCGAUGAAGGUGAAUACUCCAGGGGAAUAGGUCGGUAGAACAAUCUAGGACGGGACGCAAGAUUGUUCAAAACCCUUGCCAAAGCAAGUAAAGUGCUCGACCUCUCUUCUUAGAAGAAGGAACGAAUUAAACCAAUUUUAUUGAUAAAACGACUACCCUUAAACCUUACAAAGCAAGCCUAUUUAUAGGCUAAAGUGACUAAAACCCUAAAUGCUAGGAAAAGGAAAAAGUCGGCCCAUGUUUUUGGAACAAGAUGGGCCGGCCCAUGCUCUUACUUAAUCAUUAACUAAUUGCUAACUAAUUGAUGGGGCUUAAGGCCUUAUUCUCUUGGUGGCCCGCUUGACUCUUCGUGGACUUGGAUCAUGGUGUAAAUGACUCGAUUGUCUCUCUCCAAGCCCUCAAUAUCUUAAUGAACUCCAUGUUGGUCUUGAACGUUCCUUGAAUUGCUUAGCCCGUGCACAUGUGACUGGGCCCAAUGGUACUUGAACUGGGUCAUUGGUGGGCCAAGGUCCGUUCACACAUCAGUCCCCUCCUCUUAAGAAGGAUUUGUCCUCAAAUCUAGAUAGGGAUGGAAGAUACUAACAAGAGUUAGUAGUAUGACAACUCAAAUCGAUAGUGCGUUUGGAAGUCAGCCACGUUGGGAACAAAUGAAAGGUCACGAGCCAAGUUAAAUGUCGUUUGGUCAGCUUCAUUAGGCUCUCAAACAAGGACAUGCGCCAAGAUAGGAAAGAGCUUGUGUAAGGCUCGCGAAACUUCCAGGUAGCAAUCCAAAGCACUCGAAUCAUCCUUCGGCCAUGCAUUGUUAUAGUGUCACCAUUCUCAUGCACAAGAUAAGGAUCUUCAGAAUGAUGCUCAUGGGAGCAAGAGAAAUUCCAAAUCGGGUUUUUCAAGGUGGUAUGACUCGUCCCUGGUUGUUGCUGAUUUGGCACAACUUGCCUAUUUGGAGGUGAAACAUUGAACCAAUCAGGUUGCACUUCCCUAGAAGUACGAACCAGUGAUGUAAGACCAACGUUCGGAUCUUUAUUGACACAUUUGUGGGUAUCACCCGACAAAAGUGGCAGCAAUGAAGUGAGACGCACUCCAUACGAAUCAUAUGAAUUUGUGCAAGUUGGAGUUGGUGAAGUAAGCUCGUGGUGACCAGCUUUUGGACAUGUGAAGAAGCCCGAACGUGCUCCACUUUCAGCAGGAAUAAGCACGAAAUCGGGUUGCAAGUUCUUAACCAUAGUUGGAAAAUUUUGGACAGCGUUACAACCUACAAAAACAAAAUAACCUUCAACUUGAAGCAAUUCGGAAAUCGGGUAAAGAACUAAUGGUACAUUAUCAACUAGAUGGUAAGAAGGUGUAGAACAAGAUGGAAAUGAGAAAACUCCCUUUGACACUUCAAUAUUCCUUCUACCAAUUGAUUCAACUUGAGAUGCCAGUGCUAGUCCUUUACACUUCUCUUUAACACCUACAUGAGAGCAACAAGAGUUAGUGCUAGUAUCAUGCUCAAAAUAAGGCAAAGGUGAGGAAUGAACCAUAGGUAGAGAACAAGCAGUAGAAUCUGAAAUUUCCCUUUUAAGACGAGCUCGAAUCAAUCCUCCAAUGGUGUGGACAGGUUUGAGUUGACAUGGUUCCAUGAAUUGAGACCAAAGAGAUUUAGCUCCUAGAAGACAAACUCCAUGGAAACUCGCAAAGUGUCCAAGUGACGUGGGAAUGGAACAUGCCAUGACCAACUCUACUUGACUUUAUUUAAUCUGCACAAAAGAAGAGGUACUAAACAAAACACAUGUUAGCUUGUUAGCAAACAAAACGUCCACACUUUCAACUUUUGCGAACAUGGCCAACUCCUUCUCUUUACUCAUCAGUAAGGCCAAACUAUUCUUGCCUUUUCCCACUCCAUUUGUCUCGGACCAUUGUCCAUUCAUUGCACUUGAGUUCGGAUUAUGUUCAUGGCUUAGCUGCAUCUCAUUCAUAGAGGGCUCUUCAAUCGACGAGGGACUAGGAUGAAUAUUUCCUUUGUUACCACCGGUCGACACAUGAUUAAGUUGCUCAAAGUGGGAAUCCCAUACUUGGCUAAGUCUUUCCAUCAUAGAAUCAACCCAUGCUUUAGUUUGACUUCGGAAUUCAUCCUUUGCUUCACGAAGCUUUGACUCAAUUCGAAAAUUCUCGAGCUCCUCGUCUUGAUUGUCAAGACGCUUCUUAGAUGAACCUUGUUUGCUUGAAGUUGACCUUGAUUUAGAUGCUCUACGCAAGCUGCUUUGCUCCUUCUCAUACUCAUCACAAUCUUGUUUAUACCUUUCGUAUACACACAAAGCACGGUGGCGUUGCAUCUCCUCCCGGAGUGAAUGAUACCCACAUUGUGAACUGGAUUGCAUGGAACUAGAGUACUUGGAGGUACUUCGCUUGGGACCUCUCCUCUUGAAAGGUUCGGUCUCUACAAAUUCUUGAUUGUAUGAGUAAGAUGCAACUCUAGUGGGCAUGACUAUGUGACCUGCAAAACGGUUAGUAGAGCAAAGGAAUUUUCCUCCCACACACAAGCUCACGCAUGUACACUCUACUCUCGUGUAUCACUCAAGCUGAUGACACUCUAAUGGUCUUACCAUUACGCUUACGUUGCCGGAUUGAGUAACUUGAGCAAUGCCGCACAAGGUCCAAGAAUUGUCCACCAAGCUUCGCACAAGAGUAACCAACGAGCAAAGAUACUUUGGACACACUUGAGAUACUGUUUUAUGACCUAAAUAAUGUAGGUGAGCAGCCCAAGAUGAUUGACACUAGAUAAUACACAAAACUCAAAAGCUGAAAUUUUUGGAAUUCCUAGAAGGAACUCUACCCGAGCCAAUUUCUGGAAUUUGAUGGGUUGCUGUUUUCGUGCCCUUUUGGUCAGGGUUUUGGGGUAUUGUUGGUGCUGUUUUGGUGAAUGAGUCAACCCUUAACACUUAGCCCAACCCCGAUCACAAAGUGAUGUUCCACUAAUUCGAGAAUGCGGCUGGUUUGGCUGAAUGGGAAACUGAAUUUGGGAAACCGAAUUGGUGAAUAUAUGGGCAGUGGUUGUCGGUCAAGACAUUGGGAAAUGGUUUUGGUGUGGUGGCCGAAUGUGAGACAGAAUUUGGGAAACUGAAUUGUUUAUUUGAAUUGGUUAUAUGUGGGCGGUGGAGGGUGGUUGAUAGAAGGCUGGAUUUUAUAUAAAGUGGACUGUUGAGUCGGUGAAGGCUUUGGGAAGUGGCUUGGUGUUUGGCCGACUGGAGACAGAAUUUUAGGAAACUGAAUUGUUUAUUGUGGUGGCCGAAUGUGAGACAGAAUUUUGGGAAACUGAUUUGUUUAUUGAAUUGGUUAUAUGUGGGCGGUGGAGGUCGGUUGAAUGGAAGGCUUGCUGGUGUAUUAAGUGGGCUGGUGAGUCGGUGAAGGCUUGGGAAAUGAGUUGGUGUUUGGCCGAAUGGAAGACUGAAUUGGUGAUUAUAUGGCAGUGGAGGUCGGUUGGAGGGAAGCUUGGGUGGUAUAUUAAGUGGGCUGUGGGGUCUGUUAAGAGCUUUUGGGGGAAUGGUUUGGAAUGGCCGAAUAAGUUUCUUGGUUCCUAUUAAUCCUACCAGAAUUAGGAGUAGUUGGGUCACGGUGGGACUUGGGUUUUCCAAGUAGGAGACUAGAGCCAAUAUCCUUGCUUUCCUUCCUUUUUUUUUUCUCUGUUUUUUUUUUCUUUUGCAGAUUCGGCUAUGGCUAAUUGCUGGACAGAACGGUUGUCACAAGGAUACGAAAUCUGGACAGAUUAGGACUAGCAACAACACACAACUAACCAGAAUUGACGCGACCAAAAGAACUAGCGGCCAGAAAUUUUUUUUUUGACAAGCGAUGCAAACAGAUUUGUUUGUUCCUUUUGUUUUUUUUUUUUAACUAACAAGGCAGCAACGGACAGACUUGAAGACUCAACGGACAAACAUUAAGAACAACGACCAGAAUUUCUAGACAACAAAAGGAAAGGAAACGGCUCAACAAGUAACAAAGCUAACGAACAGAAUUUUUUUUUUUUUGUAAAAACAAGGCAGCGGAAAAUUAAGGAAAACUAAGACAAGACGACGGAUAUAACGGAAGAUACCUCCACCAAAGCUCUGAAGCCAACUGAUACGCUCCUCGAUCCACGGUCGAGACACGUAGCACGUUUGCCCAAGGAUCUAGCGGGGAUGUCCAACGCUUGGAUUGCGGAACCUAUAAUCAAACGGACAACACGACUUGAUUGAAGGUGGUAGACGACACUCCGAUGAAGGUGAAUACUCCAGGGGAAUAGGUCGGUAGAACAAUCUAGGACGGGACGCAAGAUUGUUCAAAACCCUUGCCAAAGCAAGUAAAGUGCUCGACCUCUCUUCUUAGAAGAAGGAACGAAUUAAACCAAUUUUAUUGAUAAAACGACUACCCUUAAACCUUACAAAGCAAGCCUAUUUAUAGGCUAAAGUGACUUAAACCCUAAAUGCUAGGAAAAGGAAAAAGUCGGCCCAUGUUUUUGGAACAAGAUGGGCCGGCCCAUGCUCUUACUUAAUCAUUAACUAAUUGCUAACUAAUUGAUGGGGCCUAAGGCCUUAUUGUCUUGGUGGCCCGCUUGACUCUUCGUGGACUUGGAUCAUGGUGUAAAUGACUCGAUUGUCUCUCUCCAAACCCUCAAUAUCUUAAUGAACUCCAUGUUGGUCUUGAACGUUCCUUGAAUUGCUUAGCCCGUGCACAUGUGACUGGGCCCAAUGGUACUUGAACUGGGUCAUUGGUGGGCCAAGGUCCGUGCACACAUCACUAACUCACCAAAAUGAAGCUCAUGAAUACCAUUGCAAAGGUUAUUAGAAGAGAUCAUGAGGUUGUUUUGUCAUCCCAUUUGAAAAGUUUGGUAUAGGACAACCAGAGACUUAACUAUGCAGGAUGCACAUAUUGCUUUGUUACAAAGCUAGAAAAAUUUUCAAGCCCCUUUCGACAGUAAAUUGGGCAUAGUGAUUGUAAAUCACGUCUUUUGCACGAUUCGUACCAGUGAAUUUUUCACAAGUUUCGGGUUUUGGAGACUUUGAACGGGAAUAGGAUGACGGACAGUGUGAGUUUGACACUCACAGAUGCCAAUCAAGACAGUUUCAUUAAUUUAACAAAUUUAGUUCCUUGAUUAUACUUAAUUGUUCAAAAACCCAAAAUAUUUUUCUCCUCCACUAGAUUCUACCGAUCAACCCCUUUUUGUUGCCUGACUGCCGAUAUCUUAUUUCUCCUUUUCCCUGAUGUAAUCCAUCUGGUCGCUCGACAUUGGCAGUGAAAACCAAUCUUUAGUUAUUAUUACGAGAAAAAUAUUAAUAUCCAAUAAGCAAUCGAAUCAACUUACAAGAAAGCCAACCCAACUCCAUUGACAAUAAAUUAUAAUAGAUGACCAAUGAGCUUUAGCAACCAUUUUACUCAUGUUCAUGAUUUAGCUUUAUAAAAAUCUAAAUCUCAAGCCAUCCACCACCAGCAAAGCAUAAUCAAUCAUCCCUUAAAUCAUCAUCAUAGUUGCAUAAACUUCUAUAUACAAUACAUGUCUAAAUAAUUGAAUAGUUUUUUCAGAAGACAAAAAAAAAUGGGGAGAUACAAGUUAACCAUUCAAGAGUGUAGCUCUGGUUAUGAGGGACAUAAUCACCUAGAGAAGAUAAUUGAUUUGGGCUUUGAGGGCAAAUUAAGGAUAGCUAGAAGAGGAGGAAAGGAAGGUGAUGACCAAAUGGUUGAGAUAGAGAUGUGGAUAAAGAGGAUUAAGGAGAAUGGAAUUGGAGCAAAGCAUAGAUGGAUAAGGCAAAGAAUUAUAAAGUUGGGAAGAUGCAAAAUGUAAAAGAGAAGGACAAAGUAAAGAGAAUGUGAAAUAAGAUGAUUGUACUGUUCCUGAACAAGCAAGUAGUCUAUGCACCCAAAUUGAAAUGAGUGGCUAGAAAUUGUCCGUAGCUUUGAGAGAAGUUACCCCAUUUUCCGGUGACUUUUUGGAUUUCAUUUUUCUUCUUGUACAAUGUCUACUUGAAAGCAGCAGAGAAAGAGUGUUAAGGUGGCUUUGUCCCACAUCGCCAUUCGUGUGAGGGAGACUUUCCCUUAGUUGCCUAUAAAUAUAGUAGGUCUGUGAUAGGGUUAAGUGCACCAAAACCAAGAGAGUAUUAGUGGAUUAUUUGGGUCUUUGGGUCAUUAUGCCUUUUGUUUAGUUAAAUAUUUUUUAGGCUCUCUUGUGUUUUUUAGUAUUAGGUGUUUUAAGCCUAAAAACACUUUCCUAAGACAUUUUUUGUACUUUCUCCUUCAUAGUAAAAUAUUGCUCUUCCUCCACCCGUGGAUGUAGGUCAAUUUGACCGAACCACGUAAAUUCCUGUGUUCCUGUUUUACUUAUUUUUGCUUUGUUAUUUGUCUUUUGGGGUUGCCAAAAAUCCUUUCGUCAAUUUCCUGGGGCCAGACCUAACAAACUGGUAUCAGAGCUUCUUCGGAGACUUUGAAUUUUGUGACAACAAUGACAAUAAAAAAGAUUGUCAUCGAAAAAUUCAACAGGAAAAUUAAUUUCGAGAUGUGGUAGCUCAAGAUGGAGGCCAUUUUCGUUCAAGACGGAGUUGAUCUAGUGAUACACGGAAUUGAGAAAAAGCCAGAGGGUGUGACAGAUGCAAACUUUGCUGAGAUGGAUAAGAAGGCAAGAUCCAGUAUUAUUUUAAAUCUCUCUGACAAGGUUUUGUGAGAGGUAGCCACUGAGACUUCGGCAAAGGCCAUGUGGGACAAGGUUAAGGCCUUGUAUAUGAAGAAGACAGUUGAGAAUCGACUUUAUUUAAAACAAAGUCUAUAUAUACUUCGCAUGACUGAAAGUACAUUUAUACUCUCACAUCUUGAUAAAUUUGAUUCCAUUAUUAUGGAUUUAGAAAAUAUAGAUUCAAAAAUUGAUGAUGAGGAUCAGACCCUGUUACUUUUGUGUUCUCUUCUCCAAUUUUUUAAACAUUUUCACGAUACUAUGAUUUAUGGAAAAGAAACAAUUUCGUAUCGAAAAAUUAAAUCUACAUUAAAAUCUAAGGAGCAGAUAGACAGGGAUAUUACUGGGAAAUUUAGUGGAAGUCAGGCAGAAGGUCUGGUUGUUAGGGGCAGAACUGAGAGAAGAAAAUUUGAUAGUAGUAGAUCUAAAUCCAGACAUAGAAAUGUGGAGUGCAAUUAUUGUCAUAAAAUGGGGCACAUUAAGGCAGAUUAUUUCAAAUUAAAAAAUGGAUUGAAAUAAAAAGGGAAACAUGAUGAAGAAAAUAUUGAAACUGCUGAAACUGGUGUUGUAGCUGAUGAGAAUGAAGGAAAUAUUUUCUUUGUGACUGACGACAGGACAACCAGAGAUCAUGAGGUUGUUUUGUCAUCCCAUUUGAAAAGUUUGGUAUAGGACAACCAGAGACUUAACUAUGCAGGAUGCACAUAUUGCUUUGUUACAAAGCUAGAAAAAUUUUCUAGCCCUUUUCGACAGCAAAUUGGGCAUAGUGAUUGUAAAUCACGUCUUUUGCACUCACAGACGCCAAUCAAGACAGUUUCAUUAAUUUAACAAAUUUAGUUCCUUGAUUAUACUUAAUUGUUCAAAAACCUAAAAUAUUUUUCUCCUCCACUAGAUUCUACCGAUCAACCCCUUUUUGUUGCCUGACUGCCGAUAUCUUACUUCUCCUUUUCCCUGAUGUAAUCCAUCUGGUUGCUCGACGUUGGCAGUGAAAACCAACCUUUAGUUAUUAUUAUGAGAAAAAUAUUCAUAUCCAAUAAGCAAUCGAAUCAACUUACAAGAAAGCCAACCCAACUCCAUUGACAAUAAAUUAUAAUAGAUGACCAAUGAGCUUUAGCUGUGAGAACUCGCAAAUUCCUUAUAUUUUUCUAAAAAAAAAAUCCCUUUUAUUUGAAAAUUAUUUGGCAAUUAUUAUUCUAUACUGUCAUACGGCUCAAUCACCCUAGAAAAGUGCCAAUGGUUAUAGGAAAUUAGGGUUUUCCUAUUUGUUUUCAAUUCAAGGUGAAAUAGGAUUUUUCGUGUAUCCACAGUGUAAUUAUCCGGUACGAAGCAAGGAUCAAAUUUGGUGGUUAAGAGUGACUUUUAAGUGAGAAAUAAUAUGUGAUUAGAAGCAAUGAUAAAAAGUUAGUGAAUAGGAAGUAAAAAUCCUAGUACGUGUGAUUUAAGGAAAAACGGUGCGAACCGACGUGUGCCGUGCACUACCGAUUGAACACACCACUUGGUCACCACUUUCUUACCAUACAAGCUCAUUAAUAUUUGAGCAAAAUAUGCCCUCAUUUCCAGCUGGCUUUGGCCGAAAUUUUUGACCAAAAUUGCAAGGAAAAGAAACAAAAAAAUGAGUGGAAAUUGGGGUGACACUUGUUGGCCAUUGAGGGCCUUGACCAAGACCAACUAGUCUUACCUUCUUAUCACCAUGGAGCUGCCUUUCUUCAUCAUUUUUCUGCUGCUUUGGUCAAGAGAGAGGGAGAGAAAAACCAAGGGAGAGCUGCACCAAUUCAUCUUGGGUUUGUGUCAUCUAAGUGAGGAAACAAGAAACUAAACCGAUUAAAACCUUUCUUGAGUGUUUAGCUAGUGGUGUGUUGGUGAAAUUUUGGAAGGAAAAGAUAGGGCUGCUCUUGGUAGUCACUUUAGCAAGGUAAUAAUGUCGAUUUCCCCAUUUCUUACACUUAAUCUUGUUUAACUUGGCAUAGCACCUUAAACUUGUGGUGGAUGAUAGCUAUUAUCAUGAUUUGGGAGGAUAUAGUGUAUGUUUUUUUUAGUUGCAUGAGUUAGGGUUUGAAGGAUUGCUGCCUAUACUUGCUGUAUGAUAGUAGAUGUUGUAUCUAAGCUUAUAUAAGAGGUUGUGGUAGUGAUUGAAGCAAGAAAUGAAGAAAGUUUCCUUUGAAACCGUUCCAGAUUUCUGGAAAAUUGUAGUUCAGUUCUGUCCGGUUCUAGUUUGUGAUGUUAGAGGACGAAUUAGGCUUAGUAUAAAACAUGAAAGUUGUAGAGAAUGAUAUUUUAUAGCUUCCUACACAAUUUCAGGCCAAUCGGAGCAACGUAGCCUAUGAAAAGAUCAAAAUACCCUCACUGCCCUAGGAUGCAUCCAGUGAUCCGUUUUAGACAAUUCAUCCAGUUAACCGUGUCUAUUCACUAUGAUUCGUGCUGAUUUAACCAUUUUCCAAAACAUGAAAGUUUUAGUACUCUUUCUUAGAUUUUCAACGCCUCUAAGAAUGCCUUAAACGGACUUUGGUAGCCUGAGAUAUGGCCAUUGAUAUUUUAUAGCUUCCUACACAAUUUCAGGCCAAUCGGAGCAACGUAGCCUAUGAAAAGAUCAAAAUACCCUCACUGCCCUAGGAUGCAUCCAGUGAUCCGUUUUAGACAAUUCAUCCAGUUAACCGUGUCUAUUCACUAUGAUUCGUGCUGAUUUAACCAUUUUCCAAAACAUGAAAGUUUUAGUACUCUUUCUUAGAUUUUCAACGCCUCUAAGAAUGCCUUAAACGGACUUUGGUAGCCUGAGAUAUGGCCAUUUGAAGGUAGUACGAUUAAUUAGCCGACUAGUUCAAAUUUGGUUCUGUGAACUUUGAAUUUGACUGGGUUACACUAUAAAUUUGACUAAGUGAUCUUCGUGAAAAUUGUAGCCCUGUGUCUUAGCUUCAAAACGGCACAAAUUACAUCUCAAUCCGAUAAGCGUAGCUUCAGAUGUGUCCAUUCCGUAAAAACUCGUCAAAUCUGUCUUUUGUUAAACUCCAUUUCCGCACUUGUUGUUAGCUUAAUUUUUGUACUUGUAUUGUCUUGAGCCUAUUGAACGGCUAUUGAAAUGAAUUUGUAUUGUGUGUAACCUUGGGUUUGAUUAAGGAAAAUAAUGAAGCCAAAAAUGGCUGGAAAUAGGAAAAAUACCAAGAGCAUGCUAUCCAAAUUUACGCUCGAGGACUAGAGGGAUACACUUGCGACUUGAGUAAGCGUUAAGAGUGAUUACUACUUGAACCAUCUAGGACAUUUGUUACUUUGUUUAGCCAGGGUUAUACGUUAGAACCUAGCCGAACUUGUACCCUUGAGAAAUAAAAUAAUGACUACUAGGAGUAUGUUUUCCUUGUACUUUCGACUCAAAUGGCAUUUCCAAAUAUAAAUGUUACAAAGUUAUAUAGUUUAAAAAGCGAGCGAGUGUUUCACGAAUACUCUCCAAGUGAAUUUUCAUUUCUUGAUUCUUAUUGAACGAAACGUCUAAGUUUCGAAUCUUAGUCAUGUUUCAAAGUUCUCAAACUGAGUUUUAUCGCAGAUUUGGACUCCGAACCCGGAGUACAACCUGAAAGUGACCAGUAAAGGCACGAUAUCUUUUGGUGAGUGCUUUCAAAUACCGAAUUGAACUUGAUACUUGUAUUUGAUACGUGACCAAUAUGAUUACAUGUUAUAUACGUGAAUUGUUAGGGCGAGAGUGUACUUUAUCACACUUGCCCUUACGUGAUAUAUACUUGUUUAUUGUUGCAAUUGAUUUGAUAUACCUGUUUAUGAGGUGCGCACUUCCUGGAAUUCCAGAAACCCUGCGGUAAGUUACUCGAAUCGAGUCGGCAAGGGCUUGGUCAAUUAGGUAACAAACCCUGGGUCUCUUGAUUGUCGAGUGGAGUGAUAUCUCCUCGACUAAUCGAUAUACUCAAGUAUUACCACCCGUGUUUAUUGAGGAUUUUGGGCCUAGUAGGGGGUUUGAAUGGUGGACGGAGAGUAGUGUAAGUGGUGUACUACUGGAUUGGUUACUUACUUGAAAGUUGACGGAGUGUCAACUAUUACGUGAUCAAGCUCCUGGUGUUGCAAUGGGAAUUUGGCUCCUGAGAGCCCUCCGUAUCCUUAUACUUUGGAACGACUAUUGCUUAUUGGAUUAUUGUUUCUUCUGAAAAACUUUUACACUCGCUUAUUUUGAGAUUGCUACUUGACAUGUUAUUGCUCACUUUUAUGAACUCUUCAUGCUCGUUACUUUGCUAUUUCGAAAACUUAUACUUAUAAAUAAUGGUCAAUUUGCUAUUUGGAACCUCACUGGGCUUUUAGCUCAUUCCACGCCAUUUGUUUUCCUUACAGGGGUACGAGCGAGGCGUGAGACGUGUACAGACUAGCGUAGUGUAGUUGUUUUGAAUUUUGUAAUUGUACUCGCACUAGUCGCUCGAUUAGGGUUGAAUGUACUGAGACCUUAAAUCUUUUGAUGUAUUUGGGACUGUAUGGAUGAUUGAGAUAAAUAUGAAUGUAUUUGUAUCUUCCAAACUUGGGAACUGUUAUUUCGUUUAUUAUUGAGAUUGCACCUUAUUUUAGUGGACGCGAGUGAGUGAGUCCUGGCGAGAGUUGGGCAGACGGUUCGCUGAACCCUUUGGUUCGCCUUAGGGGAAGGUGGGGCUGUCACAUUAGCAACCAUUUUACUCAUGUUCAUGAUUUAGCUUUAUAAAAAUCUAAAUCUCAAGCCAUCCACCACCAGCAAAGCAUAAUCCAUCAUCCCUUUAAUCAUCAUUAUAGUUGCAUAAACUUCUAUAUACAGUACAUGUCUAAAUAAUUGAAUAAUUUUUUCAGAAGACAGAAAAAAAUAAAAAAUGGAGAGAUACAAGUUAACCAUUCAAGAGUGUAGCUCUGGUUAUGAGGGACAUAAUCGCCUAGAGAAGAUAAUUGAUUUGGGAUUUGAGGGCAAAUUAAGGAUAGCUAGAAGAGGAGGAAAGGAAGGUGAUGACCAAAUGGUUGAGAUAGAGAUGUGGAUAAAGAGGAUUAAGGAGAAUGGAAUUGGAGCAAAGCAUAGAUGGAUAAGGCAAAGAAUUAUAGAGUUGGGAAGAUGCAAAAUGUAAAAUAGGAGGACAAAGAAAAGAGAAUGUGAAAUAAGAUUAUUGUACUGUUCCUGAACAGGCAAGUAGUCUAUGCACCCAAAUUGAAAUGAGUGGCUAGAAAUUGUUCGUAGUUUUGAGAGAAGUUACCCCAUUUUUCAGAGUCUUUUUGGAUUUCAUUUUUCUUCUUGUACAAUGUCUACUUGAAAGCAGCAGAGAAAGAGAUUCCACAUAGUAUUGAUAGGGUGAGUGUUCACCAAGAUGGGAAUAUAAUUGUGCAACUGGAUUGGUCCUACUGUAGUCUUAUGUUACUUUAUUAAUAUUGGAUAGUAAUUAGAGGGGAAAAAUCAUGAAUGAUUGCUGUUUCAAUGGUGAUAUGGAAGAUAUGAAUAAAAAUAGUUGUGAUUUUACAAAAUUCAGAAUGGGUAGUUGAGGCCGAAAUUCUUAUGGAUAGGUUUGGAGCGGAGAAGUCAUUAUUUCUGAUAACUAGCCUAAAAGUUUAAGGGAAUUAUCACGGUCAGAAAUUCGAGAUGUGUUGAUGGGAAAGGCAAGAAUGGAAAUCCACAAGAAGUUUAAGGAAUGGAAUAUGGCUGCUGUACAGGAGUCUUCAGUUAAAGAAGCAGGAGAAGCCAAUGAAAGUAGCCAACUUCAUUAAUGCUACGAAAGAAUCUGUUGGAAGUGGCAUGAAGGAGGCUAGAAACAUGAAAACACAAAGAUGAAGGGUGCCAAUACUGCAGAUACACCCCAAAAAGUAGUCAAUUUCUUCUAUUAUAACUUUCUCAGACACAACUGGCACCAUUAGUACCUUGAGCUAGAUCAUGCACUAGGGAGCUUGCCUUCUGCUUCAACCAAUGGCUCAAACACAGAAGCUACUGAUAUAUUCAUGACGAUGGAUAUGGCUGAUCCGGAUUUGACAAAGACAGGGUGGAAGAAUCAUUUGCUGAAAACCAGGUUUGGGCUGCAUAUGACAAUGAGGUGGUAUGCCUCGCUUUUAUGCUAUUAUUCAUGAAGCCUUGUCCAGAAAGCCCUUUAAAGUUAGGAUUAGCUGGUUGAACUCCAAAAGCAACAGCAAAUUGAACUUGGUCCAUUAAAUUGGACCAGGUUUGGGCUGCAUAUGACAAUGAGGUGGUAUGCCUCGCUUUUAUGCUAUUAUUCAUGAAGCCUUGUCCAGAAAGCCCUUUAAAGUUAGGAUUAGCUGGUUGAACUCCAAAAGCAACAGCAAAUUGAACUUGGUCCAUUAAAUUGGUGUGAGUUGUGGUUUUGCUAAACUUGCGAAAGCAAUUGCCAUAAUGGUUGGUUGUGAUUUUACAAAAUUGAGAAUUUUGAUACCAAUUGUGAUAUAGGGAAGUUCUUUUUUUUAAAAAAAAAAAUUGAAGAUAAAGUUGAUGAUAAUAAUUGAAUUAUCCAAUUAAGUAUGGAAUUUUUUAGGCUAAAAAAAUAAAGAUAAAGUCAGCCGUAGAAAUUGAACAAAUAUUCGGUAGAUUGUAUAGAAAUUUUAAUACAGUUGACUGUUAGCGAAUCACGCACUACGCACGACUCUUCAUGAUCACAAGUACUGUGCAAUUUUUUUUUUAAACUGAAUGUCCUUAAUUCAAUGGAUACAUAUGUCUGCAAAUUGCAGAAUUUAUACAGGUUUUAAUGCAAAUUAUACAACGAUUCAAAACAUGGAUGGAUGGCUUUGACUUAAUUUCAAAUAACUACAUAACAAAACUUUGUCAAAUUCUAAUUCAGUUUGGAGUCUAGACCAGAUGAAUUUCUAACUAAAAAGUGAGAUAGAGAGAUUUUAGUUAUCCAAGGAAACCAACUUGAAACUCACAAGUCAUAGUUGGAUCAAUUGCCAACGAGUGUGAAAUGUUCAGAAAUAGUGAGAGUUAAAAAGAAACUGAUUGUUUGAGCUGGUGUUCAAUUUUGCUGAAUUUGGAAGGAAUGCAAGAGCUAUCACUCUAUCAACUACGUAGGUAAUUUUUUUUCUCAAGCUCAAUACUCCUCUAUUUGAUUUUCACCUCUCAAUUAUACAUCAAUUCUCGUUUUGAUUUUUAAAUUAUGAAUUGGGACACUUUAGUUCUUAAACUUUAGAAAAUGUCUCACUUAAGGAUAAUUGUUAAUGAAUCCCCAAAAUUAACAGAAUACUAGUCAAGUGAGCAGCAAAAAAAAUUAAACAAUAACAAAAAAAAAUCCCAAAUUAGAGAGAAAAAAGGGAGUUUAGGAAACAAUUUGAGAAUCAUAGUAUAGUUUAGCAACUAAAAUGACUCAAUUUAAAGCUUAGGGACCAAAUUGGGAAUCAAUGAAUAGUUUAGGAACUAAGAUAUCCCAAUUUAGAGUUUAGGAAUCAAAAUGUAAAUCGAAAUGUAGUUGAAGGGUGUAAAAUAGAAUUAACCCACCAAAAUAAUGCUACUUUGCUCCCCUCCCCCCAACCCUACAUAUUUAUCUAAAGUUAUUUAUUGUCUCUACAUAUUUAUCUAGUUCAUUUAUCUAAAGUUAUUUCUUUUAAAUUUUCUUGCAAUAAACAAAUUUCUAGUUUAGUUUCUUUCUUGGGUCUGUCUAAUGAAUACCCACUAGGCACUUUUUAGACAAUAUUUAAUGGGCACUUGUUAUAAGGUGGUGAUAUUUUCAAAAUUUUAAAAAUAUAAAUAUAAGAUAGGAUAAUAGUUGUUAAUGUACAUUCACCUCGUAAUUUAAGUUAAAUUUGUUGUCAUUUAGGUGUUUUAACAAAUCUCCAUUGGCACAUGUUCAAGAACCUUUCUUUUAUAUGCUUCCUAAAACAAACCACCGACUAGUCACUUUUUUUUUGACAAAUUUUAUGAACCAAACCAACUUCUAAUCUCCAUAAAAUUAGUAUAACAUAGCAAAAUAAGGAAAUUAUAACAAGGAAACAAAAGAUAAACCAAAGGAAAUCUAACUUCUACUACAAUUUGUUUGUAUUAAAUUGACUUCAAUUAACACUCAUAUAUUAGGCAAAAACAACUACCAAAGUCAUGACUUCUUCCAAAAUCUGUACUUUUAACAAUUAACCCUCCCCAAAUAACAUUCUUGUGUCUUCAAGCAUCCAUUUCCUCGCAAACUCCAUUUUUCCAAGAAAAGUUUUUUGGUUUUUUUUGUUCCACCGAACUCCAUUGUUGCAAGGCAAGUUUAUUACUCCUAUUUUCUUUAAAAUUUUUUCUGAUAUGAAAAUCAUCAAGAGUCCAUAGGCAAUCAGAUAUGUGAUGAUUGUAGACACCAAAUUUUUGGUGUAAUUUCUUUUACUUUUUAUUCUCAUUUGUCGUGGUUGCUUUUAGUUUUUUUUUUAGUUUCUAGUUUUUAUUUUUAUUUUUAUUUUUAAGUUUUAGCGUAGAAAAAUCAAAUGGGGCGUGACAGUGAUUUUCCUGCAGAGUCAUUGAUGACAUACUUCGAGAAAGAACUAAUUUUAUUCAAUUAUAGAUGCAUUUAAUCAAAUGAAUGAGUGUCGAUCACAAUUUUGCAUGCCUAGCAUUAAUAAGGAAUAGAAUGUUACUUUGUAUUUUACUCGCUUUGACUAUUUUAAACAUUUGGUUACUGCUUAUGGCUUUAUUAAUCUUCUUUAUGAAUUUAUUAUGCUUUGUUUGUUGUUACAAUUUUUCACCAUUAUAUGUUUGAUGUUCGCCCCCGUUAAGCCAGAAUUCCGUCUAUGUUGGCAGCUAAGUUGCUACAGCUGACCAUCUAUAUCAUUAUCAUAAAAAAAGGAAAAAAAGUAAUUGUCAUAACUUUUUCGUACAGAUUUUGCAGGAUAUGGGGCAGGGACGGUCAUCAGAAGGACCGUCCCUGAACAGUCUCCUCAUAAUCCCAUGCGAAAGAACCACAAACAGCCACGUCGAUCAGUUUUGGGAAGGAGCAAAAAUGAUGUCGCCUGAAUCAAUAAUGGAAAAAAGAAAUUUGUGAACCUAACGGACACCGUUGGAACUUAACAGCGGUUUCAAAUGUUCAAAAAUUGAAAUGAAUUGGAAUUGUUUGAAAUGAAACCCGGGAAAAUCACCAGCCACAUCAUUUAGUAUUCAAAAUAUCAUUUAAUAGUAAGAUAAGGGGAGAAAUAGUUGUGGAGAGACAAGCUUGCAUACAUUCUGGGGAUUAUAGGUUUGAGAAGGAGAUCUCAAAGGCACAAAGUAUGUGAGGGAUGAAGACGCAUAGUGUUGCUGGUGUGUUAAGCAGGUGUUUGCAGAGCAAAACAAGGAAGUAGAAGUAAAAGAUCUACAUCAUCCAAUGACACUGCAUAUGCAGAGUGAAUUGGAAUAGAGAAGAAACUAAAUACAGUACUUAGUCAUCCCUAUCGUCCCUGGUGAAGCAUACAGUAGUGAUUAAGGGUAGUAGCAUGGUUGGCGAACACUAAGUCGGAGACCAACAAAGGUAAUACAUUCAAUUAUUUCAUAGGAAAUGUGUAAAAAUUAGGCAUUCUGCCCAUGAACUGUAAAUGUUUAAAAAGUAGGCAACAUGAGCGUAUAAUAUAUUGAUUUGAAAUAGAUGUUAUGGUUGUUGACGGCAUGAGUAUUGUAUGUGAGCAAUGGUCACAUAGUGUCACGAUUGUGCACAAUAAGUUUCCAAUAAUGUACAUGUUGUUAUAUGACAAUUACUGUGCAUAGUCAUGAGUGUACACAUUGUGAGUCAAGCAUUGUAGUCAGUUAACUCGUUAGUACAACGUAAGCAAAGUCCUCACCUUUUAAAACCCGGUUGCAUAGUAUACAUAUAUCUUGGCUAAAAGAGGUUGAGUGGGGUGGCUUGCAUAGCAAAAACUAUUAGGAUAGUUGAUAAGUACAUGUCUAUCAAAAUUUACAAUCGCAUGGCGAGAAAUUUACAUAACUUAGCUGUUUCUUUGAAUUUGCAAUUGGGUGUUGGUUCAUAGGUAAUGUUGUCUAUAUGGCACAUAAUACGAUAAUAAAGUUGCUAUAUAGAUGGUUAGUAAUUAUGUUGACUUCAUGGCAGUGUGUAUGUGUUAAAAUAGGCCAAACGUGUACAUAAUUAAUGUCUUAUGUGCAAUCUUUUUGUUGAUGGAAUGAGUAAGUGCAAUGGUUCACAUUGUGAUGACUGAUGUACACAUGGUAAUUGACAGAAAAUGCAGUUGUUGAUAGCAACAAGUUGAUAGAGGAUGGGAUUCCUAAAAUAGGAAUAGGGUUUGAUGCAGAAGAUGAGGCUUAUAAAUUUUACAAUACAUAUGAUUUUGUCAUGGGUUUCAGCAUCCAAAAAGACUACUUGAACAAGGACUAGGAUGGCUUGACAACAUCAAGAAGGUACACUUGUUGCAAGGUAUCCCAUAACACUUAUGUAUGCUUACAUGGUCAUAAAUUUAUAGAAGUUAGCCUAUUGUUUAAAUUUGCAAUUAAUUAUUGGCUCUUACAUACUAUCACGUGCAUAACAUAAUGUGAAAAUGAAUUUACUAUAUAAUUGUUCGCCGGUUAUAUAGAAACCAUAUAGGCAUACAAAUUGGGAUCUAAUAUGUUAUACCCUGCAUGUAAUUGUUAAUACAUUAUAUUUUGUUCAAUUUAUUUUGCAGCAUACCAAGGAUAAAGACAGCUUCUUUUCACAAAUCAAUGGAUAUCAAUCAAAGGUGGUAGAGCAAAGAAGCUAGAUUGGAUAAUUAGAUAGUUUUUUUAUUUUAUCAAACUCAUAACACUCAUUAGAAUAUAUUUACACUUAGUUCUUAGUGCAUUACCACAUGUUCAAUCUAUUUUAUAAUGUACUAGGGGAAAGAAAAGUUAAAUUGCUAAUUUUAAUUUUGUGUAUCGAUAUUGCUAAUAAAUAGUUAUUUGUCCACAUGCAUAUUGCAAUUAGUUAUCACAGCCACAUGCUUAGUGCAAUGGUAUGCAUACAUUUGGAAUGAUUAUUGGUACUUUAAUCCACUUGUGCAUCUCCUUGCUGGCUGCAGUGGUGUGUAAUUUUUUUUGUAUGACUAAUACUAAUUUGUCUAUAAGCAAAUUACAUGGGAUGAUAUAUGAGGUACAAUCAGUUUACAAAAAUGUACAUCAUAUUAGAUGUUAGUUACUUGACUGUGUAUAUAUAUGAAAGAUAGUGCAAUUGGUACGCAUAACUUUGGAAUGAUUAUUGGCCAUUUGAUCAACUUGUGCAUCUCCCUACAAUUGAUGCAUAAUUUUACUUGUAUGAGUAAUACUAGUUUGUCUAUGAGCAUCUUACACGGGGAUCUAUAAGGUACAAUCAGUUUAUAAAAAUGUACAUCAUGUUAGAUGUUUGUUACUUGACUAUGUAUAUCUGUAAGAGGGAGAUUAGAUAUAGUGCAAUAAAAAGUAGCCACCUGAGUUGGAAUGUAUUUUAGAAACUUUGGUAUAAUUGAUAUUAGCAUUUUUUUGUGGAGUGUACACGUUGUUAGUGGGUACGGAGUAGUGCUUUAUGUUAUGUUUGCUUACAUGGUCAUAAAUUUACAAAAAGUUAGUCUAUUGUUUAAAUUUGUAAUUGGUUGUUAGCUCUUACACACUGUCACAUGCAUACACAUAAUGUAAGAAUGAAUUUACCAUAUUAUUGUUUGCUGGUUACAUAGAGCUCAUAUAGGCAUACAAAUUGGAGUUUGAUUAGCUAUACCGUGUAUGUAAUUGUUAACACAUUAUAUUUUUGUACCUUAUUUUGCAGCAUGUGAAGGACAAAGAUAGCUUCUUUUGACAAAUCAAUGGAUUUCAAACAAUGCUGGUGGAGCAAAGAAAUUAUAUUGGAUAAUUAGAUUGUUUCAUUGUGCUAGACUCAUAAUACUUGCUAGAAUGUACCUACAUUUAGUUCUUAAUGCAUUAUCACAUGUGCAAUCUAUUUUACAAUGUACUAGAGGAAAAAAAAAGUUAAAUAGCUAAUUUUAUAUUCUAUGUAUCAGUAUUGUACAUCUAGUUAGUAUUUAAGUAGUAUUUGUUGUUAAUUUUUUUAUUGUUACCUCAAUUUGUUUUACAAUAUAUCCAAAGUAGUAACUUGGAUUUUAUCAAUUGGUAAAAAAAAAUUAAUUUCUAUUGCUAAUUAGUAACAUCCCGAUGUUGUAACCCAUGUUAGUAUCUAUUGACUUUUUGUUGCUAUUAUCUUACAAACUGUUUAGUCCAUUUUAUGAUAUAUUUAAGGAAAUAAAAAUUUUGUUUUACAAAUUGGUGAAAACCAGAUACAUUUGGUUAUUUAUAAGUUACAUACAUGUUGAUUAAACACAAAUUUAACUAGUCAUAUACUACUAUUAUGGAAAUAGUAGCUUUAGGUAAAAUUUUAGUUGUCAAUAUAUUAUAAUCUCAAAAAGUAGUAAUUGUCCAUUAGCAAAUUUGUAACACCCAAUCAUAGUAUACGUCAUUUGUUUCUGUUUUUAUCAAACCCCAAACUAAAAACCUUAAAAACAUGGUUGGAAUGUCAAUUUUGGGCUACUUCUAUCAUUUAAUUGAUCUUUGAACAAAUAUCCUUAAGUUUAUUAGCUGUGAUGCGUAUAAAAAUGAACCAAAUGAACACUCUAGUUAUAACAAUAUGUACAAUUCUAAUAGAUAUAUACAAUACUUCAAACAAAUCUACAAAUUGAACAAAAAUCUACGAUGAUUACAAUGAUAUCUACAAGGAUUCUUACCUAUCACUACAUAACAUUUUGCAUAAAUCGAAAUUGAAAAUUUACAAAUGUUUUGCUAACAAAAAUCUUUAAAAAGAAAUUAAAAGAGUUAUACAAUGCUGUUAACUGAUUUUCACUUACUCCAUUUAUUCUUCUCAAGUUGAUUUCUUCUUUUUGUUUUCUAAUUAUAAAUGGUGGGAUUGGUUCUACAAGCUCAAUAGUUCCCACUUUUUAUAUUUCUUCCUUUUCAUUUGGAUUCUUCUUUAUCCUUUUCCGUGCUAUCUUACCACUGCUCAUGCAAAUUGUAAAGGCUAUUUACUUUGUUCAAUACAUAUCAGUUUGGCUAUUAGUGAUAGAUGACUAGUUAAAUUUUUAUUCAAUCAGCAUGUAUGUAACUUAUAAGUAACCAAAUGUAACUAGUUUUCACCAAUUUGUGAAAUAAAAAUCUUUAGUUCCUUAAACAUAUUGUAAAAUAGGCUAAACAAUUUGUAAGACAUUAGCAAUGGAAAAUCAAUAAAUACCAAGAUUGGGUACAACAUCGGUAUGUUACUAAUUACCAAUAUAAUAUAAUUUUUUUUACCAAUUGAUAGAAUAGAAAUUAUUGUUUUGGAUAUAUUGUAAAACAGAUUGAGCUAACACUAAAAAUUAGCAAUAAAUAGUACUUAAAUACUAACUAAUGUACAAUACUAAUACACAGAAUCUAAAAUUAGCAAUUUAACUUUUUUUUCCUCUUGGACAUUGUAAAAUAGAAUGAACAUGUGGUAAUACAUUAAGAACUAAAUGCAAGUACAUUCUAACGAGUGUUAUGAGUCUGACACAAUGAAACUAUCUAAUUAUACAAUAUAAUGCCUUUGCUCUACCAGCAUUGAUUGAUAUCCAUUGAUUUGUCAAAAGACGCUAUCUUUGCCCAAGGCAUGCUGCAAAAUAAGGUGAAUACGAUAUAAUGUGUUAACAAUUAUAUACAAGGUAUAGCUAAUCAAACCCCAAUUUGUAUGCCUAUAUGAAUUCUAUGUAACCAAUGAAUAACUAUAUUAAAUUCAUUCUUACAUUACGUGUAUGCAUGUGACAGUGUGUAAGGGCUAACAACCAAUUACAAAUUUAAACGACUAACUUUUGUAAAUUUAUGACCAUAUAAGCGUACAUAACAUAUAGUACUACUCCAUACUCACUAACAACGUGUACACUCUACAGAGAAAUUUUAAUAUCAACUAUAUCAAAGUUUGUAGAAUACAUUCCAAUUCACGUAACUACUUUUUUUGCGUUAUAUCUAAUCUCUCUUUUACAUAUAUACAUAGUCAAGUAACUAAAACCUAACAUGAUGUACAUUUUUGUAAACUGAUUGUACCUCAUAGAUCACCCUGUGUAAGAUACUCAUAGACAAACAAAGACUACUCAUACAAGUAAAAUUACACAUCUACUAUAGGGAGAUGCACAAAUUGAUCAAAGGACUAAAUAACUGUUCCAAAUUUGUGUACAAUUGCACUACCUUUUAUAGAUAUACGCAGUUAAACAACUAACAUCUAACAUAAUGUAUAUUUUCGUAAACUGAUUGUACCUCAUAAAGCACCCAGUGUAAGGUGCUUAUAAGCAAAUUAGUAUUAUUCAUAUAGAUAAAAUUACACACCCACUGCAACCUGCAAGGGGAUGCACAAGUGGGUCAAAACAUCAAUAACCAUUCCAAAUGUAUGCAUACCAUUGCACUAUGCAUAUUGCUGUGAUGACUAAUUGCAAUAUGCAUGUGAACAAAUAACUGCAUGUUUAACAAUUUCUAUGCAUCGUAUUGAUGAAUAAAAUAUUGUACAUUCUGAUAAGUAUGGUGUACAUCACACACCUUAUCUAGGCCAAUAACCAUUUCAAAGUUAUACAUAUCAUUGCAGUACCUUUCACAAAUAUACACAGUCAAGUAACUAAUACCUAACAUAAUGUAUAUUUUUAUAAAUUGAUUGUACCUCAUAGAUCACCCCGUAGAAGGUGCUUAUAAGCAAAUUAGUAUUACUCAUACAAGUAAUAUUACACAUCUACUGCUGCUUGUAACGAGAUGCCCAAGUUAGUCAAAGCACCAAUAACCUUUCCAAAGGUAUGCAUACCAUUGCACUAUCUUUUAUAAAUAUACACAUUCAAGUAACUAAUACCUAAGAUGAUGUACAUUUUCAUAAACUAAUUGUAUUUAUACAUCACACAGUAUAAGAUGUUUACAGACAAAUCAGUACUACUCAUACAAGUAAAAAACAUUUACUAAAAAUCAGUACAAGUUGUGGUUGCAACGGCUAAUUGCAAUAUGCAUGUGGACAACUAACCGCAUAUUCAAUAAUUUGUACACAUUGUAUUUGGUCGGUUAUAUGGUGUACAUUAUUUCAAUCAGAUUGUACAUUCACUAAGUAUUUAUGUACUUGCCGUUCAUUGAACUAAACUAUCUAUAUAAUUUAAUGCACUCUCAUAAGCACUAAUGGUCAAUUUCAUAGACGAUUGGAACAAAUAACCAUCUAGUAAAAACAUCUGAUAUAAAUGUUAUUAAUGGCUAAUAUGCUAUACGUUCCAAUAAACACGGUGUACAUCACAUACCUUGUCUAGGUAAAAUCUUAUAAGUUAUCAAAAGUUAUGCCAUACUUUAAAAGUGUAGACACCAAAUUUUUGGUGUAAUUUCUUUUACUUUUUAUUCUCAUUUGUCGUGGUUGCUUUUUAGUUUUUUUUUUUUUUUAGUUUAGUUUCUAGUUUUUAUUUUAUUUUUAAGUUUUAGCGUAGAAAAAUCAUGAAAAAGAAAAAAAAAAGAAAAAUCAUGAAAAAGAAAAAAAAGGAAAAAUCAUAAAAAGGAAAAAAAGAAGGAAAAUUUGUUCACAAAAAUAUGUUUAUUUCUUUAAAUUCAACCUUUUUGCACUUUAGUUAUUUUUAUUAAGUUAUUUUGAAAAAAAAAAGGAAAAAAGAAGAAAAUUUGAAAAAUGGACAUUUUUGUUGUUUUUAUUUAUUUAGUUUGUUUUUUUUAUUUAUUUGUUUUCAUUCUUAUUAUUAUUACAUGGUUUUGUCAUUUUGUUAUUAUUAUUAUUAUUAUUUAUAUUCUGUAUUUAUUAAGUUAAAAAAAAAAAAAAACCAACCAACGCGCAGCUUGCAAGCUGCGUUUUUGCAGCAGCUUGCAAGUGAACUUUGGGGAGAUCCUUAGUUGCAAAUAUAUCAGAAAGGGCUGGGGUUUAGGUUUUGGGGUUGCCCAUAUAAAAGCUAAGAGAGUGGACAGCCGCAAGAAAAAAAAAAGAAAAGAAAAAAACUAAAAAAGAACGGGAACCGAAGGCAUGAGAAAAGAUUGAAGGGACGACUGAGAAGGAAAAAAGGGAGAGAGUGUUUAUGCUUGGGAAAGAAGAAAAGGUUUCAGGGUAAACAAAACAGAGGGACACGGCUAAAAAUCUGGAGGGAAUUUUAUAGGGAGUGACGGUUAUAGACAGAAAGAGGGAGAGAGAGAAUUGAAAGGAGGAGCAGGAGUUGCGGCUGCAUCCGGAGGAGGAAGACCGACAUGAGGAAGAGACUAGGAGGCUUGUUUUUCCAGAAGUUCCAUAGAAGUUUGAUGCCGGCUCAUUUCUUUUGACUUCAGCCUUGUCAAAAAUCUUUAUCAGGUAAUCCAUUGAACUAAAGGUUGCACCUUUGGUCCUCCUCUGUGUGCGUAGGUUUGGCCUGGGAAUUUUUGUGAUUCCAAACUUCAAGAUUUAAUUUUGAUUGUUGCCUUGGGUUAGAAAUUUGGUAUUUGUUUGGAUUUUGGCAUGAAACCCAGUGAUUGCAAUUUAGGAAACCAGUUUUCUGCUAGAAUGAUGCAUGAGUUGUCGAACCUUUUGCUGCUGGUUUAUUAAGUUUGUUCCAUAACAUUACCAUGUUUGCUCUUUGCUGUCUUUCUUGCCUUUGUCGUCUUCUCCUCCUGUUCUAUAUAUAUCUUAGACAUGAGUUUUGAAAUAGAAAAGCGUUGGUCAUAUAUUUUUGGCUGGGGAGGGUAGUGCACGGAAAUCUACUGCAACAAACAACAGGCUCGAGGUUGCUGGUUUGUUGCAAGCGAUUGGACAAAACUAUUUUUUUGGGUUAGACUGAGAUCCUGUUUUGGCUUGAGUUUCAUUUGGGUUUGCUUGCUAAUGUUAGAGACGCUGAGCAUAUGCCUUGCUGUAUUUUACGGCAGUAAGAUGCGGUGUCACACCAAGCUGCAAUAUGUCAAGACCAUUUGUUGCAGCCAUAGAGUCACUUUGCUAUACUUUAUAUCUAGUUGCUAUGAUUAGUUCUUUUAAGAAUAGAUGUUUGUGGUGGAGUAAGGUUCAUAACAUGAGUUGAAGGUUUUGCUUUCCUUUUCGUUUUUGCUGCAUCGAUAAACAUCACUUGGACUGUUCAGUUUUUGCAUGCAUGUUGUCCGACCAUUUGAUGUCUAAAUUUACAAGUUUCAUGGUGCAAAGUGGGAAUAUUGUGUGAUAGUUGUGUUAGGAUUGGCACUGUUUUAAUGUUAAGUUGAAAAGCUGGAUGAUGAAUCUGAUUUCGGCAACUUGAGGCUAAAGCUUGUGGCUAAAGAAUGAAAAUUGCGGCUGGGCUCUUUGAAUUUGCAGAGAGCCCUGCUACAUCUUUUUCUUUUUCUUCUUUUACUGUUUCAUUUGUACCCUUGAUGCUCAGCUUCAAUUCUUGUUUUAAUCUUGCAAUGAAGUUGCAUGUUUAGUCAAUGAUAGAUAGUGGAAUUUCUGGCAUUUGAUGAACAUAUUUGCAUGAUAAACUGGAAGGAAAUUCAUGGCAGAAAUGGUGCAGAAAAAUGGUUCUUUACGUAGGCAUGCAUGAAAAACUAAAGAAAAUUUGCAUUUUGACCCCCCAAGUUUCCCCUUGACUCACUAUGGCCCAAAUAAUUAAAAAAAUUAAUCAAUUGGGGCCCUGUGUUUUUUGCAACAAUGCUACGAAGACCCAACUAGGUUCCAUUUUCUUGCAAUAAGAUCCUAUGAUAGUUGAAAUUGAACCAUUCCUCAACCUUUUCCUUGCCUUUGGACCUUUGAAGUUCCUAAAAGUGUUUCAUUAAGCUUGAAUGUUUGGUUAGUGUUCACAUUUGAGUAUUUGGUAGCAUUAAUGUUUUAAUUCAAUUGCUUGUUUGCUUUCAUUGGUUACCAUGUUUUGCUAAGGUGAUGCUUAAUGCAGGGAUUGGUGAACCUUGUGUCUAAAUGAGCUUGUGAUUGCCUAUUUCCUUUAAUUUCCCUAAAAUAAGUUGAUUAAUUGACCUUUUCAUGCUCAUGGACCUUUUGAGUUCUAAAAUGUUUCAAAUGGCUUUGAUGGUUUGGUUAAGGGUUGCUUUUGGAUCCUUAGUUAGUUUUGCUAUUUUUGAAAUUUGAUCAAAUAACUCACUUGGCUUAUAAUUCAUACAUUAUUUGGUCAUUUCUAAGUUGCAAAGUGAGAGAGGAUUAAAUGUUUGGAUGAAUUUUGACUUCUUUACAUUUCAUCACUAUAUUGGUGCAUUAAUCCUUUGUUUGAUUGGUUUUAGCCCAAGUUAGAACCUUUUCCAGUUACUAGUUUCACGAACGGGGAAGGUAUAACUUUCUUUUACUUUUUUGUCUCUCCUAUGUGAUCCAACGUGCUAAGUGAAAUUUGCAUGUCUAUUUCGCUUUCCUAGUUUUAUUUUCAUUACUUUCAUUUAUUUCAUUUACUUUUGCUUUUUAUUUAAGUUAUUCUUUAUGGGGUAUGUGUACACCUCUUGGCUUGUAAUAGAUAGGGCUUGGAAAGCGCUUGAUGAAGGCCUAUUGAAGACGUGUGCCUAGCUAGCAAAUGUAAUAGGUCCAUUAGUUUGAUUGCUUGUUUUUGUGACUAUGUGUUAAUUUGCUUUAUUAGGUUUUUGCAUCUAGUCGAGCAUGCUAAGUGUUAUGUGCUACGUGUUUAUGAAUUUUUGGCAUGUCUACUUGCUUUCUACAGCCAUGAAUGAAUGUGAUGGAUGAAUGUACGUUUCCACUAGUCCAACGCUAGUAGGAAUUCCUAGAUAUGGGCUAGUCCAACGCUAGACCCCUAGGAGCCUCCUUCGCUAGUCCACAUUUGCAUGCCUCACUACAUUUCAUGCAUUUUUCUUAGUUUUUCCUAGCAUUUGGCAUGUUCCUCCAACCCUUCCCCUUUCAUUUUAGGCCUUUGCAUUCCAUGCUAGUAUGGGGUCCAUUUGCUUGAGAGUCCCCCUUGGGUAAGGGAAACGAGCGAGUGUGGCUUCAAAAUAGCCUUAGCACGCUAGUUUUUCCUUCUAAUCAAAGGGAAAAUUGAAAUCACAAAAUUAGAGGUCAUUCCCGUACCCGACCUGAUGCAUUCCUCUAAGUUCAUGUACUUUCAUAUCUUUUUUCAUUAUUUUCUUCACUAAUUAUAUAUCUUAAUCCACAUACCAUAUUCACACACUUCUGCACUUCUUUAUUUUUCACCUCACACAUUGCACCUAUUUUUACUUAUAUAUUUACUAUUUUUAUUCACUUGCACACCAACCCUACUAUUUUCAUACACUUGCACACAAAAAACACUUGAAUUUUAUACAAUUUCACACAUGCACCUUUUUAUGCAUUCGCACACUUGCACUUACAUUUCUUGCAUCUUUCAUACACUUUCACACUUGCACACUUGAAUUUGAACUUUCAUUUGCAUUAAUCGACCUCUAUGAGGUUUUCUUUUGUUGGCCGCCACAAUUCAUAUGGUCUGGGACCAAAAGCCUCAUAAGAGACAUCGUAGAAUUUAGGAUUGCAUUUUCCUUUCCGUUUUGCAUUCAUAUAGUCAUAUCCAACGUGCGAUACAUACAUUGGGUAGAAAAUUAGGAAAGGUAAGGUUAAGUCGCGCAACUAGCCUUGGCUAGGUCAAAGGGGUGCCUUGGAUUCUAUCCUUGCCUUCCCCUUUGUCAAACGUGUCUCCCGAACAUUUUUCUUUGGCUUACGUGGACUAGGAGUCGUUUUUUAAAGGGUUUUACUACUUUGUCUUUAAAAAUUUAUUUUUUAGGUGACUUGGUACACCUUAAUCAUUACCAAGUGGCGACUCCAAUUUCUCAUUCAAAAACCCUUUUUUUUAAAAAAAAAAACUAUUUUUUGGGUCAAAUCGUCGCUUUUUCAAGUCCCAUAUUAGACCCAUAUCUUUUUUCAACUCACAAAAAUCAUUUUUGAAUCAAAAACAUCUUUCUCAAACCAUUUUAUUUUUCUUAUAAAAAAAUGGGGCGCGACAGUUGGCGACUCCACUGGGGACUUCCUAAGUGGGUCCAAGCAUUUUGACUUAACCAUUUGUUUCCUUUUUCUACCCUUUCUAUGCAUGGCAUGUGGAUAUUAGGAUUGCAUUUUUCAUUUUUAGGACCUUUUGUCUUAUGUACGUAAUCAAACCAAUCCCUCGACCCACGAAUGUAUGUUUGAAUGAAUGUUUACUUGUUAUCUCGCGCUUGUAUUGCAUUUGGGUGGGGGACAUACCCUAGAGCCUCGUGUUGGGUUCUUGAUCCCUCCCCUCCAAACGAGCACUAGCAUACGAGCAUACGCUUUAAUUUUUUCACCCUUCAUUUAUUUUUCUUUUAGUGGCUUGUCAUGCCACUCCACCCUAUUAGGAUUUUAGGUGACCCACUUGGACAUGUGAUCGUAUCACGACGUGUGCGUAGCAUGAUCCGAGGGGUCACUCGAUCUUCCGCUUUAAACUUUAGGUUGAUGACCUAUUAGUUUUUAGUUGAAGGUUGAGGAUUUUUUUUAGAUUCGCCCAGACGGGUAGCCGUAACACGACGUGUGCGUAGCAACGUCUGGGGAAUCGCUCGAGCCACCGACAAGGAACCUUGGGAGUGAUGACCCUUGGUUUCCAAGUCUGAAGGCUCGGGGACCUAUGACUUAUCGAGUCUAGAUGCAUUAGUGAGCCCCAACCUCAUGCAUCCAUUUUAGCUUGCCUAUAGUAGAGUCGGCCUUACCCUAUUAGGGACACCAUUCACGAGGGGAGUGAUCCCACCCUCUUUCCUUAUUUCUUUGUUACUUUUAUAUCAUCUAAUUGUCCAAUGUGUUAUGUGAUUAUGUGUUGAACUAACGUUUCCUUGUUUCUUAUCUUUUGCAUUCACAAACAUUAGGCAAAUAAGAGGUCUGGCAUGACCUUCUUUUAGAACCUACCCUUGUAGAUAGGUUAUUGCACGCUUAAAGAUUUUGGUAUAUUGCAUUCAUAGAUUAAUAAUUGCAUAGCAUUCUAAGCCUACCUUGGCGUAUAAAAGGUCCUUUAGGCCAUACUUGUCACAUAUUUACCACUUUAAUAAAUGGCAUCCUGCAUUAAACCCUAGAAAGGGAAUGCCAUUUAGGGGAUCCCGUGUUAGGAAUAAACUGCCUUGUGUCUCGGAUACUUAAUCCAAAGAGACUUGCACGUUUACAUUUUGUACCAUCCAAAGGGGUAGUGCACAAGGUAAGGUAGGAUCCGAUCGUCUUCAUAGGAGCGAUCUUUGGACUAUGAACGUCUAAUAAAUCACCUUUUGGCCGUUGUAUCAAAAUGGUAAGAAUCCCUUGCUUAAAGGACAUUAAUUCGAAGAAAUUCAUAAAUAUUUCCUUACUAUUGAGACAAUAAAUGAAUGGAGGCCAAAUCGUGAUUUUAGAAGGCUCAUAGACUAAUUUUUUUGAAACCACCAAUGGCCGGACGAUUCAAUCGAUCCAUUUUGUCAAUUCAUUAUCAAUUUUAAAUAAACCAUUCAUUUGACCAAUUUACCCUUUUUGGGUGAUUUGGCCGAUUUUUGAGUAAAUCAUUAACUUCAUUUCAUUCAUUUGACCAAUUUACCCCUUUUAGGGUCAUUCGGUCGAUUUUGAAUAAAUCAUCAAUUCAUUUGACCAAUCUACCCUUUUUAGGGUCACCUGGUCGAUUUUGAAUAAAUCAUCAAUUCAUUUGACCAAUUUACCCUUUUUAGGAUCAUUCGGCCGAUUUUUGAAUAAAUCACCAAUUUCAUUCAAUUCAUUUGAUUAGUUAGGGCUUUUUUGUCGAUUUUCGAUAAAUCAUCAAUUUCGUCCGAUUCAUUUGCCAAAUUUACCCUUUUAGGGGGAUUUGGUCAACUUUGAAUAAAUUCUCGAUUUUAGUCAAUUCGUUUGACCAAGUUCCUUUUUAGGAUGAUCCGGUCAAUUUUGAGUAAGUUUUAAAUUUUACUCAAUUCAUUUGACCCGUUCCCCUUUUAGGGUAAUCUGGUCGUUUUUAAAUAAAGGGUCAAUUUCAUUUAACCCGUUUGACCAAUUAGGGUUUCGAUAUCGAAUUCCAAAUUGGGAAAUCUAGUCGAGUUUUGAAGAAAACCGUCCAUUGCAUCCAAUCAUUUGAUCAAUUAGGGUUUUGACCCGUGAUUCACUGAGAAAUUUUAUCAACGAAUUCCAAUCUCUUUGAUAGGAAGUUCGUCAAGGUCAAACCCGUGCGUUUUUUACAAAAUCUUGUAUCGAUCAAAAGUGAUCAAUCCAUUCGGACGUUGUCUUCAUUUUGACAAAUGUCUCUCGUCACUCCAAUUGACCAAAUUUUUUAAAAAAAUUGUCUUUCACUCAAGGAAUUGAUCAGAUCCAUCAGGUACGGUAUAGUGCCUACCUCAGAGGAUUGCAUUUUCAUGCUGGGCCUACCCUUGGCACAAAAAGGGUUCCCCCAUAGGACAUGCAUCUGAAUUUUCUGGAUAUCUACUAACUCUUGUCUUUUUCUUUUCUUUUUCUUUAUUUUCUUUGGAAUAACUAAGCGAGGGUUGAAUCUAAAGGCAGUCUUUCAAAAAUUCUCAGGUAAUAUUUAAACAUAGCUUCUCGUCGAAGCCCCAUCAUAACACGAUCCCGUAGUCAAGCUCAGAGGAGUCGUGUAAACAUGAUUUCACAACCUGAACAAGCAGAUAGGUCUACUACUACCAUUCAACACGAGACUGCGAGUUUGGGGGUUCAGUUGACUGAGAUGCUCACUAAGUUCGACAAGAUGACCACUGAGAUGGCGGCCCAAAGGAAAUUGAUUGACGAGCUAAUCAGCAGCGGAGUUCAACCCGAACCUAUACCCGUCAAGCAGGCUGAGCAAGAGCCAUUCGUCAUCCCUUCAACUCAAGUCACCGUUAUUCCAUCUUUACCUAUUCCACCCGAAGGAACUUUCACAUAUCCCACCAUACAUUUGCCAUACACUUGCCCUUCUGAUCCUUCAUUCUUCCCUACUUACAUGCAAGGCCCACAACCCCAAAUCACUUCGAAUAUACCUCCUAAGCCGCAUACCUUUUAUCACGAUACAGCUGAGCCUUUCUUACCAGACCAUACCAUUCAAACCAAGCCAGAAAUGGGGGAAUCCUGUGCUCCCAUUGAUAUAAAGCUGCUCAAACGCCUUGAUCGUUUUGACGAAUUCAUAAGGAAAAGUCAGGGGUUGAACAAACAAAGAGUCCUGGAUUACGAUGAACUUUGCCUUUUCCCGAAUGUGCAAUUACCUGAGGGGUUCAAGACCCCGAAAUUCAACAAGUAUGAUGGAACGGGCAAUCCCAAGACACACCUCAGAUUGUUCGCCAACAAGUUGGGUAGGCCAACAGAUGAUGAAAAUCUGCCUUUGAGGCUAUUCCCAGAAAGUCUGGAGGGGGAUGCACUCGACUGGUAUUCCAAGCUGAAACCCGAAGAAGCAAAGACCUGGUUUGACUUGUCCAACGCUUUUGUAAGGCAGUACGAGUAUAAUUGCGAGCUGGCUCCGACGCGAACCACGUUGGAAGGAACAAAAAGAAAACCCUCUGAGGACCACAAGACAUAUGCCAAAAGGUGGAGGAAAAUAGCUGCAAAAGUCGAGCCACCAAUGACUGAGGAUGAAAUCAUACGCAUUUUCAUUGAGGCACAUGAUCCGCCAUACUUUGAAGAAAUUUUCCGCAUGACUGGAUGCUCGUUUGCCGCUAUUGUCAAUAAGCUUGAAGAGUUCGAUGACUUCGUGAAAGCUGGGAAGAUUGUUAAUGUCUCUGCCCUUAAAUCCCAGUUGGAUACCUUGCAAAGCCAAAGUAGUAAUGGGAAGAAGCAACAAUUCAAAAAGCAAGAGGGGAAACUGCUUUUGUCUGGAAUCAAAACCCUGUCUCAAAGCCCAGACGUCGACAAUACCCUACCCACUCAAAUCUUUACCCUUACUAUUCAAACCCUCAUCCUGUUUACCAUACCAAUACCACUCAUCCUCAACCUCGACCAAAUUACCCAAACACACCCACAACACCAUUUUAUAUCUCCCCACAUAACUUUCAAACUAGACCUUGCUCUCCUUAUCAUCCAAGACCAAUCUUACCCGUCAACCAUAACUACAACUAUCAACAGACCGCUGGCACCCAAGACCCGGCCCGAUAUAGAACUUUUACCAAUCUAGGUCGGCCCCUCGAUCAACUAUAUGAGCAGCUCAAGGCCGCGGGGAAAAUUGGUACAAUACCUCCUAAAGUCUAUACUAAAGGAGUUCCCCCUGGUUAUAAUCCUCAAUCUUUUUGUGCUUAUCAUUCUGGAGCUUCUGGGCAUUCUACUACCAAUUGUUGGGUACUUAAACACAAAAUCCAAGACAUGAUUGAGGCCGGAGACAUAAUUUUGAAAGGGAGGGAAGAACAAGGACCAAAUAUAAAAACAAAUCCUUUUCCUAAACACAAGGACACCUUUGAGGCAUCCACCUCCAAUGACGAAAUUUGAAGGUCUUGAAAGAGCUCUGCACAAUUUGGAUGGCUGACUAUCUUCCCUCUCGAAGGGAAUUUUGAUAAGUCUAGGGGUUGUCAUUUGCUAAAAUUCAUGAAAACUUUUUCUUGCAUAUGUGCAUAGCUUAAUGAAAGCGUCUUUUGCAAUUGAGUUUUGUUUUGUUUCCGCUUUGAUUUGGAGUUUCAUGAAAUGCACAAUUUGAUUAUUUGUUUAUUUGUUUAUUGUUCUGGUUUUUGUUAAUUCUUUGAAAUGGCCAAAGGUGAAGUUAUUUGACUCUUUGAAUAUCACUGUUCUGGAAUUUGAUAAAGCCCUUCAUUGAAAAUUCCUCCAUUAAAAAGCCCUCAUUGAGAAAUUCCUUCCUUGGGAAAGCCUUCAUUGAGAAAUUCCUUCAUUGAGAAUGCCUUCAUUGAGAAAUCCUUCAUUGAGAAAACUUUCAUUGAGAAAAAUCAUUAAAAAUCCCUUCAUUGAAAAAUCCCUUCAUUUGCGAAAUCCCUUCAUUGAAAAUUUGCGAAAUCCCUUCAUGGAAAAAUCCUUUCAUUUGAGAAAAUCCCUUUUCGGCCGGGUUGGAAGCUGAUUUGUUAAAGCAGUGUCAUUAACGAUUGAUUCUGAUUGAUGAAAAGCAGUUGAAUGCUAUGUGCCAUGACCAACGUUGUCAAAACGCAUGACCUAUGUUCAUAACAAAAGGAUCCGCCACCGAUCUUCUGAAAAGGAAACAAAGUGCUAAAGCGAUGAAAGACGAAGUCGAAGGCAAAUUUGCUUCAAAUUGACAAAGUUUAUUGGGUGUUCAAAGGAGAGAUAGAAGGACAGACAUUCCCUUAACCUAUCAACUUGGACAUGUGUAAGAUGUUCUUUAUUUGAUUAUGCAAAGUUUCUUUUAGGAAAUCAUGCAAGGGGCGAGGCAAAAGUCAGGCCAUCUUCCUUUUCAAUCAAAACAUUUCAUCCCUAGUCAUCCCCUUUGAGCUAUCAGAACAAUAAUUUUCGUUUGGCAGCCCUUGAGAAUUGCAAACCCCACACUGGGGCGAAUUCAUUUUGAAAAAUGAUCAGAAAGGAAAGAAAACCCCACACUGGGGCAAAUGUAUCUUCGAAAGAGAUAUGGGAAAAGAAAGAACCCCACACUGGGGCAAAUUCAUUUUGAAAAAUGAUCAGGAAGAAAGAACCCCACACUGGGGCAAAUUUAGUUUUUGAAGAAAAAUGCAAUGCAAAGAAAAAAGAAAAAAAAAAGAAGAGAAAAUGCAAUGAAAAGUACAAAGAAAGGAAAAUUCAAUCAAGCUGGGGCAAGUUUUCCUCGGUUUCGUUCAAAAAUUAGAGAUAAUUUCAAAAUGAUGCAAUCUCAGUUUAUUUCACACCUUUCAUCAGACCUGCUUUCAAGCCUCAACUUUUCUUGAAAAACACCCCACCUAACCUCAUUACAAAAGCCCAAAAGUCCUGGCUUUCGUCACUUGCUGCAUUUCUAUUAGGGAUUUUGCUAAUCAACUGGCACGUGAUGUCCAUAAUGCCUUCGUUAAGUCUAUAAGGGAAGCGCAUUUUUACUGAUGCCAGCAAUCUUCAACUUACAUUCCUGAGUCGACUAUGGUUGAGCUCUUCCAUUAUUUCAUUAGGUGAAAAACCCACAAGGGCACCUCAAGAGAAAAAGAAAAAAGAAAAAAAGAAGAAGAAAGAGAAAAGAAAAACCAACAAAAGGGUGGGGGGCAACCUUGGUGAAAACCCGAAUGGGCGCCAAGGUAAGUUUCUGCAAUGAGCAAGCACAAAGAAGAACAAGUGGUGGUUUGGUCCAUUUGGAUUUCUUCUCAUUUUUGUCAUACCUCUGACAACAUUGAAUUCCGGAGCUAAGAUAUCCAGAGAUUUGAAUAUGACAUCUGUUGGACAAAAGCCGUGUCAUUUUGUAAAAAAUAUUCUUUUGUAAAUACAUUCUUAGGAAACUCAUUUUUUCCAAAUUACUUGCAUUCAUGGCAUUUUUUGUAGAAUUUAAGCACAAAUGGUUAGGUGUGCAUUCUUGUACAUAUUCAUUUUUACAUGACAUGUGAAUUUUCUUGCAUACCUCAUUCUUUAUCAUUGAAUUGUGGUGAAUGACAAUCCCCGUGGUUUAUUGCAAAAGUAUGCUUGGAUUCAGUCAUCUUUUGGAAAUAGUUGAAAUUCAGCCAAGCCAGCUACACAAACUUCAUAAUAGGGCAAAGCACAUACCUGGUCAGUUUGAAAAUCGGAAGAGUCUUAGGGUGAGAAAUCCAACUCAAUCGGCUGCCGCAGCAAAAGUUGAUAAAAGCGUCGAAAGACUCAUGUUUACACGAUUCUCAAAGGAAAACGGAUCAAAUGGUGGUGGCAAUUUCUUUGUUUUUCUCUUUUGCAGGAAAAUUGCAUGCACAAAUGAAAGUAGUCACACCUCGCACUGGAAUCGGUGUCGGAAAAGUCCUCCGGUAAACAAAGGCAGAUCAAAAAUAUUGCAAGCAAAUCUGAUCAAAAGGUGCAACAACAUCAACUAUGGACCCAAAAUUGCAGAAAAUUCACCAUACUGGGGCAAAUUUUUGGGAUUUCGUGAAGCCAGAAUCUUACGAAUCAAGGUCUCAAGGAGGAGCAACCAUAAUACAAAUCAAUUGAUCGGUUGCACAAAUUGGGGGAGACUGGGGCAAAUUAUUUUGACAAGAUUCUCUCAAUCAGGAUUUCUGGAAAAAUCAAAUUCAAUUUCUUGUUUUUUGAAAAAUCACAUUGAAUUCUUGUUGGCAAUAUCUCAGCGCCCGCCGCGCUCUCUUCUAUCUUCCCCUUUUGACAAUCACACUUAAUUGCUUGACCAAUUGGACGGCAGGACCGGGUUUUAUCCCGCUGACCGCUUACUUCGGCAGGACCGGGUUUUAUCCCGUUGACCGCUUACCUCGGCAGGACCGGGAUAAAGACCGCUUACCUCGGCAGGACCGGGUUUUAUCCCGCUGACCGUCCACAUCACGGCAGGCUCGGGUUUGAUCCUACUGUCCGAUUGUCAAGACGUUUCAUUUUCAUUGCCACUAGCCGUGGGUCAGUCCCACUAGUGAGCAUUUCAUUUGCAUCACUAACAAACAUGGGUCAGUCCCAUUAACACUUCAUUUCACUUCUUUCAUUUGUAUCACCAAUGAACAUGGGUCAAUCCCACCAACACUCUACCUCAAUUCAAUUCAUCAAUUUUCUUUUAUUCGGGCCAAUCCCAUGAUUUUCAUUUUAUCCGGGUCAGUCCCAUGAUUUUCGUUUUAUUCGGGUCAGUCCCAUGAUUUUAAAUUUUCUGUUCGGGCCAGUCCCGUUUAAAUCCCGUGGGUCUAUCCCAUUUAAAUUUUCUGUAUGGGUCUAUCCCAUUUAUAUUUCUGCCCGGGUCUAUCCCAUUUAAAUUUCUUGUUCGGGUCUAUCCCGUUUAAAUUCUGUUCGGGUCAGUCCCGUUUUAAAUUUCCUGUUCGGGUCAGUCCCGUUUUAAUUUCAUGUUUGGGUCAGUCCCAUUUUAGAAUUCCUGUUCGUUAAAUCAUUCGUAGCCGAAUAACACAGGUAAGUAUUUGGUGUCUACUUCUUUGUCUCAAGUUUUUUCAAAACUCAGACAAAGAGGGGCAAACUGUAGACACCAAGUUUUUUGGUGUAAUUUCUUUUACUUUUUAUUCUCAUUUGUCGUGGUUGCUUUUUAGUUUUUUUUUUUUUAGUUUAGUUCUAGUUUUAUUUUAUUUUUAAGUAGAAAAAUCAUGAAAAAGAAAAAAAAAGGAGGAAAAUUUGUUCACAAAAAUAUGUUUAUUUCUUUAAAUUCAACCUUUUUGCACUUUAGUUAUUUUUAUUAAGUUAUUUUGAAAAAAAAAGGAAAAAAGAAGAAAAUUUGAAAAAUGGACAUUUUUGUUGUUUUUAUUUAUUUAGUUUGUUUUUUUUAUUUAUUUGUUUUCAUUCUUAUUAUUAUUACAUGGUUUUGUCAUUUUGUUAUUAUUAUUAUUAUUAUUUAUAUUAUGUAUUUAUUAAGUUAAAAAAAAAAAAAAAAACCAACCAACGCGCAGCAUGCAAGCUGCGUUUUUGCAGCAGCUUGGAAGUGAACUUUGGGGAGAUCCUUAGUUGCAAAUAUAUCAGAAAGGGCUGGGGUUUAGGUUUUGGGGUUGCCCAUAUAAAAGCUAAGAGAGUGGACAGCCGCAAGAAAAAAAAAAGAAAAGAAAAAAACUAAAAAAGAACGGGAACCGAAGGCAUGAGAAAAGAUUGAAGGGACGGCUGAGAAGGAAAAAAGGGAGAGAAUGUUUAUGCUUGGGAAAGAAGAAAAGGUUUCAGGGUAAACAAAACAGAGGGACACGGCUAAAAAUCUGGAGGGAAUUUUAUAGGGAGUGACGGUUAUAGACAGAAAGAGGGAGAGAGAGAAUUGAAAGGAGGAGCAGGAGUUGCGGCUGCAUCCGGAGGAGGAAGACCGACGUGAGGAAGAGACUAGGAGGCUUGUUUUUCCAGAAGUUCCAUAGAAGUUUGAUGCCGGCUCAUUUCUUUUGACUUCAGCCUUGUCAAAAAUCUUUAUCAGGUAAUCCAUUGAACUAAAGGUUGCACCUUUGGUCCUCCUCUGUGUGCGUAGGUUUGGCCUGGGAAUUUUUGUGAUUCCAAACUUCAAGAUUCAAUUUUGAUUGUUGCCUUGGGUUAGAAAUUUGGUAUUUGUUUGGAUUUUGGCAUGAAACCCAGUGAUUGCAAUUUAGGAAACCAGUUUUCUGCUAGAAUGAUGCAUGAGUUGUCGAACCUUUUGCUGCUGGUUUAUUAAGUUUGUUCCAUAACAUUACCAUGUUUGCUCUUUGCUGUCUUUCUUGCCUUUGUCGUCUUUUCCUCCUGUUCUAUAUAUCUUAGACAUGAGUUUUGAAAUAGAAAAGCGUUGGUCAUAUAUUUUUGGCUGGGGAGGGUAGUGCACGGAAAUCUACUGCAACAAACAACAGGCUCGAGGUUGCUGCUUUUGUUGCAAGCGAUUGGACAAAACUAUUUUUUGGGUUAGACUGAGAUCCUGUUUUGGCUUGAGUUUCAUUUGGGUUUGCUUGCUAAUGUUAGAGACGCUGAGCAUAUGCCUUGCUGUAUUUUACGGCAGCAAGAUGCGGUGUCACACCAAGCUGCAAUAUGUCAAGACCAUUUGUUGCAGCCAUAGAGUCACUUUGCUAUACUUUAUAUCUAGUUGCUAUGAUUAGUUCUUUUAAGAAUAGAUGUUUGUGGUGGAGUAAGGUUCAUAACAUGAGUUGAAGGUCUUGCUUUCCUUUUCGUUUUUGCUGCAUCGAUAAACAUCACUUGGACUGUUCAGUUUUUGCAUGCAUGUUGUCCGACCAUUUGAUGUCUAAAUUUACAAGUUUCAUGGUGCAAAGUGGGAAUAUUGUGUGAUAGUUGUGUUAGGAUUGGCACUGUUUUAAUGUUAAGUUGAAAAGCUGGAUGAUGAAUCUGAUUUCGGCAACUUGAGGCUAAAGCUUGUGGCUAAAGAAUGAAAAUUGCGGCUGGGCUCUUUGAAUUUGCAGAGAGCCCUGCUACAUCUUUUUCUUUUUCUUCUUUUACUGUUUCAUUUGUACCCUUGAUGCUCAGCUUCAAUUCUUGUUUUAAUCUUGCAAUGAAGUUGCAUGUUUAGUCAAUGAUAGAUAGUGGAAUUUCUGGCAUUUGAUGAACAUAUUUGCAUGAUAAACUGGAAGGAAAUUCAUGGCAGAAAUGGUGCAGAAAAAUGGUUCUUUACGUAGGCAUGCAUGAAAAACUAAAGAAAAUUUGCAUUUUGACCCCCCAAGUUUCCCCUUGACUCACUAUGGCCCAAAUAAUUAAAAAAAUUAAUCAAUUGGGGCCCUGUGUUUUUUGCAACAAUGCUACGAAGACCCAACUAGGUUCCAUUUUCUUGCAAUAAGAUCCUAUGAUAGUUGAAAUUGAACCAUUCCUCAACCUUUUCCUUGCCUUUGGACCUUUGAAGUUCCUAAAAGUGUUUCAUUAAGCUUGAAUGUUUGGUUAGUGUUCACAUUUGAGUAUUUGGUAGCAUUAAUGUUUUAAUUCAAUUGCUUGUUUGCUUUCAUUGGUUACCAUGUUUUGCUAAGGUGAUGCUUAAUGCAGGGAUUGGUGAACCUUGUGUCUAAAUGAGCUUGUGAUUGCCUAUUUCCUUUAAUUUCCCUAAAAUAAGUUGAUUAAUUGACCUUUUCAUGCUCAUGGACCUUUUGAGUUCUAAAAUGUUUCAAAUGGCUUUGAUGGUUUGGUUAAGGGUUGCUUUUGGAUCCUUAGUUAGUUUUGCUAUUUUUGAAAUUUGAUCAAAUAACUCACUUGGCUUAUAAUUCAUACAUUAUUUGGUCAUUUCUAAGUUGCAAAGUGAGAGAGGAUUAAAUGUUUGGAUGAAUUUUGACUUCUUUACAUUUCAUCACUAUAUUGGUGCAUUAAUCCUUUGUUUGAUUGGUUUUAGCCCAAGUUAGAACCUUUUCCAGUUACUAGUUUCACGAACGGGGAAGGUAUAACUUUCUUUUACUUUUUUGUCUCUCCUAUGUGAUCCAACGUGCUAAGUGAAAUUUGCAUGUCUAUUUCGCUUUCCUAGUUUUAUUUUCAUUACUUUCAUUUAUUUCAUUUACUUUUGCUUUUUAUUUAAGUUAUUCUUUAUGGGGUAUGUGUACACCUCUUGGCUUGUAAUAGAUAGGGCUUGGAAAGCGCUUGAUGAAGGCCUAUUGAAGACGUGUGCCUAGCUAGCAAAUGUAAUAGGUCCAUUAGUUUGAUUGCUUGUUUUUGUGACUAUGUGUUAAUUUGCUUUAUUAGGUUUUUGCAUCUAGUCGAGCAUGCUAAGUGUUAUGUGCUACGUGUUUAUGAAUUUUUGGCAUGUCUACUUGCUUUCUACAGCCAUGAAUGAAUGUGAUGGAUGAAUGUACGUUUCCACUAGUCCAAUGCUAGUAGGAAUUCCUAGAUAUGGGCUAGUCCAACGCUAGACCCCUAGGAGCCUCCUUCGCUAGUCCACAUUUGCAUGCCUCACUACAUUUCAUGCAUUUUUCUUAGUUUUUCCUAGCAUUUGGCAUGUUCCUCCAACCCUUCCCCUUUCAUUUUAGGCCUUUGCAUUCCAUGCUAGUAUGGGGUCCAUUUGCUUGAGAGUCCCCCCUUGGGUAAGGGAAACGAGCGAGUGUGGCUUCAAAAUAGCCUUAGCACGCUAGUUUUUCCUUCUAAUCAAAGGGAAAAUUGAAAUCACAAAAUUAGAGGUCAUUCCCGUACCCGACCUGAUGCAUUCCUCUAAGUUCAUGUACUUUCAUAUCUUUUUUCAUUAUUUUCCUCACUAAUUAUAUAUCUUAAUCCACAUACCAUAUUCACACACUUCUGCACUUCUUUAUUUUUCACCUCACACAUUGCACCUAUUUUUACUUAUAUAUUUACUAUUUUUAUUCACUUGCACACCAACCCUACUAUUUUCAUACACUUGCACACAAAAAACACUUGAAUUUUAUACAAUUUCACACAUGCACCUUUUUAUGCAUUCGCACACUUGCACUUACAUUUCUUGCAUCUUUCAUACACUUUCACACUUGCACACUUGAAUUUGAACUCUCAUUUGCAUUAAUCGACCUCUAUGAGGUUUUCCUUUGUUGGCCGCCACAAUUCAUGUGGUCUGGGACCAAAAGCCUCAUAAGAGACAUCGUAGAAUUUAGGAUUGCAUUUUCCUUUCCGUUUUGCAUUCAUAUAGUCAUAUCCAACGUGCGAUACAUACAUUGGGUAGAAAAUUAGGAAAGGUAAGGUUAAGUCGCGCAACUAGCCUUGGCUAGGUCAAAGGGGUGCCUUGGAUUCUAUCCUUGCCUUCCCCUUUGUCAAACGUGUCUCCCGAACCUUUUUCUUUGGCUUACGUGGACUAGGAGUCGUUUUUUAAAGGGUUUUACUACUUUGUCUUUAAAAAUUUAUUUUUUAGGUGACUUGGUACACCUUAAUCAUUACCAAGUGACGACUCCAAUUUCUCAUUCAAAAACCCUUUUUUAAAAAAAAACUAUUUUUGGGUCAAAUCGUCGCUUUUUCAAGUCCCAUAUUAGACCCAUAUCUUUUUUCAACUCACAAAAAUCAUUUUUGAAUCAAAAACAUCUUUCUCAAACCAUUUUAUUUUUCUUAUCAAAAAAUGGGGCGCGACAAAAAGCAAUUACAAGUAGUAAAAUUUAUACCUUACAACAAGUUACACCAUACUUUAAAAGCAAUUACGAGUAGGCAAAUAUCAUUGUAAUCAUGUUAUGGGAUACCUUGCAACAAGUGUACCUUCUUGAUGUUGUCAAGCCAUCCUAAUCCUUGUUUAGGUAGACUUUCCGGAUGCUGAAACCUAUGACAAAAGCAUAUAUGUGAGUGAUGGUCGCAUAGUAUCACAAUUGUGCACAAUAGGUUUCCGAUAAUAUACAUGUUGUUAGAUGAUAGUUACGGUUUAUAGUCACAAAUGUACGCAUUGUGAGUCAGGCAUUGCAGUGUUGUAUUCCCUAUUUCAUUCAUGUAAUUUACAAUAACUCACUUUACUUAUCUUUUAUCUUUGUAUGUGUUAAUCUACUGUGGUGUAAGCGCCCAUACACAGUCGGUAAUACAGUUUAAACUGUAUGGUGUCACUACUAUCCUGCAACAAGAAUUAAAAAAAAAGCAAGUAAUAAUUACCUUCACACUAGGGGUGGGCAAAAUUAUCCGCUAACCCGAAAACCCGUCAUAUCCGAUCCGAUCCGAAAAUUAGGAUAUCCGAUUUUUAUUAUUUGAUCGGAUCAAAAGAGGAUCGGCUAUUCACUAAGAUGCGGGGUGCGUUAGGGUCACAUAAUUAAAAAUCCGCGGGUACUCGAUCCGCCCCCCAUAUAUAUAUUUUUAUUUUUAUUUUUAUACACACACUAUAAAAUAAUAAGUUAGAAUUAAAUAAGUAAUUUUAUUAAAGAAAUUGCAUUACAAAUAUGAGAGACUAUAGUUUAUUUACAAGGUUCAUUUGUAAAGGCCAUGAUCUUAUAUUUUAUAGAAAAAAGUUUAAUUAAUGUGGAACAUAUAUAUUAAAAAUUGUGCUACUUAUUUCAAACUUUUAUUGAUUUUGAAUUGUUUUAAUUUUUUUCCUUUAUCUUAUAUUCUCUUCAUAUGCCUGUUUCUUAGUGGGAAACCUUUUUGUAGAAAAAAAUUAUUAAAUUUUAGAUGAAUGUGUAAAAUAUAAAAUUAAAUUGAUAUAAAUCAUUUUUUAUAAAAAUUAAAUGAUAAACGGGGCGAGACGGGUACCCGCUGAUCCAACCCUAUCUCAGCGGGUUAUAGGGUACCCGCUGAUAUUCGGGACGAGUAAGGGUCAGAAAAUGGCUGACCCGCAAGGUGCGGGUCGGGUCAGAAAAAUGGUGAAUGGGGCGAGCACCCGCCCUGCGCCCACCCCUACUUCACACUCUCCCUGUUAUUUUAUAUACCUAUAAACAUCCUAAGUCGUUUAAUUCGUCUAUUGAGUCAAAUUUACAAACACUUGGCAUGCAUAAGUUCUCUGUGUAUACGUUCUUUAAGUUAGCUUUCAAUGUAUCCAACUUGUGCUACCCAUAUGAUUUCCUUGUUUAUGAGUUUUCGCUAGAGUUUCAAUUUUAUUAUUCAUGUCACACUGUCUUAAACAAGUUGUACAAACAAAAUCAUGCAAGUAAAUUCAUCCCCCUGCUAUCGCAAAACAAGUCAAAUAGUGCAAUGAGUUUGCAAUAUUCUUACCUUUGGGUUUAGUCCAAUUCGAUUGAGUCUAUCUCUGCUUCAGAUCUCACCAACUUCCGUCUUUUGGCAGCCAUUAUGAAAAAUUUUUGUCCCACAACAGUUACUUCUUGUGUCCCCUCAGUAUAUUUCUGUAACACUUUCUCCAAAAACUUCUCAUCUUAAACUUUCCAAUUUGGGGUAGGGAUAUUAUUUUGCUGAUACUCUGGAAUUGUGAAUGAAUGUUCACAAGAUAUAUUUUUGGAGGGAGACCAAAAUUCUAUUUCAUUUGAACAUUUCAGAUGAAGAGUCAUGCCUCAUUAAUUUGGGCGGGAAUUUUUGGAACGGACAGCUAAGGUAUUUUAACGGAGCCCAUUAGCCCCUGAAAUUUUUUUUUAUUUUUUUCCCUACUCACUUACUAAAACAACGUCAUUUUCCUUUGCUGUUGCCACAAUUAUACGUGGCCUGUUGCAGUCCUCUCAUUUCCUUUUGUGAGAGAACUGCUCAGGCGGAUCGUCCCUGCCCCAAAUCCAAUUUUGCACAAGAUGUUUGAUUUAUCCUACAUUGCAAACACUUUAUUCAUAGAUGUACCCCCUGAAUUCAUGUGAUGUAGUUAUGAAAGCAAUGUAAGAUGAUAAACCAAUUAUUAUUAUUGAGGGAAUGCUUUGGGAUCCUACCAUAUACCUCAAGGAUAAUGAUAGUAAUUUGCCAAUUCAGAUGCCAACAAAAGAUGAAGAGUCAUAGCCUUUGAAGGAAGAUGGCAGUCAGGGAUAGAGAGAAAAAAUGAUUCAUAUCCUAAGAAUGUGAAGUCGAGACAAGGAAACAUCAACUGAUCAGUUGAUUACAGUUGCAGGGAUUCUUGAAUCUAUUGAUAUCCUUGGAACCAAUCCUGGGAAGGAAGUUGAGACCAUUAAGGAUCCAGUAGCUGAUAAAAUUCCCUCUGUUAGAAAAGAAUAAUCUGGUCCAUGACCAAUUAUCAUUCCAAUUGUCCUAAGGAUGGUUGAGUUUGAUCAUAUGACCUUACUAGAGGUGUGAAUAUAUAUAUGCAAUCUUCUAAGGAGAAAUGCCAAAUCCAGGAGAAAACUAAGCUCGUAAGCAACUGAAAAACAAUUCAGGACUAUCUAUGUUCAUUCAAGUCGUUGGGGGUUUGACAGUUUUCAACAUAUUAGCAACAAAAGUUGGCAAGCUAUUGGACUUUCAUGUUCAAAUCCUUCUCAAAUUGAGGCCAUGAACAAGCACAAAGAUUGAGAUUUAACUGCCAAGAGAUCAAUGGUUUCAACUUUCAAAUAAUAAUUGAAGUUCUUCUCUUUUACUUGUUAACAAUGGGAAGUGACAUAUUUCUAACUUUUCUUUUUUUUUUUUUUUACCAAACAAUAGGAGACUUCAUUACUGGAAACGAAAGUUUACAACUUUGGAGCAAAGGCUCCUACAUCGUUUUUGGCAAAACUGAUUAGCCAACUUGGAAUGACUCCAUCCAAGCUAUCUCAGAAACUGAAUUUAAGGCAAACUUUGCCAACUGGUGAGACAUACUAUUCCCUCUCCUUUUAACAAAGGAGAAGACACAAAAACUAAAAUCCUUGCUAAGCACAAAGAUGUUAAACAGGACAGCACCUGCUAGAUGGUCAUUCAACCUUCCCUCUCUGAUUUGGUCAAUGAUGCUCUUACAAUCAGAUUGUAUGAUGAUAUUCCUCCAUCCAUUCUUUUUGGCCAAUGACAAGUAUAUAUUUUACGUGUUUUUAGUGUGUUCUAUUAAUUUGUUUCAGUAUGUUUUAAUUAGUUUUAUAGCUAAUAAACUAAGAUUCUAGUGAAAAUAUGCAUUUUAUGGUUUAAAGUGUGAAAAUAUGCAUUUUAUGGUUUAAAGUGUGAAAAUUGCAUUUCUAUGAACUUUUACCGCAAAAACUUCAUGUUUUUGUAGAUUUAAGGAUUCAAUCAUCAAAGGGAGAGAUUUGACAAGAUAAUUGGAUGAUUGAUACUGAUUUGAAGUGGUUUAAAGAAGACAUGAAGUGCAAGAGAGGAAAUGCAAUCAAGAACAAAAGGAAGCAAGUUUCACAGCUUUGACACCUGGUGGUAUUUCGACUAUAUCUUGAGCUACAAUGAUUGGCUGGAGGUGAUUCUUAAACCAUUUCGAAGCUCAGAGACAUAUCUACAUUUGGUAUGAGACAUCGAAGUCCAGAUCAGUCGUUUUCAUUGUCAAAAAGUUGGAAUACAGAAGUGCAAAUUCUGUGGUCGUAAGCUGGAAUAGAGCUCUAACCAGUCUUUAGUAUGUCGGUCAUAUCUUGGUCCACAGAGCUCUAAAUUGGAUGAUUCUUAAGGCAUUGGAAAGCUAACUCAAAGGGCUACAACCUUCAUGUUUUGCACAAGAGAUAGUUCGGCGUCCAACCUCAAAAAAAUAGCAGUUGAAGUAGUGCAGAAGUGAAAACGUGACUCAAUGAAAACGUGGGUUGCAGUCGCGUAUUAUCAAGUAGUGUUUUCUCACCUGUUUUCUACAACUUGCUCAUCAACUUGCCUUGCUUUCACACAAUUUUUCCAACUCAAUUCCAGCUACAAUCUCGGUUGUAUCUGAUAAAAAAAAGGUUGAAAAGUUGGAAAGACAACUUAUGGAAGAUUCAAGAGUCAAAAAUGACAACUUUAACAACUCUUCUUAACCUUGAAUUCCUCUAUAUAUAGAAGCCUUUGGAGAACAUUUUCACAACUUUGGAAAGCUAGAGAAACUCACAAAAAAUGUAGUCUUCACUAGUUUUUCUUAGUUCAUUAGUUAGAGUAGUAUAGUAUAGAAUAGUUUAGAUAGUUAUGUGUGUUAUCCACUCUUGUAUAUUGGCUAGAUUAGGAUGAAGAUAGAGAUGAAGAAGGAGGGAUUGAAACUCAUGUGACAAGGGUUAUCUCUUCUCCAACUCUUUAUCUUUUGUAUUGGAUUCUUAAGUAUGGUUAAUAUGCAAGUUUUGGAUUUGUGUUUUAAUAUGUUUAGCUAAAGUUUAUGCCUAGAGUUAUGGAUGAACUUUCUAUAUCUUGUUUGUAAUGUUUACUUGGUUAUUUGAUGAUGUUAUUUUGAGCAAGUUAUUUAUCACUUUUGCUUUUCUAAUCAUGAUUAACUGGCCAUUAGUUGUGAUUAUCUAAAGGUGUUAAGUUUGCAAUGAGAAUUGGAAUUUAACACUAGUUCAAGGAAAUGAUAAACCUAGGGAGUACACUCACGAGAGUAAAAGUGCACCUAUGUGGCUUUAGUGACUUGUUCAUAUAAUUUCAUAGAAAAAAUGAGUUUGUAAUUAAUUUCAUAACCACAAGAGUAGGUAUGGUUUAGCUAUAAGUAUAGUUGAUUCACUACGAGAGUAGGUUUCACAUACAUUAGGAAAUUAUGCCAUAACUAAUCAAGAUAAUAGCAUUCACUUAACCGGUAAUCUCAUUUGCAAGAGUAGUAAGGAAUUCUAUAUCUCUAGGAGCUUUCUAGUGCUAACUUUCAUUACUUUUAUGUUUAUGGUAGUCUAGGUAAUAAAGAAGUUCGAAAAACACCGGUAAUUGCAAUCUUCCCUGUGGGAUUAACCCUUAAUACUCUAUACUCGCUCACGAUUCGUAUAUUUGCGAUAAAUGGCGUAUGGGGUAUUUAGGAGUUUAUAAAUGUAAAACUUGAUUGUAGAUGGGUUAAUUGUAUAUGUAUACGCCGCGCACGUCAAGUUUUUGGCACCGUUGUUGGGGAAGAUUGGUCAAUAUCGAUGCUAAGAAUAACUUUAUUAAUUUAGACAUUUUUACUUGUUUUUGUAGUAUUUAGUGUCUUAAUUUUUGUUUUUAGUGUCUUUUUGAGUCGUGGUAUAUGUUUUUUAUGUGUUUAGAGUCAUCUAUUUUUCUUGACUAAACUUGUUUUUAAAUUACUUUGAAAGAAUGUUUAAGGGUUCAAGAAGAGUAGAAAACAUGAGGAGACAAUGCAUGAGAAGUGGAAGAUCGGCAAUGGAUGGUUACUACGUGCAAAGCUCCUUGAAUAGAGGUAACCAUGAAAUUACCGAAGGUAUGCCAUUUGAAGAUGGUUUAAGGUGCUUAGAGGCUAAAUUUGAUGUUAUAACGUUACAAAUUCAAAUAGACACUUUUAUGCAUGAAAUUGAGUAAAAGAGGAAUGUUAAUGCUUUUAAUUCUUAUCAUAUGAUUUGUGACUUGUGUGGAGAUUAUCAUGCUACUAAUACAUGUAAACAAGCACAAAAUUAGAUUAUUUUGAUGAAUUGGGCAUUGCAAUCCUUGUUUUGAUCAAUAUGGUGAUAAUUUGAGCAAUUCUUAUGCUUAUGGUGGGGAUAAUCAAUGUACUUAUAGUGAUUUUUCAUUUUUUUAUGAUUAUCCAUCCGAAUGUAUCCAAUAUGAAUCAAAACCAUCUUGAAAAUUGGCAAUAGAAAGGUUAGCUAAUGCAACUUUACCUUUGGAAUUAGAGAGUGAACCAUUAGCUAACAAUUCCAAGCCAUCUUAGGAGUUAGCAUUAGAAAAACUAGCAAAUGCAACUUCCGACCGUUUUGAUAGGGUUGAGGAAAGAUUAGAUGAAUUAGCUUCUCAUUUUAGUAGAAUACAAGACCAAUUAUAUGCAUUGUGUGAAAUUAUUUCUUCUAAUGAUAUGCAAAAUGAUCCUAGCGUGAAUUGUGAGCAUGUUGCAAAUGAAAUGGAUUAUAUUUUGAUGAAAAUGAUGAAUCUCAAUUGAGUUUCGAUGAAAAAAUGCCCAUUUCACAUGAUAGUACCUUUAGAACUAACCUUGAACCUCAAGAGGUGAGACUUAACGAUUCAUUUUUAAUCCCUCUUGAGGAGUAUGUUGAGAGUAUAGGUUUUAAAGGUAUUAUUCCCCAAGGAAGCCAAGUUGACGUUCCUUUGAUGAGUUCUCAAGUGGUACAUAAUCAAGAUAAAAUAUAUGAAAUACUUGAGAUAGGUAAGCUACUUCUACCUCUCACAUCAUUAGAACAUGUGACUUUUGCUAUAAAGUCACCUUUUAAUGAUCCACCACGACCUAAAUGGUGGAUUAUUCAUUGACAAAGCCUCUUUGAAAAAUGAGGCAAAAUAGUCGAGCCAACAACUAUAAACAAAAGCGCUUGUUGGGAGGCAACCCAAUGUUUUGGCUAUUUAUAUCAUUUUGGUGUGAUUUUAUGUUUAAAUUAUAUGUUUGAGUUAUUUUGUUGUUUUGCAUUUGUAGGUAUUGAAAAUAGAAGCAAAAGUGACCAAAUGAGAUGAAAAAGGCGAAGUUCAAUCAAGGAACUCUACCCCUUGAUUUGUGCUAAAGGUGUAUUUGAUCUAUUCAAAAAGGGUAAAAUACAUGUUUUAAUCGUUUUACAUGUGCGUGCAUUGAUAAUUUUGGCAAAGAAUGAUCUAUGAUACAUUUUGAGUAAUUGGAGUAACAUGUGUAAUUUUCCAAAGUUGGCAUUUCUGCAAAAAUUUGCAACAGAAAAUGUGGAUGACUUGAAAACGCUCCAUCGUGCCACGUUUUACACGAGCCAAGUUUUCAAUUUUGCAAUUUUUGUAUAGAAAAUGCAGCUUGAAAACGCUCCAUCAAGCCACGUUUUACACAAGCCACAUUUUUAGUACUGCCCCAGAAGGAAGAAACGCGGCUUGGAAACCCUCCAUCAAGCCACGUUUUCAGUUAUGCCCAGAAGGAAGAAAACGUGCCUCACACAAAACGUGGCUCGAAGGCACGUUUUGUCAAGUCAUGUUUUCCCUUCAUGUCCGAAUGCUAAAAACAUGAGAUCUGGUUCAUUCUUCUUUUCCUUACGUAUUCCCUUGUACCUUGAGUAGUUUAUUGUGUAUUUUCUAUAGGUAUAUUACCACCACAAAGGCUUAGGAGUUACGGAUGGCCUUUAUAUGUUUAUUAAUGCCUUUGUUAUCGCCUUUGUUUCUCAUUUUUCAUUUUUUUAUAUCACUAAUGGUUAUCUAAUGGAACUAAUGAAGUUGUGGGGAUAACCGGACAAUGGCUCAUGAUCUUAAUACUUUGCGCACUUCAAUCACAUCAAUAGGGGAAUAUUACUUUCUUUAUCUUGGUUUCCCUUUUUACACAUUGAGGACAAUGUGCAUGUUAUGUGUGGGGGGAAGAAUUGAUAUUAUAUGCAUUGUAUGUGAUUGACUUGUUAGUUCCAAAAUUGCAAAAUUACCCCAAGAAAUUUCAAAUUUUUUCAAUUUUAUCCAAGGGGUAACAAGUUCCAUGUCAUUAGUAAUUCAAAUUCCUUCUACUUUUGAGAUAAAUAUAUGUGACUUGGAAAUGACUUUUCUCAUUUAACUUGGAAAUGAUUAUUAUGCGAUCAAUUUGUGCACUUAUAGAAAAGUAUAUCUUGUAAAGUGGAGAAAAUUAUGCCUACAUUUUGCAUAUUUGAGAAAAUUUCUUAUCUUUAUUUGAUUUUACAUAGUUAAGUGAUAAGUAUGGUCAAUAAUUGCAAUCCUCUUCUCAUGAUUAUGCUUUUGAGGAAAUGUUAUUAUCUUUACUUUGAAAAAAAAAAUGAAAAAAAUGUAAAAAAGAAAAAAAAAGAGAAGAAAAAAAAGAGAGAAUAAAAAUUGCUUUACUCUAAUGGUUCUUGUAUUUAGUAACUGGGAGUCUUCAUCUACAAAUGUCGACUUUCGCGUAAAACGGUAGUUGAAUUAAGAGUAUGCAAAACAACUUGAGUAUGUGAAGUGUUGAGUAACCGACGAUUUUCAUCUAAAAAUGUCGAUCAUCAUUUAAAAAGGCACUUUCAUAAUUUGAAUAAUAUUUAUCUAUAUUAUAUGAAUAAAUCCUCUCUAAGUUAAAUAAGAAGAUGAUCAUGGGUUUAGAAAGUAUUUUAUUGACCAUAUGAGUUACUUAUGAAAUUGGGUGAGGAUAAGAAAUGGAAUUGAACUAGUUAAAUUUAAGGUAUAUUGGCUCUCCUUUACUUGAUAUUAUGAGUAUUUGAGGAUUAAUGAAUAAUUGUAUAAUGGUUGUUUACUUUGUUUUGAGAAAAUGAAGUUGAUGGUGCACAUAUCUUUAUUUUCAAAACUUUGAAUCAUUAUUGGUAUGUAUUUCUAAUUGUUGAAGACAAGAUGUGAGGACUCGAAAAUCUAUUAUUUUUAAAUCCCUAAUUUUGGCUUAAUUAAUUAUUUAUUUGGAUUUUUGCCAUGAAUAAUAUUUUCUACCCUUAUUAGACCUGAGUACAUGGUAUUAUAGUUUCGUUAUAUUUUUAAAGUGUCUCGUUUCAAAAAUUAUUUUCUUAGAAGCUUGUUUAGUGAAAAAGUGAAAACGCGUUUGGAAAAUUUAACCAAUUGGGAGUACAUUAAGCCCUGAAAAUUGGAGACAUGUACAAUGGUCUUAAAAUAGGUAAAUUUAGCUUUAAGUACUCAAGUGAUAGUUAGUGGUACGAUCGUUAUAAGAAUUUAUCGAAGGUUUCACUUUAUCGCGCCUAAAUUGGUAAUACGCGUUUUCACGCGCGCGAAUAAUUGAGAGACUUUAGACCAUUAUUUUGGGACAAUUAAGAGUGAAUAAUAUUUAUAUGAAUAUAAGUGCAUUAGAGGUUUAGUGCACUAGUGAAAUAAACUCGAAAGAAAUCGAACCCAAAAUGCGCGCGUACACGCUCAAGAGAGAGUUGACUUUCGGCGAAUUGUGGCCACACAUUUAAGCUUACUUUAGAAGCUUUAUUUCAGCAUAUCACACGCCUCUUUCUUUCUCAUUUGGCCGAAACAUCAGCUGCAACAAAACAACUCCAAGUUUUGCAAAUUCCAUCUCCAAAUCUUACACAAAUCUUCAUCCAAUUCACACCCAACUUAAACCACACGUGGCUUAACACUUAAGGAUCAUUUGAGCUGCAAAGAGGAACUGAAAAUCACGGUUUUUCUGGAAUAAAGGGGGGCCAAAAUUCUGCUUGAACAUCAAACCAAAGUAGGUAAUGAUCCAGCACUCUAAACUUGGUUUAUAGAGGUUGUUUAACACCUUUAAGCUUGGAUAUUCAUACGGGUGGUUGUUAUUGUUGCAAAUUUGGAAGGUGGGCUCUAUGAACUUCCACCCUUUGUCUUGAUGGCUGAUGUGAUGAUUGAUGAUGAAUUUAAUGUUGGUUUAGUGCUCAAAAUGGUAGAUUAAUGGUGUAUUAGUAGUAUGAACUUCAAGAAAUGCAUGAGAGGAAAAGUUUCAAUUCUACCCCUGCUUUGAACGUAUCUAUUUCUGCUGAAUUUUGGGGUUGUAAUGACUUAUAUAUGAUGUUUAUAUGUUGUAUAGAUGGUGUAUUAAAAUUUCAUUGAAAAAUAUUGAGGUUUGGUGGGUCAAAUGAAUUGAUUUCACAAAGCUAGUAAAUGUGGAACUGUUCCCGUAAUGCUCUGACCAGCUUUCGUGUUUCGGCCAUAAUUUUGUGCUCCGAUGUCGAAAUCGAGUGCCGUCAAUGGCAUUUGAAACUAAACAUUCCAACCUUUCCGCCGGUAUAAAAUUCAUGUUCUGGUUCUAUGUAUGUCAGCCGAACCAACCAUUUAAAGUCGGCUGUUCUGUUUCUCUGUUUUACUGGAACGAAAUGCUGAGGCUGCAACUUGUGGCUCGAAUUCGAGCUAGUUUUGUGCCGAAUUUCAAAAUUAUUUCUUCUGAGAAAUUAUAGCUCUAUGAAUUCUUUUUCCAACGCCAUAAACCAUGACCAAUUCCGAGUUAAUUUGAGUGAUUUGUGAUCAAAAUACGGAACCUGUCCUGCUCUUGAAAACCCUGACUUUUGGACAGAUUUGAUGCAAGGCUUGGUAUAGACUUGCUAACUGAAUAUUUUGGUGUUAAACACUUACCAAAUGUACCAUGAAUAUUCCUUAGGCAUUGCCUACACUAAUGAGCCAUGUUUGAGGAAUUUUUCCUUGACCCAAUGUUUGAAAUGGAAAACAAAAUGUUCAAGGGAGUUUUGUCUUAGUAUUUUUGAAACUUUGGGUAUUUGAUUGACUACAUUUCCGAAGGUAUUUUUUCAUGAAAUUUGAUAGAGGGAUACUCUUUAUAUAGGAGUAUUAUACUGCCAAAUUUUGUACCAAUCCAAGUCCCUUUCGAUACCUAACUAAAGUCCCAAAGUUGGAAGCUCAAAUCUGGAAAUUUGUUCACCAGUUUUGAAUUUUUCCCAAACUUCGAGCUACCGUAUCUCGGUGCUCGAAACUCCGAUCCUUGAUCCGUUUUUUCAGUUAUAAACCUUACUUACAAUUCUAAUUGAUUUACAAAUUUCAGAGGCUAGCUCGCAACAUGUGAAUUUUGCCGAAUUUUCAAAGUUAGCGAAAAACCAACCCCGGCUCAAUUUUGAGUGUUCCGGAACAGCAACUUUAAACCCAUUUUUAAAUAUCUUCCACUUAGAUUCAUGGAAAAGUGUCUUCUAAAAACUUUUAGUACUUUCAAAAAAGUUUCCAACGGUACCAAGUUUUCCAAUUUUUGACAUGUAGAAUGUGAGAUACGAUUUUUCAAAAUAUCGUAUCAAAACUGAAAAUUUUUCGAAUUCCAAAGGAAGGGAGUUUUCAACCACUCCUUAUUCCUUCGAUAUUACUUGAACAUGUUAUACCUGAUUUUCUAAAAUGAAAACUCAAUCGCACUUGUACUUUAAGAAACUCUAAUUGAACCUCGAUUUACGAGUAAUUGAGAUUCAAUUUCAUGAAAUUUCCUUAGAUUGUACAAGUGUACAAUCUUCCUUGACAAUUGGGAUAUAUGAGUGAUGCUUCACUAUUAUUUGCUCAGGCGCACACGAUGACCCACAAGAGGAUCCCACGGUGGACGCUUAAACUUCGAGUGCCUUUUUCUUUUCGUUUUACUUGGUGAGUGUCAAGUGUGUGUUACUUAAACUCCUGUGAAUUCGAUACGUGAUUACUUGUUAUUGAUACUUGAGAUUUUGGGAAAUGGAGUCGAGUGUGUACUUUAUCGCAUUCGUUCUCAUUCGAAAUGAUUUAACUCAUGCUCAAAUUGCUUGAAUAUAUCGAUUGCUUGGAUACAUCGAUUGCUUGUACGAUCAAUGCUUGAUACAUGAUAUGAUAUGCUAUGGCUGCAUACGUCGGUGGAGUAAAUCUCCUCGAUACACAAUUGCACACGGGGACGCCCACAUCUCAUUGGCCGACCUUGGACUCGAGCCGGCAUGGGCUUGGUCGGGAAUCUUGGCGAGCCAUGAGAUAUAUAAGUUUGACCUAAUGAGAGGUCUUGCUUGGCAUACUCGAGUAGUAUCGCCAUAAACAAAUGACAGGAGGGCCCGAUACAGGGGUAUGUGAGGUGAAAGGGGACAGGUUAACUGGAGUUCUACAGACAAAACCUACCCGAUUGACGGAGUGUCAAUUCGUGGAGGUUAUUGAUCGUGCAAGUGGAAUAUAGCUCUUGAGAGCUCCUAUAUCCUUGAAUUGUUUCCAUUUACUUUCCGGUAAAUUGUUAAUUGAAACAUAUUAUUGCGUAGCUUGUAAUUGGGAUUGUUAUUUGAACUGCGUGCUUGCAUGUGUGACCUUGGCCUCAUGAGCGUUUUGCUCACCCUGUAGAUUUGUUUUCCUUAACAGGACUGGAAAUGGAGUUAACGCGGAGAAAUCUCCUUUUGGAUAUAUUUUGUUUUAGGGUUUCAAGUGCAUUUUAGCUUGACCCCUUUAUGAUUGUACUUUUGGAAGUUUAAUGUAUCAUUCGGAUAUAUGUGAUGUAUAUUUUGGAAUUUAAGUUGUAUUAUGAACGCCCGACGUGCGGGUUGGAUAAUGGAUGGAUAUUGUUAAGCAUGAACGCUUCCGCUCUAUAUGUAUUUGUACUAAUUUGAUUGUGGUAUCUAGUAUCGCUUUAAGCUUGAACGUUUAUUGCUUGAGUCCUGGCGAGAGUUAGGCAGGCGUUCCGCGGAUACCCUUUGGUGCGUCUUAGGGAGAAGUAGGGGCGUCACAGUUGGCAUCAGAGCGCUAGGUUAGCGCUAUGUUAGAGAUCUAUAUGGGAGACAUAUUAGAUACUCUACCCUUAAAACUUGAGACCGGAUAAUUAAGUUCUACCUUAAGAGGUAUUUGGGGCAUACUAGUGUUUAGGUUAGGCAUGCAUAAACGACAUCCGAACUAGAUAGUGAUUUAAAUUUCUAACUCGAAAAGUGCUAUUAUUUUGCAGGGAUGGAAAACGGAAAUGGAAUUCGGACAGCUGACGGGAAUGGCCAUGCGAAUGGCUAUAUAGUGCCUCCUAAGCCUAUCUUCUACCGGGCUCUAGAUGGGUGAGCUCGAUUACGCUAUUCUCCAUCUGACAGAUAUCCCCGAUGUGCGUGUAGGGUUACCUUUGCUUACCCGAACCACCUUGUGCUUGCUCUGGACGAUGAGCGUCGUCAGUUAGUGGAUCUUAACACGGAUCUUCAGGCAGAGGUGGACGAGUUUAGACAGAUGGUUAGUGCUCAGGGUGAGCGGAUUGCAGAGCUCGAGGAGGUGAUCGAGGGUGAGGUGGCCAUAUCUGUAAUGGUUCGUGAUAAGUUUCAGAGUGUUAGGGCUCAACUUACUAGAUUGAGAGAGGAGGUCCGUAGUCGGGCUUCUGAUAUCGUAGCUGAUGCCACUAGGGUAGUGGAUGAGGCGAUGGGUGUGGCUCAGGACUCUGGGGAGAAGGAUCCUGAGGAGGAGGUUCCUCCUGAUAGUCCUGCUGCGGACUAGGUUUAGAUUGAUCGACAUUUCUUUUGACCCUUUUGACUAGUAUAGCUAGUAUUAGCAGGGGUGAUGCUAAGUGCUGAGACCAUUGUAUUUUUCAUGACUGUGUGGCAUAUUUUUGAGACACUUGCUUUACUUUAGUGUUCUGUGACUAAAAAGUACUCUUGUGGCACCUGUGUGCUAUAUUUUUGUGACUACCCCAUGAUUUGCUAAUUGUGUCACCUUGAUAUGCUAAUGAAUGUAAAUUAUUGUUAUAUCCAAUGUUUUCUUGAUUGGUUCCUGCUUUAUACUUUGCAUCACAUAAUUUAUUUAUUCCUUGCACUAGGAACGCCUAGGUUAUGGAAGGAUUAAAAAGGGGUCGAGGCCGUGGUCGAGGUUGUGGGCGAGGGACUAGACCGGUUCAACCUCAAAAGGAUGAUCAGGGAUCGGCAACUGGACCGACCUAAGGUCAGGAAAAUAUUGAGGGUAAUCAAGUGGCUACUGCCAUUAAUAGGAUGACUGAUAUCUUAGAGCGCUUAACUGAUAGACAAGGACCUGGACCGUUCAACAACCUGGGGUCAAGAAAGAGGAGAGGAUAGAGUCUUAGAGAGGUUCUUGAAAUUUAACCCGCCUAAGCUCCUCGGCGAACCUGAUCCUGAGGUAGCGGAGAAUUGGUUAGAAAGGAUGACCAACAUAUUCACUGUUUUAAACUACAUUGAAGAUAGACGAGUGAAUUUCACUGCUUUCCAAUUUGAGGGAGUAGCCCGUGCUUGGUGGGAUCUGAUAAAAGGAAAAUGGGAGAGAACUCAGACCCCUUGGACUUGGGAGAAUUUUACAAGAGAAUUUAACGAAAAGCUUCUUUCGCCCUUAAUCCAAGAGAAGAGGGAGGAUGAAUUUAUCAAACUAAAACAGGGAGCUCUUAGUGUAGCUGAGUAUGAAGAAAAGUUUACUAAACUUUCACAAUACGCUCUCGAAUUGGUGACCGAUGAACGAAAAAGGAUUAGACGGUUUGUCCAGGAACAUAAUGUGGAGAUACAAGAGGGCUUGACUGCAGUCCAAAUCUCUGCAUUUACUGAGGUACAAGAGAAAGCCCAAAGGGUAGAAAAUGCAAGGAUGCAAGUGAGAGACUUCCACAAUAGAAAAAGAAACUUUUCUAACCAUACUUCUGGACAAGCAAGUAAGAGUGCACAACCUUCCAAGAUGGGAAGAUGAGCAGGAGGAGUGAAGUCUGUUGGAGCUUCUAGGGGAGCUCUAUCUAGAGGGGGUCGUAGUUGGACUACUCAAUUUAGGGGAGCGCCUUCUACUGGAUCGGCUGUGACCCCUUAAGUUACAUGUGGAUACUGUGGUAAAUCCAACCACUCUGAUAACGAUUGUUGGAGAAAGUUGGAAAAAUGUUUAUUUUGUGGUAGUGCUGAACAUCAAGUCGCCAAUUGUCCAAAAUCGCCAAAGACGGGAGGAAACCCUCAGAGGCCAGAAAAGCCAACCUCUAAGCAGACCAGUGCCGGAGGAAGUCGACCGAAAGUACCGGUUAGGGUUUAUGCAUUGGAUUAUCAAUAAGUUCCUGAGGCAACUGAGGUGGUAGAAGGUACAAUCCCAAUCUUUCACCGUUUGGCUAGGGUUUUAAUUGAUCCAUGUGCUACAUAUUCUUUUUAAACCCUAACUUCAUGAGUGGGAUAGAUUUGAAACCAUUUAAGUUACCAUAUGAUUUAGAGGUUAAAACGCCUACUGUGGAUCAAAAUCUAAUUGUUAACUUGGUGUAUCAAGAUUGUGAAGUCUGGAUUGGGGAACGAAAAUUAUUGGCUGAUAUGAUAGGUUUGACGAUUAAGGGAUAUGAUGUGACAUUAGGAAUGGAUUGGCUAGUCCGUUAUAAUGCCCAAUUGAACUGUAGGACGAAAAUUGUAGAAUUGUGUAUUCCAGGGGAGGCAACCCUGAAACUGGAUGUAAGGGGCAAAUUGGUUUCAUCUGCACUUAUUUCAGGAAUUCGGAUUAGAAAAUUAUUAAAUAAAGGAGUUCAAGGGUAUUUGGGUUUUCUUCUUAACACCCCAAGUGAUAAGGUGAAUUUGGAGAGCAUGCCUGUAAUGAAAGACUUUUCAGAUGUUUUUCCUGAAGAGUUAGAGUCUCUACCUCCAGAACGAAAAAUAGCUUUUAAGAUUGAUGUAACUCCGGGAGUGACACCUAUCUCUAAAACGCCAUAUCGGAUGGCUCUAGCGGAAUUAAAGGAGUUGAAAUUGCAAUUGCAAGACUUGCUGAAAAGGGGUUUUAUAAAAGAGUGAUUCUCCGUGGGGAGCCCUGAUUUUGUUCGUUAAGAAAAAGGACGGGAGUUUGAGGCUAUGUAUAGACUAUAGAGGCUUGAAUGAAGUCACCAUUAAGAAUAAAUACCCACAACCCCACAUUGACGAGUUGUUUGACCAAUUGCAGGGGACGGUAGUAUUCUCGAAAUUGGAUUUGAGACAGGGUUAUUAUCAGUUGAGGAUUUUGGAGAAGGAUAUACCCAAAAUUGCUUUUAACUCGAGAUACGGGUAUUUUGAAUUUGUCGUGAUGCCGUUUGGGUUAACGAAUGCUCCUGCUGCUUUUAUGGAUUUAAUGCAUAGGAUUUUUAAGUCUUAUUUGGACCAAUUUGUGGUAGUGUUCAUUGAUGAUAUUUUGGUGUAUUCUAAGAAUGUGAAAGACCAUGAGAAACACUUGAGGGUUGUUUUGCAAACCUUAAGGGAGCAUCAAUUGUAUGCUAAAUUUAGCAAGUGCGAAUUCUGGUUAAAAAAAUGACUUUCUUGGGACACAUAAUUUCUAAGGAUGAUAUUAAAGUGGAUCCAGCUAAAGUUGAAGCUGUUUUGAAAUGGAAACGAUCGGAAAACCCUAACGAGGUUCGGAGUUUUAUUGGAUUAGCAGGGUAUUACCGGAGAUUUAUCAAAGAUUUUUCUAGAAUUGCUGGACCAAUGACCGAGCUGACCAAGAAAAAUGGGAAGUUUAUAUGGAGUCCUAAGUGUGAGGAUAGUUUCCAGAAAUUGAAAAGACGGUUAACAAAGGCACCUGUGUUAGUUUUGCCAAAUGGAAAGGAUAGUUUUGUGGUUUAUACAGAUGUAUCUAAGGAAGGUUUGGGAUGUGUGUUGAUGCAAAAUGACAAAGUGAUAGCAUAUGUCUCUAGGAAAUUGAAACCGCAUGAAGGGAAUUACCCGACUCAUGAUUUGGAGUUAGCUGCUGUGGUCUUUACUUUGAAGAAAUGAAGACAUUACUUGUAUGGAGUAAUGUUUGAAGUCUUUACUGAUCACAAAAGCCUUAAGUACUUAUUUUCACAGAAGGAGCUGAAUUUGAGGCAACGUAGAUGGAUGAAAUUUUUGGAAGACUAUGACUGUACGAUUAAGUACCAUCCAGGAAAAGCUAAUGUAGUGGCUGACGCUUUGAGUCGUCAAGUACAGAUGGCUGGAUUGAUGAUUAAGGAAUUUCAAUUAUUGGAAGACGUUAGUAAUUGGGAUUCUCGACUGGAACCGAGAAAAGUAAUUUUGGGGAAUAUUGUAUUGAAUUCCACUUUGAUGGAACGUAUCAAGGAAUCUCAAGGAAAGGACACUGAGGUGCAGAAGUGGUUGGAAAAGGUUAAAAAGGGGGACAAGUCGGACUUCAACUUGGGAACGGAUGGUGUAUUGAGAUUUCGGAAUCGGGUGAUUGUGUCAAAGGAUGAAGGGCUUAAAAAGGAAAUUUUAGAAUAGGCACACCGAUCAAAGUUUACGGUACACCAAGAGGGAAUAAAAUGUACCAAAACUUAAAGAGUCUGUAUUGGUGGGAGAACAUGAAAAAGGAGAUUGCUCAAUUUGUCCAAACAUGCUUAAUUUGUCAACCGGUUAAAACUGAACAUCAGAAACCAUCGGAACUUUUGCAACCUCUAGAAAUACCUGAGUGGAAAUGGGAGAAUAUCACCAUGAAUUUUGUAUCGGGAUUACCAAGAACACUGAGGCCAUGAUGCGAUUUGGGUAAUAGUGGAUGGAUUGACCAUUUCGGGUCAUUUUCUGCCGAUUAAUAUGAAAUACCCGUUAGAGAAGCCGGCCAAGUUGUAUUUGAAUGAGAUCAUUAGGUUGGAUGGAAUACCUGUCAGUAUCGUGUCGGAUAGGGAUCCAAGAUUUGUUUCGAGAUUUUGGCAAAAGAUGCAAGAAGUGUUAGGGACUAAAUUGAAUUUUAGUACUACUUAUCAUCCCCAAACCGAUGGACAGUCUGAAAGGACAAUUCAGACCCUUGAGGAUAUGUUGAGAACUUGCGUUCUGGAUUUUGGGGAAAGUUGGAGUAAGUUUUUGACUUUAGUAGAAUUUGCCUACAACAAUAGUUUCCGUACUUCUAUUCAGAUAGCCCCGUAUGAGGCACUUUAUGGUCGGAAAUGUAGGUCUCCGAUUUGUUGGGAUGAAAUAGGUGAACAGAAAAAUCUUAGAUUCGACUACAGUGUCUUGGAUUGAAGAAACUAAUGAGAAAGUAAAGUUGGUACGCCAAAGAAUUCAGACCGCUCAGAGCCGCCAAAAGAGUUACGUCGAUAAUCGGAGAAAAGAUUUGGAGUUUACUGUUGGAGAUUUGGUAUUUCUCAGAAUCACGCCCUUGAAAGCAAGCGUGAUGUCUGGAAAAGGAAAGAACUUACAACCGAGAUUUGUAGGACUUUACAAGAUUAUCAAACGUGUGGGGAAUGUAGCCUAUAAGCUUGAAUCCAUAAUGUAUUCCAUGUAUCUAUACUUAAGAAGUAUCAUUCAGAUCCUUUUCACAUUUUGCAGCCGGAGAGUAUUGAGAUUGAUGAGACUUUGACCUAUGAAGAGAAACCGGUGAAACUUCUGGAUCGAAAGCUGAAGGAAUUGAAGAACAAGCAGAUACCACUAGUAAAAGUUCUUUGGAGGAACCAAGGAGUUGAGGAAGAAACAUGGGAAGUUAAAGAAACGAUCAGAGAGAAGUAUCCGGACUUGUUUGCCAAUCAAGGUAAAAUUUCGAGGACGAAAUUCUCUCAAGAGAGAGAGGAUGUGAGGACUCGAAAAUCUAUUAUUUUUAAAUCCCUAAUUUUUGCUUAAUUAAUUAUUUAUUUAAAUUUUUUCCACGAAUAAUAUUUUCUAACCUUAUUAGACCUAAGUACAUGGUAUUAUAGUUUCGUUAUAUUUUUAAAUUGUCUCGUUUCAAAAAUUAUUUUCUUAGAAACUUGUUUAGUGAAAAAGUGAAAACGCGUUUGAAAAAUUGAACCAAUUGGGAGUACAUUAAACCCGAAAAAUUGGAGACAUGUACAAUGGUUUUAAAAUACGUAAAUUUAGCUUUAAAUACUCAAGUGAUAGUUAGUGGUACGAUCGUUAUAAGAAUUUCUCGAAGGUUUCACUUUAUCGCGUCUAAAUUGGAAAUACGCGUUUUCACGCGUGCGAUUAAUUGAGGAAUUUUAGACCAUUAUUUUGGGACAAUUAAGAGUGAAUAAUAUUUAUAUGAAUAUAAGUGUAUUAAAGGUUUAGUGCACUAGUGAAAUAAAUUCGAAUGGAAUCGAACCCAAAAUGCGCGCGUACACGCGCAAGAGAGAGUUGACUUUCGGCGAAUUGUGGCCACACAUUUAAGCUUACUUUAGAAGCUUUAUUUCAGCAUAUCACACGCCUCUUUCUUUCUCAUUUGGCCGAAACAUCAGCUGCAACAAAACAACUCCAAGUUUUGCAAAUUCCAUCUCCAAAUCUUUCAAAAAUCUUCAUCCAUUUCACACCCAACUUAAACCACACGUGGCUUAACACUUAAGGAUCAUUUGAGUUGCAAAGGGGAGCUGAAAAUUACGGUUUUUCUGGAGUAAAGGGGGGCCGAAAUUCUGCUUGAACAUCAAACCAAAAUAGGUAAUGAUCCAACACUCUAAACUUAGUUUAUAGAGGUUUAUUUAACACCUUUAAACUUGGAUAUUCAUACGGGUGGUUGUUAUUGUUGUAAAUUUGGAAGGUGGGCUCUAUGAACUCCCACCCUUUGUCUUGAUGGCUGAUGUGAUGAUUGAUGAAGAAUUUAAUGUUGGUUUAGUGCUCAAAAUGGUAGAUUAAUGGUGUGUUAGUAGUAUGAACUUCAAGAAAUGCAUGAGAGGAAAAGUUCCAAUUCUGCCCCUGCUUUGAACGUAUCUAUUUCUGCGGAAUUUUGGGAUUGUAAUGACUUAUAUAUAUGAUGUUUAUAUGUUGUAUAGAUGGUGUAUAAAGUUUCAUUGAAAAAUAUUGAGGUUUGGUGGGUCAAAUGAAUUGAUUUCACAAAGCUAGUAAAUCUGGAACUGUUCCCGUAAUGCUCUGACCAGCUUUCGUGUUUCGGCCAUAAUUUUGUGUUCUGAGUCAAAAUCGAGUGCCGUCAGCGGUAUUUGAAACUAGACAUUCCAACCUUUCCGACGGUAUAAAAUUCACAUUCUGGUUCCAUGCAUGUGAGCCGAACCAACCAUUUAAAGUCGGCUAUUCUGUUUCUCUGUUUUACUGGAACGAAAUGCUGAGGCUGAAACUUGUGGCUUGAAUUCGAGCUAGUUGUGUGCCGAAUUUCAAAAUGAUAGUUUCUACGAAAUUAUAGCUCUAUGAAUGUGUUUUCCAACGCCAUAAACCAUGCCCAAUUCUGAGUUAAUUUGAGUGAUUUGUGAUCAAAAUACGGAACCUGUCCUACUCUUGAAAACCCUGACUUUUGUACAGAUUUGAUGCAAGGCUUGGUAUAGACUUGCUAACUCAAUAUUUUGGUGUUAAACACUUACCAAAUGUACCAUGAAUAUUCCUUAGGCUUUGCUUACACUAAUGAGCCAUGUUUGAGGAAUUUUUCCUUGACCCAAUGUUUGAAAUGGAAAACAAAAGGUUCAAGGCAGUUUUGUCUUAGUAUUUUUGAAACUUUGAUUGUUUGAUUGACUACCUUUCCGAAGGUAUUUUUCCAUGAAAUUUGAUAGCGGAAUAUUCUUUAUAUAGGAGUAUUAUACUGCCAAAUUUUGUACCAAUCCAAGUCCAUUUCGAUACCUAAAUAAAGUCCCAAAGUUGGAAGCUCAAAUCUGGAAAUUUGUUCACCAGUUUUGAAUUUUUCCCAAACUUCAAGCUACCGUAUCUCGGUGCUCAAAACUCCGAUCCUUGAUCCGCUUUUUCUGUUAUAAACCUUAAUUGUAACUCUAAUUGAGUUACAAAUUUCAGAGGCUAGCUCGUAACGUUUGAAUUUUGCCGAAUUUUCAAUGUUAGAGAAAAACCAACCUCGGCUCAAUUUUGAGUGUUCUGGAACAGCAAUUUUAAGCCCAUUUUUAAAUAUCUUCCACUUAGAUUCAUCGAAAAGUGUCUUCUAAAAACUUUUAAUACUUUCAAAGAGGUUUCCAACGGUACCAAGUUUUCUAAUUUUUGACAUGUAGAAUGUGAGAUACGAUUUUUCAAAAUAUCGUAUCAAAACUGAAAAUUUUCCGAAUUCCAAAGGAAGGGAGUUUUCAAGAACUCCUUAUUCCUUUGAUAUUACUUGAACAUGUUAUACCUGAUUUUUCAAAAUGAAAACUCGAUCGCUCUUGUACUUUAAGAAACUCUAAUUGAAUCUCGAUUUACGAGUAAUUGAGAUUCAAUUUCAUGAAAUUUCCUUAGAUUGUACUAGUGUACAAUCUUUCUUGACAAUUGGGAUAUAUGAGUGAUGCUUCACUAUUAUUUGCUCAGGCGCACACGAGGACCCACAAGAGGAUCCCACGGUGGACGCUUAAAUUUCGAGUGCCUUUUUCUUCUCGUUUUACUUGGUGAGUGUCUAGUGUGUGUUACUUGAACUCUUGUGAAUUCGAUACGUGAUUACUUGUUAUUGAUACUUGAGAUUUUGGAAAAUGGAGUCGAGUGUGUACUUUAUCGCUCUCGUUCUCAUUCGAAAUGAUUUAACUCAUGCUCAAAUUGCUUGAAUAUAUCGAUUGUUUGGAUACAUCGAUUGCUUGUACGUAUCAAUGCUUGAUACAUGAUAUGGUAUGCUAUGGCUGCAUACGUCGUUGGAGUGAAUCUCCUCGACACACAAUUGCACAUGGGGACGCCCACAUCUCAUUGGCCGACUUUGGACUCGAGCUGACAUGGGUUUGGUCGGAAAUCUUGGCGAGUCAUGAGAUGUAUAAGCUUGACCUAAUGAGAGGUCUUAUUUGGCAUACUGGAGUAGUAUCGCCAUAAACAAAUGACAGGCGGGCCUGAUACAUGGGUAUAUAGGGUGAAAGGGGACAGGUUAAGUGGAGUUCUACGGAUAAAACCUACCCAAUUGACGGAGUGUCAAUUCGUGGAGGUUAUUGAUCGUACAAGUGGAAUAUAGCUCCUGAGAGCUCCUAUAUCCUUGAAUUGUUUCCGUUUACUUUCCGGUAAAUUGUUAAUUAUUGAAACAUAUUAUUGCUUAGCUUGUAAUUGGGAUUGUUACUUGAACUACGUGCUUGCAUGUGUGACCUUGGCCUCACGAGCGUUUUGCUAACCCUGUAGAUUUGAUUUCCUUAACAGGACUGGAAAUGGAGUUAACGCGGAGAAAUUUCCGUUUGGAUAUAUUUUAUUUUAGGGUUUCAAGUGUAUUUUGGCCUGACCCCUUUAUGAUUGUACUUUUGAAAGUUUAAUGUAUCAUUCGGAUAUAUGUGAUGUAUAUUUUAGAAUUUAAAUUGUAUUAUGAACGCCCGACGUGCGGGUUGGAUAAUGGAUGGAUAUUGUUAAGCAUGAAUGCUUCCGCACUAUAUGUAUUUGUACUAAUUUGAUUGUGGUAUCUAGUAUCGCUUUAAACUUGAACGUUUAUUGCUUGAGUCCUGGCGAGAGCUAGGCAUGUGUUCCGCGGAUACCCUUUGGUGCGCCUUUGGGAGAAAUGGGGAAGUCACAAUUGGUAUCAGAGCACUAGGUUAGCGCUAGAUUUGAGAUCUAUAUGGGAGACAUAUUAGAUACUCUACCCUUAAAGCCUGAAACAGGAUAAUUAAGUUCUACCUUAAGAGCUAUUUGGGGCAUACUAGUGUUUGGGUUAGGCAUGCAUAAACGACAUCCGAACUAGAUAGUGAUUUAAAUUUCUAACCCGAAAAGUGCUAUUAUUUUGCAGGAAUGGAAAACGGAAAUGGAGUUCCGGCAGCUGACGGGAAUGGCCAUGCGAAUGGCUAUAUAGUGCAUCCUAAACCUAUCUUCUACCGGGCUCUAGAUGGGUGAGUUUGAGUACGCUAUUCCCCAUCUGACAGAUAUUUUCGAUGUGCGUGUAGGGUUACCUUUACUUAUCCGAACCACCUUGUGCUUGCUCUGGCCGACGAGUGUCGUCAGCUUGUAGAUCUUAACAGGGAUCUUCAGGCAGAGGUGGACGAGUUUAGACAGAUGGUUAGCGCUCAGGGUGAGCGGAUUGCCGAGCUCGAGGAGGUGAUCGAGGGUGAGGUGGCCAUAUCAGCAGUGGUUCGUAAUGAGUUUCAGAGUGCUAGGGCUCAACUUAAUAGGUUGAAAGAGGAGGUCCGUAGUCGGGCUUCCGAUAUCGUAGCUGAUGCCACUAGGCUAGUGGAUGAGGCGAUGGGUGUGGCUCAGGACUCUGAGGAGGAGGAUCCUGAGGAGGAGGUUCCUCCUGAUAAUCCUGCUGCGGACUAGGUCUAGAUUGAUCGACCUUUCUUUUGACCCUUUUGACUAGUAUAGCUAGUAUUAGCAGGGGUGAUGCUAAGUGCUGAGGUCAUUGUAUUUUGCAUGGCUGUGUGGCCUAUUUUUGAGGCACUUGCUUUACUUUAGUCUUCUAUGACUAAAAGUACUCUUGUGGCACCUGUGUGUUAUAUUUUUGUGACUACCCCAUGACUUGCUAAUUGUAUGAAAUUGAUAUGCUAAUAAAUGUAAAUUAUUGUUAUAUCCAAUGUCUUCUUGAUUGGUUCCUGCUUUCUACUUUGCAUCACAUAAUUCAUUUAUUCCUUGCAGGUUAUGGAAGGAUUAAGUAGGGGUCGAGACCGUGGGCGAGGGACUAGAUCGGCUCAACCUCAAAGGGAUGACCAGGGAUCGGCAACUGGACCGACUCAAGGUCAGAAAAAUAUUGAGGGUAAUCAAGUGGCUGCUGCCAUUAAUAGGAUGACUGAUAUCUUAGAGCGCUUAGUUGAUAGACAAGGACCUGAACCGUUCAACCAACUUGGAGUCAAGAAAGAGGAGAGGAUAGAGCCUUAGAGAGGUUCUUGAAAUUUAACCCGCCUAAAUUCCUCGGCAAACCUGAUCCUGAGGUAGCGAAGAAUUGGUUAGAAACGAUGACCAACAUAUUCACUGCUUUAGACUACAUUGAAGAUAGACGAGUGAAUUUCACUGCUUUCCAAUUUGAGGGAGUAGCCCGUGCUUGGUGGGAUCUGAUAAAAGGAAAAUGGGAGAGAACUUGGACUUGGGAGAAUUUUACAAGGGAAUUUAACGAAAAUUUUCUUCCGCCCUUAAUCCAAGAGAAGAGGGGGGAUGAAUUUAUCAAACUAAAACAGGGAGCUCUUAGUGUGGCUGAGUAUGAAGGAAAGUUUACUAAACUUUCAAAGUACGCUCCCGAAUUGGUGACCUAUGAACGAAAAAAGAUUAGACGGUUUGUCCAAGGACUUAAUGUGGAGAUACAAGAGGGAUUGACUGCAGCCCAAAUCUCUACAUUUACUGAGGCACAAGAGAAAAUUCAAAGGGUAGAAAAUGCAAGGAUGCAAGUGAGAGACUUCCACAAUAGAAAAAGAAACUUUUCUAACUAUACUUCUGGACAAGCAAGAAAGAGUGCACAACCUUCCAAGAUGGGAAGAGGAGCAGGAGGAGUGAAGUCUGUUAGAGCUUCUAGGGGAGGUCUAUCUAGAGGGGGUCGUAGUGGGACGACUCAAUUUAGGGGAGGGUCUUCUACUGGAUCGGCUGUGACCCCUCAAGUUACAUGUGGAUAUUGUGGUAAAUCCAACCACUCUGAGAACGAUUGCUGGAGAAAGUUGGAAAAAUAUUUAUUUUGUGGUAAUGCUGAACAUCAAGUUGCCAAUUGUCCAAAAUCGCCAAAGACGGGAGGAAACCCUCAGAGGCCAGAAAAGCCAACCUCUAAGCAGACCAGUGCAGGAGAAAAUCGACCGAAAGUACCGGCCAGGGUUUAUGCAUUGGAUUAUCAACAAGUUCCUGAGGCAACUGAGGUGGUAGAAGGUACAAUCCCAAUCUUUCACCGUUUAGUUAGGGUUUUAAUUGAUUCAAGUGCUACAUAUUCUUUUGUAAACCCUAACUUCAUGAGUGGGAUAGAUUUGAAACCAAUUAAAUUACCAUAUGAUUUAGAGGUUAAAACGCCUAUUGGAGAUCAAAAUCUAAUUGUUAACUUGGUGUAUCAAGAUUGUGAAAUCUGAAUUAGGGAACGAAAAUUAUUGGCUGAUAUGAUAGGUUUGACGAUUAAGGGAUAUGAGGUGAUAUUAGGAAUGGAUUGGCUAGCCCGUUAUAAUGCCCAAUUGAACUGUAGGACGAAAAUUGUAGAAUUGUGUAUUCAGGGGAGACAACCCUGAAACUGGAUGUAAGGGGUAAAUUGGCUUCAUCUGCACUUAUUUCAGGAAUUCGGGAUAGAAAAUUAUUAAGUAAAGGAGCUCAAUGGUAUUUGGCUUUUCUUAUUAACACCCCAAGUGAUAAGGUGAAUUUGGAGGGCAUGCCUGUAGUGAAAGAUUUUCCAGAUGUUUUUCCCGAAGAGUUAGAGUUUGUACCUCCAGAACGGAAAAUAGCUUUUACGAUUGAUGUAACUCCGGGAGUGACACCUAUCUCUAAGACGCCAUAUCGGAUGGCUCCAGCGGAAUUGAAGGAGUUGAAAUUGCAACUGCAAGACUUGCUGGAAAGGGGUUUUAUAAAAGAGAGUGAUUCUCCGUGGGGAGCCCCAGUUUUGUUCGUUAAGAAAAAGGACGAGAGUUUGAGGUUAUGUAUAGACUAUAGAGGCUUGAAUGAGGUCACCAUUAAGAAUAAGUACCCACUGCCCCACAUUGACGAAUUGUUUGAUCAAUUGUGGGGGGCGGUAGUAUUCUCGAAAUUGGAUUUGAGACAGGGUUAUUAUCAGUUGAGGAUUUUGGAGAAAAUUAUACCCAAGAUUGCUUUUACCUCGAGAUACGGGCAUUUUGAAUUUGUCGUGAUGCCGUUUGGAUUAACGAAUGCUCCUGGUGCUUUUAUGAAUUUAAUGCGUAGGAUUUUUAAUCUUUAUUUGGACCAAUUUGUGGUAGUGUUCAUUGAUGAUAUUUGGUGUAUUCUAAGAAUGUGAAAGACCACGAGAAACUCUUGAGGGUUGUUUUGCAAACCUUAAGGGAGUAUCAAUUGUAUGCUAAAUUUAGCAAGUGCGAAUUCUGGUUAACAGAAGUGACUUUCUUGGAACACAUAAUUUCUAAGGAUGUGCUUAAAGUGGAUCCAGCUAAAGUUGAAGCUGUUUCAAAAUGGAAACGACCGAAAAAUCCUACCGAGGUUCGGAGUUUUAUUGGAUUAGUAGGGUAUUACCGGAGAUUUAUCAAAGAUUUUUCUAGAAUUGCUGGACCAAUGACUGAGCUGACCAAGAAAAAUGGAAAGUUUAUAUAGAGUCCUAAGUGUGAAGAUAGUUUCCAGGAAUUGAAAAGACAGUUAACAAGGGCACCUGUGUUAACUUUGCCAAACGAAAAGGAUAGUUUUGUGGUUUAUACAGAUGCAUCUAAGGAAGGUUUGGGAUGAGUAUUGAUGCAAAAUGACAAAGUGAUAACAUAUGCCUCUAGAAAAUUGAAACCGCAUGAAGGGAAUUACCCGACUCAUGAUUUGGAGUUAACUGCUGUGGUCUUUGCUUUGAAGAAAUGGAGACAUUACUUGUAUGGAGUAACGUUUGAAGUCUUUACUGAUCACAAAAGCCUUAAAUACUUAUUUUCACAGAAGGAGCUGAAUUUGAGGCAACGUAGAUGGAUGAAAUUUUUGGAAGACUAUGACUGUACGAUUAAGUACUAUCCAGGGAAAGCUAAUGUAGUGGCUGACGCUUUGAGUCGUCAAGUACUGAUGGCUGGAUUGAUGAUUAAGGAAUUCCAAUUGUUGGAAUACGUUAGUUAUUGAAAUUCUCGACUGGAACCGAGAAAAAUAAUUUUGGGGAAUAUUGUAUUGAAUUCCAUUUUGAUGGAACGUAUCAAGGAAUCUCAAGGAAAGGACACUGAGGUGCAGAAGUGGUUGGAAAAGGUUAAAAAGGGGGACAAGUCGGACUUCAUCUUGGGAACGAAUGGUGUAUUGAGAUUUCGGAAUCGGGUGGUUGUGUCAAAGGAUAAAGGGUUUAAAAAGGAAAUUUUAGAAGAGGCACACCGAUCAAAGUUUACGGUACUGCCAUGAGGGAAUAAAAUGUACCAAGACUUAAAGAGUCUGUUUGGUGGGAGAACAUGAAGAAGGAGAUUGCUCAAUUUGUCCAAACAUGCUUAAUUUGUCAACAGGUUAAAGCCGAACAUCAGAAACCAUCGAAACUUUUGCAAUCUCUAGAAAUACUUGAGUGGAAAUGGGAGAAUAUCACCAUGAAUUUUGUAUCGGGAUUACCAAGGACACAGAGAGACCAUGAUGCGAUUUGGGUAAUAGUGGAUAGAUUGACCAAAUCGGCUCAUUUUCUGCCGAUUAAUAUGAAAUACCUGUUAGAGAAGCUGGCCAGGUUGUAUUUGGAUGAGAUCAUUAGGUUGCAUGGAAUACCUGUCAGUAUCAUGUCGGAUAGGGAUCCAAUAUUUGUUUCGAGAUUUUGGCAAAAGAUGCAAGAAGUGUUACGGACUAAAUUGAAUUUUAGUACUACUUAUCAUCCCCAGACCGAUGGACAGUCUGAAAGGACAAUUCAGACCCUUGAGGAUAUGUUGAGAACUUGCGUUCUGAAUUUUGGGAAAAGUUGGAGUAAGUUUUUGACUUUAGUAGAAUUUGCCUACAACAAUAGUUUCUAUUCUUCUAUUCAGAUGGCCCUGUAUGAGGCACUUUAUGGUCGGAAAUGUAGGUCUCUGAUUUGUUGGGAUGAAAUAGGUGAACGGAAAAUCUUAGAUCCGACUACAGUGUCUUGGAUUGAAGAAACUAAUGAGAAAGUAAAGUUGGUACGCCAAAGAAUUCAGACCGCUCAGAGCCGCCAAAAGAGUUACGUCGAUAAUCGGAGAAAAGAUUUGGAGUUUACUGUUGGAGAUUUGGUAUUUCUCAGAAUCACACCCUUGAAAGCAAGCGUGAUGUCUGGAAAAGGAAAGAAAUUACAACCGAGGUUUGUAGGACCUUACAAGAUUUUCCAACGUGUGGGGAAUGUAGCCUAUAAGCUUGAAUUGCCACCGAGUUUAUCUCGAAUCCAUAAUGUAUUCCAUGUAUCUAUGUUUAAGAAGUAUCAUCCAAACCCUUCUCACAUUUUGCAACCGGAGAGUAUUGAGAUUGGUGAGACUUUGCCCUAUGAAGAGAAACCGGUGAAACUUCUGGAUCGAAAGGUGAAGGAAUUGAGGAACAAGCAGAUACCACUAGUAAAAGUUCUUUGGAGGAACCAAGAAGUUGAGGAAGCAACAUGGGAAGUUAAAGAAACGAUCAGAGAGAAGUAUUCGGACUUGUUUGCCAAUCAAGGUAAAAUUUCGAGGACGAAAUUCUCUUAAGAGGGAGAGGAUGUGAGGACUCGAAAAUCUAUUAUUUUUAAAUCCCUAAUUUUGGCUUAAUUAAUUAUUUAUUUGAAUUUUUGUCACGAAUAAUAUUUUCUAACCUUAUUAGACCUAAGUACAUGGUAUUAUAAUUUCGUUAUAUUUUUAAAGUGUCUCGUUUCAAAAAUUAUUUUCUUAGAAGCUUGUUUAGUGAAAAAGUGAAAACGCGUUUGAAAAAUUUAACCAAUUGGGAGUACAUUAAGCCCGAAAAAUUGGAGACAUGUACAAUGGUUUUAAAAUAGGUAAAUUUAGCUUUUAAGUACUGAAGUGAUAGUUAGUGGUACGAUCGUUAUAAGAAUUUCUCGAAGGUUUCACUUUAUCACGCCUAAAAUGGAAAUACGCGUUUUCAUGCGUGCGAUUAAUUGAGGGACUUUAGACCAUAUUUUGGGACAAUUAAGAGUGAAUAAUAUUUAUAUGAAUAUAAGUGCAUUAGAGGUUUAGUGCACUAGUGAAAUAAAUUCGAAAGGAAUCGAGUCCAAAAUGCGCGCGUACACGCGCAAGAGAGAGUUGACUUUCGGGGAAUUGUGGCCACACAUUUAAGCUUACUUUAGAAGCUUUAUUUCAGCAUAUCACACGCCUCUUUCUUUCUCAUUUGGCUGAAACAUCAGCUGCAACAAAACAACUCCAAGUUUUGCAAAUUUCAUCUCCAAAUCUUACACAAAUCUUCAUCCAAUUCACACCCAACUUAAACCACACGUGGCUUAACACUUAAGGAUCAUUUGAGCUGCAAAGGGGAGCCGAAAAUCACGGUUUUUCUGGAGUAAAGGGGGGCCGAAAUUAUGCUUGAAUAUCAAACCAAAGUAGGUAAUGAUUCAACACUCUAAACUUAGUUUAUAGAGGUUGUUUAACACCUUUAAGGUUGGAUAUUCAUACGGGUGGUUGUUAUUGUUGGAAAUUUGGAAGGUGGACUCUAUGAACUCCCACCCUUUGUCUUGAUGGCUGAUGUGAUGAUUGAUGAUGAAUUUAAUGUUGGUUUAGUGCUCAAAAUGGUAGAUUAAUGGUGUAUUAGUAGUAUGAACUUCAAGAAAUGCAUGAGAGGAAAAGUUCCAAUUCUGCCCCUACUUUGAACGUAUCUAUUUUUGUGGAAUUUUGGGGUUGUAAUGACUUAUAUAUGAUGUAUAGAUGGUGUAUAAAAUUUCAUUGAAAAAUAUUGAGGUUUGGUGGGUCAAAUGAAUUGAUUUCACAAAGCUUGUAAAUCUGGAACUGUUCCCGUAAUGCUCUGACCAGCUUUCGUGUUUCGGCCAUAAUUUUGUGUUCCGACGUCGAAAUCGAGUGCCGUCAGCGGCAUUUGAAACUAGACAUUCCAACCUUUCCGACGGUAUAAAAUUCACAUUCUGUUUCCGUGUAUGUGAGCCUAACCAACCAUUUAAAGUCGGCUGUUCUGUUUCUCUAUUUUACUGGAACGAAAUGCUGAGGCUGCAACUUGUGGCUCGAAUUCGAGCUAGUUGUGUGCCGAAUUUCAAAAUGAUUCUUCUGCAAAAUUAUAACUCUAUGAAUGUGUUUUCCAAUUCCAUAAACCAUGCCCAAUUCCGAGUUAAUUUGAGUGAUUUGUGAUCAAAAUACGGAACCUGCCCUGCUCUUGAAAACCCUGACUUUUGGACAGAUUUGAUGUAGGGCUUGGUAUAGACUUGCUAACUGAAUAUUUUGGUGCUAAACACUUACCAAAUGUACCAUGAAUAUUCCUUAGGCUUUGCCUACACUAAUGAGCCAUGUUUGAGGAAUUUUUCCUUGGCCCAAUAUUUGAAAUGGAAAACAAAAGGUUCAAGGCAGUUUUGUCUUAGUAUUUUUGAAACUUUGGGUGUUUGAUUGACUACCUUUCCGAAGGUAUUUUUCCAUGAAAUUUGAUAGAGGGAUAUUCUUUAUAUAGGAGUAUUAUACUGCCAAAUUUUGUACCAAUCCAAGUCCAUUUUGAUAUCUAAAUAAAGUCCCAAAGUUGGAAGCUCAAAACUGGAAAUUUGUUCACCAGUUUUGAAUUUUUCCCAAAUUUCGAGCUACCGUAUCUCGGUGCUCGAAACUCCAAUCCUUGAUCUGGUUUUUCUAUUAUAAACUUUACUUACAACUCUAAUUGAGUUACAAAUUUCAGAGACUAGCUCGCAACGUGUGAUUUGUCGAAUUUCCAAAGUUAGCGAAAAACCAACCCCGGCUCAAUUCUGAGUGUUCUGGAACAGCAAUUUUAAACUCAUUUUUGAAUAUCUUCUACUUAGAUUCAUGGAAAAGUGUCUUGUAAAAACUUUUAGUACUUUCAAAGUGAUUUCCAACGGUACCAAGUUUUCCAAUUUUUGACAUGUAAAAUGUGAGAUACGAUUUUUCAAAAUAUCGUAUCCAAACUGAAAAUUUUCCGAAUUCCAAAGGAAGGGAGUUUUUAAGCACUCCUUAUUCCUUCGAUAUUACUUGAACAUGUUGUACCUGAUUUUCCAAAAUGAAAACUCGAUCGCUCUUGUACUUUAAGAAACUCUAAUUGAAUCUCGAUUUACGAGUAAUUGAGGUUUAAUUUCAUGAAAUUUUCUUAGAUAACGAAAAGUUUCUUCCGCCCUUAAUCCAAGAGAAGAGGGGGAUGAAUUUAUCAAACUAAAACAGGGAGCUCUUAGUGUAGCUGAGUAUGAAGGAAAGUUUACUAAACUUUCAAAGUACGCUCCCGAAUUGGUGACCAAUGAACGAAAAAGGAUUAGACGGUUUGUUCAGGGACUUAAUGUGGAGAUACAAGAGGGAUUGACUGCAGCCCAAAUCUCUACAUUUACUGAGGCACUAGAGAAAUUCAAAGGGUAGAAAAUGCAAGGAUGCAAGUGAGAGACUUCCACAAUAGAAAAAGAAACUUUUCUACCAUACUUCUGGACAAGCAAGUAAGAGUGCACAACCUUCCAAGAUGGGAAGAGGAGCAGGAGGAGUGAAGUCUGUUGGAGCUUCUAGGGGAGCUCUAUCUAGAGGGGGUCGUAGUGGGACGACUCAAUUUAGGGGAGGCCUUCUACUGGAUCGGCUGUGACCCCUCAAGUUACAUGUGGAUACUGUGGUAAAUCCAACCACUCUGAGAACGAUUGCUGGAGAAAGUUGGAAAAUGUUUAUUUUGUGGUAGUGCUGAACAUCAAGUGCCAAUUGUCCAAAAUCGCCAAAGACGGGAGGAAACCCUCAGAGGCCAGAAAAGUCAACCUCUAAGCAGACCAGUGCCGGAGAAGUCGACCGAAAGUACCGGCCAGGGUUUAUGCAUUGGAUUAUCAACAAGUUCCUGAGGCAACUGAGGUGGUAGAAGGUACAAUCCCAAUCUUUCACCGUUUAGCUAGGGUUUUAAUUGAUCCAGUGCUACAUAUUCUUUUGUAAACCCUAACUUCAUGAGUGGGAUAGAUUUGAAACCAAUUAAAUUACCAUAUGAUUUAGAGGUUAAAACGCCUACUGGGAUCAAAGUCUAAUUGCUAACUUGGUGUAUCAAGAUUGUGAAGUCUGGAUUGGGAACGAAAAUUAUUGGCUGAUUGAUAGGUUUGACGAUUAAGGGAUAUGAUGUGAUAUUAGGAAUGGAUUGGCUAGCCCGUUAUAAUGCCCAAUUGAACUGUAGGACGAAAAUUGUAGAAUUGUGUAUUCCAGGGGAGCAACCCUGAACUGGAUGUAAGGGGCAAAUUGGCUUCAUCUGCACUUAUUUCAGGAAUUCGGGUAGAAAAUUAUUAAGUAAAGGAGCUCAAGGGUAUUUGGCUUUUCUUAUUAACACCCCAAGUGAUAAGGUGAAUUUGGAGACAUGCCUGUAGUGAAAGACUUUCCAGAUGUUUUUCCCGAAGAGUUAGAGUUCUACCUCCAGAACGGAAAAUAGCUUUUAAGAUUGAUGUAACUCCGGGAGUGACACCUAUCUCUAAGACGCCAUAUCGGAUGGCUCCAGGAAUUAAAGGAGUUGAAAUUGCAACUGCAAGACUUGCUGGAAAGGGGUUUUAUAAAAGAGAGUGAUUCUCCGUGGGGAGCCCCAGUUUUGUUCGUUAAGAAAAAGGACGGGAGUUUGAGCUAUGUAUAGACUAUAGAGGCUUGAAUGAGGUCACCAUUAAGAAUAAAUACCCACUGCCCCACAUUGACGAUUGUUUGACCAAUUGGGGGCGGUAGUAUUCUCGAAGUUGGAUUUGAGACAGGGUUAUUAUCAGUUGAGGAUUUUGGAGAAACAUACCCAAGACUGCUUUUAACUCGAGAUACGGGCAUUUUGAAUUUCGUGAUGCCGUUUGGAUUAACGAAUGCUCCUGCUGCUUUUAUGGAUUUAAUGCAUAGGAUUUUUAACCUUAUUUGGACCAAUUUGUGGUAGUGUUCAUUGAUGAUAUUUGGUGUAUUCUAAGAAUGUGAAAGACCAUGAGAAACACUUGAGGGUUGUUUUGCAAACCUUAAGGGAGUAUCAAUUGUAUGCUAAGUUUAGCAAGUGCGAAUUCUGGUUAAAAGAAGUGACUUUCUUGGGACACAUAAUUUCUAAGGAUGAUUAAAGUGGAUCCAGCUAAAGUUGAAGCUGUUUCGAAAUGGAAACGACCGGAAAAUCCUACCGAGGUUCGGAGUUUUAUUGGAUUAGCAGGGUAUUACCGGAGAUUUAUCAAAGAUUUUUCUAGAAUUGCUGGACCAAUGACCGAGCUGACCAAGAAAAAUGGAAAGUUUAUAUGGAGUCCUAAGUGUGAAGAUAGUUUCCAGGAAUUGAAAAGACAGUUAACAAGGGCACCUGUGUUACUUUGCCAAACGAAAGGAUAGUUUUGUGGUUUAUACAGAUGCAUCUAAAGAAGGUUUGGGAUGUGUGUUGAUGCAAAAUGACAAAGUGAUAGCAUAUGCCUCUAGGAAAUUGAAACCGCAUGAAGGGAAUUACCCGACUCAUGAUUUGGAGUUAGCUGCUGUGGUCUUUGCUUUGAAGAAAUGGAGACAUUACUUGUAUGGAGUAACGUUUGAAGUCUUUACUGAUCACAAAAGCCUUAAUACUUAUUUUCACAGAAGGAACUGAAUUUGAGGCAACGUAGAUGGAUGAAAUUUUUGGAAGACUAUGACUGUACGAUUAAGUACCAUCCAGGGAAAGCUAAUGUAGUGGCUGACGCUUUGAGUCGUCAAGUACAGAUGGCUGGAUUGAUGAUUAAGGAAUUCCAAUUGUUGGAAAGUUAGUUAUUGAAUUCUCGACUGGAAUCGAGGAAAGUAAUUUUGGGAAUAUUGUAUUGAAUUCCACUUUGAUGGAACGUAUCAAGGAAUCUCAAGGAAAGGACACUGAGGUGCAGAAGUGGUUGGAAAAGGUUAAAAAGGGGGACAAGUCGGACUUCAACUUGGGAACGAAUGGUGUAUUGAGAUUUCGGAAUCGGGUGGUUGUGUCAAAGGAUGAAGGGUUUAAAAAGGAAAUUUUAGAAGAGCACACCGAUCAAAGUUUACGGUACCCAGGAGGGAAUAAAAUGUACCAAGACUUAAAGAGUCUGUAUUGGUGGGAGAACAUGAAGAAGGAGAUUGCUCAAUUUGUCCAAACAUGCUUAAUUUGUCAACAGGUUAAAGCCGAACAUCAGAAACCAUCGACUUUUGCAACCUCUAGAAAUACCUGAGUGGAAAUGGGAGAAUAUCACCAUGAUUUUGUAUCGGGAUUACCAAGGACACAGAGAGCCAUGAUGCGAUUUGGGUAAUAGUGGAUAGAUUGACCAAAUCGGCUCAUUUUCUGCCGAUUAAUAUGAAAUACCCGUUAGAGAAGCUGGCCAGGUUGUAUUUGGAUGAGAUCAUUAGGUUGCAUGGAAUACCUGUCAGUAUCGUGUCGGAUAGGGAUCCAAGAUUUGUUUCGAGUUCUGGCAAAAGAUGCAAGAAGUGUUAGGGACUAAAUUGAAUUUUAGUACUACUUAUCAUCCCCAGACCGAUGGACAGUCUGAAAGGACAAUUCAGACCCUUGAGGAUAUGUUGAGAACUUGCGUUCUGGAUUUUGGGAAAGUUGGAGUAAGUUUUUGACUUUAGUAGAAUUUGCCUACAACAAUAGUUUCCAUUCUUCUAUUCAGAUGGCCCGUAUGAGGCACUUUAUGGUCGGAAAUGUAGGUCUCGAUUUGUUGGGAUGAAAUAGGUGAACGGAAAAUCUUAGAUCCGACUACAGUGUCUUGGAUUGAAGAAACUAAUGAGAAAGUAAAGUUGGUACGCCAAAGAAUUCAGACCGCUCAGAGCCGCCAAAAGAGUUACGCCGAUAAUCGGAGAAAAGAUUUGGAGUUUACUGUUGGAGAUUUGGUAUUUCUCAGAAUCACACCCUUGAAAGCAAGCGUGAUGUCUGGAAAAGGAAAGAAUUACAACCGAGGUUUGUAGGACCUUACAAGAUUAUCCAACGUGUGGGGAAUGUAGCCUAUAAGCUUGAAUUGCCACCGAGUUUAUCUCGAAUCCAUAAUGUAUUCCAUGUAUCUAUGCUUAAGAAGUAUCAUCCAAACCCUUCUCACAUUUUGCAACCGGAGAGUAUUGAGAUUGAUGAGACUUUGACCUAUGAAGAGAAACCGGUGAAACUUCUGGAUCGAAAGGUGAAGGAAUUGAGGAACAAGCAGAUACCACUAGUAAAAGUUCUUUGGAGGAACCAAGGAGUUGAGGAAGCAACAUGGGAAGUUGAAGAAACGAUCAGAGAGAAGUAUCCGGACUUGUUUGCCAAUCAAGGUAAAAUUUCGAGGACGAAAUUCUCUUAAGGGGAGAGGAUGUGAGGACUCGAAAAUCUAUUAUUUUUAAAUCCCUAAUUUUGGCUUAAUUAAUUAUUUAUUUGAUUUUUGCCACGAAUAAUAUUUCUAACCUUAUUAGACCUAAGUACAUGGUAUUAUAGUUUCGUUAUAUUUUUAAAGUGUCUCGUUUCAAAAAUUAUUUUCUUAGAAGCUUGUUUAGUGAAAAAGUGAAAACGCGUUUGAAAAUUUAACCAAUUGGGAGUACAUUAAGCCCGGAAAAUUGGAGACAUGUACAAUGGUCUUAAAAUAGGUAAAUUUAGGUUUAAGUACUCAAGUGAUAGUUAGUGGUACGAUCGUUAUAAGAAUUUCUCGAAGUUUCACUUUAUCCGCCUAAAUUGGAAAUACGCGUUUUCAGCGGCGAUUAAUUGAGGGACUUUAGACCAUUAUUUUGGGACAAUUAAGAGUGAAUAAUAUUUAUAUGAAUAUAAGUGCAUUAGAGGUUUAGUGCACUAGUGAAAUAAACUCGAAAGGAAUCGAGCCCAAAAUGCGCGCGUACACGCGCAAGAGAGAGUUGACUUUCGCGAAUUGUGGCCACACAUUUAAGCUUACUUUAGAAGCUUUAUUUCAGCAUAUCACACGCCUCUUUCUUUCUCAUUUGGCCGAAACAUCAGCUGCAACAAAACAACUCCAAGUUUUGCAAAUUCCAUCUCCAAAUCUUACACAAAUCUUCAUCCAAUUCACACCCAACUUAAACCACACGUGGCUUAACACUUAAGGAUCAUUUGAGCUGCAAAGGGGAGCUGAAAAUCACGUUUUGCUGGAGUAAAGGGGGGCCGAAAUUCUGCUUGAAUAUCAAACCAAAGUAGGUAAUGAUCCAACACUCUAAACUUGGUUUAUAGAGGUUGUUUAACACCUUUAAGCUUGGAUAUUCAUAUAUAUGGGUGGUUGUUAUUGUUGGAAAUUUGGAAGGUGGCUCUAUGAACUCCCACCCUUUGUCUUGAUGGCUGAUGUGAUGAUUGAUGAUGAAUUUAAUGUUGGUUUAGUGCUCAAAAUGGUAGAUUAAUGGUGUAUUAGUAGUAUGAACUUCAAGAAAUGCAUGAGAGGAAAAGUUCCAAUUCUGCCCCUGCUUUGAACGUAUCUAUUUCUGUGGAAUUUUGGGGUUGUAAUGACUUAUAUAUGAUGUAUAGAUGGUGUAUAAAAUUUCAUUGAAAAAUAUUGAGGUUUGGUGGGUCAAAUGAAUUGAUUUCACAAAGCUAGUAAAUCUGGAACUGUUCCCGUAAUGCUCUGACCAGCUUUCGUGUUUCGGCCAUAAUUUUGUGUUCCGACGUCGAAAUCGAGUGCCGUCAGCGGCAUUUGAAACUAGACAUUCCAACCUUUCCGACGGUAUAAAAUCACGUUCUGGUUCCAUGUAUGUGAGCCGAACCAACCAUUUAAAGUCGGCUGUUCUGUUUCUCUGUUUUACUGGAACGAAAUGCUGAGGCUGCAACUUGUGGCUCGAAUUCGAGCUAGUUGUGUGCCGAAUUUCAAAAUGAUUUCUUCUGUGAAAUUAUAGCUCUAUGAAUGUGUUUUCCAACCAUAAACCAUGCCCAAUUCUGAGUUAAUUUGGUGAUUUGUGAUCAAAAUACGGAACCUGCCCUGCUCUUGAAAACCCUGACUUUUGGACAGAUUUGAUGCAAGGCUUGGUAUAGACUUGCUAACUGAAUAUUUUGGUGCUAAACACUUACCAAAUGUACCAUGAAUAUUCCUUAGGCUUUGCCUACACUAAUGAGCCAUGUUUGAGGAAUUUUUCCUUGACCAAAUGUUUGAAAUGGAAAACAAAAGGUUCAAGGCAGUUUUGUCUUAGUAUUUUCGAAACUUGGGUGUUUGAUUGACUACCUUCCGAAGGUAUUUUUCCAUGAAAUUUGAUAGAGGGAUACUCUUUAUAUAGGAGUAUUAUACUGCCAAAUUUUGUACCAAUCCAAGUCCAUUUCGAUACCUAACUAAAGUCCCAAAGUUGGAAGCUCAAAUCUGGAAAUUUGUUCACCAGUUUUGAAUUUUUCCCAAACUUCGAGCUACCGUAUCUCGGUGCUCGAAACUCCGAUCCUUGAUCUGUUUUUCUGUUAUAAACCUUACUUGCAACUCUAAUUGAGUUACAAAUUUCAGAGGCUAGCUCGUAACGUGUGAAUUUUGCCGAAUUUCCAAAGUUAGCGAAAAACCAACCCCGGCUCAAUUCUGAGUGUUCUGGAACAGCAACUUUAAGCCCAUUUUUGAAUAUCUUCACUUAGAUUCAUGGAAAAGUGUCUUCUAAAACUUUUAGUACUUUCAAAGAGGUUUCCAACGGUACCAAGUUUUCCAAUUUUUGACAUGUAGAAUGUGAGAUACGAUUUUUCAAAAUAUCGUAUCAAAACUGAAAAUUUUCCGAAUUCCAAAGGAAGGGAGUUUUCAAGCACUCCUUAUUCCUUCGAUAUUACUUGAACAUGUUAUACCUGAUUUUCAAAAUGAAAACUCGAUCGCUCUUGUACUUUAAGAAACUCUAAUUGAAUCUCGAUUUACGAGUAAUUGAGGUUCGAUUUCAUGAAAUUUCCUUAGAUUGUACUAGUGUACAAUCUUCCUUGACAAUUGGGAUAUAUGAGUGAUGCUUCACUAUUAUUUGCUCAGGCGCACACGAGGACCCACAAGAGGAUCCCACGGUGGACGCUUAAACUUCGAGUGCCCUUUUCUUCUUUUUACUUGGUGAGUGUCAAGUGUGUGUUACUUGAACUCCUGUGAAUUCGAUACGUGAUUACUUUUUAUUGAUACUUGAGAUUUUGGGAAAUGGAGUCGAGUGUGUACUUUAUCGCACUCGUUCUCAUUCGAAAUGAUUUAACUCAUGCUCAAAUUGCUUGAAUAUAUCGAUUGCUUGGAUACAUCGAUUGCUUGUACGUAUCAAUGCUUGAUACAUGAUAUGGUAUGCUAUGGCUGCAUACGUCGUUGGAGUGAAUCUCCUCGACACACAAUUGCACAUGGGGACGCCCACAUCUCAUUGGCCGACCUUGGACUCGAGCCGGCAUGGCUUGGUCGGGAACCUUGGCGAGCCAUGAGAUAUAUAAGCUUGACCUAAUGAGAGGUCUUGCUUGGCAUACUCGAGUAGUAUCGCACAAACAAAUGACAGGCGGGCCCGAUACAGGGGUAUGUAAGGUGAAAGGGGACAGGUUAAGUGGAGUUCUACGGACAAAACCUACCCGAUUGACGGAGUGUCAAUUCGUGGAGGUUAUUGAUCGUGCAAGUGGAAUAUAGCUCCUGAGAGCUCCUAUAUCCUUGAAUUGUUUCCGUUUACUUUCCGGUAAAUUGUUAAUUAUUGAAACAUAUUAUUGCUUAGCUUGUAAUUGGGAUUGUUACUUGAACUACGUGCUUGCAUGUGUGUCCUUGGCCUCACGAGCGUUUUGCUCACCCUGUAGAUUUGUUUUCCUUAACAGGACUGGAAAUGGAGUUAACGCGGAGAAAUCUCCUUUUGGAUAUAUUUUGUUUUAGGGUUUCAAGUGUAUUUUGGCUUGACCCCUUUAUGAUUGUACUUUUGGAAGUUUAAUGUAUCAUUCGGAUAUAUGUGAUGUAUAUUUUGGAAUUUAAGUUGUAUUAUGAACGCCCGACGUGCGGGUUGGAUAAUGGAUGGAUAUUGUUAAGCAUGAAUGCUUCGCACUAUAUGUAUUUGUACUAAUUUGAUUGUGGUAUCUAGUAUCAGUUUAAGCUUGAACGUUUAUUGCUUGAGUCCUGGCGAGAGUUAGGCAGGCGUUCCGCGGAUACCCUUUGGUGCGCCUUCGGAGAAGUGGGGGCGUCACACAAGCAAUGGUUCAAGUGUGGGGUAUUUGACAAGUAUAUAUUUUACGUGUUUUUAGUGUAUUCUAUUAAUUAGUUUCAGUAUGUUUUAAUUAGUUUUAGAGCUAAUAAAUUAAGAUUAUAGUGAAAAUAUGUCUUUUAUGGUUUAAAGUGUGAAAAUUACAUUUCUAUAAACUUUUACGGCAAAAAUUUCAUGUUUUUGUAGGUUUGAAGAUUCAAUCAUCAAAGGGAGAGAUUUGAUAAGAUAAUUGGAUGAUUGAUGAUGAUUUGAAGUGGUUUAAAGAAGACAUGAAGUGCAAGAGAGGAAAUGCAAUCAAGAACAAAAGGAAGCAAGUUUUACAGCUUUGACACCUGGUGGUAAUUCGACUAUAUCUGGAGCUACAAUGAUUGGAUGGAGGUGAUUCUUAAACCAUUUCGAAGCUAAGAGACAUAUCUACAUUUGGUAUGAAGACAUCGAAGUCCAUAUCGGUCGUUUUCAUUGUCAAAAAGUCGGAAUACAGUAGUGCAAAUUCUGUGGUCGUAAGCUGGAACAGAGCUCUGACUAGUCUUUAGUAUUUUGAUCAUAUCUUGGUCCACAGAGCUCUAAAUUGGAUGAUUCUUAAGGCAUUAGAAAGCUAGGUCAAAGGACUACAACUUUCAUGUUUUGCACAAGAGAUAGUUCGGCUUCCAACCUCAAAAAAAAACUUGUUGAAGUAGUGCAGAAGUGAAACGCGACUCAACGAAAACGUGGGUUGCAGUCGCGUAUUAUCAAGUCGUGUUUUCUCACCUGUUUUCUACAACUUGCUCAUCAACUUGCCUUACUUUCACACAACUUUUCCAACUCAAUUCCAGCUAUCAAUCUCGGUUGUAUCUGAUCAAGAAAAGGUUGGAAUGUUGGAAGACAACUCAUGGAAGAUUCAAGAGUCAAAAAUGACAACUUUAACAACUCUUCUUGACCUUGAAUUCUUCUAUAUAUAGAAGCCUUUGGAGAACAUUUUCACAACUUUGGAAGGCUAGAGAAACUCACAAAAAAUGUAGUCUUCACUAGUUUUUCUUAGUUCAUUAGUUAGAAUAGUAUAGUAUAGAAUAGUUUAGAUAGUUAUGUGUGUUAUCCACUCUUGUAUAUUGGCUAGAUUAUGAUGAAAAUAGAGAUGAAGAAGGAGGGGUUGAAUCUCAUGUAACAAGGGUUAUCUCUUUUCCAACUCUUUAUCUUUUGUAUUGGCUUCUUAAGCAUGGUUAAAUGCAAGUUUUGGAUUUGUGUUUUAAUAUGUUUAGCUAAAAUUUAUGCUAGAGUUAUGGAUGAACUUUCUAUAUCCUGUUUGUGAUGUUUAUUUGGUUAUUUGAUGAUGUUAUUUUGAGCAAGUUAUUUAUCACUUUUGCUUUUCUAAUCAUGAUUAACUGGCCAUUAGUUGUGAUUAUGUGAAGGUGUUAAGUUUGCAAUGAGAAUUGGAAUUUAACACUAAUUUAAGGAAGUGAUAAACUAGAAAGUACACUUACAAGAGUAGAAGUAUACCUAUGUGACUUUAGUGACUUGCUCAUGUAAUUUCAUAGAAAAAAUGAGUUUGUAGUUAAUUUCAUAACCACAAGAGUAGGUAUGGUUUAGUUAUAAGUAUAGUUGAUUCACUACGAGAGUAGGUAUCACAUACAUUAGGAAAUUAUGCCAUAACUAGUCAAGAUAAUAGCAUUUACUUAACCGGUAAUCUCAUUUGCAAGAGUAGUAAGGAAUUCCAUAUCUCUAGGAGCUUUCUAGUGCUAAUUUUCAUUACUUUUAUGUAUAUGAUAGUCUAUAUAUAAAGGAGUUCGAAAAACACCGGUAAUUGCAAUCUUUCCUGUGGGAUCGACCCUUAAUACCCUAUACUCGCUCACGAUUCGUAUACUUGCGAUAAAUCACGUAUGAGGUAUUUAGGAAUUUAUAAAUAUAAAAACUUGAUUGUGGAUGAGUUAAUUGUAUAUGUAUACCCCGUGCACGCCAGCCAACACCAAUGCUUUCCGGAUUGCUCUUGCCUCUUCCAUAGCUGGAACACUCUUUCUGCCUUCACACCCAGCCCAAACCCCUCUUAACUUCCCUUCCUUACAUCUAGCCACGACUCCCCAGCUGAUUUUUACUUCAUGCUGCUUGAUAGCUGCAUCUGUAUAUGGGCACAUGAAAUUUUCUGGAGGUGGCUCCCACUUCACAUUUCCUUUUUCAACACCCCUAUGCCUAUCUUCAUCCUCUACCUUUGCUGAGCUUACAUUUUGGAAUUCUAGCCAUUUGUUUAUUGCCUUAUUCACUGUCCUGCCUGGACAUCUUCCCUUCCUAUUAAAUUGAAUCUGGUUCCUGGAUUUCCAAAUCUGCCAAAGCACAUUGAUGGUCAGCUCGAUGUGUUCCCUCCCAUCCUUUCUAACCUUUGCUUCCAUCAGGCUACUCUACUAAUGCCAAAAGCUAUAUCUGUACUCCUGUAGACCAUCCCAGCAAAUUGGGGCAGCCUUGAAAAUUAGCUCUGCAUGCUUACAGAAAAAAGAACAUAUGUUCAACAGUUUCUGUCCCUUCGCCACAGCAGCAGCACUUAUCAUUUCCUUGCCCAAUCCUUCUCCUAAUUGUUUCAUUCAUUGUAAUAUCCUCUGGAGACAUUUCCAUACAAAAUGUUACAGCUUAUGCUUUACAUUCAAGCUCCAUAAGAAUCUCCACACCCUUGACUUAGCUUCAUUCCUACUACUACUCCCCUGUUGCUUAUUUUCCAUCCUUCAUGUUCUCUGCAGCUCUUUAGCCACCCUAUAGCUAGUUUCACAGUAUACUUCCCAGAUUUAGAGAACAUCCAUAUGAGCCUAUCCUUAUCACCACACUCACUUAUUGGAUGGUAGUUAUUCUUUGACAGUCCUCUCCUUCUCAAAAACUUCUCUCAGUAAUUCCAGGUCCUAUGUCCCAUCAGAAAUCAAUUCAUGGACUUUCUUUACAUGACAAGGUUGGGUUUCUCAUUCUAUCUUACCAUUCUUCCUGAUCUAGUAGCCAUUUAUCUUCCCAUAUAUAUCAAUCUGCUUGCCAUCCCUUACUCUCUUCCUCACCUCUUCCUUUAACAGCUCCCUUGCACUUAGAAUACUUUUCCAAACCCACGAAUCUCAAGCCUUAAUAUUCGUUUCCCAAAUGGAAGAUCCUCUAAAAUACCUCUCCCUAACUAUCCUAAUAACUAAUAAAUUUGGUUGAGUCAAGAUCCUCCAUAGUUGCUUUGCCAACAUUGCUGUAUUGAAUUGCUGGAGAUCUCUAAAACCCAACCCUCCCUUCCCUUUAACCUCAGAUAACUUCCUCCAUUCUACCCAAUGAAUUUUCCUAUUCUCUCCACUAUUCCCCACCAAAACUUUGCCAUCUCUUUACACAUAUCCAUAGAUAAUCCCUUUGGAAGUUUGCAGCAACUCAUAGCAUAAGCAGGCAAAGCUAGGAUCACAGAUUUUAAGGACUUCCUUACCAGCAUUGCUCAGUAGCCUUGCCUUCCAUCCACACAUUCUGUUGAUGACCCUCUCCCUAAUAUAGUUGAAAAUUUGUCUUUUUGGUCUCCCUAUAACCAAUGGAAGCCCCAGAUAUUUGCUCUGCUUAGCUUCCUUCAUGCCUCCCAGGAUGUCCAAAAUUUCUGCCUUCCCUUCCUUCCUUGUGUUCCUACUAAAAAACACAAAUGAUUUUUCAGCAUUUAUGACUUGUCCUGAGGCAUCACCAUACCUUUCAACAACUGCAUCACCUUCUCACCUUCUUCCUUGUUAGCUAUACAGAAAAUCAAUGUAUCAUCUGCAAAAAAGAGGUGAGACAAAGCUGGACUAUGUUGUGCAAUCUUUAGACCAGAUAUUUCCUAAUUAGACAUAGCACUCUUAAGUAAACUGGAUAGACCUCAGAAACUAGCAAAAAUAUGUAUGGAGAUAAUGGAUCUCCCUGCCUAAUCCCUCUUGUAGGUGUAACUAAGCCUUUUUCUCCCCAUUCAAGUUAAAGGAGUAAACAACAGAAGACAUACACUUUAGAAUCCAAUCUGUCCAUUUUUGACAAAAUCCCAUUUUUUCCAUAAUUUUUUGCAUAAAAAGCCACUCAACUCUAUCAUAAGUUUUGGACAUAUCCAGUUUUAAAGCCAUGAAAGCAUUUGAUCCACUUCUCCUAUUAUUUAAGCAAUGAAUGAAUUCAUGAGCAAUAACAACAUUAUCAAUGAUUUGUCUUCCUGGAACAAAAGCAGAUUGGUUUUGGCUUAUACAUAGUUUGAGAAGAGGUUUCAGUCUGUUGACCAAGAUUUUAGAUAUGAUCCUAUAGACUACAUUACACAGACUAAUUGGUCUAAACUGUGACACUAAGACUGGGGAAACAACUUUAGGUAUAAAAGUAAUGAUAGUUUCAUUGAUAGCCUUCAAUAACUAGCCAGAAUGAAAGAAGCUGGAAAUGGCAUUUACCACAUUCCAGAAUUGUUGGAAAAAUACAGGAGUCAUACCAUUAGGCCCCGGGGCUUUAUUUGGUUGCAGAGAGAAGCAGUUUUUCAGACUUCCAUUUUGAAACAGGCCUAACCAGCAUCUCAUUCAUUGGUCUGUGAUCACUAGGGGAACAUCAUACAAUAUUGAUUCAAUCUGCUGAGGAUUACUGGAAGUGAAGAGAUCCUGAAAAUACCCAUUUAUUUCAUUUUCAAUUUCAUGUUCAGACUCACACCAAGUUCCAUCACCUUUCUUAAGACUUGAGAUAUUAUUUCUUCUUCUCCUCUCUACAACACUAGCAUGAAAGUAAUUAGUAUUCUUAUCGCCUUCCUUCAACCACCUAACUCUAGCUUUCUGCUCCCAAUACACCUCCUCUCUCUUAUAGGCCUCCUUUAGUUCCUUCUUAAGCACUCUCACCUUUUCAUUCUUAUUUGCAUACCCAUCCCCCUGAACCUCAGCAAGUCUCUGUUUCAGCUCCCUAAUCUCCUUUUUUGCAUUAGUAUCUCUUUGCCUAUGCCAGUUCAAAAGAGCCACUCUACAGCUCUUUAUUUUUUGGUGUAGCUUAAAAAAUCUCGAUCCCUCCUGUUGUUUACCCCAUUCUCUACUGAUGAUCUCCCCUACUUCCUUAUAUUGUACCCAGUUCAUGUCAAAGAAAAACCUCCUCUUCCACUUCCUACCCUUUGAAUCAGUAUCAAACAAUACUAUAGCAUGGUCAGAGGCAUUAUUCUGGAUAUGCAGGCAUUUAGCCUUCCCAUUUUCUCUCCUCCAGUGUCUACUACAUAAAACUCUAUCCAAUCUUUCCUUAAUUUCUUUCCGUUUUCCCAAUUAUUAGACCAUGUCCAUGGAAUUCCUUCAAAACCAAUGUCAAUAAGUUUGUUAUUGUUUACAAAGUCCCUGAAUGUUUGAAAACUCCUUUCUGGCCUUCUACUACCUCCCCACUUCUCAUCAUUAGACAGUAUAUCAUUCAUAUCACCUGCCAACACCCACUACUAGCCCUACAGCCUUUUCGUAUCUUCUAUAGUCUUCCACUAUUUUUCCCUAAUCUGAUCCUCUCUACUGGCAUACACACAUAUCAGCCACCAUCUAGCUCUAGCACCACUCCUUUCCAGCAAUAGCUUGAUAGUGAAAUCAGUAUAUAGCACUUUACAGACUUGUAGCUCAUUCCUUCACAUAACUGCCAAUCCACCAGCUUUUCCAACUGGAUCAACCACAAACAGUCUAUCAUACCUCAACUUUAGUCUUACUUUAUUCAUAACAUCUUUUCUGUUAUUUGUUUCAGACAAAAGAUCACCUCAGGGGAAUGGAGUUUGACACUUCUUUUAACUGGGCAACUGUCAAGAGGCUCCCAACACCUCGACAGUUCCACACCAAAGCUCUUAUUGAGGCUUGGGAGCCCCAUUAAGGUAGGACUCCACCACCUUAGCUGUAUGUUCCAGACCUGCUCCACUUCCUUCAGUUUUGCUUUUUUUUUUUGGCAUUCCCUCCCUCCCCCUUAUUCAUUCUCUUUAUCAGCUUUCUCAUUCAGUUUUCUUUUUCCCCCCUUAAUGUCAAUGUCCAUAACCUCAUUUUUGUCACUCAGAGGUACCCUUUUACUCACCUCACGAAUUAGUCUCUUCCAACCUCUAUUCCCUUUGUACUUACCAGCUCGAUCCCUGAACUAUUGAUUUGAUCCUGUUUUUUAUUAACAGGACCUAUUCUUUUCCCUUCACUUUUACUUCCCUUAUUUUCUGUAGUUUAUCCAUCAAUCCACAUUGAAUCAAAGUAUUCCUUUUCACUCAAUUCCUCCUUUUGACUAUCUCCCUGAAUAACCCAAAAGCACUGAAACUUACUGCUUUACUAACAUUAGUUCUUCCCUUCAGUUCAUCCCCUUCUUUUUACAACUAGACUGCAAAGAACUCUCCUUCUUAGGACCUUCCAUCAGACUACUUUGAUGCCUGUCCUUAACUUCUUCCUUCACAGUCUCCUGCACUACUGUAUCAACACUAACCUCAACCAGCUUCCAAGGUAACAAUAAUUGGUCCUGCUCCUUCUCUCCCUAAUCCCUAGUUAGCUGAGAGCCAUCCCCACCAUUACUAUCCAGAUUACUUGAAGUAUUGUGUCUUCUGGUUUGGCUCCUAGCAUUACUUGCUCUUAACCAGGCGCCAUACUGAGCUUCCUUGGUAAUAUUAAUGCCCUUCACCCUGUAGCUUCUCUCAUUAUGCCCCAUAAUCCCACAACAAUAGCAGAAAUCAGGACAUUUCUCAUAUCUAAACUCUAUCCAUCUAGCACUACCACCUAGCUUCACUGUAGUUCCCCUCAGCAGUGGUUUAGAUAACUCCAUUUUCACCAGAAUCUUUAAAUGUUUCCCCUCCUUCCCCUUAUUCGGAAUUAUAACUUCCUUCACAGAAUUGAAAACCCCCCAAUGUUCCUACCAAUUUUCUUAGUAAUUCGGUGGAUAGGUAAAUUCCAUAACUGAACCCAAAUCUAAGUCCUAUUAAAAGCUACAUCACUCUGUUCUAACCCCUCCUUCCAUGGUAAUACUACUAAGGGCAAGUUAUCAUAUAUCCAUGGUCUCCCUCUUAGUACCCUCUCCAUAUCCUGAGUGUUAUUAAAUAUAAACUGAAACAUAUUAACCCCAAUCUCCAGUACUUUCAACUUCCUUGCAAAAGGCCACAUAUUAUUCGUAAAACUUCUAAUACCAGAUAUGUUUGCAGACUUUUCCACCACCACUUUCCCAAUAAUACUCAUCUGACAUUCAGCCACACCCUGGAACAGAUCUGAUCCAUCCAAUUCCACUCCCCUCUUCUUCAGUCAGAGCAAAUUUUCUCAACACUUCCUCUAAUUCCUCAGUCAUCCUAACCAGUACCAGGAGUAUUCCCCAGUCAACACAGACACAAUGAAGGUCAAUACCAGUAGCCUAUCCAAAACGAGCCAGAAAACUAUGAAAGCAAAAUGUUACCAACAAAACAGAGAGAAAACAGAAAAAUGACUUACGCCUAGUAGCUAGCUUACUGGAAAUGGAAAAUGGAAUCAGGAACCAAAUAGCAGGAUCUGGAAUGAAGAAUUAGAUCUAUAAAACCUGGAAAGACAGCUCAAAAGGAACUAGAGAUCAUGAGCUAGAAGAUCGGAGCUCAUGAGAUAGAAGAUCUUCUAUACCGCCAUCUUCAAUCAUCCUACCAUGGAAAAACUUGACGUACGAACAAAGGACACCAAACAAAAAGGAAAACAGCAUCAUACUAACGCGUUAUUACUCCAUUGAAUUCACCAUUGAUUUAAUAGGCAAAGAGGAUAGAAGAAUUUUGUUUUGGUUUUUUGUUUGUUUUCGAAAAGUACGGGAAAUUUGAAAUUUUGAAAACCAGUACAAAACACCCACUAGGGGUGAUUUUGACUCCCUGCUUAGAGAGAGAAAGUAACCCACCUACAAAGAGGGACUUACCUAUUUCUAACUUGCCUUGAAAAUUUUGGUGUUAAUGAAGAUUUGUAAUAAAAUUGAAAUAUUCAAAUUCGAUAAUUUGACCCUUAAUACUUGUCAAUAUUACAUGUAUUUGCUUUUUUUUGGGGUCCUAAUAUUAUAGUGUAUUUCAGAUAAAAGAAUUAAAAUCUCACCAAGCCUGCUAAGAAAAAAACAUAAAACUUCUUCGCUUGUAAAAUUAUGCUUGGAUUAAUUCAUCCUUCUUACAUUUUUGUAUACCCAUAUGACUAUUACAUGUACUAAAUGGUCUAUAAAUGAAGCGUUAGAUCAAGCCUACACAAGUUUCUAUGGUAGAGUUUUAAUAAAAAAAAUACUUAUAUGGUGGAAUCUUUCAUAAAUAUAUUCCUUAAAACAUGCCAGAUAGGAUUUUUUAACUAUGGUUUUAUCCCACCAAAAUGAUUGAAAAAAAUAUAUAGGCAGUAGCUUACGAAGGUAAUUGCCAAUUACCUACUGAGUAAGAUUUAAUAUUACUGUAUAUACUAGCUAUUAGACCAAUGUGCAAAUCAAGUGCAAUUAACAUUCAAAAUUUAAUAUUUGAGCAUUUAUUGGGUGAAAGUGAGAAAAAUGAGAAGACUAGUACUAAAGGUUAGAAACAAAAGUUGCGGUGGAACAGGGUACUUGUCUAAAUUAAAAUAUAUAACAAUUUUUUAAAGUAAAAUAGGGACUGCGUAGUUCCUACUUUGACCCUGGACCCAGUCCAGCAGUUCCGUUCUUCCGAAUUUUGCAGGCCCACUUUUUGUGUUAAAAAUUCCAUCCCGGAGAAUUUUGGGGCCAUUGGCUAAUUUAUCUGUUUUUGGCAACACGGGGUAGACUAGGUCGGAAGGGCCCAAGUAUUUAACGGGUAAAUAUUGGUUUUUUUUUCCAGAAAUGAUAGAAAUUUUAUUUCUAAUAAAAGGGUAAUUCAAUAUAUGAGCAAGGGCACAAACUUGGAUUUUACAAAAGUGUAUUAAGACACCGAGGGUCUAGAAACUCCUCAUCAAAGUGAAUGUGCAUUGCUAUCUUACUUAAUCUAUUACUGAUUCUAUUACCUUCAACAGGUAGACUAUCAAAUGAGCAUCUCCUAAACAUUGAGCUUAUGUCUCUUAUGUCUUCUAGGUGGGCUGCUAGACAUAUGUCUCUUGAAGCUUGACUUUUUAUCAGUUGUAACACCUGAAAGCAUGAUGUUUGGAUUGUAAUGUACAGCCAGCCUUGUGCCAUUAUCUUGCAUAGAGCCAGUUGUAAAGCCAAAAAAUGAUCCAACGUAACUGAUCCAAUGCUUCUCUCCUUCAAAACCCAAGCUGCACAUAUCUGGCUUUGUGCGUUUUGUGCUGUGAUGCCAAUGCCCAUAUUCUGACCUUUGAUAUGUUGCCGCCCCACUUCGACUGAAAUGAUCAGCAUGUUGUCACUUUCCUCCACCAUUUCCUCUUGUACUUCUGCUAUAUCUGUUUCUGAGAUGCUCAGCUGCUGCUCUAUCCGUUGGGAUUGUUGGUAUUUCUCCCACUCUUUUACUACUUUUCUAAUUACUGCCAUUGGAUGCUUGACUUUGUCUUCAAACUCGGCUUCGUUCUUGGCUUUCCAGAUUUGCCAAAGAAUUUCCACUGUUAAUGCUAUAUGCUCGGAUCUUCACAUCCAUUAGCAUACUCCACCACCUCCUAAAGUCACCUGUAUAUUCCUUAAGUCCAUCCCACUGUAAUGGAGCCAUUUGCCAUAUCAGUCUUGCCUUGCUGCAAUGGAAGAAAAUGUGUUCUAUUGUCUCACUAUUUUCUCCGCACGUUUUGCAUAUCAGGUCACCUUUCCCUGUUCUUCUAAAAAUGGCUUCCCUUCCUGGUAAUGUUUGGUGUAAGUUGUUUCAUAGAAACAACUUUUGCUUGUGCUUAAUCUUUAUUUUCCAUAGCUGUUUCCACACUCUAUCACUCCCACCUGCCCAGCUUGUUUCUCCCAUUAACCGCACUUGUGCUGUCAACUGCCUAUUCUCUCUUGUCAUUAUUUUAUAGGCUGAACUGACUGUGUAAUGUCCCUUGUUGCUAAUGGCUCCAAAAGUAAGUGUCAGGCUAGCCUGUUAUGCUUAUAGGCAUUUUGAGUAUUGUCCUUGCUUCCUAUUGGGUAAAGGUCCUAAAAAUGAGUACUGAGUUCCAUCUAAAAUUGGAUAUCAAUUCACUUGCUCUACUGAUCUUGCAACCUGGCUGUUUAGGGGACUGUAAUUUACCAUCCUUGCCCUCCUGUAGCCAUGCAUCCUCCCAAAUUCUGAUAGUCUUCCCAUUUCCAAUUUUCUUCCUUGCUCCUCUCUGCACAUCCUCUCUUGCCCCCAUCAAAUUUUUCCAUAUCCAGGAUGAGUUGCACUUUACUUUACAGCUCAAUGGUGAUGCUGUAGGAUAGCAUCUAGCUUUCAUCACUUUACUCAUCAGUAGAUUUGGGCUUGUGAGGAGUCUCCAAAUCUGUUUUCCCAGAGAGCUUUGUUGAAACCUUAGAGGUCUUUGAAGCCUAAUCCUCCAGUGUGCUUUUCAGUUGUUGUCUUUUUCCAGGAGCACCAAUGAAUUUUCCUUUUCCCAUUGUCUUCUCCCCACCAAAAUCUUGCCAUCAAGGCACUGAUUUCUUUGCAUAACUUAAAUGGGAGUUUAAAACACGACAUGACAUAAGUUGGCAUUGCCAUGGUUAUGGCUUUCAGCAAGAUCUCUUUCCCUGCUUGACUUAACUGUUUGUUGCACCAGUUAGAGACCGUCUUAUGGCAUUUAUCUCUAAUGAAGCCAAAUAUUUGGUCUUUACUUUUUGUGAUAACCAUCGGCAGCCCCAAGUACUUUCCUUGCUUCACCACCUUUAUUUUUCCUAGUCUGCUGCAAAUCUCUCCUUGUUUGGCUUGCUCCACAUUCUUGCUAAAAAAAACUGAUGACUUAUCCAUGUUGAUCAUCUGUCUUGAGCCUCUUUCAUACAUCUUUAGAAUUCCCAUCACUUCUUGUCACGCCCCGAGCCCGCACGUGCCCGUCACAUGACAUCCGCCGUACUCCCAAGUCUACAUUAACUAAUUUAACUUUAAAGGUACUAAAUAAUUUAACUAAAUAAAGUGCGGUACAAACCACGUAUAAAAGAAAGUCUACAAAUGUUCCAGACGUUCGUACAUUUAUUCUUUGGUUGAAACAGCGGAAAUAAAAGUAAAUAAAACUAACAACUAGAAGUAGCUAGCUUGCCCACUUCUUUUCAUCUAAACUAAUAAAAGUCAUUCUCAGGGUCUUCUACGUAAACCAAUUCAUACUCUUCAGAAUCUGCAAAAAUGGUAAGAAGUGGGUUGAGCGACAUAUCGCUCAGUAGGUAAUAUUUACCCCUCUGUUGGACCAUGCACUCUUAGUUUUAUAGAUACAUAUAUAUAUAUAAGUACAACUCAAAUCAUUUGCAAAUCAUUCACAUCCAUAAUUUUGAAAGUAACGUCAUUUAUAAACAAUCAGUAGUAAAGAAUGACAAGCAAUUUAAAAGCAUCUUGUUGAUAAUUAUACAUGAGAAAUCGUAAUGUCAUAAAUCACUUUAUAGCAAUUCAUAAGUCUCUUCAUAUCCAUUCCUGAAUCGUCCUAUAAAACGUUGCAUUUCAGUUCAUAGAUCAUUUCAAAUCAGCCCAUAAGUCAUUUCAUAUUAACUCAUAAACCUUCUUUCAGUUCAGCUCAAACAAGUACAUGUAAUGACCGGCUACUGAGUACACAGUCUAGAGAUUAAACCCCUUCUAGGUGGGCGACCAAUAGAUUUCGCGACUAUCGAUUGAUCUCAUUUCAUUCUUAGGUCAAUCGGCCGAACUUUAUACCAGACUACCAUGGCUUUGUCAAAUUGGCCGGACUCUAUACCAGGCUACCAUGACUUUACCAAUCGGCCGGACUUUAUACCAGACUACCAUGGCGAUUAGACAGGACUAUAACCCCUACCGUCUAUUCCAUGACUGCUUUGAGCCUUACUUGUCAAAAUUCAUUUCAUAUAUCAUAUACACAAAUCUUUGUUUUCAUAAAAGAUUCAGCUCAUUUUGUAUAUAAGAACAUAGCAAAACAUUUUAAAUAAGUCACAUGGUCCAUUUUAUAUAGUAAAAUAUUGCUUUCAUAAAUAUCCAAGUAAAGCAUUUAAUCAAACACUUUUCGAGUCAACACAACAAAAUAGUAUUGAAACAAGAAUUUCAUUUUGCACAUUUGAAAUCUCAGAAGGGUAAGUACCACCUACCUUCGUUUGGCUGCUCGAGUAGAACUAUCUUAGGUUCUUGUAUUGCACCUAUCAAAUGCAUAGGUUCCCUAAUCAGUUGUUACUUCCUAUAGAUGCAUAAAUAUACAACCUCUAAGUAAGUACAGUAUUCAUAUCUAGACAAUUAUAUGGACCCUAAUAGCAUUUGCCCCAAAUUGGAUGAUUUUUAUUUUUGGAAAGUUUCCUAAUAUGAAAAGUUUCUAUUUUUAGAAAGUUUCUUAAUUUGGAAAGUGCUCAUUUUGUAAAGUUUCCUAAUUUAACAGAAAAUAAUUAUUCACAAUCCUGGUGAUUAUCCUCACUACUAUCUUACUAUGUUUAUUAUAAUUUAUGAUUAUCUAUUAUUAUUAUCACCAUCCCCAUCAUCGCUAAUUUAUUUUAUUAUCACUUAUAUAUAUAUUAGGUAGUCACUAUUACCUUCCCUUUAUUUCCACUUUUAGGCGUGUGUAGGUAUUAUUAUUAUUUUUAUAUAUCUACUCAUACACUUAUACAUACUGACUUUCUAUAAUUGUUUAGUUUAUUCCACUCGUAAUUAUAUCUUAUUUUUGUUUAUAUUCUUCAUUUAUUUCCCCCACGUCCACAUUAUUGUUAUUCUCACUAUCAUUGUCUUAUUAAUUAUUAUUUACUAUUACUACUACCACUAGUAUUAUUAUUAUAUUUAUCUUCAUAUAUAUAUAUAUUUUAUUAUAUAUAUUAUUAUUAUUAUUAUUAUUUUAAGCAUUCCGUUUAGCAAUUUAGCACUUACCUUACCUUGUCUGAUGUGGUUUAAGACGGCUAGAUUAAGAUGUUUUAGAUUUCCAUUUAAGUACCUUAUACGUAAUUAACUAAGUAUAAUUUUAUAUGACUAACCUUUCAAUUCUAACAAUUAUUUUAAAUUGGGUCCUGAAUUUUAAUACCUAUGAUAAACUAUAAAGAUGGACUAGUUAUUUUCUAAAAUUUAUUUACUGCAUAUUUACUAAACCCGUACUGUAUCUUUAACCCACACAUACUUGCCAAUAUAUAUAUAUAUAUAUAUAUAUAUAUUUAUAUAUGUUUACUUAUUUACUAUAGUCAUUACUAUUGAUUAAAAAAAAGAUUUUUUUUCCCGUAGGGUUACUCCACUGGCGUUGCUUUGCCAAAGCUUUUGUCAAGCUUUGGCAGCCGCCAUUCUUGACUGCUACUUGUUUGGUUGUUGUUGUCCCUUUUUUUUUUUUUUUUUGCUUCGGUCUUGGUUUCGGCCAACCUUUGCAAAUUUCUUUCUCAGCCGCCAGAGAUGGCGGCCCCCCACUCUUUUCUGUUUCUGCGCGUGGCGUUGCAGAAGCUCUGCAACGCCUAGCCAUAACAGAGCAGCAGCUGUUGCCGCUGCCUUUCUUUUCCCUUAUCAUUUUUUUUAACAGAUUCCAAAUACCCUCUAAUCUCAAGAUUAAAAUCAAUCCCCUUUAUUUCUAUUAACCCAGAUACGAAUCUUAUCAAACAUAUAUCUACACCUAUAUAGUAACAAUACUUGUCCAUAAAAUUCCUAGAACAAUUAAUACAUCUACUAAAACUUAAAAGAGGGGUUUUCUUGCGUGAACUCGAGACUUACAGGUUUAGGUGCCUAGUCGUCGGAUCGAUUGCCGGUGUUGCCUGCUUCUCUUUCUCUCCUCUCUGACGACUCUUGCUCUAAGGAGGCAGACGAAAGAAAAGUAAGGCUAGGGUUAUUUUCCUGUCUAGGGUUUUAAUUCAUCAAAUAGGAAUGAGUGAAGAGGACCAAGAAAAGACGGCGUUCUACACCGACCAAGGUGUUUAUUGCUACACCACCAUGCCAUUUGGGCUAAAGAACGCCGGGGCGACCUACCAAAGGCUGAUCAACCGACUCUUCAAGAAUCAGAUCGGCCGUAAUGUGGAGGCUUAUGUGGAUGACAUCCUCGUCAAAAGUCUCGCCACUUCAUCCUUCCUGUUAGACUUGAGGGAAGUCUUCGGGGUCCUGCGAGACUCGAGGAUGAAGCUGAAUCCCAAGAAGUGCGUCUUCGGCGUCACCUCGGGAAAAUUCCUGGGGUAUCUGGUUUCCCACCGGGGAAUCGAAGCCAACCCCGACAAAGUCAAGGCCAUUCAAGAUAUGUCCCCACCUCGGAACCUCCGAGAAGUCCAAAGACUGAAUGGACGCCUAGCCGCACUGAACCGCUUUUUGUCUCAAUCAGCUGAGAAGGCCUUGCCCUUCUUUAAAGUGCUGAAGAAGUCUGAUCAGUUCGCCUGGACGGAGGAGUGUCAGUCUGCCUUCGACCAGCUGAAGCAGUACUUGCACCACCUGCCCACUCUCGCUUCACCUCGGCCCGAGGAAAAGCUCUACCUCUACCUCUCUGCAGCAGACGAGGCUGUCAGCGCUGUGCUCAUCCGAGAUGAGGGCACCCAAGUGCCGAUCUACUACGUCAGCCGAGCUCUUCGCGGGCCGGAGACUCGAUACACUCAGGUGGAGAAACUGGUGCUAGGACUAGUCCAUGCCGCUCGGCGGUUGAAGCCCUACUUCUUAGCCCAUCCUAUCUCGGUCAGGACUGACCAGCCCAUUCGGCAAAUAUUGGUGCGACCCGAAGCUUCUGGUCGCCUCACCAAGUGGGCUGUCGAGUUGGGAGAGUAUGACUUAACAUACGAGCCUCGCACAGCUAUAAAGGCACAAGCCUUAGCCGACUUCCUCGCCGAGCUGACCUUCACGGAAGGUCCAGAGUCCGCCUCCGCCGGAACUGAAGUGUCCACUUCAUCCCCAUGGACAUUGUAUGUGGAUGGAUCUUCUAAUGGAGAUGGCAGCGGGGCCGGACUUCUUCUGGAAGGACCUCAGGGAGAGGUGUGCUCCUACGCCCUCCGCUUUGGCUUCUCGGCCACCAAUAAUGAAGCCGAAUAUGAGGCUUUAAUUGCUGGACUCCAGCUGGCCCGAAGGCUCGGCGCCCAGCAAAUCCACGUCCGCAGUGACUCCCAACUUGUUGUGCGCCAAGUUCUCGGUGAGUAUGAGGUCAAGGAUGAGACCAUGCAACGAUACCUCUCCAAGGUUCACCAGCUCACCGUGUACUUCGAGUCAUUUGAAAUCCAAAGAAUCCCCCGGUCCCAGAAUAAGCGAGCCGACGCCUUAUCCCGGCUGGCCUCCACUUCAUUCUCUGACCUCAACAAAACGGUUUUAGUGGAAGUUCUGAGUGAACCCGGAUAUGUGGAAGAGGUGGCCUGCCCCGUGCACUCCGAAGAUACCUGGAUGACCCCGUUCAUCCUUUUCUUGGGUCAGGGAACACUCCCUGAAGACCGAGCCGAGGCGAGAAGAAUACAACGCAAGGCGGCUCGGUACGCUCUCCGCGAUGGAGAACUGUACAAACGCUCUUACCUCGGCCCAUGGCUGAGGUGUGUCACUCCCGAGGCCGGACGUCACGUCCUCCACGAGAUCCACGAAGGCCUGUGCGGAGCUCACGUCGGCCACAGGAUGUUAGCCAAGAAGACUAUGCUCCUUGGAUAUUUCUGGCCGUCACUUCGGCAAGACUCCCAGGACCUCGUUCUCGGCUGCCCUUCCUGCCAAGUCCACGCACCCGAGCACCACCAGCCUUCAAACUUCAUGGUCCCCAUCACUUCACCCUGGCCGUUUGAGCAAUGGGGGACAGAUAUCAUAGGUCCUUUCCCUAAAGCUGUCGGGGGUUAUACUUUCCUGGUGACCGCGGUGGACUACUUCACUAAGUGGGUCGAGGCCGAGCCACUUCGGACCAUUUCGGGGCUGGCCAUUCAAAAAUUCUUUUGGAAGUGCAUUGUCUGCCGCUUCGGCAUACCUCAGAUCAUCAUCUCGGACAAUGGGAGACAAUUUGCCGAGAAUCCAUUCAAGACCUGGUGCGAGAACCUCGGCAUCAAGCAACACUUCACUUCGGUUGGCCACCCCCAGGCCAAUGGUCAAGCAGAAAACUUCAACCGGACUCUCCUGCAUGGCCUCAAGACCCGACUACACCAAGUUGGGUCAUCUUGGGUGGAGGAACUCCCCAGUGUCUUGUGGUCAUAUCGGACCACGCCGAGGUCAGCGACGCAAGAGACCCCAUUCUCCCUGACCUAUGGCGCCGAAGCUGUCAUCCCGGCUGAAAUCCUUACUCCCAGCCCUCGGCUGGCAACCUAUGCCGCCGAGGUGAACGACGAAGAGAGGCAGCUGGACCUCGACCUCGUCGAAGAACGAAGGGACCUCGCCUCAGCCCGGAUAGCUUCAUAUAAGAACACACUGGCACGCUAUUACAAUGCCCGUGUCAGACAUCGUAGAUUCCGUCCUGGAGACUUGGUUCUUAGGAAAAAUUCAGUCAGUCGAGCUGAGCCGCAAGGGAAAUUACGCCCGAAAUGGGAAGGCCCUUACCGAAUUCUGGAAUCUGACCCUAAAGGGUAUUGUAAACUGAGCUACCGAGAUGGCUCAUUAGUGCCGAGGUUUUGGCACGCCGAGAAUCUUAGGUUGUAUUAUGUUUGAAGUUAUGACUUCAUUCGGUUAUUUCAUCAAAGUUGACUCUAUCCAGUUAUCAUGCCAAGCUAUGACUUCGGCUAUUAUGUUAUUUUUCAACAUCGUUAUUACGCAAUUAAAAAAUAAGGGGGACAAGCAAGGGAUGAAGUCAAAGCAAGAAACAAGAAAUUAAAGAGCUGAGAUGAAAAGAAACAGACUUUCAUUCAAUAGAAGUAUUACAAAAAAUACAAGGCCGAGGUCGGAGUGCUACUAAACACUUCACCUCGGCCACCCCCUCGAAGCAUAUGAGCCUAGACCCCCGUCUCGGCUCCAUUCCCGGUCUUGGCUCCCUCCUGGGCAGCCUCCUCUUCGGCCUCUUUUCCGCCGGGGUGUUCAUCUCCAGGCUCUUUUCCGAGGUCCCCUCCGACUUCGUCCCCCCCGGCCUCGUUUCCCUCAACUUCCUCUACAUCCACGUCCUCGAACACGUCGUCGAGUUCGGACAGCCACUUGUUGAACUCGACCUGGACUUCGGCCAAGUUCCUUCCCGCCUGAAUGCCUUCGGCCAUCCGAUCACAUAACUCCUUUGAGUCUUCAUUGUAGCUGGCAUGAUUUUUCAAAGACUCCAAGGCUUCGGGGGAGAGGUGAGCUGCGGCCUCGUCAAUGGCCGAUGUGAAGCCAAACAUGAAGUUAGGCGUAAGCAGUUGGCCGAGUUCCUUGAUGAAGGCAUCGGACCUCCGAAACGCGUCCACAGCCGAGGCUCCAGCACCCUCGAGAGCUUGUGCGUGGGACUUCUUCACUUCGUCCCCCCUCUUCUGCUCCUCCUCGAGGGCUGAUCUAAGACUAUUCAUAGUAGCCUCGGCCUCCUCACCCUUAGCUUCAGCCUCUUGAAGUUGCCUCUGAAGCUCUGACUUCUCGGAUUCGGACACCGCCAGUUGUUUCUCCAACUUGGAGAUCUGAGUCUGCAGCUUGCCGGUGUCCUGCUCCUCGACUAGAGCACAGUAUCUGUGAGCCAUCUCGGCCGCAAAAGCUGAGUUGGAAACCGUGGUCACCAUCAGACUUUGAACCAACUCGGCCGGGCUCAGUUUUUUCAUGAACUCCAAAUCCCUUGGCAGAGUGGAGUGCAUUACUAGCUCCUGUGCAACCCGAGGAUGCUGGCACCGGUCGUUGACCGAAACUUUCCAGUUCGGACACCAAUGAUUGCCGGAGUGCGUCUUCUCCUCCCCGGGAAACACUGGGGGGCUAUGGAAACGAUUUCAUAGCGAAGUCCCCGAGACUGGAUUGGCCGGGGCCUUCAGCUGCUUGCCUCGGCCCUGAGGAGGUGGGAGUGCCGUAACGAUUCCGAGAGGCACUCUCUCUGGCACGGACGAAGUGGACCCAGUAGCCGCGGUGGCCGAGCUGCUCUGGCCGACCUUGGUGGGAGUGCUUGUAGCCGCCGGGGUCUUGGCAGCCUGUCCCUGUGCUUUCUUCUUCUUUGGCGGAAGUGCCGAUGUCUCGUCAGUACUCUUCCUCUUCGACCUCUUGGCCACUUCGGACGAGCUGGAGACGACGAUAUCGGACAACUUGACCACUGCACAAGAAGUAAAUAUUAUCAUAUGCCUUAGCCGAAGUGAAAAGAAAAGCCAUGAAAGAAAAUUACGAGGUUUCUCAAGUUUAAUGGAAAAGAAGGGGGUCUUGGUAGUGUUGAUCACGGCUCGACUUAUCCCCCCAUCCACGAGCACGGUUUCGGGGUAGUCAUGGCUGAACAGCCGAAGUCCCGACUUCAUCAGCUUUUGGAAGGACUCUUCUUCGGCAUCCCCGGCAGAGGGGUCGGCCUUCGCCUUAAUUGGCCUCCACCAAAAACCCCUCGGGAAGUCCACUCCGGACACGAAAAAGUAGUCGCGCUUCCAGUUCUUGAUCGAGCUGGGAGCACCGAUCACCAACUUCGGGAUGGCAUUGUUCCGGUUGCCAACAUAAAACCAUCCCUUAUCCGUCGCGUGCGCCUUGAGGGUGUAGCAUCGGCGGAAGAGAUCAACGGAGGGAGUCACCUCCUGAUGUCGGCACAGCAUUUCAAACCCCACAAUGAUGCGGAUCGCAUUCGGGGUGAGUUGGGUGAUUCUCACCUGGAAGUGACGAACUAAGUCCCGGAGGAAUCUCGACGUCGGCAUUCUCAGCCCGGCCUCCAGCUGUUGAACGUAGACGGCCACCAUGCCAAAGGGGGGCUCCGCGGCUGUGUCACCCACCUCGGGCGGCAAAAUUUCGUACCAAGGCCGGAAGGGGUACUUGUCUACCACCUUCAUGGCCCUAUCUCUUCCUACGCGACUCCUAAACUUCGGCAUCUGGCCGAAGUCGAUGUCGGCUACGUCCACUGGAGCAACUGGCUCCGGUACACCCUCGUCAUGGGGUAUCUCGGUCCCGAGCUCGGUAUUGUACUCCACCUCGGAGCCGCCUUCGCUGAUCUCGGACGAUUCCAGUUCCGAGGCUGUCUCUCCGGCUCUCACCUCGGUCGAUCCUUCCUCGGAACUCUGUGCCGACCCCUCCGAACUGGACGUCGUCGCUUCUUCCUCAGAAUCCGCCCGCACCUCGGUCUGGUAGCUCGGGGUCACGGUUUCUUUAUGGGUUUUCGCGGUUUUAGCCAUGAGUGAAAGACGAGAUAAGAAAGAAAAAGGGAUACUUACUAUUGACUACGAUAUCGGACGCAGUGAAGACUUCGGCAAGGAUCUCGGCUGAUGGAACUGACCUCGGCUACGCUCGUGAAUUAUACAAGUAUUGGAUGAAAGUGAAAGGUGUGAGAAAUGCGGUGAGGGGGCCCCCCAUUUAUAGGGGUUCUUGGGAACCCGAAGAGGCGGCAAGAAUACGGAAGGGCGGCAACGAUCCAAAUUCCAGAUACUUUGUGCCUGCCCUUCUGUUUCUCCCUCUCUCCUCAUUAAUGCCCUGUCCUUUCGGCUGACACUCUGCACGAAACGUCCCACUACUUCACGACGUGACGGUUACGUGCCGACUCACUCUCCAGGUCCCUUCAACUGACAUGCCCACGUGUCACGUCCCCGCAUCUUCCGGAGCAGGCUCGGGACCCCGACUCUUCACGACUUCGGCAGAAGGAAGCCUCGGCACCUCCCUUGCUCGGAGCAUCCGAGGCUUGGGGGGCUUAUUGAGGAUGUUCACCUCGGCCAUCCCGAGUGGCCGAGGUGAACUCACCUCGUCCCUCAUCGGAGCUCAUCCCUGUCUUGAGCACAACCCCAGAGCUCGGCUUCAACCCUAGUCCACCGUGUAGGUGACCUCGGCACAUCCACCUCGGCUGCACGCUGAUGAUGUCAACCCACCUGACAUCAUCCAGGACCAGCACUUUAUCUGAAAAGCACUGGAGGCACUUAAUGGCACCUGCACCAUAUCCUCCGUCAUCACUCCCAGGCGGCUACAGUGUCAGAGUCAGACCUCCUGACAGGAGACAGAGCCGUAAUGCCAGAGAGUGGGUCCCGCUAGCAUGAGCCUUCCGUCUUGACCACCUCUCUUCUAUAAAUACCUCACUCACACUCCCAACAAGUAAGCAUACACUGUUCAUUAACUUACUCUUAUUAUUCUCGUUCUCAUACUAACUUGAUCGUCGGAGUGAUACCAGGGGAGAAGCCCCGCCACUCACUUCGGACAAGGAGGUUCACUUCGGACACAGGAGUUCACCUCACUUCAUCUCAGAGAGGACUGAUCCAGGUCGGUCUAGUUACCAACCAAAAAUCGCCUCCUCAAGGUCCAAAUAAGCUUCUCUAGCUCUUUCGGUUGGCACUUCUCGAAAAUCUGUCUCUUAAAUUGGGGCCUGGGGCCUCCCGAAUCUCUCUUGAUAUACUAACGGACGGUCCAAGCUUGCUAUUAGUAUCCUUUCACAAGAAAGUCCGACAAGGAGUUUGGCACUACCUUUUCUUGCCUUUUCUAUCUUAUCGGGUCUUCCAUUUGCAACAAGUUCUCUUUAUUACACCCCCAUGAAUCCACCUCUUUCCUGAUUUCAACCCAUUUCUUUUAUUUUGGAACUCUGGUAGAAUGCAAACUUAAAUGUAUGCAGCAAGAUGCAAACUUUAAAGGGAAAAGAAAGCGGGACCAAGAGAUGAAGAAAUAGGAUAGAGGACUCAAAUGUAUGACCAAAUGGGUGAGAAUCCUAAGUUUGACAAAUUUUUAUCAGAAGUGGUCAUAAAGUUAGCAGCACCAAGAUGAUCUAUACCUUUCUUUGUUCCUUUGAUAAAGUAGCAUCCAUUGUCUUGGUUACUGGAAACUGUGGUCUAACUUUUUUAGCCUACCCAAAUUACUACUGCACUUUAUCUUUUGUGGAAAGAGAACAAGAAAGCGAAAUGGAUGGUAAGCGUAGAUAUCCUACAUUUAUAUCAACAGGAAAAAUAUAAAAAUGAAAAAAAAAAUUUAACCAAACCAAUUGACUAAUAAUUUUAUAAAUACAUAUAAAUUGUUUGCUCUAUAUUUUCUUAGCUUUCUUGUUUUUAUUAGUGCUAAUUCUCAGUUAGAGGCUACUUAGAGGUGUGGCAAAAUAAAAACUUCUAUCACGGUUGAAACUCCUUUAGAUUUUCACAUAGAAUGAGCCAAAUUUAAUGAACAUCAUAACACAGCAAAUUUGGCAAUUGAAAUACAUAUUUUUUAAUUUGAGAAACUAAUAAAAACCCAUGAAAUGGCAAACUUAAGUGCCACCUAUUGAUUUUGAAAGGAACCUGUUAGCUAAAAUUGAUUUUUUUUUUCCUGUAUUCCUUGUGCUUUUUCUUAAACAGAUAUUAGCUCCUUAUUUAGUUGCUUUGAAAUAGUGUUUGUUAUUCUUCUGAAGAGUUGGUUUCAACUUGCAACGCUUUGCUUUUAUUUCCUAUUAAGUCAAUAAACAAUUAAACACGUGCAUAUUAACCUCCAUAUAUCAUUAUUUCUAGUGUUAAAUGCAUGAAAUGAUUUACUUUCAAGAUUACUAAGGAAAAAAUAUUCCAAAAGGAAUUAGCUUGAUUAAUAAUUCUUGCAAGUUACCAAUUAUUUUUUAAUAACAUUAGGUGGUAAUUAUAUUGAAAUGACUGGAAUUAAUUUGAAUUACAAUUAAAAAAUUAUUAGAAAGCAUCUAAGAAAAUAUUUUCACCUUCGUAUGACACAUCGAUCGCUAUUCAUUUUUCUAUAUUUUGAUUUGUGAAUGACUUUGGCACUCCAUAAUUAAUCAUAGACAUACCACUUAAUCUUCUUGUUAACUCAGCUGAUCUAAAUGAUCAUGCCCCAGCAUAGAAGACAAAUUUGAUGAACAUAUUGCUAAAUUAUAUAUAAUAAUGUCUUAUGGAAUUUUUUUAGCCAAAGAAUAGUUAUUUUUUUGGAUUGCUUAAAAAGCUCAACAUCUCAACAAAGAGUAAUAGAAUUGAUUAGAAAAGUCAAAAUUUAGAUAAUUGCAUAAAGAUUUUAUAAUUCUUAAAUCAUAUAAUCUCUCCACUACUCUGUCAAAUCAACAUUUUGAGUUGGAACUGCAUCAAAUUAGUGGUCGUGACAUGCAAAUACUAACUCUUCUCACAUAGAUAUGUCACAAGGGAUAUAUCUAUAUCCACUAGCAGGUUUUGACAAAAAAGGCCCUCCGGGGCUUGGUCUGACGGUUGAGGUUGCUGAAGAUGGAGGCUUAGGUCCCUGGUUCGAACCUUACUGCCAACAAGUUGUGGAGGGUGGGGAAUAGUCUGCGGGGUCCACUCCCUGCGGGACAUCCCAAAAAAAAAAAAAAAAAAAAAGACAAAAAGAAAAAAAAAUCCACUAGCAGGAAUGAUAUCCACGUUUCAUUGCAAGCAUUCUGUCUUCAACUCAAAAUUGCGUGUAGGAAUCCUUGCCUCAAAAUUUCAUGUAGAAAUUUGUGUCAACAACAUUCUAUUACGAAAUAUAACCUCAAGGUUAAUAUUUUCUCUAAGUUUAGUUCUGCAAAGUUUAAGCAAUUAGCAAGUUGAGCUCUUCCUAAAGGCGUGAGUUGAAUUUCAUUUUUAUGCCUUCACAGUAUGGGGCUUCAAGAAUCACAUUACUUGGUGUAAUUGGGUUCCAAGGUAGCCAGUUGAUUUUGAGUUCUCACGUUUAUCUAGAAUGGCAAGAAAUUUUCUUAUAAAUGUAGCAUCAGUUAACUUCUAAAAUCCAUCCACAAGAACUUAUUUUGGCAUAUGUCAUAGAUCCAAUAGUGAUAGUAUAUACACUGUCAAUAGAUAUAAGAUUUACUUUUUUUGUAUGGAUUAAUUUUUUAUACACUGAUGAUGUAUACAUUAUCAGACUUCGAUUAAUAACAAUUAUGCAAACUUUAAAUUUGAAAUUCAACUUUUACACAUGUGUCAUGGAUCCAAUAGUGAUAGAAUAUAUACUGUCAGUGUUUAUUUUUUUGUAUGGAUUAAUCUGUCCAACACCGACAGUGAUACACUAUUAGUCUUAGAUGAAUGACAAUAAUGCAAAAUUUGAAUUUAAAAUUCAAUUUUUGUAUAUUUGUCAAAGAUCUAAUAGUGAUAUAUAUUGUCAGUAUAUAUAAGAUUUACUCCUUUUAUUUUUAUCCCUUUCCUCAAGUAUUUCCUUCAUUCAUAAUUUUAUUCCUUAAAAGUUUUUAGAUAUUCUUCUUUAGUUUCCAAAAGUUUCUCCAGGAGAGUUUUCUUAAUAUCGCAACAAUUAAUCAUGUUGAACAAGAAAUUGAUAUGCUAAUCUUCUUUAGUUUCCAAAUAUAUUGUCAAAGAAAUUUGUUAAACUUCUUUCCGAACAAUUUCUUUUAACAAUAUUGCUCAAGAAAAUUCAGGAAAUCUGCUCACUUGCUCCAAAAUUAAUUGAUUGCCAAAGAAAUUUCUAAAACUUCUUUACAAAAAAUUUCUUUCCAACUAUUGCCCAACAAAGUUAACAAAAUCUGAGUUUAAUAUAUUUUAUAUUUCUAAAGUAAAAACUCAUUCUUGCUGUUACAUUGAAUUACAUAAUGCACUAAUUUAGACUCUUGCUCUUAAUAUAUUAUAGAUAAGUUGUACCACAAUAUUGUAGCAGGAAGACUAAUGCAAAGCUAUUUCUUGAUUGAUUUACAAUAUGAUUCAAAUUAGACAAUUAGUUUGAAAACUUGAAAUUAAUGCAGAAACCAUUACAUGAAUGUUGUAAUCUAAUUACUGAUGUGAAUGCAAAAAGAGACCAACUUGGUACACGCAUGGCCCACCAAUAAAGCACCAUUUGUUUGGCAGCUACACAGAAGUUGCUGGGAAAGUUCCGAAGCACCAUAUCUUCUGUGAACAAGAUGUGUCUUGCAAUAUUUACACAAAAAGUGGGAAAAAAAAGUCCAGCCUAUUGUUUGUUGGCUAUUGUUAGAUGAGAAAGUUUUGGAUCCUGAACUGAUUUUAUUGAGCAGCUGCUAAACCAGAUAAAAAUCUAAUAUCAGAGUGAAAAGAAGAUAUUAUAAUGGAUAUCCCCUCCAGCAGUAACGCCGACUGCUUUGAUUUUGCUUUAUAUGAUUAUCUGCAGUCGCAUCACAUCUCCUCCAGCACUAGCACUAGUUGCUUUGAUCUUGCUUUAGAUAUUCUAGCCAAGCUUGACAAAAUGCCCCUAUUUGGCGGGGACUUCGUGGACCUGAAGAAGAGGGUAAGAUUAAUGAAAACCUGUUUUCUGUAUGUCAAAAAGUGUAGGAGGAGGAGGAACCCCGAAGCGCUUUUGGAGCAUGAUCGCGAGGACAGGUGUAAUAUUAUGUCUGAAAAUUUGAGACGUAGUAGUGUUUGCUUCAGAAUUCAAGAUGUGGCUAUCAGGAUGAUUCAAGAACUUCAGCCUGCUUAUUUUCAAUAUAUUCAUUCUGGUCGUUACUUAGAUUAUGCCAGCAUUGAAAGUGCGAUUACCAGAUCCAAGGAAAAUAUCAAACUGUUUCUUGAGACAGAUCUCAAGAAAUCAUGCGCCGCCAUCAUCAUCGACUAUUACCCACCAGGAGAUCCACGACUAGUUAUGGAUCUUAUUAUGUGCCUUUUAGAGACUUUGGAUGGGCUUUUACGUGUUGGGGAGCUAAGGGAUACAAUUAGAAAUAGGCUAAAACUCUUAAGGAAUCUCAUUGGCUUUGUGACAAUGCAAGGUCUUGAAUGUUCGCAACUGACAGAUCUCUUGACUUACACUGUAGUUGCAGCUGGAAGCCUGAUUUCUAUAUGUCUGUCUGACUAUGAUGAUGAACAAGCGGUCAAUCGAAUGGAAUCUGAAAUUUAUCAGCUGAUACACGAGAAGAUCAAUCUUCAUGAUCUCCAAGUUCGAGAAACUUUUGUCCAUGUCCUGACAGCUUCAAAGAAACAACCGAGAUCAUCAUAUGAUUUAGCCCUUCAGAAGAAUGACGAUCCAGUGGUAGGCCAGUUUAUUGGUUCUCUCUGCUAUUAUCUUAUAGAUCUACUAGGAUCUUAUGCCAGUUUUCAGGUUCCAGUGAAGGAUCAAAUACUGAAACUCCAUGAGGGAUUAAGAUACCUGGAUAUCCUUCUUAAACAGGAGGAGAAACUAGGUGAUGAAAUAAAGGAUCUUAUUGGAGUUGCGGUCUCUGAUGUAGGAAUUUUGACCUUCUCCCUUUCUGUCAAUGAAAUCAAAGAAGGCUUGCCUGAGGAAACAGAUCUUGGGGUGUUUCAUUUGCACAAAGUUCUCAAAUAUAUGGUGGCAGAGGUUGCACACAAUUAUCCACUAAAAUCACCAUAUUCAUCAUUUAAUUAUCCUAGACCCAAUGAGUUGGGCUGUAUGGAUUCUUUCCUAGAAAAUCUCAAGGAACUAGCAAGGUGUGAUGAGGCUGAUGAUUCAAUUGGUUUUCAACAUCAUAGAAUCCAAGUGAUCCAAAACGAUCUCGUAUUCUUAAGAUCUUUCCUGGAAAAUAUCAAGGAGCAACGCUAUCAGAAUGGAAAACUUCAAGCUUUCUGGAGUCAUGUUAUGGAGGCUGCUUACAAGGCGGAGUUACUGAUUGACUUGGCAUUUGUUGGUGAUAAAUGUGAAGAUUCUUUGGAUGCUGUUUCUAGAGAUAUCAAUCUUUUGAAGAUUGAGGCCCCAGAGAUCCAUAAUGGUCAAACCCAAAGAGUUAACAAUACUUCCCUUCACAUACCAUCACAACUUACUAUCGCCAUGCAUGACGAAGAUCUGGUAGGUCUCAAAGACGAGGUGGAAACUAUUACUCAUCGGCUUACGAGAGGAUCAAAGCAAUUGGAUGUUGUUCCCAUUGUGGGUAUGCCUGGCCUUGGGAAGACCACAUUAGCCAAUAAUGUUUAUAAUGCUCCUUCAGUUAGGUCACAUUUCCAUGUUCGUGGUUGGUGUCGUGUUUCUCAAACAUAUAACAUACGCAGUAUGUUAGUUCAACUUUUGUGUAGUAGUUCUUCUAAGAGUUCUGAUGAAUAUCUUAAGAUGGAUGAAAAUGAUUUGGCCAUGAAGCUAAGGCAGGUUUUGCUGAGAAGCAGGUAUCUCCUUUUUUUGGAUGACUUGUGGGACGUUGAGGCAUGGAUUUUAUUGGAAAAAUUACUGCCAAAUGAUGCCAAUGGAAGCAGGAUUCUCUUCACCAGUAGAUGCCGGUAUUUAUCUUUGCAUUUCGAACCUAAUAGCGAGCCUUACCAUCUCCGCCAUCUUACUGACGAAGAGAGUUGGACAUUGCUGCAGAGAAAGCUAUUUGGAACGGAAGAUUGUCCUCCCGCGCUAAGUGAAGUUGGAUCUCAAAUAUCAAAACUUUGUCAGGGCUUACCCCUCGCAGUUGUCCUUAUUGCUGGAAUUCUUGCUACUACUGCACAAGAUAGCUGGGAAGAAGUUGCAAAAAGUCUAAGUUCUAUCGUCCUUGAGGAUGAAUACUGCAUGAAGGCACUUGAGCUGAGUUAUAGUCAUUUACCAGAUUAUUUGAAGCCAUGCCUUCUGUAUUUUGCUGCAUUUCAAGAAGAUGAGGUUAUUAAUGUGCGAAGGUUGUUACGGCUUUGGAUCUCUGAAAGAUUCGUGCAACAAACUGAAGGAAAGAGCUUAAAGGAAGCAGCUUAUGACUACUUGACGACUCUAAUUAAUAGAAGUUUAGUUAUGGUUGUCAGACAAAGAAAUGUGGGUGGUGCCAAAUACUGUCUACUUCACGAUUUGGUACACGAGUUUUGUGUGAAAAAAGCCAAAGAAGAAAGUUUUCUAUAUGCUAUUCAUAGUUGGAACCCUCUUUGUCUUACUGGACCAAGCAACCCCCACCGAGUUUGUGUUUCCAAUGCCAGGGAAUUGAAGAUUUGGGAGUUAACGCUUAUUUUUCCCAAUUUACGAUCUUUGAUCUUGUUUGGACAUGUUCAUAUUGAACAUGAAGAGGAGGAUUUGGGUAUUUUGUUACCUAAACUUCUCAGAGUGUUGGAUUUUGGGAGUUUGGGCUUUCGUUACAAUUCUUUUCCAAUGGAAGUAGUAUUGCUUGUUCACUUGAGAUACCUGGCGCUCAAACGAAUAACAUACAUCCCAUCUGCGAUAGCCAACCUCUCAAGGUUAGAAACUCUUAUCGUAGUUGAUCCGGAUUUUGAUAUUGAGCUGCCAAGUACUAUUUGGAACAUUAAGACAUUGAGUCAUCUACGUGUUUUAAAUUAUCAUGGAGUAUGGUCAAUGGGUUUUAUUUUUCCACUUGGAAAUCUUGAAGGAUCCCCAGAUUUAGAUCAUUUAGACACUUUACACCUUGCAAUUGAUCCCUCCCCUCAAAGCUUGCAAAAGAUACUGAGAAAGUUACCAAGCCUUCGCAGGUUAAAAUGUAGGGAACGCUGGAACAGCUCAAGAGAAGCUACCAGAAAUUGCAACGAGAUUCUUGAGUUUGACGGUUUGAGUCAACUGGAAUCACUUUAUUUGUUUCGUUUUCAUGGAUGUGGAUUCAAAUUCCCGUCGAAUUUGAAAAAGUUGGCUCUCUUCUGUAAUGGUCAGCCAUGGAGUGAAAUUUCAACAAUUGGAAAGUUGCCCAAUCUUGAAGUGCUUAAAUUACUUGAUCGCUGCUUUGUUGGGGAAGAAUGGGAAAUGAAAGAAGGGGAGUUCCCUAAACUCCGAGUCUUAAAAUUGUCAAUGUUGAAAUUUCGCAACUGGACUGCAUCUUCCGAUAAUUUUUCCCGCCUUGAGAAAUUGGUCUUGCGCUGGUGUGGGGAGCUGGAAAAGGUCCCUUCCUGUUUAGGUGAGUGUGAGACUCUUGAAAUGAUUCAGGUGAAAGGGUGUCGUGAGUCUGUUGUAGAUUCUGUAAAGCAAAUUCAACAAGAACAGAAAGAUAUGGGAAAUGAGGUUCUAAGGAUCGAAAUUGAUAAUUAUGAUGAUAGAUCCAUUUCCUCAGAAGAAGAGUCUACAGAAGCAGAGUCAAGUCCCUCAGAAGCAGAGGAGGUUUCUUCAGAAAGAGAGUCUAUAUCCUCUCAUCACGCAGUUGGCAAUUGUGAGAGUGAAUGUACAGUGGGAUUCCACUCAUCAGGUCAGAUAAAACUAUAUUUGCAUAUGUUGAAUCAGUUCAAUUAUAUAAUUGUUCAUGUUUCUCUCAACAGUUUACCACGGCAAACCAUUCAUGUCUCUUUUUCAUCUGUUUAUAUGUUGAAUCAGUCCAAUGAUAUGUUAAUUCAUGUGUAUUUUGAAGCAAUUUCUGGAGGCGUCUAAAUUCUUUAUCUGUUUAAACCUGAUGCUGCUGCAUAACUUCCUGAUACAUUUCUGAUUGCAGUAGGAAACACAUUGAUGCACAAUCUGUUUCUAAAAUCUUCUUCCAUGUUGCUACAUAUUGAUAUGAUACUCAGAACCAGCAGAGCAAAAGCAUGACUUGAUAUGAUAUACUCAAAACCAGAUACACUUUUCUAUUCCCAAUUUGUGUUUGUAAAUAAGAGUAAUACAGAAAAGUGUAACUCAACUGAUUGAUAUGUUUAAACAUACAAUAACAGUUUUGCAACAAAUAUUAAGUGGAGACAAAAGCCCAAAAAAAAACCUAUGGUUGUAUUAUUUUUCAACAGAGGAAGGGCAUAGGACUUAAUAUGUGUUUUUCUUCACUACAAUAUGCUGAAAUACAAACAUUUUCAUUCUUUAAUAGGCAAUAUUUUCGGAAAUCAAAAAGGAAGCAAUUUUUUCUUAAACUUUUUUUUGUGUGUGGUUUCAUGUUUUAUUUUGCUAUUUUAAGUGGUUUAUUGCUCAAACUGAUCAAAAUGGCAAAUCAAAGAAACCAGAUGACCUAUUUUGUUGGGUAAUCUGUAUACCUCUUCAUUCAACUGAUGUAGUACUGUAAUUAUCCCUUCUUCCAGAGUAGAUUUCCUCAGCCGGAGAGUCCAUUUCUUCUCAUCAUCACAUUAGGCAAUGGUAAAGACUGAAGCAUUUAUGUCUCUUCUUGACUUUGUGUGAUCAUUCCACUCAUCAGGUCAGAUAUAAUUGCAUGUCCAUGUUAAUUCAGUUCAAUGAUAUAACUCAUGUCCCUUCUUCAUCUGUACCAAAUUAUUUGGUUUGAACCUGAUGCAGCAGUAUUACUUGUCAUUGCAGGGGCAAGCACAGUCAUGCAUUCUAUCAAGCCAAUAUUAUCCAUCAUAAUCUGUUUGUAAAACAAGCUGUUUGUAACUCUCUGUUUAAAGCACAGUCAUGGUUUGAUGUUUGAUAGUGUUUACGAUCCAUCACAAUCUGUUUGUAAAAUAUUCUCCAAGUUCUUUCCUGAUUUUGAUGUUUAAUAGUUUUCAUGAUCCCAAUUUUUCAAAUAUUCUGCAAUCCUGCUACAGAUUGAAAUGAUCCUUAAAACUAGCUGUUUGUAGAAUGUUCUCCAUGUUCUUUUCUGAUUUGAUGUUUAAUAGUGUUUAUGAUCCCAACUUUUGAAAGCUUCUUCAUUGCUACUACGGAUUGAAAUUAAUGAUCAAAUGAUCCUUAAAACCAGCAGACAAUUAACAAAGCAUGUAUGCGAGAUUCACUUUUCUCUUCCUUUCAUGUAUUUCAGUAAUACAAAAGAUUUUGAUUUGCUUCUGUUUUUCCUCAAUAAAACUCUCAUGCAACAAUUACUUAGUAUGGACCCAAAAAAAAAGGGAUCUAAAUUGUGUUACUUUGCAAUAGAGAAAGUGCAUAGGAACUAAAUGGUAAAUUUUGCAUCAACAUGAUUAUAUUUUCAUGUAUAACAAUAUUUUGGCGAACACAUACAAUAAAAGGAGGCUAUUUAGUAGCCACUCGCAUUUCUUUGCAUUCUUUAUCUUAGCAAAAGACUAAAGGGUGUAACUUUUCUUAAACUUUUUUCUAUGCUAUUUCAUCUUUUAUUUUCUGAUCAAUGUGAUUCAUUGUUCAAUGUUCAAGCCUGUAAAAACAUCUUUUAUUUUCUGAUCAAUGUGAUUCAUUGUUCAAUGUUCAACCUGCUAAAAAUGACAAAUUAAAGAAGCUGGAUGAUAUCUAAUUGUGAUAUUCUAUACCAUGUAACAUAUUUAAUACAAGAAUAUUUAGAAAAUAGAGAAAAUCAUUAGCUGGCGAUCAUUUAAGACCAAUAUUAACGUUGAUGAGGAAACCAUUACAUGAAUUUUUUUUUUUGCAUGGAGUCCUCAUGGAUAGACCACUAUUCAAGCAUCACAAAACAUAAUUAGUUCUUUUAAUAGCCAUUUAAUUACUCUAUCAAAUCUCGUCCCAAUGAUCAAGAAAGGGUUCUUAGAUUCUUUUUCAUACCAAGUUCAAGGUUUGAAUCAUGUACCUGACAAUUGGAAGUUAAAAAGCAGUUCGAAUUAUGUACUUGACAGUAGAGAGUAAAAUGCAUGUGAGAAGGGAUGGGAGGAUUAAAAAAAAAAAAAAUGGAAGAGUCUCCUCUUGUCUAUAUACAAUAGUGUUCCUCUAUGUGGCUUGUAUAAUUGACUAGACAGCAAAGGCAAGACUUCUAAUGAUCAAAUCACUCUACGUUAACCUUUUAAGGUUUAUUCCACUUGCACCUUUAAAGUUCUUUCUAUUUUCACUUUGCUUAAUCUUAGUUACAAAACUUUACAUCUUAUCUUUCAAAACAAAUUCUAAAUCUUACAAAGGGCUUAAAAUUGAAUGAAAAACCUUAUAUUCACCUUUUUUUUUGUCAAAUAUUCACCUAGUUAAUACUGCUCUAAGCUGAACUAGGGCAUGAGAGCACAAUCUACUAUUGUUAAUGCCAUGCAUCCAAGGGGUGCUGAGCGGGGCUGUGUUUUGAAAGUUUUAAUUCACAGUGUGUAAAUAUGGGUGUAAAACAGAGUUAGCCCCCUAAUUUUCAUAAUUUUAGUUUAUAUAUAUAUAUAUAUGAUUUAGCCACCUUUGAAUUAUUUUUUUCUUCAAAAAAAGUUAUUUAUUAUUUAUUGUGCUAGUUAUUUAACUUUUAAAAAAGUAAACAUAUAAUCAAUAAUCCAUAGUAAAUUGACUCAAUUUGAUUACAUUAUAAUAAAUGAUCCAAUUCAUAAUUAUCAAUGGGUUAAAACAAAAGCAAUUACUUUUUUGGCUAAUAUAUAAAUAUACAAUUUAGCCCAAUUGAUUAGACUCGUUCUCACUCUUGCUGCAUCAACUAUAAGUAUAGAACGAAUAUUUUCAAUUAUGAAGAUAAUCAAGAUAGUUACAAAACAAGAUGGAAGAUAAUUUUUUAAAUGAUUGCCUAAUUGUAUACAUAGAAAAGAAAGUUGUUGAAAAAUUUAGCACUGAUUCAAUCAUAAAUAAAUUUACUUCUAAAAGGAAUGUAAAACUCAAUUUACUUUUAAGAAAAGGGGUUGAAAUUUUGGUGUAUGUUAACAUAACUUUUAUCUUUUUUAAUUAAAAUAUUUAUAUUUAUUUUGCAUAUAUAUAUAUAUAUAUAUAUUUUGCAUAGGCGACAUGUUGGAGCAUCUUUUCAUAAUGUGCAACUUGGAUGGUUUGUGAUAUUAUAAGAUAUAAGAAAAGUUUAUUUUUGUCUUAUUUUUCAUUUGACUAUGUUGUAUAUUUAUAAUUAAACAUACCUUUAUAAUUAAAGUUAAUAUUUGAUAUUUUUAGAUGUCAUAUAUUUAAAUACAUGGAAAUUAUUUUGAACAUAGCAUAUUAAAAUAAUUUUUUUAGAAAACUUCUUGGGCGCCUGAGAAAAAAAUCUUGGCUCUGUCACUACAUGUAUCCCAUUUGGCGUUCUCCUUCUCCCUUGCAUAAAAGAUGAGAUUUGUUGACAAAAAGAGGGCAAGUUGGAGAAGAUGAGGUUACCAGAAUAACCAGCUUGCCUCUACUGCUGGAUGUAAAUUCUCGUCUUGUAUACCAUUUGCCACGAAUCCUUCAUCAUAUUUCCUCUUUUUUCCAAUCUAUCCUAAUUUACAUCCAUUUUUCUCAUUAGUAUAUUCAAAUAUUUAACUUAAUUACAGGUUUAAAACCUCAAAGCUCUUCUGGAAGUUGAGGCUAGUUUAAAUUGGAUUAGACAAAUUUUUGUUUGAGUUAUGAUUUUUUUCUUCAAGGAGAACCUUUUAUUCUUUUUGGACCUUUUUUCUUCGGGAGUCCCAAUUCAGGAGUCCCAAUCUCAAUGAGGUUUUGGUUUUCGUAAUGAUUUCCGACACUUCAAACUCUUUCAAGCUCAAAAUACAUUAAAAUGAUUGAAUUGAUGGUUCAGAUGUUUGAACUGAUAAAGUCAAAACCAAUCACUCAUUUUGUUCAUCACUGGUCCGCCUUUCAAAAUAUUUUUAACUGCUAAAGUUGUUCAAAAAGUGGAAUACUUUGAAAAAAAAAAUCGUCCCUGAAUUUCUAGUAAUAUCAUUUAGCGCCCCUAUAGUUCUAAAAGUAUCACUUACCUUCCCCACAAGUGAUGUGGCAAAAUUCACCAGCAUGCAAAGUGAAAGUAUUACCCUCACAACUUAAGAUUAUUUGUUCUAAAAGAUUUUGAAAGGAAAAAAUAUAUAAAUUGACAAAUUAGAAUGCCUGUCUUAACAAUUUUUGGCACUUAAACCUUCAUACUUUUUUAGUCCUUCUAUGCCACCCAUAUAUUACAUUGUCCUCAAUAUUCUAAUAAUAAUUUAGACAAAAAUAUCUAAAAGAAAAACUUAGAUCAAUAAAGAUAAUUGCCAUUUAGGAGUUAAUUUUGCACUUAAACCCCCUUUCCUACACUCCAAUUUUUUUUAAAGUCCUUAUAUGCCAACUUUAUAUUAAAAUACACUCACUACUCUAACAAUUAUUUGAAAAACAAUUUAGUAGAUUAAGUACCAAAAAUUUAUAAAACUAAAAAUUUGAUAUUCUAAAAAUUAUAUUUUCACUUAAACACCCCUAUGAUCCACUUUGAAUACUCUAAUGACAAGCUUAUAUUAAAUCGUCCUUGCUAUUCUAACAACUUUUUAGGCACAAAAGUUUAGAAGGAAAAAAAAAAAAACAAAAUCCGUCAAAGAAUGGUCAUCUUAACAAUUAUUUUUUACUUAAACUUUCCCUUCCCGCAUUUUAGUUCUCCUGUGCCAACUUUAUAUUAACUGACCUCUCCUAUUCUAACAAUUGUUUGUGUAAAAAGAAUUAAAUGCACUUGAGCAUCUUCUGAAUUAAGUGCAAACCCAAGGAUUCGAUCACCUAAAAUACAAACUAAUAAAGAAUUUAAAGGUACUAUUACACACUCUAAUAGAAUGACAUGUAUCAUUAGUAGUGCAUUUAAUCCAGAAGCAGCUCAAGAGCACUCUUCUUGCCACCCAUUUCCCAUAGUACCUUCAUUCCAGCAGAUCUAAUCCCCUAGUUUGCAUUUAAUUUAAAAGGUGCUCAACGAUACUUUUUUGGCCACACCUUACUUCACAUAGUGUUGGGUCAGGAUUAGGUGUAGAUUAGCUAAUAUUAUUGUAUCAACAAAAGAAAAAAAAAAGGCAAAAAAAAAGACAAGGACAGCCUAGAUCCUUUGGAUACAUUAGUCCCGGUAGUAUAUGACUAGGAGUAGAGUGCACUUUUUUAAUAACUCCUUUUCCAUAAUAUAGGUACAGAUUAACCAAUAUCAUAUUUGGUUAAAAAACAAAAAAGACAAAGACAACCUAGACCCUGAGAUCCAUCUAUCCCACAGUGUAAAAGUAAGCAUAGGAGUAAAUUAGCAAACAUAACACUGAUUGAAAAAAAGGAUAAUUUCAAAAACCUCCCUUGAGAUUUCUAACAAUUUCAUUGAGCUUCCCUGAAGUUUAGAAAAUGACACAUAUCUCCCUUGAUUUGAUAGUUUUAGUAACAAAACUUUAAAAUAAUAUUGACUUGGUCAAAUUUUUAAAUGAAUACCCAAAAAUGCCCUUGUGUAAUGAGUUUUAAUUUAUCCCUAUAAAAUUAUAAGAUUAUUUAAUGUAAUUAUAUCGAAAAUGUGUCGAAUUUUUCAUGUCUAUACCUACUAUUUGAUAAACAACUAUAAUAAUGAUUUUAUCACUAUAAUAGGAUACUUUUGAUGGUAUUUUAUUAUGGUUUUAGAUUUAUAAGAUAGAAAAUAAAAUGUUGAAAUAAUUGAUUCAGAAUUGAUGAAUUUUUUGAGUUGUGGGAUUAUCAUAAUUUAGUAGUGAUUUUGGACAAUUUAUUUUUAAUUUAUUAUUAAUUUUAAUACCAAAAAUAGAAAACAAAGAUUGGCAAAAAACACCGGAUUAUGUCUAAAGUUAAUUCAUAAAAAAAAAUCAUUAGUUCCACAUUUGAUUACAAUAGAAACUAGAGAUAAUAGUGGUAAUUUUAUAAUUUUAUUGGCAAAAAAUUAAAAUAAAAAGGAAUAAGAAGCAAAAACAAUGAAAAAAUAAUUUUAAAAUAAAAAAAAUAAGAAGCAAAAAGAAUGAAAAAAUAAUUUUAAAGUCAUUCUAAAUAUAAGAAUAACAAACAAGGGAAUUUCAUUAAAAUAUUUAAGGGUAGUAUUAUCAUUUUAAAUGACAAGGGAGGUAUGUGUAAUUUUUCAAACCUCAGGGGAUCUCAAUGAAAUUGUCAAAAAUCUUAAGGGAGGUUUCUGAAAUUAUCCCAAAAAAAAACACAUUCAUUUAACUGUCACACCAUAUUAAACGUUUAUGAUUAUCCAUUUUUUGUUUUUUCUAGAAUUUUAAAUUCUUACAAUCUGAUGUUCCAAAAUGGUCUUUGAUUGCCGUAAACGGUUUACUACACUUGGCCACCUUAAAGUUCCUUUUAUUUUCAUUUUGCUCUUUAAAUAUUUAGCUAGAAAACUUUACAAGCUUUUCUUUCUAAAGUUGGCUUUCCAAGCCAUAUGAAGGUGUGAUUUUUGGGUAAGUAACCGAGCUGAAUUAGCGAGGUCUUUUCUUAGGCGAGGCAGCGUUAUACUGGAUGUUCUUUGGCCGAAGUAAGAGGCGGGGCUUUAUCCCCUGGGAUCACUCCGACGAUCAAGUCAAUUAUGUGAGAAUAAUAAUAGAUAUGGAUGUAACAGUACGCUUACUUGUUUGGAAAGAAGGAAGGGGUAUUUAUAAGGAGCAGGGUGGAGGGAAAGACAACAGGUUUAAACCCACGGGCCCCACGCCCUGCAUCUUACGACUCUGACCUGCACUUUGCGACUCUGACCUGACACGCAGCAGUGGCCCAGGCUUUAUGCCAUGUGACCACAUGCAUUCCCGAUAAAGUGAAGCCAUGUGGCCUUCCAGUUAAGGCAGUGGAUACUAAUAGCUUGUUAGUUCAGCUGACCUCAUCCAGGUGCUGAUACGGUACUUAGCAUCCUCAGUACGGAGUAGCGGGGUUCGGCGUGGACGAUCUCGGGCCGAGGUGAGCUCACUCACGGACUUCAUCGAGGGUAGUCCGGGGUGAGUAAGCCGAGGUGACCGUCCUCACCUUACAAAAGGAAAAGAAAUGAAGGGAAGGUUAGAAAGUUGAAUUAAAAACCUUAUAAUUUUUUUAUUAAUGUCUUCCAAUUGGAUCGAAGCUUGAGAUUCUAAUCUAUUAAUGUUCACAUUAUAAGGCUUUUUCUAUAUAACAUCGUAGGGCCGCACAAUAAACAAACUAAAAUGGACGGCGGAUCCGCCCCUGUAAUACAAUACUAUCGAAAAAAAAUGUUAGUACCCAAAAACACACAACGGAAGCAUAUUGGACACGUAUAGAAAUAUGUGGAAGAAGAGGAGUUUAAUAAUACCAGGUUGUCGAUGCCUGUGUAAUAAUAAUAAUUAUCUUAAGUGCCAACAAAGUAAUUUCGUGUCAAUUCUAGUACUGGUGCAGGGACUCUAAAUGUGCAAUAGGUUACUUGAUUCACCCUGGUACCGAAGAGUUUGCUUGACCCGAUAUACCAGAAUUUAUUCACGAGAAAUCUAUAAUUUGUAUAUAGGGCAAGUAUGAUCGUAUCCUCAGGGACUGGGAGUAAUUCGUUUCUACUAAAGUUCAAGUUAUGGGGGGAUUUUAAGGAAAUUAACAAUGAGCUAUACUAAUCAAAUGUUGCAGUCAAAUAAGAAUUAAAUAACAACUAAAUAGCAAUAAGGUAAAAACUCAAACAGUAUUAGACAGCUCUAGUCAAGAAUCAACUUCGGAAAUGGUUCUUCUAAUUAAUUGAUCAUCGAUGCAAUAAUAUUCCACAUAUAAAUUGAUAAACAAGUUAUAAUUGUCAAACAAACGAUGACAAUCAAUUUCUCCGUAAUUAUCGAUAGCUAAGGUACAACCGUUAGCUAUUGCCCUAAUUGCAAAAUAAUCCUAAAUACGACCAUAGAAUUAAAUUUUACAAUUGCCGUAAAACAUAGAGAAACCCUGUUCUAACCAGACAACACGCUACGAGGAUUGUCUACAAAUUAGCCCAUAUAUUUCCCUAACAUAACCCUGAUUAUGCCAGUUGUCACUAAUUUAGAACAAUCAAACAAUUACGGAUUUAAUUAUUCUAAUUGGCUCUAGGUUAUUGAAUUAAUCUAACAUUCGGGCACGGGACAAUUGAAUAAUACAACAACCAUAAGAAAAUAAAGCCGAAAAUAUACGAAUACCAAGAAAUAAUAGGAAAACUAAAAUUAGUUAGAUCUCACAAUUUAUGUCGAACCAAAUCUUCCGUUGUUCCUUGACUAGAAAAAGGGAUUUAGUUUAUCCUUGUUGAGGAGUGAGGGUGAUAGUUUCGGCUCGGCCUUCCCAUUUCGGCUUAUUUCAAGACGGCUCCCCCAUCCUGCUUGUCCAUGUUCUGGAUCACCCUACCGAGAUGAGCCUUGCUCCGGCUCUACCAGUCAUCCUGAACGCCUCGGCUAUCGAGGCAUUCAUCGUGAAGUUUCAUGACGCCUGAUGGGACCACUGAGGCCAGGUCACAGUCUGAUGCCUGCAGAGGGGCAAGACAUUUGAUAGGACCUGCCUAACAGGCCUGGUGGGACAGACUGACAUGCUCAGUCUGUCAGGGCAUGGGAAUUUGAUCCCGACCGCCAUUUCUCUCCAUUUGUCCCCUAUAAAUACAAGGAGGUUACUCAGAAGGAGGGAAUUUUUCCUUUUUGGUUCCUACAAGGUAUAUUGUCUACAAACCCUUUAAAAAGACUAUCCUCCAAUAGAAACUAACUAGACCGUCGGAGGUAAACCGAGGGACUUUAUCCCAUCUCUAACACUUUGAGCAGGUGACUUUUGUGAGGCCGUACCCACUUCAAGAGAGAGUUACUCCCGCAUUCAGGUACCGUCCAUUGAACUCGAAAAUCACCUCUUCAAUUGGCGUCGUCUGUGGGAACCCGAAAACAUCAAAGGAUGAAACCUACGCGUUCUAAGAGCAGGAGGUUCUCACUAUUGGAGCUGAGUCAGGUGCUGCAGCUCAACAUGAAGAUGUCUCUGGAGGACAGGGGUCCCUAGAGAAUCAGACUACAAACGAAGAAGCCAUAGCCCGAAUGGCCGAGUUUGUAUCUGAGAAUCCUAAUAUUUUUGAAGAAUUAGGGAGGUACUUCAAGAGGGAAGGCAAGCAAAAAGCUGAAUCCUCUAAGAGAAAGUCGGAUGAGUCUCCCGAACUCCCAUCUGAUGAGGAAUCCGAGGGGAAACCUUCAAUCAAGAGUACUCCGAAGCCGAUCUCCUCUAAGGCCACCUCUAGGAUUGGCUCCAUUUCUAAGGCAUUCUCAAGGGGCCUACUAGGGAAAUGAGUCAAGGAGGAACCUCGGCACUCAGGAAGGCCAGGAAUGGACUACAUGAGGGUUCCGCCUUUCAUGGACGACAUCAAUGAGGAGAGGCUCCCCUCAAACUUCAAAUUGCCCACCAUACCAUCUUAUGAUGGCCGAGGUGACUCGGAGGACCACAUUCAUGCCUUCAUCUUGGCAUUCCGAUUGUAUUAUAUUCCCGAUCCGGUCAUCUGCCGGGCUUUUUCAGUAUUCUUGCAGGGGACAGCUCGAAAAUGGUUUUGGGGUCUGGAACCUAGGAGCAUCUCCACUCUAGGAGAAUUGGUGGACAAAUUUCUCCAUCUAUUUAUCUCUUCCAAACCGACGACGAGGACCUCGGCUUAUCUAUUAAAUAUACAACAGAAUCCAGGGGAGUUCCUCAAUGCUUAUGUGCAGAGGUUUUAAGAUGAAAGCGUGCAGAUACCUGAUCUUAAUGAGCAGGUAACCAUAGCCGCCUUCACCAAUGGGUUUGUUAUCGGGGUGUUUAACACCGCGAUACACAAGAAGUAUCCCCGGAUGCUUCGAGAGCUCUAGAAAAAGGUCAAAAAAGGCAUACAGGCCGAAAACCUGAACCGUUUGAAAAAGGAAACUCAGGUGGCACGCCCCAGGCAUGAUCCCCGAAAAAAGAAUGAAUUAGGCCGAGGUGAUGCUAGUGCUAUGGGUGAUUUCCAUAACUCUGGCCGAGACCGUCGGAGCGUUUUUGACAAAAUUGCCAAGGAAAAGUCAGCCGUUCCAGAUUCCAAUCUGACCUCUGAACACUAAUUGUUCCCAUAUCCUUGCCAUCAUGGAGCAGAAUCGCCUCGGACGGGCUCCUCCCAGAAUGGCUGGAAGAAGGGAAAAGAGGAAUACCAACCUCUACUGUGCCUAUCACCGGGACAUUGGGCACGAAAUCGAGGAUUGCAAUGACCUGAAAAGAGAUAUCGAGGAACUGAUUAAGUGGGGGUACUUGAAGCAAUUCGUCCGUAGAGACGAAGACAAUACGAGUGACCCUCACCGCAACCACUAGGGCGAACCGUGUCUGGAAAGUAGCCGAGGUGAACCCCGUCGAGAGAACCGAAGAGGGUCCAGAAGCAGCUGCUGAAGAAGUCUAGGGAAACGAAGAAUCCUUCCCGAGAUGGAUCCCCUGGCUAUGGGCUAGAUUAUGAGCCAAACAUAGUCGGGGUCAUUAACACUAUAGCCGGAGGUCUGACGGGAGGAGAUAGCCAAAACUCCCAGAAGAGGACCUAUAGACAGGUCAAUUCAGAUCAGGCCGAGACGAGUUCCUGCCUUACAAAAACAAUCACCUAUAGCCCAAGUGACCCUGUUCCGACUGCGUCCAGCAGUCACGAAACCUUGGUGAUUGAGUUGCUCACCAAUAAUUACCUCGUGAAGAAGGUGUAUGUUGACCUCGCAAGUUCGGUGGACGUCAUGUACCAUCGGGCUUUGAAAAACCUAAAAUUGACAAGAGAUCAGCUCAUACCCGUGAGAACUCCGGUAGUAGGGUUCGGGGGGCAUGCUGUUCACUUUGAAGGGAUGAUUACAAUGAUGGUGACAGUGGGAUGACAUCAUCGGUGCCGAAUCGUUCCCAUCAACUUUAUUGUGGUCAAAGCUAAUUCCCCGUAUAAUCUGCUCAUAGGGCGACCUACCCUAUAUGCGCUGCGGGCGGUGUACUCAACGUACCACUUAAUUUUCAAGUUCCCCACGCCAGCAGGCAUAGCCGAGGUCAGCAAUGAUGUCUGUGCCGUUAGAGAAUGCUACCUCGCCACCCUCUAGGCAGCCUCUUCGUCAUCGGCCGAACUGAAAAUCGAGGGUAAGAGAUGUCACAUCCUCUCGAUCGACUGCAUAGACUCUUAACGAUCCGGGAAGCUUGAAAAGCUGGAGACCGGUGAUGAGGUCGAAGAAGUCCUUUUGGAUCCUUCAAAACCCGAGCAAACCAUCUGCGUCGGCGCUAGUUUGCCCAAGCCACUUAAGGGCGAUGUGGUUAAUCUUCUCAAAGAGUACCAGGAUGUCUUUGCUUGGACUGCUGAUUAGGUCGUGGGAGUAUCCUACCACCUCAUGGUACAUGAACUGAAUGUUGACCCAUGAGCGAAGCCUGUUAAGCAGAAAAGGAGACACUUCGACUCGGAACGUGGUAAAGCCGUGACUGAAGAGGUGGAUAAACUCUUGCGGACACAGAUGAUUAAAGAAGUGCAAUACCCCACCUGACUGUCCAACCCUGUCAUGGUUAAGAAGGACGCCGGAGGGUGGAGAAUGUGUAUGGACUUUGCGGAUCUGAAUAAGGUUGGUUCAAAAGAUUAUUACCCACUGCCAAAGAUAGACACCUUGGUUGAUUCGGCUGUAGGUUACAAGAUCCUCUGUUUCCUAGAUGCCUUCAAAGGCUAUCAUCAGAUAGGAAUAAGUAAAGAAAAUCAGGAAAAGACGGUCUUUUUCACAGAGAUUGUAACCUCGUGUUGGGGCUAGUACUUGCGGCUCGGAGAUUGAAACCUUAUUUAGCUCACUUGUGACAGCCCCACCUCAGCCUAAGGCGAACCAAAGGGUUCCGCGGACCGCCUGCCCAAUUUUCGCCAGGACUACGGAGUCGAUACACACAAACCCAACAUAGUAUGCGCGAAAGGAUCCAAAGAAAACGAACAAUCGGAAACUACAUAUAUUUACAUCGGAGUCUUGAACAAAGGAACCAAAAUACAAGCCAAAGUAUUCAUGCUACACAAAAUAUAAUUAGAGUUUCAGUUACAGAGGAGCAUAAGCAAGAGAAGUCCUACAACUAGCUCAACUCUUUUCUUCCAAAAAUCUUGGUUUCAAAACAUGGAACCCUGUAAGGAAAACAAAGGUAACAGAAAGGGGUGAGUUUGCGCUCAAUGAGGUACCAAACAUAUAGGGGUAAAAUCAUGGCCUUUCACGUUUAACCAAUCAGAUACAUAUACCAGAUAUAAAGGAAAGCAAUUAGACACAGUGAUUCAAAGAAAAGGAUACAAGUGACUCUUAGGAGCCAGAUUUCCAUUUGCAGUACUUGAUCCGAACCCGUUGACUUUCCGUCAACAUAGAUAGAACCAACAUGUCCGUAGACCCCACUUUACACCAAUUUCCGUCCACCAAACAUACCCCUACCGGGCCCGAACUUCAUUCAGAAACAGUAAUGGUAAUACUCGAGUAUACCGGAAUCAAGAGUCUCAAUACCCAAAGAUCCCAAAACAGACUAUCGUGGUUCGUUAUCUAAUCGAUCAGACCCUUGCCAACCCGACUUGAGUAACUAACCACAGGUGUUGACCUCAGAGGUCACAGAAAGGUCGUUGGAUACCAGUCUCCAAACGACGUCCGAACAGAUUCAGAUACAGUUAACAGAUCAUACACAGUAAAUAGACAUAUGGACAGACAAGAGAACGAGUGUGAUAAAGUACACCCUCAUCUCAAACAGAAUAAACAGAUAGUGCAGUCAUUUAAAUCGCAGAUUGCAAGGGUAGAAACCAAGUUAAACAGCAAAUGAGGGGAGUAGUACACUCACCGGUUCAAGUACAGAUACUUCAAAAGUUUUCACUUCAAACUGGCUUUAAUCGCCAAGAAACCCUAAAAUCAUCAAAGUAAAACAAUUAAAGGUUUCACUUCCAAAAUCGAGUAAACGGAAUGUCCAAGUGAGACUCGACUACAUGUCGUACGUCUUUCCAGGUUAAGUACUAGCACAAAAGAAUAAACUAUGACUUUUGAACAAAAAGAUAACAGUUAGUCCUAGGGUUACAAACAACCCCCAAAACCCCUCAUUUGUACUAAGAUCAACUCAAUUGAAGGAAUCGUGUAGCCCUAAAAUUUUGGGCAGCAUGCCCUUUGUAUUUACCUAUUUUCCCCAACCACUUAUGGCUUCAUUAUUUUCCUCAAUCAAUCCCAAAGUCAUACGCAAUAUAAAUUCAUCACAACAGCCAGUCAAUAGGUUCAAAAUCAUUCAAGUACAAAAUUUAGCUAGGAAAAUGACCGGAAAUGAAAGUUAAGCCCUAAAACCCAAAAACAGUUUUGACGUCGUUUAGCGUAUUGGACACAACCGGCGCUACGAUUAUCGGAUGGAUGUGCAAUAUACACCGUUUUGAAGCUAAAUAAAAGGGCUACAAUGUUGAAGAGGGACACUCAGUCUAGUUUGUAGUGCAACUAGAUGAAAACUUCAAUGUACCAAACCAGAACCGCAUAAACAGGUUAGCGAACUAUUCUGGUUAAAUAACCAUAAUUCAGCUACCAGAGUCCAAUUCAAGUGAUUCCAAAGCUAUCCGAAAGCUAAGAUACCAGGCUAUAUUUCUUAAUAAGACAUCAACAACCAAAUCAGUAGUAUUCCCGAUCAAACUAACCAAUUACAGAAGUGGAUUAUCAGUUUCGGACAGAAACAGGGCAGCAGGGGUAUUUCGAUCUUUUCAUAGGCUAUGUUGCUCUGAUUGGGUUGAGAUUUUGUAGGCAACUAUAAAAUAUCAUUCUCUACAACUUUCAUGUUUCAACCCAAGGAUAAUUCAGUCUCUAACUAGGGGAAACAGUACCAGUCAGAAUGGGGUUAAUUGAAACCCUAAUUCCAAAAUUUCCUUUCAAAGCGAAAAUUUUCAGCAAAUAGCCACAAUUUACGCACUAUAGCUUCAUUCUAAACCAUUCCCGACCAUCAUCCAUGGUCACACAAUAUUAAACAUAUAAAAAUAGAAAAAUCAUGAAUAAAUAGAAAAAUUCACCAAUUUCAACCAAAAUCAUGAAAUAGCCCACAAAAUCACCUCUUAGACUACCACAAGCCACUAAUUAAAUAUCAUUAGAUAGAAAAGAGAGAUUCCUUAGCUACUCACCUUGCAACCAAAGAAAGGAGACAACUUAGUACCUUAGCCUUCCAAACCACUUUACUAACCACCUUACAAUCACUAAAUUAAGGAUUUUUAUGGAGAAAUUAAAAAUUUAAACGGUUGGUUUGAUAGAUUGAGCAAGAUUGGAGCAAGAAAUUUGAGAACUUUUUCCUUUCUUUUUUCUUGAAGAUAUUCGGCCAUAAGGAUGAAGAAAAUGAUGAAUUGUUGGUCGAUUUUGAUUAAUUGGUAAAGGUAAGUAAGAUGGUCAAAAUCAAGAAUAAACCACAAGGUGACACUUGUCACCCUUAUUUAAUGCAACUCUAUUCUUUUGUCUCUCCAAUGAUAAUCCAUCUAGGUAACUUCUAAUUAUCUCCUUAUACCUGAUAAAUUAAACCCGGUAUACACAACUUAAUAUAAUUGGCCGAAUUUUCUCAAACUUACCGCACUAGUGGGUCUCUGUAAGCCCCGAUGCAACCAAAAUACUCAACCAAACAAGUAAUCAAGUAAAUACAAUGACAAAGAAUAUAAGCAAUUUUAAAGCACAAAAUAGAGUAACAAUAAAGUAAAAGAAAUUCAAACCAAUCAAAUUCCCAAGCUUCUUCCAAACUUGGAGUUGAAUCCACCAAAUAGUUUCUUCAAGUGAUGGUAGUGCUAACCAACUUGUACAAGUGAAGGCUCACUCCUUCCUCACCUCAAACAUACUUUGGUUGAGCAAAGAAAUUUUACUACUCUCCAAGUAAACCCUCAACUAGCUACAAUUGAAAGCUUACCCAUUCAAUUAAGAACUACUUUAUACAAGUGAGGCAACCUUUAUCAAGGUUUUACCACUCCAAGUGAUAGGUUCACCUUCACCAAGGUUUUACUCCUCCUAGAGAGUAACCUUCACUUGAGCAACCUCACAACCCAACUUUCCCAACUCCUUAUACAACCAACAAAGAAUAUUUCUACUCAAAGAUCUCACUUGUAAGCUUGUAUUUAGUGUUGGCCAAAAAGUCCGUGUCUUCUUGUGCUUUGGGGUAUUUAUAGAAGGUGAGAAAUGGCUCCAAAAGGCUCUCCAACGGUCAAAUGUUAAAUGCUGUCGAAACUAGCCGUUGGCCUGUCGGACGUCCGAACCAUUUGCUCUGCGUCCGAACCAUUUGUUCUGCGUCCGAACCCUGCGUCCAAUAGAAAUCAGAAUGUUCAACGUUCAUUCUUUUUGUGUCGGACGGCCGAAGCAAUGAAUGAGCGUCCGAUCCAAGCGUCCGAAGAGUAUCGUCGUCAGUUGGACGACCGAUCCUCUAUCGAGCGCCCGAUACUCUACGUCCGAACCUUCAUAUUUCUUAACUUCUCUUUGAUUCAAAUCUUUUCGAUUCUCUUUUGGAUCAAUGACCUGUUCUAAGAAAUUUCUCACAUAAAAACAUUAGUCCAAAUCUACAUUUUGGUUUGUUAAUCAUCAAAACCAAGGACUGAUCAACCAAGAUCAACAGUCCCACAUCCGGUAUACACUCUUAAAACCUUAUAAACUAACUUAUACUAGAAAAAAAUGAUUUCAAAACCAUCUUUACUCAUAAAAAUUAUUUUCACAAUUUUUCAAAUAAAUAAAAUGUGGAAAAACGUGCAAUUAAUAGAAAAUAAAACCUAGCAAUUAAGAAAAUUACGGGUUCUCACACUCUCUCCCCCUUAAAGAAAUUUCGUCCUCAAAAUUUUCUUAUCAACGGAAUCUUUCAAAAUCUAAGGUACCUUCUACGUCCUCAAACGAGUCAGGGAUCUGAUGGUACUCUAAAGAAUAUAUCCGAGCCGGUAUUUUCAAUCCAGUCCCUUCCUUUUCCGACUGUCUAGGGUUAGUCUUAGUUGGUUGCGGGGUCCCUUUUUCUUUUCGUAAUCGAACUGGGCAGUCAACAAUCUGAUGAUCGGUACUUCCGCAGCGCAGACAUUUUCCCUCUUUCUUCCAACAAUUUGCCUCCGUAUGAUUUGGCCCUCCGCAAUAUUCACAGAGACCACGAGUAGCAGAGACCGGUCCCCCCUGAGAGACAUCACGCGACACCCCCGGUUGUCGUACUCCCCCAUUUUCCUUUCCAAUCUUAGGGGAUAUACUUGUACCUUUUUGCUCAGAGCUACUCCCGGGAAAGCCCCUUUUCUUGACUUGAAAGUUUUUCACCUGCAACCUAGCAUUCUCUACUCGUUGCGCCUUCUCUACGGCAUCGCUGAAGGCGUUAAUUUGGGAUAUGGCUAGAUCUUCCUGGAACUCCACGUUCAUAUCCUAGACGAAUCGCCGUAUUCUUCGUUGCUCGGCCACGAUAAGUUCGGGUGCGAAUUUGGAUAGCCGAGUGAAUUGGCUCUCGUACUCAGCCAUUGUCUGGGCCCCUUGACGAAACCGGAUAAAUUCAUCCUCCUUUUGUUCUUGAACUAGAGGAGGGAAGAAUUUAGCGUUGAACUCCCGCAUAAAGUUCACCCAAGUCCUGGGCAUUUGCUCUCGGUCCCACUUUUGUCGUAUUACGUUCCAUCGGGAACGGGCCGCCCCUUCCAGGUGAAAAACAGCAAAAGUCACAUGCCGUUCCUCCGUGUAGUGCAGGACAGCAAAGAUAUUCACCAUUUUCUCUAGUCACCUUUCGGCUACAUCUGGAUCGGGUCCCCCAAUAAACUUUGGUGGGGCAAACUUCUGGAACCUCUCGACGGUCCAGUCCUCGCUCUCCACGUGAUUACCAGGGUUCCCAGGGUUGGAGUUAGGAUUGUGACCCUGUUGGUGCACCACUUGAGCUAGCAAAUCAGUCAUUUGCUGCAUGGCAGCAGCUAUUUGGAUGUUGGGAUCAACCCUAGGUUCAGGGUUUGGUCCAGACGAGAUUCCCCCAGUGCCCCUUUCAGACGUGGGUUGCCUAAUUCCACGCCCGCAGUCUCGUCCACUACGAGUGCCCACCAUUGAUCUAAGUCAAUCUAAGGUCGAGGUGCAAAGAUAAUAUUAAAGAUAAGUAUAGGCAUAAGCAAAUAACAAGAGGUACUCACAGAUCAAAAACAUAUAUAUACACACAACUGUACCGAACCAGUCACACAGUAGCAGUCAAUUAGAUACAAAUAUGAGAGAUCCAUGAAAGUAGCGGGGUCAUCCAAAAGUACUAUAGACAGACUAGUUCACGAGUACAAAAAUAACUCACGAAAAGCUUUUCCCCCUCUAGGGCUCCGUCAUAAUCUACGAGAACAACCCCAUUUAUAUCUUAAUCAAGGUUGAUCACGCUUAACUACACCUGAACAAAUCACACGAAAUUCCAUAGAAUGACAUUUCUAGUUCGCCCAAUCCUUUCUAACCUAGGCUCUCAUCUCUUUCGUAUCCGGGCGUAAGAAUCCCAUCUAAGAUAAUUCACAACUCGAGCCGGCCGGUCCCAAGCGUAAAUCAUCCAUAUUAAAGAUUCCUACCCGACAUACAUACCUAACUUCCUCAAGUCCCAUGAUAAAUAUUUUUACACUUAUGACAUGCACGGUUCAUAGCUUACGCUCAAAAGAGCACUUAUACCUUUCGACGCAUUCACGAAAGCAGGACCAUAACACCACUUGGCCCAAACUCUCUCCGCGCAGAGACCACGCGAAGUGGUUCUGAUACCACCUGUGACAGCCCCACCUCACCCUAAGACGAACCAAAGGGUUCGGCGGACCGCCUGCCCAACUCUCGCCAGAACUACGGAGUCGAUACACACAAACCCAACAUAGUAUGCGAAAGGAUCCAAGGAAAACGAACAAUCGGAAACUACAUAUAUUUACAUCGGAGUCUUGAACAAAGGAACAAAAAUACAAGCCAAAGUAUUCAUGCUACACAAAAUACAAUUAAGGUUUCAAUUACAAAGGAGCAUAAGCAAGAGAAGUCCUAUAACUAACUUAACUCUUUUCUUCCAAAAAUUUUGGUUUCAAAACAUGGAACCCUGUAAGGAAAACAAAGGUAACAGAAAAGGGUGAGAUUGCGCUCUAUACCGGAAUUAAGAGUCUCAAUACCCAAAGAUCUCAAAACAGACUACUGUGGUUCGUUAUCUAAUCGACCAGGCCCUUGCCAGCCCGACUUGAGUAACUAGCCAUAGGUGUUGAGCUCAGAGGUCACAGAAAGGUCGUUGAAUACCAGCCUCCAAACGACGUCCGAACAGAUUCAGAUACAGUUAACAGAUCAUACACAGUAAAUAGGCAUAUGGACAGACAAGAGAACAAGUGUGAUAAAGUACACUCUCAUCUCAAACAGAAUAAACAGAUAGUGCAGUCAUUUAAAUCGCAGAUUGCAGGGGUAGAAACCAAGUUAAACAGCAAAUGAGGUGAGUGGUACACUCACCGGUUCAAGUACAGAUACUUCAAAAGUUUUCACUUCAAACUGGCUUUAAUCGCCAAGAAAUCCUAAAAUCAUCAAAGUAAAACAAUUGAAAGUUUCACUUCCAAAAUCGAGUAAACGGAAUGUACAAGUGAGGCUCGACUACAUGUCGUACGUCUUUCCAAGUUAAGUACUAGUACAAAAGAAUAAACUAUAACUUUUGAGCAAAAAGAUAACAGUUGGUUCUAGGGUUACAAACAACCCCCAAAACCCCUCAUUUGUACUAAGAUCAACUCAAUUGAAGGAAUCGUGUAGCCCUAAAAUUUUGGGCAGCAUGCCCUCUGUAUUUACCUAUUUUCCCGAACCACUUAUGGUUUCAUUAUUUUACUCAAUCAAUCCCAAAGUCAUACGCAAUAUAAAUUCAUUACAACAGCCGUUCAAUAGGCUCAAAGUCAUUCAAGUACAAAAUUUAGCUAGGAAAAUGACCGGAAAUGAAAGUUAAACCCUAAAACUCAAAAACAGUUUUGACAUCGUUUAGCGUAUUGGACACAACCGGCGCUACGAUUAUCGGAUGGAUGUGUAAUAUACAUCUUUUCGAAACUAAAAGAAAGGGCUACAAUGUUGAAGAAGGCCACUCAAUCCCAUUUGUAGUGAAACUAGGUCAAAAUUUCAAUGUACCAAACCAGAACCGCAUAAACAGGGUAGCGAACUGCAUUCUGGUUAAAUAACCAUAAUUCAGGCUACCAGAGUCCAAUUCAAGUGAUUCCAAAGCCAUCUAAAAGCUAAGAUAUCAGGAUAUAUUUCUUAAGAAAACAUCAACAACGAAAUCAAUAGUAUUACCGGUCAAACUAACCAAUUACAGAAGCGGAUUAUCAGUUUCGGACAGAAACAGGGCAACAGGGGUAUUUCGGUCUUUUCACAGGCUAUGUUGCUCUGAUUAGGCUGAGAUUUUGCAGGCAACUAUAAAAUAUCAUUCUCUACAACUUUAAUGUUUUAAUCCAAGACUAAUUCGGCCUCUAACUAGGGGAAAUAGUAUUUGGCAGAAUGGGGUUAAUUGAAAUCCUAAUUCCGAAAUUUCCUUUCAAAGCGGAAAUUUUCCGCAAAUAGCCACAAUUUACGCACUAUUGUUUCAUUCUAAACCAUUCCCGACCAUCAUCCAUGGCUACACAAUAUUAAACAUAUAAAAACAGAAAAUUCAUGAAUAAAUUGAAAAAUUCACCAAUCUCAACCAAAAUCAUGAAAUGACCCACAAAAUCACCUCUUAGACUACCACAAGCCACUAAUUAAACAUCAUUAGAUAGAAAAGAGAGAUUCCUUAGCUACUCACCUUGAAACCAAAGAAAGGAGACAACUUAGCACCUUAGUUUUCCAAACCAUUUCACUAACCACCUCACAAUCACUAAACUAAGGGUUUUUAUGGAGAAAUUGGAAAUUUAAACGGUUGGUUUGCUAGAUUGAGCAAGAUUGGAGUAAGAAAUUUGAGAACUUUUUCCUUUCUUUUCUCUUGAAGAUAUUCGGCCAUAAGGAUGAAGAAAAUGAUGAAUUGUUGGUCAAUUUUGGUUAAUUGGUAAAAGUAAGUAAGAUGGUCAAAGUCAAGAAUAAAUCACAAGGUGACACUUGUCACCCUUAUUUAAUGCAACUCUAUCCUUUUGUCUCUCCAAUGAUAAUCCAUCUAGGUAAUUUCUAAUUAUCUCCUUACACCUGAUAAAUUAAAUCCGGUAUAUACAACUUAACCUAAUUGACCGAAUUUUAUCAAACUUACUGCACUAGUGGGUCCCCAUCCGGUAUACACUCUUAAAACCUUAUAAACUAACUUAUACUAGAAAAAAAUGAUUUCAAAACCAUCUUUACUCAUAAAAAUUAUUUUCACAAUUUUUCAAAUAAAUAAAAUGUGGAAAAACGUGCAAUUAAUAGAAAAUAAAACCUCGCAAUUAAGAAAAUUACGGGUUCUCACAUCACCUCAUACGAAUAAGAACAGAUCAGCCUAUUUGGCAGAUAUUGUCCCGACCUGAAGUCUCGGGACUCCUCACCAAGUGUGUCAUUGAGCUCGAGGAAUAUGAUCUCACAUAUGAGUCGCGAACUGCCAUCAAGGCCCAAGCCCUUGCCUAUUUCUUAGCAGAACUCACCCUUCCCGCGGACUAAGACAUUACGUCGGAUAUGCUUGAGCCUCAAAGAUGGGCCUUGUAUAUAGAUGGUUCUUCUAACAGUGAGGGUAGCGGAGCCGGACUGCUCCUCGAAGACCCUCACGGAGAUGCGUACUUAUAUGCUCUCCGUUUUGAUUUCCCCGCCUCCAAUAACGAAACUGAAUACGAGGCUGUCAUCGUGGGCUUGCAACUAGUCCGCCGACUUGGUGCCUGACAUAUCACGGCUCAUAGUGACUCUCAACUCGUUGUAUGUCAGGUACUAGGGGAAUAUGAAGCCAGGGAGGAAUCCAUGCAACGGUACCUCUCUAAACUCCACCAAUUGGCAGCUUAUUUCGAGUCCUUUGAAAUUCAAGGGAUACCCCGGUCUCAGAACCGGCGAGCUGAUGCUCUGUCCAGACUUGCCUCUACUUCAUUUUCUACCCUCAACAAGACAGUUCUCGUGGAGGUUCUGGCCGAACCCGGUUACGUGGAGGACAAAGUCUAUCCGGUGGCAUCGGGGGACACUUGGAUGACCCCGUUAGUCAAGUUUUUGGGUCAAGACAUUCUUCCAGAUGACAAGACCGAGGCAAGAGGAGUGCAGCGCAAGGCGGCCCGAUAUGCACUCCACAACGGCUGCCUCUAUAAGCGAUCUUAUCUCGGCCUAUGGUUGCGAUGCGUCACCCCGAAAGAGGGAGAGCGCAUCCUUCAAGAGAUACACGAGGGACUCUGUGGAGCUCACGUUGGUUAUCGGAUGCUGGUCAAAAAGACCUUGCUUCUCGGCUAUUUUUGGCCAACUCUUAGACAAGAUGCCCAACUUUUGCUACUCUGUUGCCUUUCUUAUCAGCACCAUGCUCCGGAGCACCACCAAUCGACCAAUCUCAUGGUCCCUAUCACGUUCCCCUGGCCUUUCGAGCAAUGGGGGACAGAUAUUAUUGGACCCUUCCCUCGGGCAGCAAACAAUAUGCCUAUAUAGUUGUUGUCGUCGACUACUUCACGAAAUAGGUCGAAGCUAAGCCCCUGCGAAGCAUAACUGGCUUGGCCGUUCAAAAGUUCUUUUGAAAAUGCGUGGUUUGUCGCUUUAGUUUGCCCAGAGUCAUCAUCUCAGAUAAUGGGAAGCAAUUUGCGGAUAAUCCCUUAAAAGCAUGGUGUGAGAACCUGGGAAUCAAACAACACUUCACCUCGGUGGGACACCCCCAAUCUAAUGGACAAGUUAAAAACUCCAACCGAACGCUCCUCCAUGGGUUCAAGACUAGGUUACAUCAGCUCGAAUCCUCUUGGGUAGACGAACUCCCUAGUGUGCUGUGGUCCUAUCGAACCACGUCGAGAUCUGCCACUCAAGAAACACCAUUCGCCUUAACCUAUGGAUCUAAGGCCGUAGUCCCUGCUGAGUUUAUUACUCCAAGUUCUCGCAUGGCAACCUUCACUGCUGAGGUGAAUGAUGAAAAACGAAAAAUUGACCUCGAUCUAACUGAGGAAAAAAAGGAUGCCUCAGCAGCCCGAAUAGCCUUGUACAAGAACAUCCUAGCCAAUUACUACAACGUCCGAGUCAGACACCUUUAGUUCAGACCAAGAGACCUGGUUCUACGGAAGAACUCCAUCAGCCGAUCUAAACCACAGGGCAAGUUAAAUUCGAGGUGGGAAGGCCUAUACCGAGUUGUAGAGACUAAUCAGAAUGAUUAUUAUAAGUUGACCUACCGGGAUGGUACCCUGGUACCCUGAACCUGGCAUACAGAAAAUCUUCGGUUGUAUUAUCCUUGAGUUGUUAAUGUUCAGUUAAGUUAAUGACAUCAUUACUUUGUGUUUAGUGUUUUACACAAUUAUUUUCUUAAACAUUACUCCAUGGUGUCGUUAAAGAAAAUAAGGGGACAAGAUAAGUAGAAACGAAAUGAAAAAGACAAUUGAAAAAAGACAAUUUGGGAUGGAAGCAAAAGAUAACUUUCAUUGAUUAUCGAAGGAGGAUUACAAGUACAAAGGCCGGGGUGGGAAGCUCAUCUAAGAGCCACCCACCUCGGCGGAAUCCGCUCCCUCUCUACUGCUGAGUUUACCUCCUCCAGCAGCUCCGCCGAACUCAUCAUCCGAAACUUGUUCGAAAUCGGCCAUUUCUUAAUUAAAUUUCUCUCUAAUUUCGGCCAGAUUCCGUCCGGACUAGAUGCCAAUGGCCAUGCGGUCGCACAGCUCCUUAGCAUUAUCGUUGUAGUUAGGCUUGUCCUUCAACACAACUAGCUGCUCCAGAGUAAGGAAAGAAGCCACAUCCUGAAUGGCCGUGGUAUAGCCAAAUAUAAAGCUCAGCAAGGUCAACUCGCCAAGGUCUUUCAUGAAGGUCUCGGAAGAGCGGAAAGCCUCGAUGGCCGUGCUGCCGGCUUUCUCUAUAAUUUCCCGGGAUGACUGCUUUUCUUCUUGUCUCCUCUUCUUUUCUUCUUCGAGAGCAGUCUCCAAGGAGGUGAUGGAAGCCUUAAAAUGCUCCACUUCGGCCACCGUGGUGUCGUGUUGUUUCUGGAGCUGUGCCUUUUCUUCCGCAGCCACCUUCAACUCCUUUUCAAGCCGAGAUACUUUGUUCAUGAGCUCGGCAGGAGGCUGGUUCUCGACCAUGUUGGUAUACCUCUGUAUGAGCUCGGACAAGAAAGCAGAGGUAGACGCCCACGCCACCGAAGUGCUCUACAUCAGCUCUUCUAUGGUGAAUUUCUUCGCAAAGGUGUGAUCUCGGGGCAGGCUAGAGUGGACAAGGAGGUGAUGGGCAAUUCGGGGAUCUUUGCAUCUAUCAUUGACACUAACAUCCCACUCUGGGCACCAGUGCCAAUCGGGAUGCCUCUUGUCCUCUCCUUCAGGCACGGACUGGACGAAGUGUCGAUUCUAGAGGAAAGACCCAAUGGCAGGCCUCUCUGGGGCUUGGAUCUGCUUACCCUGGCCCAGAAAGGAUGGAGCGGCGACUGUCACACCAUGGGUGGCCACCCCCUCCGGAAUGGCCGAGGUGUUGGAGGUAUCUUUCGGGACAGUGGUCAAUGGGAUGGUAGCUGAAGUGCCAAGAGCGCUCUUCUUCUUUUGAACCCCCGAGGUCUGACCGAGGGCCUUGCGCUUAUGUGGCCGCUUAACCACCGUAGCCACUCCUGAAGUGAUCAGAUCCGAAACUCUUGUUAUUGCACAAGCAAAGAAUGAUUAAUAAGAAUCAAAGGAAAUAAAACAAUAUGAAAUGAUGAAUGAAAGAAUACAAUGUUUUUGAAACCGAGUAGAGAAAUAAGGGAAGCGAUCCGGAGUGAUCAGUGCUCGACUAAUGCCCCCAUUGACGAGGACUGCCUCGGGGUAGGCCCAGCAGUUAAUCCUAAGACCCGACCCGAGUAGUUUUUGAAAACUCUCCUCAUCGUGCUUCCCCAGAAAAGAGUCCUUCGCCGAGAUAGAUGGUCUCCACCAAAAAUUUCUUGGGAAAUCCUCGACAGGGACGAAAAGGAAAUUGUGCUUCCACUCCUUUAUAGAUGAAGGAGCGUCUAUCACCAAUUUCGGUACGCUCUUGCCUCAGUUCCCGAAAUACAACCACUCUUUCUCAUUCCUGCUGUUAUGGAUGGUAUAGCAACGACGGAAGAGGUUGACGGUGGGGCUCAGUUCUUGCUCCCGGUAGAGCAUCUUGAACCGAUGAGAAUUCGGACUGAGUUCGGGACUAAUUGAGUGAUUCUAACACCCCAGUAUCUGAGGCAGUCCCGAAAGAAUCUGGUGGUAGGCAUUCUUAGCCUAGCUUCCAGUUGGUCCGUAUAGAUGGCUACUCUUCCUUUUGAGGGCCGCUCGGCUGCUUGAUCCGGUCGAGGUAUGUAAAUGCUAUAAUUCCGGCGAAAAGGGUACUUGCGGAUCACCUCGUUAGCCGUAGCCUGAUCAACGACACUGUUGAACAACGGGAGUUAGCCGAAGUCAAUGCUCGAGAGAUCGGAAGGGGUAGCCGGUUCUUGUACUCCCUCAUCUCGAGGUACUUCGGGUUCGAGAUCGUCGUUGUAUAAUUUUUCGGACACUUCCUGGAUCUGCUUCAGCAACACCUCGCCCUCAACUGGUACUUCGACUUCCUCCUCCUCCGGGGUAGCUGGAUUGUCUUCCUCCUCUGUCGGGUCGGGUCUCUCCGCCGCUUCGAAUUUCGACUUGACUGUCUCUCUAUGCGUACGGGCAGUUUGAGUCAUAGUGCGAAAAAUAAAAGGAAAGGGCGUCACUUACUGAUUAUGGAGAAAGAAAGGCUGGGGUGAGCAGUUAAAGCAGCUUGGGUGUUCUCUCUCUCACACUUUGGAUGCCCCCUAUGACCUCGGACAACUUAGUAUAGAGGGUGCUAUUAACUUUACGGUGAAAGGUUAAUACUAAUGAAGAACACCCCCUAUUUAUACAAGUAUGGGGGAAGGUGAAAGGACGGUGUCCCUUGAGCUUCCCCUGACGUUUCCACUCUCCUCAUUAAUGACUGAUCGGCGUUCUGACUCCCUGUCACACGUCUUUUCACACUGUCAUGAUGGCUGACCCCCGUUUUGCCUCCCCUUACUUUAUCUGACAUGUCAGCGAUCUCCUACUCACACGAAAACCCCGGAGGUAGACCGUUGACCUGCUACCUCUCGAGGCUUGGGGGGCUUAUUGAGGGUGAUAGUUUUGCCUCGACCUUCCCGUUUCAGCUUAUUUUAGGACCGCUCCCCCAUCCUGCUUGUCCAUGUUCCCAAUCACCCUGCCGAGAUGAGCCUCGCUCCGGCUCUACCAGUCAUCUUGAACGCCUCGGCUAUCGAGGCGUUCAUCGUGAAGUCCCAUGACACCUGAUAGGACCACUGAGGCCAGGUCACAGUCUGAUGCCUGUAGAGAGGCAAGACAUUUGAUGGGACCUACCUGACAGACCUGGUAGGACAUACUGACAUGCUUAGUCUGUCAGGGCAUGGGAAUUUGAUCCCAACCGCUAUUUCUCUCCGUUUGUCUCCUAUAAAUACAAGGAGGUUACUUAGAAGGAAGGGAUUUUUCUCUUUUGGUUCCUACAAGGUAUAUUGUCUACAGACCCUUUAAAAAGAUUAUCCUCCAAUAGAAACUAACUAGACCGUCGGGGGUAAACUGGGGGACUUUACCCCAUCAUUGACACUUUGAGCAGGUGACUUCCGUGAGGCCGUACCCACUUUAGGAGAGAGUUACUCCCGCAUUCAGGUACUAUCCGCUGAACCCGAAAAUCACCUCUUCAAGGAGAACCCACGUAAAAGUGCGGAAUUAAUUGUUGCAUACAUCGUCUCUCAAUUAAGAUGAUCAAUCUGACUGAAUAAUUAAAAGAACCAUCAAUAAGAUGAAAAAGUCUAAAAACAAAAAGUAAUCAAAAGUGGUCUGCCGAAUCCAACGCCACCGAUGGCACCUGAUUCCGACCUUCCUACAGUGAGAUAUAGCCAUUUUCUCAAAAUUGCGCGGGCGCAACUGUUUUACCCGUGAAAAACAUUUUGAGCUUGAAUGAAACUUUUCUGUUGCCCAACUUUCAUGCACUUGUUAAAUUUGUUUUUUCAUGAACUUUUACUACAUUUUGGGCCAAGUUUGCAUGAUGAAUUAAAUGGUUUUAACCGCUCACUUGGUCUCUUAAUGAGCCUAUAAUUGAGUGGAAAAUGAACCUAAUUUGUUAACGAUUUCACUCAUUGUCCUAGGAUUGGGAAACGAAGGUAGUCGUAACCGAGAUACUUGACGUUUGACUACUGCAUUGCUUGACAGGUGAGUAUACCACUCCCAUGAUUUGUGCUUAACCUGGUUUAUCUGUAUUUCCAAUCCGUGACUUGUUUACCUGUGACUCUUGUUUAUUCUAUACAAGAUGAGGGUGUACUUUAUUACACUCGUUCUCUAGCCUGUGUAAUUGGUUUACUGUAUGAACUUGAAUUAGUUGAUCCUGUAUGCGAACUUGCAUGUUUAUGUGCAUGUGAAUUGAGGUCCUUUGGUGAGGUAUAGCCGUUGUGCUAGCCUGUUGUGUUGUCCAGCACUGCUAGGGACGAAAUCCUGAAUUGAGGUUUUCUGGUGGGGUACAGCCAUUGUGCUAGUCUGUUGUGUUAUCCAGCACUGCCAGGGAUGAAAUCUUGAAUUGAGGUCCUCUGGUGAGGUAUAGCAGCUGUGCUAGCCUGUUGUGUUGUCCAGUACCACCAGGGAUGAAAUUCCCGACUUGCGGCUCAGUUAUAUCCUAAAGUUCUGGUAUACUCGAGUAUUACCAUUCCUGUUCCUGUUUGGCGUUCGAGCCUAGUAGGGGGUUGACUGGUGGACGGAGAUCGGUGAAAAUGGUGUUCUAUGGACUUUAUAUUUUGUGAAUACAAACGUUGACGGAGAGUCAACGGGCUCCAGUAUGAUCAAGCUCAAGGGGAUUUGGCUUUUGGAAGCCACCCGUAUCCUUGAAUUGAACUGUGAUUAAAUUGUUAUUGUUCUAUACGGUGUUUGCUUGGUUAUAUUAUGCCCUUAUUUGGUUAUGUGCUUACUCGUUUUACGUGAAACCUCACUGAGUUUUAGUUCACUCCACUCCCUUUGUUUUCCUUAACUGAUCGGGGAUGGACUUGUGUUCAAGAGCUUUCUUAGCUUUAUUUUGCUUUGACUGGUAUUUUGGGAUUGUAACUUUUGCUUAAGAAGACCUUACUUUUGACUUUUGUAAGCUUGAAUUUAUAAGCUCGACUUAUGUUAUGUAAAUUAAGUGUGGAGUGGUAAGUUGACAUUUAGCUCUAUAUUCUAAGUUUUGGAUAGUUGGUGUAGCGAUUAUGUUUCAAUUAGGGUUACACUCCUUACUUGGGAGAUAAUUCAUCAAUUUCAUUUGAGUUGCUAGUUCUUUGAUUGACCGAGCUCCGGCGAGAGUUGGGCAGGCAGCCCGCUGAUAUUCUACGGUUCGCCCUAGGGAGAGGUGGGGCUGUCACACCGAAUCUUCUUAUCUAAUUCGUAUCUACCUAAUUGUCUCUUCUCAUACGGCUACUAAGAGGAAUAAUAAAGGAAGACUCCUAGUCUUUGUUGACCUCUAUCCUCUUUGGAAACUACCCAAGAGAAGAAAAAGGAGAGUUCCCCAAAAAUUGCUCCCUAGUCCGCCGUAGUUGACUAUUGGGCAGGGAAAAUAAACUCCAUUUGAACUCUCUUUUCCUUUUAUUUCUCGAACUCCUCUUGCAACGCUAGACGUCCUGAAGCUAAUAUAGUGAGGAAUUUGCACCUUUUAUGAUAUUUUAUUCCAACUCCCUGCAAUAACCACAAAUUUCCAAAAGUGAGUAGAAUCUGACAAUUAAUUCAUAUUUGGUAAGGUAAUCGGAGAAAUUAAUUAUAAAAUAAAAGGCAAAAGUGUGACUUAUCAAAUAACCAUAAACAUAUAAAGCAUAUCUGUUUCUCAUAUUGCGACUUGCGUGUAUUUUACCAGAAUUGCCUUUACAACAACCACAACUCUUUUUAGUUUGCCUCUCAAUGUUCUCAACUGGAUACAAUACUAAAAUAUCAUAUAUAUAGUCAACAUGACUUGAAAAUUAAAAUUCUACUAAAAUAAGAAACUACCAUAUAAUUACUUCAUACCCUAAAUAUCUAAAUUGGUAACACUUGGCUAUACUUUUGUUUUUAUUUUUUUUAGUAGGAAAAAGGUAGAACUUAAGAAGUGAAGAAGCAGCAGAGUGAUUUCAACCUAAGGUCUCUAAUUUCUAGACUUUUAACCUUAUCCAUUAAACUAAGGUUUCUAAGCAAAACUUAGCUAUACUUAAAUACUUCUAAACUAGAAGUAGAAGACAUCAACUAUUAGGAAGGUCAGUUUAAUUAUGUCAACAUUGUCUAUUUUAAACCAAACUUUUCAUGAAUAUAGCUCUAUUCUAUUGCCAACCAAAAAAUAUCUUCUAAGAUACUUGUUCAUUAUAAAUCAAUUCUUGCCAAUCACUUCACUUUCAAUUUAUUAGCCUCGCUAGCUGAUAACUGAUAUCAAUAUUCUCAGUUUUGCAAGUCCAUCACAAAAAAAAUAAAUAAAUAAAAUUGACAAGCAUUUUUUUCAAUUCUUUCACAUUACCAAAUUAAAUACCAACAACUAUGGAAGGAUCUUUUUUUCUAAUCACUGUUUAACACAAAUAACACAACAUAAUACUUCUUCUCACAUGUCUAUCCAAUUAGGGUCAAUUUUUUCCCAAUUGUCAAGUAACUCAAGUACCCCAAGAUUAAUUUAGUGGCCCAAAUUUUUCCGAUGUUCGAGUACUCUAACUCAUCAAAAAAAAUCACAUUUCAAAAUCUAUCAACAUCAACCUUGUAAUCUCAAGUUUACAAGCAUCCCAAGUUCAAAAGGCAGGGCUCUAAUACCACUUUAGUGUAUAAAAGAUGCGUACAAGAGGAUACUGGCAUAUGUAAAAAUAUGUAGGAGAAGAGGAGUUUAAGAGCCAUAAAUACAUAAAGCACAUCUGAUUCACAUAUUGAGAUUGGCAUAAAUUCUAGGCAGAAUUGCUUUUACAACAACCGCAACUCUCUUUAAUUUUUUUCUCGCCCUUUUCAACUCAGUAUAAAGCUAAAAUACCCUAUAUAGAGUUAACAUAACUUAGUAAUUAAGAAACUACUGCACCAAGAAACUACCACAUAAUUACUCCGUACCCUAAACAACUGAAUUACUGAAACUUGGCUAUACUUGAAUACGUCUAACCUAGAAAUACGAAACAUCAACUAUUAGUAAGUUUGGUAUAAUUAUGCCAAUAAAAAGACAUAUUCUUCUGACCAUCACACUGUCAAAACGUGCAUGGGUUUCAUUGAUUUUAGCAAUGAUAACUGUUCCACAUAAAGCAAUGGCAACAUGCAUGGAUUUAGGAUAAUUUCAUAAGUUAAUUUUGUAUAUAAUGAUAGUGCAUAUAGUAACAACAUUGAAUGAAUGCCACCUAAACUUGAUAUAAUGGUAGUGUAUAAUUUGAAUUUUGUUUCUUGAACAUGUAGCUUGCAAUAUUAUGGGAUAAUUUCAGAAAUCUCCACUAAGGUUAUUGACAAUUUCACUUGUCUCUCCUCAACUUUUGGAAAUCUCACAUACUUCUAGCAGACAAUUGGGACCUAUUGAUGAUGAAAGGCACAGCAAAAUACUUAUAUCUUUAGUCUUUGGUGAUAUUAAUUAAACAAUCAAAGGAAAUUUGCAAAAAAUCAAGUCAAGUCUUAUUUCCACAACCUUGUAAUACGAUGCAAAAAGAAAAUAUUGAACAAACAAAAAUUAUUCUCACCCUUGAUUCUACUGCACCUUUCACAAGGAAAAAAAAAAGCUGUUCUCUAAUUUUCUAUGGUUACUUUCUCUUCUAAGCUUUAAUUGACGCUCAUCAAGCCUUAUAUAUUUUAGUAUAAACUUCCAAGCUUUUAAUAAGAAACUUGUAACAUCGCCAUUUUCUCAUAAUCAAUAGCACAUAAAUUUCAAAAAAGCUCUUCAACUUUGCCCGCAUUUUAUUCUUGCUUUUCUGGAUAAGAUUACAUUAAUUCAAUAGUUGAGUUCUAGGAAUCCCUCAUACAUAUUAUUCAUUUUUUGUUUAACCUUCAACUUAUCAAUUACAAAGAAUGACGAAAAUCUUUAAAAGAAAAAUUAAACAAAAAAAGACCAAGUCUAAUAAACAAGUCAUGCUUAUUGCAAUUCUAAUGAUUAGUUUCUUUCUCCAAUUUUAAACAUAAGAAUUAGUUCUUCGUAAUAUAUAGCAAUUCAUUAAAUCAAAUUUAUCAAUUCCUAUACUUAAUUUGGUCUUUUCAUCGAUUGGCAAAUGAUUGCGUUACUCUAGUUUUUAUAAUUCUAGGAAAGAACUCUUUGAUAAUACACUCUAGUUAUGGUAACUAUGGUAUUAGAAAAAACAAUGUACUAGUAAUAUCAUUUUUUGCAAAAAUGAAAUUUGUAUUUAAAACUUGAAGCAUCUUAAAUUUAUGUCAAUGUUGAUGGAACUGCUAGCCAUUUUUUAUAUCUUUGUUUUUUUGAGGUAAUAGUUUACAGCCAAAAAGGGCACAAAAAUAUCAAAAAGGGCCUUGGGAGGAGGGGGAACAUAAAACGUGAAAUCCUUGGAAAACCACAGGUUUAGCAUCUUUACGGUAGUUUGCUUUGCAAUCACAGCUUUCCUCCUCUUAAAGCACUUUGAUCUUCACCCUGCUCUGAGGGAUUUCCAAUACUAAUUCCAUUGAUGGCUUAAAAAAUCAUUCUAUAGAAUAUACAUCAAUAACGCUGUAAAAUAAGUGUUUGUAAUUAUCAUGCGUUAAAGUAAUACUUGUCAUAUAUCAUCUCAAUUCUGAAAUCUUCUCCAAUGCUGCUAAUACAACGUUGAUCUGAUCCUUCAAACCAGCAUAUGUGCUAGUUAGACUUUUUUCGUGACUUUUCUAUAAAUCAGUCUGACUCAUACAGAAAUUUUAACUGCUUCUCUUAUUUUUGAGUAAAGAACCAUAAACUUUAACUGUUUGAUAUGUUAAAAUCUCUGUGACUUGCAUAGAACACUUGUUAUGUAGUAAAUACUAAGCAGAGACAGAAUUAGGAAAAGAAUUUAAAAGCAUUAUACAGGUCCAAGUAAGUUGCACUAGCUUAAAAAAAUAAAUAACAAAAAAAAUACUAUAUUAUGAUGUUGAUGAUCAAAAUUUCAUAAAAAUUUUUAGUAUCUGAAAAAUAAUAUAGUUUAAGAUAUUACAAUCACGUGCAAAGCACGUGAACUAUUACUAGUCUAGCAAAAUUCAUUCUAUUAUAGAUAGCUUUCUUCAGUUUUUGAAAUGGCCCCACUGUUUUUUAGCAUUGUAGUCCGUUGCUUCAUUCAGUUUUGGAUCUCGAGAAUCCGUCCUUGAAAGCUGGAGUUAGGCAUGGGCACGCCAAAUUAUCAGGGGUCAGUUGGAAUGACGAUUUUCAGUACUUUUUCUUCACCACUUCCUGUAAUUAAUCCCAAACACAAAACCUGAGUAGAAUCCACCCAACUAUGCAAUAUUUAGUCAAACAAUUAUGCAAUAAUAUCAAAAUAUGCCACUAAAAUGCACCCUAUCAAUCUCCCCCACACCUAAACUAUGCUUGCCCUCAAGCAUAAUUAAUUCAGAAGUGCAAUCGAGAUACCAAGCAUAGUAGUUCAUACCAAUACGGUAUUCCAAAUUCCCUAAUAACUGUAUCGAAAUCAGAAUAUACCAAAUUGACAACUCUCACAUUUAAUAGGCAUUCAUUAUGCACUCAUUCACUUCAAAGUGUAUAAGAUAUAUAGGAUGGCUCCCGAAUCAACACAAUGAAAUGACAUUACCAUAGGCUUGCUCAUAUAUCACAUCUCCACCACUUAAUUAUGAUUUUGAAUGCAACAAUCAAGGGACUUUGCAAGGUUGUAAUGGGGAUGGGGUGAGAAGGUAGGAUAAAGAGGAUUCAAAGGGUGUAAAAAUAUAAAGAAAAUGCUCAGAAAUUCAUUACACAGAUUCUUGCACAUUUGAAACUUCAAGGCACCUCAACAAUCCCCCAAGUGAAAUAAUUGACUUUUCUUUUUCUCUUUUUUCUUUUUUUUCCUUUUCUUCUUCUCUCUUUUUUUUUUCUUCUUAGCACUUCUUUACACGAGGUUCACAAAAGAAAGUCUAAAAAGAGGGUUUACAGGUAAAAACUGAGGUCUCAAGCAAAGAAUAAGGGUUAAGGCUCAACUUGGCUCCCUAAUGGUAAAUGAACUAAAGGUCGAUUUUUUUAAGAAAGUCCAAAAAUGGCUCAGUCCUAGGUGCCCUAUCAUUUUAAUGCAUUAAACUCAUUUAAAUGUGGUCUUGACAUGCAUAACCGAGAAAGUUUUAGAAUGACAAACCAUGUGCACUAACCACUCAACAAAUGAAAAAUUAGGCUCAAAAAUUGCACAAGUGAUCAAAUUCAUGUCAAGUUCAGCAUAUUCAUCAAUCAAUUCAUUACCAAGAAAAAGUAGAACACCCCAUGGCAUGAACUUACUACUUAUACUCAUAUCUGAAGUGCAUUCGUCACUGUUUAAAGAAAAGAACUACUAAGGCAAGGAAAACGCACAUCAAACAACUAGAAGCACAACUAAAGCAUAGUUAACCCUCCCCCACACCUAAACCUUACAUUGCCCUCAAUGGAAGAUAAUAAAGAUCAAAAUAGAGGUAUUGGGGCAACGGCACUUCCCUGAACACCAAAGGGGGGUUGUGGCACAGUUGUAGGUAAGAGGCAAAAGACAUAUAGAGCUCGAUGGCAUAUGUCGAUUGAAUGAUCUGAGACAAAAUAAGUUCCACAAUUUGCAGCAGCCCAUUGAUCAUUAGAAAAAGCACAAGCCUCAUAACCCCUUCUAGAAAUAAAAUCCAAUCUAUCACCAAAAUACGGAAUGUUAGCAGCCAUAAACUAUAUAUAAAAAAAAUAAGAGAAAAAUAAAAAAAAUGAACUAAAAAAGAAACAAAUUAAUCAGGCACCAGUCCCAGGCAACGGCACCGAAAAUUGACAGGUGCCGAACCUGUGCAAUAAUAAUAAAUAAAACCUAACUACCACCUGAAGCAGUCAAUAAUCAAUUCUAGUACUGGAGUAGGGACUCUAGGUGUGCAAUGGGUUACUUGAUUCACUCUGUUCCCGAAGAGUUUGCUUAAUCCGAUAUACCAGGAUUAAUUAUUUGACUGAAUUCGGUAACUAGUAGACAGUGACAAGUAGAGUCGUCUCCUCAGGGACUGGAGAGAAAUUCGUUUCUUUUCGAGUCAAGAUUGAUGGGGGGUUUUUGGGAUUAAAUGCUAAUGAAUUGCUAACUAAAUAAAUUAAAUGUGCAAAAUAAUUAAUUGGGAGAACUCUAACCAAGGGUACACUUCAGAAAUGGUUCAUGCACUGAUCAUCGAUUCACAGAUAAUUCCAACAUUUAUUAAUAGACUAGAGUAGUUGUUAUGCACAUGAUAAACAACCAACCUUUCCUUAAUUUUUCGAUAGCUAAGGUACGACCGUUAACUAUUUCUCUAAUCCAGAAACAACCUUAGGUACGACCGUAGGAUUUAAUUUCUGGUUUGCAUUAAUAAUUAGAAAGGCCUAAUCCUAACUAACAAACACGCUACGAGGGUUUAUUUAACCUAGAUCGUAUGUUCCCCUGACAUAAAUCCAAUUACGGCAGUUGCUACAUAGAUAGAGAUAACGAACAAUUACGGAUUCAAUUACCCCUAAUUAGCACAAUAGCCUACGUGAAUAAUUAAAUAUUGCGCAUCUAUUUAAUCAUACAUGAUAGCUAUAACAACAAUUAAAAGCAGAAAACAUACGAAUACCAAUAAAUAGAGAAAGCAGUUAAAAUAAUUUAGAUUUCACAGUAAUUGUUGAACCAAAUCUUCAGUUAUUCCCUUGACAAGAAUUAGAAGGUUAGUCCUCCAUUAAUGGAGAACAACCAUGCGAAAAAGCUGUUCGAAGCCUUCAAUUGUUGUCUAACAAAAGUAAAAGCAACAGCCAAAAUAAGUCAACAACGGCGGCUUCUCCAAGCAUACGAGAGAAAAGUUUUUCUUCUUUUUCUUCUUUGUCUUGGUCAACCCUCAAAUUAGCCAAAGCCCAAAUACAAGGGUCCACCCAUAUGGCUUUCUCUCGAUGGUCCCCACAUAGCAAAGCCAAACGGAAAUUAAAAAGCCAAGCAGAACUCCUGGGAGUCUAAUUCCUCCUCUCCCGUUGGAAGCCACGAAAUUAAAGGAAUUUGUUUCCUAUUACAAUUUAAUUUCCUAAAAACUCUCCCAAUCACUUGAGAAUGAUCCCCUGAAAUCAGAAAGGUCCUGAUAGCUAUCAAAUUAGGAAAUUGAUUCGGAUUUGAGGAUUGCCUAGGGAUGGCAACGGGGCGGGGUUGGGGCGGGGGACCCCUCCCCCGCCCCCCGCCCCCCGCCCCCCGCCCCCCGCCCCGUUGCCUAUUAGUUCCCUCCGUCUCCCGCCCCGUCCCCCGCUUCCCGCUCACCCCGCCCCGCCCCGACCCUGCCCGCUUCUCCCCCGCGGGGUUAAUAUAAUUUUAUUAUAUUAUUUUAUUAUAAUUAAAUUUUAAUAAAUAAUCAAGUACUAAAAUAUCAACACAUCACCAAAUUAUUAUUCAUUGUAAUUUUACAAUUGAAACUCAUAAAAACAAUCAAACAGAAGUUAUUUGAAUACAAUCCAAUAUGAUGAAAUAAAUAUAACUAAAAUAGUCAAGUUUUCACUUUUAGUACAAAUGCAAUCACUAAUUCAUUAUUGUGUUUGUGCUUUUUUUUGAGAAAAAAGUGUUAUUCUAUUAAGUGUAAUUAGAAAUUUAGUAUAAAUGUAUUAGUAAAUUUAGUAUAACUAAUUAAUAAAUUCUAUUAGUAGACAUGUAUAAUUAUUCAUAAUAUUAGUAGACAUGUAUCAAUUAUAUUACAUAAACUAAUAUACAUUAUAUAAUACAUCUAACUAAUAAUAUCAUUAUCAUAAGUUUAUAACUAAUUAACUUACAUAUUAUAUAUAAUUAUAUAUAUAGUUAUAUAUAUUUUUUUUUUUUGCGGGUGGCGGGGCGGGGUAUACUCCCCCGCCCCCCGCCCCGUUUCUAAGCGGGGGGAAAAAAUUCCCCCCCGCCCCCACCCCGAGAGUCCCCCCGCGGGCACCCGCCCCCAUUGCCAUCCCCGAUUGCCCAAUAUCAACCCUGACUUUUUGGUCUUGAAUGUAGGUCCCGAACGUACCACCAUCAAAUUAACUGGAAAUUACCACUUUUUAAUCAUAUUUUGCUCAUUUUCCUACAAUUAGCACCAUUAACCAAAUAUAAGUAGAAUCUAUCAAUUAAAAUAAUAUUUGGCUAAAAUCAAGGGAAAAAUAAUUAUUAAUUUAGCAAUAAAUUAUGACCUAUCAAUAUUCAUAAAUUAAAUUACAUAAAUGAUUGACUUUCACUUUAAAAUUGACUCUCUGUCAUGGACUCAUGGUAUCGAACAAGAACCAGAACAAUGGAAUCGUUCUCAGUUGAAUUAACAAGAAACAGUAAUAAUAAUAGCUGAUAAGACUUCGACUCAAAUGAUGUUGUAUUGAUCAAAUAAUGAGAUUACAGAAUUGGCGGGAAAGAAAAGGAGAUGAACAAGAAUGAAGGAAAUCAGAAAAGGAACAAUGCCCAGGGAAUGACCCUAACAAUGACUAACAAAUUCCUGCUUUUCCAUCUCUGAUCCUGACUAUAUAGAGCUAACUAAUAACUAACUUCCUCGGCUCUACCAAUCCAGCUUGGCCACGUGGCUUUUGUUAACAGAAUGGACCACUUGCUUGAUAAGCUCACGUUUCUGAGCAGCUUCCCAGUAAAGGCGUGGUUCUGGUUCCACGCCUUCUCUUGUGCCGUUCAUUAUCUGCCACACCUCCUCUAUUGAGUGCACACCUUUAUCUUCCAGUAAAGGCGUGGUUCUUGGUUCCACGCCUUCAGCUUUUAUUUAGCUAACUUCUGUUUCAUGACACUCUCAGAGUAAAACAAAGUUUAGCUCAUGCAUGUGCCAACAUUUUCAUGCAUUAAAAUUAAAUUUCAAACCUCUAAGUUCAGCUACAUUCGUUAUCCAAUAUAUAAUAAAUAAUAAUAGAUAACGGUAGAGAAAGUUUCAAUUCACCCACUCAAUUUUUUUUCUUUUUUUCUUUUUUUGGUGUGUCAAUUCACUCAUUGAGACUCUGAAAGUAUACUGUUUUGAUCAUGCAAUUAGGAACAAAAAACGAAGAAAUAGCAUUCGAGGAUAAAGUGUGCGUAUAAGUGGUUCGAGUUCCGUGUGAUAUAACCAUGAAAACUGAAUCAACAAUUGUCAAAGUAGCGUCCUUUCGGAAGUUUAUUGAACAAAUUGAUACUAAAAAAGUUCAUUGAUUUAAUCAAAAAUUUUUUUUUUAAUAAUUUGGUGGCUGCUAGUACAUUUUACCCUUCAAAUUAUUCCUUGCUAAAGUUUGCCUAUCAUAGGUAUUAACAAAACACAAGAAUGUAAAAUGAGUACUCAAUAAUGGCAUUCCAAUUCGCCACGAAAUUAGACUCCACAUUCUCGGUAAUGUAAAGCUUAAAAGGCUCAAUGGGCAAAUAUAUUAGUAUUUAAACAAAGUAUUUAGAAGGGUUUAGGAUUUCGUCUCGAUCAUUAUUUUCUUCAAACACUAAGUCAAGGUAAGUGGAAGUCACAAACCUAAUUAUUGAGCCAAGAUGCAAAUGCAAUAUGGUUAGCGCGAAAUGGGAGGACUUUGACACCCAAUCGAGAAAUUUUACAACGGUCAGGAUAAAUUGUGUGAAAAGUCGGAUAAAUUGUUUGGAAAGUCCAGUAAUUGGUCUUUAACUAAUUUGAUAUCACUAAUCGGGAAAAAAAAGGACUCCAUAAUCUUAUUUGAACUGUAUUUGAUAUUGACUUGACAAUUUUAUUUGAAAUAUUUUUAUUAGUCAAAAACAAAGUAAUGGGCAUGGCACAUAGUUGGUCCCAUGAAAUUUCUCGCCCCAGGGACUUGCGGAACCAAGCAAAAUAAGAUGUUCAUUUGAAUUCUAAUUCUCGAGGAUGAGUAAUUAAGGUCAAAUUAUGCGUCGAGUUCGCGUUCGCGUUCCAAGAUUACCUAUUGAAGUAACAAACAGUAGUUAUACUCCUCAUUUUGCUUUUCAGAGUUUCAUCUUGGACAUACCAUUGAAUGGAUUAAUCUUUUUUACACUAAUAUUAUAUGCAUUUUUAGUGUUGGAUGAAUGACAACUAUAAGGUAAUCAUAUUUUAAAAAGGUAAAAUUGUUCAAAACGUCCCUCACAUUUUAUCAAAUGAGAUUUUUCAUUCUUCACCUUUAAAAUGUUAACUUUGCAUUUCUCACAAAUUAAAGUUAACAAAAGUUAGUCCCAACCUAAAUUUUUAUCAUUUUUAACUUGAAAUCACCAAAUGAUCCACAUGCAGUCAUUUUUUAUAUACGAAAAAGUCAGAUUCCAAUCAUUAGUAGUAAAAAUGAAUAUAGAUUUGGUCAAAUCUCACUUUUUAGAAAAAAAGGAAGUAAUAUGAUUUGGUCAAAAUCUUACUCUCUUAGUGAUAAAAAUGAAUAUAUAUCGGGUUAUUUGUUUAACUAUAAAUUGAAUCUAACAUUUUUACGCCUAAAAAGAUGACUGCGUGUAAGUCACAUGAUGGAUUUAUUCAAGAUAAAAAAAUGAUUGAAAACCUAUACUAAGAUCAAAUUUUACUAAUUUGAUUUUGUAAAUGAUAUAAAGUUAUCAUUUUAAAAGUAAAUGACGAAAAAAUUUAUUUGAGGGGUGUCUUGAUCAGUUUUGGUGACUCUCUAUUACUCAACACCGGUUUAUUGGUCAGCCUACAAAAACGAAGAAUAAAAUCUUCAAUUCCUAUUUUGUGAACAUCUCCCUCAGCAGCUGACUCUGUUAAACUUAAUGUAGAUGGAUCUUCUCCGGGUAAUCCCGGCUCUUCAGGUGGUGGCAGUACUAUUCGAGAUUCAUUUGGCAACAUCCUAAUUGCCUUACUCUCUUUUCUUUGGAGGCAAAACUGAUAUGGAAGCCGAGUGAUUAGCCCUGCUAGAAAGCAUUCAACUUUGUCAGGUCCAUGACUUUUGUAACAGCCCCACCUUCCCCUAAGGCGAACCAAAGGGGUUAGCGGACUGCCUGCCUAACUCUCACCAGGACUACGGAUCAGUUUACGUCAAUCUAAUACAUUCCGGAACUUACCAAUGCGCGCAACCAAGUCAAAAUCACAAAAUAAAAAAAAUGAAAAAAAUCGAAACCGAUGAUGAACAGUACCGGCCACGUCAGAAUUCGGAUACUAGGCCGAGAGUAGCCAAAAUUUUUCUUUUGCCGUUUGAAAUAUGAGUUGAUCCGAAAUUCAACCAAAUAUCAACCAAACAUAUAUACAUUGAAAUGUAACAUUUACAAGCCAAAACGGCAUAUCAAAACGAUUCAUCAUGGAUAUACAUGUCCGGUUUGCCAAUCAAAAGAGAAUGAACCCAAUACACAUUAGGGUUUCAUUUAAAGAGCUAUUCAAAAGACAUUUACAUGAGAUCGACUUGACAACCAACUAACACAACCUUUUCCAAAAGUGGUCAUUUCCUGUAAGGAAAACAAAUGGAACGGAAUGAGCUUAAACCCAGUGAGUUACUACCACAUAAGCAACAAAGAUCACAUAAGCAUAGUCUUUCAUUUCAAGUACACAAUUAAGAAGUAAAACAAGUCGGUAAAAGGAUACAGACGGCUCUCAAGAGCCCAUUUCCACGCUUACAUUCUUGAUCCAUUCUCAUUGACCCUCCGUCAAUGUUUAAGAAUACCCGACCGUAGACCUCACUUCACUCCAUUCCUUCCACCCAACAUACCCCAACCGGGCCCGCACUCCAAUCAGUAGCUUUUGAUAAUACUCGAGUAUACCGGAAUCAAGAGUCUCAUUACUACAAGAUUCCCCAGUACAGUCCCCGUGGCAUGUCAAUUUUCACGACCAAGCCCUCGCCGGCUCGAUUCAAUUGGCUACCAACGGGGUUGAGCUCAGUAAUACAGUAAGGCCGUUGGAUACUCGUCCAAACGACACAAAAUCAGUUUUUCCAUGAAUGGAAUUCAAUAUCUCAUAUGUCAAGUUCAGUAUUUCAAUGAAACGGUAAACAGUCGUUAACGGUAUCAAAGGGGGUGAGGGCGGUCAAGUACACCCUCACCUUAACCAAUUCCAUUAGCCAAAUAAGCCUUCAAGGCAUCACAAUCACAUAUAGCAAAGCCACAUUGUAACAUUCAAGUGAGUAGUAUACUCACCAAUCAAUUAAGUGUUAUUUCAUGCACUUCCGUCAAGAGAAUGUCGUGAACCACCGUCACGCCCUAGAACACGUAAACAAGUACAAUGAGACUCGAUAACGAGUCAUAAAGCAAUGCCAAUCACAACCCCAAUAGGGUUUCAUAUGCAUAUACAAGUAUCAUAGGUAACCAGAAAAUCCGGAAAUGCAAUUAACUUUGGCCCUGAAAAAAACAGUUUUUGUCCUCAUUUUGCGGUAAUGGUACCAAUUUCACUACGAUUAUCGGAUGAGGGUGCAAGACCCACCAUCUCGAAGCUAAAAGACAGGGCUACAACAUUACAGAAGGUCACUCAACCCAGUUUUGAGUGCAAACAGGUCAAAAAUGUAAGAUACUAUAUCGAAAACAUAAAACAGAUUCACCAAAACGCAUUCUAGCGGAAACAUCAUAACUCAGGCUCUACAAGUCCAAAUCCAGAAAUUCCAAAACCAGCUGAAUAAGAAACAGGGCUACAAUAAUGUAGAAGAUCACUCAGUCCAAUUCCUAGCACAACCAGGUCAAAUAUGCGAGAUACUAAACCAGAACCACAAUAACAGGUUCACAAACUACAUUCUGCUGUAAUCAGUACAACUCAGUCUAUACAGGUCCAAAUUCAGAAAUUCCAAAGGCAUAUGGUAGCUAGGACAUCAAGCUACAUUUCAUCAGAAGACCUCAAAGGCCAAAUCGUGCAUUUUCAUGGUCGAAAAUGGAAGACUACACAAAAAUAGAAAUCUGGGCGCGAAACAGGUUUCGAAAAUAGUCAAGGGUAUUUCGGUCAUUUAACAUGCUACAGUGGUCGGAUCAAGCUGAAAAUUUACAGGAAACUAGUUUAUAGCCUUGGCUACAACUUUUAUGUUUUGGCCAAAAUCUAAUUCGGUUAAGAUCAGGGUGAAAAGGUACGGUCAAAAUGAGUGAAAAGGCAACCCUGUUCGCAGCACCCCUUCCUAGACCAGUCUCGGUAUUUUCGAAUUAUCUCAUUCUACACUACUCCGAUUGCCCUGAAAUUUUACAGGAACCUUUAUAACAUCAAUACCUACAACUUUCAUGUUUUAAGCAAAGGCCAAUUCGGCCUCUAACCAUAUGAUACAAAACCGGACAGAAAAGGGGGUUAUGAAACCCUAACUUUUCACAUUUCCUUCCAAAUCCAAAAUUGGUUGCAAUUACCAAUCAUUUACACCUACAAGAGUCAUUAAACAUCAUUUCCAACCAUCAUGGACAGCCACAACAUCAUGAUCAAAUUAAACCAGAAAAAUCACCAAUAAAUUGAAAACUUCAUCAUUUCUUCCAAAAACAAGAAAUAACCCACAAAAUCCAUCACUUUAGCUAUCACUAAGCAUAAAUCAAGCUUCAUUAAGUGUAGGAGGAAGUUCAUACACCACUCACCUAGUAAACAAGAGAGGGAGAGUUGUUGGACACCUUAGCUUCUCCAAACACUUCACUAAACAAACCACUAACACCUAGUGAAGAGGUUUUAUGGAGUAGAAACAAGUUUAAGGGAUUGCUUGGGAUGAUUUGAGCUAGAUGGAUGCCAACCUUUGAAGAGUUUUCUUCCUUCCUUUGCUAGAGAGAGAGAGCCGACCAUCAAGGAGAAGAAAAGAGUGAAUUUUGGUGAUUUUUGGAGAUAUUUAUUCAAUUGGUAAGACAAGUCAAAAGGUGAAUAGUUGUCAUCAAGUCAAACCAAUGGGCAAGUGACACUUGUCACUCCAUAAACGCAAGUCUAUCCUUCUUUUUCCCUCUCACAUCAAUCACUUCACCUCCUCUACUUAUCUCUUAAUAUCCGAUAAAUUCCACCCAGUAUCCGAAACUUAACCUAACUGACCGAAUUUUUCCGAACUUUUCGUGCUAGUGGGUCCCACGUCCAUAAUAGAUUCUUAAUUUUUCAAAAACUCUCCAAUAAUAGAAAAAUCAUCUAAAAACUAUAAUUACUCAUAAAAUUCACCAGGAGAAUUUUCCUAAGCCAGAAAAUACAGAAAACAUGCCAUUAAAGGAAAUAAACCCUAGGAAAAUUAUUAGGGGAUUUACGGGUUCUCACAACUUUGACCAAGUUGAAAUGGAUUCUAAAAUCUUGGAGCAGAUGAUAAAUGGGGAAGCUAAAAUUCCAUGGAAGGUGCUGGCUACUACUUGCCAAAUCAAGCAGUUAACUCACAGCAGGCACUUCUCUUUUUCGCUUCAUACUAGUAUAUAUCAUGGUUUAGUACCUUAACACAAAUUAGCUACAGAGUACAUGUAAUGCACCUAACAUGUCUAUUCGUUUUAAGAAAUUUGUUCCCCUAACAGACAGUUUGAUAAUUCUAUUAAUGAGCUCCACCUUCCAUCCUUUCCACUUUGAGAUAGAUAUUAACUUUUUCACCUGAUGGUUAUUGGUUGAUCAUGCCCAUUCCCCUCAGCAAGAAUACCAAUAAAAUUCAAUAUGUCUUGCACUACCCCACCCUCCCUCUCCCCCCCCCCCCAAAAAAACCCCAAAAAGAAAGAAAAAGAAGUUUAUGAAUGAGGUCUUUUAAUGAGUUGUUAUAACAUAAUUGAAUGAGGUCUUUUUAAAAGUUUAUGAAGAAGUUUACAAUGAAAAUGACCUAUUUCAUUGCUCACAUUUUGUUAAAAUAUUUUUUUCAUCCCUCACUUUUAAAAUGAAACAAAUUCGUCCCUGACAUUACUAUUACAUCCAUAAACCCAACUUUCAAUCUGAAUUAAACCAUCCAGUAACUUAGUAACAAAUUUUGAGGGGAUAUAAUUAGUAGAUCAGUUAGUCAAUUCUAUCACAUUCACAUGAUAUUUAUCGAACAAAAAAAGGAAAAAAUAAAAAAUUAUAACAUAAAAAGGUCGCUCUUUAUCUGGGAAUAGUAGGAUUUCUUUUUUGAGUAAAUCUUUUUAUGCACUGUUAGUAUAUACAUUUGCGAGUCUAGAUACAAAGUUUGGUAUUUAAAUUUAAAUUGAAAUAAUGUGGCAAGUAUCUUUUUUUUUUUGUGCCGACACGAUAGAAUCUAUUCUACACCUACUCCUACUUUAUAUUAGGGAGAGAAGGAGAUCCAAAGGGGUCAAAAAAGGAACCCGAAGGAAACUGAAACACUACUGGUCCAAACGGAUGCCUACACAUCCGCUAGCAAAAUCCUCUAUACUAGGGGAAGGCGGGGACCCAAAGGGAUCAAGGAGGAAAUUUAAAAGAGACUGAACCACCACUGACUUAAACACGUGCCUACACACCCGCCGACGAAAUUUUCAAGAAAUCCUUAAUAUUAGAACGCAAGCCAAGGGAUUCAUCCCUUGACUUACACUCAAGUAAAGUAUUAAAGCUCUCUUGGUAACUAACAAUUCUAGUUAUGUGACAGGUAUCUAGACCCGUCAUCAUUUAGGCGUCUAUUGCCCCUUCAAGAUUGAGGCAUAUUCAUUGUUCAAAUAAUUCUCUAUUAAAAUUUAUUAGUUAAAUGUUAUAUCGAAAAUUUGGAACACAUAAUUGUUGAUGCCCUUUUCUCGGAUAAGUUUGAAGCAAAUCAACAUUUUAAGCUAUUCUUUGCCAAACUUCAUUCACCACAAGCAAAGAAUAUAAUGUGGGGUACUCAUUAAUGGCACCACCACCAAAUUAGACUCAUCCUGAUUAUUUAAAGUUGAAAAGGCCCAAUGCUCAACUAUAUCAGAAUCCGAAUGAAUCAUCCUUUCCACGGAGGUAAAUCUUUGCCUGCUAGGUAAAUCUGAAUUAACAAAAUUGAUAGGUUGCAAUUUAUCUAUUUAUUUUAUUAUUAAUUUCCCCUGUUACCUGACCCGAUGUGGAUUAAUUAUUAGAUUCUACUCAUUUUUUGUAAUUUGCAUUUAUUUCAGCGAGUAGAACGAAAAUAUAACAACAGGUGCCAAUUUGACAUAAAAGGAAUCCAGAUGAUAGAGCUUGUCCCAGGGGCAUUUUUGAAAAAGAAGAUGUCACGCCCACUUUGGUAAUUUCCGCAAAGCAAUGACGGACGAAGGGCUUCUUCCUCCUGGUGAGCCGCCGCAAUAAAGGAGGGAAAACAGGAUCAGAUGGGGGCGAGCUUAGUUUUAGUUUUCCGUCUGUAGCUUAGCUUGAGAUUGUUGACUUUUCCCUAAAAAUGCUUUUUGCUUGUCAUACGCAUGGCAGGCAUUAGAAAUUGGUAGCUUUUGACUUUUCUUCAUGUUAAAUGCUUAGAGUUUUUCUAUCUUUCCUCGUAUGCCAUCCGUAGUGAGGCAGAGGAUCAUUUCGUGUAACUUUGCUAUCUCCUCCUGGUUGGAACGGAUUGAGUUCUCAAAAAUCAAUGACAAUGGCCGCAACUUUAUCUUCAAUUUCUUGGGGGUUUAGUUCAUCAAUUAUGAACUAAUUUUCCAACUCUAGUCAAGGAGCAACGAAGGCUUUGGGUCGCCUAAAAAUUGUGAGAUCGAUAUAAAAAUUGUGAGAUCGAUAUAAUUUAAUCUUUUCCUUUUAUUUAUUGGUAUUCGCAUAUUCCUUGAUUGCUAUGUUUAUGGUUAUUCAAUUAAUUGAUUGUCUUGGAUUCGGAUAAUUAAUUGAUUUGAUAACCUAUUGUCAAUUGGGGCAUUGAAUCCGUAAUUGUUUAAUUGUCCUGAAAUAGUGACAACUGGUACGAUUAGAUUCGUGUCAGGGGGAUACGCGUGCUAAUCUAAAAUAACCCUGGUAGUGUGUUAUUUGGUUAGAAUAGGGCUCCUCUAAUACAUAAGGCAAUUGGGAAAUUAAAAUUCUACGGGCGUACCUAAGAUUAUUUCUCAAUUAGAGCAGUGAUUAACGGGCGUACCUUAAUCACCGACACAGUAAGGAGGGGUUGACUGCCAUCGCUUGUUUGGUAGUUAUAACCUAUUUAUUGAUAAAUAAUUGGAUUUGCCUUUGCUUCGAUGAUCAAUUUGGUGAACCAUUGUUGAAGUUACUUCUUGGCUAGAUCUUUAAUUAAUAUUAUCUUGAUUUUAGUGAAUUGCCAUUCGAUUUUUGGUUGUCUACUUUAUUUCAUUUCUAAUUGUUUCCUUGUUUUAAUUGAUUUAGGCCUUUAAUUAUUGCUAUUCUAAAUUCAGUGAAUUGUGGUUUAAUUUCUAGUUAGUUAUUCAUUUUUAUUUUCUUAUUUGAGUUUAUUUAAUUGUCGUCGUUCCUACAAAAUCACCCCCUGUAUUACUUUGGAUUUCUUAAGAAACAAAUAUACCCAGUCCAUGUGGAUAUGACCCUACUUGCCCUGUCUACAAAUUCAUAAUUAUUUAUGAAAAGAAAUAAGCAUUCCAUUCGGGUAUAUCAGAUCAAACAAAGUUUUCGGGAACAGGGUGAAUCAAGUAACCCAUUGCACACCUAGAGUCCUUGCUCCAGUACUUAGAAUUGGGUUUUGGUCAUUUCGACUGGCAAAUAGGUUUAAUUUUAUUAUUGCACAGGUUUCGACACCCUGUCAAUUUUUGGCGCCGUUGCCGGGGACUGGCGUUAUUAUUUGUUUCUUUUUAAAUUCAUUUUUUUCUGUCCUAAUUUUCUGGUUUUCUUCUAGUGUAUGCCUCGAUUUUCUCGUACAGGUGAUCUGAUUUUCGACCCCGAGGUAGAGAAGACUGCGCAUAGGACAAGAAAAGAGACCAGACAGCUCAGAGAGGAGCACUCCAGUACUGCAUCUCAGAGACCUGAGUCAGAAGUUGAACCUACAGACUCGUUUGGGGACACUUCGAGUGACUCUGACCAGGAGGAAGGCACCAUGGUUAAUGCACGAAUAUUAAAGGAGUUGACUGCUCCUGAUUUAAAUCAGCAGCCUUUAUGCAUUACUUUUCCGAGUUUGAGUGAAAACACUUCAUUUGAAUUGAAAUCAGGUCUAAUUCACCUUUUACCCUCUUUUCAUGGUUUACCAGGUGAAGAGCCGUAUAAGCAUCUGCAGGAGUUUGAUGUCGUGUGCAAUAGUAUGAAGCCCUCGGGAAUUACAGAAGAGCAGAUAAAAAUGAGGGCAUUCCCCUUUUCCUUGAAGGAUUCUGCAAAGGACUGGCUGUACUUCCUGCCACCAGGUAGCAUCACCACGUGGGACCAAUUGAAGAAAAAAUUUUUAGAUAAAUAUUUCCCUGCGUCCAGGGCUGCAAGCCUAAGGUAGGAAAUUUGCGGGAUCAAGCAGCAUCCAGGGGAGUCACUCUAUGAGUAUUGGGAACGGUUCAAGAACUUGUUGCACAAGUGUCCCCAGCACCAGAUAAGUGAGCAGUUGCUCUUUCAGUAUUUUUAUGAUGGGAUCCUUUUCAGAGAUAGGAGCAUAAUUGAUGCCGCAAGUGGAAGGGCACUGGUGAACAAAACCCCUCGGGAAGCACGAGAGUUGAUAGAGGGGAUGGCAGAGAAUUCACAACAAUUCGGUACGAGAGAGGAUGUCCCAAUACGCAAGGUGAACGAGAUAGAAACACCAUCUGUCCAGCAGCAGCUAACUGAGUUGACCUCGUUUGUGAGGCAACUGGCUGUAGGGAGUGCAACUCAGGCCAGGGUGUGCGGGAUUUACACUGGUAUGGGACACUCUGCAGACAUGUGCCCAAUGAUUCAGGAAGAAAUUGCAGAACAGGUGAACAUGGCUGGUCACGCGCCCGCGCCAAGAAGGCCCUAUGACUCGUACUCGAAUACGUACAAUCCCAGAUGGAAGGACCACCCGAAUCUCAGUUAUGGAGGAAAUAGGCAGCCCAACUAUGCACCGAACAGGCAGUCUAAUUUCGUGCCAAAUAAGCAACCAGGAUACCAGCAGCAAUACCAGCCCCGACCACCUCCGCCCCCGAGCUCUGGUCCAUCUGUGGAGGAGAUGAUGAAACAAAUGAUGGCAACCAUUACGCAAAAUCAGCAAAGGACGGAGGCAACCAUUAUGCAAAAUCAGCAAAGGACGGACUCCGAAAUGCAGGACAUAAGGAAUCAGAUAAGUCAAAUGGCCACAACAAUCAACCGUUUGGAUUCCCAGAACCAAGGUAAAUUGCCGUCUCAGCCUGAAUUAAAUCCGAAGAACGUGAGCGCAAUGACCCUAAGGAGCGGGAAGAAAAUUCAGGGGCCUAAACCUGUGAUCCCUAAGGAUAAGGAUGAGAAAAAGAUCGAAAAUGAGUUUGAAAGGGAGGACAGCAAUGGUGCAGACCCAAAGGUACUUCCAGACCCAAUAAUUACAGUUAAAACUAACCCGCCUCCUUUUCCUAGCAGGUUGGAAAAAUCGAAGAAGCAGGAUAAGGAGAAGGAGAUUUUGGAGGUGUUUCGCAAGGUAGAGAUAAAUAUCCCCCUCUUAGACGCCAUCAAACAAGUACCAAAAUAUGCCAAGUUCCUAAGGGACUUGUGUGUCAACCGAAGGCGAUUGAGGGGAGAUAAAAGGAUUAUUGUUGGGAAAAAUGUGUCUGCGGUCCUGCAGAGAAAGCUUCCACCAAAGUGCGGGGACCCAGGUAUGUUUACUAUCCCCUGUAGGAUAGGCAACACUGUGAUUAGAAGGACCAUGUUGGACCUGGGAGCAUCAAUUAAUGUCAUGCCUAAAUCUAUCUAUACUUCUCUGAAAUUAGGUCCAUUAAAAGAAACUGGAAUAAUCAUUCAAUUAGCUGACCGAACUAAUGCAUAUCUUGAUGGGUUGGUUGAAGAUGUGUUGGUAAAAGUAAAUGAUUUGGUGUUUCCAGCUGAUUUUUAUGUACUUGAUAUGGAUGAUGACCACUCCCCCGAUCCCUCACCUUUGUUAUUCGGUAGACCCUUUAUGAGCACAGCACAAACAAAAAUUGAUGUUAAUAAGGGUACCUUAUCCAUGGAAUUUGAUGGGGAAACUGUGCAUUUUAAUAUCUUUGAUACUAUGAAAUACCCCUCAAAUUCCAACUUUAGCUCAGUUUUCUCUGUGAGUGCUAUUGACCCUGCAGUGCAGGAAGUAUUUAAAACUGUUGGCAGGGAUGAGUUGGAGGUAGCUUUGACCAAGCACCUCGAGUUGGAGACAACUCCUGAGGUGGAGUGGAGUGAAAAUUUAAAGUGCACGAUAGGAGCACUACACUCAUUGCCAACCUCCACGAAAAGGUACGAAGUUUCACCUGUAUUCAUUCCUGAACCUCACCAGAGGGUAUUGCCAUCGGUGGUGCAGGCGCCUGUUUUGGAGUUGAAGCCCUUACCAGAGCACCUGAAGUAUGCAUAUCUGGGUGACAAUGAGACACUCCCAGUGAUUAUCUCAUCGGCACUGUCAAAAACCCAGGAGGAGAAACUGAUCCGGGUCCCUAGAGAGCAUAAAGAGGCGAUAGGUUGGACAAUCGCAGACAUUAAGGGGAUCAGCCCGGCCAUCUGUAUGCACCGGAUUAGACUGGAAGAUGAUGCUAAACCUGUUCGGCAGGCUCAAAGGAGGCUCAACCCCCUAAUGAUGGAAGUUGUAAAGAAAGAAAUUUUAAAAUUGCUAGAUGUAGGGAUUAUUUUUGCAAUAUCAGAUAGCCCUUGGGUGAGCCCGGUCCAGGUAGUUCCAAAGAAGGCAGGAGUGACGGUGGAAGCCAACCAAACAGGUGAACUCGUGCCAGUGCGCAAACCCACUGGAUGGAGGCAGUGUAUAGACUACCGUAGGCUAAACGCCGUCACCAAAAAGGACCAUUUUCCUCUCCCUUUCAUUGACCAAAUGGCUGAACAUUUAGUUUGUAGGGCUUACUAUUGCUUUUUGGAUGGAUUUUCAGGAUACUUUCAGAUAACAAUUGCACCAGAGGAUUAAGAGAAGACAACCUUCACGUGCCCGUUCGGGACCUUUGCCUAUAGACGAAUGCCAUUUGGGUUGUGUAAUGCACCUGUAACAUUCCAGAGGUGUAUGGUAAGUAUUUUUUCUGAGUAUGUAGAGAAAAUUAUUGAAGUUUUUAUGGCUGAUUUCAGUGUGUAUGGUGAUAGUUUUGAUACAUGUUUAGAUAACCUGAAGUUGAUCCUGAUAAGGUGUAUAGAAACUAAUCUUGUGCUUAAUUGGGAAAAAUGUCAUUUUAUGGUUGAGCACGGGAUAGUUCUGGGUCAUAUUGUAUCGUCUAAGGGCAUCCAGGUUGACAAGGCUAAAAUAGACAUUAUAUCUGCAUUACCUUACCCUGCGAAUGUGCGGGAGGUGCGUUCUUUUCUUGGACAUGCAGGUUUUUAUCGAAGGUUCAUCAAGGAUUUUUCAAAAAUUGGAGCCCCGUUGUUCCAACUCCUACAAAAGGAUGUGACCUUCGAAUUCAAUGACAAAUGUGAGAAAGCCUUCGACAAGUUGAAAGAAUUGUUGACUUCACCCCCAAUCAUCCAACCCCCUGACUGGAGUCUACCAUUUGAGAUCAUGUGCGAUGCCAGUAAUCAUGCCGUAGGGGCUGUAUUGGGGCAAAGAGUAGGGAAGGUAGCUCACUUCAUCUACUAUGCAUCCCGAGCAUUGAAUGGAACCCAAUUGAAUUAUUCCACUACUGAAAAGGAGCUUCUUGCGGUUAUUUUUGCUUUAGAAAAAUUUAGGUCAUACUUGUUAGGUGCUAAAGUGAUUGUAUUUUCUGAUCAUGCAGCAUUGAGGUACCUGAUAACCAAGAAAGAUGCAAAACUGAGGCUCAUACGGUGGAUAUUGCUCCUACAGGAAUUUGACCUGGAGAUAAGGGAUAAAAGAGGCUCAGAGAAUUUAGUAGCUGACCAUCUGAGUCGUAUACCUGUUGGAGAGGAUAAUGAACCAUUGAGGGAUGCAUUCCCUGAAGAGCAUUUAUUUUCUUUAAAUUCUCAAUUGCCUUGAUAUGCUGAUCUUGUCAAUUAUUUGGCAACUGGUAAUUUUCCUGCAGGUUGGCCAAAAUCGAAAAGGGAUAAGUUGAAGAGUGACACCAAGUAUUUUAUCUGGGAUGACCCGUACUUAUGGAAAAGAUGCGCAGAUCAAGUGAUGCGGAAAUGUGUAAGUGAAAUGGAAUUUCAAUCGAUUUUAGCUUUUUGUCAUACUUUUGCCUGUGGAGGUCAUUUUGGACCCAAGAGAACUGCUCAUAAGGUUUUAGAAAGUGAAUUUUAUUGGCCUUCAUUGUUUAAGGAUGCCUAUGUGUUUUGUAAGUCAUGUGAUCGCUGUCAAAGGGUAGGUAAUAUAGCCCGUAGAGAUCAUAUGCCCCAAGUCCCGUUGAUUUUUGUUGAAAUUUUUGAUGUCUGGGGUAUAGAUUUCAUGGGGCCUUUUCCUACUUCAUUUGGUUUUAUAUAUAUUUUGUUGGCAGUUGAUUAUGUGUCUAAAUGGGUGGAGGCCAAGGCCACUCGGACUAAUGACUCGAAAGUAGUUGCAGAUUUUAUCAGGUCUAAUAUUUUUGUGCGAUUUGGAAUGCCAAGAGCUAUUGUCAGUGAUAGGGGAACGCACUUCUGCAACAAAACCAUAGCUGCGUUAUUUCGCAAGUAUGGUGUUCUCCACAGGGUCUCGACGUCGUACCACCCGUAGACUAAUGGUCAAGCGGAGGUAUCGAAUCGGGAGAUUAAAUCCAUUUUGGAGAAAAUGGUGCGCCCCGAUAGGAAAAAUUGGAGUCAAUGGUUGGAGGACGCACUCUGGACCUAUCGGACGGCAUACAAGACUCCUAUAGGGAUGUCACUGUACAGGUUGGUAUUUGGGAAGCCGUGUUAUCUUCCAGUGGAGUUUGAGCACAAGGCUUUUUAGGCGAUAAAGCAAUGCAACAUGAACCUGGAGGAGGCCGGUGCCCAACGGAAGUUGGAUUUGCAGGAAUUGGAGGAGAUCCGGAACGAUGCCUACGAAAAUGCACUAAUUUAUAAGGAGAGAAGCCGGAUAUUUCAUGAUCAACAAAUUUCAAGAAAAACCUUUGAAGUUGGUCAGAAGGUCCUCCUAUACCAAUCCAGACUCAAGCUAUUCCCAGGUAAGCUACGUUCCCGUUGGAUUGGACCUUUUCUUGUUACUCACGUUUUUCCAUAUGGUGCAGUUGAAAUCCAGAGUGCUAAAACAGACAGCAAAUUUGUGGUGAAUGGACACCGUCUCAAACAUUAUUACGAAGGUUUUUCAAGUGGAGAAGUGGAGACAAUAAGUCUAGACGCAUCACCGUGUCCUAAUCAGUGACCCUUUUACCAUGUCUAGUCAAAGACAUUAAAGAAAGGCGCUCAUUGGGAGCAAAUAAAUUUGAACACGAUAUCAUAUGGGCACGAAUCGUAUGAAUCGAAUAUUGAACCCAAUUGUUUCUUUUAAUUGUUUGUUUGAUUUCGUGGGAUAGUUUAAAUAUGUUUUCCUUGAAUUCGACUGAUUUUGGGUUUUAGUUUUCGUUUUUGCUGAGUUGUAGGUGUCUAUCUGACUCGGCGCGCCCGCGUCAUCUUGCAGGAAGUGCUCAAGGUCAGAGAGCUCUCCUGCUCUCAUGACGCACCCGCGUCAUCUCGCAGGAAGCGCUCAUGGUCAGAGAGCUCUCCUGCCCUCAUGACAUGCCCGCGUCAUGACAUCCAGGAAGCUCACGGUCAGAGAGCUCUCUUGCUCUCAUGGCGCGCCCGCGUCACGUUCACGGGAAAGGUAAGGAUUCAAAAAAAAAAUUUUUUUUUUUCUUUUAGCCGUAGCUAUUUCUUUUCUUUAAAAAAAAAGGGAAAAAAAAAGAAUUUCACCGUAGCUUUGGUUUCCAAAUUUCAGAGAAAAAAAAAAGAAUUUCACCGUAGCUAUUGGUUCCCAAAUUUCAGAAAAAAAAAAGAGAGAAAAAAAUUCCUUUCUUUUUCUUUCUUCUUUCUUUCUUUUCUUUCUUUCUUUCUUUUCUUUCUUUCUUCUUUCUCUUUUCCUUCUCCCCUGCGCCCUCUCUGUUAUCCGAAAUCUCCUUAGCCGCAACAGCACUCCACUGCCUUCCUUCUCCACGAUCGGGCGUCUGCCACCAGAUCUGCCCCACGGCUGAAGCUCCCUCGCCCAUCGUGCAACCACUCCAACUCGUCCGCCACCCCCACCCGAGCUCUGCCUCACGGGCAACCCAGCGGCUCCGCGCACGAAGCUCCACCGCCGUCGCUGCUGAAGUUCCCUCCGCUAUCUGUGCCGCGCUCCACUAGCUGUCACCAGCCCGCGCGCAGCCUCCCCACGCAGCUCUAUCCUCGCACAACCGCCGCCCAUCUCAUCCGCGACCUCCGUCAUCCACCUCUCUCGCGCGAGCCUCUCUUCCUUUUGCCCCUUUCCACCUCUGCUUCACCUCCGCCGGGCGCCACCCUCUGCCUCGAUCUCACAGCUGCCAGUCGCCGUCCUGCUCUGCGCCACAGGCGCGGGCUCGGCCCACUUCCGCAGGCGACAGAGAACCCCAUUUCUCCAUAGUUGCGCGCGGUCCCCUGCCGUUCUCUUUCCGUGGCCGCCAUUCGAGUCCACCCGACGCCACGACCAACUCACCCCCUACUCCCUCGCGUCUCCCUCUUUCUCACACAGUGGAGGUCUAGGGCCCCUUGCUCUCAACCCCCUCCACAAGCAUCUAUUCCUGUGAAUACACCUACCAACCUACAUUCCUCUUCUGGUGCUCGAACCCGUUUGGGUAGGGGUAGGGGUGCUCAGGUGGAUACCCCAGCUCACUUCGGAGGGCACCUCACAUUCACUAGACCCGCCGAUCAGCAGAGAUAUGCUAAGGUCUGUGAGCGGCGUAUUACACCUUGCAAAACUUGGGAAAAAUUAACCGUCGUGGGCCUAGGCAUACGAGAGGAGGUCGAGUAGAUGUUUACAACCAUCGGGUGGCGCCCAUAUCUCGAUAUCUUAUGCCCCGCCUUUGUCGAGCUGACUCGGGAGUUUUAUUCUACCUUUGAGUUUGAGUUGCCCACGAGGUUCACCGUUGAGACGCCCAAUGUCAUCCGCUUUCGUCUGAUGGGUCGGAAAUUUAAUUUUUCAAUUACCCAAUUUAAUCUGGCAUUUGGGUUCAUUACUCGGGAGUAUGCUGAGACUAGAGAGUAUGGUGAGAGUGCCUGUGAUUACGUAGAGCCUUUUCUCUCCCGCUACCGCACUAUAUGGGAAGAAAUGUCCACCGAUCGGCACCGCUACGACCCUUUUAGGUCUAGGAGCUCCUUUCUUAGGGAUCCUAGCGCCCGAUACGUCCAGCGAUUCUUAGCCUAUAGUUAUUCCGGUCGCAAGGACAGCUCCGGGAUUCUCUCUCGACCCGAGUUUUUCUUCAUCUGGAGUAUGCAGAAUAACAUCAAGGUCAACUUGGGGUGUUGGUUGGCGGCGCAGUUCCAGACCGUCUUAACCAAAAAGAACAAGCCCCUGAUCCUUGGGUCCUAUAUCACCCACUUGGCAACACAGUUGGGGGUUCUUAACCUGGAGGACCACGACUUACAUUUGGCGUGCGAGAUGGAGCUCUUGGACGUAGAUUGCUUGGAGAAGAUGAGAGUCGUCGAGCGCCUGCCUGAUGGUUCCUACCAGUUCACCUCUCCGGGACCACCUAGAGCUCCGGGUGCGCACCAUUCGUCUCGAGCAGGGCCCUCCUUAUUUCCUGGGUUAGCCGAGGACACGGCUGGGCCAUCUUCUUCUGCGCCACCUCCACCACAUGGGACGACUGAGUGGCAGCAACUCCGGGAGCAGGUUCAGACUUUGGAGGCUCGGAUGGUCAACGUGGACGCCAAUGUCGCCGGCAUAGCACAGAAUUUGGCGCAGUUUCUGCUUCAUACAGGCUUUGCACCUCCGUUUCCACCUCGCCCCCACUAUGACCCGGUUUCAGGGAAGUUUCGUUGCCUUCUCCCUCACUUUUGCUGCUUUUUUGACACAUUUAGGACACUGUGUCCUAUAGGUGUGGGGGGGGUCUAGAGUCUUUUUAGUUUUUAAUAGUUUUUAGUUUCUGUGUUUUUAGCUUUUAAUAGUUUUUAGUUUUUAGUAGUUUUUAGUUUUAAUAGUUUCUAGUUCUACUUCUAGUUGCUUAUUUUCUUCCUUUCUGCUUGGGUGCUCAUCUCUCAUGCGGAUGAAAAAAAAAUGAUGUUGGUUUAUUGACUCUGAUUCUACUUUUGCCAAGUUUUUCUUUUUAAAUAAACAUGUAUCGGGCUAAUGUGGUGGGGUCCAAGAUAUCUCCUUGGUGAAUAUCGGAUUGCUUGACUCUUUUGAUUUCUUGGUUAACUUUUCUAGGCAUUGGGAAUGACUGUUGGCAUUUUAAUGUGAACUGGUCCAAUAUUGACUCCAGUUCUCCAUGUUUGGCAAUAAUGAGGCGAGCUGCUCCUAUGCUUAGUUGCUAGUGUUGGUAUUUCGCGUUUUUGCAUUGUUUGGCUGUGAAUAAGCUUGACUGUACUCCGCUAUUAAGUUACUACUGAAUAACCGGGAAUCUGCAUCUAAAAGUGUCGAUUCUCGCGUCAAAAGGUGGUGCUUUCUAUGAGUACGUGGUCAUAUAGCGGUAGGAGCUGAGUAACCGGGCUCCUUCAUCUAAAAAUGUUGGAGUUCGCGUCAAAAGGCCCCGACGGCUAAAGACUAAGUCUUUUUGUGUUAAUUAUUAUUGCUAUUAAAAAAUAAAAAAAAUAAUAAAAAAAACACAGAAAACGGAAAAAAAAGGAAAGAAAAAAAAAGGGGGGGAGAAUAAAUAAUAGGAAAGCUUGCCGGUUUAUGGACUUAUUAUGGAGACUCGUGUGAAUAUUUGGACCAUUAGCUGAUAAAUGUGGUGUGCCAUUCCUUUUUUCUUAGAUUAGCUAAUCUAGAAAUUGAAGAAAUUUAUGGUUUAGAGGCUAACCGGGGGGAUGCUUCUCGGAUUUUAAUCACUAGUGCUCGAUAUAUGAUUCUUCCUGAUAUCUUGGCAAUUUGGUGGAUAGAGCAAUGGCCAUUAUCAAAUUUUGGGGUCUGUGCACUAUUCUUAUGCUUGAGGACAAGCACGGUUUAGGUGUGGGGGGAAUUGAUAGGUUGCAAUUUAUCUAUUUAUUUUAUUAUUAAUUUUCCCUGUUACCUGACCCGAUGUGAAUUAAUUAUUAUAUUCUACUCAUUUUUCAUAAUUUGCAUUUAUUUCAGGGAGUAGAACGAAAAUAUAACAACAGGUGCCAAUUUGACAGAAAAGGAAUCCAGAUGAUAGAGCUUGUCCCAGGGGCAUUUUUGGAAAAGAAAAUGUCACGCCCACUUUGGUAAUUUCCGCAAAGAAAUGAUGGACGAAGGGCUUCUUCCUCCUGGUGAGCCUCCGCAAUAAAGGAGGGAAAACAGGAUCAGAUGGGGGCGAGCUUAGUUUUAGUUUUCCGUCUGUAGCUUAGCUUGAGAUUGUUGACUUUUCCCUAAAAUUGCUUUUUGCUUGUCAUACGCAUGGCAGGCAUUAGAAAUUGGUAGCUUUUGACUUUUCUUCAUGUUAAAUGCUUAGAGUUUUUCUAUCUUUCCUCAUAUGCCAUCCGUAGUGAGGCAGAGGAUCAUUUCGUGUAACUUUGCUAUCUCCUCCUGGUUGGAACGGAUUGAGUUCUCAAAAAUCAAUGACAAUGGCCGCAGCUUUAUCUUCAAUUUCUUGGGGGUUUAGUUCAUCAAUUAUGAACUAAUUUUCCAACUCUAGUCAAGGAGCAACGAAGGCUCUGGGUCGCCUAAAAAUUGUGAGAUCGAUAUAAUUUAAUCUUUUCCUUUUAUUUAUUGGUAUUCGCAUAUUCCUUGAUUGCUAUGCUUAUGGUUAUUCAAUUAAUUGAUUGUCUUGGAUCCGGAUAAUUAAUUGAUUUGGUAACCUAUUGUCAAUUGGGGCAUUGAAUCCGUAAUUGUUUAAUUGUCCUGAAAUAGUGACAACUGGCACGAUUAGAUUCGUGUCAGGGGGAUACGCGAGCUAAUCUAAAAUAACCCUGGUAGUGUGUUAUUUGGUUAGAAUAGGGCUCCUCUAAUACGUAAGGCAAUUGGGGAAUUAAAAUUCUACGGGCGUACCUAGGAUUAUUUCUCAAUUAGAGCAGUGAUUAACGGGCGUACCUUAAUCACCGAUACAAUAAGGAGGGGUUGACUGCCAUCGCUUGUUUGGUAGUUAUAACCUAUUUAUUGAUAAAUAAUUGGGUUUGCCUUUGCUUCGAUGAUCAAUUUGGUGAACCAUUGCUGAAGUUACUUCUUGGCUAGAUCUUUAAUUAAUAUUAUCUUGAUUUUAGUGAAUUGCCAUUCGGUUUUUGGUUGUCUACUUUAUUUCAUUUCUAAUUGUUUCCUUGUUUUAAUUGAUUUAGGCCUUUAAUUAUUGCUAUUCUAAAUUCAGUGAAUUGUGGUUUAAUUUCUAGUUAGUUAUUCAUUUUUAUUUUCUUAUUUGAGUUUAUUUAAUUGUCGUCGUUCUUACAAAAUCACCCCCUGUGUUACUUUGAAUUUCUUAAGAAACAAAUAUACCCAUUCCCUGUGGAUACGACCCUACUUGCCCUGUCUACAAAUUCAUAAUUAUUUGUGAAAAGAAAUAACCAUUCCAUUCGGGUAUAUCGGAUCAAGCAAACUCUUCGGGAACAGGGUGAAUCAAGUAACCCAUUGCACACCUAGAGUCCCUGCUCCAGUACUUAGAAUUGGGUUUUGGUCAUUUCGACUGGCAAAUAGGUUUAAUUUUAUUAUUGCACAGGUUUCGACACCCUGUCAAAAAUAAUUAGAAGCCUACUAGAUUUUUGUGUUGACUAUAUUUUUUUUUUCCAAACAAUAACUUUAGUGAGACAAAAGGCGACUAUUCAUUUAAUAUAUGUCUCUAGCUAAGAAGCAAAAUCCAACAGAGCUAGUGCGGAAGCAACAGAAUAAGGUGUCCGUUUUAAGCCUAAAUCCCAAGGAUCAGUAAUUAAGACCAAAUUAUGUUCCAAGUUCAUCUUUCAAGGAUUAACGAAUGAAAUAUAUGUUAAACAAACAGCAAAUGUAAUUGUUAGCCCUCAAUGGAAUAAAGAUGAAGGCCCUAACAAGAAAGUUAAAAGGAAAAUGCCAAGCCAGGAAUCUACAUUUCAAAGCAUCCAAGUUACCCAUGAAAUUUAAAGUGAAGAUGCCAAGCAAGGAAUUUAUAUUUCCAUUGCAAAGGAAGGCAUCCAAGUUAAGAAUAACUCUGCACUUUUAAGCGACCAAAUAUCAAUGCUCUUCUCUCUUUAACCACUUGUAAGAUUACCAAUUUUUGGCUGCUAAAACCUCCCAUUUAAAAAAUCCAUCUUGAUCUCGAGACCUAAUUCAAGUUAUUUUUAAAAAAAUGGCUGACGCUCUUAUCAGCUCCACAAUUCAGGUUGCCUUAGAAAGGGCACUGUCUCUUGCCUCUGAUAGGAUUGGUAUGUUAGUUGAGUUCAAGAAGGACGUGGCCAGCAUGACACGUUCUCUCCGCCUCAUCAAUGUUGUCUUGGCUGAUGCUGAAACAAAGCAAAACCAGGACGCAGCAGUACAAGAAUGGUUGAAGAGUCUCAAGGAGGUAGCUUAUGAGGCUAUCAAUUUGUUGGAUGAGCUCCACUAUGAAUCUCUUCGUCACCAGGUGGAGUCCCGGAACUGACACAAGCUAAAGGUAUGCUGCUUCUUCUCCUUCUCUAACAUUAAUCUUGCUUUUCGUUGGAGAAUGGCUUCUAAGAUCAGGGACAUCAAACUUAUGUUGAAUGAGAUAAAUCAAGAAGCCAAUGGAUUGGGACUGGUUAGUAGGUUAGUGAUGGCAGCUGCCCUCCCUGCUGCUGUCGGAGACACAAGAAGUCGGCAGACCGACUCUGUUGUUGCUCCAAUGAUUGAAAGAGACAAUGACAAAUCAAAGAUAGUGGAGAUGUUGUUGAGCCCAUCUAAGAAGGUUGUUUCUAUUCUUCCCAUAACUGGUAUGGGAGGUUUAGGCAAAACAACUUUGGCUAAAUCGAUAUACAACGACAAGCAAAUUAAUGCGCACUUUAAGAAAAAGAUUUGGGUUUGUGUAUUGAAAAAAGUUCCAAUAGAGGAGCUUUUCAAACUCAUAUUAGUGCAAUUGAUGAAAGAAAAAGUUGAAGUAGAUGAUAGGAAUGUCAUUGUUGGAAAAAUUCAGAAUCAACUUGAGGAAAAAAGAUAUUUCCUUGUUCUUGAUGAUGUGUAGGAUGAUAGUCAGGCAUUGUGGGAUGACCUUUUCACCACCUUGAAGGGGCUCAAUCCAACCGAUGGAAGCUGGUGUCUUGUCACUACGCGUCUUAAUCAAGUGGCAGAUACUGUGUCGAAAGUUCUGAGGAUGGAUGAUGAAUGCUAUUCCUUAGGAAAACUACCUGAUGAUCAUUGUUGGUCUAUCCUAAAAGAAAAAGUAGUUGUAGGGGAAGAAGAUCCUGAUGAACUAAAAGCAAUUAAAGAGAGAGUAAUUAAAAGAUGUGAUGGUCUACCACUAGCUGCAAGUAUAAUCGGAGGUCUGUUUUGUUUAAAGGGAAAAGAGGAAUGGCAACCAAUUCUAGAGAAUAAGCUUUUGAGUUUGAGUGCAGAUGGAGAGUGUGUGAUGCAAAUACUUAAGUUGAGUUUUGAUUAUUUACCAUCUCCAUACAUUAAGAAAUGUUUUGCAUAUUGUUCUAUAUUUUCUAAGGAUAGUGAGAUAGAAAGGAAUAUGCUUAUCGAACUUUGGAUGGCAGAAGGUUUCCUCCAAGCAGAUAUCAAUAGCCAAAUGAUGAUGGAGGAAUUGGAAUGAAUUAUCUAGCAAUAUUAUUGCAGAGUUCAUUGUUUGAAGAAAUAAGAUAUGGUUGGAAAACAUGUUACAAGAUGCAUGAUUUGGUGCACAACCUUGCUGAGUCAAUGUCAAAGUCUACCAAAGUCAUUAAUGAUUCGAAUACACAUGUGGUAGACAAUGGUAAUCAGAUUCAUUACCUUGCAACAAACUCAUUUGGUGGUGGAGAAGACAGAGAAAAACUUUUGGAGAGUGUAUCAACUUCGCUUCAUACAUUGUUUGUAAAGGGUGACUUUUCUGGUAAUAUAUUAAUGAAGUUGAAGAACUUGUAUUCUUUGAAUUUGUCUGAUUCAAGAACUCGAGAGCUACCAAUCUCAAUUGGCAAACUGAUACAUUUGCGGUAUGUUAACCUUUGGCGGUCUGCAAUCAGGAUUUUGCCAGACUCCCUUUGCAAGCUUUAUAAUCUGCAGACAUUGACGCUAAGUGACCCAAAUGUUAAAGAUCUUCCAAAGGGGAUGUGCAAUUUGAUUAGUUUGAGACAUCUCCACUAUUACACAAGUGAUGAAAACUUUCAAAUGCCGCUAGAGAUGGGACGAUUGUCUUGCCUUCAGACACUAGAGUUCUUUAAUGUGGGUCGAGAGAAAGGUAGACAAUUGGAGAGCUUGGAUGCUUGAAAAACCUCAAAGGCAAAUUGGAGAUACACAAUCUUCAAGGAUAGGAAAGGAUCUGAGGAAGCAAAUCUUGGUGAAAAGGCAAAUAUACUUACGUUGCAACUUGAGUGGCCAUGCAUUUGGAGUCGAGAAGGCAACAACUACAACUACGACAAAGAUGUGUUAGAUGGCCUUCGGCCUCACCCAAAUUUGAAGGAGUUGGUAAUUCUGUGUUUUAUGGGUGAUCAAUUUCCUCGAUGGUUAAUGGAUUUGCCAACAACACUCCCCAAUUUAGUGAGUUUGAAAUUUUAUUGGUGCGACAGAUGUAGGGAACUCCUUCCCCUGCAAAACUUUAUGUCUCUUAAAAAGCUGGUGAUUUGGGGUUGCUGUGGGUUGACGAAUCUGCCCAGUAACAUGCUACAGUCUUGUCCCUCCCUCGAGAAGCUUCGAGUGAAUGCUUGCUAUAGUCUUAUUUCCUUUCCACUUGAUUUGCAACAAACGCCUUCUCUCUUGGAUCUGAGGUUAUCCUGCUGUCCCAAACUCAAAACAAGUAUGACGCCCAAAGGAUUUCAUUUCCUAACCAGCUUCAGGAAGCUUAAAAUUGGUCCCUUUUCAGAUGAUGAUGAUGAUGAUGAUCAUGAAAAUUCUUCAAUUUACAAUGAAUUUGAUUGGUCUGGUUUGAUAUCCUACAGUUCUUCGUCAUCUGGACUCCGUCGAUUAGACUUAUUUGGGUUGCCACACAUGGAGUCCAUGCCACAUCAGCUCCAAGACUUGACCACUCUAACAUCACUAUCGCUGGGUCAGUUUGGAGGUAUAAAAGCUCUACCAGAUUGGUUCGGAAACUUUGCUGCUCUUGAAGAACUGCAUUUAUUUGACUUUAAAGAGUUUCGACAUUUACCCUAUGGGGAUGCCAUGAGAAGUCUCACCAAACUAAAAGAUCUGAGCAUUUAUGGUUCUCCUCUGUUAAAAGAAAGAUGCACUCCUGAGAGCAGCGGCCCCGACUCCCAGUGGUCCAAAGUUUCUCAUAUUCAACACCUACACAUAAGUGGGUCAAGAGUUUUUCUUUAGAUCAAAUUCAAUCAUGUAAGAUUGCCUCCUACCUACUUUCUUAAUUCGUCUUAUAAUCAAUCUCUUUGUUGUUUUAAGAUUUGCCUUCUCUUCACCUCCUACUCUGAUUAACCUUCUCAUCAGAAAAACUAAAAAGUUCCCCAUGGUUAUUCUUCAGAAUUUUCUCUUCUUCCUUUUUCUUGUCCUGUUUGUUAUCUUUCAAAGCUACGACAAUAGCAUAUCUUAUUAGGUCCAACAUAUUGGUGCUUUUCAUUUACUCCUAACAGCAUAAUACUCUUGUAACCAUCAAUUAGCAUGAAACCAAGCACCUAUCCUGUUCCGUGCUUUGAUGUAUUAUUAUAACUCUAUUAAUAUUCUAUUCCACACUUUGUUUUUGUAGGAUUGACAAAACAAUAGCUUCACGAAAUUAUCUGAAUUGUCUUGUUAGAUCUCUUGUUGACUACAUAAUGUCUGAGCUCGAAUUUUUUGUUUUGCAGUGAUCUUAGGCUCAAGGUUUAACUGGAAAUCUGCGCUGGCUAUUAAUUGCUCAUCAAAUUGCAAAGCUAGUAUCUUGGACAGAAAUGUUUAUGAUGGCACUUAUUUCUUUCGUAUUACAGUCUUAAAUAGCCAACACUUGAUAUAUAUCCUUAUCAUUUGAGCUUACACACUGUCAAUCUGCCGUUUCAGUCACGAGGUCUAGCAGUAAGAAUUUACCUACUAUGUUACUACAAAUUAUCUCUUUUCUUCUUGGCUUCUUGUCCUUGAAACUAGAUGUUACAUAAUUGAAAAAAUUUUUUAGUCUGUAUUUUUGAUUGCUCAAGACUAUCAACUGGCCUGUACGAGCUGCUUGGAAAAAUUUCAUGCCCCAACUUAUCGAAAGUUUGUGAAAAGCCAUCAUUACCAAGACUUUCUGAUGAUCCUUAUUGACAGUUUGAGGAUCAUUACUACAGAAACAGAUUGACCAUUAAAGAUUUUCUAACUUUUGAGAAUUAUCCAAAGGUUAGCAUGUCUAAGCCUUAUAGGAUACAAUUUUCUCAUUUAUUUUAUUAUUAAUUUCCCCUAUUACCUGACCUGAUGUGGAUUUAUUGCUGGAUUCUACUCACUUUUAGUAUUUUACAUUUAUUUCAGGGAAUAGAAUGAAAAUAUAAUAACAGGUACCAAUUUGACAAAAAAGGAGUCCAGACGAUAGAGCUUGUCUCAAGGGCAUUUUUGAAAAAAAAGAUAUCACGUCCGUUUCGGUAAUUUGCAGCAAAGGAAUGACAGACGAAGGGCUUCUUCUUCCUGGGGUGGAGCCGCCGCACAAAAAAAAAAAAAAGAAAGAAAGGAGGCAGGAGAUAAAAACGAGAGAAUAGCAGAGGACUAGGGGAAUCUUGAUUUCUUCUUAGUUUCUCGUCUUUAGCUUAGCAUGAAUUUCUAUUGACUUUUCCCUUGGACUUACUUUUUGGCUUUGGGGACUUACGAAUGUGAGGACCCCUAAGCCAUUCUUGGCUUUUGACUUUACUUCAUUUUUGAACUUUCAGUAUUUACGUUCCUUUCUUCGUAUGUCAUUCGAAGUGAAACAAAGGGUUACCUCUUGUAACUUUGCUAUCUUUUCAUGAUUGGAGCGAAUUGCAUUUCCCAAUUUUUGUGACAAUGGCCGCAACUCUUGUUUCAACUUCCUGUGGACUUAGUUCAUCAAACAUGAACUAAUUUCACCACUCUAGUCAAGGAGCAACGGAGGCUCUGAUUCACCUAAAAAUUGUGAGAUCGAUUUAAUUUAAUAUUUUUCUUUUAUUUAUUGGUAUUCGCAUAUUCCUUGAUUGCUAUACUUAGGGUUAUUUAAUUAAUUGAUUGUCUUGGAUACGGAUAAUUAAUUGAUUUGGUAACCUAUUGUCAAUUAGGGCAUUAAAUCCGUAAUUGUUUAAUUGUCCUGAAAUAGUGACAACUGGCACGAUUAGAUUCGUGUCAGGGGGAUACGCGAGCUAAUUUGAGAUAACCCUGGUAGUGCGUUAUUUGGUUAGAAUAGGGCUCCUCUAAUACGUAAGGCAAUUGGAGAAUUAAAUCUUACGGGCGUACUUAGGAUUACUUCCUAAUUAGAGCAGUGAUUAACGGGCCAACCUUAAUCACCGACAUAAUAAGGAGGGGUUGAUUGCCAUCGCUUGUUUGGUAGUUAUAACCUAUUUAUUGAUAGAUAAUUGGAAUUGCCAUUGCAUUGAUGAUCAAUUAGGUGAACCAUUGCUGAAGUUAUUUCUUGCAGACCGUUAAUUAAUAUUACCUUGAUUUUAGUGAAUUGUCGUUUGAUUUUUAGUUGCCUAUUUUAUUUUAUUUUUAAUUGUCUUCUUGUUCUAGUUGUUUUGGAUCGUUAAUUAUUGUUACAUUAAGUUUAGUGAAUUGCCAUUUAAUUUCUAGUUAGUUAUUUAUUUUUAUUUUCUUAUUUGAAUUUCUUUGAUUGUCAUCGUUUCUACAAAAACACCCCCCUUUGUUACUUUGGAUUUCUUAAGAGACAAAUAUCCCCAAUCCCUGAGGAUAUGACCCUACUUGCCCUGUCUACAAAUUUGUAAUUAUUUGUGAAAAAAUCAUCUCAUUCGGGUAUAUCGGAUCAAGCAAACUCUUUGAAAACAGGGUGAAUCAAGUAACCCAUUGCACACCUAGAGUCCCUGCUCCAGUAUUUGAAAUUGGAUUUUGGUUAUUUUCACUGGUAAUUAGGUUUAAUUUUAUUAUUGUACAGGCUUUGACAACCUGUCAAUUUUUGGCGCCGUUGCCGGGGAUUAGCAUUAUUAUUUGUUUCUUUUUAAAUUCAUUUUUUAUCUAAUUUUCUGGUGCUUUUCAAGUGUAUGCCUCGUUCUUCUCAUAUAUGUGAAUUAAUUUUCGAUCCCGAGGAAGAGAAGACUGCGCGUAGGACAAGAAAAGAGACCAGACAGCUCAGAGAGGAGCACUCCAGUGCUGCAUCUCAGAGACCUGAGUCAGAAGUUGAACCAACAGAUUCGUUUGGUGACACUUCGAGUGACUCUGACCAGGAGGAAGGCACCAUGGCUAAUACACAAAUAUUAAGGGAGUUGGCUGCACCUGAUUUAAAUCAGCAGCCCUUAUGCAUUACUUUCCCCACUUUAAAUGAUAACACUCCAUUUGAGUUAAAAUCUGGUCUAAUUUACCUUCUACCAUUUUUUCAUGGUUUACCAGAUGAGGAGCUUUAUAAGCAUUUGCAAGAGUUUGAUGUCUUGUGCAAUAGUAUGAAACCCUCGGGAAUCAUAGAAGAGCAGAUAAAAAUGAGGGCAUUCCUCUUUUCCUUGAAAGAUUCUGCAAAGGACUGACUGUACUACCUACCACCAGGUAGCAUCACCACGUGGGACCAGUUAAAGAAAAAAUUCUUAGAUAAGUAUUUUCCCGCGUUUCGAGUUGCAAGUCUAAGAAAGGAGAUUUGUGGGAUCAAACAGCACCCAGGGGAGUCACUCUAUGAGUAUUGGGAGCGAUUCAAGCAGUUGUACAUCAAGUGCUCCCAGCACCAGAUAAGUGAGCAGUUGCUCAUACAGUAUUUUUAUGAGGGGCUCCUUUUUAAAGACAGGAGCAUAAUUGAUUCUGUAAGUGGAGGGGCAUUGGUGAACAAAACCCCUUGGGAAGCAUGAGAGUUAAUUGAGGGAAUGACAGAGAAUUUACAGCAAUUUGGUAUGAGAAAGGAUGUCCCAAUACGCAAGGUGAAUGAAGUAGAGACAUCCUCUAUCUAGCAGCAGCUAACUGAGUUGACUUCUUUUGUUAGGCAACUGGCUGUAGGAAAUGCAUCUCAGGCCAAGGUGUGUGGGAUUUGCACUGUUAUGGGUCAUUCUACAGACAUUUGUCCAGUAAUGCAAGAGGAAGGUGCGGAGCAAGUGAACAUGGCAGGUCACGCGCCCACGCCAAGAAGGCCCUAUGACCCCUAUUCAAAUACCUACAACCCUGGUUGGAGGGACCACCCUAACCUCAACUAUGGAGGGAACAGGCAGACUAAUUUCGUGCCAAAUAAGCAACCAAGAUACCAGCAGCAGUACCAACCCGUACCACCUCCGCCCCCGAGCUCUGGUCCAUCUUUGGAGGAGAUGAUGAAGCAACUACUUGCUAAUCAACAAAAGGUGGACUCUGAAAGGCAGGAUAUAAGAAAUCAGAUGAAUCAAAUUGCCAAAACAAUCAACCGCUUGGAGUCCUAAGUGCAAGGUAAAUUGCCGUCUCAGCCUAAAUUGAACCCGAAGAAUGUAAGCGCGAUGACCCUAAGGAGCGGGAAGAAAAUUUUGGGGCCUGAGCUGGUAAUCCCUAAGGACAAAGAUGAGAAAAAGAUAUGAAAUGAGUUUGAGAGGGAGGACAGCAAUGGUGCAGAUCCAAAGGUACUUUCAGAUCCAGCACUUACAGUUAAAACUAACCCGCCUUCUUUCCCUAGCAGGUUGGAAAAAUUGAAGAAACAGGAUAAGGAGAAGGAGAUCUUGGAGGUGUUUCGCAAGGUAGAGAUUAAUAUCCCCCUCUUAGACGCAAUUAAAUAAGUUCCAAAAUAUGUCAAGUUCCUAAGGGACUUGUGUGUCAACCGAACGCGGUUGAGAGGAGAUGAAAAGGUUAUUGUUGGGGAGAAUGUGUCAGCGGUCCUGCAGAGAAAGUUUCCACCAAAGUGCGGGGACCCAAGUAUGUUUACUAUUCCCUGUAGGAUAGGCAACACUGUGAUUAGAAGGGCCAUGUUGGACCUGGGAGCAUCAAUUAAUGUCAUGCCUAAAUCUAUAUAUGCUUCUCAAAAACUACGUCCAUUAAAAGAAACUGGGAUAAUCAUUCAACUAGCUGACCGAACUAAUGCACAUCUUGAUGGGUUGGUUGAAGAUGUGUUGGUAAAAGUUAAUGAUUUGGUGUUUUCAGCUAAUUUUUAUGUACUUGAUAUGGAUGAUGAUCACUCACCCGAUCCCUCACCUUUAUUAUUAGGUAGACCCUUUAUGAGCACAACACAGACUAAAAUUGAUGUUAACAAUGGUACCUUGUCUAUGGAGUUUGAUGGAGAAAUUGUUCAUUUUAAUAUUUUUGAUACCAUAAAAUACCCCUCAAACUCCAAUUUUAUCUCUGUUUUCUCUGUGAGUACUAUUGACCCUGCGAUGCAGAAAGUGUUUGAAACUGUUGGCAGGGAUGAGUUGGAGGUGGCUCUGAUCAAACACCUCGAGUUGGAGAUGAUGACUGAGGUAGAGUGGAGCAAGGAUCUAAAAUACACAAUAGACGCAUUACACUCAUUGCCGACCACCACAAAAAAGUAUGAAAUCUUGCCUAUUUUUAUUUCCGAAUCUCACCAGAGGGUAUUGUCAUCUGUGGUGCAGGCACCUGUAUUGGAAUUGAAACCCCUGCCGGUGCAUUUGAAAUAUGUGUAUUUGGGUGACAAUGAAACACUUUCGGUAAUUAUCUCAGCUGUACUCUCGAAAACUCAGGAGGAAAAGUUGAUCCGAGUCCUUAGAAAGUAUAAAGAGGUGAUAGGUUGGACCAUCGCAGCCAUCAAGGGGAUCAGCCCCUCCAUCUGUAUGCACCGGAUUAGGUUGGAAGAGGAUGCCAAACCCGUACGGCAGACUUAAAGGAGGCUCAACCCCCUUAUGAUAGAAGUGAUAAAGAAAGAAAUUUUAAAAUUGCUAAAUGUGGGGAUCAUUUUUGCAAUAUCAGAUAACCCCUGGAUGAGUCCGAUCCAGGUAGUUCCAAAGAAGGCAGGAGUGACAGUGGAAGCCAACCAAACUGGUGAACUUAUGCCAGUACACAAACCCACUGGAUGGAGGCAACGUAUCGAUUACCAUAGGCUGAACGCCGUUACCAAAAAGGACCAUUUUCCUCUCCCUUUCAUUGACCAAAUAGUUGAACGUUUAGCUUGUAGGGCUUACUGUUGCUUUUUGGAUGGAUUUUCAGGAUAUUUUCAGAUAGCAAUUGCACCAGAGGAUCAAGAGAAAAUGACCUUCACGUGCCCGUUCGGGACCUUCGCGUACAGACGGAUGUCAUUCGGGUUGUGCAAUACGCCGACAACAUUCCAGAGGUGUAUGGUAAGCAUUUUCUCUAAAUAUGUAGAGAAAAUAAUUGAGGUUUUCAUGGACAAUUUCAGUGUGUAUGGUGAUAGUUUUGAUACAUGUCUAGAUACCUGAGAUUGAUCUUGUUAAGGUGUAUAGAGACUAAUCUCGUGCUUAAUUGAGAAAAAUGUCAUUUUAUGGUUGAACAUGGGAUAGUUUUGGGUCAUAUUAUAUCUUCUAAAGGUAUCGAGGUCGACAAGGCUAAAAUAGACAUUAUAUCUGCCUCCACAGCGCCGCACAGUCACAUGGCCGCGACCCUCCAGAUCCUGCCGCCACCAACUCAUCUCCAGCUCAUCCGCCGCCAGCAGCCCACGGCCGACGCCCGCCUCUGCUGCCCACGUCGACGCAGGACCAGCUAGACCGCUGCCCACCUCGCGUUCUCCCUCCGCUCCGCAAUGCCGAAGACCACCGAGAGAACAAGUCGCCGUCGCUGUUCAUGCCACGGCCACACGCCAGCCGCAUGUCUUUCCCUUGGUGUUGCGCUCUCCCUCUUUCAUAACAGAUGAAGGUAUUCACCCCUCGAACACUUAUACCCAAUUGUUUACAGCAAUAACUUUUGGACUUAAUUACUGGGCUGAAUUGGAAACUCCCUGGUUGCGUUAUCUGCUUAAAUUGAUUGACAUUGUUUGGAGGAGUUCCCUGCUAUUGUGGUUGUUGUUAAUUACCCAAUUGAGAAACCAUAGGGCUUAUUGGGUUGAGUGCAACAUUUUUAGUUGUAUUCGUUGCUUUAAAGUGCGUUGCCAGUGGAUUUCAAUUGCUCAAUUCCUUGGGUCUAUCAGUCCUGCUGUUGGUUGUUGAAUUGGGAAGGCUUUGUCUGUGUUUUUACUCUUCUCCGUUGUGUGAAUUGUUGCCCUCAUUGACUGUCUGUGGGGCAUUGGGCAUUUUUAUUUGCUGGAAUUCUUCUGUUUGUUAUUGAUUGGGUUACUACUAGGAGAUUAUUGCAUUUGCUGGUUCCUAUACCUGUUGGAGCUUCUGUUGCUUUGAGCUAACUGUUGGGGGACAUGGUGAGACCAAAAUCAUCCUCUAGGUCUAAGGCCUCUCAGUCUCAACCCCCUCCACAGGUCUCCAUUCCUGUGAACACACCUACCAACUUACUCUCCUCUUCUAGUGUCCGAACCCGCUUGGGUAGGGGUAGGGGUGCUCAGGUAGAUACCCCAGCUCACUUUGGGGGGCAGUUGACCUUCACUAGACCCGCCGAUCAGUAGAGAUACACUAAGGUCUGUGAGAGGCGUAUCAUAUCCUGUAAAUCUUGUGAUAGACUCUCUCUGACUGCCCUCGGUAUACGGGAGAAGGUUGAUCAAAUGUUCACCGCCAUUGGGUGGUGCCCGUAUUUUGAUAUUUCUUGCCCCACCUUUGUUGAGCUUAUUCGAGAGUUUUAUUCCACCUUUGAGUUCGAGUUGCCUACGAGGUACACCGUUGAAACACCGAAUGUCAUUCAUUUCCGUCUAAUGGGUCGGGAGUUCAAUUUCUCCAUUACCCAGUUCAAUCUGGCAUUUGGAUUUAUUACUAGAGAGUAUGCUGAGACUAGGGAGUAUGCGGAGAGUGCCUGUGAUUAUAUAGAGCCAUUUCUCUCCCGCUACCAUGAUGUGUGGGAGGACAUGUCCGUCAAUCGGCACCGCUACCAUCCUUCUAGGUCUAGGAGCUCUUUUCUUAAGGAUCCUAGUGCCCGAUAUGUUCAGCGAUUCUUAGCCUACAGUUACUCGGGGGGCAAGGACAGCUCCGGUAUACUCUCUCGACCUGAGUUUUUCUUCAUCUGAAGUAUGAAAAACAAUAUCAAGGUCAAUUUGGGGUGUUGGUUGGCUGCACAGUUCAAGACUGUUUUGACCAAAAAAAACAAACCUCUGAUCCUUGGGUCCUAUAUCACCCACUUGGUGACCCAGUUAGGAGUUCUUAAUCUGGAUGACCACGACCUCUAUUUGGCAUUCGAGAUGGAGCACCUGGACGUGGACUGCUUAGAGAAGAUAGGAGUCGUCGAGCGCCUGCCCAAUGGUUUCUACUAGUUUAUCCCUCCAGGACCAGUUCGAGCUCCAGGUGCGCACCCUUCGACCCGAGCAGGGCUCUCUUCAUUUCCUGGGUCGGCCGAGGACACUACUGGGCCAUCCUCUUCUGCGCCACCUCCACCACCUAGAACUACUGAAUGGCAGCAACUCCGGGAGCAGGUUCAGACUUUGGAGGCUCGGAUGGUCAACAUCGACGUCAAUGUAGUUGGCAUGGCGUAGAAUUUGGCGCAGUUUCUACUUCAUAAGGGCUUCCUCCUCUAUUUCCACCUCGCCCACCACUUUGACCUGGCUUCAGGGAAGUUUGGUCGCCCUCUCUCCCCUUUUGAUGUUUAUUUGUCACAUUGAGGACAAUGUGUCCUAUAGGUGUGGGGGGUCUAAUGGGGUGCUAGUAUUUUUUUUAGUUUUAGUAGUUUUUAGUUUUUAGUUUUAUUUCUAGUUCAUUAUUUGUCUAUCUGUCGCUCAUUUUCUUUCUUUUUUUUGGUGCUUAUCUCUCAUGUGAAUACCCGGAUUUGAUGUUGGGAUGUUGAUUCUAACUCUACUUUUGCCAAGUUUUUAAAAUAAAAGUGUAUCGAGUUAAGGUUUUUGAGUCCAAGACAUCUGCUUGGUGAAUAUCAGACUGCUUGACUUUUUUGAUUUCUUUGUUAACAUUUCUAGGCAUAAGGAAUGAUUGUUGGCGUUUUAAUGUGAAUUGGUCCAAUAUUGACUCUAACUCUCCAUGUUUGGCAAUAAUGAGGCGAGCUGCUCCUAUUUCUGGUUUUUAGGUUGUUUUGCGUUUUUGCGUUGUUUGGCUGUGAAUAAGCUUGAUUGUACUCCGCUAUUAGUUACUAUUGAGUAACAGGGGAUCUGCACCUAAAAGUAUCGAUUCUCGCGUCAAAAAGUAAUACUUUCUAUGAGUACGUGGUCGUAUAGCCAUUGGAAUUGAGUAACCGGACUCCUUCAUCUAAAAAUAUUGGAGCUCACGUCAAAAGGCUCCAAUGACUAGAGACUAAGUCUUUUUGUGUUAUUAUUAUUACCAAAAAAAAUAAAUAAUAGAAAAGUGUGUUAUUAUUAUUACUAAAAAAAUAAAUAAUAGAAAAGUGAAGAAAAACAAAAAAAAAGAGGAAAAAAAUAGUGCAGGUUGUGUUAGUGUGUUAGAGGUCAGCUUGCCGAUUUAUGGACCUAAUAUGGAGACUUUGGUUAAUAUUUGGAUUGUUUGCUGAUAAUUGUUAUGCGCCAUUCCUUUUUCUUAGAUUAGCUAAUUUAGAAAUUGAAGGAAUUUGUGGUUUAGAGGCUAACUGGGGGGAUGCUUCUCGGAUUUUAAUCACUAGUGCUCGAUAUAUGAUUUUUCUUGAUAUCUUGGCAACUCGAUAGAUAGAGCAAUGACCAUUAUCAAAUUUUGGGUGUCUGUGUACUUUUCUUAUGCUUGAGGACAAGCAUGGUUUAGGUGUGGGGGGAAUUGAUAUGAUACAAUUUUCUCAUUUAUUUUAUUAUUAAUUUUCCCUAUUACCUGAUCUGAUGUGGAUUAAUUGUUGGAUUCUACUCAUUUUUAGUAUUUUACAUUUAUUUCAGGGAAUAGAAUGAAAAUAUAAUAACAGGUACCAAUUUGACAAAAAAGGAGUCCAGACGAUAGAGCUUGUCUCAAGGGCAUUUUUUGGAAAAAAAGAUAACACGUCCGUUUCGGUAAUUUGCAGCAAAGGAAUGACAGACGAAGGGCUUCUUCUUCCUGGGGUGGAGCCGCCGCACAAAAAAAAAAAGAAAAAAGAAAGAAAGGAGGCAGGAGAUAAAAACGAGAGAAUAGCAGAGGACUAGGGGAAUCUUGCUUUCUUCUUAGUUUCUCGUCUUUAGCUUAGCAUGAAUUUCUAUUGACUUUUCCCUUGGACUUACUUUUUGGCUUUGGGGACUUACGAAUGUGAGGACCCCUAAGCCAUUCUUGGCUUUUGACUUUACUUCAUUUUUGAACUUUCAGUAUUUACGUUCCUUUCUUCGUAUGUCAUUCGAAGUGAAACAAAGGGCUACCUCUUGUAACUUUGCUAUCUUUUCUUGAUUGGAGCGAAUUGCAUUUCCCAAUUUUUGUGACAAUGGCCGCAACUCUUGUUUCAACUUCCUGUGGACUUAGUUCAUCAAACAUGAACUAAUUUCACCACUCUAGUCAAGGAGCAACGGAGGCUCUGAUUCACCUAAAAAUUAUGAGAUCGAUUUAAUUUAAUAUUUUCCUUUUAUUUAUUGGUAUUCGCAUAUUCCUUGAUUGCUAUGCUUAGGGUUAUUUAAUUAAUUGAUUGUCUUGGAUACGGAUAAUUAAUUGAUUUGGUAACCUAUUGUCAAUUAGGGCAUUAAAUCCGUAAUUGUUUAAUUGUCCUGAAAUAGUGACAACUGGCACGAUUAGAUUCGUGUCAGGGGGAUACGCGAGCUAAUUUGAGAUAACCCUGGUAGUGCGUUAUUUGGUUAGAAUAGGGCUCCUCUAAUACGUAAGGCAAUUGGAGAAUUAAAUCUUACGGGCGUACUUAGGAUUACUUCCUAAUUAGAGCAGUGAUUAACGGGUCAACCUUAAUCACCGACACAGUAAGGAGGGGUUGAUUAUCAUCGCUUGUUUGGUAGUUAUAACCUAUUUAUUGAUAGAUAAUUGGAAUUGCCUUUGUAUCGAUGAUCAAUUAGGUGAACCAUUGCUAAAAUUAUUUCUUGGCUAAAUGAUAGGUUGCAAUUUUAUCAUUUAUUUUAUUAUUAAUUGCUCCUAUUACUUGACUUGAUGUGGAUUAAUUGCGGGAUUCUACUCACUUUUAGUAUUUUGCAUUUAUUUCAGGGAGUAGAACGAAAAUAUAAUAACAGGUGCUAAUUUGACAGGAAAAGAGUCCAGAUGAUAGAGCUUGUCCUAGGGGCACUUUUCGGAAUAACAAAACGCGAGCCCUUUUUGGACAAAUUGGGCCGAAGUUUUCUUUUAUGGAGUGAGCCGCCGGACAUCAAGGGGAAGCGGAGGAUAAAAAACCAAGGGAAUAGCAGAGGAUUGGGGGCGCAGCUGUAUUUUUUUUUCUUUAGCUUCAUCUUUGACUUUUCUCCUUAGAUUUUGGUAAGGGUAAAGUACAUAAAACCCCCCUGUGGUUAAGAAAAUUGACACGAAACCUCCUCAUUGUUUAGAAACUCCCACUUAACCCCCCUGUGCUUUGGACUUGUUUGGAUUUUACCUGCUAACCGGCUGGGGAGCCGGUAAUAAUAUGAAAUAUCAAAAAUACCCUCAUAUAUAAUAUGUGAAAAGUUACAUAUGCAAUGAGUCAAUCUGGAGCGGAUGAAAGAAACUGAGAGAGAAACCCUAAACCUAUAACGAAGAAGAAGGUAACUGUAUUGCUGAGCGGUGCGAGUUAUGAUGAAGAUCUGUCGGGCUUGAGAUAUAUUUCAUGUUUAGAGAGAGAAACCCUAAACCUAAUUCCAAAAAGAUGGUGUUUGUGUGCUGCGGAUCGGGAAACCUACAGCCAAGAACAUCGGUCGGUGCUUGAGUGCAGAUGGAUCGGCGUUUAUGUGUAGAUCGGUCGAGAGUCGCAACGCAUUGAGCAUAUCUGAACCAGGUAAAAUACAUAUAUGAACCUUAUGCAUUAGACGAGUUGAUUUAUUUGAUGGCAGGUGUUUUGGUACUAAAUUGUUGGGGAUAUUUUGAAACUUGGUAAAGGAACCACCAUGUUUGGCUUAGUUAGAAGUGUCUCCGACAAUGUUUGUGGGAAUUUGUUUUUAAAAUUUGGUAAUUAUUGCAAAAUGUCAGUUUGGGCUUGGUCAGAAGCUUUUCCGACAGUCUUCCGUGUUUGUGGGAAUUUUUUUUGCUUUUUUAUAACAAUACGCAAAAUAUCAAGAUUUGGCUUAGUCAGAAGCUUUUCUGACAAUGUUUGGGUGCAAUUAUUUAAAAAAUUGCAAUAUACUGCAAAAAAAUAUGAGUUUUUGUGGAGUAAUCAAAUUUUCAUUGGUCCAUACUGGUCUUGAUUAUGGUCUUGAUUAGGUUUUUUUCAUCCUUCUAGAUAAGUGUGUUGUUGUUCAUUUUUUUAUGUUUUUGAAACUGAGUGUGUAUGAAAUAUUGCAUGUCCUUUUUGAUACAUCUGAAAAGCAAAUGAGUAAAUGAAUCUCUGUUUUUUGAUACACUUGAAAACGAAAUUAGUAAAAUAAUCUCGGUUACUUUGGGUAAGGUGCAUAAAAAUGAGAGAUAAUUCGUGGCAGACCGUAGACAUACACUUGCAUUAUGGUGGAUAUUUCAAAUAGGAGCCGAGAAUUAGAUACACUGGCGAACAUGUGAGGGUAUUUUGUGAUUUCGACCCUGAUGAAUUAUCCGUAUUUGAGUUUCAAAAAAUAUACCAAACAAUUGAGCAUGGCGUUACAAAUAUGAAUUUCUGGUACUGUAUUCCCUUUCAUGACCUUGAUUUUGGUGUGGUUAGCAUCAAUGAUGAUGUAGACAUCGAAUUAUUGACAACAUGUUAUGAGGGGUUUAAAGAAAUGCACAUAUAUGCUGAGAGGGGGUCUGAUCCUAUUGAAGUUGUGUCUCCGGAAGGAAAAUUACUGUACAAGAGAGUGACUGGUGAUGGCAUACUUGCACUUCCAUAUCAUGAUACCUGGCAGGCUGAGAUUAGUUCGUCCUCAACUGUUAAAGGCAAGGAUGACAUGGUCAAGGAAGUAAUUGGGAGUGAGGACAAUAAUGACAUUCCAGACAUUAACAACAAAGCAAAGGACGUCUGCGAAGAAAAGUCAUUACAAAUGGAGUCAGAUCCAGCUGUUAUGGGACCACAUAAAGAGAAGAUACAUGAUGCUGGUGACAAGUCCAAGAGAAAGAAGGUAAGAAAUGAUAAAAAAGUCAAGUCACAAAGAGUAAAGUUAAGCGCAAGGAAAUCAGUCAGGCGGUUAUUUAAAGACAAAGAAGAAGGUGAUACAUCCUCAGAGUUUCGGCAGUGUCAUACAAGGAAAUCAGCAGAAGAAACAACACAGACAGAGGGAGAUCCAACAUCAGAGCAGACUGAUUGUUAUGGAGAAAGACCAAUUCAUGAAGACGGAGAAGAAGAUGAAAUCAUAAUGGAUUACUCAGAUUUUCCUGACUGGCUAAGAGAAGCAGUAGAACUGCCUGAAGAAGAUGAUAUAUUUGCAGGUUUAAAUGGUCAAGGAUGAACACAGGCGUCUAUAAAUAUUGGAUCUGCAAAUUCAUUUGGUAUUCCUUCUGAGCAGCAACAAGAAAAUCAGCAAGCAAAAGCAUCAAACAAAGCUGAUUUAGAUGAACAGCACCAAAAACAACAUGAAAAUCAGCAACUAACUGAAAACCCAGAAGCUGAUUUAGAUGAACAUCAACAACAACAACAAAAUCAGCAGGAACAGGAUUGGAAUGAGGCAGUAGAUGAUGAUGAAAACCUGUUUGACAGAGGAAUAGGUUCUGAUGAUGAAAGCACCCCUGUCUACAGCUACUUCAAUGCGGAUGAAGAGUUUAGAAAAGAGCACUUUGAACUAAAGGUUGGCCAGAAAUUUAGCAGUUUUCAUAAGUUUAGAGAGGUUUUAGUGGAAUGGGGUAUUAGGGAGAGAUAUGAGCACAAGUACAUCAGAAAUGAGGGGUCUCGAAUCACAGCUAAAUGUGCAAGGGGGUGUAGUUGGAGGAUUCAUGCAAGCAAAAUCCAGAGAUCAAAGACAUUUAUGAUCAAGACUCUUAAGGGAGAUCACCAUUGUGGCAGGGAUUACAGCAAUCGACAUGCCACCUCAACAUAUCUGAGUCAUAAAUUUCAAGCCAAAGUGAGAGAUGAUCCUGGGUGUAGUAUUCCUGGCAUGGUGAAUGAGACAAGAAGAUUGUUCAUGCUAGACAUUAGUCAAAAAAAAGCUGCCAGGAUAAAGCAAACAGCAUUAGAGGCACUCAGGGGCAAUGACAUGGAGCAAUACCACAGACUUUGGGAUUAUGUAGCUACUGUAAAAAAUUCCAAUCCUGAUAGUCAUAUUUCAUUGCAAAUUGAUAGGCGAAAUAUUGAGGAAAGGGCUACAUUUCAGAGGAUAUAUUAUGAUUUAGGUGCGUUGAAAAAUGGUUUCCUACAAGGAUGUAGACCUAUCAUAGGUCUAGAUGGUUGCUUCCUCAAGAGUCCCUUUGGAGGUCAGCUACUUACAGCCUUGGGUAGGGAUGCCAAUGAAAAUAUGUUCCCUAUUUCCUUUGCUGUUGUUGAGGUUGAGAAUUACGACAGUUGGAGUUGGUUUUUGCGGGAAUUAAUCAGCCAAAUUGGAAGAGGAAACAAAGGAGUGGCUUACACUUUCAUCUCAGAUAGGCAAAAGGGUCUUGUCCAUGUAAUUGAAGAAUUAUUUCCUGAAUCAGAGCACAGAUUCUGUUUGAAACAUAUGUUCGAGAACUUCAAACAAAGAUUCAAGGAUCAAGACCUUAGAGAUCUGUUUUGGGAGGUAGCUGCAGCAGCAAGCAUGCCGGAGCAUGAAACUGCCCUUUCAAAUCUUGAGAGGGCUGACCCACAGGAAGGUGACAAGCUAACAGCUGCGGAAUGGUUCAAACGGUUGCCUCCAAAAUUAUGGUCUAGAGCUCAUUUUAGUACAGCUUGUAGGAGUGACACUUGCGUUAACAACAUGAGUGAGUCAUGGAAUAAUUACAUUCUAAAAGUUAGAGGGGAGCCAAUAAUAACAAUGCUGGAGUGGAUUCGAAGGAGAUUAAUGCAAAGGUUGGUAACCAAACGAGAGGGCAUGCUGAAUCAUGGUGGAACUUUAUGUCCAAACAUUUAUGAGAAGUUGGAGAAACUUAAGAUAAAGGCAAGAAAUUGUGUUGCGGUUUACGGAGGAAAUGGAAAUUUGGAAGUUGAUGGCUAUGGAAGGACAAAUGUUGUCAAUUUGGAGUUGAAAACUUGUACCUGUGGUCAUUUUCAGCUUAGUGGCAUUCCUUGCGUGCAUGCGGUUGCCUGCAUUCAGAGCAGAAAGCUGAAAUUCGAGGAAUAUGUUGAUGCUUGUUACCAUGGAGAAGCAUAUUUAAGGGCCUACAACUUCACAAUUUGUCCCGUUCCUUCGAAGCAGUUCUGGGUAGAUAGCAAGAUGCAAUAUCUGAACCCACAAUUGGUGAAAAAACAGCCUGGUAGGCCAAAAAAACAGAGAAAGAAGGGUCCAGAAGAGCUUACAAAUCAACAGAAAGCAAGUAGGAAAGGACUUGCAGUUUACUGUCGGAGAUGUUUGAAAACUGGACAUAACAUACGUACUUGCAAAUCGGCGAUUGACCCUAAGUCUAAACUUUACAAAGUAAUGUAACAUUUUACACUCUACUGUAAUAUGGUUUAGUGUGUUUUGUUGCUACUUAUAUACUAAUUCAUUUUGAUUUGGACUGUAGGCACCUAAAGUUGGUCAAACAGCUUCAAAUGCAACAUCCGUAGCUUCUGCUGCUCAGGCAAGCGUAUCAAGUACUGCUACUACAGUUUCACAGGUACUAGAGAGUACUGGCCAAACAUUUUUGGAUGCUGGAAUAUACUUACAUAUAUACUAACCAUGACGAGAUACGUGUAGGAGCCAAAUCAGCCUAUAGGUGGUACCAACCAAGAAAGCCAGCAAAGCAGAAUCUCAAAGAGAAAGCAACCUGCUGCAACUUCAAGGAUGUCAAGGUUGCGACAUUGUGGCUCCAAGAGACCAAGAAAAUGAAAAGCUGUUUUCCUGAUUUUGUUGACUAACAAUACUACUUAUGCCAAGUAGAAUAUGUCAUUUUAUUGGUUGAAUGUACUGAUGCCAUUAUGGUAUGGAUGGAUGUUGCAGUAUUUUUCAUUGUACUCAGAUUUUUUAUUAUUUUUUGGUUGACUGUUGCUCUCGUGGAUAUUGUAUUAUGGUUUUUGUGUGAAUGAUUUCGUUGACUGUGACUAUCGUUUGGUUGACUGAUGCCAUUGUGGUAUUGUACUCAGAUAAAUUGGCUAUGUUUUGAUCGACUAUUGCAUUUGUGACUCUAUAGCUAUGCUGGUGAACCUUUUGACCAUGUUAUGGUAGGAUACCAUUGUGGUAUGGUUGUAGUAAUGAGUUGAUUUUUGUGUUUAUGGAUGGCACGUCUUCGCUUAUUUAUCAUGUCUGGCUGUGGUAAUAUGGAUGGCAAUAUCACUGGCCAUAUCUUUGCUGCAGAUGACUAAAUCUGACAAGUGUUUAUGGAGAUCAAUAUUGCUGGUUAUAUCUUUGCAUCUGAUGACUUAAUAUAACAACUUCAUUGCAUUUAAUUGGGUAUCUCAGGUUUUUCUGUAUAUGUACCACACCAGAAGCAGGCUUUUUCAAUGUCUUGAACAAAAGCAGCUUCAGUUGCUCAUUUAUAAUUCAAACAUGAAAAUCAACUUCAAAUUGAAACAACUUCACUACAAUUUCCCAACUCCAGAUUCUAUUACACGGCCAAACAGCCAAACAUUACACUUUUUGCCCAAAAUUCAUCUCAUACAUAUAACGACCAGUGACAAAAGAGACACAAGUACAGUCAGCAUCAUCAUUAUCUUCAUCAGCCCCAUCGUUGCUUCGACAUUGUGAAUCUUCGAUUGUAAUCCCAUAAUAAUGUUAUAGUUAUUACUUUCUAUUCCUUGCCCAGAGAUGAUAAAUCUUUCCGCGGUUGCAGGUCGAAUUGAUGAACCCCUUCCACGUAUGGACUUUGGCAGGAUGAUUCAUUAGUGCCUCCUUCUCUACUAAUUGGGUUGCACCAUGCCCAAAAUGAACAACCACCAGUUUCACAUACAUAAUACAACAUACUUUUUGAUGGUUUUUCAGAUUCUACUACCUUAAUCUUUGCUUUAUUGUUGCAGAAACAACGCUGAUUUUGGUACCUUAGGUCUCUCGAUCCACCGCCAAAAUUUUGGGAGUUUGACAUUUUUGGGUUCUUCCUUGAAAUGAUAGUUGAUUUAGCCCCUCCAAAGCUUUUCUUGAUCCAUCCAAAGUUGCGCUGAGUUCUUUACGUUUUUGGGUCUUCGUUUUGCAUCUCUGUCGAAAUUUUUCAUUUGCAGAUCUACAACUAUGGUGGGUGCAAGCUUGGAAGAGACAUGGAGGACAAAAUUGGAAUGAAAUGAGUUUCUGCUAGACACAAGUUACCAUUAAGUCGCGUAAAUAUCACUCGCUAGCUCCCCAGCCGGUUAGCAGGUAAAAUCCAAACAAGUCCAAAGCACAGGGGGGUUAAGUGGGAGUUUCUAAACAAUGAGGAGGUUUCGUGUCAAUUUCCUUAACCACAGGGGGAUUUUAUGUACUUUACCCUUUUGGUAAUGAUUCUCCACGGAUGUCAGGAGAAAGAAUUGGGAGAAAAGUUUAACUUUUCUUCCUUUUAGCUUGUAGCUGUUUUUUUUCUUCCUUGGUAUGAGCAGACAAGUUAACGCAUUAAAUCAUCCGCUGCAAUUUCGGUUUUCUUUACUUCUUCGACCGAAUUGAACUUGGGCAUUUUCUCAAUUGAUGGCCGCGGCUCUCUCCGCAAUUUUGCGUGGGUUUUUCGCAUUAAACAUGAACUAAUCUCUUCACUCAAGUAAAAAAACAACGAAGGCUCUGGUUUGCCUAAAUAUUGUGAGAUCGGUUUAAUUUAAUUUUUUUCUUUUAUUUAUUGGUAUUCGCGUAUUUCGUGAUUGUUAUGCUUACGGGUAUUUAAUUAAUUGAUUGUCUUGGAUCCGGAUAAUUAAUUGAUUUGGUAACCUAUCUUCAAUUAGGGUAUUAAAUCCGUAUUUGUUUAAUUGUCCUGAAAUAGUGACAACUGGCACGAUUAGAUUCGUGUCAGGGGGAUACACGGGCUAAUCUGAAAUAACCCUGCUAGUGCAUUAUUUGGUUAGAAUAGGGUUCCUCUAAUACGUAAGGCAAUUGGGGAAUUAAAUCUUACGGGCGUACCUAGGAUUAUUUUCUAAUUAGAGCAGUGAUUAACGGUCGUACCUUAAUCACCGACACAGUAAGGAGGGGUUGACUGCCAUCGCUUGUUUGGUAGUUAUAACCUAUUUAUUGAUGAAUAAUUGGAAUUGCCCUUGCUUCGAUAAUCAAUUAGGUGAGCCAUUGCUGAAGUUAUUUCUUACUUAGAUCUUUAAUUAAUAUUACCUUGAUUUUAGUGAAUUGCCAUUUGACUUUUAGUUGCCUACUUUAUUUUAUUUUUAAUUAUUUUCUUGUUUUAAUUGAGUUAGACCUUUAAUUAUUGUUACUCUAAAUUCAGUGAAUUGUUGUUUAAUUUCUAGUUAGUUAUUUAUUUUUAUCUUCUUAUUCGAAUUUAUUUGAUUGUCGUCGUUCCUACAAAAUCACCCCCUGCGUUAUUUUGAAUUUCUUAAGAGACAAAUAUAUCCAAUCCCUGAGAAUACGACCCUACUUGCCCUAUCUACAAGUUCAUAAUUAUUUGUGAAAAAUAUAACCAUCCCAUUCGAGUAUAUCGGAUGAAACAAACUCUUCGAGAAUAGGGUGAAUCAAGUAACCCAUUGUAUACCUAGAGUCCCUACUCCAGUACUUGGAAUUGGAUUUUGGUUAUUUUUACCGGCAAUCAGAUUUAAUUUUAUUAUUGUACAGGCUUCGACAACCUGUCAAUUUUUGGCGCCGUUGCCGGGGACUGGCAUUAUUAUUUGUUUCUUUUUAAAUUCAUUUUUGUUCUAAUUUUUUGGUGCUUUUCGAGUGUAUGCCUCGUUGUUCUCGUACAUGUGAAUUAAUUUUUGACCCCGAGGUAGAAAAGACUGCGCGUAGGACAAGAAAAGAAACCAGACAGCUCAGAGAGGAGCACUCCAGUGCUGCAUCUCAAAGACCUGAACCAGAAGUUGAACCAACAGAUUCGUUUGGUGACACUUCGAGUGACUUGGAACAAGAAGAAAUCCCCAUGGCUAAUGCACGAACAUUAAGGGAGUUGGCUGCACCUGAUUUAAGUCAGCAGCCUUUAUGCAUUACUUUCCCCAUUUUAAAUGAUAACACUACAUUUGAGUUAAAAUCUGGUUUAAUUCACCUUCUACCCUCUUUUAAUGGUUUACCAGGUGAAGAGCCGUAUAAGCAUCUGCAGGAAUUUGUUGUCGUGUGCAACAGUAUGAAACCCCCAGGCAUUAUAGAAGAGCAAAUAAAAAUGAGAGCAUUCCCCUUUUCCUUGAAGGAUUCUGUAAAAAGCUGGCUGUACUACCUGCCACCAGGUAGCAUCACCAUGUGGGACCAAUUAAAGAAAAAAUAUUUAGAUAAAUAUUUACCUGCGUCCAGGGUUGCAAGUCUAAGGAAAGAAAUUUGCGAGAUCAAGCAGCACCCAGGGAAGUCACUCUAUGAGUACUGGGAGCGAUUCAAGAAAUUGUGCAUCAAAUGCCCCCAGCACCAAAUAAGUGAACAGUUGCUCAUACAGUAUUUUUAUGAGGGGCUCCUUUUCAGAGAUAGGAACAUAAUUGAUACUGCAAGUGGAGGGGCACUGGUGAACAAAACCCCUUGGAAAGCAUGGGAGUUAAUAGAGGGGAUGGCAGAGAAUUCACAAUAAUUUCGUACGAGUGAGGAUGUCCCAAUACGCAAGGUGAAUGAGGUUGAGACAUCCUCUAUCCAGCAGCAGCUAACUGAUUUCACCUCGUUUGUUAGGUAACUGGUUGUAGGAAAUGCAUUUCAGGCCAAGGUGUUUGGGAUUUGCACUGGUAUGGGUCAUUCUACAGACAUGUGCCCAGUGAUUCAGGAAAAAAGUGCAGAGCAAGUGAACAUGGCUGGUCACGCGCCCACGCCAAUGAGACCCUAUGACCCGUACUCGAACACGCACAAUCCCGGCUAGAAGGACCACCCGAAUUUCAGUUAUGGAGAAAAUAGGUAGCCCAACUUUGUACCGAACAGACAGUAAGGGUACCAGUAGCAGUACCAACCCCGACCACCUCCACCCCCGAGCUCUGGUCCAUCUUUGGAGGAGAUGAUAAAACAACUGAUAGCUACCACCGCACAACAUCAACAAAAGGCGGACUCCAAAAUACAGGACAUAAGAAAUCAGAUGAAUCAAAUGGCCACAAAAAUCAACUGUUUGGAGUCCCAAGUCCAAGGUAAAUUGUCAUCUCAACCUGAAUUGAACCCGAAGAAUGUAAGCGCGAUGACCCUAAAGAACGGGAAGGAAAUUCUGGAGCCUGAACCUAGGAUCCCUAAAGACAAGGAUGAGGAAAAAAUCGAAAAUGAGCUUGAGAGGGAGGACAGCAAUGGUGCAGAUCCACAGGUACUUCCAGACCCAGUAAUUACAGUUAAAACUAACCCGCCUCCUUUCCCUAGCAGGUUGAAAAAAUCGAAAAAGCAGGAUAAGGAGAAGGAGAUCCUGGAGGUGUUUUGCAAGGUAGAAAUAAAUAUCCCUCUGUUAGACGCAAUCAAACAAGUGCCGAAGUAUGACAAGUUUCUAAGGGACUUGUGUGUCAACCGAAGGCGGUUGAGGGGAGAUGAAAGGAUCAUUGUUGGGGAGAAUGUGUCAGCGGUCCUGCAGAGAAAGCUUCCACCAAAGUGCGGAGACUCAGGUAUGUUUACUAUUCCCUGUAGGAUAGGCAACACUGUGAUUAGAAGGGCAAUGUUGGAUCUGAGAGUAUCAAUUAAUGUCAUGCCUAAAUCUAUCUAUGCCUUUUUGAAACUAGAUCCAUUAAAAGAAACUGGGAUAAUCAUUCAAUUAGCUGACCGAACUAAUGCAUAUCCUGAUAGGUUGGUUGAAGAUGUGUUGGUAAAAGUUAAUGAUUUAGUGUUUCCAACUGAUUUUUAUAUACUUGAUAUGGAUGAUGACCACUCCUCCAAUCCCUCACCUUUGUUAUUGAGUAGACCCUUUAUGAGCACUGUACAAACAAAAAUUAAUGUUAAUAAAGGUACCUUGUCCAUGGAGUUUGAUGGGGAAAUUGUCCAGUUUAAUAUCUUUGAUACUAUGAAAUAUCCCUCAAACUCCAACUUUAGCUCAGUUUUCUCUGUGAGUACUAUUGACCCUGCGGUGCAGGAAGUGUUUGAAACUGUUGGCAGGGAUGAGUUGGAGGUGGCUUUAACCAAGCACCUCGAGUUGGAGACAACUCCUGAGGUGGAGUGGAGUGAAGAUUUAAAAUGCACGAUAGGGGCAUUACACUCAUUGCCAAUCUCCACAAAAAGGUAUGAAGUUUCACCAGUAUUCACCCCCGAACCUCACCAAAGGGUAUUACCAUCGAUGAUGCAGGCACCCGUAUUGGAGUUGAAACCCCUGCCGGAGCAUUUGAAAUAUGCGUAUCUGGGCGACAAUGAAACACUUCCGGUAAUUAUCUCAGCUGCACUCUAAAAAACUCAAGAGGAGAAGUUGAUCCGAGUCCUUAGAGAGCAUAAAGAGGCGAUAGGUUGGACCAUCGCAGACAUCAAGGGGAUCAGCCCCUCCAUCUGUAUGCACCAGAUUAAGUUGGAAGAGGAUGUCAAACCUGUACGACAGGCGCAAAGGAGGCUCAACCCCUUAUGAUGGAAGUGGUAAAGAAAAAAAUUUUAAAAUUGCUAGAUGUGGGGAUUAUUUUUGCAAUAUCAGAUAGCCCCUGGGUGACCCCGAUCCAAGUAGUCCCAAAGAAGGCAUGAGUGACGAUAGAGGCCAACCAAACGGGUGAGCUCGUGCCAGUGCACAAACCCAUUGGAUGGAGGCAGUGUAUUGACUACCGUAGGCUGAACGCCGUCACAAAAAAGGACCAUUUCUCUCUCCCUUUUAUUGACCAAAUGGUUGAACGUUUAACUUGUAGGGCUUACUAUUGCUUUUUGGAUGGAUUUUCAAGAUAUUUUUAGAUAGCAAUUGUAUCAGAGGAUCAAGAGAAGACAACCUUCACGUGCCCGUUCGGGACCUUCGAGUACAGACGGAUGCCAUUCGAGUUGUGGAAUGCACCUGCAACAUUCUAGAGGUGUAUGGUAAGCAUUUUCUCUGAAUAUGUAGAGAAAAUAAUCGAGGUUUUCAUGGACAAUUUUAGUGUGUAUAGUGAUAGUUUUGGUACAUGUCUAGAUAACCUGAAAUUGAUUUUAUUAAGAUGUAUUGAAACUAAUCUCGUGCUUAACUGGAAAAAAUGUCAUUUUAUGGUUGAGCACGGGAUAGUCUUGGAUCAUAUUGUAUCUUCUAAAGAUAUCGAGGUCGACAAGGCUAAAAUAGACAUUAUAUCUGCCUUUUCUUACCCCGCGAGUGUGCGGGAGGUGCGCUCUUUUGUUGGACAUGCAGGUUUUUAUCGAAGGUUUAUCAAGAAUUUUUCAAAAAUUGGAGCCCCGUUGUUCCAACUCUUACAAAAAGAUGUGACUUUCGAAUUCGAUGACAAAUAUGAGAAAGUCUUCGACAAGUUGAAAGAACUACUGACCUCACCCCCGAUCGUCCAGCCCCCCGAUUGGAGUUUGCCAUUUGAAAUCAUGUGCGAUACCAGUGAUCAUGCUGUAGGGGCUGUAUUGGGGCAAAGAAUAGGAAAGGUAGCUCGCAUCAUCUACUAUGCAUCCCGAGUCCUGAAUGGGGUCCAAUUGAAUUAUUCCACAACUGAGAAGGAGCUUCUUGCAGUUAUUUUUGCUUUAGAAAAAUUCAGGUCAUAUUUGUUAGGUGUUAAAGAAAUUGUAUUUUCUGAUCAUGCAGCAUUAAGGUACCUAAUGACCAAAAAAGAUGCAAAAUCGAGGCUCAUCAGGUGGAUAUUGUUACUACAGGAAUUUGACCUGGAGAUAAGGGAUAAAAAAGGUUCAGAGAAUCUAGUAGCCGAUCAUUUGAGUCGCAUACCAGUUGGGGAGGAGAACGAACCAUUGAAGGAUGCAUUCCCUGAAGAACAUUCAUUUUCUUUAAAUUCUCAGCUGCCUUGGUAUGCUGAUUUAGUCAAUUAUCUAGUAACGGGUAAUUUUCCUGCAGGGUGACCGAAAUCGAAGAGGGAUAAAUUGAAGAGCGACACCAAGUAUUUUAUCUGGGAUGACUCGUACUUAUGGAAGAGAUGUGCAGAUCAAGUGAUGAGGAGAUGUGUAAGUGAAGUGGAAUUUCAAUCGAUUCUAGUUUUUUGUCAUACUUUUGCCUGUGAAGAUCAUUUUGGACCCAAAAGAACUGCUCAUAAGGUAUUGGAAAGUGGUUUUUAUUGGCUUUUAUUGUUUAACGAUGCUUAUGUGUUCUGUAAAUCAUGUGAUCGCUGUCAAAGGGUAGGUAAUAUAGCCCAUAGAGAUUAUAUGCCCUAGGUCCCGUUGAUUUUGAUCGAAAUUUUUAAUGUCUGGGGUAUAGAUUUCAUAGGGCCUGUUCCUAGUUCAUUUCGGUUUUAUAUAUAUUUUGUUGGCAAUUGAUUAUGUGUCUAAAUGGGUGGAGGCUAAGACCACUCGGACUAAUGACUCGAAAGUAGUUGCAGAUUUUAUCAGGUCUAAUAUUUUUGUGCGAUUUGGAAUGCCAAGAGCUAUUGUCAGUGAUAGGGGAACACACUUCUGCAACAAAACCAUAGCUGCGUUGUUUCGCAAGUAUGGUGUACUCCACAGGGUCUCAACGUCGUACCACCCUCAGACCAAUGGUCAAGCGGAGGUGUCGAAUAGGGAGAUUAAGUCCAUCUUGGAGAAAAUGGUGCGCCCCGAUAGAAAGGACUGGAGUCAGAGGUUGGAAGAUGCUCUUUGGACCUACCACACGGCGUACAAAACCCCCAUAGGGAUGUCACCCUAUAGAUUGGUAUUCGGGAAGCCGUGUCACCUACCAGUGGAGUUUGAGCACAAGGCUUUUUGGGCGAUAAAGCAAUGCAACAUGAACCUAGAAGAGGCCGGUGCCCAGCGAAAGUUGGAUUUGCAAGAAUUGGAGGAGAUCCGGAACGAAACCUACGAAAAUGUACUAAUUUACAAGGAGAGGAGCCGGACAUUUCAUGACCAACAGAUCUCUAGAAAAACCUUUGAAGUUGGUCAGAAGGUCCUCCUGUACCAAUCCAGGCUCAAGCUAUUCCCAGGUAAGCUACGUUCCCGUUGGAUUGGACCUUUCAUUGUGACUCACAUUUUUCCCUAUGGUGCAGUUGAAAUCCAGAGUGCCAAAACAGACAACAAAUUUGUGGUGAAUGGACACCGUCUCAAACAUUAUUACGAAGGUUUUCCAAGUGGAGAAAUGGAGACAAUAAGUCUAGACGCACCACCGUGUCCUAAUCAGUGACACUUUACCAUAUCUAGCCAAAGACAUUAAAGAAAGGCGCUCAUUGGGAGGCAACCCAAUCUCUUUUAAUUGUUUGUUUAGUUUUGUGUGAUAGUUUCACUAUGUUUUCCUUGAGUUUGAUUGGUUUCGGGUUUGAAAUUUUCGUUUUUGGUGAGUUGUAGGUGUCUAUCUGACUCGGCACGCCCGCGUCAUGGCACAGGAAGAGCUCAUGGUCAGAGAGCUCUCUUGCCCUCUUGACGUGCCCGCGUCAUGACGUACAGAAAGCUCACGAUCAGAAUCGUCAGAAGGGGUUCUUGCCCUCAUGAUGUGCCCGCGUCAUGACUUACAAAAAGCUCACUGUCAGAGAGCUCUCUCGCUCUCAUGACGUACCCACGUCAAGCGACCUAAAGACCUCUCUUGCCCUCAUGACGUGCUCACGUCACGUUCGCGGGAAAGGUAAGGAUUCAAAAAAAUAAAAAAAAAUUUAAAAAUUUAAAAAAAUAAAAGAGAAAAAAAUAAAAAAAUAUAUAAUAAUAAUAAUUAAUAAAAAUUAAUAAAAAAACAAAAAAUUUUAAAAAAUUAAUUUCCAUAACGAAAAAAAAACAAAAAAAAGAGAGGUCGACAAUUAAAAAAAAAAAAGAUCUCUGUUCUUUUUUCUUUUCUUUUUCUUUCUUCUCUUUUCUUUUCUUUCUUUUUCUCUUUUCUUUCCUUUCUUUUUUCUUUCUUCCUCUUUUCUUCCCUUCUUCUUCCCGCUGCCCUUGUUCGCCCUUUCUUUCUUCACCUCCACCGCGCGCCACUCUAUUCUUCGAUCUCAUAGCCGCACGCCGCCAUCCAUGCGCACGCCGACGCUGCGCGCCGCCCGCGACCCCAGCGCACCGCCAGAGCGAGGCUCCCCUUCGCACGCCGAGCCCAUCACCUCCAUCCUAGCUCCAGCCCCGCCACCACCAGCUCCCCUCGCCUCUCCGCGCUCCUCUGCACACGGAUGCCGCCGCGCCCACCAUCCGCAGCUCUAGCCCAGGCGCGCAGCCGCUGCUCCGCGCGUCCGCUGCGCUGCAUCAUGCGCCCAAGCAGGGGACAUCCACCAACCCCCUGCGCUCCCUCACCUCUCUCUCUGCUCUGUCUAGCUCUGCCCACGCCGCUGCUGCACAAGCUGUCGCCCGCCACCACCGCGCAACGCCGACCUCCACCUCUCUCGCGCGAGCUCUCCCUCAUUUUCCCUUGCCUGCAUCAUUCUCUCUCUGUCUCCUGCCUCUCACCACUGCCAUAAGAAGCGCGCGCCGUCGCCCUUUUUCCCUCGCCGCAUCUUUACUCCCGGUGGUCCUCAAGGUGGAGGUAUUCGUCUAACUCCGGCUCUGUUUUGUGUCCAGCAAUCGGUGCUGGUAAAUUUUGUAAUUUCAAGUGUAUCGGGCUAUCUUGGAUUCAAUUGAGAUUUAUUUUGCCGCUUUACUUAUUGCGUAAAUUGAAGUGAAUCAUUGGACUACCAUGGGAAUCCACUAAGUGUUGUUUUGCUUGGAUUUUUGUUGAAACUUUCUUAACUGGAUUGUGCAUUUAAUUGCUUUUCCUGUAUCCCCUUCUUUACAUAUUCAGUGACGUUUUGGGCCUCUGCAAAAUCUUAGUAGGGAUUGGCAUUUCCAUUAAACAUUUUGCUAAUUGGGUUGGCUAUUUGAGACUAUUCGUUUACUGGAGUUUGCCCCCAGUAGUACUGGUGGGAGUAUUUUCACUUGACUUUGGUCACUCUAUUUGGUUGGAUACCUAAUUGUCUGCCAAGGGCCUGUGACUUUGUGCUCUUGUUACAUUUUUGAAUUGCUAGUGCUUGAUUUAGCAUAUUAUUGGGGCAAUUGCUGCAAUUUUAGAGUGCAUCUGUUGAGAUUAUGGAUGGCCAAGUCUGCGUGUUGCCUGACUGACAUGGGUAGUCCCUGUGCUUAUUGACGCGGCUUUACUAGCUUCUAGUUGUUGAUACUAGUUUCCGGUUGUUGAUUUUGGAGAGCAAUUGUUACUUUGUUGAUCAUAUUUGGGUUUGAGAAGCCCGUGUUUACUUCUGAUUGUUGAGUGGGCAGCACUAGUAACUACUGAAUUCAAUUUGUUGGAUCCUACUGUGUCCCUGCCAAUUGUUUCUGCUAGUCGCUGUCGCGCCCCAUUUUUUGAUUCAAUUUGUGAUUGGAAAAUGAAUUGUGAUUUAAAAGAAAAAUGGGUCUAAAUGGGGGUUUGAGAAUGCGACGAUUUGACCCAAAAUUAUAGUUUAAAAGGGUUUUUUGAAAUAAAAAAUCGGAGUCGCCACUUAGUAAUGAGUUAAGAUGUACCAAGUCAGCUAAAAUGAAUUUUUAAAGAAAAAAUAGGGAAAAGUAGUAAGAAACCCCUUUUAAACGACUCCUAAUCCACGUAAACCAACGAAAAAGGUUCGGGAGUCACAUUUGACGAAGGGGAAGGCAAGGAUAAAAAUCCAAGGCACCCCUUCGACCUAGCCAAGGCUAGUUGCGUGAUUUAAUCAAAGAUUUUCUUGUUUUAACCAAAGAAUUUAUUACAUUUGGAUGUACUACAUGAAUGCAAACCCUAGACCUAGGGGUAUUGGGGGGCAAAAUUUCUCUUCAAAGCUUGAAUGGUGCCAAUCACAUUAAUUGUGAAGCCCAAUAAUGAUCCUCUGGAGAGGUCACACAUAAUCCUAAAUGACGUAAAAAUGAGUGAAAUGAAUGCAUACCAUGUGAAAAUGUGUGAAGUGAGAAAAGGAAAAAAUAAUAGGAGGUAAGUGGAGGUGUGCAAAUGUAUUUACAAGGUAAGGUGAGUAAAGAAUGAUGAUGUGAAAAUAACAUAAAGUGCAUGUGUGUGAGUGAUAUGGUAUAAAGUGUGAGUAGUUAAGUGAAAACGUCCAAAAGUAGUGUGAAGUGAGAAUGUGGAAAAAAGGAUAGAAUAUAAAUUAGAAGUGUAUAGGAUAGUGAAUAAAUAAAAUGCAUGAACCCUAUAGGAAUGCAUCAAGACGGGAACGGGGAGUCCUAACUUUGUGACUUCAAUUUUCCCUUUGAUUAGAAAGGAGAACUAGCGUGCUAAGGUUAUUUUGUAGCCAAACUCGCUCGUUUCCCUUAUCGAAAGGGGACUCUUCAAGCAAAUGUACCCUAUAUCUAGCAUGAGGUGCAAAAAUCCUAAAAUGAGAGGAAAAGGGGUUCGAGGAGCAUGCCAAAUGAUAAAACUAAGAAAAAUUCAUGACAUGUAGUGAACAUGCAAGUAUGCACUAACGAAAGGGGAACGGCCUAUUAGGUCUAGCAUUGGACUAGCCCUUUCUAUGAAUUCCUAACGAAAUAAUGAGCCACAACUAGCAUUGGACUAGUGUGGUGGCGUACAUUCAUCCAUCACAUUCAUCUACAACUAUAGAAAGCAAGUAGACAUGCCAAACACUCAUAAACACAUAGCACAUAACACUUAGCAUGCUCGACUAGAUGCAAAAACCUAAUAAAGCAAAUUAACACAUAGCCACAAAAGCAAGCAAUCAAGCUAAUGAACCUAUUACAUUUGCUAGCUAGGCACACGUCUUCAAUAGGUCUUCAUCAAGUGCUCUCCAAGCCCUAUCUAUUACAAGCCAAGAGGUGUACACAUACCCCAUAAAUAAAGAAUAACUUAAUGAAAGCAAAAGUAAAUGAAAUGAAUGAAAGAGAUUAAGGAAAAGCAAGGAAAACAAAGUAGACAUGCAAUUCUCACUUAGCACAUUGGAUCACAUAGGGGAGAGACAAAAAAGAUAAAAGAAGUUAUACCUCCCUUGGAAUAGUGUCCCAAUGAAAGAAAAAUGGCUUAUUUAUCCUCCAAAAUAAAAGAAAUGGUCAAGGUACCAAUUUAUUUGGGAAAAUUAAAGAAAACAUGCAAACACGGGCUCACAUGGUCAUAAAGGUCUUAAAUGCAUGCAUGAAGUGCAAUUUAAACAAAGCAUGGUAGUCAAUUGAAACAAACAAGCAAUGGAGUUGUAAAAUUAAAAGCUACCAAGGACCAAAUUGAGGAAAUCAUUCAAUUGAUUGGGUCAUAGUAGGACAAGGGGAGACUUGGGGGGCCAAAGUGUAAUUUUUGGAAGCUUUCAUGCAAGUUCAUGCAAUGACUACGGGACAAGCUUCAGGAAAUAAAGAAAAGAGCUCGCAGCUUCUUAUUCCCAAGCUUGCUGCAAUUUUCUUAGCAUUCCUACUCACACAAACGAAGUCAUCAAAACACCAGAAGUUUAACUCUCUAAACCAACUAAAACAAACACAAAAUCUUUAUUGCAGGAUUUACGCAAAGAAAACUCAAAUUUGGCCGACAGAAAAAGGAAAAAUGCAGCAAAGUCUCUACGAUUUCCUCAUGAUAAGCUUCUGCUAUCUCGCAUUGGCAGAUUCACAAAGCUCAAAACUGAGACCAACUUCAAGCUCUUAUCAUGCAUGCAAGGGAAUGACAAACCAGAACGAGGAAAAUCUUCAUGCACAUUCAUGAAAUGAAACUGCCGCAACAAGCCAAAGAAUGCGGCCACAGAAUGCAGCAGAAGCAGAAUGCAGCAAGAAUUUUUUAAUGUUGGAACAUGAUCCAAACAUUUUAGCUCCUAAUAAAUUGGUCAACCAGCAAACUGAAUGGCCGACACUUUGGUGAGUAAAUGCAGGCAAAAGAAACAGUAAAGAGAAUGCGAGGCCCCAUUUGUUCUGCUGCAAAAUGUUGCAGCUUCUCUAUGUGGGUAUCUUAUGCAGUUUCAGACCAAACCAAUGAACUCAUUUACCCAUCCCAUUAAAAUUCAAAACACUUGAUUAAUACAACACAAAAGGUAGGAAAUAGAAUCAUUGCAUAUCAAACGGACAACAGGGAACGACAAAGAGAAAUGAAAACAAUUUUUCUAAUGAGUUUUGGGUUCGUUAUCAGCAUGCAAGCAUUUCACAUCCGUUCCCAACCAACAAAGCAGGCACCUUAUAUCUAUUACUACCCAAAACAACAUGAAGGAAGGAUGUACGAACCCAUGACACUAGCUUACGGGGAAGGCCCUAGAUUUCUACCUCAAAACACAAGCUGAACCAAACCGCCAAUCAAAGUUAGAAACUUUCGGUCGUUUUCUCUCGGCCAAGACACCAAUAUGCAGGAGACCGACUCCUUACCCAAACCCUAGACUUAGCAGUACCCAAACAAGAACCAUUAGCUAUAUUGAAGCAAGAUCAGAACCAGUAAUAACGCAGAAAUGCAAACAAACAACUAAAGAAAAGAGCUUUCAACUUAAAAAGAAGAGUUCAAUACCUGAAUCGAGUAAUGGAGAACAGGCUCAGAUGAUUCGGCCAAACCUUCUGGUUUUGCUUUCCUUCAACAGUCCGCAGCCCCCCCAAGCAAUCCUCUUUUCUCUCUGGUUUCUAGCCGUCAACCUUCUCUCAAAGCUCUAGCCUUUUCCUCAUCAGCCGACCUUCCCCCUGUUUUCUCUUUCUCAAAAUGGUUUUCUCCUCCCCUUGCUCUCGGCUGCCUCCCUCCUUUUUCCCUUUCAAGCUCACACAGAAACUCAACCCUCUCCCUCGUUCUCUCUUGCUUCUCAGUUUUUCUUCCUCCAGCAGUCGUCCCCCUUUUCUUUGCCUUUUUCUGUGUUUCUAUCUCUCGGGUUCCUCCCCUCUUGCGGCUGCAGUUCCCUUUCUUUUAAUAUCCGGCUAGCCACCCCCAAAACCCUGUAUUCAAUGGCUAGAAAUCAUCCCUCUCAAACCCUUUUUCUUGGCCAUCCGAUGAGCCUGCAUUCGUCCUUUGCAAGCUGCCAACAAAUGCAGCGUGCGUGCCGCGAGACUUCCUCUUUUUUUUUUAAUUAAUUAAUAUAGAUAACUAAUUACUUAAUAAUAAAAAAAAUGAAGAAAUGCUAAUUAAGAUACAAAUGAAAUGCUAAUUUUCUUUCUUCUUUUUUUCUUUUUUUUUCCUUUUUCCAUUUUCAUUCAUUUUUCCUUUUUUCCUUUUUUUUCCAAAAAUUCUAUGCUAAAAACUUGAAAAUAAAAAUAAAACUAGAAACUAACAACUAAAAAUCGAAUAAAACAAACACGACAAGUAAAAAACUAAAAAUGAAAUUACACUAAAAUUUUGGUGUCUACAGUUUGCCCCUCUUUAUCUGAGUUUUGAAAAAACUUGAGACAAAGAAGUAGACACCAAAUACUUACCUGUGUUAUUCGGCUGCAAUGGACGCUUCUGAAAUGAGGACUGACCUCUUUAAUAAAAUUUUUUUUUUGAAAUGGGAUUAACCCAAACAGGAAAUUAAAACGGGACUGACCCGAGCAGAAAUUUAAACAGGACUGACCCGAACAGAAAAUUAAACGGGACUGACCCGAACAGAAAUGUAAAUGGGAUAGACCCAGACAAAAAUGUAAAUGGGAUAGACCCACGGGAUAGACCCGGACAGGAAUUUAAAUGGGAUAGACCCGGACAGAAAUGUAAACGGGAUAGACCCGAACGGAAAUGUAAAUGGGAUAGACCCACGGGAUAGAUCCGGACAGAAAUGUAAACGGGAUAGACCCGAACAGAAAUGUAAAUGGGAUAGACCCACGGGAUAGACCCGAACAGAAAUUUAAAUGGGAUAGACCCAGACAGAAAUUUAAAAUCAUGGGACUGACCCGAAUAAAACUUAAAAUCAUGGGACUGACCCGAAUAAAACCUAAAAUCAUGGGACUGAUUCGAAUAAACAUAAAAUCAUGGGACGCUCACUAGUGGGACUAACCCACGGCUAGUGGCGAUGCAAAAGGAAAUGCUCACUAGUGGGACUGACCCACGGCUAGUGGCGGAGUAAAGGAAAGUGCGCACUAGUGGGACUGACCCACGGCUAGUGGUGAUGCAAAAGGAAAUGCUCACUAGUGGGACUGACCCACGGCUAGUGGCUGAGUAAAAUGAAAAUGCACACUAGUGGGACUGACCCAGGGCUAGUGGCUGAGUAAAUGAAAAUGCGCACUAGUGGGACUGACCCACGGCUAGUGGUUGAGUAAAUGAAAAAUGCGCACUAGUGGGACUGACCCACGGCUAGUGGCUAAAGAAAAUGAAAUGCUCACUAGUGGGACUGACCCACGGCUAGUGGCUGUGAAAAUGAAAUGCUUACUGGCGGGACAAACCCAUCUCCAGUAGCAAUGUAAAUAAAUGCUUACCGGCGGGACAAACCCAACUCCAAUAGCAAUGAAAAUAAAAUGCUUACUGGCGGGACAAACCCAGCUCCAGUAGCAAUGUAAAUGAAAUGCUUGACAAUCGGACAGUGGGAUCAAACCCGAGCAUGUCGUGAUGAACUUGAUUUGAUUUUUGAUUUUUUGAUUUUUUUUUUUUGAUUUUUUGAUUUUUUUGAUUUUUGAUUUUUUUGAUUUUUGAUUUUUCUCUUUUUCUGAUCUUUUGAGAGAAUCUUUUCAAAAUUUGCCCCAGUAUGAUGAAUUGGUCAGUAAGACAACAUCUGAGCCUGACGGGGUGUGGACGGUCAGCGGGAUAAAACCCGGUCCUGCCGAGGUUGGCGGGAUGAAACCCGGUCCCAACGAAGUAAGCGGUCAGCGGGAUAAAACCCGGUCCUGCCGAGGUACGCGGUCAGCGGGAUAAAACCCGGUUCUGCCGAGGUACGCGGGAUAAAACCCGGUCCCAACGAAGUAAGCGGUCAGCGGGAUAAAACCCGGUCCUGCCGAGGUUGGCGGGAUGAAACCCGGUCCCAACGAAGUAAGCGGUCAGCGGGAUAAAACCCGAUCCUGCCGAGGUUGGCGGGAUGAAACCCGGUCCCGAAGUAAGCGGUCAGCGGGAUAAAACCCGGUCCUGCCGAGGUAAGCGGUCAGCGGGAUAAAACCCGGUCCUGCCGAGGUUGGCGGGAUAAAACUCGGUCCCAACGAAGUAAGCGGUCAGCGGGAUAAAACCCGGUCCUGCCGAGGUAAGCGGUCAGCGGGAUAAAACCCGGUCCUGCCGAGGUAAGCAGGAUAAAACUCGGUCCCAACGAAGUAAGCGGUCAGCGGGAUAAAACCCGGUCCUGCCGAGGUUGGCGGGAUGAAAUCCGGUCCCAACGGGAUGUUGUGCAGUUGGCGGCACGAAGUCCAGGCCCAACGUGAUCUUGUGAAGUUGGCGGCACGAAAUCCAGGCCCAACGUGAUCUUGUGAACAAGAAAUUGAAUUUGACUUGUCAAGAAGCAAGAAGUUAAACUUGAGUUUUUUUUAUUUUUGACCUUUCUGAUGAUGAUUUUUUGAUUUUUUCUUUUCCUUUCAUUUUCUGAUUUUUUUUCUUUUUUUUUUAAUUUUUCCUUCCUUUCGGAUUUUUCCGAGAGAAUUUUUCCAAAAUAAUUUGCCCCAGCAUCGGGUCCAUUUUUCCCUCCUUCUUCUUGCUUCUCUUUGCAGUAUCGGCCUUCUGCCUCACUGGAUGCUUUUCGUCAUUUUGAACCAUGAAUUACCUAUACAAGGGGUUCAUCAAAGCAUGACAUGCAUUCAAAUUUCUUAUUUGAAAAGAAAAGCGUGAUUGGUUUGACAUCCUCACACGUAUUACAAAAAUUUUGCCCCAGUGUGGACUAUUUUGCAAAAUCUCUCUCAUGAAAAUUUGCCCCAGUGUAGGCCUAUUUAAUUGCAAAAAAUUUGUUUGAAUGACCCUCCAUUUAUUUGAACAAAGUAAGCAAUUGCUUUUCCUAACAUAUCAUGUGAAGAAAAAUUGAAUGUCUUGCUUAAAACUCAUAUAGCAAGUUUCAUGAUGAAUUUCUUAAAAUAAUGCCAAAUUACGAAAGAUUUCUUCCCCACUUUAGCAUCAAUGUUUUGGGUAAUGGGUCACCAUUUCUUGUUGGCUCAUCUUUCAGGACCAAUCAAGUGACUUUAUUUCUGAUUUUGAGGUGGCCAAGGAAAAUGAGAGGUCAAGAUUUGUCUGAUUUUUUGUGCCCAAAUUGUAUGUAAUCCCUUCAAUACCACAUCUUAGUGAAAGCAAAGAAUUUAUCACCCUUAUUUCUUAAGAAAACUUAGUCAACGUAUAAGCUUUGUAGGCUUGCAACAAAAUGAGUAGAAGCGAUAGCUAAACCUGUGAAAACUGGUUAUACCCCCAUGAUCACGAAUGAUUGAUGGAUUUCUUACGAGCAUAAUCCUCACUUUGGAUUGUCAUAAAGGAAUAAGUCAACUAUGGACUUUAUUAGCUUGUAAUGUGGCUUGAAAUAAUAGUUGAAGGAUAAGACUUUCAAGGACAUUGCACCACAGAUCGCAUUUUUCCAAAAUUGCCCCUAUUUCGAACUCGAAGAUUCUGAACUUUGUUUGAUCACUCAAUAGGGACUUCACCAUCGAAUCUUUUGUAUUUCAUUUUUCCUUUUUGCUUUUCCGUUUUCUUUUCUUUGAUCUGGUGGGUUUUCCAUGGUGAGUAGCGUUAGCCCCCAUACUCAAGCAAUUCAGAAAUACAGCUAAAAUUUUCCAGCAUCAGAAAUUUUCUUGACAGGGCCAUUGCAAAGAACAGAAGUCAGGACUUUCGGUUUUUGUAAUGGGGUCAGGUAUGGUGUUUUAGAAAAGUUAAGGGUUGAAGGCAGAUUUUAAAAAUUGUUUGAAGAAUCUGAGAUCGCAUUGUUGCGCCAACCCUAUUUUAGGGCUAAAUCAGAACUUUGCCCCAGUUUAUGCUCAAUUGAGGCUUUUUCACUUUCAUUUUCUUUCUUCUUUUGACUUUUCGGCCUUUUGCCAUUUUUUGAAACUUUCACAAAAUUUGCCCCAGUUUAUUUCUGAACUGAGGUUCUCUUUUCUUCUUUUGCUUUUGAUUUUGUGGCUUUUCACUUUUCACUUCUUGAAACUUUCCUUUUCAACUCAAACUUGCCCCAGUGUGGGGUUUGCGAUUCUCAGGGGUUGCCAAAUGAAGUAUUUUAUUCUGAAGGCUCAAAAGGGAUAACUAAGGAUAGAACGUUUGAUUGGAAAAGAAGAGGGCCUGACUUUUAUUCCAUUCCUUACAAUAACUCUGAAAGGAAACUUUCAUUAAUGGGAAAUUUCUGGCAUGUAUCUGAAUUAACUGACUGAGGAAGACCCUUGUUCAUCCAUAUUUGUGAAAUGUAGGCGUUCCGUGCGGACAAAUCUCUUCCUUUUCUUCUUUCUUUUUUUUUUCAAAAUUGGAACCCAAGUGGAAUCAAAUUUUCCCAAUUUGCGGUUCCCUUUCCCCUUUUCUUUUUCCUUUUUUUCAAAAUUCCCCAAUCUCCUUCCCCAAUGUGGGGUGCGAUCAUAUGUGCACUUGAAAAGAACCUACCAAUUUUUUUUUUGUUUUUGUUUUUUGGCUCAAAUGAGGAUGCAAGGGAUAAAUGGUGUUUAGGUCGUAGAAACGAUGGCCAAAGUAUCAUUCUUACGCCUCAUGACAACCAAGUAAACGAAUUGCUCAUUGAGAAUCCAUUCCCUUUUGAAAAUCUUCCUAAUGUAGGGUAGUGAUCAUUAAGGCUCUUAUUUGAAGCGAAAUUAUUCUUUCAAAGGCUCAAAUGGGAGAACAAAUGAUAAAAUGUGUAUAGGUAGAGAAAAGAAUGCUCGAAGUAUCAUUCCAAAUUUUCAAAACAAACAAGAGUAAUGCACAUUUUUGCUUUCACUUAGAUGUGAACUGAAUCGGUUAAACACAAUGGAUAUUUUCAAGCAAAGAUGGCCCCAAUUUGCAAUUUAUCAAUCAAUGUGACUGAUUUUAUUUUGGGGUUAAGUGAAGGAGAAAAGGUAUCUUAUUGGGCCUUUUGAGUGACCGUUCACCCUUUUCUGAGCACUCUUAUUGUAUAGCUCGGAUCACCAACCUAGUGUACAUGAGGAUUUUAGAGAGUAUACACUUGCGAAAUUCAGGUUAUAGGUUGAAAAAAUCUCAAUUUGGUCUUAUUUCUCAAAAUUCAUCAUGAAAUCUCUAAUGAGUAAGAAUAAAGAAUGAAAUGUACAUAUACACAAGACAAUAAUUGUCCAAAAAUUUUAUUGCUGAAAAAGUUUGAAACAAAAAUUCCUGUUCAAUUACGAUACAAAUGAGAAGAGAGAAACUUGUAAAAAGCUCCACAUAUACACUUUUUGUCUCCUUUUCUUUUGGAACAAAAUGUAUUAACAAAUCAAAUAUACAAAAUUUUCCUUUGAAAAACAAUUACAACAUCUCUCAGAGGCUUUAGCGUAGAGCUUCCAGAUAAAUCAUUUAUGUUUUCAUUGUAGGAUCUGCCCAAAAAUCACACAAUACUUGCAAUUUUGACACUUUAUUAGAUCGGAAGUGCCAUCAGAUAUAGAAAAAUAUUUUCCCUUUAUUGAAGUAUUUUUACGAAUGCAGGGAAGGGGGAAAACAAAAGAAAAAUACCCUGAAUUAGCAAGUAAGAUUAUAAAAUCAGUAUGCAUGUCCUAUGGGGGAACCCUUUUACGCCAAGGGUAGGCCUAGCAUGAAAAUGCAAUCCUCUAGGGUAGGCACUAUACCAUACCUGACGGAUCUGAUCAACUCAUUGAGUGAAAAAUAAUUUUGAAGAAUUUGGUCAAUUGGAGAGACGAAAGACAUUUGUCAAAAUAAGAACAAUGUCCGAAUGAAUUGAUCACAAAUGCACGGGUUUGACCUUGACGAACUUCCUACCGAAGAGAUUGGAAUUCGUUUGACAAAAUUUCCUCAGUAAAGCGCGGGUCAAAAUCCCCAACUGAUCAAAUGUCUGGAUGCAAUUGAUGUUUUUCUCAAAAUCGAUUAGGUUUCCCAAUUUGAAAUUCGACAUUGAAACCCUAAUUGGUCAAAUGGAUUGAAUGAAAAUGACCAUUUAUUUAAAAUCGAUCGGAUUACCCUAAAAAGGGAACGGGUCAAAUGAAUUAAGUGAAAUUUAACAACUUACUCAAAAUUGACCGAAUCAUCCUAAAAAGGAACUUGAUCGAAUGAAAUUGAGAAUUUUAUUCAAAAUGGACCGGAUCAUCUUAAAAAAUGAAAUUGGUCAAAUGAAUUGAAUGAAAUCGAGAAUUUAUUCAAAAUUGACCAGAUCGCCCUAAAAGGGUAAAUUGGUCAAAUGAAUCGGACGAAAUUGAUGAUUUAUUAAAAAUCGACAAAAUUGCCCUAACUAAUCAAAAUGAAUUGAAUGAAAUUGGUGAUUUAUUCAAAAAUCGACUAGAUUGCCCUAAAAUGGAUAAACUAGUCAAAUGAAUUCAAAAUCGACUAGGUUGCCCUAAAAAUGAACAAAUUGAUAAAAUGGACUGGAUGAAAUUGAGGAAUCAAAUGAUCCAAUGGACUGAAUGGCUUGAUGCAUUAGUCUAUGAGCCUUCUAAAAUCAAAUUUUGGCCUCAGUUUAUUUAUCGUCUCAUCAGUGAGGAAAUAUUGGUGAAUGUUCCAAUUAAUGUCCUUUUUGCAAGGGAUUUUUACCAAUUUGAUAAAAUGGCCAAAAAGUGAUUGUUAGACGCUCAUAUUCCAAAGAUUGCUCUAUGAAAAUGAUCGGAUCCUACCUUACCUUGUGCACUACCCCUUUGGAUGGUACAAAAUGUAAACGUGCAAGUCUCCUUGGAUUAAAUAUCCGAGACACAAUGUGGCUUAUUCCUAACACGGGAUCCCCUAAAUGGCAUUCCCUUCUAGGGUCUAUGCAUGAUGCCAGUUUAUUAAAGCAGAAAAUAUGUGACAAAUAUGGCUUAAAGGACAUAAAUAAUGCAUCGAGGGGAAAAGGUCUAAAAAUGAAAUGUACUUAUUGAAAAAUAAGUGUAAUGACUGAAAUUUAAACAUGUGAAUUAUCUAGUGGGUAGGUCACUAAAAGAAUGCCGAAGAGGCCUCUUAUUGCUAAGGCACAUGAAUGCAAGCCAAGAAAACAACGAAAUGGUUAGUACAAUUGAUAGUACACAUAACAUAUUAGGAGCAAAUAAGAAAGGAAAUACAAUAAAUAAAAACAAGUAAAAGGGAUGGAACCCCUUCCCUCGUGCCUAAUGUGCUUAAAAAGGGUAAGGCUGACUCUAACCUAGGAAAACUCUAACAUGGAUGCAUGAGGCUGGGGCUCACUAAUGCAACUAGACUCGAUAAGGCUUCGGCUCCCAAGCCUUCAGACCUAAAGGCAAAGGGUCAUCACUCUCAAGGCCUUCGAUCGGUGGCUCGAGUGAUCCCUUAGAUAGCGCUAUGGGCGCAGCGCACACCAUCCGCCUACCCAAGGCGAUCGAUCCUAAUCCUACAAGGCGGUGUGGGAAACGCCCACGAAAAUAAAGUAAAAUGGGAUAACAAUAAAUAAACGUGCACGUAUGAAGUGCUCCCUAUUUUGAGGGAAAGGUUUGAGAACCAACACGAGACUCUAAAGGUGACACACACCCCCCCAAAUGCAAUGCAAAGCGCGAGAUAAAAUAAGUAAAACAUAUAUCCAAAAAACCAAUCAUACAUUCGUGAGGGAGUAAUUUGAGACGUGUGAAAUGCAAAAUCCUAAAAAAGGAAAAAAUGCAACCCUAAAACACCCGAAUGUGAUAUAUGAAAAGGUUAAAAGAAGAAAAAGGUUGAUUAAAUCAAAUUUGCUCGGACUCUCGAAUGUCCCCAGUGGAGUCGCCAACUGUCGCGUCCCAUUUUUUGAUAAAUAAAUAAAUGGUUUGAAAAAUGUAUUUUUUGAUUCAAUUUGUGAUUGGAAAAUGAAUUGUGAUUUAAAAGAAAAAUGGGUCUAAAUGGGGGUUUGAGAAUGCGACGAUUUGACCCAAAAUUAUAGUUUAAAAGGGUUUUUUGAAAUAAAAAAUCGGAGUCGCCACUUGGUAAUGAGUUAAGGUGUACCAAGUCACCUAAAAUGAAUUUUUAAAGAAAAAAUAGGGAAAAGUAGUAAGAAACCCCUUUUAAACGACUCCUAGUCCACGUAAACCAACGAAAAAGGUUCGAGAGUCACAUUUGACGAAGGGGAAUGCAAGGAUAAAAAUCCAAAGCACCCCUUCGACCUAGCCAAGGCUAAUUGCGUGAUUUAAUCAAAGAUUUUCUUGUUUUAACCAAAGAAUUUAUUACAUUUGAAUGUACUACAUGAAUGCAAACCCUAGACCUAGGGGUAUUGGGGGGCAAAAUUUCUCUUCAAAGCUUGAAUGGUGCCAAUCACAUUAAUUGUGAAGCCCAAUAAUGAUCCUUUGGAGAGGUCACACAUAAUCCUAAAUGACGUAAAAAUGAGUGAAAUGAAUGCAUACCAUGUGAAAAUGUGAAUUUGUGUGAAGUGAGAAAAGUAAAAAAUAAUAGGAGGUAAGUGGAGGUGUGCAAAUGUAUUUACAAGGUAAGGUGAGUAAAGAAUGAUGAUGUGAAAAUAACAUAAAGUGCAUGUGUGCGAGUGAUAUGGUAUAAAGUGUGAGUAGUUAAGUGAAAACGUCCAAAAGUAGUGUGAAGUGAGAAUGUGGAAAAAGGGAUAAAAUAUAAAUUAGAAGUGUAUAGGAUAGUGAAUAAAUAAAAUGCAUGAACCCUAUAGGAAUGCAUCAAGACGGGAACGGGGAGUCCUAACUUUGUGACUUCAAUUUUCCCUUUGAUUAGAAAGGAGAACUAGCGUGCUAAGGUUAUUUUGUAGCCAAACUCGCUCGUUUCCCUUAUCGAAAGGGGACUCUUCAAGCAAAUGUACCCUAUAUCUAGCAUGAGGUGCAAAAAUCCUAAAAUGAGAGGAAAAGGGGUUCGAGGAGCAUGCCAAAUGAUAAAACUAAGAAAAAUGCAUGACAUGUAGUGAACAUGCAAGUAUGCACUAACGAAAGGGGAACGGCCUAUUAGGUCUAGCAUUGGACUAGCCCUUUCUAUGAAUUCCUAACGAAAUAAUGAGCCAUAACUAGUAUUGGACUAGUGUGGUGACGUACAUUCAUCCAUCACAUUCAUCUACAACUAUAGAAAGCAAGUAGACAUGCCAAACACUCAUAAACACAUAGCACAUAACACUUAGCAUGCUCGACUAGAUGCAAAAACCUAAUAAAGCAAAUUAACACAUAGCCACAAAAGCAAGCAAUCAAGCUAAUGAACCUAUUACAUUUGCUAGUUAGGCACACGUCUUCAAUAGGUCUUCAUCAAGUGCUCUCCAAGCCCUAUCUAUUACAAGCCAAGAGGUGUACACAUACCCCAUAAAUAAAGAAUAACUUAAUGAAAGCAAAAGUAAAUGAAAUGAAUGAAAGAGAUUAAGGAAAAGCAAGGAAAACAAAGUAGACAUGCAAUUCUCACUUAGCACAUUGGAUCACAUAGGGGAGAGACAAAAAAGAUAAAAGAAGUUAUACCUCCUUUGGAAUGGUGUCCCAAUGAAAGAAAAAUGGCUUAUUUAUCCUCCAAAAUAAAAGAAAUGGUCAAGGUACCAAUUUAUUUGGGAAAAUUAAAGAAAACAUGCAAACACGGGCUCACAUGGUCAUAAAGGUCUUAAAUGCAUGCAUGAAGUGCAAUUUAAACAAAGCAUGGUAGUCAAUUGAAACAAACAAGCAAUGGAGUUGUAAAAUUAAAAGCUACCAAGGACCAAAUUGAGGAAAUCAUUCAAUUGAUUGGGUCAUAGUAGGACAAGGGGAGACUUGGGGGGCCAAAGUGUAAUUUUUGGAAGCUUUCAUGCAAGUUCAUGCAAUGACUACGGGACAAGCUUCAGGAAAUAAAGAAAAGAGCUCGCAGCUUCUUAUUCUCAAGCUUGCUGCAAUUUUCUUAGCAUUCCUACUCACACAAACGAAGUCAUCAAAACACCAGAAGUUUAACUCUCUAAACCAACUAAAACAAACACAAAAUCUUUAUUGCAGGAUUUACGCAAAGAAAACUCAAAUUUGGCCGACAGAAAAAGGAAAAAUGCAGCAAAGUCUCUGCGAUUUCCUCAUGAUAAGCUUCUUCUAUCUCGCAUUGGCAGAUUCACAAAGCUCAAAACUGAGACCAACUUCAAGCUCUUAUCAUGCAUGCAAGGGAAUGACAAACCAGAACGAGGAAAAUCUUCAUGCACAUUCAUGAAAUGAAACUGCCGCAACAAGCCAAAGAAUGCGGCCACAGAAUGCAGCAGAAGCAGAAUGCAGCAAGAAUUUUUUAAUGUUGGAACAUGAUCCAAACAUUUUAGCUCCUAAUAAAUUGGUCAACCAGCAAACUGAAUGGCCGACACUUUGGUGAGUAAAUGCAGGCAAAAGAAACAGUAAAGAGAAUGCGAGGCCCCAUUUGUUCUGCUGCAAAAUGUUGCAGCUUCUCUAUGUGGGUAUCUUAUGCAGUUUCAGACCAAACCAAUGAACUCAUUUACCCAUCCCAUUAAAAUUCAAAACACUUGAUUAAUACAACACAAAAGGUAGGAAAUAGAAUCAUUGCAUAUCAAACGGACAACAGGGAACGACAAAGAGAAAUGAAAACAAUUUUUCUAAUGAGUUUUGGGUUCGUUAUCAGCAUGCAAGCAUUUCACAUCCGUUCCCAACCAACAAAGCAGGCACCUUAUAUCUAUUACUACCCAAAACAACAUGAAGGAAGGAUGUACGAACCCAUGACACUAGCUUACGGGGAAGGCCCUAGAUUUCUACCUCAAAACACAAGCUGAACCAAACCGCCAAUCAAAGUUAGAAACUUUCGGUCGUUUUCUCUCGGCCAAGACACCAAUAUGCAGGAGACCGACUCCUUACCCAAACCCUAGACUUAGCAGUACCCAAACAAGAACCAUUAGCUAUAUUGAAGCAAGAUCAGAACCAGUAAUAACGCAGAAAUGCAAACAAACAACUAAAGAAAAGAGCUUUCAACUUAAAAAGAAGAGUUCAAUACCUGAAUCGAGUAAUGGAGAACAGGCUCAGAUGAUUCGGCCAAACCUUCUGGUUUUGCUUUCCUUCAACAGUCCGCAGCCCCCCCAAGCAAUCCUCUUUUCUCUCUGGUUUCUAGCCGUCAACCUUCUCUCAAAGCUCUAGCCUUUUCCUCAUCAGCCGACCUUCCCCCUGUUUUCUCUUUCUCAAAAUGGUUUUCUCCUCCCCUUGCUCUCGGCUGCCUCCCUCCUUUUUCCCUUUCAAGCUCACACAGAAACUCAACCCUCUCCCUCGUUCUCUCUUGCUUCUCAGUUUUUCUUCCUCCAGCAGUCGUCCCCCUUUUCUUUGCCUUUUUCUGUGUUUCUAUCUCUCGGGUUCCUCCCCUCUUGCGGCUGCAGUUCCCUUUCUUUUAAUAUCCGGCUAGCCACCCCCAAAACCCUGUAUUCAAUGGCUAGAAAUCAUCCCUCUCAAACCCUUUUUCUUGGCCAUCCGAUGAGCCUGCAUUCGUCCUUUGCAAGCUGCCAACAAAUGCAGCGUGCGUGCCGCGAGACUUCCUCUUUUUUUUUUAAUUAAUUAAUAUAGAUAACUAAUUACUUAAUAAUAAAAAAAAUGAAGAAAUGCUAAUUAAGAUACAAAUGAAAUGCUAAUUUUCUUUCUUCUUUUUUUCUUUUUUUUUCCUUUUUCCAUUUUCAUUCAUUUUUCCUUUUUUCCUUUUUUUUCCAAAAAUUCUAUGCUAAAAACUUGAAAAUAAAAAUAAAACUAGAAACUAACAACUAAAAAUCGAAUAAAACAAACACGACAAGUAAAAAACUAAAAAUGAAAUUACACUAAAAUUUUGGUGUCUACAGUUUGCCCCUCUUUAUCUGAGUUUUGAAAAAACUUGAGACAAAGAAGUAGACACCAAAUACUUACCUGUGUUAUUCGGCUGCAAUGGAUGCUUCUGAAAUGAGGACUGACCUCUUUAAUAAAUUUUUUUUUUUGAAAUGGGAUUAACCCAAACAGGAAAUUAAAACGGGACUGACCCGAGCAGAAAUUUAAACAGGACUGACCCGAACAGAAAAUUAAACGGGACUGACCCGAACAGAAAUGUAAAUGGGAUAGACCCAGACAAAAAUGUAAAUGGGAUAGACCCAGACAAAAAUGUAAAUGGGAUAGACCCACGGGAUAGACCCGGACAGGAAUUUAAAUGGGAUAGACCCGGACAGAAAUGUAAACGGGAUAGACCCGAACGGAAAUGUAAAUGGGAUAGACCCACGGGAUAGAUCCGGACAGAAAUGUAAACGGGAUAGACCCGAACAGAAAUGUAAAUGGGAUAGACCCACGGGAUAGACCCGAACAGAAAUUUAAAUGGGAUAGACCCAGACAGAAAUUUAAAAUCAUGGGACUGACCCGAAUAAAACUUAAAAUCAUGGGACUGACCCGAAUAAAACCUAAAAUCAUGGGACUGAUUCGAAUAAACAUAAAAUCAUGGGACGCUCACUAGUGGGACUAACCCACGGCUAGUGGCGAUGCAAAAGGAAAUGCUCACUAGUGGGACUGACCCACGGCUAGUGGCGGAGUAAAGGAAAGUGCGCACUAGUGGGACUGACCCACGGCUAGUGGUGAUGCAAAAGGAAAUGCUCACUAGUGGGACUGACCCACGGCUAGUGGCUGAGUAAAAUGAAAAUGCACACUAGUGGGACUGACCCAGGGCUAGUGGCUGAGUAAAUGAAAAUGCGCACUAGUGGGACUGACCCACGGCUAGUGGUUGAGUAAAUGAAAAAUGCGCACUAGUGGGACUGACCCACGGCUAGUGGCUAAAGAAAAUGAAAUGCUCACUAGUGGGACUGACCCACGGCUAGUGGCUGUGAAAAUGAAAUGCUUACUGGCGGGACAAACCCAUCUCCAGUAGCAAUGUAAAUAAAUGCUUACCGGCGGGACAAACCCAACUCCAAUAGCAAUGAAAAUAAAAUGCUUACUGGCGGGACAAACCCAGCUCCAGUAGCAAUGUAAAUGAAAUGCUUGACAAUCGGACAGUGGGAUCAAACCCGAGCAUGUCGUGAUGAACUUGAUUUGAUUUUUGAUUUUUUGAUUUUUUUUUUUUGAUUUUUUGAUUUUUUUGAUUUUUGAUUUUUUUGAUUUUUGAUUUUUCUCUUUUUCUGAUCUUUUGAGAGAAUCUUUUCAAAAUUUGCCCCAGUAUGAUGAAUUGGUCAGUAAGACAACAUCUGAGCCUGACGGGGUGUGGACGGUCAGCGGGAUAAAACCCGGUCCUGCCGAGGUUGGCGGGAUGAAACCCGGUCCCAACGAAGUAAGCGGUCAGCGGGAUAAAACCCGGUCCUGCCGAGGUACGCGGUCAGCGGGAUAAAACCCGGUUCUGCCGAGGUACGCGGGAUAAAACCCGGUCCCAACGAAGGUAAGCGGGUCCCAACGCGGUCAGCGGGAUAAAACCCGGUCCUGCCGAGGUUGGCGGGAUGAAACCCGGUCCCAACGAAGUAAGCGGUCAGCGGGAUAAAACCCGGUCCUGCCGAGGUAAGCGGUCAGCGGGAUAAAACCCGGUCCUGCCGAGGUUGGCGGGAUAAAACUCGGUCCCAACGAAGUAAGCGGUCAGCGGGAUAAAACCCGGUCCUGCCGAGGUAAGCGGUCAGCGGGAUAAAACCCGGUCCUGCCGAGGUAAGCAGGAUAAAACUCGGUCCCAACGAAGUAAGCGGUCAGCGGGAUAAAACCCGGUCCUGCCGAGGUUGGCGGGAUGAAAUCCGGUCCCAACGGGAUGUUGUGCAGUUGGCGGCACGAAGUCCAGGCCCAACGUGAUCUUGUGAAGUUGGCGGCACGAAAUCCAGGCCCAACGUGAUCUUGUGAACAAGAAAUUGAAUUUGACUUGUCAAGAAGCAAGAAGUUAAACUUGAGUUUUUUUUAUUUUUGACCUUUCUGAUGAUGAUUUUUUGAUUUUUUCUUUUCCUUUCAUUUUCUGAUUUUUUUUCUUUUUUUUUUAAUUUUUCCUUCCUUUCGGAUUUUUCCGAGAGAAUUUUUCCAAAAUAAUUUGCCCCAGCAUCGGGUCCAUUUUUCCCUCCUUCUUCUUGCUUCUCUUUGCAGUAUCGGCCUUCUGCCUCACUGGAUGCUUUUCGUCAUUUUGAACCAUGAAUUACCUAUACAAGGGGUUCAUCAAAGCAUGACAUGCAUUCAAAUUUCUUAUUUGAAAAGAAAAGCGUGAUUGGUUUGACAUCCUCACACGUAUUACAAAAAUUUUGCCCCAGUGUGGACUAUUUUGCAAAAUCUCUCUCAUGAAAAUUUGCCCCAGUGUAGGCCUAUUUAAUUGCAAAAAAUUUGUUUGAAUGACCCUCCAUUUAUUUGAACAAAGUAAGCAAUUGCUUUUCCUAACAUAUCAUGUGAAGAAAAAUUGAAUGUCUUGCUUAAAACUCAUAUAGCAAGUUUCAUGAUGAAUUUCUUAAAAUAAUGCCAAAUUACGAAAGAUUUCUUCCCCACUUUAGCAUCAAUGUUUUGGGUAAUGGGUCACCAUUUCUUGUUGGCUCAUCUUUCAGGACCAAUCAAGUGACUUUAUUUCUGAUUUUGAGGUGGCCAAGGAAAAUGAGAGGUCAAGAUUUGUCUGAUUUUUUGUGCCCAAAUUGUAUGUAAUCCCUUCAAUACCACAUCUUAGUGAAAGCAAAGAAUUUAUCACCCUUAUUUCUUAAGAAAACUUAGUCAACGUAUAAGCUUUGUAGGCUUGCAACAAAAUGAGUAGAAGCGAUAGCUAAACCUGUGAAAACUGGUUAUACCCCCAUGAUCACGAAUGAUUGAUGGAUUUCUUACGAGCAUAAUCCUCACUUUGGAUUGUCAUAAAGGAAUAAGUCAACUAUGGACUUUAUUAGCUUGUAAUGUGGCUUGAAAUAAUAGUUGAAGGAUAAGACUUUCAAGGACAUUGCACCACAGAUCGCAUUUUUCCAAAAUUGCCCCUAUUUCGAACUCGAAGAUUCUGAACUUUGUUUGAUCACUCAAUAGGGACUUCACCAUCGAAUCUUUUGUAUUUCAUUUUUCCUUUUUGCUUUUCCGUUUUCUUUUCUUUGAUCUGGUGGGUUUUCCAUGGUGAGUAGCGUUAGCCCCCAUACUCAAGCAAUUCAGAAAUACAGCUAAAAUUUUCCAGCAUCAGAAAUUUUCUUGACAGGGCCAUUGCAAAGAACAGAAGUCAGGACUUUCGGUUUUUGUAAUGGGGUCAGGUAUGGUGUUUUAGAAAAGUUAAGGGUUGAAGGCAGAUUUUAAAAAUUGUUUGAAGAAUCUGAGAUCGCAUUGUUGCGCCAACCCUAUUUUAGGGCUAAAUCAGAACUUUGCCCCAGUUUAUGCUCAAUUGAGGCUUUUUCACUUUCAUUUUCUUUCUUCUUUUGACUUUUCGGCCUUUUGCCAUUUUUUGAAACUUUCACAAAAUUUGCCCCAGUUUAUUUCUGAACUGAGGUUCUCUUUUCUUCUUUUGCUUUUGAUUUUGUGGCUUUUCACUUUUCACUUCUUGAAACUUUCCUUUUCAACUCAAACUUGCCCCAGUGUGGGGUUUGCGAUUCUCAGGGGUUGCCAAAUGAAGUAUUUUAUUCUGAAGGCUCAAAAGGGAUAACUAAGGAUAGAACGUUUGAUUGGAAAAGAAGAGGGCCUGACUUUUAUUCCAUUCCUUACAAUAACUCUGAAAGGAAACUUUCAUUAAUGGGAAAUUUCUGGCAUGUAUCUGAAUUAACUGACUGAGGAAGACCCUUGUUCAUCCAUAUUUGUGAAAUGUAGGCGUUCCGUGCGGACAAAUCUCUUCCUUUUCUUCUUUCUUUUUUUUUUCAAAAUUGGAACCCAAGUGGAAUCAAAUUUUCCCAAUUUGCGGUUCCCUUUCCCCUUUUCUUUUUCCUUUUUUUCAAAAUUCCCCAAUCUCCUUCCCCAAUGUGGGGUGCGAUCAUAUGUGCACUUGAAAAGAACCUACCAAUUUUUUUUUUGUUUUUGUUUUUUGGCUCAAAUGAGGAUGCAAGGGAUAAAUGGUGUUUAGGUCGUAGAAACGAUGGCCAAAGUAUCAUUCUUACGCCUCAUGACAACCAAGUAAACGAAUUGCUCAUUGAGAAUCCAUUCCCUUUUGAAAAUCUUCCUAAUGUAGGGUAGUGAUCAUUAAGGCUCUUAUUUGAAGCGAAAUUAUUCUUUCAAAGGCUCAAAUGGGAGAACAAAUGAUAAAAUGUGUAUAGGUAGAGAAAAGAAUGCUCGAAGUAUCAUUCCAAAUUUUCAAAACAAACAAGAGUAAUGCACAUUUUUGCUUUCACUUAGAUGUGAACUGAAUCGGUUAAACACAAUGGAUAUUUUCAAGCAAAGAUGGCCCCAAUUUGCAAUUUAUCAAUCAAUGUGACUGAUUUUAUUUUGGGGUUAAGUGAAGGAGAAAAGGUAUCUUAUUGGGCCUUUUGAGUGACCGUUCACCCUUUUCUGAGCACUCUUAUUGUAUAGCUCGGAUCACCAACCUAGUGUACAUGAGGAUUUUAGAGAGUAUACACUUGCGAAAUUCAGGUUAUAGGUUGAAAAAAUCUCAAUUUGGUCUUAUUUCUCAAAAUUCAUCAUGAAAUCUCUAAUGAGUAAGAAUAAAGAAUGAAAUGUACAUAUACACAAGACAAUAAUUGUCCAAAAAUUUUAUUGCUGAAAAAGUUUGAAACAAAAAUUCCUGUUCAAUUACGAUACAAAUGAGAAGAGAGAAACUUGUAAAAAGCUCCACAUAUACACUUUUUGUCUCCUUUUCUUUUGGAACAAAAUGUAUUAACAAAUCAAAUAUACAAAAUUUUCCUUUGAAAAACAAUUACAACAUCUCUCAGAGGCUUUAGCGUAGAGCUUCCAGAUAAAUCAUUUAUGUUUUCAUUGUAGGAUCUGCCCAAAAAUCACACAAUACUUGCAAUUUUGACACUUUAUUAGAUCGGAAGUGCCAUCAGAUAUAGAAAAAUAUUUUCCCUUUAUUGAAGUAUUUUUACGAAUGCAGGGAAGGGGGAAAACAAAAGAAAAAUACCCUGAAUUAGCAAGUAAGAUUAUAAAAUCAGUAUGCAUGUCCUAUGGGGGAACCCUUUUACGCCAAGGGUAGGCCUAGCAUGAAAAUGCAAUCCUCUAGGGUAGGCACUAUACCAUACCUGACGGAUCUGAUCAACUCAUUGAGUGAAAAAUAAUUUUGAAGAAUUUGGUCAAUUGGAGAGACGAAAGACAUUUGUCAAAAUAAGAACAAUGUCCGAAUGAAUUGAUCACAAAUGCACGGGUUUGACCUUGACGAACUUCCUACCGAAGAGAUUGGAAUUCGUUUGACAAAAUUUCCUCAGUAAAGCGCGGGUCAAAAUCCCCAACUGAUCAAAUGUCUGGAUGCAAUUGAUGUUUUUCUCAAAAUCGAUUAGGUUUCCCAAUUUGAAAUUCGACAUUGAAACCCUAAUUGGUCAAAUGGAUUGAAUGAAAAUGACCAUUUAUUUAAAAUCGAUCGGAUUACCCUAAAAAGGGAACGGGUCAAAUGAAUUAAGUGAAAUUUAACAACUUACUCAAAAUUGACCGAAUCAUCCUAAAAAGGAACUUGAUCGAAUGAAAUUGAGAAUUUUAUUCAAAAUGGACCGGAUCAUCUUAAAAAAUGAAAUUGGUCAAAUGAAUUGAAUGAAAUCGAGAAUUUAUUCAAAAUUGACCAGAUCGCCCUAAAAGGGUAAAUUGGUCAAAUGAAUCGGACGAAAUUGAUGAUUUAUUAAAAAUCGACAAAAUUGCCCUAACUAAUCAAAAUGAAUUGAAUGAAAUUGGUGAUUUAUUCAAAAAUCGACUAGAUUGCCCUAAAAUGGAUAAACUAGUCAAAUGAAUUCAAAAUCGACUAGGUUGCCCUAAAAAUGAACAAAUUGAUAAAAUGGACUGGAUGAAAUUGAGGAAUCAAAUGAUCCAAUGGACUGAAUGGCUUGAUGCAUUAGUCUAUGAGCCUUCUAAAAUCAAAUUUUGGCCUCAGUUUAUUUAUCGUCUCAUCAGUGAGGAAAUAUUGGUGAAUGUUCCAAUUAAUGUCCUUUUUGCAAGGGAUUUUUACCAAUUUGAUAAAAUGGCCAAAAAGUGAUUGUUAGACGCUCAUAUUCCAAAGAUUGCUCUAUGAAAAUGAUCGGAUCCUACCUUACCUUGUGCACUACCCCUUUGGAUGGUACAAAAUGUAAACGUGCAAGUCUCCUUGGAUUAAAUAUCCGAGACACAAUGUGGCUUAUUCCUAACACGGGAUCCCCUAAAUGGCAUUCCCUUCUAGGGUCUAUGCAUGAUACCAGUUUAUUAAAGCAGAAAAUAUGUGACAAAUAUGGCUUAAAGGACAUAAAUAAUGCAUCGAGGGGAAAAGGUCUAAAAAUGAAAUGUACUUAUUGAAAAAUAAGUGUAAUGACUGAAAUUUAAACAUGUGAAUUAUCUAGUGGGUAGGUCACUAAAAGAAUGCCGAAGAGGCCUCUUAUUGCUAAGGCACAUGAAUGCAAGCCAAGAAAACAACGAAAUGGUUAGUACAAUUGAUAGUACACAUAACAUAUUAGGAGCAAAUAAGAAAGGAAAUACAAUAAAUAAAAACAAGUAAAAGGGAUGGAACCCCUUCCCUCGUGCCUAAUGUGCUUAAAAAGGGUAAGGCUGACUCUAACCUAGGAAAACUCUAACAUGGAUGCAUGAGGCUGGGGCUCACUAAUGCAACUAGACUCGAUAAGGCUUCGGCUCCCAAGCCUUCAGACCUAAAGGCAAAGGGUCAUCACUCUCAAGGCCUUCGAUCGGUGGCUCGAGUGAUCCCUUAGAUAGCGCUAUGGGCGCAGCGCACACCAUCCGCCUACCCAAGGCGAUCGAUCCUAAUCCUACAAGGCGGUGUGGGAAACGCCCACGAAAAUAAAGUAAAAUGGGAUAACAAUAAAUAAACGUGCACGUAUGAAGUGCUCCCUAUUUUGAGGGAAAGGUUUGAGAACCAACACGAGACUCUAAAGGUGACACACACCCCCCCAAAUGCAAUGCAAAGCGCGAGAUAAAAUAAGUAAAACAUAUAUCCAAAAAACCAAUCAUACAUUCGUGAGGGAGUAAUUUGAGACGUGUGAAAUGCAAAAUCCUAAAAAAGGAAAAAAUGCAACCCUAAAACACCCGAAUGUGAUAUAUGAAAAGGUUAAAAGAAGAAAAAGGUUGAUUAAAUCAAAUUUGCUCGGACUCUCGAAUGUCCCCAGUGGAGUCGCCAACUGUCGCGUCCCAUUUUUUGAUAAAUAAAUAAAUGGUUUGAAAAAUGUAUUUUUUGAUUCAAUUUGUGAUUGGAAAAUGAAUUGUGAUUUAAAAGAAAAAUGGGUCUAAAUGGGGGUUUGAGAAUGCGACGAUUUGACCCAAAAUUAUAGUUUAAAAGGGUUUUUUGAAAUAAAAAAUCGGAGUCGCCACUUGGUAAUGAGUUAAGGUGUACCAAGUCACCUAAAAUGAAUUUUUAAAGAAAAAAUAGGGAAAAGUAGUAAGAAACCCCUUUUAAACGACUCCUAGUCCACGUAAACCAACGAAAAAGGUUCGAGAGUCACAUUUGACGAAGGGGAAUGCAAGGAUAAAAAUCCAAAGCACCCCUUCGACCUAGCCAAGGCUAAUUGCGUGAUUUAAUCAAAGAUUUUCUUGUUUUAACCAAAGAAUUUAUUACAUUUGAAUGUACUACAUGAAUGCAAACCCUAGACCUAGGGGUAUUGGGGGGCAAAAUUUCUCUUCAAAGCUUGAAUGGUGCCAAUCACAUUAAUUGUGAAGCCCAAUAAUGAUCCUUUGGAGAGGUCACACAUAAUCCUAAAUGACGUAAAAAUGAGUGAAAUGAAUGCAUACCAUGUGAAAAUGUGAAUUUGUGUGAAGUGAGAAAAGUAAAAAAUAAUAGGAGGUAAGUGGAGGUGUGCAAAUGUAUUUACAAGGUAAGGUGAGUAAAGAAUGAUGAUGUGAAAAUAACAUAAAGUGCAUGUGUGCGAGUGAUAUGGUAUAAAGUGUGAGUAGUUAAGUGAAAACGUCCAAAAGUAGUGUGAAGUGAGAAUGUGGAAAAAGGGAUAAAAUAUAAAUUAGAAGUGUAUAGGAUAGUGAAUAAAUAAAAUGCAUGAACCCUAUAGGAAUGCAUCAAGACGGGAACGGGGAGUCCUAACUUUGUGACUUCAAUUUUCCCUUUGAUUAGAAAGGAGAACUAGCGUGCUAAGGUUAUUUUGUAGCCAAACUCGCUCGUUUCCCUUAUCGAAAGGGGACUCUUCAAGCAAAUGUACCCUAUAUCUAGCAUGAGGUGCAAAAAUCCUAAAAUGAGAGGAAAAGGGGUUCGAGGAGCAUGCCAAAUGAUAAAACUAAGAAAAAUGCAUGACAUGUAGUGAACAUGCAAGUAUGCACUAACGAAAGGGGAACGGCCUAUUAGGUCUAGCAUUGGACUAGCCCUUUCUAUGAAUUCCUAACGAAAUAAUGAGCCAUAACUAGUAUUGGACUAGUGUGGUGACGUACAUUCAUCCAUCACAUUCAUCUACAACUAUAGAAAGCAAGUAGACAUGCCAAACACUCAUAAACACAUAGCACAUAACACUUAGCAUGCUCGACUAGAUGCAAAAACCUAAUAAAGCAAAUUAACACAUAGCCACAAAAGCAAGCAAUCAAGCUAAUGAACCUAUUACAUUUGCUAGUUAGGCACACGUCUUCAAUAGGUCUUCAUCAAGUGCUCUCCAAGCCCUAUCUAUUACAAGCCAAGAGGUGUACACAUACCCCAUAAAUAAAGAAUAACUUAAUGAAAGCAAAAGUAAAUGAAAUGAAUGAAAGAGAUUAAGGAAAAGCAAGGAAAACAAAGUAGACAUGCAAUUCUCACUUAGCACAUUGGAUCACAUAGGGGAGAGACAAAAAAGAUAAAAGAAGUUAUACCUCCUUUGGAAUGGUGUCCCAAUGAAAGAAAAAUGGCUUAUUUAUCCUCCAAAAUAAAAGAAAUGGUCAAGGUACCAAUUUAUUUGGGAAAAUUAAAGAAAACAUGCAAACACGGGCUCACAUGGUCAUAAAGGUCUUAAAUGCAUGCAUGAAGUGCAAUUUAAACAAAGCAUGGUAGUCAAUUGAAACAAACAAGCAAUGGAGUUGUAAAAUUAAAAGCUACCAAGGACCAAAUUGAGGAAAUCAUUCAAUUGAUUGGGUCAUAGUAGGACAAGGGGAGACUUGGGGGGCCAAAGUGUAAUUUUUGGAAGCUUUCAUGCAAGUUCAUGCAAUGACUACGGGACAAGCUUCAGGAAAUAAAGAAAAGAGCUCGCAGCUUCUUAUUCUCAAGCUUGCUGCAAUUUUCUUAGCAUUCCUACUCACACAAACGAAGUCAUCAAAACACCAGAAGUUUAACUCUCUAAACCAACUAAAACAAACACAAAAUCUUUAUUGCAGGAUUUACGCAAAGAAAACUCAAAUUUGGCCGACAGAAAAAGGAAAAAUGCAGCAAAGUCUCUGCGAUUUCCUCAUGAUAAGCUUCUUCUAUCUCGCAUUGGCAGAUUCACAAAGCUCAAAACUGAGACCAACUUCAAGCUCUUAUCAUGCAUGCAAGGGAAUGACAAACCAGAACGAGGAAAAUCUUCAUGCACAUUCAUGAAAUGAAACUGCCGCAACAAGCCAAAGAAUGCGGCCACAGAAUGCAGCAGAAGCAGAAUGCAGCAAGAAUUUUUUAAUGUUGGAACAUGAUCCAAACAUUUUAGCUCCUAAUAAAUUGGUCAACCAGCAAACUGAAUGGCCGACACUUUGGUGAGUAAAUGCAGGCAAAAGAAACAGUAAAGAGAAUGCGAGGCCCCAUUUGUUCUGCUGCAAAAUGUUGCAGCUUCUCUAUGUGGGUAUCUUAUGCAGUUUCAGACCAAACCAAUGAACUCAUUUACCCAUCCCAUUAAAAUUCAAAACACUUGAUUAAUACAACACAAAAGGUAGGAAAUAGAAUCAUUGCAUAUCAAACGGACAACAGGGAACGACAAAGAGAAAUGAAAACAAUUUUUCUAAUGAGUUUUGGGUUCGUUAUCAGCAUGCAAGCAUUUCACAUCCGUUCCCAACCAACAAAGCAGGCACCUUAUAUCUAUUACUACCCAAAACAACAUGAAGGAAGGAUGUACGAACCCAUGACACUAGCUUACGGGGAAGGCCCUAGAUUUCUACCUCAAAACACAAGCUGAACCAAACCGCCAAUCAAAGUUAGAAACUUUCGGUCGUUUUCUCUCGGCCAAGACACCAAUAUGCAGGAGACCGACUCCUUACCCAAACCCUAGACUUAGCAGUACCCAAACAAGAACCAUUAGCUAUAUUGAAGCAAGAUCAGAACCAGUAAUAACGCAGAAAUGCAAACAAACAACUAAAGAAAAGAGCUUUCAACUUAAAAAGAAGAGUUCAAUACCUGAAUCGAGUAAUGGAGAACAGGCUCAGAUGAUUCGGCCAAACCUUCUGGUUUUGCUUUCCUUCAACAGUCCGCAGCCCCCCCAAGCAAUCCUCUUUUCUCUCUGGUUUCUAGCCGUCAACCUUCUCUCAAAGCUCUAGCCUUUUCCUCAUCAGCCGACCUUCCCCCUGUUUUCUCUUUCUCAAAAUGGUUUUCUCCUCCCCUUGCUCUCGGCUGCCUCCCUCCUUUUUCCCUUUCAAGCUCACACAGAAACUCAACCCUCUCCCUCGUUCUCUCUUGCUUCUCAGUUUUUCUUCCUCCAGCAGUCGUCCCCCUUUUCUUUGCCUUUUUCUGUGUUUCUAUCUCUCGGGUUCCUCCCCUCUUGCGGCUGCAGUUCCCUUUCUUUUAAUAUCCGGCUAGCCACCCCCAAAACCCUGUAUUCAAUGGCUAGAAAUCAUCCCUCUCAAACCCUUUUUCUUGGCCAUCCGAUGAGCCUGCAUUCGUCCUUUGCAAGCUGCCAACAAAUGCAGCGUGCGUGCCGCGAGACUUCCUCUUUUUUUUUUAAUUAAUUAAUAUAGAUAACUAAUUACUUAAUAAUCAUGAUCACGAAUGAUUGAUGGAUUUCUUACGAGCAUAAUCCUCACUUUGGAUUGUCAUAAAGGAAUAAGUCAACUAUGGACUUUAUUAGCUUGUAAUGUGGCUUGAAAUAAUAGUUGAAGGAUAAGACUUUCAAGGACAUUGCACCACAGAUCGCAUUUUUCCAAAAUUGCCCCUAUUUCGAACUCGAAGAUUCUGAACUUUGUUUGAUCACUCAAUAGGGACUUCACCAUCGAAUCUUUUGUAUUUCAUUUUUCCUUUUUGCUUUUCCGUUUUCUUUUCUUUGAUCUGGUGGGUUUUCCAUGGUGAGUAGCGUUAGCCCCCAUACUCAAGCAAUUCAGAAAUACAGCUAAAAUUUUCCAGCAUCAGAAAUUUUCUUGACAGGGCCAUUGCAAAGAACAGAAGUCAGGACUUUCGGUUUUUUGUAAUGGGGUCAGGUAUGGUGUUUUAGAAAAGUUAAGGGUUGAAGGCAGAUUUUAAAAAUUGUUUGAAGAAUCUGAGAUCGCAUUGUUGCGCCAACCCUAUUUUAGGGCUAAAUCAGAACUUUGCCCCAGUUUAUGCUCAAUUGAGGCUUUUUCACUUUCAUUUUCUUUCUUCUUUUGACUUUUCGGCCUUUUGCCAUUUUUUGAAACUUUCACAAAAUUUGCCCCAGUUUAUUUCUGAACUGAGGUUCUCUUUUCUUCUUUUGCUUUUGAUUUUGUGGCUUUUCACUUUUCACUUCUUGAAACUUUCCUUUUCAACUCAAACUUGCCCCAGUGUGGGGUUUGCGAUUCUCAGGGGUUGCCAAAUGAAGUAUUUUAUUCUGAAGGCUCAAAAGGGAUAACUAAGGAUAGAACGUUUGAUUGGAAAAGAAGAGGGCCUGACUUUUAUUCCAUUCCUUACAAUAACUCUGAAAGGAAACUUUCAUUAAUGGGAAAUUUCUGGCAUGUAUCUGAAUUAACUGACUGAGGAAGACCCUUGUUCAUCCAUAUUUGUGAAAUGUAGGCGUUCCGUGCGGACAAAUCUCUUCCUUUUCUUCUUUCUUUUUUUUUUCAAAAUUGGAACCCAAGUGGAAUCAAAUUUUCCCAAUUUGCGGUUCCCUUUCCCCUUUUCUUUUUCCUUUUUUUCAAAAUUCCCCAAUCUCCUUCCCCAAUGUGGGGUGCGAUCAUAUGUGCACUUGAAAAGAACCUACCAAUUUUUUUUUGUUUUUGUUUUUUGGCUCAAAUGAGGAUGCAAGGGAUAAAUGGUGUUUAGGUCGUAGAAACGAUGGCCAAAGUAUCAUUCUUACGCCUCAUGACAACCAAGUAAACGAAUUGCUCAUUGAGAAUCCAUUCCCUUUUGAAAAUCUUCCUAAUGUAGGGUAGUGAUCAUUAAGGCUCUUAUUUGAAGCGAAAUUAUUCUUUCAAAGGCUCAAAUGGGAGAACAAAUGAUAAAAUGUGUAUAGGUAGAGAAAAGAAUGCUCGAAGUAUCAUUCCAAAUUUUCAAAACAAACAAGAGUAAUGCACAUUUUUGCUUUCACUUAGAUGUGAACUGAAUCGGUUAAACACAAUGGAUAUUUUCAAGCAAAGAUGGCCCCAAUUUGCAAUUUAUCAAUCAAUGUGACUGAUUUUAUUUUGGGGUUAAGUGAAGGAGAAAAGGUAUCUUAUUGGGCCUUUUGAGUGACCGUUCACCCUUUUCUGAGCACUCUUAUUGUAUAGCUCGGAUCACCAACCUAGUGUACAUGAGGAUUUUAGAGAGUAUACACUUGCGAAAUUCAGGUUAUAGGUUGAAAAAAUCUCAAUUUGGUCUUAUUUCUCAAAUUCAUCAUGAAAUCUCUAAUGAGUAAGAAUAAAGAAUGAAAUGUACAUAUACACAAGACAAUAAUUGUCCAAAAAUUUUAUUGCUGAAAAAGUUUGAAACAAAAAUUCCUGUUCAAUUACGAUACAAAUGAGAAGAGAGAAACUUGUAAAAAGCUCCACAUAUACACUUUUUGUCUCCUUUUCUUUUGGAACAAAAUGUAUUAACAAAUCAAAUAUACAAAAUUUUCCUUUGAAAAACAAUUACAACAUCUCUCAGAGGCUUAGCGUAGAGCUUCCAGAUAAAUCAUUUAUGUUUUCAUUGUAGGAUCUGCCCAAAAAUCACACAAUACUUGCAAUUUUGACACUUUAUUAGAUCGGAAGUGCCAUCAGAUAUAGAAAAAUAUUUUCCCUUUAUUGAAGUAUUUUUACGAAUGCAGGGAAGGGGGAAAACAAAAGAAAAAUACCCUGAAUUAGCAAGUAAGAUUAUAAAAUCAGUAUGCAUGUCCUAUGGGGGAACCCUUUUACGCCAAGGGUAGGCCUAGCAUGAAAAUGCAAUCCUCUAGGGUAGGCACUAUACCAUACCUGACGGAUCUGAUCAACUCAUUGAGUGAAAAAUAAUUUUGAAGAAUUUGGUCAAUUGGAGAGACGAAAGACAUUUGUCAAAUAAGAACAAUGUCCGAAUGAAUUGAUCACAAAUGCACGGGUUUGACCUUGACGAACUUCCUACCGAAGAGAUUGGAAUUCGUUUGACAAAAUUUCCUCAGUAAAGCGCGGGUCAAAAUCCCCAACUGAUCAAAUGUCUGGAUGCAAUUGAUGUUUUUCUCAAAAUCGAUUAGGUUUCCCAAUUUGAAAUUCGACAUUGAAACCCUAAUUGGUCAAAUGGAUUGAAUGAAAAUGACCAUUUAUUUAAAAUCGAUCGGAUUACCCUAAAAAGGGAACGGGUCAAAUGAAUUAAGUGAAAUUUAACAACUUACUCAAAAUUGACCGAAUCAUCCUAAAAAGGAACUUGAUCGAAUGAAAUUGAGAAUUUUAUUCAAAAUGGACCGGAUCAUCUUAAAAAAUGAAAUUGGUCAAAUGAAUUGAAUGAAAUCGAGAAUUUAUUCAAAAUUGACCAGAUCGCCCUAAAAGGGUAAAUUGGUCAAAUGAAUCGGACGAAAUUGAUGAUUUAUUAAAAAUCGACAAAAUUGCCCUAACUAAUCAAAAUGAAUUGAAUGAAAUUGGUGAUUUAUUCAAAAAUCGACUAGAUUGCCCUAAAAUGGAUAAACUAGUCAAAUGAAUUCAAAAUCGACUAGGUUGCCCUAAAAAUGAACAAAUUGAUAAAAUGGACUGGAUGAAAUUGAGGAAUCAAAUGAUCCAAUGGACUGAAUGGCUUGAUGCAUUAGUCUAUGAGCCUUCUAAAAUCAAAUUUUGGCCUCAGUUUAUUUAUCGUCUCAUCAGUGAGGAAAUAUUGGUGAAUGUUCCAAUUAAUGUCCUUUUUGCAAGGGAUUUUUACCAAUUUGAUAAAAUGGCCAAAAAGUGAUUGUUAGACGCUCAUAUUCCAAAGAUUGCUCUAUGAAAAUGAUCGGAUCCUACCUUACCUUGUGCACUACCCCUUUGGAUGGUACAAAAUGUAAACGUGCAAGUCUCCUUGGAUUAAAUAUCCGAGACACAAUGUGGCUUAUUCCUAACACGGGAUCCCCUAAAUGGCAUUCCCUUCUAGGGUCUAUGCAUGAUACCAGUUUAUUAAAGCAGAAAAUAUGUGACAAAUAUGGCUUAAAGGACAUAAAUAAUGCAUCGAGGGGAAAAGGUCUAAAAAUGAAAUGUACUUAUUGAAAAAUAAGUGUAAUGACUGAAAUUUAAACAUGUGAAUUAUCUAGUGGGUAGGUCACUAAAAGAAUGCCGAAGAGGCCUCUUAUUGCUAAGGCACAUGAAUGCAAGCCAAGAAAACAACGAAAUGGUUAGUACAAUUGAUAGUACACAUAACAUAUUAGGAGCAAAUAAGAAAGGAAAUACAAUAAAUAAAAACAAGUAAAAGGGAUGGAACCCCUUCCCUCGUGCCUAAUGUGCUUAAAAAGGGUAAGGCUGACUCUAUAGGAAAACUCUAACAUGGAUGCAUGAGGCUGCUCACUAAUGCAACUAGACUCGAUAAGGCUUCGGCUCCCAAGCCUUCAGACCUAAAGGCAAAGGGUCAUCACUCUCAAGGCCUUCGAUCGGUGGCUCGAGUGAUCCCUUAGAUAGCGCUAUGGGCGCAGCGCACACCAUCCGCCUACCCAAGGCGAUCGAUCCUAAUCCUACAAGGCGGUGUGGGAAACGCCCACGAAAAUAAAGUAAAAUGGGAUAACAAUAAAUAAACGUGCACGUAUGAAGUGCUCCCUAUUUUGAGGAAAGGUUUGAGAACCAACACGAGACUCUAAAGGUGACACACACCCCCCAAAUGCAAUGCAAAGCGCGAGAUAAAAUAAGUAAAACAUAUAUCCAAAAAACCAAUCAUACAUUCGUGAGGGAGUAAUUUGAGACGUGUGAAAUGCAAAAUCCUAAAAAAGGAAAAAAUGCAACCCUAAAACACCCGAAUGUGAUAUAUGAAAAGGUUAAAAGAAGAAAAAGGUUGAUUAAAUCAAAUUUGCUCGGACUCUCGAAUGUCCCCAGUGGAGUCGCCAACUGUCGCGUCCCAUUUUUUGAUAAAUAAAUAAAUGGUUUGAAAAAUGUAUUUUUUGAUUCAAUUUGUGAUUGGAAAAUGAAUUGUGAUUUAAAAGAAAAAUGGGUCUAAAUGGGGGUUUGAGAAUGCGACGAUUUGACCCAAAAUUAUAGUUUAAAAGGGUUUUUUGAAAUAAAAAAUCGGAGUCGCCACUUGGUAAUGAGUUAAGGUGUACCAAGUCACCUAAAAUGAAUUUUUAAAGAAAAAAUAGGGAAAAGUAGUAAGAAACCCCUUUUAAACGACUCCUAGUCCAAAACCAACGAAAAAGGUUCGAGAGUCACAUUUGACGAAGGGGAAUGCAAGGAUAAAAAUCCAAAGCACCCCUUCGACCUAGCCAAGGCUAAUUGCGUGAUUUAAUCAAAGAUUUUCUUGUUUUAACCAAAGAAUUUAUUACAUUUGAAUGUACUACAUGAAUGCAAACCCUAGACCUAGGGUAUUGGGGGGCAAAAUUUCUCUUCAAAGCUUGAAUGGUGCCAAUCACAUUAAUUGUGAAGCCCAAUAAUGAUCCUUUGGAGAGGUCACACAUAAUCCUAAAUGACGUAAAAAUGAGUGAAAUGAAUGCAUACCAUGUGAAAAUGUGAAUUUGUGUGAAGUGAGAAAAGUAAAAAAUAAUAGGAGGUAAGUGGAGGUGUGCAAAUGUAUUUACAAGGUAAGGUGAGUAAAGAAUGAUGAUGUGAAAAUAACAUAAAGUGCAUGUGUGCGAGUGAUAUGGUAUAAAGUGUGAGUAGUUAAGUGAAAACGUCCAAAAGUAGUGUGAAGUGAGAAUGUGGAAAAAGGGAUAAAAUAUAAAUUAGAAGUGUAUAGGAUAGUGAAUAAAUAAAAUGCAUGAACCCUAUAGGAAUGCAUCAAGACGGGAACGGGGAGUCCUAACUUUGUGACUUCAAUUUUCCCUUUGAUUAGAAAGGAGAACUAGCGUGCUAAGGUUAUUUUGUAGCCAAACUCGCUCGUUUCCCUUAUCGAAAGGGGACUCUUCAAGCAAAUGUACCCUAUAUCUAGCAUGAGGUGCAAAAAUCCUAAAAUGAGAGGAAAAGGGGUUCGAGGAGCAUGCCAAAUGAUAAAACUAAGAAAAUGCAUGACAUGUAGUGAACAUGCAAGUAUGCACUAACGAAAGGGGAACGGCCUAUUAGGUCUAGCAUUGGACUAGCCCUUUCUAUGAAUUCCUAACGAAAUAAUGAGCCAUAACUAGUAUUGGACUAGUGUGGUGACGUACAUUCAUCCAUCACAUUCAUCUACAACUAUAGAAAGCAAGUAGACAUGCCAAACACUCAUAAACACAUAGCACAUAACACUUAGCAUGCUCGACUAGAUGCAAAAACCUAAUAAAGCAAAUUAACACAUAGCCACAAAAGCAAGCAAUCAAGCUAAUGAACCUAUUACAUUUGCUAGUUAGGCACACGUCUUCAAUAGGUCUUCAUCAAGUGCUCUCCAAGCCCUAUCUAUUACAAGCCAAGAGGUGUACACAUACCCCAUAAAUAAAGAAUAACUUAAUGAAAGCAAAAGUAAAUGAAAUGAAUGAAAGAGAUUAAGGAAAAGCAAGGAAAACAAAGUAGACAUGCAAUUCUCACUUAGCACAUUGGAUCACAUAGGGGAGAGACAAAAAAGAUAAAAGAAGUUAUACCUCCUUUGGAAUGGUGUCCCAAUGAAAGAAAAAUGGCUUAUUUAUCCUCCAAAAUAAAAGAAAUGGUCAAGGUACCAAUUUAUUUGGGAAAAUUAAAGAAAACAUGCAAACACGGGCUCACAUGGUCAUAAAGGUCUUAAAUGCAUGCAUGAAGUGCAAUUUAAACAAAGCAUGGUAGUCAAUUGAAACAAACAAGCAAUGGAGUUGUAAAAUUAAAAGCUACCAAGGACCAAAUUGAGGAAAUCAUUCAAUUGAUUGGGUCAUAGUAGGACAAGGGGAGACUUGGGGGGCCAAAGUGUAAUUUUUGGAAGCUUUCAUGCAAGUUCAUGCAAUGACUACGGGACAAGCUUCAGGAAAUAAAGAAAAGAGCUCGCAGCUUCUUAUUCUCAAGCUUGCUGCAAUUUUCUUAGCAUUCCUACUCACACAAACGAAGUCAUCAAAACACCAGAAGUUUAACUCUCUAAACCAACUAAAACAAACACAAAAUCUUUAUUGCAGGAUUUACGCAAAGAAAACUCAAAUUUGGCCGACAGAAAAAGGAAAAAUGCAGCAAAGUCUCUGCGAUUUCCUCAUGAUAAGCUUCUUCUAUCUCGCAUUGGCAGAUUCACAAAGCUCAAAACUGAGACCAACUUCAAGCUCUUAUCAUGCAUGCAAGGGAAUGACAAACCAGAACGAGGAAAAUCUUCAUGCACAUUCAUGAAAUGAAACUGCCGCAACAAGCCAAAGAAUGCGGCCACAGAAUGCAGCAGAAGCAGAAUGCAGCAAGAAUUUUUUAAUGUUGGAACAUGAUCCAAACAUUUUAGCUCCUAAUAAAUUGGUCAACCAGCAAACUGAAUGGCCGACACUUUGGUGAGUAAAUGCAGGCAAAAGAAACAGUAAAGAGAAUGCGAGGCCCCAUUUGUUCUGCUGCAAAAUGUUGCAGCUUCUCUAUGUGGGUAUCUUAUGCAGUUUCAGACCAAACCAAUGAACUCAUUUACCCAUCCCAUUAAAAUUCAAAACACUUGAUUAAUACAACACAAAAGGUAGGAAAUAGAAUCAUUGCAUAUCAAACGGACAACAGGGAACGACAAAGAGAAAUGAAAACAAUUUUUCUAAUGAGUUUUGGGUUCGUUAUCAGCAUGCAAGCAUUUCACAUCCGUUCCCAACCAACAAAGCAGGCACCUUAUAUCUAUUACUACCCAAAACAACAUGAAGGAAGGAUGUACGAACCCAUGACACUAGCUUACGGGGAAGGCCCUAGAUUUCUACCUCAAAACACAAGCUGAACCAAACCGCCAAUCAAAGUUAGAAACUUUCGGUCGUUUUCUCUCGGCCAAGACACCAAUAUGCAGGAGACCGACUCCUUACCCAAACCCUAGACUUAGCAGUACCCAAACAAGAACCAUUAGCUAUAUUGAAGCAAGAUCAGAACCAGUAAUAACGCAGAAAUGCAAACAAACAACUAAAGAAAAGAGCUUUCAACUUAAAAAGAAGAGUUCAAUACCUGAAUCGAGUAAUGGAGAACAGGCUCAGAUGAUUCGGCCAAACCUUCUGAUUUUGCUUUCCUUCAGCAGUCCGCAGCCCCCCCAGCAAUCCUCUUUUCUCUCUGGUUUCUAGCCGUCAACCUUCUCUCAAAGCUCUAGCCUUUUCCUCAUCAGCCGACCUUCCCCCUGUUUUCUCUUUCUCAAAAUGGUUUUCUCCUCCCCUUGCUCUCGGCUGCCUCCCUCCUUUUUCCCUUUCAAGCUCACACAGAAACUCAACCCUCUCCUCGUUCUCUCUUGCUUCUCAGUUUUUUCUUCCUCCAGCAGUCGUCCCCCUUUUCUUUGCCUUUUUCUGUGUUUCUAUCUCUCGGGUUCCUCCCCUCUUGCGGCUGCAGUUCCCUUUCUUUUAAUAUCCGGCUAGCCACCCCCAAAACCCUGUAUUCAAUGGCUAGAAAUCAUCCCUCUCAAACCCUUUUUCUUGGCCAUUCGAUGAGCCUGCAUUCGUCCUUUGCAAGCUGCCAACAAAUGCAGCGUGCAUGCCGCGAGACUUCCUCUUUUUUUUUAAUUAAUUAAUAUAGAUAACUAAUUACUUAAAAAUUUUCCAUUUUCAUUCAUUUUUCCUUUUUUCCUUUUUUUCCAAGAAAUUCUAUGCUAAAAACUUGAAAAUAAAAAUAAAACUAGAAACUAACAACUAAAAAUCGAAUAAAACAAACACGACACAUAAAAAACUAAAAAUGAAAUUACACCAAAAUUUUGGUGUCUACAGUCGCUGUAAUUGUUAGAGCUUCUUUCUCUGGUUACUUGGGUUGACAGUUUGAGGCCAUGGUUAGACCGAAAUCGCCUUCGAGGUUCGGAGCCUCUCGCUCUCAGCCUCACCUCAACCCUUCAUUCCGGUCAAUACCCCGAUCAACCAACCUAUCGCCGCCGGUGUCCGAACCCGGUUAGGCAGGGGUAGGGGUGCCCAUGUGGUCUCCGCACCUCACCAUGGAGGGCAUUUGGAGUUCACUAGGGCCGCCGAUCAGUGGCGCUAUGCUCAAGCCUGUGAGCGGUGUAUCAUUCUGUGCAAGUGCGCAGACAACAUUACUAUGGCUUUUCUGGGUAUCCAAGAGGAGGUUGAGCGCAUGUACACCGCCAUUGGAUGGCGCCCCUAUCUCGAUUAUCUUCCAGCCCGCCUUUGUCGAGUUGACGAGAGAAUUUUACUCUAUCUUCGAAUUUGAACUACCUGCGAGGUAUACUGUUGAGACUCCCGAUGUCAUCCAUUUCCGUCUCAUGGGUCAGGAAUUCAGUUUCUCCAUUACCCAGUUCAACCUGGCUUUCGGUUUCAUCACUCGGGAGUAUGCAGAGACUAGGGAAUACGGCGAGAGUGCCUGCGAUUACGUGGAGCCAUUUCUGUCCACUUACCACGAUGUGUGGGAGGAUAUGUCUGUUGACAGGCAGCGUUAUGACCUGUCUCGGUCUAGAAGCUCCUUUCUGGACCCGAGUGUAUGAUAUGUACAGCGUCUCUUGGCUUACAGCUACUCAGGUAGAAAGGACAGCUCAGGUAUCAUCUCUUGGCCGGAGCUCUUCUUCUCUGGUGCAUGAAAAAUGGGUUCAAGGUCAAUUUGGGUCGUUGGUUGGCGGCUCAGUUCAAGUCCGUUAUGGCGAAGAAGAAUAAACUCUUGAUCCUUGGGUCUUACAUCACACACCUAGCGGUCCAGCUAGGAGUGCUCACUCUUCAGGAUCAUAAUCUGCACUUGGCUUGCGACAUGGAAUAUCUCACUGCUGACCGCUUAGAAAAGAUGGGGGUUUUGGAGCUUGUCGAUGGCCGCUACCACUUUGUCCCCCGGGACCACCCCGCGCCCCACCUCGCUCUUCUUUCACCCAUUCGACCCCGGUUGGAGUUGAUCCUGGCCCCUCAACGUCCGCUCAGCCCUCUCCACCAGCAGGGGCUGAGGACUGGCACCAGCUUCGGACGCAGGUUCAGAAUUUGGAGGCCGGAUGAUUAACAUCGACAACAAUGUGGCGGCUAUGGCACAAAAUCUGGCGGCUUUCCUGCAACACUCGGGUUUCCUGCCCCAGCACCACCUCACCCUCCACUUUGACCCGGUUUCAGGAAAGUUUGGUUGCCCUCUCUCCUAUUUUUACAGUUUGUUUGUCACAUUGUGGACAAUGUGUCCUAUAGGUGUGGAGGGGGGCGCUCUAAUGGGGUGCCUAUGUUUUUUCUUUUAGUUUUUAACUUCUAGUAGUUUUUAGUUUUAGUUUUAUUUCCAGUUAGUGACUUAUCUAUCUUUCGUUCAUUUUCGUUCUUUCUUGUUGGUGUUUAGCUCUCAUGUGAAUACCAGGAUUUGGUGUUGGGGUAUUGCCUCUAAUCCUACGUUUGCCAAGUUUUUAAAAUAAAAGUGUAUCGAGUUAAUAUGGUUGAGUCCAAAAACAUCUCUUUGGUGAAUAUCGAACUGCUUGACUCUUUUGGUUUCUUUGUUAACUUUCCUAGGCAUAGGGAAUGAUUGUUGGUGUUUUAAUGUGAAUUGGUCCAAUAUUGACUCUAGCUCUCUAUGUUUGGCAAUAAUGAGGCGAGCUGCUCCUAUUUUUGGUUUUUAGUGUUGUUAUUUUGCGUUUUUGCAUUGUUUGGCUGUGAAUAAGCUUGACUGUACUCCGCUAUUAGUUACUACUGAGUAACCGGGGAUCUGCACCUAAAAGUGUCGAUUCUCGCGUCAAAAAGUAGUGCUCUCUAUGAGUACGUGGUUAUUAUAGCGAUAGGAGCCAAGUAACUGGGUUCCUUCAUCUAAAAAUGUUGGAGCUCGCAUCAAAAGACUCCAAUGGCUAGAGACUAAGUCUUUUUGUGUUAUUAUUAUUACAAAAAAAAAGAAAUAAUAAUAAUAAUAAUAAUAGAAAAGUGAAAAAAAAGAGAGAGAAAAAAAUAGUGCAGGUUAUGUUAGUGUGUUAGAGGUCAGCUUGCCGAUUUAUGGACCUAAUAUGGAGACUUUGGUUACUAUUUGGAUUGUUUGCUAAUAAAUGUUAUGCGCCAUUCCUUUUUCUUAGAAUUGUUAACUUGGAAUUGAAAGAGUUGGUGAUUUAGAAGCUAACCAAGGUGAUGUCUAUCGGAUCUUGAUCACUAAUGCUCGAUAUAUAUAGCAUUCCUUGGUAUCUUGGCAAUAUAGUAGAUAGAGCAAUGGCCAUUAUCAAAUUUUGGUGUUCGUUUACUAUUCUUAUGCUUAAGGACAAGCAUGGUUUAGGUGUGGGGGGAAUUGAUAGGUUGCAAUUUUAUCAUUUAUUUUAUUAUUAAUUUCUCCUAUUACCUGACUUGAUGUGGAUUAAUUGCGGGAUUCUACUCACUUUUAGUAUUUUCCAUUUAUUUCAGAGAGUAGAACGAAAAUAUAAUAACAGGUGCUAAUUUGACAGGAAAAGAGUCCAGAUGAUAGAGCUUGUCCUAGGGGCAUUUUUUGGAACAACAAAAACGCGAGCCCUUUUUGAACAAAUUGGGCCGAAGUCUUCUUUUGGAGUGAGCCGCCGACAUCAAGGGGAAGCGGAGGAUAAAAAACCAAGGGAAUAGCAGAGGACUGGGGGGGGGCGGCUGUAUUUUUUUUUCUUUAGCUUCAUCUUUGACUUUUCUCCUUAGCUUUUGGUAAUGAUUCUCCACGGAUGUCAGGAGAAAGAAUUGGGAGAAAAGUUUAACUUUCCUUCCUUUUAGCUUGUAGCAGUUUCUUUUUCUUCCUUGGUAUGAGCAGACAAGUUAACGCAUUAAAUCAUCCGCUGCAAUUUCGGUUUUCUUUACUCCUUCGACUGAAUUGAACUUGGGCAUUUUCUCAAUUGAUGGUCGCGGCUCUCUCCGCAAUUUUGCGUGGGUUUCUCGCAUUAAACAUGAACUAAUCUCUUCACUCUAGUCAAGAAAUAACGAAGGCUCUGGUUCGCCUAAAAAUUGUGAGAUCGAUUUAAUUUAAUCUUUUUCUUUUAUUUAUUGGUAUUCACGUAUUGCUUGAUUGUUAUGCUUCGGGUAUUUAAUUAAUUGAUUGUCUUGGAUCCGGAUAAUUAAUUGAUUUGGUAACCUGUCGUCAAUUAGGGCAUUAAAUCCGUAUUUGUUUAAUUGUCUUGAAAUAGUGACAACUGGCACGAUUAGAUUCGUGUCAGGGGGAUACACGGGCUAAUCUGAAAUAACUCUGGUAGUGCGUUAUUUGGUUAGAAUAGGACUCCUCUAAUACGCAAGGCAAUUGGGAAAUUAAAUCUUACGGGCGUACCUAGGAUUAUUUCCUAAUUAGAGCAGUGAUUAACGGGCGUAUCUUAAUCACCGACACAGUAAGGAGGGGUUGACUGCCAUCGCUUGUUUGGUAGUUAUAACUUAUUUAUUGAUGAAUAAUUGGAAUUGCCCUUGCUUCGAUGAUCAAUUAGGCGAGCCAUUGCUGAAGUUAUUUAUUGGCUAGAUCUUUAAUUAAUAUUAUCUUGAUUUUAGUGAAUUGCCAUUUGACUUUUAGUUGCCUACUUUAUUUUAUUUUUAAUUGUUUUCUUGUUUUAAUUGAGUUAGACCUUUAAUUAUUGUUAUUUUAAAUUCAGUGAAUUGUUGUUUAAUUUCUAGUUAGUUAUUUAUUUUUAUCUUCUUAUUCGAAUUUAUUUGAUUGUCGUCGUUCCUACAAAAUUACCCCCUGCGUUAUUUUGAAUUUCUUAAGAGACAAAUAUACCUAGUCCCUGAGGAUACGACCCUACUUGCCCUGUCUACAAGUUCAUAAUUAUUUGUGAAAAAAUAACCAUCCCAUUCGGGUAUAUCGGAUCAAGCAAACUCUUCGGGAACAGGGUGAAUCAAGUAACCCAUUGCACACCUAGAGUCCCUGCUCCAGUACUUGGAAUUGGGUUUUGGUCAUUUUAACUGGCAAUUAGAUUUAAUUUUAUUAUUGUACAGGCUUCGACAACCUGUCACUAGAUCGUUAAUUAAUAUUACCUUGAUUUUAGUGAAUUGCCGUUUGAUUUUUAGUUGCCUAUUUUAUUUUAUUUUUAAUUGACUUUUUGUUUUAGUUGUUUUGGAUCUUUAAUUAUUGUUACGUUAAGUUUAGUGAAUUGCCAUUUAAUUUCUAGUUAGUUAUUUAUUUUUAUUUUCUUAUUUGAAUUUAUUUGAUUGUCAUCGUUUCUACAAAAACACCCCCUUUGUUACUUUGGAUUUCUUAAGAGACAAAUAUCCCCAGUCCCUGAGGAUAUGACCCUACUUGCCCUGUCUACAAAUUUGUAAUUAUUUAUGAAAAAGCCAUCCCAUUCGGGUAUAUCGGAUCAAGCAAACUCUUCGGGAACAUGAUGAAUCAAGUAACCCAUUGCACACCUAGAGUCCCUGCUCCAGUACUUGAAAUUGGAUUUUGGUUAUUUUCACUGGCAACUAGGUUUAAUUUUAUUAUUGUACAGACUUUGACAACCUGUCAAAGCCAGAAAAAUAUACAUACAGUAUCGAGUCUUAUUACCUGCUCAUUAUCCUUAGGGUAAAAGCAAUAAAAGAAAUCAGUUUUGUAAGAUUCCCAGCUCAAGAAAAUGUAAUAGAAUUUCCUGUUCUUUCAAAAUUAUAAUGUAGGAACAAGUUUUCUUGAGAUUUUAAAUCCAAGUGCUUUCAUCAAACUCAGUUAUACACAUCACCAUUUACUGUGAAAAUUUUAUUUACUUAUUGAUUUGCUUGAAACAAAAAGAAAAGAUAAUGCGUUAUACUCAUGGAGUAAAGCCUCAAAUGAAAGUAUGUCCAAGCACGAAAAAUUGUGAACUAUCAACCACAGGCAAAGAUUUUAGACUUUUUAAUUUAUAGCCUUUUUUGUUUCUGUGGGAGAACUUACUCCAAUGCAACUCUUAUGAAGAUUUCUAUUUAUUAGAUUAUGUGAGGUGAUAUGGAUGGUAACUAAAAUGAUUAACUUUCCAAUGCUUCCAACGAUUUUGUCUAGCAAUGCAAUAGCAGGAAUUUGAGAGGAUUCCAUCGUGCACCUUUAGUUUGUUGAAGGCAGAAGUCUACUUUGCUGAAAUUUCCUUGUCUUAGGCAGUCUGAAAAUGUUCAACUACUAUUAGCAAAGAAAACACUAUCACUUACUUUAAUGUCACAGCACACACUCAAUACACAUACGCAUAGCACACAAAAUACGUAUCACGGAUCACACUUGGCACUUCUAGUUCCUCCCCGAGAGAUAGUUCAUCAUCCAAUCAAUUCUUUUGGUAUAAUUUUGGCUUUUUUAGGGGCCACUUCCAGAUGUAAAUGAUAUAUUUGAUGAGCAUUUUGAUAUUUUGGUUCUGGCACAUGGUCCACUUCAAUGCUAACUCAAUUAUAGAUCGCAGAUAUUUAAGAACAGAUUAUUUGGUGUGGACAGCCAAGCAUAAUUUGAUAGCUUAAGACUAUUUGUACUGAGUUUCAUGCCUUUGCUAUCUUUCAAUAAAAAAUAGCAGUUUUUAUUUGCUCAUCACAUAUGUCUGCCACUGUAAGUUGUACAUUGAUUCGUGUUAAGAGAAUAUAAGUAUUAUUGUAGAUAAUAAAUUAGUAAGGGUAUUUUUGUAAAUAGUUUGUUAGGGUUGUACUCCUAUAAAUACUAGUUGGUCACUCAUAAUAUUGUGACUAGAUGUUUUCCUUCCAAGAUACCUGUUGACAUGGUAUCAGAGCAAAAGUCCUAGGGUUAGGGUUAAACAUCUAGCAAAAUCACUGUUCACGCCGCACUGUUCAUCGCGGCACUGUACACGCGUACUGUUCACGGCACUGUUCACGCGUACUGUUCAUGCCGUUACUGUUCACGGCUCAAGUUUUGACCCGUUCUUUCGUUUGACGUGCUAUUCGCUAUGGUUGAAAGGUUUGUUAAUACGGCUAUCACUGACCAAGUUGAAUCAAGUUUUUCAGCACAUGGGUCCCAGAAAACUGUUACUAUAUCUGAGGAAGAUUAUGUUAAAUUCCUACAGUACCAAGCUACAAAUCACGCAUCUCUUCCCUCUGCUUCUUUAGCACAAAAAGGUAAUGACUCAUGGAUUAUUGAUUCCGGAGCUACUGAUCAUAUGUCAGGUACCUCUAAAAUUUUUUCAAUUUUCAAGAGUCUACUUCCUUUCCUCAUGUUACUUUAGCUGAUGGAUCUACCACUAAAGUUAAAGGCCUAGGCACUGUAGAAAUUAAUCCAUCACUUCCGCUGUCUUCUGUUCUUUACGUACCCAAUUUGCCCUUUAAUUUAAUGUCUGUUAGUAAGCUCACUAAAUUUCUACAGUGCACAGUUACUUUUUCUCCUGAUUCUGUUGUCAUUCAGGAUUUGAAGACAAAGAGAACGAUUGGUGGAGGGCAUGAGCAUAAUGGUCUUUACUUUCUCCACUUCAAUGGUCCGAUAGCAUGUCCUGCUACUGUUUCUCCUCUUGAAAUUCACUGUCGUUUAGGUCAUCCGUCUUUACAAAAUUUGAAAAAGUUGGUUCCUACUUUGAGUCAAUUAUCUUCGUUAGAAUGUGAGUCUUGUCAGCUAGGAAAGCAUCAUCGUGUUUCUUUUGCUCCUAGAGUCAAUAAACGGGUUUCUGAACCAUUUUUGUUAGUUCAUUCUGAUGUUUGGGGUCCUAGUCGAGUCACUUCAAAGUUAGGUUUUAAAUAUUUUGUAGUUUUUGUUGAUGAUUUUUCCAGAGUUACAUGGCUUUAUUUAAUGAAAGAUCGUUCAGAAUUAUAUUCCAUUUUUUGUGCAUUUGUUACAGAAAUAAAGAAUCAAUUUGGUGUGCCUGUACGUAUACUUCGCAGUGAUAAUGCGAAAGAAUAUUUUUCCACUCCUUUUAAUACCUUUAUGACUAAGUCUGGUAUUAUUCAUCAGUCCUCUUGUCCUCACACUCCACAACAGAAUGGAGUUGCUGAAAGAAAAAUUGGACAUUUAAUCGAAAUUGCUCGAACAUUGUUGUUGCACACAAAUGUGCCCAAACAAUUUUGGAGUGAUGCAGUUCUAACUGCAUGUUAUUUAAUUAAUCGCAUGCCAUCUAAUAUUCUUGGAGGUCAAUUACCUCACUCCAUUCUUUUUCCUCAUGAACCUGUGUUUAAAUUGCCUCCUCGUAUUUUUGGAUGUGUGUGCUUUGUUCAUCAGCUUGCUCCCGGGGUGGAUAAAUUAGAUUCUCGUGCUAUUAAGUGUAUUUUUUAGGAUACGCACGAGCGCAAAAAGGGUAUAGAUGUUACAGUCCAGUUUUAAAUCGAUUUUUUACUUGUGCUGAUGUUACUUUCUUUGAAUCCACUCCAUAUUUUAUCAAACAAAGUAUGUCUUGUGAGUUAGACCAGUGUCACUCUUUUUCCUCUCCUGUUUUACCAGUCCCUUCCCCUUUAUUACCUGAGUUAUCUAGUCCACCAGAUUCCAUAGCUCGAUUAUCUCGUCCUCAUCUUCAAGUUUACUCUCGUCGUUCCAUGGUUGAGAAAGUUCCUGAUAUGCCACGCACUUCACCAAUUAACUCUCACUCUUCAAAUCCAGGUAUGACGCCCUCCUCUGAGUUAGAUCUUCCUAUUGCUUUACGCAAAGGUAAGAGACAUUGUACUUCCCAUCCUAUUUCUAAUUUUGUUUCUUAUUCUCAUCUCUCUAUGUCAUAUUCUUCUUUUGUUGCUUCCCUUGAUUCUAUUUCCAUUCCUAAGUCUAUUACCUAUGCUCUUAAUCAUCCUGGUUGGAGAUUAGCCAUGCAAGAAGAGAUGUCUGCUUUGGAACAAAAUGGUACUUGGGAUCUUGUCCCUCGUCCUUCAGGUAAGCCUGUUGUUGGUUGUAAAUGGGUGUACACUAUAAAAGUGCAGCCUAAUGGUUCUAUUGAUAGAUUAAAGGCUCGUCUGGUAGCUAGAGGAUUUACUCAGGUGUAUGGAGUGGACUACUUAGAAACAUUUUCUCCUGUUGCAAAGAUUACCUCUGUUCGUCUUCUUAUCUCUUUGGCAGCCACUUAUAAUUGGCCAUUGCAUCAGUUGGAUGUGAAAAAUGCAUUUCUGCAUGGAGAUUUGGAAGAAGAGGUAUAUAUGGAACAACCUCCUGGAUUUGUUGUUCAGGGGAGAAUCCGCGGUUGGUUUGUCGUUUGAAAAAAUCCUUAUAUGGAUUGAAACAGUCUCCGAGAGCUUGGUUUGGCCGGUUUAGUAGUGUUGUCAUGGAGUUCGGUCUGACAAGAUGUGGAGUAGAUCAUUCUGUAUUUUAUCGGCAUUCUAAUGCUGGUAAAAUUUUAUUAGUUGUUUAUGUGGAUGACAUUGUGAUUACAGGUGAUGAUGUUGUGGGGAUCCAGAAGCUUAAAUCCAAUCUGCAGGCAAACUUUCAGACAAAGGAUUUAGGUCAUCUACAGUAUUUUCUGGGUAUUGAGGUAGCUCGGUCUAAAUAUGGGAUUUAUUUAUGUCAAAAAAUAUGUACUCGAUAUGUUGAGUGAAGUUGGGAUGUUAGGUUGCCGACCUGUGGAUACUCCUAUGGAUCCCAAUGUGAAAUUAGCAGGAGAUCAAGGUGCAUUACUUGAUGAUCCUAAGCAAUAUCGAAGACUUGUGGGUAAAUUAAAUUAUCUCACUGUAACGAGACCUGACAUUUCGUUUCCAGUGAGUGUUGUGAGUCAAUUUCUUGAUACCCCUCGUACUAGUCAUUGGGAUGCUGUUAUACGGAUUCUCAGGUAUCUUAAGAGUGCUCCUGGAAAAGGGUUGCUGUAUCAAAAUCAUGGACACGCUGAUAUUGAAGGAUAUAGUGAUGCAGAUUGGGCUGGUUCUGCCUCAGAUCGAAGAUCGACUACAGGAUAUUGUGUGUUCGUUGGUGGUAAUUUAGUGUCGUGGAAGAGUAAGAAGCAAACAGUUGUAUCCAGAUCAAGUGCAGAAUCUGAAUACCGCGCUAUGGCUCACACUGUGUGUGAGUUGGUUUGGUUGAAGAGCAUGUUACUUGAACUUGGGUUUGAGCAUAAACAGCCUAUGAAUUUAGUGUGUGAUAAUCAGGCGGCUGUUCAUAUUGCGUCUAAUCCAGUGUUUCAUGAAAGGACAAAACAUAUUGAAGUUGAUUGUCAUUUCAUUCGAGAGAAAUUGCUUGACGGGGUCAUCAAGACAUCUCAUGUACCGUCUGUAGAUCAAUUGGCUGAUGUGUUUACCAAGAGCUUAGGGGGUUCUAGGGUGAAAUACCUUUGUAACAAGUUGGGUGCUUAUGAUAUAUAUGCUCCAACUUGAGGGGGAGUGUUAAGAGAAUAUAAGUAUUAUUGUAGAUAAUAAAUUAGUAAGGGUAUUUUUGUAAAUAGUUUGUUAGGGUUGUACUCCUAUAAAUACUAGUUGGUCACUCAUAAUAUUGUGACUAGAUGUUUUCCUUCCAAGAUACCUGUUGACAAUUCGUAAAGUUGAGAUUCUAUGGGACAAAAUGGUUGCUCAGAACUUUCACCUCUCGAAAAUGUACUUGUCAUCUUAUCAUCUUGCUCUGAACCAUCUGUGAUUUCAUCUUCUCUACAAGAGAUGGGAUUCGACUCAACUUUCCCUAGUUAUGAUCUCUCAACAUGAGGACACUUGUCAAUCGACAAAUUCUCUCUGCCCCUUGAUUGUCAAAUUGGUACUGGCAAUCUACGAUUCCAUUUUUUUCCUUAAAAUGAUCCUAAUUUAUGAUACAACUUUUCUUCUCAAACUAUGUAAUAUUGAAUUUUAAGCAUUUUGAUUCUCAAUUUGUUUAACUAAAAAAAAAAAAGGACGCAUUCAAGUUAUUUUUUGAGGUUGCCAAGGAAAAUCUUGCUGUUCCUGCAAUGAAGCUCCAGAGACUUGGUAAAUUAUCAUUUCUUAAAAACCUAAGUCUAACUAUGAUGAUUUGAACUUUUGAGCAUCAAAUAGUAACAAUUGGUCGCUAUUCUCUAGGAAUUUGACUUCAUGAAGAUUCUUGAGCUGUCUAUGCCUAUCAUGUUUUCUGGCUACCACAUUUCUUUUUUUAAAUUACUCAGCUGGUCAUAUUUUGGAGCUUUGGACAGAAACUAGACCAAUUUACAUGACACUUCAUGGUACUUGUAGAGUGAGUAGAAAGACUUCGUAUCUUCUUACUAAUUUAGGUUUGAAAUCAAUGACAACAUCUCUCUGUUUUUUUAACCUUUCUGUAAGAUUUGUUGAACAGAAAUGUCCUGCAAUUACCUGAAUUUUCUUGUUAGCUUCAUGGUCUUCUAUACACUGUCUUGAGUUUUGAAUAUUCUGUUUUGCAAUGGUGUUAGGCUCAAAGCUCACGGGAGACCUCAAUGGCUUAAUUACCGCCCUACCAAUCAAUAUCCCAUUAUGCCUUCUUCAACCACAUCAUUUUCAAACUGAAGGCAAACAUAUAGAAUGGCACUCUCUUUUGCUUCUGGGUGACUGAGAUGGCCAAAGCCUGAUAUCUACUUUAUGAAUGUGAUGCCUUCAAACUGUUGGUCAUGAAAUGAGGUAGUAAUUCAUCAAUUAUCGACCUCAAUUGGUUUCUGUCUCAGACUGCUUGCCUCUCAAAUUAGCUGCAAUUUAGUUGCAGAAAAUUGUCAGUCUGUCUUUUGACUGCUUAUUGUCUGUUAGUUGGCCUCUGCAAGCUACUCACCACCCUUCUUGAAGUUGUAUCUUAGCUCCAUUACAUACAACAUGAUUUUAUGAGUUUGCCUGUUCUCCUUUUGCAGUUAAAAUCGUAUGUCUAGAAUGAUGCUCUUACUUUAAGAUUCAUAGUUAUUCCAAAAUUAUUGAGUCUAUAUGAUGUUGAGUAAAUCUUAUGUUGGUAGUCGCUUGACAAAAAAAUGAAGAAUUGCACGAAGUUGUUCUUUUCAAUUUUGUCUGGCAUCUUUCUUAGGUUUCUGUAUCAUGAUUGAAAGUUACAGGUACUCCAUAAACAUUACCUUAAAUAGGCAACGGUUACAUGUCUUCAAUGGAAGCUUGACUUAAUAUCUUGUUUCUGUAUGAAUAACCAAAGGCACAAGAUUUUCUUGGGUGACCAAAGCAAGUUCUGCAUAAAAGAGAAGUGAAACAAAUCAACUAAUCAAGUAACAAUGUAAAAGAUUAUUUCUAAGAUUAGCUCUCCCUUUAAACUCAAGAUUUGCAUCAGGAUGAAAUGAGUUCUCUGCACUUUUGUCCGUGGAAAAUGCAUUUGCAUUUUAUAUUCAUAGCAUAUGCAGAAAAUUUGUGAAACUUUUUCUAUAUGUCUUUAGAUCAGCAAUGCUGACGACACUCCUUUCUUCAAAACUUUCCAAGCUGAUUUUUGUGGUCUCUUGCUUAGACAAACAGAGGCUAGAAUUUUGAAGCUUCUUCAGUACCAUCUAUAUGGCUGGAACUCAAUAACUUUUGGCCCGCAUUUCCUACAAUAUCCUAUUAAUUUUAAAACAACUAGCAGUCUAGUUGUAUUUAUUUUACAUGUCUGCUGCUUUUGCGGAUUUUAAGUUAUUAUUGCUAAAGUCAGCUCACUCUAUUUAAAAUUGUCAUUCUAAGGGGAUGAAAUGGUUUCUCUGAACUUUGACCUCUUGAUAAUGAACUUGCAUACUUAGUUGAACUAUUUGAUUAGUAAUUGCUCUAUGAGAGUCAUAUAUGACGGUUGUAUGACUCACUUUUCCUUCAUUUUGACUUUUGAGCCAUGAAGACAAUGGUCAAUUGAGGAGUUUUCGUAGCUGUUGGUCAUCACUUUCAUGUUUUGGUUCAAAAAUUCUGGUAAUUUUCGAUAUGCUUCUCUUCUUUCACUACUCCAUUUUGACAUUUAACCACUUUAAUAUGUAAUAUAUCACAUAUAAAACAAAAGAAAUCUUGUCAUCACGAAGAUAUUUUUGAGGUAGCCAAGGAAGGUGUACUGUUCGAGCAAUGAAGUUGAACAAAACUAGGUGGAGUAUCUUCCAACAUUCUUGUCUAAGUGGAAUGUUUUGAAGCAUUCCGGUUGGUCAAGUCUGCUUGUUGCGAUUUUCAGCUCUUAAUGAAUCCACCUUGAUAAAGGCUCUUAAGCUCUCUCUGCUUUUAUGAUUGUUGGUUGCUUCUUUUUAUUAUGGUAAGUUUCUCCUUUUGGGCCUUCAGUUACAAUGACAGAAAACUUGCAAUUAUCUAAAAAUUUCCAUUAACUUUAUUCUAUACUGAACGUGGUCUUGAGUUUGAGUUUUUGUGCUUUGCAGUGAUUUUAGGCACAAAGCUUGACAGGGAACCUCAUCGAUGGCUCUUACUUCUUUACUUUUUGAAAGUCUUGCAAUUCCUUGCUGAACAAGAUCUUGCUUCAGUUGAAUAGUAACAUCUAGGAUGGCAUUCUCUUUCGCUCUGUGCCUCAGAUGGCCAAAGUCUGAGAUGUCCAUUGGGGUAUGGUUCUUUUGAACUGUCCAAACGAUUCUGUGAUGUGUUAGAACUAGGAUAAUGAGGUGCUGAUUUACAUGUUUUAGAACUCAAAUUGUCAUCUGUGACAUAUUGCUCACAGUUAGAAGUUAGAACUAACUGGUGUUUUGGUAGCAGUUAAAUCCAGAUCUCUAUUGUCCCUCAGCGGCCCAUAGCACUAUUGUUCCUCAAUGCCUCAAUGUAAAAUGCAAAUUGCCUAUCAUUAUUUUCAAAUUUACGAUUGUACUUGCUUUGCGUUGGAACCAAACCACUGUAAUUGUAAACACGACUGGGUACUUGCUUAUCCAUUUAGUUUGAUAACAAACAAGACACACAUUUUAGCCUUUUGUGAGAUUGACGGAACCAAAGUAUUGUUGAAUUAUCUGAACUUUCUCAUAAGCUUUCUUGUUGACCACAUAUUGUCCCGGUUCGAGUUUUCUGUUCUGCAAUGAUAUCAGGCACAAACGUCAAUUGGAAUGUACAAUUACUCUUACUACUGAUUGAAUUACACAGCCUGUGACUUUUGAAAACUUAGUUGAAUCAAAUCCUGUUUCAAUUGGACAGAAAUGAUUAGGAUGGCACACUUUUCUAUCUUUAUUGCAAUGCUGGCAAACAUGCCUUCCUUAGAUUUUGAAUCUUGAAGCUCCUCAUCAAACUAUGUACUCUAAAAGUUCAUUUGGUGUCUACAUUCAUGAAAUAGAUUGUUAAAUCAAAGUUUGAUGGAGCACAGAAAAUUAUGAAUAAGCAAUGAUGGACAAAGACUUUAAGAGUUAAUUUCUAGUUUUUGUUUCUUCUGGACAACAUACUCCAGUGCAACCAAUGCUAAUAUUUUCUAACAUGAUGUGAUAAAAAUUGUACAAUAAGAUGGUUAAGUUGCAAAAUUGUCUGAAGUUUUAUAACGUCUGCCUUCAAGGAUGUUGUCUAGCAAUGUAACAGCAACGAUUGGAGGGUUACCUGUGAGAACCUUGAAAAAAGAAAAAAAAAUAGAUAUAUAUAUAUAUAUAUACAUAUAUAUAUAUACAUGUUGCAUUUGCAUUUUAGACUCUUAAUAACUUUUAUUAUUGUUGGUUCUUAAAUAAGUGUGUGAAAACAAAUUUUUUUUUUUGGUUACAAAUAGUUUAAUUGUGCAAAUAUUAAACCAUUUGAAUUUUUGCUAAGAUAAAUUAAUACUUCUUGAUGUAGAUUAUUGCAUUGCUUUAAUAUUAAUCCUUUGAAUUCCGAUAGUUAAUUCUAAGUGUUAAUAACGUUAAGUGUCAACGGGAAUCUAGAACUAAGAUGAAAACGACUUAGGUCAAAACCCUUUAUAAUCACACUUAGGACGUUGAAUCUCGAUAAUUUAAUUUUUGCGAGACUAGUAUGCUAGUAGGCUAUCGAACUUCAUUUGGGGUAAAAUCUUGGAGUUAGGUUACGAAUGAGGACUCAAGUGUAUUUUAUAUUCUAUUUCCAUAUAUUAUCAAAGGUGUUGCAUAUAUCAUAUAACCAAUUAAUUUACAUGCUUAAUUGACUUUGUAUAAAUUGAAUGUAUAAAAAUACGUGAAAUUAGUGUAAGAAAAUCCUUAUAGGGAUACACCAAUUAAAAUAAGGUGGAGUUUGGGGCAAUACUUGAAGGUAAUAAAGAUACAACUCCUUAGUAAGUAAAUAAACUAAUGCCAAAUGACCCUUUUAACCCUAAGACUUAAACUAAUUUACCAUGCAACCUAACAUCUAACAAUUCUUACUAAGUUAAAACCGAAAUUGGAGAAGGAAGGCUCGGCUGUUUCAUUUGAUAACAGAAACCAUGACGAGCAAAAGAGAGAAACAGAGUGUGAAGCUUUCUUCCUCCUCCAAUCUCGAAACCGUGAGCAAAAGUGCGUGAUAGGGAGGGAUAUCUUGUGUGUUUCAUCACCUGCCAGCCUCAAACGAGAGAGAGAGGGAUGCAAGGGACGAGAAAGAGAGAGACUGGUGUAUUUAUCUUGAGGAACCGAAGCAGAAACCAAGGCGCAGUCCGUAAUUUCAGAUUUUGGGAGGAAAGGGAGGUAAAAUUUUGUAACAACCACUCACUUAUUUAGUAUAACUGAAUGUAUAUAGAAGCAGCAUGUGAAUUUAGCUGGGAAAAAUGAGUUCCUGGCCGAGGGAAAAUUCUGUGCAGCAACCGAAAGCUAUUGGAAAGGAAAACUGCAGAAACCGAGAGUGAAGAUUGGAAAUUGCAGCUUGCUAUCAAUAUUUCUUUGGAGAAUAAUGUCAAGAAAUGCAUGUAAUAUAUAUUUAUCUUAAGUUUAUAAGAGAUUUAGCUGGAAAACUUGUGAAAAGUUGGAAGUUUGAGCUGGAAAUGUUGAGAGAAAGCCGCUGGAAUUUCCCAGCUUCAGCGAGAGAAGGAAUAAAGGAUUUUUCAAGGUUUCUUUGUGGAUUCUGAUUCCAAACUUCUACAUUAAGGCUUAAUUCAUUGCAUAAUACUUUAGUUUUAACAUGCAUGUUAGAUUUGAGUGUGUAACGAAGAGAUUAAUGGAGAAAUUUCUUGUUUAAAAGCUGAUUGCUGUUAAAAUUUUUCCAACAUGGCCGAGAGAGGGAAAUAGAAUUUUAUCCAGCUUUCUCUUUGAUUCCUUGGCUGAAAACUUUAUAUUCCAGCUUAAAAUACUUUGUGGUAUGUUAGUUGCUCUCUGCAUGUUAAGUUUGGAGUGAGGAAAAUGAAGAAAAGUAAGGAAACAGUUUCAUGCUUGAAUUACCGAAUUGUUGAAUUUACUUGUAGCGGAUGACAGAAUUAGUUGUGGUUACUUGGUGAAAUUGCCGCUGGAAUUGUAUGUUAAUUGCUUUAGUUAGGUUGGACAGAGUAUAAGCUGAGUGUUUACUGUUUUAAGCAAGUAAAAGGGGAACUUUGAUGAGAAAUUCUGUGGUAAUGUUGCUAGAAACAAGUGUGCUGGUUGAGAGAAUUAGGAGGUUAAGUUCUUGUGUUAUAUUGAAAAUUCCAAGAUAAUUGGUUAUAAAUUUUGUGUAAAUCGACUAAUAACACUUUGACCCUGUUUAUUCCUGAUCAUUUUAGUAAUUCUGGGACUUGAGAAGCUGGUGAAUUGGAGCAGAUUUAAACAACAAGCAAACUAGAAUUUGGUUUAGCUUAAAAGGAAAGAAAUGAAAAGUUCACUAGCCUCAAUCUUUAAAUUUGGGUUGAAUGUAGUUUAACCUCAGUUUAAACACCUCACAAGACCUUAAAUUUGGAGUACAUGUAUAUUUCCCUUGUUUGAAUUGAUAAAUUUGAUGAAUCUUGAAGAGAAAUAUGAGAAAGGUUGCUAUAUCAACUAUAGGAAUCUAAAGAGCUUUAAAACUUAUAUGAAAAGAUAUUAAACUAAAAUAUAAUUUAAGUGGCUUUAUACGAAUUGUAUAUUCACCUUAGGGCAAUAAACUAGUUUGCUCAUGGUCUUAAUUAAUAAAAGGAAUUUAUGGGACAAAAAGUACCUUAAAGUUCGCUACUUCUAAACUUACCUUGUUAAAAGAUAAUGUUAAGUUUCAGUACGUUAAAUCUAAAUGCAUAAAAGUAGUGAAGUGACAAUACUGGAAUUGUUACUUAAACUUCCUUUCUUUUGGAAAUUAAAAGUCAAAGUGACAAGUGAAUGUGAGAAAAUGCACUUGGAAAGCCGUGACUUGUGGUUUGGAAUUGUUUUGAUGUCUUGGACUUCCUUCAUUUAAUUUUUGAUUGGAAUUGAACUUGUUGAGACCUAGGGCUAAUGAUUGAUGAAGCCCUAGUGAAAUUGAUGUUUGAAUUGUGAUUUUGCUAUAUUGGCGACUUGGAAUAUAAUGUGCAAAUGAAUUGAAAUCGUGAAGUCCGUUUUAGUCUUUUGAAUUCAAGUAUUUUUAAAUCAAGCUUUGUAGAAAUAUUUUGUCUUAAUAUCAGGUUAUAGAAAUUGAGUAUAGUACGAUAAAGCUAAACUUCAAGUGUCGGGACUUUUAAAACCUUGCCAACUAGUUUAUUCUUUUCUUUGUUUAAACUAGUUUUAUUACUUUUAGGAAGUAGUUGCAUUAACUUCCAAACUUUAAGUUUUUCAUAAAAUUAUCCUUAGCUAGUUGUUUUAGAGGAAAUUUGUUAAAAACACUAGAUUUGAAUAAUUUCAAAUAAAAGACAUAGAAAACUUGUUCGGCAAGAAAACUUGUUUGAAUUAAUUUGGUUCUAGUUUGCCCCUCUAGAAGGGAAAUACCUUUAAAGAAACCAUACGAAAUAUUUUAUCACUCUUACUAGUUUUGGUUCUAAGAGAAUUAUUAAUUUAUUCCGAGAAAAUAAACUAGUUUUAUACUAGAUAAUCUUUUAUAUAUAAACCAAGAGUUUGUUUAGUAAAAUUUAUAGUUUUAAAACUUGGAUUUCUAGGGUUUAGCGAGGACGUGGACUUCGAUUCCCAGCUUGACUUUUGAGCUUCACUUUUGGUGAGUGUCCGUGCUUGUUCUAUGAUUAACUUGUUAAAGUGCUUUCUUGACCUGUUAUGUGAUACUUGGAAAGCGGUUUUCUUGAUCCGUCGAAGUGGGCAGUAUGUACUUUAUCGCACUAGCCCUUUCGAGUGGUGACUUGCUUGAAAUGUUUUCUCGAAUAUCUUGCAAUUGUUGACUGGAGCGUGGACUCAUCAACUAAUCCACCAGGCAGGGGAAUGUACCACACCUUAGGAUGGAGGGCCUUUUAUCCUGACCUGGUAAAAAUGUGUUGUGACGUCGUUGGGUGAAUCCCUCGACUAGUUUAUAAUGUGAUGUCGUUGGGUGAAUCCCUCGACUAGUUUACAAAAAGGUAUACUCGAGUAAUACCAAACUCUCUCGUGAGGCGUGCGGGCCCGGUGUGGGAGUAAGUUGGUUGGAGCGUGUUAAGGAAAAAAAAAAUGAAUCUACAUGGACUUUAGGUAGUGAGAGUUGACGGAGGGUCAACUGCGGUUAAUUUUGAUCAAGCUAGUGGAAAAUGGCUCCUGAGAGCCCUUGUAUCCUACCCUGUGCUGUUAUAAGCUUUCCUACUUGUUGAACUUAAUUUGAAGUUACUAUUUGUUACUUGUUUAUAUGGUUGCAUGUUUUGGGCCCCACUGAGUUUUGGCUCACCGCACGAUAUUUGUUUUCCUUAACAGGUUUUGGCGUUCGAGAGACUUGAAGCCUACUUUUCGUUUUUGUAAAUAUUAUUUCGGAUCGUCUUUGUAUCUUUUGUUUUGGGUUGUCACUUGAGGCUAGAAAAGUGCAAACCCUAAACUUUGGCUUGUAUGAAUGUAUUUGAUAUUUUAUGAUUGCGGUUUGUGGCUUGUAAUGUAUGAUUUUAGUUAUGUGUUAAGCUGGAUGGAGGUGUAUUUAAGAGUGAACGUUUAGAUGCCAAUGGCAAUGUUAUCUCUGAAGUUAAUGUGUUCUUAUUAAUUUGGUCGUUCAAAGGUUUGGAUUGUUCAGGUGACGAAUUUUGUUUUGGUUGAAGUUAUACGUGGAAAGGGUUUAGUCGGUUUCCUUGUGUGAGUCCUGGCGAGAGUUGGGCAGACGACCCGCCAACUCUCUGGUUCGCCUUAGGAAGAAGUGGGGCCGUCACAUUAUCAAUUUGCACCUGCAAGUUGAUUGCAUGCUGCAAUUAGAGAUCUCAAUCGUUAAUUGUACUAGUAUCUUAUAAGCAGUGAAUUGUGGAAGUAAAUUGCCAAUUUGGGAAGUGAUGCAACUGUGAAACUUUAGUAGUCUGCUUAGUGAACUUGUCUGGGCUUUGUCAGUCUAAUUCAGAGAAACUUACAAGUGCUGUUCAGGGAAGAAAGCAAUAUCACUUUAUUCAAGAGCAGUUUUACUUUGGCUCAUCUCAUCUGUCUGCUACUUCUAGCUGUUCAUCAUGAUUGCUGAAGGUAGGUAAUUCUCUCUUUAAAUUUGAGAUUCUAUUGGGAUGGAAAUGCUUGCUCUGAACCUUGUGCUCUUGAAAAUGUAUUUAUGUCUCAAAGAGUUCGCCUUCAUGACAAUUCCAGAGCUCUCUGCCUUUCAUGCUUGUGAGUGCCACUGAUUAUCGCUAUUGUUAUAGCACUUUCUCUUUUUUCAAAUGCUUUGAACUAAAGCUAAUAUAGUUUCUAUGGCACUUCUGGUGCUUGUAGACUGCGCAGAAAGAUUUGAUAUCUGCUUACUAAUUUAGGUCAGUAAGAACAACGAAAACAAAUAUUGAUUGAGCUUUUGCAAGAAAUCAAAUAACCAAAUGUACGUAGAUAGAUUUUCUUGGGUCGCCAUUUUGCAAGAAAUCAACAAUCAUCUUCUCUGAUUCUUGUUAGUCCACGUCGCUGUCCAGUUUCCUUCAUCAUUUUUCUAUUCAGGACAUUGCAUGUAGCCAGUAGUACAUUCAUUGUUCUCAGGUCGGCAACUCUUGCCGCCAUGUACAUGUAUGGCUGGAAUUGAAGUUGUAUUGCUUUUGCGCUGCUACCUACAAUUGCCAAUGUCUUAAGGCCUCUUGGAGAAAAGUUUGGUUUUAUUGCUGAUUUGCUUAAAAAAAAAAAAGGAAGACAAUGAGUUUAUAUAAAAGAAAGGGUAAAUUACCUUUUCUCCCUUGUGGUUUGAUGCCUUACCAUAUAACCUUCCCUUGGUUUAAAAACCUAUACAUAACCCCCUCAUAGUUUGGGUUAAUGUGUCAUGGUUAGUUUUUCGAUUAAAACUAAUGGUCAAUAAAUGUCAAAAUCAAACUAAUAAACUGACAAAUUCACUAUUUCACUACUUUUUUCCUUUUUUCUUUUUUCCUUUUCUUUUCUCACUUUUUUUUUUGGGAGAAAAGAAGAGAUGAUUCUGAAAAUAUAUACUCUGGCCUACAAAUCUUAAUUUUCUCUAAAUCUAAAAGAGAUGGAAAGGAAAUAAAAGAUAAAUAAAUAAGAAACAAAAAUAGAAGGGAAAUAUAAAACAAAUAAAUACAAAAUACAAAAUAUUUUUUGACUAGAAAUAUCAUUAUAAAUUUUUAAACCAUAGAGAGGUCAUGUGAUAAAUCACCAAACCACAAGAAGGUAAAAGGUAAUUUAUCUAAAAGAAAAUGAAGCUUUAUGUUAAAGCAUGUCUAAGCACAGAAUAUUGAUUCAGGUUUAAGAAAGAGAAUCAUUGCUUCUUCUUUCAGAUUCUCAAGUGUUCAUUUUAUUGGGUGAACAUUCAACCGCUAUGUACUUUUCUUGGUUAACCAAGCCUUGGGUAGAAUUAAAUUAAUCGACUGUGCUUUUUUUCUUGUCAGUUAGCCUGAUUCUUAGUCGGACUUUACUUUUUUUGUAAAAUAAAUAAAUAAAUACAAAAGUCUAUCAUGUUUCACCCCUGGUGAUAACCAGAGUUAAAAUCACUCAAACUUUUUCUUUCGAAAACAAAAAAAAAAUUGUUUGGAACCUAGAAAUAAUAUGUGGAGUUUGAGAUGGGUAGAACGUGGACUAUAUUAUCUACAAGUGAAAUUUCUCACUCAUUAAUAAUUAGGGAGAGUUUCUGUGUUUGUGUGUUAAUGAAUAUGAAAUUGGAAGUCACAAAGCCUGAUUAUUUAGCCAAGAAGCUGCAUGCAACAUAGUCAGUGCAGAAAGGAAGAACUUUGACCCCUAACAAAGAAAUUUUAUUACGGUCCCCAUCAAUUAUUUGGCAAGUACAGUCGUUUUUAUAUGAAAUUAAUCAAACAAAUAAGGAGUUCAUAAUCUUAUUUGGAUUGUAUAUGAAAUCAAUUUGAUUUCACAAUCUUAUUUAGAAUAUUUGUAUUAAUCAAAAACUAACCAUUAGCUGAUCCUAUAAAAAUUCUUGCUGCUGGCACUUGAGGAAACCAAACAAAAUAAGAUGCGUGUUCUAAUUUUAAUUCUUGAGGAUCAGUAAUUAAGACCAAAUUAUGAUUCACGUUGGUAGAAGAUUGGAUUGAGUGCUAAGAUGGGAUGAAUUCUAAGUAGGGAAUUCUGAAUUCAAUUUUAUUAUUGACGUAAAUGAUUGUCCUUUAUAGAUGCAACAACCAUUGAGAUAUGGGAUCAUAUCAAAGCCUUCCCUGAUGUUUCUCUUAAUAUCACCUAAUACCUUUAAGGUUUUAAAAAUAUAAUUUACUUACCUUGCUUUGGUUAUUUGUGUAACAAAAUUUUUAAAAAUUCUAAAUUGCCCUUUUACUUGCUAAAUAAAAAUAUUCCUAAACAACUUUAUUUACUUCAAAAAAACCAUCACAUAAAAAAUAAUUUCUAGCAGUAACUACAUCAUAAUGCAAUAACCCAUAAAAAUAUAAAUUUAAAAAAUAAAAAAGAUAUUUGCAAAGAAAUACACUUGCACUAAUUUGACUCUAUAUGCUCAAAACCGAUUUCUUUCAUCACCGGUGGUAAACAUUUCCAAAGAUUCAGAAACUGCAUUGUUAUUCUGUGCAAUGAUAAAUUGUCUAGCAGGUGUCACUCUCCUCUUUGCUCUUCUAGCCUUUGCAGGUCUUCCUCUUUGUGCCAGUUGAGGAAAACAAAAUCAAUUUUGCUUCUAAUUUGCAAAUGAAAUAUUGGUUAUGCUGUUAGUCUAAGGCUUCGUUUGGGAGUUGGGAUUUUGGAUAGGAAUGAAAGGAAAAGAAGAGAGAGUUAGCUUUCCUUUAGUUUUUGGUAAGAAAUAAAAGAAAGAAAUGGGAAGAUUCAAAAGGAUGAAAUGCAGUGCAACAAUAGCCAAAACUUUUCUUCCUAAAUUGGACAGAAAUGGAAGGAAACUUUGAGAAAGCUUGUCAAUUGUUUUCAAAAUGCCUAUUUUGUCCUUAAAAAGGUCUUGAACAAAUAUUUAAUAACUUUCAUAUCCAAAAUCAUUCUACUAAUUUUCAAAACUCUCAAACAACAUAACAAUCCCUUCCCUUCUCUUCUCUUCUCUCAUAACUUAAGUUUUCCCUUCCUUUCUUGUCUAUCCUAAACUCCUAAAAUAAGCCUAAUUCUCAAGGAUAGUUAGUAAGACCAAUUUAUUAUUCUUUUCAAAAUUAUUUUUGGAUUAAGAGAUGACAUGAUUGAUGUUGCCAACGUCACCAACUAUGAUUGUGUACAUUUGACUAAUUUUUUUGUUCAAUUUUAGGAAUAUUUAUAAGUAAUAAAAUUAUCUAACAAAGAGGCACUUUGCUAUAUUUAUAAACUUAACAAACUUCUCCAUUCUUCUUUUUUUUUGAGAAAUCCAUUCUUCAUUUUAAGUCACACAUCAUCCCUCUUUAUGUAUAUGUUAUUUUUAUAUGCAUCAUAUCUAAUAAACCCAAGAAUAUUUAUUCAAAAAGCAAUUAAAUGAUAGAAGUAUGCAAAAUUGACAUCUCAACCAACCCAAAGCUAUUUGUUCAACGAGCAAUUAAAUGAUAGAAGUAUGCCAAAAUUGACAUCCCAACAACUUUUCUAAGACUUUUAGUCUGGAAUUUGAUAAAAAUGGAAACGAGUCACACUCUGAUUGGGUGUUACAAACGUGUUGAUGGGUAAAUACUACUUUUUGAGAUUGUAAUAUAUUGAUAACUAAAAUCUUACCUAAAGCCACUACUUUCAUAAUAGUGGUAAAUGACUGGUUAAAUUUUUGUUCAAUCAACAUGAACUUAUAAGUAACCAAAUGUCAUUAGUUUUCACCAAAUUUGUGAAACAAAAAUCUUUAUUUCCUUAAACAUAUCAUAAAAUGGACUAAAUAGUUUGUAAGACAUUAGCAAUGGAAAGUCAAUAAAUACCAACAUGGGGUACAACAUCUGUAUGUCACUAAUUACCAAUAGUUUGUAAAAUUUUUUUUAACCAAUCGAUAGAAUAGAAGUUAUUGUUUUGGAUAUAUUGUAAAACAGAUCGAGCUAACAAUGAAAAAUUAACAACAAAUAGUACUUAAAUACUAACUAAAUGUACAAUACUUAUAAAUAGAAUCUCAUCUGAAACUUCCCAAUUUGGGGCAGGGAUAUUAUUCUAUUGAUACUCUGAAAUUGUGAAGCAAUGUUCAAAAGAUAAGUUUUGAAGGGAGAUCAAAAGUUUAUUUCAUUUGAAGAUUUCAUAAGAAUAGUCGUGCCUCAUUAAUUUGAGCGGAAAUUUUUGAAACGGAAGCUGAGGUUUUUUAAAGGAGUCUGUUAGCCCCUCAUAUUUUUAAAAAAAAAAAAAAUCUUUUUCCCUACUCACUUAGUAAAAGUGUCAUUUUCCUUUACUACUGUUCCCAUUAUAUGUGAUCUAUUGCAGUCCUUUCAUUCCCUUUUGUGCGAGGAGCGCUUGGAAACUGUCCGCCUGAUGACCGUCUCGGCUCCAUAUCCCACUUCCCUUCUCUCUUACAUUUUGGCGGUUGAACAUAGCUAUUUGUCAUUCUUGGGUCAAACCACCAUUCUAAUGACCACUUGAGAUUGCAUCCAAGUUUGUCCAAGAUGUAAGCAUCAUGCACUGAUUAAGAAAGGCCACGUAGCGAAAUUGCCAAGCAUCUUCUAUGGCAAUUAAUAACAUCCAAGUUUGUCAACGAAUUAUUAAUCUAGAUGAAGUCAAUUCUAUCCUUAUGUCCCAAGAAUUACCAAAUUAGAUUUUAAAAAAUGGUUGCCUCGGUAGCAAUUAUGAUUGCCAUUUUCCCUGUCUUUUGCAUCAAAAGUUCAAUUGUAACUAUGGAAGUUUAUAAGUAAGAUAAGUAGUAUUAUUUUAAAAUUGAAAGGAGGAAUUUUAAAAUCAGGUACUGGCACAAUAGACGUAUACACUAAGAUAUUAAAUGUAGAAAAAAAUAACAAUACACAAAAGCACAAUAAAUGUUUUAUUCAUUAAAAGUUUUUCAUGCUAAUCAAUUCUAUUCAUCCAAUUUCAAAUUUACCCAAUGUAAAAUAUAGAUUGCAUGGUGCAAUCAAUUGCAAGAAGUAAUUGUGCGUUAUCCAUCUCAACUCACCACACUUAUCAUUGUUAUCACCUUUGUUUUUUUACCCUGUCACUAUUAUCAUUAGAUAAAUAUAUGAAAAAACAGUUUAUACUUAUUCCACUCACUUUUUUUUUUAUUUUUCCAGCCACCAUCCUGUCUCACAUGCAUUAUAUAAAAAUACAAAAAGUGUUACAUUAUUAAUCUAAUUUUUUUUAUUUAACUAAUCCUCUAUUCGGCCACACUUUUAUUUGAGUAAAAUGAUACCUUUCACCCUUUCGGAUCAUUCAUUUAUUUUUUUUUCUAGGUUUGCAAUUAGACUGCACCAAAUUAAUAAAUGUUUCUUGUUUUCACAAAUGUAUCAUAGCUUUUAUGUAUCAACUCUUUCCUCAACAUCGUUUGUUUGCUGAGAAAUUUCUAAAAUUAUGAUGAAUUUUAAAAAAAUUCUACAAAGGGGCAUUUUGAAUAUGGAUUUUGUCCAAGGAGUCUUCGCAUUUAGCAAAUGCGAGCUCAGCAAAUGCGAGCUCCAUGAGCUCGCAUUUGCUGAAUGCGAAGUCUCCUUGAAUUUUCGACCAACAAAAUCCAAAAAAAAAAAACAAAAAGAAAACCAGACCUCGCAUUUGUUAAAUGCGAGGUCCGUUACCUCGCAUCUAAUAAAUGCGAGUCACUUAGACCUCGCAUUUAACAAAUGCGAGGUCAGUGACCUCCCAUUUUGUUAACAAACGAUCGCAUGUCCAGAGGCCUAAUACUGAUUUCAGAGCACUUUCCAUAUUUUACCUCUUUUUUUUUUUGUCCUUUCAUCUUCCUUUUUGGAAAAUUACUAGUUGCCAACCGUGCAAUGUACAAGCCAUGUAAUGAAAACCCAUUGAAUUGUGAAUCAAUUUAAAAUGAUAUCAGCAAUACAAUAACGACCCAAGAUCAAAGUAUCAAAACAAGAAAAUCCCAGAAAAUUUCAUUCAAAAUGUCGAAUUUCUUAUGAUGAUACCCCAAAUGGUUAAAUUGCUUAGUUUGAUCUAAAAAUAAUUUUGUUGUCCCCUUUCAGGAUUUCUUUUUAUCCACACUUACCAGAAUUUAGGCUUCUCGCAGAUUUUUGCCACAGUGAGUGUGAUGGAUAGAAUCCUCAAUGUCCCUGCGGUAUGUCACUCCUGGAGCUCAGCCUACUCCAACAAAAUUUGUUCGACUUCUUUGGGCACUUGCGAAAUCAAAAAACAAAAAAUGAACUCCCAGAAUCUUGGCUGCACGGAGAGAGUGAAGGGAGAGUGAGACAGACACCAACGAUGAAAUUGAAGGAGUUUCAAUGUAUAGGCCUGCAUUUGGAGGGGAAUUUUGAUUGUUUUCAGAUUGAGUACCUCGCAUUUAAGAAAUGCGAGGUACUCAAUCUCGCAUUCUCCAAAUGCAAGCUUAUAUUAAGCUCACAUUCUGCAAAUGCGAGCUUGCAAGCUCGCAUUUGCAAGCUCGCAUUUUCCAAAUGCGAUCUUGUUUUUUUUUUUUUCUAGAAACACUUACCUCGCAUUUCACAAAUGCGAGGUAUCUAAACUCGCAUUUCACAAAUGCGAAGAUCAUAAGUCUGGAACCAACUUAAAAAAUUACCCCCUUUGUAGAAUAACUUUUUUUUUUCAUCACAAUUUAAGAAUUUUCUCUUUGUUUGCUCUGAAGCGGUUUACAAAUCUCCCACUUUAACGUAAAAUUGUCAUAGUAACCUUAGAUGUACCCUUCUGUUUGCUAAUGCACCAAACCAUUUUGUGACUCCUAUACAUGCGCAACAUUAAUUUGAAUUAUCUGUAAUCGCUUAAUUUGAAUUAUCUAAAAUUAUUUUGGACCUUUCAUUGUUCAGCACAGUUCUUAUCCUUCUUGGGUGGAAUUUUCCACGUCCAGGGGCCCCGGCAUGUGGAAUGUGGAUCAAAAGUAGAUGUAGAAUCCCGGCAAUGACUAUAUUUUAUUUUCAACUGAAAAUGCCAAGCAACUUCCGUUGCAAAAGCAUCCGACCCAGUUUGUCAAAGAAGCGCUGCACCAAAAAAUCCUCAUAACUCUUGUCACUUCCGUUUGAGUCAAAGCAGUUCCUUGCUGCUUCUAACUACGGCUAAAACCUUCCACUGCAAAAGGGUAUUCUUAUCUGAAGACUGUACCCAAGGAACAGAAGAAUGGCUGAUGCACUUAUAGCUUCCACAAUAGAGGUAGCAUUGAAGAAGACACUUUCCCUUGCAAUGAAAGGAUUGGCAAGUUAUUCCGAUUCAAGGAGGAUUUGGAGACCCUCAAAGAUCUGUUGCUAUGAUCCAAGCUGUCUUGGCUGAUGGAGGAAAAGCAAACGCAUGACCAGGCCGUGUGACUGUGGCUCCAGAGGCUAGAAGUCGUGGCGUUUGAUGCCGAGAAUUUGUUGGACGAGCUGAAUUAUGAAGCUCUUCGUCGCCAACUCGUGGGCAAGGUGCGCUCCUUCAUCCUGUCCUCUGACAUUAAUAUUGUUUUCCGAUGGAGAAUGGCCUCUAAGAUCAGUGACAUCAACAAGAAGUUGUAUAAGAUCAAUAAAGAAGUCAAUGAUUUUGGACUGAUCAGAUUCCAAAGGGCAAGUUUCCCCCCUUUACUACUGCUAAAGUCACACUAAAUAGAGAGACGGAUUCUAUUGCUGGCCAUUAUGUUGUAGGAAGAGCUAAGGAUGAAACAAGGCUGGUGGAGAUUGCUAAGCUUGUCAGAAAAUGCCGUUUCUGUAAUUCCCAUCCUUGGGAUGGGCGGAUUGGGAAAGACAACUUUAGCUCAAUCUGUAUACAAAAAUAGUCAAGUUCAUAGCCAUUUUGAGAAAAAAAUUUGGGUUUGUGUGUCCGACAACUUUGACGUGACCAGGCUUUUGAAAAUGAUUUUAGAAUCACUCACAGAAGAAAUGUUGAAAUGACCAGUAGGGAUGUCAUCGUCCACGAAAUUCGAGAACAACUUGUGGGAAAAUUUUUUUCCUUGUUUUUGAUGAUGUCUGGACCGAAAAUCUUACCUUGUGGGAUGAUUUUUUUCGUUCAUUACUGGGGCUAAAUGCAACUAAUGGAAAUUGGUGUGUUGUGACUACUCGUAAACAACAAACUGCAUCCAUUGUGGCCACACAUGAUCCUUAUGUGCUAGGAAAGCUAUCUGAUGACGAUUGUUGGUCUAUCCUAACAAAGAAAUUCCCAAACAAUUGCAUGUCAUGAAAAAGGAAAUUAUAAAAAAAUGUGGUGGUCUACCACUGGCUGCAAGUGUAAUGGGAGGUUUAUUGCGCAUGAAGAGAAAAGAGGAGUGGCAGUUGGUUUUGAAGAAUAAGCUUUCAAAUUUCAGUGGAGAUGAAGAUGGUGUCAUGGAAAUACUUAAAUUGAGUUUUGAUUGUUUACCAUCUCCAUCCAUUAAGAAAUGUUUUGCAUAUUGUUCUAUAUUUCCUAAGGAUACUAUGAUGAAAGGAGAUAUGCUAAUCGAACUUUGGAUGGCAGAAGGUUUGCUCCAAGCAGAUGUCACAACCAAAUGAUGAUGGAGGAAAUUGGAAUGAAUUGUCUGAGAAUUUUAUUACAGAGUUCGUUGUUUGAAGAAACCAAAAGUUAUCAGGAAACACAUUAUUAUAAGAUGCAUGAUCUAGUGCAUGACCUCGCAGAGUCAAUGUCAAAGUCUACUAAAGUUAUUAACAAUAUUCGUUACCUUGCAGUAGAUUUAUCUGGUGGCAAAGAAGAAGAGAAAAACUUUUGAAGAGGCUAUCAACUUCGCUUCGUACAUUGUUUGUAAAGGGUGACCUAUCUGGUGAUAUGUUAAUGAAGUUGAAGAACUUGUAUGUUUUGAAUUUGUCUCAUGCAACAACUCAAGAGCUACCGAUCACUAUUGGCAAAUUGACACAUUUGCGAUAUGUUAACCUUUCGAGUUCUAGAAUCCGUAUUUUGCCAACUCCCUUUGCAAGCUUUAUAAUUUGCAGACAUUGGCACUAGAUAGCAUGUAUGUCAAAGAUCUUCCAAAGGGGAUGUGCAAUUUGAUUAGCUUGAGACAUCUAUACUUUUACACCUUUGAUGAAAAAUUUCAAAUGCCACUAGAGAUGGGACGACUAUCUUGCCUUCAGACACUAGAGUUCUUUAAUGUGGGUCGAGAAAAGGGUCGACAAAUUGAAGAGCUUGAUGCUUGAAAAACCUCAAAGGCAGUUUAAGUGUACGCAAUCUUCAACUAGUAAAGGAUAGGAAAGCAGCUGAGGAAGCAAAUCUAUUUGGAAAGGCAAUCUAUUUAGGCUGAUACUUGUGUGGGCCUUGGCUUGGGAUCGAGAAGGUGACAACUACAACUACGACAAAGAUGUGUUAGAUGGCCUUAGGCCUCAUCCAAAUUUGGAGGAGUUGGUAAUUCAACGUUUUAUGGGUGAUCAAUUUCCUCGAUGGUCAAUGGAUUUGCCAAUAACACUUCCCAAGUUAGCGCGUUUGGAGUUUUAUUAUUGCCACAGAUGCAGAGAACUCCUUCCCUUGCAAAACUUUACGUUUCUUAAAGAGCUGUGAUUUGGUUUUGCCGUGGGUUAAUGAGUCUACCCAGUGACAUGCUACAGUCUUGUAUCUCUCUCCAAAAGCUUCAGGUGGCUUAUUGCGGCAAGCUUAUCUCCUUUCCGCUUGAUUUGCAACAAACGCCUUCUCUUUUGAGUUGGAAUUAUAUGCGUGUCCCAAACUGAAAACAAGUAUGACGCCCAAAGGAUUUGGUUUCCUAACCAGCUUAAAUCGCCUUGAAAUUGGUCCCUUCUCAGAUGAUGAUGACCAUGAAAAUUCUUCAAUUUACAAUGAAUUUGAUUGGUCUGGAUUGAUAUCCUUCUCUCUUUGUCAUCCAUACUAUGUGACUAGAAUUAUUUGGGUUGCCACACAUGGAGUCCCUACCACAUCAGAUCCAAUACUUGACCACUCUCACGUCACUUCGGCUACAUGACUUUGGAGGUAUAAAAGCUCUGCCAGAUUGGUUUAGAAACUUUGCUGCUCUUGAAUACCUAUGUUUAUUUGGUUUCAAAGAGCUUCGACAUUUACCCUCUGAGGAUGCCAUGAGAAGUCUCACCAAACUAAAAGUUCUACUGGUUUAUGGUUCUCCUUUGUUAAAAGAAAGGUGCACUCUGAGAGCAGCGGCCUCGACUCCCAGUGGUCCAAAAUUUCUCAUAUUCAACUCCUAUUAAUAAGCGAUUAACAAUUCAUCUUCAGAUCAAAUUCAAUCAUGUAAGAUUGCUUGCUACCUACGCAUAAGACAUCUUUGCCUUCUCUUCACUUCCCACUCUAAUCAACCUUCUCGAUAAGUGUAUUAUACAUUCUUUUAAGUAGUAUUAUGUGCUUAUUUUUUGGUAUAAUUUAGGGUUUUUAUGGUGUAACUUGCUCUCUAAGUCUCUAACUUUUGCAAGAUUCAUUUAGGAAGUUGAACGUGCAAAUGUGGUUAUAUUGGUAGGAUUUGGAGAAUUAUCAAUAUUGGAUCGAGGCGAAUUCAUUUGAAUUCAUUAGUGCCUGAUUAAUGAUGAUUUGGAAUUAGAAGAGCAUCAAAUGCAAGUAUUAUUGUUCAUUGCAUGAACAAACAUUGGGACAUCUUGCUUAUGAUCUUAGUGAAUUGGAUAGAAAGACACAAGAAAACGUAAGAAAAGAGAAAACACAGGCUCUGAAUACACAGUUGAGGUCACAUAUUCCAAGCCUGCUUAUUCUCCCCUAUUUUUUUGUAACUUAUUUUGCAACUUGCCCUAUUUUCACACUUCUUUUUGCUCAAUUCUAGCACAGAAUUUAGCUACACAUGCUCAAGAAACUCUAGAAAAGUGCAAAAGAAACUUUAUGUCAUAUUAUUUAGCACUUUUUGACUCUCUUGAACACUAUAUAUUUAAGAAUCACUAAAGAGAGAAAGAAGAGAAGAGGAGGGACAAAAUUACUGCAAGGAGAAGACGUGAGUGCAUUUAGCACUAUAUAUGAAAGAAUCAUUUAGCACUUUUCCACAGUGAUGCAUGUGAUGUGCAAGGAGAAGACUCGCCGACCUCUUGCUGCAUUUUUUUUUUGCUUCAUAUUUCUUGUAGUUUUAUUUUAACUCUUUUUAUUGUACAAGUUUAACUUGAACUUCUCAUCUUGCAUUUGGGACUUGUGGCAGUUUUCAUAGAUGGUUGUAGAUUCGUCGAUGGCUCGUGAUUCAAGAUUGAGCUGGAUCUCAGCCAUUGAAUUGGGGAGUAACUUGUUUUUACUUUUUCUUCUUUGCUUUCCCUACACAUUGAGGAAAAUGUGUAUAUUAAGUGUGGGGGAGGAAAUGCUGUUAAGUAGGAGUCACUUUGGUGCUUAUAUGGUAAAUGCUUGGAUAUGAUAUUAGAAAUUUGUCUUGUGCUUAAAAUUGUUGGUUUUUGGGUUUGCUGGCAAGGAGUUUCAUCCAGUUUUAAAGAGAAACUCUGUCAAAUUUUUUCAAAAUCUUGUCCAAAUUUCAAAAUUUGCCCCAAGUCUUUCACAAAUUGUUCAUUUAAAUCCACAAGUGCAUGAAGUUCAUGUCCCUUUUGUUUUAAAAUUCUCCUAUACAAGUGAGAUGAUUUUAGUAAUUGGACAAUUCAAUUCUCACUUGACUUGGAAACAAUUAUAAUAUGACUAGAAUUAUUGCAUGUAAGAAAGUAUAUCUUGUAAAAUAGAGAAAAUUAUGCCUACAUUUUGCAUAGUAAAUGAAAUCUCUCAUCUUACUUAUUUUUACAAGUAAUUGAUUUAUAUAGUUGCUAGAAUAUUUUUCUUCCAAAUGUGACCUUAUUGAGGGAUUUUAUGUUAAAAAAAUUCAAUAAAUUCUUAUAUUGAGUAACCGAGAGUUUUAUCUACAAAUAUCGACUUUUGCGUCAAAAGGUAUUGGAAUUGGGAGUAAUAAGUGAAAUUUUGAGUAACCAGAAAUCUUCAUCUAAAAAUGUCAAUCUUCAUCAAAAGGUAUUUUCACAAUUUUAAGAGUAAAUAAAAGAAAAAAGAAAGUGAAUAGUUCCCUCUUAAGGUUUGUGAAGCUAAACAUCUCAUUUAGAAGGAAGAAAAUCUCCAAGGUAACUAUAUAUGUUAGUUAUUUGUGAAAUUAGGUAAGAUAGAGAGAUUAAAUUUGUUUGGUUGAAUUUUGGGUGUAAUUAUCUCUCUUUUACAUGAUAUGAUGAGUAUUACAGGUAAUAGGAAAAAAUUGCAUAAUCAAAGCUUGCCAAAGUAAGAGAGAUUGAGUUUCAAGUUCACUUGAUCAUUUCACUUCUUAAAUUAUUGCUGGUUUGUAUUUUUUAUUGCUCGAGAAAAGUAAUGAUUUAAGUGUGGAAAAAUUAUAUGAAAAAAACUAAAAAGUUCCCGUGGUUAUUCUUCACAAUUUUCUCUUCUUCAUUUUUCUCAUCCUAUUUAUUAUCUUUCAAAGCUGCGGCAUUAGCAUUUCUUGUCAAGUGCAAAAUACCGUGCUUCUCAUUUACUCCUAACAACAUAAUACUCUUGUAACCAUCGAUUAACAUGAAACCAAGCACCUAUCCUGUUCUGUGCUUUGAUGUAUUACUAUAACUCUGUUAAUAUUCUGUUCCACACUUUGUUUUUGUAGGAUUGACAGAACAAUAGCUUCACGAUAUUAUCUAAAUUGUUUUGUUAGAUCUCUUGUUUACUACAUAAUGUCUGGCUUGAAUUUUCUAUUUUGCAGUGAUCUUAGGCUCAAGGUUUAAGUGGAAAUCUCCAUUGGCCAUUAAUUACUCAUUGAAUUGCAAGGCCAGUAGCUUGGACAAAAAUAUUUAUGAUGGCAAUUUUUCUUUCGUCGGAGCCUUAUAUAGCUUGGUGCCUUAUAUAGCCAACACUUGAUAUCCUUGUUGUCGGAGCUUGCACAUUGUCUAUCUGCCUUUUCAGUCACGAGGUCCAGCAGUAAGAAUUUACCUGCUAUAUUACUAUAAAUUUGCUUAAUUUUUUCCCUGGCUUUUUGUCUUUGAAACUAGUUGUACCUCAAUUGCAGAAAGUUUUCUGUCUCUGUUUUGAUUGCUCAAUGACUGUCAGCUGGCCUGUACAAUCUACUGGGAAAAAAUUUCUUGCCCCAGCUUAUCAGAUGUUUUUGAAGAGCCAUCAUUACCAGGACUUUUGAUGAUCUUUAUUGGCAGUUUGAUGCCUAUUACUUGAGAAAUAGAUUGACCAUUAAGAGGUUUUGCAAACUUUCGAGUGUUAUCGCAAGGUUAGCAUAUCUAAGUCAAAAAAAUAUACAUACAUUGUAUCGAGUCCUAGUACCUGCUCAUUAUCUUUAGGGUAAAAGUGGCAAAAGAAACUCACUUUUGUAAGAUUCCCAUCACAAGAAAAUGUAAUAGAACUUCCUGUUCUUUCAUAGUUAUAAUGCAGGAACAAGCUUUCUCGAGAUUUUAAAUAUGAGGGCUUUCAUCAAACUUAGGCAUACACACCACCAUUUACUGUGAAAAUUUUAUUUUCUUAUUGAUUUGUUUAAAAAAAGGAAAAAGAUAAUGCAUUAUAUUCAUGGAGUAAAUCCUCAAAUGAAUGUAUGUCAAAGCAAAAAAAAUUGUGAACUAGCAACCGCAGACAAAGAUUUUAGACUUUUUAAUUUAUAGCUUCUUUUGUUUCUAUAGGAGAACUUACUCUAAUGAAACUUUUAUGAAGAUUUCUAUUUGUUACCUUUUGUGAGGUGAUAUAGAUGGUAACUAAAAUGAUUAAGUUGCAAAGUUUAGGAGGAUCUGCUUCCAAGGAUGUUGUCUAGCAGUGCAAUAGCUGGAAUUUGAGAGGAUUCCAUUGUGCACCUUUAGACCAGCAAUUCUUGCCGCGCUCCUUUCUUCAAUGCUUCCCAAGAUGAUUUUUGUGGUCUCUUGCUUAGAUGAACAUAGUUAGAAUUGUGAAGCUUCUUCAGCACCGUAUAUAUUGCCGGAACUCAAUAAUUUUUUGCCUACAAAUAGCCCAUCGACAUAUAAUAACAACUAGCGGUCUAGUUUUGUUGAUUUUCCAUAUUUGCUUCUGUGGAUUGUAAGAUAUUAUUGCUAAAGUCAGCCCACUCUCUUUAAACUUGUGAUUCUAAGGGGAUGAAAUGGUUUCUCUGUAACUUUUACCUCUCAAAAAUGCAUUUAGAUACUUCUCUGAACCAUUUGAUUAGUAAUAGCUCUGGGUCUCAAAAUAAUGGUUUUUUUGACUCACUUUUUCUCGGUUAUGAUUUUCUAGCCAUGAAGACAAUGGUCAAUCAAGGGGCUUUCGCAUCAUCGCUUUGGUGUUUUGGUUCAAAUUUCUGGUAAUUUAAGAUACGCUUCUCUUCUUUCACUACUCAAUUUGACUUUUAAUCGCUUUGAUUUUUAAUAUGCUACAUGUAAAACAAAAGAAAUCUUGUCAUUGUGAAGAUAUUGCCGAGGUAGCCGAGGACGAUGUACUGUUCAUGCAAUGAAGUUGCACAAAACUUGGUACUUUUUUUUUUUUUUUUUCAGAAACGAUAGAAAUUUUAUUUCUUAUAAUAAGGAAGUAACACUGAGGACUAGGCCACUGAGGAGCUUUGAGUUCCUCAUCAAAGUAUAUGCAUAGCUAAUCUACUCAGUUUUGCACUGAGUCUGUUCAUUUCAACAGGCACAAAACUUGGUACUUGGUGGAGUAUCUUCCAACAUGGUCAAGUUUAAGCAGGAUGUUCUGAAGCAUUUCAGAAGUUAGUCAAGUCUGCUUGUUGCAACAUGCUGCUCUUAGUGAAUCCACCCAGAUAAAGGUUAUUAAGCUCCCCCUGCCUUUUGUGAUUGUGGGUUGCUAUUUUUUUUAUGGUAAGUUUAUUCUUUUGGCGGUCCGGUUGGAAUGACCAAAAACUUGCGAUGAUAUAAAAAUUUCCAUUAGCUUUAUUCUUUGCUAUAUGCGGUCUAGACUUUUGAGUUUUUGUGCUUUGCAGUGAUAUUAGGACCAAAACUGAAGGGGGAACCUCGCUGAUGGAUCUUACAUACUGUGCUUACUUUUUGAAAGUCCUACGAUUCCUUGCUGAACAAGAUCCUGCUUCAGUUGGAUAGUAACAUCUAGCAUGCAUUCUCUUUUGCUCUGUGCCUCAGAUGACCAAAGGCUGAGAUUCUCACUGUGGUUAUGGUGACUUUGAACUGUCCAAAUGAUUCAGCAAUUUGUAGUCACAAUAACGAGGGGCUGAUUUACUUGUAACUCAAUUAGCUAUCUCUGGCAUAGUGCUCGUCGUUAGAAGUUAGAACUAGCUGGUGUUUUGGCUGCAGUUAUAUGUGGAUUCUGUUGUGACUUAAAUGGCCCUUCAUUUUCUGAGUUAAAUUGCGCAACGGAUCUUCAGUCCCACACUCUAUGUCACUCUCUAUCACAUUUUUUAUUAUAUUGCUAUUUCUCCUUCAUAAACAUCAUGUUUUAAUUCUUUUUUGUUUCCUUAAGAUCCAAUAACUAUUAAUUCAGUAAAAAAUAAAUAUAACGGUUUCAAAAAAGUAAUAUAUAAUAGAAAAUUUAAAAAUACAGCAGAAAAUUCAUAAAAAAUCUCAUUUUUAUGCAUUUUGAUUUUUUAAAUUUGUUAAAUUUUGUGUAUUACAAAUAAAUAUAACAGUUUAAAAAAAGUAAUAUAUAAUAGAAAAUUUAUAAAUACAGCAGAAAAUUCAUAAAAAAUCUCAUUUUUAUGCAUUUUGAUUUUUUGAAUUUGUUAAAUUUCGUGUAUUACUGAAUUAAUAGUUAUUGGAUCUUAAAGAAACAAAAAGAAUUAAAACAUGAUGUUUAUGAAGGAGAAAUAGCAAUAUAAUAAAAAGUGGGACAGAGAGUGACAUAGGGUGUGAGACAGAAGAUCCGCUGCGCAUAAAUUGCUUUGCAUGUGCCACGAAUUGCCCAUCAUUAUUUUCAAGUUUAUGAGUUGUGAUGACUUACUUUGCGAUUGGAACCAAACUACUAUGAUUUUUAUAGGAAUCGUAAAUAAGACUUAGUACUUGCUUGCACAGAUUUUGGUCUGUUGUGAGAUUGACAGUACAAAAGUAUGGUUAAAUUAUCUAAACUUUGUCAUCAGCUUUCUUCUUCACCACAUAUUGCCUCAGUUUGAGUUUUCUGUUUUACAGUGAUCUCAGUGUUAAUGAUCAACUGGACUCUACAAUUGAUCUUACUUACCGACAGAAAUACACAGCUUGUAACUUCUGAAAACUCUGUUGAAUCAAUCCUGUUUCAACUGAACAGAAAUGUUUAGGAUGGCCGCUACAGGCACACUUUUUUUCCUCCUUAGUGUCUAAAACCUUUGCAGGAGCUUGUGGCACUAUCAGCCAACCUUUUGGUAGAUGAUUUUUGCAAAAGUUCAGCCUUUUCCUACACAGCAGCCAUAGAAUAAAAGAGAACUUGGUGAUUUGUCCCUUGUCCCAAUACCUGGGCACUUCAGGUGGUGCAAGCCUAAGAAUUGUAAAGCAGACUUGACAUUAUACACACCUGAGUUGCUGGGUGCCCAUACAGUGACAUCUCUCUCCUUUGGAUUAAGGGCUGGUUCACCAGAAGUGAGCUGUCGAAGCCUUCUAACUUCCAUAUUAGACUUCCCCCACUAGGCCAUUUCCAAGCACCGUCACAGAAACAUUUUGCCGCAGGAUCAGACUUCGAUAGAUUGAAGUGCAGAUACAAUGGCCCUAUAGGGUGCCAUCGAUCACACCAAAAGUUGGUUUCCUGUCCAUUUCCAAUCACCUCGUUAAUGAAGCCUUGACCUAUAGUUCUCAAUUUUAACAGUUUGGAUUGGCUCUGCUCUCCAGUCUUCAUUAUCUUCUCUGUUAACUUAAUGAAACUAAAGUCAAGUUCCUGGUUGAAUCACAAUGAUAAACUCACUUUGGUAUCGCAUUAAUCAGAGCUUGUCACACCUUAUUUUGCACAAAAUUUACUUGGGUUGCCAUUUUGCAAGAACUUUUAAGAAUUAUAUUAUCUGAUGCUUAUUAAGUGUAUGUCGCAGUCCAGCUCCCUUCAUCAUAUUUCUGCUACUUAUGCUAGUUGGUUCUAUGGGUUGAAAUGGUUGCCAUUUUCUAUCCAAUUUCACCGCAUUACAUGUAGUUGGUAGUGUAUUCAUUUCUUUCAGAUUGCCAUCUAAUUCAUCUUUCAUGCGUAUUGGGAUUAGCAAUUCUUGGCAUUCAAUUUUUGUUAUUCGACUUCUUCAGGACCAGCCGCCAUAUGUAUAGCUGGAAUUGCCAAUGUGUAAUGGCAUCUUGGAGGGAGAGUUCAGUUUUAUUGCUGAUUUGCUAACAAAGGAAAAUAAUGACUUUUAUGUAAAAGAAAUGAAGCUUUGCACCAUAGUAUGUCUGAGCACAGAAAAUCGCUUUGAGAUUUAAGCAAUGGAAUCAUUUCUUCUUCUUUCAGAUUUUCCAGGAUCCGAUUUUGCAUUUCACUGGGUGAACACCAAUGGCUAUCUACUUUUCUUGGUUUACUGGGGCUUGGGCCAGAAUCAAAUUGAUAGACCGUUUUUAUUGCCAGUCGGCCUGAAUUGGCAGUUGGGCUUCUUUGACAAAUAUGCUCAUGUGUCCUUCGGCCAAGAAAUCGCAGAAGUUGGAGUGGGUUUGGGGCGGGCGUAGGGGUGGCGAGGUAUCGGGGGGGGGGCAGGGAGCUUUUUGGACAAGGGUGAGGUAUGGAGAGGGCUUCCCCGCCUCAAAUCCACCCCGUUAUAAUCAUUUAGAAGGCCUAACAAUUAUUUUAAUUUAAAAUAACAAGCCUGAUUAUUGAGCCAAAAAGCAAAACAUAACUUAGUUUUUGGCUAAUGAAUUGUUCAUCAGUGACAACACAAAGUCAUCACAGAACAUACAAAUAUCGUCACAAAUACCUUUUAUUGACGACUUUUUGAUCGUCACAAAGUCGUCACUAAAUCCCCGUCGGUAAAAGUAAACAGUGACGACCUAAAAUGUCGUCACUAAAUAGUUGUCAUUAGUGACGACUUUAAGUAGAGCAUUUUUGACAAAAGAUCAAGUCGUCAAUAAAACACUUCCAGAUUGUCGUCACUAAUGACAACUAUUUAGUGACGACCUGAAAUGUCGUCACUAAAUAGUUGUCAUUAGUGACAACAAUCCGGAAGUGUUUUAUUGACGAAUUGACCUUUUGUCAAAAAUGCUCUACUUAAGGUCGUCACUAAAAAGCACCGAAAGCCAUUGUAUAUAACUAUUUUACUGACAACAAUUGUCGUCACAAAUGUAGCUUAGAUUUAGUGACAGUCUCUGUUGUGACAAGGAGUUUUUAUUUUCUAUUUUGUGACAACUUUUUUUUGUCAUUAGAUAAUUUCUCAUUAGUGACAGCCUCCGAAGGUUGUCACUGAGCUUUGUUUUGAAGAGUUGAAAUUAACCAUUAUGAAUAUAGCAUUGUCAUAGCAAUUUCAACAAAUUAUAGUAGAACAUUCAAUUUGACAAAAGGCAAAAUUCAUGUAGAAUGAAGCUACAAAUUCAUAUAUAUGGCCAUAAACAUUUGUGAAUUCAUCAAAAUAGAAGUUAACCAGAAAUGUUGUGUCCCAAAACCCACAUAAUCAAUUCAAGCACUAAUGGCCAAUAUGCAUCCUUCCCAAAAAAUAGAGUACUAGCUUUCUAAACUAAAGCAAAGAUUGCACCACCAAUGUCAGACUUCAACCAUCUCUAUCAUCAUAUCCAACAAUCUCCUCGUGAUCAAUAUCAAACUGGACUGCAUUGAGAAUAAAAUAUUAUAUGCAUUAGAAUAGACUUUAGUAAAAAAAUAUGCUAUUACAACCUUACACAAGUUAUCUAAGUACAAGAAACAGUUAAAAAGUUGUGUAUUAUCUAAGUACAAGAAGUUAACAAGAAGUUUAGAUUAUAAGGACUAGAAACUGACAAUGAAUUGAGUUUCAUACCAUCUACAUGCCAUUUUAAAUGAUUCACAAGCAUUAUAUUGUGAUAUUGGAUAUCUUCUUUAUUAAAAAACUUGUUCAAAUCACAUUAUGAGAACAUCUAACUUUUUGAUUAUCAAAGUAAUUGACUUCGAGGCCUGGAACAGCAAGUACUUUUGUCAGUGGACAAGGUUAGAUCAUAUUGGGUGAGUUUGCGUUGCUCCAUAGUUGAAGUGAUUUUACUUGAGUUCUGUCCACAAACUCUUUGGUUGUCACAAUGAAGUAAUCUCAAUUAGCCAAUACGGCAUAAAUAUCCACUUGUGAAAAUACAUAAGGAGUUCCUCAAAAAAUAGGUAAUUUUGGAAAUUUACUGAUUGUUGCUAAGUGUGGUUCCUAGCACAGAUCCACAGAUGUACUCUUAGUGCUAGCUAUGGUCCAUCCCAAAUUCGAUAAUCAGAAGCAACUCCAAUCUAUUACUUACUCACACAACCAUCUAACAAUCACAGGACUUCUGAUAGUCAUCAAAUAACUGAUGUUCUACUUCAUGUACCGGUCAUAUCACUUAUACCAAUAUCACCAAAUCCUUUAAGCAAACAAGAAAACAAAAACAGAUAACCAGCAUGAUAGCUGUUCUGAAGACAAAUUUAUAGUAACAAGGUCGGAAUUUGUUUACCUGCUUGGAUGAAACAUCGUAUUCAUCUUCCCAACCAGUACAGGCCUUCUCUGAUGAAGAAAUCUUCCGAGACUUAUCCUUUAACUCUCUCUACGUGGCAUCUCCUUGGAAGAUGAAAGAACCAAUGAGGGAGCAAGAAGAGAGAAGAGAUUUGCAGCAGAUAAUGAGAAAUGUAUAUUGAUCUGGAAGGUUGCCAAAGAGAAAAUCAUUAUUGUCAAAUGACCAGGAUAAAUGUUUCUUGGUAUACCACUAGGAACAUGAUAAAAAAGAUACAAAGAUAAAUGUUCACAAGUAAAUCUUGGAAGCCCUUGGUAAGUGUCUUGGCAAGUCACAUAAUCAUACCUGACCUAAAAAAUAUCAUUUCAUUUUACUGGUCACAAACCCAUAGCAAGUUGAGAGGCCAAAAUGCCACACCUCAAUAUCGUAGCUCAGUGAAUCACACUUGCUUACGAUAUAUAUACUGCCCAAUAUGUAAUAGAAAGAGACCUCCCCAACAAGUGAAAAAAAGUAAUCAGACAUCAAGAAAAUUGAUUGCGAGUAAGUAUUUGGGGUCUGGAGAUUACAAAAAGGAGCUUACACAGUCAUUCAAACGUUACUUACACUCAUGAUAGCAACAGACUGGCUGUAUAUUUCAUGGCUAGAAACAGUAGCUAGUUUCAAGUACGAAUUGGUACAAAUGACCGUGAUAUCAUGGACCAAAAGGUUUGAAUUAAAAAAAUCUUAAAGGUAGUUAUGAGAAUUAGAACAAGUCGUGUAGGUGCAACUAAAGACAAAGGACUUGAUAAAUAGACAAAUAAAAAGAGAUGGCCAAAAAGGUUCUUUCUGGAAAGAUUAUUGUAACUUUUUACAAUUAGCUGCAAUUUCAAAUUGGAAUGGUGAACUCCCUGCUACAUCUGCCUACUCUGCCUAUAAGCUGACUUUGACAUGAAUACUGAGCAAGUGAAAGAGAAACUGGACUUGGUUAUGAAAAUAACAGGACCUAACGAUAAAGAGAUCAUAGCGAUGGCAAUUACUGCUAAAGCCAACCUAAAUCCCAACUUUACAAAAUAAAGAAAACCAAAGAAUUCAAUUCGCCAAGGAUUCGAGCAAGGAUAUUGAGACUGAAGUACAUAUCCUUUCAGAAUGCCCAAAAGCCUAAUGGUCGGACAAAUUUGUUAGCUCAGGAAGCUGCAAAUGAACAAGAUAUGCUCAAUUUACAAGAAUGGGUAAGUGUGAAUAUGAAGGAAAAGCUAGAGAUUAGGUCGGUGCUAUCUGUUUCCUUUCUUUUAAUUCUGGUAGCAAUUAACUGGGAAUGCUUUUGAAUACUCAUUUGCUUGGAUAGUUGGACCAUCAAACGUCAAAGCAGUAAUCCAUUCAUUAUAUUUCUCCUAACCAUUAACUAGCAGGGGAAACUAGACUGCUAAAGCGUACACACAAAUAUGAUGAACUAGUAAAAUUCGUAUCAACAAACUAGAUUGCUCAACUAAUACCGGUAACUAGUGUUCAAAUUCAUAUGUCUAAAUAAUUCUGGCAAAAGGAAUUACCCUUGCUCGCACUGAUGAGGAAGAACCCAUCUGGAGUAAUUGGGCUGUAAAACAAAUCCACAACUGGACGAGAAUGACCAUGGCAAACAAGGGGAACAUCACCCUUUUCUUAUCCAUUACUUAACCGAUCCAGCGAAAAAGAAAAAAAAAUGUAAGAAAAUUAUAACUUUUGGGAGCAGCAAUCAUAAAAGUACAUUUGGAAGUAGCAGACACAUGGGAUGAGAAAAAGUAAACUGCAAGUUUUCAUUUAAAACAACCGUUUAUAUCCAACUCCACAAAAGGAUGAAAAGCAACAAUCUUUCUUACUUUUACCAAAAAACCAAAUCAAGACUGAAGCGUUCACCUCUUAAAAAUAACUCAGAUUUCAGAUUUUAUGAAAAGCCAAAAUGGAUCAGCUCGUUCAUUAUUCUUAGCUAUAAGAAAUAGCACUUCCAAAGAGACCUGACGAAUUUGACCAAAUUUUGCUAGAACCCAAAUCAAGAUUCACAGCAUUCUAGCCAAAAAUCACUAACAAAGAAUCAAUUCAUGAAAAUCCAACAAAUCUAUAAGAACAGAACAGAAGGGAUUCAAAACUUGUUGAUGCUUAAAUCAGAGACUAACAAGAUUGAACCUAAAAACUAAAUCUGACGAAACAGAGAAGGUGCAACUAGCCGUACCCACAAAAAAUAUAUACCAUGCAUUGCAAAAUCAGACACAUAAUAUUGAAAUUACCUCAAACUAUACCUUCAAUCCCUAACUUCUCAUUUUUCCCAAGCUUCAAGCUCUAAACUCCAGCUUUCACCCAAAUUUUCAAGCCCUAAUUUUUUAUUUCUUGCCACCAAGCCAGUGUAACAGCUGAAUUAGGUAUGUUGGUGGUGCGAACUUGAUAAAGUUGCCUAAAUUGAUGACAAUGGCAAACUUCAGUUCAUGAUGGGUUUGGUAGUGCGAGCUUGAAAGAGAGGAGUUCAUCUUCGGGGAAGUGAGAAGGACAAAGGGUUCGUUUGGGUUCCUUGUUUUUGCACCUGUUUUUGAAAAACUGUUUUUCACAUUUCAAAUGCUACAGUAAAUGUGUAUUUCAAAAAUAAUUCCAAAAACACCCAUAUCCAAACAUUAUAUAAAAAACAACUCCAAAUAUACAAAUUUAAUAUGUAUAUUUCAAUUAUUUAUAUUAUAUAUUUUAUAUUAAUAUAAAUUGAAAUAUACAAAUUGAAAAUUAUAUAUUUAUAUGUUAUAUAUUAUAUAAAUAUUUAUAUACAUUAAUAUUAUACAUAAUAUAAUAUACAUAAUAUGUAAUAUUGUAUACAUAAAUGUAUAAAUAUUUAUACAUAAUAUAUUAUGUACAUUAUAUUAUAAUAUAUACAUUAUUAAUGUACUUUCAUUAUUAUGUACAUUAUUGUGUAUAAUAAUGUUAUGUAUAAUAUAUAAUAUACAUAAUAUGUAAUAAUGUAUAAAUGUAUAUGUAUAAUAUAUUAUAUUAUGUAUAUUAUAUUAUAUAUAUACAAUAUUAUGUAUAUUAUACAAAUUGAAAAUUUUAUAUUAUAUGUUUAUAUAUUAUAUAUUGUAUAAAUAUUUAUAUAAUGAAAUAUACAAUAAAUAUUACAAAUUGAAAUAUUAUAUAAACACCACAUUUAUUAAUAUUCAAAUAUUUAUAAUUAAUAUUAUAUAUAUUAAAUAUUUAUAAAUAAUAUAUUUAUUUAUUUAUUUAUUCAUACUAUAUAAAAUUUAUUUAUUUAAUAUAUAUUUUUAUAUAUUUAUAAUAUAUUUAUAUAAAAAAUAUAUAUUAUAAAAAUAUUUAUAAUAUAAUAUAUAUUAUAUUAUAUAGAUUAUACAUUUAUAUAAAUGUACAUUUAUACAUAAUAUAUAUUUAUGUAUAUUUAUAAUAUACAUUUAUAUUAUGUAUUAUAUAUAAUAUUAGACAUUUAUAAUACAUUUAUACAUUUAUAUUAGUAUACAUAAUAUUAAUUUUACAUUUAUACAUAAUAUUAAUACAUUUAUAUAUUUAUAUUAAUUAUAUUAAUACAUUUACACAUAAUAUUAAUAUAUAUUUAUAAUAUAUUAAUUUAUACAUUUAUAUAAUAUUCAUUUAUAAUUUAUAUAUUUAUAAUAAUAUACACUUAUACAUUUCUAAAUAUAUUUAUAUUAUGUAUUAUAUAUAAUAUAAUACAUUUAUAUAUUUUUAUAUAAAUAUAUAAAUAUAUUUAUUUAUAAAUAUUUAUAAAUGUAUUAUGAAUGCAUAAAUAUAUAUUUAUAUAAAAAUAUAAAAUAUAAAAUAUAAAAUUUAUAAUUUUUACAUUUAUAUAAUAUUCAUUUAUAAUAAUAUACAUUUAUACAUUUAUAAAUAUAUUUAUAUUAUGUAUUAUGUAUAAUAUAAUACAUUUAUAAUAUAUUGAUAAAUUUUAUAUAAAUAUAUAAAUAUAUUUAUUUAUAAAUAUUUAUAAAUGUAUUAUAAAUGCAUAAAUGUAUAUAAAUAUAUAAAUUAUAAAUUAUAAAUUAUAAAAAUACUCAAAAAUAUGUUUUAAAAAUACCUCUAAAAAUAAUCCAAAAAACAUCCAUAGUAAAAGUUUUUCAUAUAGUUUUUGAAAAACAACCUCAAAAACAACUAAUCCAAACGGACUUGUAUUUCAAAAACGAAAUGCUACAGUAUUGUUUUUGAAAAACAACCCCAAAAACAGCUAAUCCAAACGGACCCAAAGAGUGUCUGAAAUUUUGGCUAAGUGUUUUGGACAUAGAGUGCAUACUAGUGAAGCAAACGAUGUCGUUUCCUCAAAAUUCCUUUGUCCGCCAUGCCUCUUGAAUUUUUUAGUUUGCCGCUCUUUGUUUUGUACGUAUAAAUAACACACAUUCUUCCUAUAUAGAUGCAAGAAAAUCACACUUUGUUUGUCCUUACUCCUACCUCUCUCUUUUUUCUUUUUCUCAUCUUUAUGUAAUUAAGUUUUUUUAUUAUUUUGAAUUUUAUUUUUUUUACUCUCAAGUUGUAAUAAAAUAAUAGAAUAUGACAAUUUAGUGUGUUUGGGCAAAAUUUUUUUAACAUUUUUAACUAAUAUAGGACUUUUCUAAUUUAUUAUACAAUAAAAUAAUUUACAAGCUAAAAAUGUUGUUAGAAAUAUGUUUAUGAUUUGAAAAAAAUAAACAUUCUUUUAUCAAAAUCUUUUUGGUACUCAUUUUAUGGUGUUAUCAAUUAUGUAUGACUUGCAGUCUAACAAACCAGAUAACCAAAUUAGUUGAUCGAACAAUCAAAAUAGUUUAUAUUCAGUUUUAUUGUUAAAUUCUACCAUUGACUACCUUUAUUUUUAGAUUAUCAUAAUUAUUUAUUUUCCACCAUGUUGCCAUCAAGAUAAAUAGGAAAUGUAUGAUUUUUUUUUAUAUUUAUAACAAAUUAUUGUUAAAUUGUUACAUUACUGCAAGUGAUAAAUGUACUUUUGUUCUUUUUCAAACAUUUAUUUUAAUGUUUAAUUUUGUUUAAAACUAUUGUACUAGUAUAGAUUUGCAAGACAAAACUUAAGUUCUCAAUAGUUAAAAAAUUCAUUACAGAGAAAACACAAAGUAGUAGUUGCAAAAUGUGUAUAAAUUACAGAUAUUUUAAUGUGUAUAAAUUACAGUUUAUUUUAAUGUUUAAUUUUGUUUGAAACUAUUUUACUAGUAUAGAUUUGCAAGACAUAGAUUUAUGGGUAAUUUCUUUUUUUUUUCCUUUCACAUAUUUAAUUUAUGUUAAAUACAAAACCUACCAGUUUCCCUUUCAUAAAAAUAUUAGUGCAACACUUUUUGAAUUUUACUUACAAACAUUUAUGUAUUUAACAUAAAUUAAAUGAUUCAGAGUGAAAUGCCCAUAAAGAGCAGAAUAUUUGUUCAUGUAAUGGAGAAAACUCACAAAGAGUUGGUACUUUAUGGGCCAUUUCUUUUUUUAAAAAAAUUUAAUUUAUGUUGAAAAGAUAACCUGCCAGUUUUCGUUUUGUAAGAAAUCAGUGUAACACUUUUUGAAUUUUAUUUACAAACAUUUAUAAAUUUAUCAUAAAUUAUAUGUUUGAGAGUAAAAUGCCCAUAAAAAGUUGGUACUUUGAAUAGAUAAUGCUCAUUUGCCCAUAAACUACACUCCCUGAAGGCUAUUUUGUUAAUUACUUUGUAGUACUUUGUUAUUCCUUUGCUAAUACUACUUGGCAUGUAGUAUAAAGGAUAAAUCUGGCAUAAAUUUCUUAUUCCAUUGAUAAAAAGACAUGCCUGUCUUAUAACUAUUGUAAUGAAAGAUAUAUCUUUAGAGUUUAUAACAAAUUAUUACUUAAGUUUGAGAAAAUUAUAAAAUAUUUAUGCAUAGUUUAUCAAGAUACCAUUCGCAAUUUCCUAAUAAAAAAAUAGGGACUAAAUUGUAAAAGCUAGGGUGCCAUAAUAGAAAUAAUAAAAUUGGUGUAUUACAUAUGGGGGUUAAAUAGCAAAAGUUAGAGUGCCAUAGUAGAAUUAAUGAAACUGGUGAAUUACAUAUGGGGCUAAAUUACAAAAGUUAGGGAGUAAUAAUAGAAUUAAAGAAAUCGGUGUACUACAAAUGGGGAUAAAUUGUAAAAGUUAAGGUAUCAUAACGGAAUUAAUGGAAUUUUUUACAACAUUUGGGGCUAAAUCGCAAAAGUUAGGGUGGCACAGUAGAAUUAAUGAAAGUGACUUAGAAAUAAGUACUUUAAACAGUGACGAUUAAUUCUUGUCACUAAAUCCGAAUCGGUAGAGUGACAGUGACGAUAUUAGAAGUUGUCACUAUAUAGAUCAUUUUAGUGACAACGUUUUUCAAGAUCUCCUUGUCGUCACUAGAAAAUGUUGUCACUAAUGACCAUAUUUCUUGCAGUGUAGUUUGUGAUGAAAAUAACGGGUCGUCACUAAACAUUUAGUUGCUUUGAUGCAAUUGUGACAACUUUAGGUGUCGCGACUAAAAAAGCUCCUUUUGUGACGACUUAUUGUCAUCACUACAAAAUAUUGUCACUAAUAACUUUUUUUUUAGUGAUCAGUGACGACAAUAAAAAGUCGUCCGUAAAUAGGCCAAGCAAUAGUGAUGAUAUUCUUAAUGUCGUCACUAUUGUGUGUUCUAAACACUCCCGCGCUCUUGCUAAAUCUUAGUGGGAAUUUACUAGUGACGACUUUUCUAAGUCAUCACAAAUGAGUUGGCUCCCAUUAGAGGUUUGUGACGAGUUAGAAAGUCGUCAAUAAAGGAUCCACUUUUGUGACAACUUUUUUUCGUCACAGAAAAAAGUUGUCACUGAUGACCAAUUUUCUUGUAGUGGUUGAAUAGUGACCAAGCAAAGCUACCAAAUGGCAUUGGGAUAUGAUUGGCAUAUACAUAUAUAUAUAUAUAUAUAUAUACCUCAAAUUAUAGAAAAUUAAAAAAGGGGUCGCAGAACUGAAUCGAAUUAGAAAAUGGGCGUUGAACGACUAUUUUAUUUCUCAAGAACUGGAAAUUGGCGGAACAAUGUAGCCAAAGUAGAUUGUCAUUUUCCUUUUAUUUAUUUUUUUUUGGGUACAUUUUUAUCCUUGAAGACAACAACAGUUUCUUGUGCGUCUUGGGUCAGAGAGUUUUUUACCACAACUGAAGGCCCCAGCACUUAAGAUCUGUCAAUCAGAAGCAGCUGUCGGCCUCAGCAAAGCAUAUAUAUGUUUGUUUGGAUUGGUUUUAUCUGAGUAUUUAUUUAGAAACAAAACUCCACCCACAUUUUUUGACGCAAAUCAAAUCGAUUGACUUAUCUUUUGAGAAGAUAAACUUGCAGCAAAAUUCCAAAACUUUUUUGAAAUAUUAGCACAAUAUAAGAUGAUUUAUUAGGAAAAACAUACAAUAUGUGGAAGCCAUAAAGGUCAACGCAUAUUUCAAGCAGACAUCCAUCAGACAAGGUAUUCCACGUAGCAAAAGUAGUGAACUCCAUGCAAAGGAUAACUCUCUAAUAAUUUUUUUUCCUAUGCAUUUUUUAUUUCAAGAAAAUCAGAAAAUACAUCACAAUCGAAUGAUUUUUUCCCUACCAGUUAUUGCAUUCAUUUAUAGAUGCUAAGUCAGAGUCUCAAACAAUAAACCGACAAGUAAAGCUUAAUUAAACUCCUUUUGGAAACUAUCCGUGAAUAGUUUUUGCAUAUUGUAUUGUCUUUUCGAAACAUUCACACAUUAUAUAAUCUUUCAGAAAUUAUUGAAGACAAGCACCUACUGAACGGUUCAUAGAUAGUGUUCGAAUAAGCAAAUGCAUUUUCUUGUGGCAAGUGUUUACAACCAAUAAAUCACUAAUGCUGUAAUAGUUUUUCCUUUUAUCAAUUUCGGCCACUUUGUUAAAACUGUAUAGAGCAGUAGCAAUACUUGGAUGAUUAGCGAAUUGCAUGUCAACAAGUAGAUCAAAUUGCAUCCCCGUUAACAGUUCACCAAGGCCAACAACUAACCUUUCUAAAAUGGUGAUCAAAGCAUUGUCAAUAGGGUUACAAAUGAACCUAGUUGAGUCCACUUUUGGCUUAAUAGAGUCAAGUUCGACUCAAUUUUACCAAAUUCGAACUCGACGAGUUUUUAAUGUAAAAUUCGAGUUCGUCCUCGAUUUCAAAUUCGAACCUAAUCAAACUCAAGUAUUCCAGUUUGAGCUUGCUCGACCUUAAAAACUAAAAUAUAAUUAUUUUGUUUCUUUUAAAAAAUGAAUAAAAUAGUCAUUUUUUGCUUAAUAAAUAAUAAAAAUAUUAGGCAUAUAUAUGUGUAAUUUCAGUAUUAAAAUAAUAUAUAUAUAUAUAUAUAUAUAUAUAUAUAUAUUCGAACUGACUCGUGAGUUAACGAGUUGAGUUUCUUUAUGUUCGGCUCGAAUUCGAUAGUUCAACUUGGUUGGAUUGAGCUCAACUCGAAUUCAAUGUUAACUGAACUCGAGUUAACUUUUAACCGAGUUGGCUCACUAGCGCUUGAGUGGUUUGCAGUCCUAAUUGAAGGUCACAUCGAAAAAGGAAGGAUGAAAGAUAUAGAAAUAAGAUGAAAGAGAGCAAUAAAGGGGUUGGCAGUUUUUUUUGGUUUCUCUUCCUCGUAAAACGCCAAUGGCUACCUCUGCAUUUGUGAGUGAAAUAGGUUAGAAAUCUGAAUAAAGUGGACAGACCUUUAGAAAAUAAAUAGUAGGUGAGAAUAAUUACAGAUUAUGUAUCCACAUCCAAACACCAUUCUAAAGUAACUUAUUUUGAGCGAAAUAUAACAGAUGAAAUCAUGCAUCCAAAGUAUCAAAUUGCUAAAAUGGAGAAGAGAAUUUCCAUAACUUAACCAUAUAUUUAUCCUAGCACUAAAUUUUUUUUCCGGGCAUAUGUAGUUAUUUCUUAGACAUGAUUUUCUAGAUUCUACAUUUAAUAAGAAAAAAAGCAAAUCAGGAUGAGAUCUUGUAAUUACCUAAGGCAUUGGUUUUGCCUUAAAAAAAAGUAUUGGUCCAAAAGUGCUAAAAUUUCAAAACUUCAUUUGUCUAUUUUAAAAGCGUCAGAUGAAGCACUAAAUUCUCUCAUGCUGAUACACUUUAAUAAGUUUUACUUGUUAAUCUAAUUGAAUUUACAAAUUGGAAAGCUUGCGUCACUUUUCCUUCGUUUCCAACAAAUAUUUCAUUAUUUUUUUUAUCUAAAUUAAGCGUGCAAUUUCCAACGAAUGCUUGUGGAUAAUAGGAUAAGAUUAAUAAUAUAUAACACGAGACGUGACCUGAAAAUACUCUUAGCUAGUAUAAGUGGAUUUUUUUUUGUACUUUUUUCUCUGUGUAAGUGGGAGAAAUCGAACCCAAGACUUUUCACUCACUGCCUCCCUCCAUACCAUAAAAUCGAUUCUUCCCCCGAUAUAAGUGGUUUAUGAAGGGAUAAGUUUAAUUAUUCAACAAAUAUUUUCAUUGCGUUUCUUAAAUGGGGAGAAGACUACUUGUUUGGAUUGUAAUUUUCUAAGGCAAAAAUUUUUACAUUUUUUAUGAAUACAUUUCUCAAUUACUUUUUUAUUUCAUAUUGAUCAAAUCGCAAGCCAUGCUAGGAUUGCAGUUUACUAAGAAAAAUUUUUAACAUUUUCAUAAACACAUUUUUCAAUUACCUUUUUAUCUCAUAUAUAUUAAAUUCCUACAACACAUUUUUCUAUAAAAACUUCAAAAAAUAGCAAUCCAAACGAAAAAGUCCUUAUAAAAACUUUAAAAAAUAGCAAAAUGGGACCUGAGAGCAAUUAGUUUCGGUCCGUAGAAGUGCACCUUUCUUUAUCAAAUUUGUAUAUUUAUUUGUUUUUCUGUUUAUUUGUCUACAAAAACACCACAUAGUCAUCGUUAAACUAUAACACAAUUCUAAAAGUUGGAUUUCGUGCAUUGUGUUUUCCUCUCUCUUAUUGACUGAAUUAUUUGCAAUAAUGGUGUGAAAAUUUACCUAAUCUAAAACACUAAUUGCAUGGUGUGCAACUUGCAAUUGCUAUCCAUCUCACCAUAGUUAUCAUUAUUAUUAUCAACCUUCGUCUUUGCAUGCACUGUUUUCACUCUGUCAUUAUCAUCAUUACACAAAUAUAUGAAAAAAAUUAUUUAUAUUUACCUGAAUCAUUUUUUUAAUUUUACUAGCCAUCAUUCUAUCUCAUAUACAUUAUAUCAAGCCACAAAAAGUGUUACGAUAUUAAUCUAAUUUUUUUGUUCAAGUAAACCUCUAUCCAAUCACACUUUUAUUUUAAGUCAAAUGACAUCUUUCCCUCUUACGGAUCAUUCAUAUUUUUUUCCUUGGUUUGCUAUUACACUGCACCAAAUUAAUAAAUAUUUCUUAUUUUAACGAAUGUGUCAUAGCUUUUAUGAAUGUAUUGCAACUGAUAUAAAGUUUUCCUCAACCUCAUUUGUUUUCGCUCAAUUGCUUUACAAAUCUCCCACUUUAAUGUAAAACUUGUCCUAAUACUUUAGAUGUCCCCUUUCGUCUGCUAGUGCACCAAACCGUUUUGUGACUCCUAUACGUGUACAACAUUAAUUUGAACUAGCAUCUUGCAUGUGCCUUGGCAUGGUUUAUUUUUUUUAUUUUCUUAUGAAUUCGUGCAAGCAUGAAUAAUUUAAAUAAAAAAAUUAAUGAUGAUCUUACAAGUUCAUUCAUAUUAAUUUUAGAAAAUUAAUGGAAUAAUUAUACUUAACUAUCAUACUAAAUUUUAAAAACUUCUUUACAUACUUUUACUAUAAUAUAAUAAUAUUCAUCAAAUAUUAUAACACAUAUAAAAAAAUCAAUAGAUAUUCUACCUUUUUGUGUACGGAUAUUUUUUAGAUAAUUACAAUUUUUAUAAUAACCAUAAACCUAGUUACAUUUUCCUACUUAACUAAGUACAAAAGAUUUUGCCAUUUGUUUUCUACAUCAACAAAUAUUUAAUUUCCAGCAAUAUUGAUAAAUCUAUCAGCUAACAGUUAAAAUUUUUUUAACACUAAGUUAAUCCAUAUGGAUAAAAAAAUUUAUACAAAUUAAUCAUAUUGUUAGAAGAGAGAGGAGCCAUAAGAACAAAUAAUUCAAAUUUAUCUUUUUAGAUAAAUUUGUGAGGAGCGAGAAAAACUAUAAGAAAAACUAAUUAUAAAAGAGUCGGAUACAAAAAUAGGUAAAAUUUAAGUAUCCAAAUAACUGGUUAAUUCCCCAUUAAUUUCCACUCAUUUUCAAUUUCCACCUUUUGAAGUCUUCUUUUGAGAAUCUUCUAUUAUCGCAGCUCCAUUUAAGUUAAACUUGUGAUCAUAUCAUAGGCAAAUAAUUCAAUUGUAAAAAUUGAAAUCCACAAGAACACGUUCAUUUUCCCCUUCCCAAAACAUCCAAUUCAGUCAAACGUUUAUAAUCAUAGUGUGAGCUAAAGGUCUAUUUCACUUCUAACUCCAGGUGAUUGUAUAUUGUACUAAAAAAAAAUAGUAAUAAAGAAACUCCUUAAACUUUCACCACUUAAAUUUUGUAUGCUGUACAUAAACAAGACAUUUUGACACAAAAUGUUUGAAUUUUUAAAGUGCUAGAAAGCUUGUGGAAUUACGAGUGACUAUUUUGGCAAUUUCACAAGUGCAAAAAGCUAAGAAAGCACCCAACCAUUGGCCAAUUAUGUCGCUACAUGCCAAACCUGAUUGCUAACUCCACUUCAUGUUUUUGAUAAGUGAACCACGGAUUAUUUUUUAAGUUUUCUUCCCACAAAAUAACGUUUUUAGUCUAUUUCCCAAGGAAUAAUGACUGAGGUAAUUAAUGUUGCAAAGUCACCAGCUAUGGUUGUCAUUUCCUCUUUCUCCUUUACAUUUUGAUCGUCGAACAUAGGCUCUGUUUGGGUUCUCCAUUUUUUGAACAACAAUAUAGUUUUUUAUUUUUGGCGGGGGUCAGUCUUGGGUCAAACCACUACUCCGACAAACCAUUGAGAUAUUUUCCACAGCAAAGGCCCCAGCCAGCUUUCAAUCAGAAAAAGAUGAAAUACUUCUCCAUGGCAAUUAAUGGCAUGCAAACUUCCCCAUGGCAAUUAAUGGUAUCAAGUUUGUCAAAGAUGUACUACUGCAGCACUUCUUUCUACCAGUGGUUAAAGAGCUGACAAAAGCAUCCACCAUAAAUUUCUAGCUAUUCUGAACUAGCCAAAAAGGAAAAUAUAUAGCUAGCAUGGAAAUGGAGAACUCUGGGGGUCUGUGGAUUUUAAAGAAAUUGGAGGAUUUUUUUGACGCAACAGUGUUAUUAUAAUCCCCUGCAGAAAGCAAACAAAAUAAGGAGUACUCAACUGCUAAGAAAGGUGAAUUGAAAAUGACAAGCAACUUCCAUUGCAGAAGCAUCCGAUUCAGUUUGUCAAAGAAGCACAGCAUCAAAUUGGAUCGAAAUUCUUUGCUAAUUUCUUGUGUUUCAGGAACCAAAUUAAAUAAUUAAACAAGAAUACACAUAAGGAAUGAGAAAUUUCUUGUGUUUCAGGUAUCAAAGAAAUCGAUAAGACAUAGCUUAUAUAGUUUGGCGAGAUUUGCAACAAGGAAACAUAAGUUGGGAGAAAUUCGAAAUAGAAGAGAAAAGGAAACUAACAUUUUUUCUAUAAAUAUAUUUCUUAAUCACCUUUUUACCUUACAUACAUCAAGUCUCUACCGUAUAUUUUUCUACAAAAAAUUCCUAAAAAUAGCAAUCCAAACGGGACAAGUUGCGAGGAAAACUAUAUUUGAUUGGUGGUGAAAUUUUGAAUUCUUACAUGCAAAGUGAUGCGCAAACCAAAAAUUUUGCAACAAUUCUGGAACUCAAAUUGGAAAAUGUUUCUUUAGGAAAGAUUCAGAACAUUCCACAAGAAACGGAAACUAUAUAUUAGUAAUAAUUACUUCAAAAGAAUUCUUAUAUAUUGACACUUUUCUGGAUUAUGCUGUGAGACAAUAAUGGGAUUAAGGAGAGUUGAUAUAGAAAAGAAACACUAGAGGAAAGAAGAAUUGAGGGUUGCGAUAAAUAAAUGUCAAAGAUUUGAAAUUAGUAUGACUUAGGCCCAUAUGAACUUUAAUUCUUUAAGUGCAAACUUGAUAAUGGCCAAAACGAAAUUCAUCUCAAGGUAUGUUGAAUUCUCACGAGAGAGAUUGAGAGACAUCCAGUUUGAGGAGAAACCAAUAUACGCGUCAGCAAAAGCUAAAGAAAAAAGUUAGAAAACUAAUAAAAAAAAAAAAAGAGAUCCAAAAUCAACUAGAAAAAGAAAGUAAUAAGAAAUAAUAUAACAAAAAAGAUUAAAUUUAUAAAGACUAUCAGAUUUUAAAGAGAGGAGUAGAAGACUAAGGAUUUCACACCGAUCAUUUUAUUUACUUGAUCGUGGACAAAAACAAUGGCCCCAGCAUUUAAUCAGAAAACAUGAUGCCCCAACAACUAUACAAUAAUUGAGAAAGUUACUCCGUAAACAUGCCAAUGCAAAAGCUUACAAAUUUGUCAGAGAAGAACUCCACGUCUACGCGCAAUAAUUAUUAAUGCUCCUUUCUUCAUAAUCAUAACCAAUUAUACUAGCCUAGAUAAGAUUACCAGUUCCUUGCUGCAAAAAACCUUCCAUUAAAAAAAAAAAAAAAAAAAAAACCAUCUUGUUCUCAACACUGAAUCCAAGGCAGCAAAAAUGGCCGACCCUGUUAUCGGUGCCACAAUUCAGGUCACCUUGGAAAGGGCACUGUCUCUUGCCUCUGAUAGGAUUGGUUUGCUAGUUGGGUUCAAGAAGGAUGUGGCCAGCAUGACUCGAUCUCUUGGCUUUAUCAAAGAUGUCCUGGCUGAUGCUGAGGAAAAGCAAAACCAAAGCAGAGGAGUGCAACGAUGGUUGAAGUGUCUCGAGGAGGUGGCUUAUGAUGCUCAGAAUGUGUUGGAUGAGCUCCACUAUGAAUCUCUUCAUCACCAGGUGGAGUCCCGAAUCCGACCCAAGCGAAAGGUAUGCUGCUUCUUCUCCUUCUCUAACAUUAAUCUUGCUUUUCGUUGGAGAAUGGCUUCUAAGGUCAGGGACAUCAAACUUAAGCUGAACGACAUCAAUCAACAAGCCAACGGAUUGGGACUGGUCAGUAGGUUAGGGAUGACAGCUGCCCUCCCUGCUGCUGUUGGAGACGCAAGAAAUCGGCAGACCGACUCUGUUCUUGUUCCAAUAAUUGGAAGAGCCGAUGAUGAAUCAAACAUAGUGAAGAUAUUGUUGAGCCCGUCUAAGAAGGUUGUUUCUGUUCUUCCCAUAAUUGGUAUGGGAGGUCUAGGCAAAACAACUUUGGCUAAAUCGAUAUACAACAAUCAGCAAAUUGACGGGCACUUUAACAAAAAGAUUUGGGUUUGUGUAUCGAAAAAAGUCCCAAUAGUGGAGCUUUUCAAACUCAUUUUAUUGCAAGUGACAGAAGAAAAGGUUGAAGUGAAAGAUAGGAAUGUCAUUGUUGGAAAAAUUCGGAAUCACUUGGGGGGAGAAAGAUAUUUCCUGGUCCUUGACGACGUGUGGGAUGAUGAUCAGGCAUUGUGGGAUGACUUUUUCACCACCUUGAAGGGGCUCAAUCCAACCAAUGGAACCUGGUGUCUUGUCACUACUCGUUUGGGUCUAGUGGCACAUAGUGUGUCUGGAGCUUUGAUGAUGGAAAAUGAACCCUAUGCCUUAGGAAGGCUACCUGAUGAUCAUUGUUGGUCUAUCCUAAAAGAAAAGGCAGUUGGAGGGCAAGAAGAACCGGAUGUACUAAAAGCAAUUAAAGAGAGAGUAAUCAAAAGAUGUGAUGGUCUACCAUUGGCUGCAAGCGUGAUCGGAGGUCUGUUACGUUUAAAUAGAAAAGAGGAGUGGCGAUCAAUUUUGGAGAAUAGGCUUUUGAGUUUGAGUGGAGAUGGAGAUCGUGUGAUGCAAAUACUUCAGUUGAGUUUUGAUAAUCUACCAUCACCAGCCAUCAAGAAAUGUUUUGCAUAUUGUUCUAUUUUUCCCAAUGAUGCUGAGAUGGAAGGGGAUAUGCUGAUCGAACUUUGGAUGGCAGAAGGCUUCCUUCAAGUAGAUCUCAAGAACAGAACGAUGGUAAACAAAACAAUGGAGGAAAUUGGAGAAUAUUACUUGGAAAUUUUAUUGCAGAGUUCUUUGCUGGAAGAAAUAAGAAGACAUGGGGAAAGGUAUUAUAAAAUGCAUGAUAUGGUGCACGAAGUCUCAAAAUCAAUAAUGUCAAAGUCUACUAAAUUCAUUAAUUCGGAGACUGGUUCAGGAGACAAUAGUAAUCAGGUUCGUUGUCUUGUAAUAGACUCAUUUGGAGAAGACACAAUAAAUCUUUUUGAGAGUCGAUCAAAUUUGCUUCAUACAUUGUUUCUGAGUCAGGGUAGCUUAUCUGAUGAUAUGCUAAUGAAGUUGAAGAAUUUGCACGUUUUGAAUUUGUCAGGUGCAAAACAUCAGAAUCUGCCAAUCUCAAUUGGCAAACUGAUACACUUGAGGCACAUUAACUUUGAGGGUUCUAGAAGUGAAACUUUGCCAGAAUCUGUUUGCAAACUUUAUAAUUUGCAGACACUGAGGCUAAACAGCUUGGCUCUUAAGGUUCUGCCAAAGGGGACGCGCGAUUUGAUUAGCUUGAGACAUCUCCACUAUUACACCUAUAAUGAAGAAUUUCAAAUGCCGUUAGAGAUGGGACGACUGACUUGCCUUCAGACGCUAGCAUUCUUUAAAGUGGGUCGAGAGAAGGGUCGACGAAUUGGAGAGCUUGGAAGCUUGAAGAACCUCAAAGGCAAUUUGGAGAUACACAAUCUUCAUCUAGUAAAGGAUAGAAAAGGAGCUGAAGAAGCAAAACUAUCUGAAAAGGCUAAUCUAUUUAGUUUGCGACUUAAGUGGGCCCGGCCUUGGCAUCGAGAAGGCCAUAACUACAACGACGAAAAAGUGUUGGACUGCCUUCGACCCCACCCAAAUUUGGAGGAGUUGGUAAUUGAGAAUUUUAUGGGUGAUCAAUUUCCUCGAUGGUUAGUGGAUUUGCCAACAGCAACAACACUCCCCAAGUUAGCGAGUUUGACAUUUAAUUGCUGCAACAGAUGCAGAGAACUCCUUCCCCUGCAAAACUUUAGGUCUCUUAAAGAGCUAGUGAUUACAAAUUGCGGUGGGUUGACGAAUCUGCCCGGUGACAUGCUACACUCGUGUGCCUCUCUCCAGAAGCUUCGGGUGACUUAUUGCUACAAUCUUUUCUCCUUCCCGCUUGAUUUGCAACAAAUGCCUUCUCUCUUGGAGCUGGGAUUAUGGAAGUGUCCCAAACUGAAAACAAGUACGACGCCCAAAGGAUUUGGUUUCCUAACCAGCUUAAGGAAGCUUGUAAUUGGUCCCUUCUCAGAUGAUGGUGAUGAUCAUGAAAAUUCUUCAAUUUACAAUGAGUUUGAUUGGUCUGGAUUGAUAUCCUCCUCCUCCUUCUCUUCGUCAUCCGCACUCCGUGAAUUAGAAUUAUUUGGGUUGCCACACAUGGAGUCCCUGCCACCUCAGAUCCAAUACUUGACCACUCUCACGUCACUAACGCUAGUUGUCUUUGGAGGUAUAAAAGCUCUGCCAGAUUGGUUCGGAAACUUUGCGGCUCUUGAAGACGUGCACUUAUGGUUUUUCAAAGAGCUUGGACAUCUACCCUCUGAGGAUGCCAUGAGAAGUCUCACCAAACUAAAACGUCUGGAGGUUUAUGGUUCUCCUCUGUUAAAAGAAAGAUGCACUCCUGAGAGCAGCGGCCCCGACUCCCAGUGGUCCAAAGUUUCUCACAUUCAAGACCUACGCAUAAGUUGAUUAAUAACCAACUUUCAUCUUUGGAUCAAAUUCAAUCAUGUAAGACUGCUUUCAAUAACCUCUUUCUUAAUUUGCUUUACAAUCAAUCUCCCAUUCUCUUCACCUCCCCCUCUGAUUAACCUUCUCGUGAGAAAGCCUAAAAAAGUCUCCGUGGUUAUUUUCACAAUUUUCUCUUCUCCCUUUUUAUCGUCCUAUUUAUUAUCUUUCAAAGCUGCGGCAUUAGCAUUUCUUAUUAGGUCCAAAAUAUUGGUGCUUUGAUGUUUUACUGUAUCAAUUAGAAUGACCCCAAGCACCUGUUCUGUUUCGUGCUUUGAUGUUUUACUGUAUCUCUGUUCAUAUUCUGUUCUAUGCUUUGUUUUUGUAGGAUUGAUAGAAGAAUAGCUUCACGAACAGAGGUUAGAAUUUUGAAGCUUCUUCAGCACCGUCUAUAUGGCUAGAACUCAAUAACUUUUGGCCUGCAUUUCCUACAAAUAGCCUAUCAACGUUUAGAACAACUAGCAGUUUAUUUUUGUUUAUUUUGCAUGCUCUGCUUCUGUGGAUUUUAAGUUAUUAUUGCUAAAGUCAUCUCACUCUGUUUAAAAUUGUGAUUCUAAGGGGACUGAACUUUUACCUCGUCUCUUGAUAAUGAACUUGCAUACUUAUCUGAACUAUUUGAGUAGUAAUUGCUCCAUCGGAGUCAUAUAUGAUGGUUUUCUGGCUCACUUUUCCUUGAUUUUGGCUUUUUAUCCAUGAAGACAAUGGUCAAUUGAGGAGUUUUCGCAGCUGUUGGUUAUCACUUUCAUGUUUUGGUUCAAAAAUUUGGGUAAUUUUAGAUAUGCUUCUCUUCUUUCGCUGCUCAAUUUUGACUUUUAACCACUUUAAUAUCUAAUAUAUUACAUAUAAAAUAAGAGAAAUCUUGUCGUCACGAAGAUAUUUUUGAGGUAGCCAAGGAAGGUGUGCACUGUUUGGGCAAUGAAGUUGCACAAAACUUGGUGGAGUAUCUUCCAACAUUCAACUCAAGUCUGCUUGUUGUGACUUGCUGAUCUUAAUGAUAGAGGCUUUUAAGCUCUCUCUGCUUUUAUGAUUGUCGGUUGCUUCUUUUUUUAUGGUAAGUUUCUCCUUUUGGGGCUUUAGUCACAAUGACAGAAAACCUGCAAUUAUCUAAAAAUUUCCAUUAGCUUUAUUCUAUUUUGAACGCCAUCUUGAGUUUGAGUUUUUGUACUUUGCAGUGAUUUUAGGCACAAAGCUUAACAGGGAACCUCAUUGAUUUCUCUUUCAAAGCCCUACAAUUCCUUACUGGAUGGCAUUCUCUUUUUCUCUGUGCCUCAUAUGUCCAAAGUCUAAGAUAUCCACUGGGGUAUGGUUCUUUAAAACUGUCCAAACGAUCCAGUGAUGUGUAGUCAUGAUAAUGAGGUGCUGAUUUACAUGUUUUAGAACUCAAUUUGUCAUCUCUGGCAUACUGCUCAGAGUUAGAAGUUAGAACUAACUGGUGUUUUGGUAGCAAUUAAAUGUGGAUCUCUAUUGUGCCUCAGUGGCCCACAGCUCUAUUGUUUCUCAAUGCCUCAAUGUGAAAUGCUUUGCCUGCACUACAAAUUGUCCAUUAUUAUUUUCUUUUUAUGAGUUGUAAUUACUUGCUUUGUGGUUGGAACCAAAAUACUGUAAUUGUAAACACGACUUAGUACUUGCUUAUCUAUUUAUUUUCAUACAAACAAGACAUAUUUUAGCCUUUUGUAGGAAUGACAGAACAAAAUUAUUGUUGAAUUUUCUGAACUUGCUGAUUAGCUUUCUUGUUCACAUAUUGUCUCAACUCGAGUUUUCUGUUCUGCAAUGAUCUCAGGGUCAAAUGUGAACUAGAAUCUACAAUUGCACUUACUUAUUGAUUGAAUUGCACAGCUUGUAACUUUUGAAAACUUUGUUGAAUCAAAUCCUGUUUCAAUUGGAUAGAAAUGAUUAGGAUGGCACACUACAGGCACACUUUUCUUUCUUCCUGGUGUCUAAAACCUGAUAAAAUGCUCUAUCUCUGUCAGCUGGCCUCUGCAAACUGCCCACCAGAAUUUCUUUCCCCAGCUUAUGUAAUGUCUUUCAAGAUCAAGAGCCAUCAUUACCAUGAAUUUCUGCUAAUGAUCAUGGGGGGUUUGGUUGGUGAUAGAGCUUGUACUAGAGAAACAGAUUGACAAUGAGGAGCUUGCAAAUUUUCAAGAAGUACUGUAAGGUUAGCGAAUUUGUUUUAAAUGGAUUAGUAGAUGUACUUGGUAUCAAGUCUUAUUUCCUGCUCAUUAGUUUUAGAACAAAGGUAACAAAAAGAAACCCUUUCUGUAAGAUUCCUAGCUCAAAUAUGACAUGGAAUUUGCUCUUCUAUCUUUAUUGUAAUGCAGGCAAACAUGCCUUCCUGAGAUUUUCAAUCUAAAAGGUCCUCAUCCAACUAAGUACUCUGAAAGUUCAUUUGGUUAUCAAUUUGCUAGAAAGGAAUGAUAAUGCAUUUACAUUCAUGAAAUAGAUUGUUAAAUCAAAGUUUGAUGGAACACAGAAAAUUAUAGAUAGGCAAUGAUGGACAAAGAUUUUAGGAGUCAAUUUCUAGUUUAUUGUUUCUGCAAGACAACAUACUCCAGUGAAAUCAUUACUAAAUUCUUUUAAAUCUAUCCAAUAUCAGGUGAUAGAAAUUGUACAAUAAGAUGAUUUUGUUGCAAAAUAUCUGAAUGUUUAGAACGUCUGCUUCCAAGAUGUUGUCUAGUAAUGUAACAGUAAGGUCAGUUGUCUACUUUGUUGAACUUUUCCUGGCCUUUUCAGCCUGAUUCAAAAAAACUCAACAAGCGUUGUUCCGGGAAGAAAACAAUAUCGCUAACCAUAUAUUAAAUUCAAUUAUGGAAUACAGAUGUUCAAGAGGAGAUUAUUUGAUGUGGACAGUUAAACAUGAUGUCAAAGCUGAAAACUUUUGUAUUUUCAUCUACGGUACAAAAUUCUUUGUUUUAAAUAAAAAAUAGCAGUUUACUUUUGCUCAUGCUUGUUAAACAUGAUUGCUGAAAGGAGCUAAUUCUCUUUAAACUCGAGAUUCUACCGGGAAGGAAAUGCUUGUUCUGAACUUCCAUCUCUUGGAAAUGUAUGUAUCAUCUUGCUCCAAAUUAUCUGAUUAUUGGUAUUCUUAUUAUGUCUCUUAAAUGAUGGGAUUCUACUUUCUUCAGCUAUGAUCUCUUGACCUAAAUCCAAUGUUCAAUCGAAUUACUCUCACUGCCCUUGGUUGUGGGAUUGGUGGUCUGAUAAUUUAUAAUACCAACUAUCUUCUUCCACUACUUAAUAUUGGGUUUUAAGCAGUUUAAGCAUUAACUAAAACCUUAAAAAAAUUGUCAUGUUUAAGACAUUUUCAAGCAGCAGAGACUUGGUAGACUAUCCUCUUCUGAAGUUUAAGUUCAAAUGCAAUGAUAUGAGUUAUUAGCUCUACUUGUUGCAUCUUGCAGUCUCAAAUAGUUCGCUUUUUUGGCAAUUCUGGGACUCUCUGCCUCUCCUGCUUGUGGGUGCCAGUCAUUAUUGUUAUAGAACUUUUCUUUUUCAGUGUUUUGAACAAAAGCUAAUAUAGUUUUUGUGAUGCUUCUGGUACUUGUGGACUGAACAGAAAGAUUUGAUAUCUGCUUACUGAUUUACGUUAGAAAAGAAGAAAAAAAACAAAUAUUGAUUUAGCUUUCUGAAUAAUUGACUAGACAAAAAUGUCAUGCAAUUUCGUGUUUGCCUCAUGAUUUGCUAAUGCAAAGUCCUGAGUCUGAGUUUUCUGUUUUGCAGUGGCUGUAGGUUUAUAGCUCUGUAGGGAACCCUGAUGGCUCCUAAUCACCGCCUUUACUUUUCAAAGUCCUUUCUUUCCUUUGAAGUAUAUCAAGUGAUAAUUGGAGCAGCAACAGAGUAGGUCUGCCAAGUAACUCUUUAUCAUGAAUAAGUGCAAUAUUUCAUAACCUUUACGACUAAUAAACCAUGCAUGGUUCCAUACCAAUCUAAACUAACGGAACUAAACAAUCAUUUUGGUUAAUUUAAAAUGUCAAAUUGGUAUUUCUCCCGUUGUAUCACAUCUCAUUCGCUGUUGCAAAGAUCAAACAUGGCAAAUGGUGGUCCAAUUCAAUACCAUCCAUGUUUCAGUACUACACUUAAAGCUUCAGUUGCAUAUUUUUUUCAGUGACCGAGAUUUUCUUGGGUUAACUGAAUCACGUUUUUCAGUUGCAUAGUUUUGUUUAUCAUGCAUAUCAGUUACUGUGAUUGCUAACAUCGGUGCACUCUCUUUAAACUUGUGAUUUCACCAGGAUGAAAUGAUUGAUCUCUCUGAAGUUUCACACGUUGAAAAUGCAUUGGACAUUUUAGAUUUGAUACCACAAGCAGCAAUUCUACAAACCUUUUCUAUAAGACUACCAGUUCAUGGGGCCAGAUUAAAUCCACAUUGGGUUUUGGUGCCAAAUUAGCUUGUCAGUUAGUUAAGACAGUUUGGCCAUGAGGAAUAGAGGCACAAGCAUACCAAUAGUGGAUUUAGCUGAGACAGUAAGAGUAGCUUUGAUCAAGAGCAGCUUCUAUCAUCGUUGAUGUCCAGAAAAACCAAAGACAUUAGGCUGGCAAUUCUGAUGGAUGACAUCAACAAUUUAAGUUGUUUGUUUAAAAAAUGCUCAUUUUGUUUAGAUAUAGCAAAUGACAAUAUAAGUAAAUCUAUUAGUACUUAUGCAGUAAGUCUUUGUGGUGAAGAGGAAUGAAACAAUCCUCAAGGUGUUUAACACCUUUGUAUAGCCUCUCGGAACCGCUGCUUUACAAGUGUAAAGUUCUGAUUUUAUCAAUACAACACCUAUCGUUUUUGAAAAAAAAAAAAAAAAAAAAAGCUUACUUGUCAGUUAGGCAUCAAUAGGCCUUGUUUGGAUUGUAUUCUUUUGUAGAAAAAUUUUUCAGAUUUUUCCAAGAAUAUAUCUUGACAUAUUUUCUAGGGAUAAUUGCAGAAACCUCCCCUGACUUUUAUAAUAAUAGCAUUGACCUCCCCUAUCAAUAUUGAAAUAGCACUGACCUCCCCUAUCAAAAGUUGGAGGCAAUUUAAUAUGCAAAAGUGGAUCAAUUUACUAAAGUAUCCCUGACAUGAUUUAAUUUUACCAAAUGAAUGUGAUGAGUACUUUCAUCAAACCCAACAAAACAUUUGUUAAUAAAAAUUACACUAAGUUAACUAUUUCUGCAUAGUUUAACUAAUUAACUAAUAAUCUAAUUAAUUAAUAACUAAUUAUCUAAUUAACUAUUAACUAAUUAAUAUUCUUACUUUCAAACAUUUAAUUUAUGGCCAUAUGCUCCUCCCUUUUUGUAAGAAUAUUACUGUAACACUUUUUGAAUUUUACUUACAAACAUUGAUGUUUUUAUCAUAAAUUAAAUGUUUGAAAGUAAAAUACCCAUAAAGAGCCGAUACUGUAAAUAGGUAAUGCGUACUACAUAUAGUUUAACAUGCAAAUAGUCUGUUAAUUUGUUAGUUAGUUAAUUAGUUGAUUAGUUAAGCAGUUAAUUAGUUAAUUAGUUUAACAUGCAAAUAGUUUGUUAGUUUCGGACAGACAAUAGCUUUAGUUAAUUAGUUAAACAGCUAAUUAGAAAAAUAGAAAUUAGUUAAUUAAUUAAUUAGAUAAUUAGUUAAUUAGUUAAUAAUUAAUCAGAUAAUUAGUUAAUAGUUAAUUAGUUUAACUAUUAACUAAUUAGAUAAUUAGUUAAGCAAUUGUCAAGCAAAUAAUAAUUGUCAAGCAAGAAGAGGGCAAAAUUGGAAGAAAUUUCUUAUCUCACAUCUACAAAAGCUGUCAGGGAGGUUUCUGCAACAAAUUGUUACUGUUCAGGGGAGGUGAAUGCAAUUUCUAAACCUACAGGAGAGGUCAGUGCAAAUGUCAGAAAUCUCAGGGGAGGUUUCUGCAAUUAUCCCUAUUUUCUAAUUAUAUUUUUAGCUCAUACGCAUCAUAUUAAAACAAGUGCUACAGUCUAUUUUCCUACAAAAAAAAAAUCCAAAAAAAUUACUAUUCUAUAGCAUAUAUUUUACUCUAAUGUUUGUGUUUGCACAGAUUGAGUCCCUCAUACCAAACUAGAGCAUAUAUUUUACUCUAAUUCUUGGAUAAUGGAAUGAUAAAGAUAUUUGACAGAUGUAUCAACAGAUGAGGGAGGACAAGCUAAUGAUUUGCAGUCAUUGUUUGCCAUAGCUCAAAAUUUAUUUUCCGAGCACAUUUUGUUAAAAUGACGCAUUACGUCCAAACUACAAUUGGACUUGAGAAGGGCAAAUUUAGUAUUUUAUGCAAAAAAUUAUUGUGGAAAUAAAAUUUAUGUUGUGGCAUUAACAGCAACCUUCGUUUAGAGCCAUUAUUAUUUUUUUUCACCAUAGCUAUCAAAAAUUGCAAAAGUUCAAAUAUGAAGGGUGCUGCAAAUGGAGGUAGUAAUGAAAGAAAGGAAAUAAAAGAUUGGUAUACGUUGAAGUUACAUUUACCUAAUUCAUCCUUUGAUUUUAGAUUUUGCACACUGGAGCUUAUGUUAGGUAAUUGUAAAUCAUGUGGAGACCAAUGCUUUGUUUGGGAGCUUAGAUUUGACAGGAAAUGAGAAGAAAGUGAGAGAAUAUAGCUCUUUUAUGAUGUUUGGGAGUUGUGGAGCGAUUGAAAAAAAAAAAUGGGAAGAUUUUGGAUGGAUCAUUCUAGCAUUUACAGUUAAUAAUACUUUUCCAACAAAACAGAGUUGAAGCAAGCUUUCUAAAAUUGUUUAAAAUACCAAAUUUAUCCUUAAAUGUCUAUUAAACAAAUUUUUAUUGGCAUAUGUAUCCAAUAUCAUUUUAUUUCUUUACUAAACUCCCAAACAAUAUCAAAACUAAAUCUCUUUUUUUCUUUUCUUUCAUGACUUGAGCUUUCUAUUCUUUUCUUUUCUGUCUAAAACUCCCAAACUAGCUGCAAAUGUUGAAAAUGUUUGUACCUCUUAAAUGUCAAGAUGGCUUGCAUGGAUACAGAUAACAAUCAGAAUGUCCAUUAACAGUGUGAAAAGAUGUCAAGUUAAUGACUAUCUAACCGAAAUCUAUUGGUACCUGCAUGUAUCUAGAUGCAAAUUAGGCCAUUGAAUAUGCUUUUGAUACUAAUCAAACUCCAAGUGCCAGCUUCCAUCUACCACGGUGUUUUAACUACAUUGAGAAGCUGAUCUUCUUCCGAGUGAUUCUCUCUACGUUACAAAUUGGGGCUUUAAGUCAGGCAGCAUAAACAGAGGAAUCUUCAAUGUGUUCUCCAAAUUUACUUUGCACACCCAACUCUGCAUCUUGUUUCUUAAUUUUAACGUGAUGUGAGAAUAUGCUGAAGUUUAUGGCCCUUCCCAUUGAUUGUAUUAUUGUUCUUGCAAUUCUUAACUACUCAUGUCAAAAUGGUCAAUUUAAAGAUCUUGAUUUGCUUCCCACCACCAUUAGCAUGCUAUUGCUAUACAGUUUACUUUUCAAAAUUACCCUCUACUUCUUUCCAUGUAGCUUCCUUAAUGGUUUUUGAAAUGCAAAAGAAAAAAAGAAAAGUUAUUUGUUGGGCAUUAGAGGUAUAAUAUGAGAAAUUUUAUCUUGGUUUCGAUCAACUACUUGACACGUUAACAGUUAGUUUUUAACUAAUGAAAAUAUUCUAAAUAAAAUCGUGGACCUCAUUAAUUUCGCAUCACUAUCAAAUAAAAUCGUGUAGCCCUUAUUUCUCUAAUUGGUAUACUAUCAAAUCAUUCAAAAACUAAUUACUAUACUUGUCAAAUAUUUAGUUUAGACUGUAAUAAGAUUUUCUACCUUAAUAUAUAAGUAAAUCAUGUGGAUAUUACAAAAGCUGUCUUCCUUUUCGCUCUAGAACUCAUUUUUCUCUUCCUUCCCUCCAAAACUCCUCCAAUUAAAUCUACAAGUCAGAUCUAAAUUUUUCUUUAGACUUGAAGUAGUUUUUAUCAGAUUUGACUAUUCAACUUCUUCUCUGAUCUUCAAUUGAAAGCUGUUGUAGUAUAUAUGGUUGAGGAUUUAUAAGCUACGGCCCAACCUGCCCAACCUUCUCAAAAUAUUUUAGCAAAGAAAAAUCUCGUGUGUUCUUUGUUCUGAUUCUUGGCCCUGCUUCUUUAUGCUUUGAGAAGCUGACCAAGAAGAUUCUAAGAGAACUAUGACUGAAUUUAAGGGCUAACUACAUUUUACACUCUUGAACUUGGGAUUGAGAUGCAACACUUUAUGCUUUUGAACUUAAGAUAAGCUCCCCAAGGAUGACUGUAUAAAAUGUUUAGCACAAAGAUUAGGUCCAAAAACUGAAAGAAAUCACAUUAAUGCCCUGAAAUGAUAGCUAUGUGGGUGGCAGUUACCUUUAGGCAGGAAUUUGGGGUGGCUAUUGGCACACUCGGUGCACAUGAUUGAAACGAAAAUACAAAAUUAAUAGGGGACUUGGGAAAUUAUUUGCAUGGCAAAAAACCUCGAAAGUGGCCAAAAAUAAACAACUACACCAGUCUUGCACGGCUCCAAUUUCUUUCGUAAAUUUGUAUUGGCAUUUAAUAAUUUGGCUUUUUCUUCAUGAGAUGAGCCCUUAUGCGCAGAAUAGGCCUUGGACAAUUAGUUAAGGUUGAGAUGAUAGGAGUUAGAUGUUUUAGGUUCAAAACUUUAGUUACUUAAAUCUCACCUCUUCCUACUACUGAUAUUCAUUUCCCAGUUUUCUGAAAUUUCUUUUAAUUUUUUGAAAAAAUGUAGUUUUUGUCCUUAGUGUUUUGCACUUGUACGGUUUUAGUUCUAAAGUUUUAGCAAAAAAAAAAAAAAAAAUGAUCCUCAAUAUUUGGCAAAAAUUUUGAUCAAAAAUAAUUUUGGUUCCAAAUAGUUUCUGAAUUUAAGCAAAAUUGCGACAAUUGACUAACGUUUUUUAAUUACUAAUGGAACCUAAUAAUGUUCAGUCAUGUGUACAUUAAAUUAAUUUUGUAAGAAACAAGCAAAUCAAUGGAUAACCUUAAACAGUAAGAGCAACUCAUGUGAUGACACGUGAGUUAUUAAUUAACCAAGAAAAUAGGAAAAAAGGAAAUUUAUUUAAUUAUGCACAAAAACCAAGUGUUGGGGCUUUUCUUUUCUUUUUUUCUUUUUUUUUUUCUGAGGGUCAGCAGGGAUAGAUAGAGAAAAUAAGUUCAAAAUUGAUGAAUUAAAUGCUCUAACUAGUUUGAGUUUUGUACUUUAACAAUUUUUUUACCAAUUAAUUAGUUAGCACAUGAGUUAUUAAUCCUUAAUAUUGUCGUUUAAAGUUAGCCACUAUUUUUUCUUUAUUUUUAUAUUUCAAUUCUGUCAGUAAUUGAAAAAUAUUCAGUUAUCUAAAUCUAAUUUAUAUUGGAUACAUUGGAGACUAGAGUUAUUCUUAUAAAAACUUUAGGGACUACAACUGUGCAUGUGCUAAACAUUGAGGACUAAAUUUGUUUUUGUCAAAACUUUAAGGACUGGAGCUCGCAACAGGUGCUAUAUAUAAUGGCAUUUCUUCCUUUUAUUUUUGUAAUGCUUAAAAUACCGUUCCUCAUACUGGUCAUCUAAUCUAAUCUUUCUAAUGCUUCUGUUUGAGUCCUACAUGAUUACAAUCUUCCUAAACAAAUGAUUGUGAGAGAUAUAAUUAUGUAUCGUAUGUUUUGUGUAGUUCCACAAAACAAUCUUUCUAAUCUGAUCUUAUUAAACUAGGAGAUGCUCACCAUGCCCAGGUUGAGAGUACAGUAAAUAUUUAUUUCUGAAGGAUUUGUUGUACAGAGCACUUAUUUAUCUUGGUUGAAAUUUUUUUUUUAAUCCUGCAGGUUACUUUAUAUUUAAAGAGAUAGUCAGACCAUUUAAACUAAAUUCGUACAUCAAUGAUGUUGUGUUCUGGGUCAUUUCAAUCAGGUGCUUAUUACUGGUAACUAGAAGUUGAGGUGGAACAUGGAGUUUUAACUACUUGAAAUUUCUCAUUGAUUAGGGUAAUUGUACUCCUUAAUUUUUUUUUUCCAAAUAAAAGUAAAAAUUUAUUAAGUCACUUGAAAAUAAGUAUAAGACGGAGGAGGGCAUAAAUGUUACCUCCCGAUUCCAAUGAAGUUCAAAAAUUUUUUUAUUUAUCUUCAAGCAUGAGUUUGUUUAUGUGAUAAUCAUUCUAUAAAUCACCAUCGCACUGUGGAUGAUUUUUUUUUAGAUAAAUUUUCUAAAGCAGUCAGGCAGAAUAAUUGUUUAGGCCUCUAUUGCCGAACUUCAUUUCCGAAUACAAGUUUGAAGCAAAUCCACAUUUCAAGUUAUUCUUUGCCAAACUUCAUCCACCACGGGUAUUAACACAAGCAAGGAAUACAAUGUGGGGUACUCAUUGAUGGCAACACCACCAAAUUAGACUCAGCAUCUUGAUUAUGCAAAGUUGAAAAGGCUCAAUGCUCAACGAUAUCAGAUUCUGAUUUACAAAAUAAUUAGAAGCCUAAUUGAUUUUUGUAUUGAGACACAAAUUAUGUCUCUAGCUAAGAAGCAAAAUCCAACAGAGUUAGUGUGGAAGCUAACAGGAUAAGGUGUGCGUUAAGACCAAAUUAUGUUCUAAUUAGUUCAUCUUUCAAGGAUUAACGAAUAAAGAUGAAGCCCCCAGCAAGAAAGUUAAAGUGAAAAUCCCAAGUCAGGAAUUUCCAUUUCAAAGCAUCCAAGUUUCCCAAGAAAUUUAAAGUGAAGAUGCCAAGGAAGGCACCAAAGUUAAGAAUAAGUCUGCACUUUUAAGCGACCAAAUACCAAUGCUCUCCUCUUUUUAACCACUUGUAACAUUACCAAUUUCUGGCUGCUAAAACCUCCCAUUUUAAAAAAACCAUCUUGAUCUCAGGACUGAAUCCAAGCUAUUCCAAAAAAAAAAAAAAAUGGCUGACGCUCUUAUCAGCUCCACAAUUCAGGUCACCUUGGAAAGGGCACUGUCUCUUGCCUCUGAUAGGAUUGGUUUGCUGGUUGGGUUCAAGAAGGAUGUGGCCGGCAUGACACGUUCUCUCCGCCUGAUCAAUGCUGUCUUGGCUAAUGCUGAAGCAAAGCAAAACCAGGACGGAGCAGUGCAAGAAUGGUUGAAGAGUCUCGAGGAGGUUGCUUAUGAGGUUGACAAUUUGUUGGAUGAGCUCCACUAUGAGUCUCUUCAUCACCAGGUGGAGUCCCGAAACCGACACAAGCUCAAGGUAUGCUGCUUCUUCUCCUUCUCUAAUAUUAAUCUUGCUUUUCGUUGGAGAAUGGCUUCUAAGGUCAGGGACAUCAAACUUAAGUUGAAUGAGAUAAAUCAAGAAGCCAACGGAUUGGGACUGGUCAGUAGGUUAGGGAUGACAGCUGCCCUCCCUGCUGCUGUUGGAGACACAAGAAGUCAGCAGACCGACUCUGUUGUUGCUCCAAUGAUUGGAAGAACCAAUGAUGAAUCAAAGAUAGUGAAGAUGUUGUUGAGCCCGUCUGAGAAGGUUGUUUCUGGUCUUCCCAUAACUGGUAUGGGAGGUCUAGGCAAAACAACUUUGGCUAAAUCGAUAUACAACAAUCAGCAAAUUGAUGAGCACUUUCAGAAAAAGAUUUGGGUUUGUGUAUCGAAAAAAGUUCCAGUAGUAGAACUUUUCAAACUCAUGUUAGUGCAAUUGAUGAAAGGAAAAGUUGAAGUGGAUGAUAGGAAUGUCAUUGUUGAACACAUUCAAAAUCAACUAGGGGAAAAGAGAUAUUUCCUAGUCCUUGAUGAUGUGUGGGAUGAUGAUCAAGCAUUGUGGGAUGACUUUUUCACCACCUUGAAGGGGCUCAAUCCAACUAAUGGAAGUUGGUGUCUGGUCACUACUCGUUUAGGUCCAGUGGCACAUAGUGUGUCUAGAGUUUUGAGGAUGAUGGAAAAUGAAGCCUAUCCAUUAGGAAAACUACCUGAUGAUCAUUGUUGGUCUAUCAUAAAAGAAAAGGUAGUUGGAGAGGGAGAAGAACCUGAUGAACUAAAAGCAAUUAAAGAGAGAGUAAUCGAAAGAUGUGACGGUCUACCAUUGGCUGCAAGUGUAAUCGGAGGUCUAUUGUCUUUAAAGAGAAAAGAGGAGUGGCGAUCAAUUUUGGAGAAUAGGCUUUUGAGUAUGAGUGGAGAUGGAGAUCGUGUGAUGCAAAUACUUAAGUUUAGUUUUGAUAAUUUGCCAUCUCAAUACAUUAAGAAAUGUUUUGCACAUUGGUCUAUAUUUCCUAAGGAUAGUGAGAAAGAAAGGAAUAUGCUUAUCGAACUUUGGAUGGCAGAAGGUUUCCUACAAGUAGAUGCCACCAGCCAAAUGAUGAUGGAGGAAAUUGGAAUGAAUUAUCUGAGAAUUUUAUUGCAGAGUUCAUUGUUGGAAGAAAUAAUUGAUAAGUCAGAAACAUCAAUAUCUUAUAAGAUGCAUGAUUUGGUGCACGACCUUGCAGAGUCAAUGUCAAAGUCUACCAAAGUCAUUAUUGAUCGGGAUACAUAUAUAGUAGACAAUGGUGAUCAGAUUCGUUACCUUGCAAUAGACUUGUCUAGUGGUCGAGAAGACAGAGAAAAACUUUUGGAGAGUCAAUCAAUGUCUCUUCAUACAUUGUUUGUAAAUGGUGACUUAUCUGAUGACAUGUUAAUGAAGUUGAAGAACUUGUAUGUUUUGUUUUUGUCUACUGAAACAACUCAAGAGCUACCAGUAUCAAUUGGCAAACUGAUACAUUUGCGGUAUGUUAACCUUUCGAAGUCUUCAAUUAGUAUUUUGCCAGACUCCCUUUGCAAGCUUUAUAAUCUGCAGACAUUGGCGCUAAGUGGCUCACAAGUUAAAGAUCUUCCGAAGGGGAUGUGCGAUUUGAUUAGCUUGAGACAUCUCCACUAUUAUAAUGAUGAUGAAGAAUUUCAAAUGCCGCUAGAGAUGGGACGGCUGACUUGCCUUCAAACGCUUGAGUUCUUUAACGUGGGGCGAGAGAAGGGUCGACGAAUUGGAGAGCUUGGAAGCUUGAAGAACCUCAAAGGCAAAUUGGAGAUACGCAAUCUUCAACUAGUAAAGGGUAAAGAAGGAGCUGAGGAAGCAAAACUAUCUGAAAAGGCAAAUCUAUUUAGGCUGGAACUUGAGUGGGCCCUUGAUCGAGAAGGCGACGACUACAAUGACGAAGAUGUGUUAGAUGGCCUUCGACCCCACCCAAAUUUGAAGGAAUUGGUAAUUUGAUAUUUUCUGGGUGAUCAAUUUCCUCGAUGGUUAAUGGAUUUGCCAACAACAACAACACUCCCUGAGUCAGCAAAACACUCCCCGAGUUAGCGUGUUUGGUAUUUUUUGGCUGCGACAGAUGCAGAGAACUCCUUCCCCUACAAAUCUUUGCGUCUCUUAAAGAGCUGCAGAUUUGGUGUUGUGACGGGUUGACGAAUCUGCCAGGUGACAUGCUACGCUCUUGUGCCUCUCUCCAGAAGCUUGAGGUGACUGGUUGUGACAAUCUUAUCUCCUUUCCGCUUGAUUUGCAACAAAUGCCUUCUCUCUCGGAGCUGAAAUUAUACGAGUGUCCCGAACUGAAAACAAGCAUGACGCCCAAAGGAUUUGGUUUCCUAACCAGCUUAAGGAAGCUUGUAAUUGGUCCUUUCUCAGAUGAUGGUGAUGAUCAUGAAAAUUCUUCAAUUUACAAUGAGUUUGAUUGGUCUGGAUUGAUAUCCUCCUCCUUCUUCUCUUCGUCAUCCGCACUCCGUGAAUUAGAAUUAUUUGGGUUGCCACACAUGGAGUCCCUGCCACCUCAGAUCCAAUACUUGACCACUCUCACGUCACUAACGCUAGUUGUCUUUGGAGGUAUAAAAGCUCUGCCAGAUUGGUUCGGAAACUUUGCGGCUCUUGAAGACGUGCACUUAUGGUUUUUCAAAGAGCUUGGACAUCUACCCUCUGAGGAUGCCAUGAGAAGUCUCACCAAACUAAAACGUUUGGAGGUUUAUGGUUCUCCUCUGUUAAAAGAAAGAUGCACUCCUGAGAGCAGCGGCCCCGACUCCCAGUGGUCCAAAGUUUCUCACAUUCAAGACCUACGCAUAACCGAUCAUUAUUAACCACUCAUCUUCAGAUCAAAUUCAAUCAUGUAAGAUUGCCUCUUACCAACUUUCUUAAUUUGCUUUACAAUCAAUCUCCCCUUCUCUUCACCUCCCCCUCUGAUUAACCUUCUCGUGAGAAAACCUAAAAAGUCUCCAUGUUUAUUUUCGCAAUUUUCUCUUCUCCCUUUUCAUCGUCCUAUUUAUUAUCUUUCAAAGCUGCGGCAUUAGCAUUUCUUAUUAGGUCCAAAAUAUUGGUGCUCUUCAUUUACUCCUUACAACAUAAUAGUAAUACUCUUGUAACUCUUGUAAUACUCUUGGGCCAAAAUGUUCUUUUUUCCUGUGAGCCGCCGCACAUCCGAGGGAAGAAGAAUUGCGCAGCAAAGGACUAGGGCGAUCUGGCUUUCUUCGUAGUUUUUCGUCUUUAGCUUAGCCUGAAUUUUAUUGACUUUUCCCUUGGACUUACUUUUUGGCUUUGGGGACUUACGAAUGUCAGGACCCCUAAGCCAUUCUUGGCUUUUGACUUUUCUUCAUCUUUGAACUUUUAGUAUUUACGUUCCUUUCUUCGUAUGUCAUUCGAAGUGAAAUGGAGGGCUACCUCUUGUAACUUUGCUAUCUUUUCUUGAUUGCAGCGAAUUGCAUUUCCCAAUUUUUGUGACAAUGGCCGCGACUCUUGUUUCAAAUUCCUGUGGACUUAGUUCAUCAAACAUGAACUAAUUUCACCACUCUAGUCAAGGAGCAACGGAGGCUCUGAUUCACCUAAAAAUUGUGAGAUCGAUUUAAUUUAAUCUUUUCCUUUUAUUUAUUGGUAUUCGCAUAUUCCUUGAUUGCUAUACUUAUGGUUAUUUAAUUAAUUGAUUGUCUUAGAUCUGGAUAAUUAAUUGAUUUAGUAACCUAUUGUCAAUUAGGGCAUUAAAUCCGUAAUUGUUUAAUUGUCCUGAAAUAGUGACAACUAGCCCGAUUAGGUUCGUGUCAAGGGGAUACGCGGGCUAAUCUGAGAUAACCCUGGUAGUGCGUUAUUUGGUUAGAAUAGGGCUCCUUUAAUACGUAAGGCAAUUGGGGAAUUAAAUCUUACGGGCGUACCUAGGAUUAUCUCCUAAUUAAAGUAGUGAUUAACGGGCGUACCUUAAUCACCGACCCAAUAAGGAGGGGUUGACUGCCAUCGCUUGUUUAGUAGUUAUAACCUAUUUAUUGAUAAAUAAUUGGAAUUGCCUUUGCUUCGAUGAUCAAUUAGGUGAACCAUUGCUGAAGUUAUUUCUUGGCUAGAUCUUUAAUUAAUAUUACCUUGAUUUUAGUGAAUUGCCAUUUGACUUUUAGUUGCCUACUUUAUUUUAUUUUUAAUUGUUUUCUUGUUUUAAUUGAUUUAGGCCUUUAAUUAUUAUUACUUUAAGCUCAAUGAAUUGUUGUUUAAUUUCUAGUUAGUUAUUUAUUUUUAUUUUCUUAUUUGAAUUUAUUUGAUUGUCGUCGUUCCUACAAAAUCACCCCCUGUGUUACCUUGGAUUUCUUAAGAGACAAAUAUACCCAGUCCCUAAGGAUACGACCCUACUUCCCCUAUCUACAAAUUCAUAAUUAUUUGUGAAAAAAAUAACCAUCCCAUUCGGGUAUAUCGGAUCAAGCAAACUCUUCAGGAACAGGGUGAAUCAAGUAACCCAUUGCACACCUAGAGUCCCUGCUCUAAUACUUGGAAUUGGGUUUUGGUCAUUUUAAUUGGCAAUUAGGUUUAUUUUAUUAUUGCACAGGUUUCGACAACCUGUCAGUUCUGUUUAUAUUACAUGCUCUGCUUCUGUGGAUUUUAAGUUGUUAUUGCUAAAGUCAUCUCACUCUAUUUAAAAUUGUGAUUCUAAGGGGACUGAACUUUUACCUCUUGUCUCUUGAUAAUGAACUUGCAUAGCUAUCUGAACUAUUUGACUAGUAAUUGGUCUAUCAGAGUCGUAUAUGAUGGAUUUCUGGCUCACUUUUCCUUGAUUUUGGCUUUUUAUCCAUGAAGACAAUGGUUAAUUGAGGAGUUUUCGCAGCUGUUGGUCAUCACUUUCAUGUUUUGGUUCAAAAAUUCUAGUAAUUUUAGAUAUGCUUCUCUUCUUUCACUACUCAAUUUUGACUUUUAACCCUUCAAUAUCUAAUCUAUUAUGUAUGAAACAAAAAACAAAUCUUGUCAUCACGAAGAUAUUUUUGAGGUAGCAAAGGAAGGUUUGUAGUGUUUGAGAGAUGAAGUUGCACAAAACUUGGUGGAGUAUCUUCCAACUGAACAACUCUAUGUGCAAUGUUCUGAAGCAUUAUGGUAGUUAGUCAAGUCUGCUUGUUGUGAAUUGCUUCUCUUAAUGAAUCCAUCUUGAUAGAGGCUUCAGUUACAAUGACAGAAAAACUAUAAUUAUCUAAAAAUUUCCAUUAGUUUUAUUCUAUGCUAUUCGCCGCCUUCAGUUUGAGUUUUUGUGCUUUGCAGUGAUUUUGGGCACAAACCUCAACAGGGAACCUCAUGGAUGGCUCUUACCUACUGUCUUUACUUUUUGAAAGUCCUACAAUUCGUUGCUGAACAAGAUCCUGCUUCGGCUGAAUGGCAACAUCUAGGAUGGCAUUCUCUUUUCCUCUGUGCCUCAGAUGGUCAAAGUCUGAGAUAUCUAUUGGGGUAUGGUUCUUUUAAACUAUCGAAAUGAUUCAGUGAUGUGUAGUCAUGAUAAUAAGGAGCUGAUUUACAUGUUUUAGAACUCAAAUUGUCAUCUCUAGCAUACUGCUCAGAGUUAGAGGUUAGAACUAACUGGUGUUUUGGUAGCAAUUAAAUGUGGAUAUCUAUUGUGCUUCAGUGGCCCACAGCUCUAUUGUUUCUCAAUGCCUCAAUGUGAAAUGCUUUGCCCGCACUACAAAUUGUCCAUUAUUAUUUUCAUUUUAUGAGCUGUAAUGACUUGCUUUAUGGUUGGAACCAAACUACUGUAAUUGUAAACACGACUUAGUACUUGCUUAUCUAUUUAGUUUCAUAACAAACAAGACAUAUUUUAGCCUUUUGUAGGAAUGACAAAACAAAAUUAUUGUUGAAUUUUCUGAACUUUCUGAUUAGCUUUCUUGUUCACAUAUUGUCUCAACUCGAGUUUUCUGUUCUGCAAUGAUUUCAGGCUCAAAUGUGAACUAGAAUCUACAAUUUUACUUGCUUACUGAUUGAAUUACACAGCUUGUAACUUUUGAAAACUUUGUUGAAUCAAAUCCUGUUUCAGUUGGACAGAAAUGAUUAGGAUGGCACACUACAGGCACACUUUUCUUUCUUCCUAGUGUGUAAAACCUGAUAAAAUGCUCUAUCUGUGUCAGCUGGCCUCUACAAACUGCCCACCAGAAUUUCUUUCCCAAGCUUAUGUAAUGUCUUCCAAGAUCAAAAGCCAUCAUUACCAUGAAUUUCUGCUAAUGAUCAUGGGGGUAAUGGUUGGCGAUAGAGCUUGUAUUAAAGAAAUAGAUUGACAAUGAGGAGCUUGCAAAUUUUCAAGAAGUACUGUAAGGUUAGCGAAUUUGUUUUAAAUGGAUUAGUAGAUGUACUUAGUAUCAAGUCUUAUUUCCUGCUCAUUAGUUUUAGAACAAACGUAACAAAAAAAAAACCUUCUUUCUGUAAGAUUCCUAGUAAAAAAUGACAUGGAAUUUGCUCUUCUAUCUUAAUUGUAAUGCAGGCAAGCGUGCCUUCCUGAAAUUUUCAAUCUAAAAGCUCCUCAUCCAACUAAGUACUCUAAAAAUGCAGGCAAACGUGCUUUUGUUGCAUAUUUGUUUCAGUGACCAAAAUGAGCGAGAUUUUCUUGGGUUAACUGAAUCAUGUUUUGGAUGAACCAGUAGUGAAACAAAUGCACUAAUGUGGGUGGAAUUUAAGAAUUUAGUUUUGUUUAUCAUGCAUGUCAGUUACUCUCCUUUAUGCGUCAUGAUUGCUAACAUCGGUGCGCUCUCUUUAAACUUGUGAUUCCACCAGGAUGAAAAGAUUGCUCUCUCUGAAGUUUCAACUGUUGAAAAUGCAUUGGACAUUUUAGCUUCGACACCACACGUAGCAAUUCUAGAAACCUUUUCUAUAAGACUUUAAACCAGCAAUUCUCUACUGCAUCCUUCCUCCUGCACUUAGCAGGCAGAUUUUUGUGUCUCUCCCCGAGAUGAACAUAGAUUAGAUUUUUAUAGCUGGUAUUCAUUAAUUUUUGCUUUGCAUUUCCUACAAGUUUCCCAUCAAUAUGAAAUAUGCAAUAGAAGUUUAAUUUGUUGAUUUCAUAUAUCUGCUUUUGUGGAUGUAAGAUGUGAUUGCUAAAGUGAUCAGCUCCCUAGCUUAUGAUUCUAGAGGGAGUAAAUAGCUGCUCCAGAGUUUAAUCGCCUCUUGAAGGCACAUUUAUCAAGCUUGUUGAACCAUUUGAUUAGUGAUUUGUUCGAUAAGUCUUGUAAAUGAUGGGUUUCUGUCUCACUUUUCCUUGGUUGUGAUUUUCUAGUCGUAAACAUUUCAGGAGUUUUCCAGAGCUGUUGGUCAUCAAAUUGGUUUUUGAUUCUAAGAGUCUGGUAAGUUCAGAUAUAUUGCUCUUCUUUUACUACUCAAAUUUGACUUUUAACUACUUUGAUUCUGAACAUAUUACAACCAAAACUUGAGAAAUCUUCUCAUAAUGGAAAUGUUUUUGGGAGCAGCCAUGGAAGAUGUACUGUUCAUGCAGUGAAGCUGCACAGACUUGUUAUAGUAUCUUCUAACACAAUCAACUCUAAGAUGCAAUUUUUGAAGCAUAUUGCUAUGGUUAGUCAAGACUGCCAAGCAUACUGGUUGGCUGCUGCUACUUGCUGUAAUUAUUUCAUUCGCUAUGAUGAAGGCUAUUAAGAGCAUUUUGCCUUCUAUACUUGUUGGUUGCUCCUCUGUUCAUGUUAAGUUCUUAUUUAGUGUUUCAAAUACAACAAAAAUGUCAUGCAACUAGGCGCUGGCUUUGUUCUUGACUACAUACUGUCUCGAGUCUCUUAAGUUUGAGUUUUUGUGUUUUGCAGUGAUUUUGCACUCAGAGAUCAACAUUAACCUUAUAGCUCGGUCUUACUAUCAUUUGUAAUGAAAGUCCUAUGAUCCCUUGUUGAACCAGAUCCUGUCUCAGUCAGAUCAGAUGAAAACAUCCGGGAUAGAAUUCCCUUUUGCUCUCUGCCUCGGAUGGCCAAAGCCUGAGAUCUUCCCUGUCUGUCUGGUGCUGUUAAACUGUCCAACCAAAUCAGCAAUUUGUAGACAUGUUAAUGAGGUGCUAUUUUACUUCUUUUGGAACUCAAUUUGCCAUAUCUUCCAUACUGCUUGUAGUUCAAAGCAGCAGAAAGAUGUGGAUUAGCUGAACCCUGAUAGGUGCUUGCAUCCUUCUUGAAGUUGUAUCUUAGCUCUAUAACAGGCAACAUAUUUUUUUUCUCACUGUUCUGCAGUCGACUACAAGUUGUGCCCAAUGAUACUUUUUCCAUUGCUCUUUGUAUCUGUAAAUCUAAGACAGGACUCAGAGCACAAGAAUCAGCCAGCUUGAGCCCUUCUAUUUAUGUUAAAUCAGAGGGCAAUUUAGAAAACUGAAUUGAGGCACCAAUUUCUAUUCAAGAGAGGAUCCCACUUGGUGGAUGGGAACGUCGGAGAGAUGAAAUUAUGGAAAUCAAUUGAACAGGAUCAAGAAUUAAAUGGGAACAUACAAGGUCAACCUUAGUUCAUCAAACUGAUAUUUUACAUAGCAUCAAACCUUAAUUCAUCUAUUUUUUCAUGUGAAUUUACAAAUAUAUAAAUAAAUAAGUAGAGGAAAUGACAAUUUGAAAAAUAAUUAUAUAAAAAAAUCAUUCAAAACGUUUCCCAGGAAUUUCUUGCAAAUUAGCCUAGUAUUGGAAGUUUCAUGUCUAUUGCCUGCUCUUCUGUGACGUCGUAGCUGGCUCUGAAUUAGUUUAUAAUACAAACUUUGUUCCACACUGAUCAUAUUGUUGUGCCUUCUUUUGAAUGCGUAGCCCCCCUUCCAUUGCUAUUGCUUGACUACUGCAACAAUUGCUAUCAUUUCUCAAACCCUGUGUCCUUUCCUCAGAUAUUUGGCUAUUCAUGUUGAAUGUCGUUAUGCUGAACUAAAUGUUAUUGUCAUGCCCAUUCUCUGUUAAUUUAAUGAAACUAACGUCAACUUCCUGAUUGAAUUCGUAUCAGUAAACUCUAGUUGAUAUAGCAUUUUUAAUCACAGCUUAUCAAGCCUUGUGUCACGCCCCGAGCCCACACGUGCCCGUCACAUGACAUCCGCCGUACUCCCAAGUCCCACUCAGGAAUACAAGGCUACAUUAACUAAUUUAACUUUAACAGCACUAAAUAAUUCAACUAAAUAAAGUGCGGAACGAAUUACAUAUAAGAGAAAGUCCACAAAUAUUCAAGACGUUCGUACAUUUAUUCUCCAAUUGAAACAGCGGAAACAAGAAUAAACAUGACUAACAACUAGAAGUAGCUAGUCUGCCAACUUCUAUUCAUUUAAAACUAAUAAAAGUCAUCCUCAGGGUCUUCUACGUAAACCAAUUCAUACUCUUCAGAAUCUAUAAAAAUGGUAAGAAGUGGGUUGAGCGACACAUCGCUCAGUAGGCAAUAUUUACCCCUCUGUUGGACCAUGCACUCUUAAUUUUAUAGAUACAUAAGUAUAUAAGUACAACUCAAAUCAUUUGCAUAUCAUUCACAUCCGUGAUUUUGAAAGUAACAUUAUUUAUAAAGAAUUCAGCAGUAAAGAAGGACAAGUAAUUUUAAAGCAUCUUAUUGAUAGUUGUACAUGAGAUAUCGUAAAGUCAUAAAUCAUUUCAUCUCAAGUCACAAAUCUCUUCAUAACCAUUCGUAAAUCAACUCAUAUCAGUUCAUAAGUCGCAUUUCAACUCAGUUCAUAAAUCAUUCCAUCAGAUCAGCUCAUAACAAGUACAUGCAAUGACUGGCUACUGAGUACUCAGCCUAGAGAUUAGACCCCAUCUAGGUGGGCGACCAAUAGAUUUCAUGACUAUCGAUUGAUCUCAUUUCAUUCUUGGGUCAAUCGGCCGGACUUUAUACCAGGCUACCAUGGCCUUGUCAAUCGGUCGGACUCUAUACCAGGCUACCAUGACCUUACCAAUCGGCCGGACUUUAUACCAGGCUACCAUGGCCAUUAGACAGGACUAUAGCCCCUACCGUCUAUUCCAUAACUGCUUUGAGUUUUACUUGUCAAAAUUCAUUUCAUAUAUCAUAUACAUAAUUCUUUGCUUUCAUAAUAGAUUCAGCUCAUUUUGUAUAUAAGAACAUAUCAAAACAUUUCAAAUAAGUCACAUGGUCCAUUUUUGUAUAGAAGAAUAUAGCUUUCAUAAAUAUCCAAAUAAAGCAUUUAAUCAAACACCUUUCAAGUCAACACAACAAAAUAGAAUUGAAAACAAGAAUUUCAUUUUGCACAUUUGAAAUCUCAGAAGGGUAAGUACCACCUACCUCUGUUUGGCUGCUCGAGUGGAACUACCUUAGGUCCUUGUAUUGCACCUAUCAAACGCAUAGGUUCCCUAAUUAGUUGCUACUUCCUAUAAAUGGAUAAAUACACAACCCCUAAGUAAGUACAAGAUUCAUAUCCAGACCAUUAUAUAGACCCUAAUAACAUUCCCCUCAACUCGUACGAUUUCUAUUUUUUGGAAAGUUUUCUGAUUUGAAAAAUUUCUAUUUUUAGAAAGUUUCUUAAUUUGGAAAGUGUGCAUUUUGCAAGGCUUCCUAAUUUAGAAAGUUUCUUAAUUGAGAAGGUUCUCCUUUUUGUAAAGUUUCCUAAUUUAAAAGAAGAUAAUUAUUUAUUAAAAUAAUUAUUAUUAUUAACGGUAAUUGUGCUUGGAUUGUAAGUUAUUUGAGAUAUUUUUACUGUAGUACUUUUUGUAAUGUGAUGUAUGUGAGAUAAAAAGAUAAUUGGGAAGAUAAAAAGGUGUAUUGAAAAUUGUAAUGGUGAUGUAAGCAAAUAUAUUUGGGCAAAUAACUUACAAUCCAAACACACUCGGUAUCGUCAACCUUAUUAUUUACUAACAUUAUUGCUAUCCUCAUUGUACUAUUACUAGCAUUACUAUUAUUAUUAUUGUUAUCCUUAUUGUACUAUUACUAGCAUUAUUAUUAUCAUUAUUAUUAUUAUUGUCCUCAUUGUCGCUAAUUUAUUUUAUUACCACUUAUAUAUAUGUUAAAUAGUUACUAUUACCUUUCCCUUUAUUUCCACUUUUAUGCGUGUGUAGGUGUUAUUAUUAUUUAUGUAUAUAUGUACAUAUAUAUAUUGACUUAUUAUAAUUAUUAUUGUCUUAGUUUAUUCCACUCGUAUUUAUAUUUUUGUCUUUGUUUAUAUCCUUAAUUUAUUUCCUCCAUACCCAUAUUGUUAAUAUCCUUACUAUUAUUGUCUAAUAAUUAUUAUUUACCAUUAUUAUUAUUAUUAUUAGUGUUAUUGUCCGUAUUAUUAUUUACUACUACUACUACUAUUCUUAUUAUUAUUUUAAGCGUCUAUCUUACAUUAUCUAAAUUAACCUAGUAAGGCUAGAUUAUGUUUUCAACUUCCAUUUUAGUAUCUUAGACUUAAUCAAUUAAGUAUAAUUUUGCCUGACUAAAUCUUCAAUUCUAACAACCACUAUAAGAUGGUCCUGAAUUUUAAUACCCAUAAUAAACAAUAAGAUGGCCUAGCUAUUCCUAAAAUUUAUUUACUGUAUAUUCACUAAGUCCAUACCAUCUUUCUAAUCCAAAUAUACUUGCCAUCAUAUAUAAACGUGUGUGUGUUUGUAUAUAUAUAUAUAUAUAUAUAUUAUAUUAUAUUAUUACUAUGAUUAUUAUAUAUAUAUUUUUUCCUUGGCCAUCCCUGCCAGGCCCUUUUUGUUUCUUACUUCACCUGGCGUUGCCAAGCAGCGCCGCAACUCUUAACUUCAAAAUUUUGUUUUUUUUUUUGGUCUUCUCGGAUUGGUCAAAAGGCCAAUCCUUUGGCAAUUGCUUCCUGUCGCCAGCCACGCGCUGGCGACUUCCUCUUUUUCUUUUUUUUUUUUUUUCUCUUGGGUUGUUGCAUUGCUAUGCUGAAGCUUCAGCAACACAUACAACGGCAGCGGCUGGCGCCGCUGCUGCUCUCUCUCUCUCUCUCUCUCUCUUUUUAACUUUCCAACAAUUUGGGUAAAUCCUAUUCAUUCCAUAAUAAAAAUUUAAUACCUUAAUCUUACUAUUCCAGAUAUGAAUUCUCCUAAAUCUCAUAUACAAAUAUAUAUCUCUAUAUAUAACAUAAUAUAUAUAUCUGUAAAAUCUUUAGGAUAAUUAAUCCGACUAAUAAAACUUAAAAGAGAAGUUUCACAUGAAUUUAGGACUUACGAGUUUAGAGACCUAGUCGUCUGAUUGAUUGAUGGCAACGCCUGUUUCUCAUUCUCUACUCUCUGACGGCUCUUGCUCUAAGGGGAGGCAGACAAUGAAUGGUAGGGAAUAGGUUUUUUUUUUGUGUGUGUUUAAUAAUUGUGCUAAACCCUAAUAACCACCCACUAGUAGGUAGUUUAGAUAGGAGUUUUAACUAUAGUGAACUUUUACCCUACUUUAUCUCAUCUUACCCCUUAAUUAACCAUUUAACCUAACUUGCAAUUAUUUUUGCUUUUACCCAUAAUAAAUUACCAUUUAAUUAAAUUAGGCAGGAUAAAUUGAGCCCAAAAAUCGUGGGUUUUACAUUCUACCCCCCUUACAAAAAGUUUCGUCCUCGAAACUUAUGUACCUUAAUACAAAGAUAGGGAUGUCUAUUUUGCAUGUCUUCUUCUAACUCCUAUAUUGCCUCUCGUGGUGUAUGGUUCGUCCAUUGCACAUUUACAUAGGGUAUGGUCCUUCUCCUUGGAACUUAAUCCUUAUGAUCCAUGAUUUUCAAAGGAAAUUCCUCCAUUGACAAGUUCUCCCUCAUCUCAAUGGGUUGAUUUUCCAAAAUAUGGGUCAUGUCUAAUACAUACAUUCUCAGUUGGGAGACAUUAAAAACAUCAUGUAUCCUUAAUCAAGCAGGUGGAAGAAUCAGUCGAUACACUAGAGGUCCAACUUUAUCCAAUAUUUCGUAAGGUCCUACAUACCUUGAACUUAACUUAUCACUUCUUCCAAAUCUCAUUAUUCCCUUGGUGGGGGAUACUUUCAAUUAUAUAUAUAUUUUUUUCCUGAUUGCAACUCUAAAGGUCUUCUCUUUAAAUCCACCCUACUCUUGUUUCGGUUUUAAACUACUUUCAGUCCUUCUCGAAUAACCUUAAUUCUCUCCAAGGUUCUUUCCACCAAAUCGGGGUUAGUGAUCAGUUUUUCACCUACUUCAUCCCAAUAUAAGAGUGACCUACACUUUCGCCCAUGCAACACUUCAAAUGGUGUCAUACCUAUCCUGCUAUGAUAGCUGUUAUUGUACAAAAGCUCCAUUAGUUUUACCAACCUAUCCCCACUAUCCAAGAAGUCUAGAAUACAAGCUCUUAGCAUACCUUCCAAGGUCUGUACGAUCCUUUCUGGACUGUCCAUUCAUUUGGGGGUGGGAGGUGGUAUUUAGUCUUAGGUAUCAAUUCCUAUAAUCUUUUGGUAGGUCGACCCAAAAUCUAGACAUGAAUUUAGGGUCCUAAUCCAACACUACUUUCACAGUUCUACAACUUUCACAGCUCAUUUUAGACUAGAUAUCACAUUCUCUUCCCCUUUCAAAGGUUUCGUCCUCGAAACCUAAAAGACAUAAACAUCAAAAUAAGUUAACAAAAUUUCCGAUGUUCUUGCAAUUCACCUUGGGAAUUAUUCUUACAAUGUCUAAAUUGGAUUCCCUUAAUUAAUUCCAUCAAGCUUCUGCUGCGCACUCUUAUUUUUUUCAAUACCUUCCAUCUUCAUAUUUAUAUAGCUCAGACGAACAUAAUAUCUCUCACAAAUCCGGCGCUCUAAAUAUCGGCUUAUAACGCUCUAUAACUAUCAACCUAUAGAAAAAAAAUCAGAGACUCUAACAGUACCAUUUCUUCUUUUGUCACACAUUUUAUCACAACUUACUUAUCCACCAUCACAAAAUAAUCCUUAUCUCGAUAUAUGGGUUCUCGCCCACUGUAUUUGUAAUUGGUGACGGAAGUCCCUUAUUUCCCUCAAAUUUCAAAUCUAUCUCAUUUCAAAUUUCAAAGAGAUCAAUAAUACCUCAAAUAGCAUCACUCCUAUUUUCAGAUCUUAUAACCUAAAAAUGUCAUGGGAAUCUUAUCUCCUUUGAUCAUUUUUUUUUCCUAGCUCAAUUCAAUUUUUGAAAAUAUUAAUAUCUCAAAUAUCAUUUUACAAACUUCUUGAUGAUACAAAAAUUUAGAAAAUUUUAUACAAAAAAUUAUUGUCAAAUUCUCAUAUUUGAAUAUAAUAACUUUAUCAUAACUUUGGUAAAAUAUUUAUCUAUGUAUAGAAUUUCGAUCUCAUACAGGUUUAGAAACUGAAAGUGUUUGGAAUACAUAAGUCAACUAACUAUACUUCUUACAGCAUUAGAAUUUAGAGUACAAAGAGAAUUUAUCAAGAAUUAUUGUUAGAUUUUUCUAUACGAUAAGGAAAAAAAAUAUUUUUUUUUGUAGAAUACUUUUAUCUAAAGCUCUUUUGAGAUUGGGUGAGUAUAAAAAAUAUAUAUAUAUAUAUAUUUUGCACAAGAUUGUAGGAUAUAAUUUUUCAAUAUAGUUAUUCUUUUUUUUAUAUAGAUAUAUACAUAUAUAUUUAGAAACUAUAUUUACCAAGUAACUGUAAGGUAAAGGUACAUAUUUAAAAAUUCUAAUUAAAAACUAUUUGUGCAAAUAAAAUUUUGGUUUCAUCGUUUAUUCAUUUUUCUUUUUUUUUAGGUAAAAAGUAUGUGAAAUUAUAUAUUGUAAGAAAUUUAUAAAAUAUUUAUUGCCUGAUCAUGAUGUAAUAAUACCAAAACUAAUAAUAUCAGCUAGUUUAAUAAAUGUCUUAAGCAUUAGAUCUAAUUAUCGUACACCUCCAAUUAAGUCAACAAAAUUCCAAGAUCCAAUGUGUAUUACUUGCGUUCAAUGACAUCAUAUUGCUGAUCAUUCAUACUCUCGUUGUGCACUCUAAUUUCCUUAAUAUUUUCAGUUUUCGCUAUACUACACUUCAACUAGACAUAAGAUCAUCCAUAAAUCUGACAUGCACAUGAUAAACUUGAAAUGUACUAUAGAGAUCAAAACUUACAAAAAAAAAAAAAACACCCUAAACACCCUUUUAUUAUUAUUAUUUUUUGGUAGGUGCCAAUCAUAUCUGGCAGGUGGGCUUGGUUACCUUUUCAACUUAACAUAUACAUAUAGUCACCACUUACUUAUUAAAAGUAAUCAUCAUCUCAACACCUGAGUUCAUUCCAGUAAAUUCGUAACCUAACAUUCUAAUACCAUUAACUUUUAUGGUGUCACUUAUUUUCUUUUAAUCCUUUAGCCAUUUCAUUCCAAUUCUCAAAAUCACAAAUAUCUUUAGUAUCUUUAUACCUACCUCCAACAAUCACCACUUGAGCUAUAAUACCACAAAAUAUCAUAAGAAUCUCUUGAUCUGUUGGGCAUCUCCUUACCACUUCCAGAAUCAUUAAUAUCCAAACAUCAUUUCUCACGCUUUCGGAUCAUAAAAUCUAAGCUCUGAUACAACUAAAAAAUCACAGCAAUCUCUUAUUUCUUUUGAUCUAUUUUUCCAUCUCCUUUUAAUUUUCAAUAGACAAUUCUUCAAAUACGCAUAAUAUUUCCUACACGUCCGACAUCUUAAACGUAGAGUGUACUACCAAACUUAUAUUCAAUAAAAGGACAUCAUAAACACCAAUCGUACCAUUUCAACUAUUCACAUAUGCAAAUUUUCAAGCCUAUUUAUUUAGUCACAAAUGAUCAUUUCCUAGGGUAUACUUCAUCUAAAGAGUAAAUCGUACCUCAAGCUCUGUUAUCACUAAAUAUUAUGAAAAUCUCUUAUUUCACAAUCUUCUUUCCAACCUCAUUCCCAUUUUCUAAAAAUCACUAAUAUUACAAAUAUCACUCCACAUACAUCUAGAUCGCAUAACCUAAAUUUUGAUAACAUUAAAAAUCACAUGAAUCUCUUAUUUCCUUUAAUCAUCUUUUUCUUUUCAUCUUAUUUCAAUUCUCAAACCCCUAAUACCUCAAAAACCAUUUCACAUACUUCUAGACCAUAUAACCUAAGCUCUGAUACCACUAAAAAUGUCACGCCCCGAGCCCGCACGUGCCCGUCACAUGACAUCCGCCGUGCUCCCAAGUUCCACUCAGGAAUACAACGCUACAUGAACUAAUUUAACUUUAACAGCACUAAAUAAUUCAACUAAAUAAAGUGCGGUACGAAUUACAUAUAAGAGAAAGUCCACAAAUAUUCAAGACAUUCGUACAUUUAUUCUCCAAUUGAAACAGCGGAAACAAGAAUAAACAUGACUAACAACUAGAAGUAGCUAGUCUACCAACUUCUAUUCAUUUAAAACUAAUAAAAGUCAUCCUCAGGAUCUUCUACGUAAACCAAUUCAUACACUUCAGAAUUUGUAAAAAUGGUAAGAAGUGGGUUGAGCGACACAUCACUCAGUAGGCAAUAUUUACCCCUCUGUUGGACCAUGCAAUCUUAAUUUUAUAGAUACAUAAGUAUACAAAUACAACUCAAAACAUUUGCAUAUCAUUCACAUCCGUGAUUUUGAAAGUAACGUUAUUUAUAAAGAAUUCAGCAGUAAAGAAGGACAAGUAAUUUUAAAGCAUCUUAUUGAUAGUUGUACAUGAAAAAUCGUAAAGUCAUAAAUCAUUUUAUCUCAAGUCACAAAUCUCUUCAUAUCCAUUCGUAAAUCAACUCAUAUCAGUUCAUAAGUCUCAUUUCAACUCAGUUCAUAAAUCAUUCCAUCAGAUCAGCUCAUAACAAGUACAUGCAAUGACCGGCUACUGAGUACUCAGCCUAGAGAUUAGACCCCAUCUAGGUGGGUGACCAAUAGAUUUCAUGACUAUCGAUUGAUCUCAUUUCAUUCUUGGGUCAAUCGACCGGACUUUAUACCAGGCUACCAUGGCCUUGCCAAUCGGCCGGACUUUAUACCAAGUUACCAUAGCCUUGUCAAUCGGCCGGACUCUAUACCAGGCAACCAUGACUUUACCAAUCGGCCGGACUUUAUACCAGACUACCAUGGCGAUUAGACAGGACUAUAGCCCCUACCGUCUAUUCCAUGACUGCUCUGAGUUUUACUUGUCAAAAUUCAUUUCAUAUAUCAUAUACAUAAUUCUUUGCUUUCAUAAUAGAUUCAGCUCAUUUUGUAUAUAAGAACAUAUCAAAACAUUUCAAAUAAGUCACAUGGUCCAUUUUUGUAUAGAAGAAUAUAGCUUUCAUAAAUAUCCAAAUAAAACAUUUAAUCAAACACCUUUCAAGUUAACACAACAAAAUAGAAUUGAAAACAAGAAUUUCAUUUUGCACAUUUGAAAUCUCAGAAGGGUAAGUACCACCUACCUCUGUUUGGCUGCUCGAGUGGAACUACCUUAGGUCCUUGUAUUGCACCUAUCAAACGCAUAGUUUCCCUAAUUAGUUGCUACUUCCUAUAAAUGGAUAAAUACACAACUCCUAAGUAAGUACAAGAUUCAUAUCCAGACCAUUAUAUAGACCCUAAUAACAUUCCCCUCAACUCGUACGAUUUCUAUUUUUUGGAAAGUUUUCUGAUUUGAAAAGUUUCUAUUUUUAGAAAGUUUCUUAAUUUGGAAAGUGUGCAUUUUGCAAGGCUUCCUAAUUUAGAAAGUUUCUUAAUUGAGAAGGUUCUCCUUUUUGUAAAGUUUCCUAAUUCAAAAGAAGAUAAUUAUUUAUUAUUAUUAUUAUUAACGGUAUCGUCAACCUUAUUAUUUACUAACAUUAUUGUUAUCCUCAUUGUACUAUUACUAGCAUUACUAUUAUUAUUAUUAUUUUUAUCCUUAUUGUACUAUUACUAGCAUUAUUAUUAUCAUUAUUAUUAUUAUUGUCCUCGUCGUCGCUAAUUUAUUUUAUUACCACUUAUAUAUAUGUUAAAUAGUUACUAUUACCUUUCCCUUUAUUUCCACUUUUAUGCGUGUGUAGGUGUUAUUAUUAUUUAUGUAUAUAUGUACAUAUAUAUAUUGGCUUAUUAUAAUUAUUAUUGUCUUAGUUUAUUCCACUCGUAUUUAUAUUUUUGUCUUUGUUUAUAUCCUUAAUUUAUUUCCUCCAUACCCAUAUUGUUAAUAUCCUUACUAUUAUUGUCUAAUAAUUAUUGUUUACUAUUAUUAUUAUUAUUAUUAUUAGUGUCAUUGUCCGUAUUAUUAUUUACUACUACUACUACUAUUCUUAUUAUUAUUUUAAGCGUCUAUCUUACAUUAUCUAAAUUAACCUAGUAAGGCUAGAUUAAGAUGUUUUCAACUUCCAUUUUAGUAUCUUAGACUUAAUCAAUUAAGUAUAAUUUUGCCUGACUAAAUCUUCAAUUCUAACAACUACUAUAAGUUGGGUCCUGAAUUUUAAUACCCAUAAUAAACAAUAAAGAUGGCCUAGCUAUUCCUAAAAUUUAUUUACUGUAUAUUCACUAAGCCCAUACUAUCUUUCUAAUCCAAAUAUACUUGCCAUCAUAUAUAAACGUGUGUGUGUUUGUAUAUAUAUAUAUAUAUAUAUAUAUAUUAUAUUAUAUUAUUACUAUGAUUAUUAUAUAUAUAUAUUUUUUUUCCUUGGCCAUCCCUGCCAGGCCCUUUUUGUUUCUUACUUCACCUGGCGUUGCCAAGUAGCGCCGCAACUCUUAACUUCAAAAAAAAAAAUUUUUUUGGUCUUCUCGAAUUGGUCAAAAGGCCAAUCCUUUUGCAAUUGCUUCCUGUCGCCAGCCAUGCGCUGGCGACUUCCUCUUUUCCUUUUUUUUUUUCUCUUGGGUUGUUGCGUUGCUAUGCUGAAGCUUCAGCAACGCGUACAACGGCAACGGCAGGCGCCGCUGCUCCUCUCUCUCUCUCUCUCUCUCUCUCUCUCUUUUUAACUUUCCAACAAUUUGGGUAAAUCCUAUUCAUUCCAUAAUAAAAAUUUAAUGCCUUAAUCUUACUAUUCCAUAUAUGAAUCCUCCUAAAUCUCAUAUACAAAUAUAUAUCUCUAUAUAUAACAUAAUAUAUAUAUCUGUAAAAUCUUUAGGAUAAUUAAUCCGACUAAUAGAACUUAAAAAAGAAGUUUCACAUGAAUUUAGGACUUACGAGUUUAGAGACCUAGUCGUCUGAUUGAUUGAUGGCGACGCCUGUUUCUCCUUCUCUACUCUUUGACGGCUCUUGCUCUAAGGGGAGGCAGACAAUGAAAGGUAGGGAAUAGGUUUUUUUUUGUGUGUUUAAUAAUUGUGCUAAACCCUAAUAACCACCCACUAGGAGGUAGUUUAGAUAGGAGUUUUAACUAUAGUGAACUUUUACCCUACUUUAUCUCAUCUUACUGUGAAGACCUCAAAAAUUUCAUUAUCCUCUGGAAAAUUAAAUCAAAAUAUUAUUGAAAAUAUUAAAAUUAUCCAAUAAUAUGUAUUUAUAUUUAAAUAAUAUUGUUUUCAAUCAUUCAAAUGUUACAUUUCAAUUUAUUUGAAUUUUUAAGAUUUAAUUGACGGUUUGCGUUCGGCAAAGCCCUAAGUUGAAUUUUCGCGCACCGACGCGCGAAUUAGUCCUAAGUUGAAAUGUAGUAUAUGUAGAGGCUAUAAAAAGGUAUAAUUAAGUUGGAGAAAUGUUAGAUGAGGAAUGUGAGGACUCGCAAUUUAUUUCUUUCAAAUUCCCAUUCUGAGGUUAUUUAAUUAGUUAAUUGUUCAAUUAUUUCGAAUGUUAUUUUCUAGCCCUAUUGGACCCAAUUCUAUAGCAUUAUAGCUCAUGAGUAAUUUUAAGGCAAUUAGUUCGCAAUUCAAGUCUUGAAAGUUGUUAAGUGUGAAUAGUGCCCGUAGGCUCAGGAAUAGUAACUGACUUGAGAGUUCAUGAGCCCGAAUAAUGGAAGAUUUAUACCCUAGUCUUAAAAUAGGUAUUUUUAUGCCUAAACAUCCAUGUAUUAGUUAGAAAUGCCAUCGUUAUAAGAAUUUCUCAAAAAUUUCACCUUAUCGCGCAUAAGUGGGAAAUACGCGUUUUACGCGCGCGAUUUAUUUGAAGGACUUUAGAACCUUAUUUUGAGGUCAUUGAGAGUGAAUGAUAAUUACAUGAAUAUAUGUGCAUUAGAGGUUUAGUGCACAGUUAAAACAAACCUCAGAGGAAACAGGCGCGAAACGCGCGCGCGAUACACAGUUCACGGUUGACUUGGGAGCACAAAAGUUGUACCACACUCAAGCUUCUCAAGGAAGCUUUCCAUUUCAGAUUUUUCCCUCCCUUUCCCCUCACCAUAACCGCCGGUCUCUACUCUCUCUCACACUCCAAAUUUCACAAUUUUUCCUCCACCAUUUUCUUGCUCCAAUUCACACCAAAUUCACCACACAAGUUCAAGACAACUUGGACAAUCACUUGGACAAAGAAGGAGCUGCACAUUCACGGAUUUUCUUGGGGCUUUUGGGACACCAAAAUCUGACCUUUUAGCACACAAGUAAGGUAACCAUGAUCCACUCUUCAAUUCUUGUUCAAUGAAGGCCAACUCACACUUAAGAGCUUGAUUAUGCUUAUGGGUAGCUUAUUAUUGUUGGAAAUUGUUGACUGUGGGCUCUAUGAACUCCCACUUUGAGUUGAUGGCUGUGAUGAUGUUUGAUGAUGGUUUUAUUGUUGAAUUAGUGCUUAAGGAAGUAGAUUAAAGGUGCAUUAUUGCUAGAAACUUCAUUGAGCUCUUGAAGCAAAAAGUUCCGAUUCUGCCCCUGCCAAGACCGACCUUUUUCAUGCGAAAUUCUGAGGUUUUAACGGCUUGUAUUUGAUGUUUAUGUGUUGUUGGAGUUGUGUGUAAAGUUUCAUUGAAAGAUAUUGAGGUUCGGUUGACCAAAGGUGAUGAAUUCCAAAAACCAGCAAAAUCUGGAAAUUUUUCCCGUAUGGCUCAGGCAGCCAUUUUGUUUCGAUCAUAACUCUGCCCUCCGACAUCGAAAUUGAGUGCCGUUAGCGCCAUUAGAAGCUAGACUCUUCCAGCUUUCCAACGGUGUAAAAUUCACAUCCUGGUUCCACCUGAGUGAACCGUGGCAGUCUUUUAAAGUCACCUGUCCUGCUCCACUGGUUCACUGGAAGCCAGGAUAUGUGCUGCGUUUUGUUGCCAGAUUUCGAGCUAGUUAUGAGUAGAAUUUUAAAACGAUUUCUUCUGAAAAAUUGUAUCCCUGUGAGUUCAGUUUCCAACGCUACCAACGAUGCUCAAAUCUAAGUUGAAUUGAAUGAGAUGUGACCAAAAUACGAAAACGGCUCUGCUGUUGAACCAAACUGUCCAAAUUUUCCCAGUUUGUGUUCGAGUUUUUGAUCUGAUUCUUGACAAGAAAUUGAGCUUCAUGGAUUGUGUAAAUGAUAAUCUGAAUGUCUAUGGUCAUUUGAGGGAAAAUGCACCACUUUCAUAGUUGAAAUGAUGUUGAGGAAUUGAAGGAAAAGGAAGGUAUAUGCUGUCCAAAAAAUUCUGGAAAUUUUCCAGAUUUUAGUCGAAUUUUGGGGGUCAAUUUUGACAAAUUUCUGAACUACUUGGGCUGUAUACAUGUUAACCUAUAUGGGUGGUAUUGUUUGGGUGCAAAUGUAGCUUUUGGGUUGUUGAAAAAUUUUGGAUAAAUUGAAGGGGAAAUGGACUACUUGCUACCGAAUGCACCUGAAAUUUUUCCAGCUUUGAAUGAUAAUUGUGAACUGUUUUCACGAUAACUUGAGCUCAAAUGAUUUGUGUAUUAAUUAAGGGGUUUGUAUAGCUCAAUUUGGGACAAAAAUCUAGUAGAGGUUACGUCCAAAAAGUGGACCAAAAUCUUAUUCUUCAAGAAGAUGCCAAAACAGAAUUUUUGUUUGAAAUUAGAAAUGGUUUGAUGUUUGGAUUUCAUUGUGGGUAAAUGUGGACCAAAGUUGUCCCGAAAAUGUUUUCUAGCAUUAACCGUUGUUACUAGGUCCACUUUGAGUUGAUAACCUUGAAUUUUAUUAGACCAAAUGCCCUAUUUUGAGGAAUUUGUCAAAUCUGGAAAUUUUCCUAAAAACUCAAGUUUUUGCCUUCAUGAAAAUCAUUGGAUUAAGUUGGUCGUGGAAUUUGGCAAACUUAAGGAGUUUCUAUUUUAUAGAAAUUCUAACGACUAGUUUUACUUGGUUUAUAUGAUUGCCUCUUAAAGGCAAAAACUCAAGUUUUUGCCUUCAUGAAAAUCAUUGGAUUAAGUUGGUCGUGGAAUUUGGCAAACUUAAGGAGUUUCUAUUUUAUAGAAAUUCUAACGACUAGUUUUACUUGGUUUAUAUGAUUGCCUCUUAAAGGAAUUUCCCAAGAUAUGUUUGGGAAAAAUUUGAGGGAAAAAUUCCUCUAAAUGGUUUAAAUGUGAUUUUUCUCAACUUGUGACACCAAAUUGGUGUUAAAUGGCUUAUAUGAUUCUAGAACUUGGAUGUUGGAAUAUUUGACGAAUUUAGCAAGUUUUUGGGUUUUAAAGAAACCUCAAAAUUUAAUUUCACUCGAUUUGUGGAUUUCAUUUUAAAUUCUUUGAGAAAACGAUUAAUACUAGUUUGGGAUUUUUGAGUGAAAUUAAAUGCUAGUUGACUCGAGUUAAAUUCGCCAACUCAAAAGUGGAAAUUUAUGUGAAUUGUUUGUAUGAUUUUAGGAGUUGGUGAAGAGCACAAUCUCGAUCAAAGUUUGGAAUUCUAGACACUUCACUUGAGGUGAGUGUCUCUUGCAUGAAUCGUGUUUAACUGCUAGUUGAACUACUUGUUAAAAGUACUUGCUAGAGAUAUCAUGAAAUGUUAUAUGCUAUGUGAUUGCGUGAAAUGCCACAAGUACAAGUGUUGCAAUGUCGAUUGGAGCGUGGUCUCGUCGACUAAAUAAACCAAACAGAUGCAUGUACCACGCUCUAUUAGAGUGGGAGGUACCUCUCUGUCGUCUUGCUAAAAGUGCUUGCAAUAUUCGUGUUAGAGUCGGGCCCGAAAAUAAGGGGGAAGACGUUGCUAGGAGAUGUGUAGAUUAGGGAAAAUGUCUACAUGGAGUUUAGGUAGUGAAAGUUGACGGAGUGUCAACUACUAUAAAUUUUCUGAUCAAGUGCGUGGACUUUGGCUCCUGAGAGCCCCGUAUCCUUUUCUUGUCAUGUUAUUUCGCUUUCUUAAAUUGUUAAGUGCUUACUUGUCUAUUUGUACUUGUUAAAUUGCCUUAUGUGAAUUGCAUGUUUCGAGGCACCACUGAGCUAUUGGCUCAUCCCUUCCAAAUUGUUUUCCUUGACAGGUUCUGAAAUGCAUGAAGUCUUGGAGAACUAGAACAGAAAUGUUAUAUUUUGAAUGCCCACUUUUGUAAUUGUAUUUUUGGAAACGUUAGUAUCUUUUGGAUGAUUUUUGUGUUUUUGGGAAAAUGUGAAUCCUGUGGUGCUUCUGUGCCCUGGAUUAGGAACUUUAAAUUGUAAAUUAAGUUGAAUUUAAGUAUACUAAGCUCGACGUUUUCGUUGGUACUUGGAAUUGUGUUUUGGGCUGUAUAAGUUGAAUUGUAUGAAUUAUUUAAGUACGUGACUUGCUCGAGAAGUAAGGUUUAUUUUCGAUUUAUAUUUGGUGAAAUUAGUUACUAGAGUGCGUGAGUCCUAGCGAGAGCUAGGCAGGCGACCCGCCAACCCUUUGGUUCGCCUUAGGGAGAAGUGGGGCCGCCACAGGUGGUAUCAGAGCUUUAGGCUCCAAAUCUCUGUAGUGUAUCCUAGGCUUUAAAACUUAGGAUGCCGGACUGUGGUGUUAAGUGAUUAUUGGAUAGAAUAUUAGGGACUAGAGUUUCCUCUAUUAUAGGAAAAGAAAAGAAUUGGGUGAGGUGAUUUGAAAAGUAGUAGGUGAAAUUCUUGAACAAUAAUACUAGUCGAUAUUUAUCGGAACAAGUGUGACUAAGAUAAACCCUAGAAUUCGAGGUAUCCUUUAAGGUUUUAAUUUUAUAUAUAUAUGGGUGUGAAAUUGGGGAAUGCUUCUUAGAUUGACGGUUUAAGUAAGAAAUCCUGUGAACCAUCUAUGAGGUAUAAUGGGGAUUGAGUCGAUUUGCACUUGGAAAUGGCCAGUCCCAGUGUGAAUUGACUUGGUUCCUAUUUGACUCCUAAGUUAGUUAGUGUAUCUAUUCUUUGAGUUUGAACUCGAAGCUUGAGGCUUUAAUUGAGAAACCUAUGGAUCUUUUGUGAGCCAAACCCUCAGUUGGUCCUCGUCCUUGCUUAUGCAUGAUAUAAUUACUUGUUUAUUCACUAUUUUCUGUGCUUAUUUGGAUUCGUAAGUGUAACAUGACUUUGUAUGUCUCUUUUGAAGAUGGAAUGCCCUUUUGUAGUGCACUUGUGUACCUCCUUUGUUAUAAAUUUAUGAAAUAUGAUCUUUGACUGCAUUCAAAACUUCUACUUUAUUAAUAUAUCGCCCUACGCUAUUUUAAGUUCUGGUCCUCUAUAGGAAUUAAAGAUGGUAGGAAGAGAGAUUAGUGGCUUUCUAUUGCCCAAUUGGAGGAAGUUGCUCAAAUCCUGGUAGGACAUGAUAGGAGCUAGGUGAGAAUAGAGUUUAAGUUAUGAUAGAGGGAUAUGGACUUUAAUUUCAAAUGACCCUAGUAGGAGUUUUUCUUAAAAAGAGUAUUUGGCUAUGACCCUCUCCUAAUGGUGAUUAAUACGUAAACGCGAAUUAAGAAAAGAGUGGGACGUGGUCCUCUAAGUUAACUAGGAGUGACGCUUUUGGGUUGCUGGUCAGUGUUGGGAUGGAAGUAUAAGGUUGUCAAUAACUAGAGAUUGAGAGUUGUAUUGCUACUACAAGGCCCUAAGAGAGUAAUUUCUGACUGUAGUCGGGAAGGCAGGGUUUUGGAGAGAUUAGGAUAAUUCCUCUAAUUGAAGAUUGCUGAGAGAUCUAUUGGAAUGUGAGGAGCAGGAUUUUUCCCCUAUCACGUUUUGGAGACGGAUGUACAAGUGGGAAUUAGAUACGAACAUGGGAUCUUAGAAAAAGCAUACGCGUUAGCGUUUUAAUCCGAGUGUAAAUGAUAGUAAUGACAAUUAAGGGUAAAUACCAGAGUAGGAGUAGUGUUCUAGCACCUUUCUAUGUCACCCUACCUGUGCUUAGAUUUCUUGUCUAUCCGAGUAAAGAGUAGCUAAGGUCAACUUUCGGAGGUCAGUAAAACGAGGACAUGGCGAGUUUGGGAGAGAUGCUUAGAGAAAUAGAGGCUCUUCAAGAGAAAGUGGAAUUUCAGACGAAACUAACGGAAUACUGGGAAGGACGAUGGAAACAAGAGUUCGUGAAGAAGCUUGAAUUGGAGAAAAAGUACGUGGACAUACAGAAGAAAUACUAUGAGGCGUUAGAGUUAAUAUAUGACAAGUCCGAGGAAGUGUGUCCUCCUAUCCCGAUUGCGUCUCAAGGAGUGGUUAACAACCAAGGAAAAGGGGGUGAAGGAAGCUCCAAUGGUUCAAAAAGGAAGCGCAAGGGAAGUGACGGGGAUCUAGUACCAGUUUCCCUUUGUGAUUAUUGUAAGAAACCAAACCACUCUGCCGACAACUGUUGGAAAAAGAACUAUAAGUGCUUUAGUUGUAGAAGUUCUAAGCAUUUGGUGUCUAGCUGCCCACACAAAGUAGAGAGGGUUGUGAAGGAUCCUUGAUAUCUCAUUUGAACUUCCUGUACACUUUGGUAUUCUUGUAGGAACUUUGGUACUUAAUCUAUGACUCUUAGAUUUAGUAUCUGGUGUUAAGGUGAAUUGGUCGAGUUAAGUGCUUAGUACGACUCGUCCCUGGGGAAAACUUAAGCAAUGCUUCGUAUAUAUUUUGUGAUCGGUCCCGUGGACAGGUUUUAAUCUAUUAUGGAUAUUCAAACUUCUAAGUUUUACAUCUAAUUCCUUUGGUCCGACCUGGACCCAUUACCUAAUCGUUUGAAUUAAAUGGAAACCUUUUUUUUUUACUUUUUACUUGUACUCCACCAACACUACGUAUAAUUCCAAAUACUUGUUGUCCCUUUUUCCACAAGUAGAUAUAUUCCUAAUAACACCGUUAAUUUCAAAAGCAAAAUUUUGUGGGGUUUAAGUGCAUCCUUUUGACCAAAUAUUUACAUGACCAACAUUAAACAUCUGCUAAAUGUUGAGUCCAUUUACAAAUGUUGACGCUUUAGGACUAAAACCUAAAUUUCGAUAACUGCACGUUUAAUUUUUUUUUUCUUCUCGACUCACCUUCGUACUAAAGAGAAAGAAAAACUUUCCCUUCCUUUUGACAUAUUUAGUACAAAACAGUUUUAUUGGAAAUUUGUAAACUCGAUUGGUCAAUUGUAAAUUUGGACCACAUUUUCUUACAAGUGUAUUUAGUGUCAAAGGUCAAUUUAAUUAUGAUAAUAAUGUAAGAAGGCUUUUCCUCAACCAAAUGAGAUUUAUAGUUAAUAAGAAUUUGAGGAAGGAUUAUUGUUAAAACCUCUUUCUUGUGUACGUCUCCCCUCCAUAUAUAUGUAUAUAAAUCUACUCUUACUAGCUCAGUCUCAAAUUGCAGAAUUACUCUUCUUAAAUUACUAGGGGAAAAAGGAAGUUUGAAUUAAUGAUUUUGGUAAAAACAUGGAUUUUUGGGUCAUGAAGAAAAGUCUGUACCUUUAACUCUGUUUGGAAAAUUUAAAGUAUAUUUUUCCCAUGAAAAUAUCCGUUAUGCACGGAAGCCUCAAUUAUCUUUCUCGAAUCGUGACUGAUGUGUUUGGGACGAAAUUCUCAUUAGCCGUUUUUAGAGACAAAGAAACAAGGCCUGUACAAAGUUGCUUCUUCAGAAAAUCGAGUGCUAAUGAAUGAUUUCUUUGACCAUUUUGAGUCCAGAGGGUUAGUAAGUCUUAUCAUUUCAUUGGAAAUAUACCACUCUACUUUGGUUUGGAAUUUAUGACGGAAUUUUAGUACAUGGAAUCAUGGGCUUGGGAAGCCUAAGAUGAACUCUGGUGUAUUUCAAGUACUUGGGAUUGCACAAUAAUGUCAGCUCCAUUAUAAGACGUAUUUUGGCUUAGGUUGAAAAAAAAAAAUUGACUUGAGGAUCCUUAAAGAUUCUUAAACCAAUUAGUGAAGUAGUUUACCAGUUGAGCUUGCCUUUAAGUAGGGGUAGGAGUCUUAACGUUAUCCUUGUGUCUCCGCCAAGAAUAUCACCCAGAAUUUAGUCGUAUGCUUUAACCAGAAGAGAUAAGGAAGAGAAAAGAUUCCAGAUCCAACCAUUAUACCGUAGAUUGAGGUUCUAAAACGAGUUGGAAAAGUGGCUUAUUAAGUCGGAUUUACCUUCAAGUAUGGACAAGGUCCAUAACAUCUUCUGUGACGGCCCCACCUUCCCCUAGGGCGUACUCCAGGGUUCGGCGGGUCGCCUGCCCAGCUCUCGCCGGGACUCAGUCGUUCACUACAUUCCUUAAACAGAUUACAAUAUAAAUCUCAAAUAUAACUCAAAUGUCCCAAUAUUUACAUAUCAAAAGCGAAGCGUCCACGCUUCUACUACGCCACUCUGAUCCAUGAUCCCAAUUCUUAUACAAGAAGAAUUCCACAACAAAAAAAUCACAACAAGCCUUCCUUCGCCACGAGCCCUGUGGAGGGGAAUAAAAUAGUUUUGGGGUGAGCUAGAAGCUCAGCGAGUAACCAGUAAAAUCAGUAAUUAAAUCGGUUUAACAAUAUUUCAUUUCAAUGAUGUCAUAAAUCAAAUGAUAAGUCUAGAAACAAUUACAACAUUUACAAAAACAUUAAAUAUGGAGUAUCAAUAAUUCAAGAAAUAUGUACAAUGGAAAACGAUAGUAACACAUUCAUUAAAAGGAUACGGCUCACAUGGAGCUAUUCGUUCGUUCGUUCGUUCCCCUGACAUUUCCCUUAUUCCUCCAAUUAUUUGAAAAUUUCAUUUAUAUAAAUAAACCAUCGUUCAUCUUUUUAUUCGUUCAUCCCCUUUCCGGACGUUGACCGGACUCCACCCAUCCGGACGUUGACCGGACUCCACCCAUCCGGACGUAGCCGGACUACAAGGUAAUACUUGAGUAUACCAAAUUCACCCAGGGUCACCAUAUCGCCCGACCGAGUCCGCUUCUGGCUCGAGUCGAUCGGUAACAAAGGGCAGUGGCCAAUUCAGCCAAACGGCUUACAUUCAUACGCAACUAGCAUUUCAAUAUUAAAUCCUUGAAAAUUACACAAUUAUUUAGGUCGAGUGCGAUAAAGUACACACUCGCCUAGAAAGCUCGUUUUGGAAAUCAUUCAAAGCACUUAACACGUUAUCAAUCAAUAAUACAAGUCAUGAAGUCAAGAAAAUAUAGCAAAUAAGGAACACUCACAUGCAAGCACGCAUGAUAUGCAAGAAAACAGUUCGAAAGUAACUUUGGAAACAUUUUAAAGGUAAAUAAUGCAAGAAAACGGUACAAAAGUAACUUUGGAAACAGCUCAAAAGUAAAUAAGGCAGGAAACGGUUCAUAAAUAAUUUCAGAAAUAGUUUGAGGUCACUCACCUCCAUGGCUCAGAAACCAUCCAUCAUAUAUCAUUGCCUUGCUCAAAUCCAAGUCUUAGAUCACAAACUCAAUGCAAACAAGUCCUUUAAAAGUUCGGACAGCACUUCCCCUAAAUUUGCUUACUUUUCCAACCAUCAUGGCUUCAUUAUUUCCUCAGCCAGUCCCAAAGGUACACACACAACAACAAGUUCAUCCAAUAGUCAUUCAGCAAGCUCCAAGUAGUACAAAGACAAGUCAAGCUAGGAAAAAGUCUGGAAAUGAAAGUUAAGCUCAAAACCAGAAAAACAGGUUUUGACGUCAUUUUGCGGUAAUGGUACCAAAGGCACUACGAUUGUCGGAUGAAGGUGCAAGACCCACCGUUUCGAAGCUAAGAGAUAGGGCUACAAUAUUAAAGAAUGUCACUCAACCCAGUUUCAAGUGUAACCAGGUCAAAAACACAAGAAACACACCAGAAUCACAAAAACAGCUUCACAAAAUGAAUUCUAGCAGAAACAUCAUAACUCAGGAUCUCCAAGUCCAAAUCCAGAAAUUCCAAAACCAGCUGAUAGCUAAGAGACAAGGCUAAAUUUCAUCAGAAGGCCUCAACAACUAAUUCGGAAGAAAUCCUGACCAAAACAACUAAUUACAGGCGCAAUGCUUACAUUCGGGUAAAACCAGAACAGCAAUAGUAAUUUCGACUUUUCUCACUCUACACUACUCCGAUUGACCUGAAAUUUUACAGGCACCUCUAAAAUGCCAUUCCCUACAACUUUCAUGUUUUAAGCCAAGGCCAAUUCAGCCUCUAACUAGGAGCUAAAAAUUCGGGCAGAAUGUUCCUUCACAAAACCUUAUUUUUCUGAGAUUUCUUCCAAAACAGAAAUUGGUUGCAAUCAUCCACUUUUUCCACCUCAUAGAGUCCUUAAACAUCAUUUCCAAUCAUCAUAUAUAACCACACAACCAUGUUCAUCUUAAAACAGAAAAAUCCCCAAAAAUUAUAAAACUUCAUCAAGUCAACCACAACUCAAGAUAUAAUCCAUCAAACCAUCUCUUUAGCCAUCACAAGUUACUAAUUUAGCAUAAUCAAGAACAAAGAAAGGAUUGCUAGACAUGAACCUUGAAAUAUCAAGAAAGUUGAUGGUUUAGUCCUUUGCCUUGUCUAAUCACUCCACCACUACCUUCAAUCUUCCUAAACAAGUGACUUUUGUGGAGGAAUUUGAAAGUUUAACGGUUGAUUCACAAGAUUGAGCAAGAAAUGGAGUUGGAGUUGAAGCUUUCUUCUUGUAUUUUUGCUCCAAGAGGUUCGGCCAAGCUUGCAGAAAUUUAGGUGCUUUUGGGUCAAAAUUGAGUAUUAGUAAAAGGUAAGAAAUAAUGGUCAAAAGUCAAGGUUGAAUAGGAAGGUGACACUUGUCACCCUUUUUAAUGCAACUCUAUCCUUUUGUCUCUCCAAUACAAAUAUCUUAACACCUUGUAAAAUAAUAUCACUUAAUACAAAAUUCCAACAAGUUUGUCAAAAAUAUAAUGGCAUUUACCGCACUUGCGGGUCCCACGUUCAAAAUACGCUUUUAAUUUCUCAAAAACUAACCGAUACUAGAAAAAUCAUUUUAAAACUAUCUUUGCUCAUAAACUUUAUCUGGGGAAUUUUUCUAAUAAAGAAAAUGUAGAAAAGGUGGGCGAUUAAAUAAAAUAAACCCUAGAAAUUUAGAAAAUUUCCGGGUUCUCAAACUCAUUUUUUUCGGGGCGUCACGUCUUCCAUAUAUCUAUGUUUAAGAAAUAUCAUCUCGAUCCAAGUUAUGUGAUUUAUUUAGAUGAGAUUGAAGUGGACGAAUCCCUAUAAUAUGAAAGCAUUCGAUUAAGGUUUUGGAUUGUGAAAUUAAAGAAUUGAGGAAUAAGAAGAUUGCUUUAGUUAAGGUUUUGUGGAGAAAUCACGACAUCGAGGAGACAACUUGGGGAGUAGGAGAAGACUUGAAGAAGAAGUAUCCAGAGUUAACCACAAGAUAAGGUGAGAAUUUUGAGGACAAAAUUCUUUUAAGGGGGGAAAGAUGUGAAGACCUCAAAAAUUUCAUUAUCCUCUGGAAAAUUAAAUCAAAAUAUUAUUGAAAAUAUUAAAAUUAUCCAAUAAUAUGUAUUUAUAUUUAAAUAAUAUUGUUUUCAAUCAUUCAAAUGUUACAUUUCAAUUAUUUGAAUUUUUAAGAUUUAAUUGACGGUUUGCGUUCGGCAAAGCCCUAAGUUGAAUUUUCGCGCACCGACGCGCGAAUUAGUCCUAAGUUGAAAUGUAGUAUAUGUAGAGGCUAUAAAAAGGUAUAAUUAAGUUGGAGAAAUGUUAGAUGAGGAAUGUGAGGACUCGCAAUUUAUUUCUUUCAAAUUCCCAUUCUGAGGUUAUUUAAUUAGUUAAUUGUUCAAUUAUUUCGAAUGUUAUUUUCUAGCCCUAUUGGACCCAAUUCUAUAGCAUUAUAGCUCAUGAGUAAUUUUAAGGCAAUUAGUUCGCAAUUCAAGUCUUGAAAGUUGUUAAGUGUGAAUAGUGCCCGUAGGCUCAGGAAUAGUAACUGACUUGAGAGUUCAUGAGCCCGAAUAAUGGAAGAUUUAUACCCUAGUCUUAAAAUAGGUAUUUUUAUGCCUAAACAUCCAUGUAUUAGUUAGAAAUGCCAUCGUUAUAAGAAUUUCUCAAAAAUUUCACCUUAUCGCGCAUAAGUGGGAAAUACGCGUUUUACGCGCGCGAUUUAUUUGAAGGACUUUAGAACCUUAUUUUGAGGUCAUUGAGAGUGAAUGAUAAUUACAUGAAUAUAUGUGCAUUAGAGGUUUAGUGCACAGUUAAAACAAACCUCAGAGGAAACAGGCGCGAAACGCGCGCGCGAUACACAGUUCACGGUUGACUUGGGAGCACAAAAGUUGUACCACACUCAAGCUUCUCAAGGAAGCUUUCCAUUUCAGAUUUUUCCCUCCCUUUCCCCUCACCAUAACCGCCGGUCUCUACUCUCUCUCACACUCCAAAUUUCACAAUUUUUCCUCCACCAUUUUCUUGCUCCAAUUCACACCAAAUUCACCACACAAGUUCAAGACAACUUGGACAAUCACUUGGACAAAGAAGGAGCUGCACAUUCACGGAUUUUCUUGGGGCUUUUGGGACACCAAAAUCUGACCUUUUAGCACACAAGUAAGGUAACCAUGAUCCACUCUUCAAUUCUUGUUCAAUGAAGGCCAACUCACACUUAAGAGCUUGAUUAUGCUUAUGGGUAGCUUAUUAUUGUUGGAAAUUGUUGACUGUGGGCUCUAUGAACUCCCACUCUGAGUUGAUGGCUGUGAUGAUGUUUGAUGAUGGUUUUAUUGUUGAAUUAGUGCUUAAGGAAGUAGAUUAAAGGUGCAUUAUUGCUAGAAACUUCAUUGAGCUCUUGAAGCAAAAAGUUCCGAUUCUGCCCCUGCCAAGACCGACCUUUUUCAUGCGAAAUUCUGAGGUUUUAACGGCUUGUAUUUGAUGUUUAUGUGUUGUUGGAGUUGUGUGUAAAGUUUCAUUGAAAGAUAUUGAGGUUCGGUUGACCAAAGGUGAUGAAUUCCAAAAACCAGCAAAAUCUGGAAAUUUUUCCCGUAUGGCUCAGGCAGCCAUUUUGUUUCGAUCAUAACUCUGCCCUCCGACAUCGAAAUUGAGUGCCGUUAGCGCCAUUAGAAGCUAGACUCUUCCAGCUUUCCAACGGUGUAAAAUUCACAUCCUGGUUCCACCUGAGUGAACCGUGGCAGUCUUUUAAAGUCACCUGUCCUGCUCCACUGGUUCACUGGAAGCCAGGAUAUGUGCUGCGUUUUGUUGCCAGAUUUCGAGCUAGUUAUGAGUAGAAUUUUAAAACGAUUUCUUCUGAAAAAUUGUAUCCCUGUGAGUUCAGUUUCCAACGCUACCAACGAUGCUCAAAUCUAAGUUGAAUUGAAUGAGAUGUGACCAAAAUACGAAAACUGCUCUGCUGUUGAACCAAACUGUCCAAAUUUUCCCAGUUUGUGUUCGAGUUUUUGAUCUGAUUCUUGACAAGAAAUUGAGCUUCAUGGAUUGUGUAAAUGAUAAUCUGAAUGUCUAUGGUCAUUUGAGGGAAAAUGCACCACUUUCAUAGUUGAAAUGAUGUUGAGGAAUUGAAGGAAAAGGAAGGUAUAUGCUGUCCAAAAAAUUCUGGAAAUUUUCCAGAUUUUAGUCGAAUUUUGGGGGUCAAUUUUGACAAAUUUCUGAACUACUUGGGCUGUAUACAUGUUAACCUAUAUGGGUGGUAUUGUUUGGGUGCAAAUGUAGCUUUUGGGUUGUUGAAAAAUUUUGGAUAAAUUGAAGGGGAAAUGGACUACUUGCUACCGAAUGCACCUGAAAUUUUUCCAGCUUUGAAUGAUAAUUGUGAACUGUUUUCACGAUAACUUGAGCUCAAAUGAUUUGUGUAUUAAUUAAGGGGUUUGUAUAGCUCAAUUUGGGACAAAAAUCUAGUAGAGGUUACGUCCAAAAAGUGGACCAAAAUCUUAUUCUUCAAGAAGAUACCAAAACAGAAUUUUUGUUUGAAAUUAGAAAUGGUUUGAUGUUUGGAUUUCAUUGUGGGUAAAUGUGGACCAAAGUUGUCCCGAAAAUGUUUUCUAGCAUUAACCGUUGUUACUAGGUCCACUUUGAGUUGAUAACCUUGAAUUUUAUUAGACCAAAUGCCCUAUUUUGAGGAAUUUGUCAAAUCUGGAAAUUUUCCUAAAAACUCAAGUUUUUGCCUUCAUGAAAAUCAUUGGACUAAGUUGGUCGUGGAAUUUGGCAAACUUAAGGAGUUUCUAUUUUAUAGAAAUUCUAACGACUAGUUUUACUUGGUUUAUAUGAUUGCCUCUUAAAGGAAUUUCCCAAGAUAUGUUUGGGAAAAAUUUGAGGGGAAAAUUCCUCUAAAUGGUUUAAAUGUGAUUUUUCUCAACUUGUGACACCAAAUUGGUGUUAAAUGGCUUAUAUGAUUCUAGAACUUGGAUGUUGGAAUAUUUGACGAAUUUAGCAAGUUUUUGGGUUUUAAAGAAACCUCAAAAUUUAAUUUCACUCGAUUUGUGGAUUUCUUUAAAUCCUUUGAGAAAACGAUUAAUACUAGUUUGGGAUUUUUGAGUGAAAUUAAAUGCUAGUUGACUCGAGUUAAAUUCGCCAACUCAAAAGUGGAAAUUUAUGUGAAUUAUUUGUAUGAUUUUAGGAGUUGGUGAAGAGCACAAUCUCGAUCAAAGUUUGGAAUUCUAGACACUUCACUUGAGGUGAGUGUCUCUUGCAUGAAUCGUGUUUAACUGCUAGUUGAACUACUUGUUAAAAGUACUUGCUAGAGAUAUCAUGAAAUGUUAUAUGCUAUGUGAUUGCGUGAAAUGCCACAAGUACAAGUGUUGCAAUGUCGAUUGGAGCGUGGUCUCGUCGACUAAAUAAACCAAACGGAUGCACGUACCACGCUCUAUUAGAGUGGGAGGUACCUCUCUGCCGUCUUGGUAAAAGUGCUUGCAAUAUUCGUGUUGGAGUCGGGCCCGAAAAUAAGGGGGAAGACGUUGCUAGGAGAUGUGUAGAUUAGGGAAAAUGUCUACAUGGAGUUUAGGUAGUGAAAGUUGACGGAGUGUCAACUACUAUAAAUUUUCUGAUCAAGUGCGUGGAAGUUGGCUCCUGAGAGCCCCGUAUCCUUUUCUUAUCAUGUUAUUUCGCUUUCUUAAAUUGUUAAGUGCUUACUUGUCUAUUUGUACUUGUUAAAUUGCCUUAUGUGAAUUGCAUGUUUCGAGGCACCACUGAGCUAUUGGCUCAUCCCUUCCAAAUUGUUUUCCUUGACAGGUUCUGAAAUGCAUGAAGUCUUGGAGAACUAGAACAGAAAUGUUAUAUUUUGAAUGCCCACUUUUGUAAUUGUACUUUUGGAAACGUUAGUAUUUUUUGGAUGAUUUUUGUGUUUUUGGGUGAAUAUGAAUCCUGUGGUGCUUCUGUGCCCUGGAUUAGGAACUUUAAAUUGUAAAUUAAGUUGAAUUUAAGUAUACUAAGCUCGACGUUUUCGUUGGUACUUGGAAUUGUGUUUUGGGCUGUAUAAGUUGAAUUGUAUGAAUUAUUUAAGUACGUGACUUGCUCGAGAAGUAAGGUUUAUUUUCGAUUUAUAUUUGGUGAAAUUAGUUACUAGAGUGCGUAAGUCCUAGCGAGAGCUAGGCAGGCGACCCGCCAACCCUUUGGUUCGCCUUAGGGAGAAGUGGGGCCGCCACAUAUAUAAUAUAUAUAUAUAUAUUUAUCUAUAAAAUUAAGUGUGCAUGGUCCAACAGAGGGGUAAAUAUUACCUACUUAGCGAUGUGUCGCUCAACCCACUUCUUACCAUUUUUGCAGAUUCUGAAGAGUAUGAAUUGGUUUACGUAGAAGACCCUGAGGAUGACUUUUAUUAGUUUUAGAUGUAUAAAAGUUGGCAGGCUGGCUACGUCCAGUUGUUGGUCUUAUUUACCUUUGUUUCCGCUGUUUCUAUUGGAGAAUAAAUAUACGAACGUCUUGAUUAUUCGUAGACUUUCUUUUCUAUGUAAUUCGUACCGCACUUCAUUUAGUUAAACUAUUUAGUACUAUUAAAGUUAAUUAGUUAAUGUAGCCUUGUAUUUCUGAGUGGGACUUGGGAGUACGGCGGAUGUCAUGUGACGGGCACGUGCGGGCUCGGGGCGUGACAUAGACAAAUUUUUGUUUAAGUUAUAUGAAUUUUUUUUCUUCAAGGAGUCAGAAUGAACUUUUUACUCUUUUUGGACCAUUUUAUCUUUAGGAGUCCUAAACUCCGAGAGGUUUUGAUUUUUGUAAUGAUUUCCCAUGCAUCAAAACUUUUUCAAGCUCAAAAUGCAUUAAAAUGAUUGAAUUGGUGAUCCAGAUGUUUGAACUAUAAAUUCAAAACCAAUCACUCAUUUUGUUCAUCACCCGUCCAAGUUUCAAAACAUUUUUAAUUGCUAAAGUUGUUCAAAAACUGGAAUAUUUUCAAAAAAAAAAAAAUCCUCCCUUGAAGUUUCUUGUAAUAUCAUUUAGCACCCUUAUAGUUCUAAAAAUAUCACUUACCUCCCCCAUAAGUAGGGAUGGCAAUUUCCGACACGACCUGAAAACACGAUACAAAUCUAACACGAAAUUAAUGGGUUUGGGUUGAGGUUUUGCAGGUUCGAGUCAGAAUCGGGCCGAACCCGCUGAACCCCAAAAAGAAAACAAGUCGAAUUCGGGUCAAUCUGUGGAUGACCCGAUAACCCAUUUACGAAUUAAAAAUAAUUUAAUAAACAUAAAAUUUAUUUUAUCUAACUAAACUAAGUUAUUCUUUUUUUUCCAAAGGCAUUAAUCACUUAAUCCUAAAUGAAUUUAUUUAACUUGUGUGAAGUUGAAAUUAUUAUAUUUGAACAAAUAAUGUAUUAUAUUAUUUUUUACUUUUAUACUAUUUUAAUUUAUUUUAUAUUUGAUUUGGGAUAAAACACUUUUACGAUGUUUUAAUUUAUUCUAGAUUUGGUUUGGGAUUAUUUAUUUAAAAUUUUAUUACUUGAUUAUGUAAUUAGUUUUGUGUGAGAUUGGUUUUAUUAGAAAUUACAAUAGUAAAUUAAUCAAUUAAAAUUAAGUUUCAGGUCAUUUCGGGUCGACCCCACCAACCUGAAAUUUUCGGGUUCGGGUCAAGUAUUCUGACCUGUUUCGGGUUGGUGGAACAGGUUUGAGUCAGCGGGUUUUCUGUUAUACCCGGGUUUCAACCCGACACGCCAACUCGAUUUGGACCCGAUUGCCAACCCUACCCAUAAGUGACAUAUGACAAAAAUUCGCCAUCGCAGCAUACAAAGUGAACGUAUUAUCCUCACUACGUAACAUCGUUUGUUCUAAAAGAUUUUGGAAGAAAAAAAAAUAGAAAUUGACAAAUUAGAAUGUCUAUCUUAAAAAUUUUUGGCACUUAAAGCCUUCGUACAUUUUUAGUCCUUCUAUGUGACCCAUAUGUUGGUUUUGGGCUAAAAUAACCACAUUAGUUAGAAAUAUUUCUCCAAUUAAAUUUAACAAAAAAUUAACAAAAAUCUCAUACCUCAAUAUUACAUUAAAAAAUGGAAAUAAUUUGAACCAUAAAAAGUUAAUUUGCGUGGAUUGAGACAUGGACUAGGUUGCUUUUUUUAAGACGAUUUGCGCCCUACAGAGUAUUUUCCAAUGUAAUAUGUCUCAUCACGUUGCCUCCAAAAUACAAUAGCUGAACAUUUUCUUCACUGUAGUCUACUCCAAUCUACACUAUUGGAGUAAAACAGAAACAUUACACAACAUUGAUCUUUGCCCUUAUAAACUUUAAUAGUAGUGAGAGGAAGAAAAAGUAGAAAAUAGUCUAAAGAUGGCAAAGUACAUAUCAGAUUUGGCUGCUAGACGCCUCUAUUUAUAGCCUAAGAAAUUAGGAGUAUUAAAAUACCAACAUUAAGACGAACUAACAACUCAUAUUUUAGUUACAAAUUGAAAAGUUUAGAUUCAUUGUAUAAUGGUAAAAAAUUCACUAAAAGAAUUCAUAAACCUAAUCAUUACACAGGUUACACAAUUCAAGACAUAAAUCUCAUUUCAAAAACAUAAGUUACACUUUUGAAUGGUUUUAGUUGUAGGUGAAUAAUAAUUUAGACCAAAAAAUCUAAUUAAAAAAAACUUAGAUCAAUAAAGAUAAUUGCUAUUUAGGAGUUAAUUUUGCACUUAAACCCCCUUUCCUACACCCCGGUUUUUUUAAAGUCCUUAUAUACCAACAUUAUAUUAAAAUACCCUCACUACUCUAACAAUUAUUAGGAAAAAAUUUAGAAGAUUAAAUACCAAAAUUUAUAAAAUUAAAAAUUUGAUUUUCUAAAAGUUAUAUUUUCGCUUAAACACCCCUUUGAUCCACUCUAAAUGCUCUAAUGCCAAUCUUAUAUUAAAUCACCUUGCUAUUCUAAAACUUUUUAGGCAAAAAAGUUUAGAAAGAGAAAAUCCAAAAUCUAUCAAAGAAUGGUAAUCCUAAUGAUUAUUUUUCACUUAAACUGUCCGUUCUCCCAACUUUUAGUUCUCCUGUGCCAACCAACGGGUUAAUUUCACCUUGUCCCCCCAAACUUUGGACAAUUAUUCACUUAAAUCCCUAAAGUUCAAAAUGGGACACUUAAGUCCCUAAACUUAUAAAUACCUCCCACUUAAGUCCCUGAACUUAUAAAUACCUCCCACUUAAGUCCCUGAACUUAUAAAAUGGGACACUUAAAUCCAUAAACCCUUAUAAAAUGGGACACUUCGACCACUAACGGCAUUCAAGAUUGGUUAACAAUUUUCCUUAAGUGUGAGGUAUUUAUAAGUUUAGGGAUUUAAGUGUCCCAUUUUGAAGUUCAGGGACUUAAGUGGGUAAUCGUCCAAAGUUUGGGGGGACAAAGUGGAAUUAACCCCCAACUUUAUAUCAACUAGCCUCUCCCAUUCUAACAAUUGUUCGUGCAAAAAGAAUUGAAUGCACUUGAGCAUCUUCUGGAUUAAAUGCACUACUAAUGAUACAUGUCAUCCUAUUAGAUUGUGUAAUAGUACCUUUAAAUUCUUUAUUUGUUUGUAUAUUAGGUGAUGGAAUCCUUGGUUUGCAUUUAAUACAGAAGAUGCUCAAUACAGUCUGGGAGAUCUAAUCCCCUAUCUUGCAUUUAAUUUAAAAGGUGUUCAAAUAUACUUUUUUGGCCACCCCUAACUUCCCAUAGUGUUGGGUUAGGAUUAGAGUAGAUUAGCAAAUAUUGUAUCAACAAAAUAAAAAAAAAGUGGAAAAAAGACAAGGAUAACCUAGAUCCUUUGGAUCCACCAGUCCAGGUAGUAUACGACUAGCAGUAGAGUGCACUUUUUUAAUAACUCCUUUUCCAUAAUAUAGGUACAGAUUAACCAAUAUCAUAUUUGGUAAAAAACAAAAAAGACAAAGACAACCUAGACCCCUGAGAUCCAUCUAUCCCAAUAUCCCACAGUGUAAGAGUAAGCAUAGGAGUAAAUUAGCAAACAUAGUACUGAUUAUAAUAAUAAAAAAAAAAGCACAUUCAUUUAACCAUCACACCAUGUCAAAUGUUUAUGACUCUCCAUUUUUUGUUUUUUUUUUUCCUAGAAUUUUAAAUUCUUAGAAUCUGAUGUUCCUAAAAAAUGGUCUUUGAUUGCUGUAAAGAGUUUACUACACUUGGCCACCUUAAAGUUCCUUUUAUUUUCAUUUUUCUCUUUUAAUAUUUAGCUAGAAAACUUUACAGGAUUUUCUUUUUAAAGUUGGCUUUUCAAGCCUUACAAAAGGGAAAGAAAAGAAGGGAAGGUUUGAAAGUUGAAUUAAAAACCUUAUGAUUUUUUAUUAAUGUCUUCCAAUUGGAUCAAAGCUUGAGAUUCUAUUCUAUUAAUGUUCACAUUGAAAGGCUUUUUCUAUAUAAUGUCGUAGGGCCGUACAAUAAACAAACUAAAAAUGGACGGUGGAUCCAUGUUGACCCUUUUCUCAAGAGUUAUCUAACUUAUGAUAAUGUAGUUGAAAAAAUAACAGAAGCAUGUUGGACACAUAUAGAAAUAUGUGGAAGAAGAGGAGUUUAAUAACCAUAAACGUAUAAAUUCUAGCAACAACAGCUGCAACUUUCAUAUUUAGACUUGCAUAAAUUCUAGCAGAGUUGCCUUUACAACAAUUGCAACUCUCUUUAGUUUUUCUCUUAAUUUUCUCGACUGGAUACAAUAUUGAAAUAUCUUAUAUAUUCUCAACAUGACUAGAAAAUUAAAAUUAUACUAAAAUAAGAAACUACCAUAUAAUUACUUCAUUGCCUGAACAUCUAAAUUGGUAAAACUUGGCUAUACUUUUCUUUUUAAUUUUUUCCAGUAGGGAAAAGGUGGGACUUAAAAAGUGAAGAACAGGCAGAGUGAUUUAAACCUAAGGUCUCUAAUUUCUAGAGCCUUAAACUUAUCCAUUAAACGGGGGUUUCUAGGCAAAACUUGGCUAUAUUUGAAUACUUCUAAACUAGAAAUACAAAACAUCAACUAUUAGGAAAUUAGGUUUAAUUAUAUCAACAUUGCCUCUUUUCAAUUAAACUUUUCGCGAAUAUAGCUCUAUACUAUUGGCAACCAAAAAAAAAAGUCUUCUAAGAUAUUUUUUCAUUAUAAAUCAAUUCUUGCCAAUCACUUCACUUUCAAUUUAUUAGCCUCACUAGCUGAUUACUGAUAUCAAGAUUCUCAAUUUUGCAAGUCCAUCACAAAAAAAAAAUAAGUUGACAAGAAUUUUUUCAACUCUUUCACAUUACCAAAUUAAAUAUCAACAACUAUGGUACGAUCUUUUCUCUAAUCACUGUCUAACACAAAUAACACCAUAACGUCUAUCCAAUUAGGGUCAAUUUUUCCCUAAUUGUCAAGUAACUGGAGUGCCCCAAUAUUAAUUUAGUGGCCCAAUUUUUUCUGACGUUCGAGUACUCUGACUCAUAAAAAAAUUUACAUUUCAAAAUCUAUCAACAUCAACCUUGUAAUCUUAAGUUUGCAAGCAUCCCAAGAUCAAAAGGCAGGGUUCUAAUACCACUUUAGUGUAUAAAAAAUGCGUACAAGAGGAUACUGGGAUAUGUAAAAAUAUGUAGGAGAAGAGGAGUUUAAGAGCCAUAAAUACAUAAAGCACAUCUAAUUCACAUAUUGAGAUUGACAUAAAUUCUAGGGUUGCUUUUACAACAACCGCAACUCUCUUUAAUUUUUUUUCUCGCCCUUUUCAACUCAGUAUAAUGCUAAAAUACCCUAUAUAGAGUUAACAUAACUUAGAAAUUAAGAAACUACUGCAACAAGAAACUACCACAUAAUUACUCCGUACCCUAAACAACUGAAUUACUGAAACUUUUUUUUUUUAAUCAAGAUGCUUGGAUUUUAUUGCCUCAGAACAGCUCUUGAGGGGGACAGGAGCCUGACCUCAACGACACAAGACAAGUACAAGACACCUACUUACUUAACUCGACGUCGCCGAAUAGACGGGUAGGAUAGUUUAUCCAACCGAUAUUCACCCCUAGCUACACCUGGUAAGUCCCUGAAACUUGGCUAUACUUGAAUACGUCUAAACUAGAAAUAGGAAACAUCAACUAUUAGCAUUAGGAAGUUUGGUUUAAUUAUGCCAAUAAAAAGACAUAUUCUUCUGACCAUCACACUAUGUCAAAACGUGCAUGGGUUUCGUUGAUUUUAGCAAUGAUAAAUGUUCCACAUAAAGCAAUGGCAACAUGCAUGCGUUAGGAUAAUUUCAUAAGUUAAUUGUGUAUAUAAUGAUAGUGCAUAUACUAACAACAAUGAAUGAAUGCCACCUAAACUUGAUGUAAUGGUAGUGUAUAAUUUGAGUUUUGUUUCUUGAACAUGUAGCUUGCAAUAUUAUGGGAUAAUUUCAUAAAUCUCCACUAAGGUUAUUGACAAUUUCACUUGUCUCUCCUCAACUUUUGGAAAUCUCACAUACUCCUAGCAUACAAUUGGGGCCUAUUGUUGACUAAAGGCGCAGCAAAAUACUUAUAUCUUUAGUCUUUGGUGAUACUAACUAAACAAUUUCUCACCUUCAAAUGUAAUUUGCAAAAAAUCAAGUCAAGUCUUAUUUCCACAACCUUGUAAUACGAUGCAAAAAGAAAAUGUUAAACAAACAAAAAUUAUUCUCACCCUUGAUUCAACUGCACCUUUCACAAGGAAAGAAAAGCUGUUCUCUAAUUUUCUAUGGUUACUUUCUCUUCUAAGCUUUAAUUGACGCUCAUCAAGCCUUAUAUAUUUUAGUAUAAACUUCCAAGCUUUUAAUAAGAAACUUGUAACAUCACCAUUUUACAAAUUUAAAUUUUGAUAAAUUUGUAUUUACUCUUAAAUUUGUAUUUACUAAUUUGAUAAACUUGUAACAUCCAAGCUGUUUCUUAAAUUUGUAUUUUCUGUCAAAUAUUUAAUUUUUGUUAAAUACAAAACCUACCAGUUUCCCUUCCGUAAAAAUAUUAAUGUAACACUUUUUCAAUUCUAGUUACAAAUAUUUAUGUAUUUAACAUAAAUUAAAUAAUUCAGAAUAAAAUGCCCAUAAAGAGCCAAUACUUUACUCAUGUAAUGGAUAAAAGUCAUAAAGAAUUAAACUUUAUGGGCCAUUUCUUUUUGGAAAAAUCGUUCAAAACGUCCCUCACAUUUUGCAAAAUAACUUUUUCGUCCCUUACUUUUAAAAAUAUAAUUUUACGUCCCUUACAAAUUCACAUUGGUCAAAUUUGGUCCCUACUUAGGUUUUCGACUAGUUUUUUGUCGGAAUUCACCACGUGCCUUGCACGUGAUCAUAUUUUAAGGGCAAAUUUGUCAAAUCAAAUUUUAUAUAAUUCGAUUCAUAAUCCCUCACAUUUCAUAACAUAAAUUUUUUCGUCCCUUACAUUUCACAAAAUGAAUUUUUUCAUCCUUCACAUUUUUUAAAAUGAAUUUUUUUUUUAUCUUUGAUUGCUCAUGUGUGUGAAUAAUUUUUUUAAAAUCCAUGUACAUAUUUAUUUGAUUUCACCUGAACAGUACGAAUACCAUGUGAAAUCAAAUAGAGAUAUAUUACACACUAUUCGUAUUGUUCUAGUGAAAUCAAAUAAAUAUAUACAUGGGUUUAAAAAAUUUGUUAGUUUUUCACUUAUAUUCAUUUUCUUUUACUCGAAAUUUGAAAAUAAAGAACACAUUUAAUCCUAAAUAUUAUCGAGUGAUUAUAUCGAAUUAAAUUUGGAUAGAAAAAGUAAACAAAAGAAAAGUAUGACAAAAAAAAUAAGUGAUUGGCACUUUCAAAUUUUAACAAAAUCACAAGGCAAGUAAUCCAACUGUUGGUCUUCAAAGUGUCGAGUAGAAAUUUCAGAUUUAAACUGAAAUAUGUUAGCAUAAUUAUAGAAUUCGAGUUAGGACCCAUUAAUUAGAUGACCUUAUUAUACAACUUAAUAAAUAAAUUAUUACCAAAAGAGAAAUGUCACAAAUAUUGAAUAGGUUCAAAUGGUGAAAUCAUAUAAAUAUAUACAUGGGUUUCAAACAAAAUUAUUAGUUUUAAACUCAUAUAUAUAUCUAUUGAAUAGCAUGUGUAUAACUACGAUUAGCAUGUUUAGAUGAAAUCCAAUAGAGAUAAAUUACAUGUUAUUCAUACUGUUCAGGUAAAAUCAAAUAGAUAUAUACGUGGGUUUAUAGAAAAAAAGUUAUUCGUAUACAUGAUUAAUGAGAGAUGAAAAAAUUCAUUUUGAAAAAUAUGAGAGAUGGAAAAAUUCAUUUUUUCAAAUGUGAGGAACGAAAUAACUCAUUUUGUAAAAUGUUAGGGAUGAAAAAAUUCAUUUUGUGAAAUAUGAGGGACUAUGAAUCAGAUUAUGUAAAAAUUUGAUUUGACAAUUUUGCCCUUAAAAAAUGAUCACAUGCAAGUCACGUGGUGGAUUCCGGUGAAAAACUAGUCGGAAACCUAGGUAAGGACCAAAUUUGGUCAAUAUGAAUUUGUAAGGGACGUAAAAUUACACUUUUAAAAGCGAGAGACGAAAAAAGUCAUCUUGUAAAAUGUGAGGGACGUUUUGAACGAUUUUUCCUUUCUUUUUUUAAAAAUAUUUAAUUUAAAUUAAAUAGAUAACCUAUCGAUUUCCUUUUUGUAAGAAUAUUACUAUAACACUUUUACUUUCAAAUAUUGAUAUAUUUAUCAUAAAUUAAAUGUUUGAGCGUAAAAUGCCCAUAAAGAACCGGUACUUUAAAUAGGUAACAUAUUUGCUCAUAAACUACACCCCUUAAAGUUUAUUAAUUGUUAAUUGAUUUGUAAUACUUUAUCAUUUAUUUGCUAAUACUGCUUGACAUGUAGCACAAAUAGCAAAUUUGGUACAAACUUCUCAUUUCACUCCCUAAAACAAUAUUUUAAUCGCUUGGACUGAAUUUGUAAAGAAUUAGUAUGUUUAGGGGAGGUCAGUGCAAGUGUUAGAAACCUCAAGGGAGGUUUCUGCAAUUUUCCCUACAUUAAAAUGAUUGAAUUGAUGGUUCAGAUGUUUGAACUGAUAAAGUCAAAACCAAUCACUCAUUUUGUUCAUCACUGGUCUGCGUUUCAAAAUAUUUUUAACUAUUAAAGUUGUUCAAAAUGUGGAAUACUUUGAAAAAAAAAUCCUCCCUGAAUUUUCUAGUAAUAUCAUUUUGCGCUUAGUGCCCCUAUAGUUCUAAAAGUAUCACUUACCUUCCCCACAAGUGAAAUGUGACAAAAAUUCACGAAUACAAUAAUCUUGUUUCUUUUUCUCCACAAAACCCUCAAUGGACUUUUUCUCAAUUCCCUGUAUCAUUAAAUUAACUCCAGCAAGAACUAAAAAUAGCCUCCAUCUUGAGUUGUCAUCUGGAAAAUUGAUGAAAAAGUUUUUGGCAACUUCAAAAUACAAUAAUAAAGCAAAAAUAAAUAUAACAUACAAGAAUCAUGUUGUUUGGCCAAUUGACCUAUGCCACAAGUGAAAGAGCAGCGAGUUCACCGUAAAGAAGAGAGUAUAAAAUCAUAAGUUUUAAAGUACUAAAUACUAAAAAUUUAAAAAAAAAUUCUAGAUAUAACAAAAGGCUCAACAACCUAAAAGAGGUCCAAAUAAGCUUCUCUAGCUCUUUCGGUUGGCAGUGGCACUUCUCAAAAAUCUGUCUCUUAAAUUGCGGCCUAGGGCCUCCCGAACCUCUCUUGAUACACUAACGGACUGUCCAGGCUUGCUAUCAGUACUUUUUCACAAGAAAGUCCAACAAAGAGUUUGGCACUACCUUUUCUUACCUUUUCUAUCUUAUCAGGUCUUCCAUUUGCAACAAGUUCUCUUUAUUACAACCCAUGAAUCCUCCUCUUUCCAGGUUUCAACCCAUUUCUUUUAUUUUGGUCUUGGUUGCUGGAAACUAGGGUCUAACAUAUUUAGCCUUUUUGCUUUUUUUUUCCCCCAAUUUACUACUGCACUUUAUCUUUUGUGGAAAGAGAACAAGAUAGCCUAUAAACAAUAUGACAAUUUGAAUUUUCUUGUUCUUUUCCUCUAUUCCAAAAGAAAUAUUCAAAUAUGCCAAUAUAGUUGAGGGUGAAAUAGUUGAUUUGGUGGUUACUGCUCCUGGGGAUAUUAUAUCAAACCCGAAAAAACAAAAGGGUAAAAGGAAAAACAAAACUGUGUAACAAGUAGGCAUAACCUCGUUGAUUCUCAGCUAGAACAAUCCUAUUACUUCUAAGAUUGGAUAAUCUCUCUGUUUGCCUACAAAUUUUUAAGAGUUUUAAAAACAAUACAGUUUUUACAAAAAAGGGGCAAAUGGACGGUUAAGUGUAGAUAUCCUACAUUUAUAUCAACAGGAAAAAUAUAAAACUAAAAAAAAUAAUUUAACCAAACCAAUUGACUAAUAAUUUUUAUAAAUACAUAUAAAUUGUUGCUCUAUAUUUACUCAGCUUUCUUGUUUUUAUUAAUACUCAUUCUCAGUUAGAUGCUAGAUACUUAUAUAAGCAUUAAGCAUACUUAGAGAUGUGGCAAAAGAUAAACUUCUAUCACGGUUGAAACUCCUUUAGAUUUUCACUUAGAAUGUGCCAAAUUAAAUGAACAUCCCAACACAGCAAAUUUGGCAAUUGAAAUACAUAUUUUCUUUUUUAUUUUAAAUUCAAAAACAGAUGAAAGAGAUAAUAGGAAAGAAAAGGUCACAUUGAGUGCCUAAAUCUCCGAAAAAUGUAAGGACGUAUUUAGUAUUGGAUUUCCUUUAACAAAAAAUAAAUAAAAGAAUGAAAACUUUUUUUUACAAAUAGCUAGAUAGAUAAAUAUACCAAUGUUUUGCUCCAAAUCAAUUGCUUUUCUAUAAAGAAAUUUAUAUCAACAACACUCUAUUACUAAAUAUAACCUCAAGGUUGAUUUUUUUCGCUAUCUUUUGUUUAGUUCUACAAAGUUUAAGCAAUUAGAAAAUUGAGCUCUUCCUAAAGGCAUGAGUUUAAUUUAUUUAUUAUGCCUUCAGAGUAUGGGGCUCCAAGAAUCACAUUACUUGGUGUAAUUGGGUUCCAAGGUAGCCAGUUGAUUUUGAGUUCUCACGUUGAUCUAGCAUGGCAAGAAAUUUUCUUCUAAAUGUAGCUUCAGUAAACUUCUAAAAUCCAUCCACAAGAACUCAUUUUUGAUAAAUGAUAAUUAUGUAAAAUUUAAAUUUAAAAUUCAACUUUUACACAUAUGUCAUAGUUCUAACAGUAAUAGUUUAUACACUGUCAGUAUAUAUAAGAUUUACUCUUUUUGUAAAACGUUUAAUUUUAAUCCCUUUCCUCAAGUAUUUCCUUCAUUCAUAAUUUUAUUCCUUAAAAGCUUUUAGAUAUUCUUCUUUAGUUUUCAAAAGUUUCUCCUGGAGAGUUUUCUUAAAAUCGCAGCAAUUAAUCACGUUGAACAAGAAAUUGAUAUGCUAAUCUUCUUUAGUUUCCAAAAAAUAUUGUCAAAGAAAUUUGUUAAACUUCUUUCUAAACAAUUUCUUUUUACACUAUUGCUCAAGGAAAUCUGCAUACGUGCUCCAAAAUUAAUUGAUUGCCAAAGAAAUUUCUAAAACCUCUUUACAAACCAUUUCUUUCCAACUAUUGCUCAAGAAAGUUAACAAAAUCUGAGUUUAAUAUAUUGUAUAUUUCUAAAGUAAAAACCCAUUCUUGCUGUUACAUUGAAUUACAUAAAUAGCCACAAUUAUCAUAAACAAUGCAAAGCUAAAAAAACAACAUUGCAUACCGAGGGUAUUAUCGGAAUAUGAGAUCUAAUGCGCUAAUCCGCUAAUUUAAACUCUUGCUCUUAAUAUAUUAUAGAUAAGUUGUAGCUCUAUAAGCAUUUAAUUAGAGCUACACGCUAGCCACAAUAUUGUAGCAGGAAGACUCUGGCUAUUUCUUGAUUGAUUUACACUAUGAUUCAAAUUAGACAAUUAGUUUGGAAACUUGAAAGCCAUAAGCCAGCAAUUGUUUAAGAACAAUAUUGAAAUUAAUGCAGAAACCAUUACAUGAAUGUUGUAAUCUAAUUGCUGAUGUGACUGCAAAUUUGAGCUCGAAAUGGGAGGAAUCUUACUUCAAUUUGUUCAUAAAAAAAGUGACAAAAUCGGUACACGCAUGGCCCCAAUAAAGCAUCAGAUUCGGAGGAAUCUUUGUUUGGCGCUACUGAAGUUGCUGGGAAAGUUCUGAAGCACCAUAUCUUCUGUGAACAAGAUAGUGUCUUGCAAUAUUUACACAAAAAGUGGGAAAAAAAAGGUCCAGCCUAUUGUUUGUUGGCUAUUGUUAGAUGAGAAAGUUUUGGAUCCUGAACUGAUUUUAUUGAGUAGCUGCUAAACCAGAUAAAAAUCUAAUAUCAGAGUGAAAAGAAGAUAUGAUAAUGGAGAUCCCCUCCAGCAGUAACGCCAAUUGCUUUGAUUUUGCUUUAUAUGAUUAUCUGCAGUCGUAUCACAUCUCCUCCAGCACUAGCACAAGUUGCUUUGAUCUUGCUUUAGAUAUCCUAGCCGAGCUUGAGAAUGGGUACAUAUUUCCCUGGCGCUUCGAGACCCUGAAGAAGGAGGUAAGAUUAAUGAAAACCUGUUUUCUGUAUGUCAAAAAGUGUAGGAGGAGGAGGAACCACGAAGCGCUUUUGGAGCAUGAUCGCGAGGACAGGUGUAAUAUUAUGUCUGAAAGUUUGAGACGUAGUAUUAUUUGCUUCAGAAUUCAAGAUGUGGCUAUCAGGAUGAUUCAAGAACUUCAGCCUGCUUAUUUUCGAUGUAUUCAAUCUAGUUAUCACUUUGACAUCAUUGAAAGUGCGGUUACCAGAUCCAAGGAAAAGAUCAAAAUGUUUCUUGAGACAGAUCUCAAGAAAUCAUGCGCCGCCAUCUUCAUCGACUAUUACUCACCAGGAGAUCCACGACUAGUUAUGGAUCUUAUUAUGUGCCUUUUAGAGACUCUGGAUUGCGUUUUACGUGAUAGGGAGCUAAGGGAUACAAUUAGACACAGGCUAAAACUCUUAAGGAAUCUCAUUGGCGUUGUGGCAAUGCAAGGUUUUGAAUGUGCACAACUGACAGAUCUCUUGACCUACACUGUAGUUGCAGCUGGAUGCCUGAUUUCUGUAUGUAAGUUUUACCGUGAUGAUGAUGCACGAGUGCUCGAUCGAAUGGAAUCUGAAAUUUGUCAGCUGAUACAAGAGAAGAUCAAUCUUCUUGAUCCCCAAGUCCGAGAAACUUUUGUCCAUUUCCUGACAGCUUCAAAGAAACAACCAAGAUCAUCAUAUGAUUUAGCCCUUCAGAAGAAUGAGGAUCCAAUCGUAGGCCAGUUUAUUGGUUCUCUCCGUGAUUAUCUUAUGGAUCUACUCUGAUCUUAUGCCAGUUUCCAGGUUCCAGUGAAGGAUCAAAUACUAAGACUCCAUGAGGAAAUAAGAUGCCUGGCUAUCGUUCUUAAACAGGAGGAGAAACUAGGUGAUGAAAUAAAGGAUCUUAUUGGAGUUGUGGUCUCUGAUGUAGGAAUUUUGACCUUCUCCCUUUCUGUCAAUGAAAUCAAAGAAGGCUUGCCUGAGGAAAGAGAUCUUGGGUUGUUUCAUUUGCACAAAGUUCUCAAAUAUAUGGUGGCAGAGGUUGCACACAAUUUUCCACUAAAAUCACCAUAUUUAUCAUUUAAUUAUCCUAGACCCAAUGAGUUGGGCUGUAUGGAUUCUUUCCUAGAAAAUCUCAAGGAACUAGCAAGGUGUGAUGAGGAUGAUGAUUCAAUUGGUUUUCAACAGGAUAGAAUCCAAAUGAUCCAAAAAGAUCUCGUAUUCUUAAGAUCUUUCCUGGAAAAUAUCAAGGAGAAGCGCUAUCAGAAUGGAAAACUUCAAGCUUUCUGGAGUCAUGUUAUGGAGGCUGCAUACAAGGCAGAGUUACUGAUUGACUUGGCACUUGUUGGUGAUAAAUGUGAAGAUUCUUUGGAUGUUGUUUCUAGAGAUAUCAAUCUUUUGAAGAUUGAGGCCCCAGAGAUCCAUAAUGGUCAAACCCAAAGAGUUAACAAGACUUCCCUUCACAUACCAUCACAACUUACCAUCGCCAUGCACGACAAAGAUCUGGUAGGUCUCAAAGAUGAGGUGGAAACUAUUACUCAUCGGCUUACGAGAGGAUCAAAGCAAUUGGAUGUUGUUCCCAUUGUGGGUAUGCCAGGCCUUGGUAAGACCACAUUAGCCAAUAAAAUUUAUAAUGCUCCUUCAGUUAGGUCACAUUUCCAUGUUCGUCGUUGGUGUCGUGUUUCUCAAACAUAUAGCAUACACAGUUUGUUAGUUGAGCUUUUGUGUAGUAGUUCUUCUGAGAGUUCUGAUGAAUAUCAUAAGAUGGAUGAAAAUGAUUUGGCCAUGAAGCUAAGGCAGGUUUUGCUGAGAAGUAGGUAUCUCCUUUUUUUGGAUGACUUGUGGGACAUUGAGGCAUGGAAUUUGUUGGAAAAAUCACUGCCGAAUGAUGCCAAUGGAAGCAGGAUUCUCUUCACUAGUAGAUACCAGGAUUUAUCUUUGCAUUUCAUACCUAAUAGCGAGCCUCACCAUCUCCGCCAUCUUAAUGAUGAAGAGAGUUGGGCAUUGCUACAGAGAAAGCUAUUUGGCAUGGAAGAUUGUCCUCCAGCACUAAGUGAAGUUGGAUCUCAAAUAGCAAAACUUUGUCAGGGCUUACCCCUCACAGUUGUCCUUGUUGCUGGAAUUCUUGCUACUACUGCACAAGAUAGUUGGGA